rnacentral:lncRNA from 1 species
GACGACUGAGAAAACGGAGAGUCCCGUUCGGAGGACUUAAAAACACCGAACGCCUUGCCAAGAGGUAAAUUUGGUAGUUAUCCUUUUCCCUUCAAUUAUUUAAAAUAGUUUGCUUACUUAAUCAGGUUCAUACUAUCUUGAAAAGAAAAUAAAAAUGUUAAAAAUAGUAAGCCCCAUGUGAGUAGACUUGUGGUUUAAAAACCCAUAGGUAUAUUGACUAUGGUGGCAUAAAAUAAAUAUGUUUUCAUCUUACAAUAAAAAUAUAAAUAAUAAGUGCAUGAUCCUGCUAAAUAAAAUUUAUUAGGAGGAAGCUCAAUAUGAUAAAGGCAAAGAGAUUUUAUGCUAUCACUUAACCAGUUCCACAAAGCUUUGUUGUCUAUUUGAACUCCACAUAAUUCAUGGAUCAAAGAAGACUAGCAGAAAGAGGACAUCCUAAUCGUUGUCAGGGUGCUGCCGACAUUCAAAUACACCUCGGUCACCUGCUAGCUACAUCAGAAGAAAUUACGUCAAAAUGCAGCUUGGGGGAGAGCACCCCCAUUUAUCCAGCUAAGUGGUUCUACUCGCGUUUAUACUUUACUCAAAUAAUAAAAAGAUGAAAACCCAAAUAAAGAUUUUGUGCUUUUAUAUAUAUCCUUGCUUAGUUUGCUAAAUAAAUAAAGUUUGCUAUGAACCCUUAUGAUAAGCUCUCACAUGGAAAUGAUGAAUAGUUGCUCUGCCAUGACUAGUUCAUAAAAUUGAAAUCUCUCUCAAGUUUAGGCAUAACUUAUAAUUUAAAUCUGCUCUAAACCUGAACUUGUGGGAAGAGUACUUGAUCUCAAGUCUAAGUUGUUAACGGAUAUGAUAUGGGAAGGUUGAGCUGCUGUUUAUCUGUUCCUAGAGAUGCUAGAAUUCUGGAGAUUUUUGUCUUUAAAAAUAUUUAAAAUAACACAUGAUGAGUUCCUGUAUGAUGAGAGUUUAAAAUCCUACCACAGCCAUAUAUACAUGCUUAUUAGACUUUGAGCCACACAUUUACUUUUUACUGCUUAUGAGCAUUGAGUGUGGUCAAGCUGUGUAGACCCUUAGGAGCUUGUCAUGUGGUUAAAAUCAAGACUCACUUGCACAUUCAGUCGUAUAUGCUGCUUCUACUUUAGAAGUACGCAUCCACAUAUAUCCACUCAUUUCCAUCUCCAGAUUCACCCAAAAGUAUUCUACUCCUAAUAUAGGAGGGAAUAGCCAAAAAGAUUAUCCUAUCCCUGUUAUUCCCUAUAAAAAAAUGCUCGAGUUAUCUUGGUUACUAUCACUUGCUAUAUUAUUUCAGGAGAUGAGUGCUCUAAAAAAAAGAGGAUACGACGAAAUAAAAAGGGGCAAGUGCCCGAAACCUCGAAGAAAAGAAAAAGUGAGACGAGAGGUAAAAAUGGACAAGUGUCCGACAGUAGAAUUAGGGGUACAGGAUACCCACCUGAGAGGAAAGAAAAAAAAAUAUAGAGCAUCUCAUUCUCCUCAAAAAGCUUCAAAGUGCAAGAAAGGUAUGUAUCCCCUAAAAAUAGCAAAAGUAGAAUUAGACUUUCACCAUUGUUAUCACCAUCAUCACCAUACACCAUUCGCUCGCCACACAUGCACAUCUUGAUUUGACUUACUGAAUUGUUUCUCUGGAUCCAUGGUUUGACUAUGCAAUAAAUGUCUUGUAAGUAUGUAUUAUCUGUCUCCCACCUAUGAGCUCCAGAUAUCAAAACCUUAUUAGAGUAGGGUGAGAGAGAAGGCAAUAUCGCUAUGCCCCAUACCAAAAAUACCACAUACUUUGAGAGAAGGCAUAUAUCAUUACUGCCUUGGAAAGGAUCCAGAAAUACCACAAAAGAGAGAUUUGAGAAAGUCAUACAAGGAAUCUCUGAGUUUUAUUUGAAAAUCUGCAAAAACUCCAGAGCUAUAGCUGAUCAAAGAACAAGAGACAUGGCGCUUAACUUGACCGUUCUAUCUUUUAACUGCUCAAGACACAAGUGACGGUUACAAGCCCCAUGGUGAAAGGUAAAAUGAGUAAGCUUUAAGUCUUAACAGUUUACUCUAACUCAGAGAUGAGAUCUUACUUUUAAGGCAUGAAACCAUUGUAGAAACUCUUGAGUUCAUCCUUGCUCAGGGACGAGCAAGAGGUAAACUUGGGGGAGUUGUUGACGGUCCUUAAGUAUCAAAUAUAAUCAUCAAAUAAAUAAAGAAAAGGAUCCAAAUGCAACCAACACCCACACUUAGGGUUUUAUCUGACAGAAUUCCACGAGUUUUGGUGUUUGUCUAUUUCUGCAGGGGGUUAUCUGGAAAUACGGAAGAAAGGCCCACACGUCGGGAUUACAUAGAGAUAUUAACGUGCCGCGCAAUUUUCUAUCCUCUAGAAGACUCCAGAAGCCACGGGAACGAACGGGAGGCCGAACGGGCCCCUGGGCAGGGCGCCCGCCCUGACCUGGAUUCGAUUCAGAACUCUCUUCGCGGACCAAACUCCACCGACCUAAAGGAUCAAGGAUAACCGUCCAAUCAAUGUCGGUUUUUCUCCAAUGGCUCACGUUCACUUGAGGGGACUAUAAAACCAGACCCCCUGGCCCUGGAGGAGACAAGUUCAUCAUAGAGUUGAGAGGAGCCCUCGAAGGAAUACCUCUCCUCUAAAUAAAUAUUUAUUUUAGGCUUAGCAUCGAAUGUGAGUAGAAUUAGAUCUUCUAGUUUCUACUAGAUUGAGAGAUAUAGAGUGGAGGUGUAGAUCGGAGGAAGCCCGGCCUGUCGGUGUCUACUACGAGGUUGUACCUGUGGGAUCAAGUCUUCUAACCCGAGGCUUGCUCCUAGGAUUCUUCAGUAAUUUGACUUCUAAUUCUAGUAAGUUCUUGUUUUAGUGCUCUUUGGUUUAUGAGUUUACUUUAAUCUCUUCCAGUUAAGUAUUAGAGUAAUCAUUGCUAGCGUAAACAUGGUGUUUAGGCUAGGGUACUCAUAGAUAUCCCCUGACUAGCUGGACUGUGGUAGUAGCGAGGAACGUGACAUUUCCGAGUUACCUUUGCAUCCCACAUCUCGUUAGCAGGACGGGUAGGUUUAUAGGUGCGGGUCGAACAUCCUUUGUGGUGUCUAGAUUCCGUAAGCUUCCCCAAUAGAACAGUAGAUCAUCCUUACCAAGGUUAGAACGAGACUACGGUUGCAGUCUUCUCUAUACAUCGCUCACAUCGAGAAACAUUCUUCGUAGCCUAAAGGGAUAGUAGCAAUAGAUUUGGUUAGUCAGAUGCACCCUUUCUCCCAUUGGUAAAAAUAUAAAUACGAUACUCUGGAAAAGCUCCCGGGUGAAAUGCUCACCAAUAUCCGUGAGCUUGCGGAUCAUUUUCUAAUUGCGUUACCAAAUAUCAACAAUCAUGUGUGAUGCCAGCGAUUAUGCUGUUGGGGUGGUCCUCGGCCAAACCAAGGACAAAAAUCAUCAAGCGAUCGCUUAUGCUAGCAAGACUUUGACAGGACCUCAGCUUAACUAUGCCACUACUGAAAAAGAGUUCCUCGCUAUAGUCUUUGCUAUCGAUAAGUUUAGACCCUAUUUGGUGGGAGCAAAGAUAAUUGUUUAUACGGAUCAUGCUGCUCUCAAAUAUUUGCUCACCAAAAAGGAUGCUAAACCUCAUCUACUCCGAUGGAUCUUGUUGUUACAAGAGUUUGAUAUUGAGAUAAAAGAUAAGAAAGGAGUAGAAAAUACUGUUGCAGAUCAUCUUUCGUGUAUGCAAGUCACUAACAUGCAGAAACAGGAGAUUAACGACUUCCUACACGACGACAUGCUCCUGAUGAUCAACGACAAGAAACCAUGGUAUGCAAAUAUUGUUAACUUUAUGGUUUCAGGGUACGUACCCCAGGCAAAUCAAAGAAGAAGCUUGAAUAUGAAAGUCAACGCCACCUGUGGGACGACCCCUACUUGUGCUGAUGGACUGCUACGAAGAUGUGUGCCCACCUUAGAGGGUGCACAAAUCAUCGAGAUGUGUCACGCUUCACCAUAUGGAUGUCACUAUGGAGUAUUUUGCACAUAGUCCAAAAUUUCGACGUGCAGCGUCUACUAGCCUACAAUGUAUGAAGACACGAAGAAGUUCAUCCACAGAUGCCGUUAGUGCCAGCUAUAAGGCCCAGCUAUAAGGCAACAUCAGUGCAUGCAACGCCAUGCCACUUCACUUCCAUCUCCAAGUCGAAAUUUUUGACGUCUGGGAAAUUGACUUUAUGGGGCCAUUCAAGAAAUCAGGCGACUGCGAGCACAUCCUUGUAGCAGUUGACUACGUAUCAAAAUGGGUAGAAGAAUUAUCGUGUCGAGCAGUAGAUGCCAAGCAUGCAAGAAAGAUGUUUCACAAGAUCAUCUUUCCUCGUUUUGGGACACCAAUAAUGGUGAUAAGUGACGGAGGGUCGCACUUCAUUGAUAAAGCCUUCAGAACAUUUUUGCGAGAUUUGGGCAUCCGUCACAAUGUUGCUACUCCUUAUCAUCCCCAAACCAGUGGGCAGGCCGAAACUUCCAAUAAGUAGAUCAAGAACAUACUCCAAAAAACGGUGAACGAAAUGGGAACGGGUUAGAAAGAUAAGCUCCCUAAUGCACUCUGGGCAUACAGGAUAGCUUACUAAACUCCCAUCGGGAUGUCACCUUAUCAGUUGGUCUAUGGCAAAAGCUGUCAUUUGCCUAUUGAGCUUGAACAUAGAGCUCACUAGGCAAUCAAGACUUGGAAUAUGGACAUCAAGGCCGCUAGAAGAAACAGGCAAAGACAAGUCGUAGAAUUAGAAGAAUGCUGAGAAAAAGCCUAUCACAGUGCCAAGCUCUACAAAGAGAGAACAAAAAGAUGGCACGAUAAAAGAUCUUACAUAAAGAAUUCAAGAUCGGCGACAAAGUCCUGCUCUUCAACUCGAGAGUCCAAUUGUUCGGGAAAGGAAAGCUCAGGAGCAAAUGGGACGGACCUUACACAGUGAUUGAGGUGGCGCCGCAUGGAGCUGUCACAAUAAAGGACGAUAGUGGCAACAUCCAUAAGCUAAAUGGCAAACGUCUCAAGGUAUUUCUCGAACCCGAACCCCAUUCCUUUGAUGAAAUAAAUUUAGUUUCUUUUAAAGAAUACACAAAAGGAAUGUGUUAAAAAAAAGUAAUAUAAUAUCUUUUGUUGUUGUAUUUAUUUUACAUUAAAUAAAGCCUCUUGAUUUAUGCAUUUAUGUUUGACCCAAAAUGCCCCUAUGAUCUUGUAUAUCUUGUUUAAAAUCUGUUUUGAUCAUAGCAUCUUCUCAUCAUAAAUGGAUGAUAGUGCAAUCUCUUGAGUUUUAGAAAGUUUUAUUCAAAAUUCAAAAAAUAUUCUCUUUACCAUCCCGCCAAUACAUUGUGAAACAACAUUGAUCGUAAGUGGGAUCACGAUUAGGGAAACAAAUAACGCGAGCUGCCAAAAAACGGAGGCCGACUAGUGGCCCUAGGGGUUCAGACGCACCUGGGUGUGGCCUCACCCCUGGCCCAGCCAAUUGGCCCUAAUCUUUUUUCGUACCUCCCUCUGAUCCCUCCAGUAUGGUGUUACCGCCUACGAUCAAGUUUGAUUCCUUAUUUAGGUGCGCUGAAGAACCUACAUAAGCAGCCCCUAGGACUCUCAAUUCUUCACACCAAACCUUUCUCUUCUCCCUCUCACCAAGUGUGCUAAGCUCCCCCAAGAUCCAAGGCAUGAAUGUCUAGCUACGCCCUCUCCCUGAUCUAAGCCCCUGGCUCCUUCGCAAACCUAGACAUCGUCCCCUUUAUAGAGAGUUCCUUUGUGGAGGAAGAAGCACAGGCGGCAGUCGAGGCACCACUAGCCUAUCUCCCACGAAGCUAGGACUUUAGCCCAAGACUGAAGUCGACUGCCCACUACCGCACCAUCAAGGAUGGCGCACAGAAGAAGAAGCCCACUGAUGUUCGUCCAACCAUCGGUGCACUAGGACUGAAGAAGAAGACUCUUGGUGGUGGUGGACUUAGCAAUGGAGCUAUUGUCAUGCCUUCGUCUUCUGAAGAGCCGUCUCUGUCGUCUUCCGUUUAUGAUAAUCGCUCAUAUAUAAUUAGAGGGAUACGCAAACCCGACGGAUGGUAUGCGAAGGGGCUUUUAUGUAAGGACGAAGCUUCGGCUAGCAAAGUCGCGCCCCUUAGCAGAAACCUUAGGCACUAAACGCAAGUUCGUUAGGACUGUCAUCAGGGGACAGCCUAAAGGUUUCUUUAGCGAUAGUCAGGAUGAGCAGCUGCCCAAAGGGCCGACCAUCGCCUCACUCCGUGCAAGCAAUAGGAGCACCCACGCUAGUGUAGAGAGAGCUCAUGAUCGCAUAACCAAGGCUCAUCUUAGCGUCAAAGGACUUAAAGACGAAUUAGAUGAGAUGCGCCGUGGCUAUGUCGAUCAGCUGCAUAGGAUCGCGAAGGAAGCAGGGGUGGAGCAUGUUCUUAAAAGUUUCUAAGAACCCCCUGCAAAUAAAAUAGGCACGCUUUCCCUUUUUCAACCAUUUUCCCUUUUGAUGUAAAUGUGCCUAUUUAAGUUAUCAAUGAAAAUAUCUUUUCUUUUGAGCACUUGUUUUCUAGAAUGUAUAUUUUUUUGUGACUAAUCAAAGACAGGAAAGAAAACAAGUGUGGAGGAGAAGCACAUCAUCAUGAAAACUCGGUUUCUAUAAACGCUCCCCUCUUUUCAAUUUUAAAAACAGUUUUAUAAAUAAAAGUUUAAGAUAUUGUACCUUCAUUCUCCAUCAACUUGACUCCUUUGUUCAAAAUGUUUUGCAUCCCUUUUAUUUCUCGCUAAAAUUCCUGUGAAUUUAUGAACACUUUGUUAGGGACCACAUUUUAUCUAUGUAAUUGAUGGAUGUGAUAUAGUAGGAUGACAUGAUGCUUGCUAGUCUUUGCAAAGUACUUGGGUUUUUAUUUUACAAAGUUAAAAAUUCAUAUAGCAAAUUUCAUGAAUGAUUAAGCUUUUACCUACCAAUGGCCAAAUAUAUCUCUUUAUGCUGAACCUUCUACAUAUGCUUCUUACUCUGUGUUGAGUUUGAUCAAAUUUUUGGACCGCUGUCGAGAGAUGUUUUAUGCCUCCAAGAUCAGAAUUCACUUGGACCCACCAAAUAAAGCCAACUCUCACAGUGAGAAGUUGCGCACAACAUGUUUUUUUCAUCCACCCAAAAAUACGCUAACUCUUACACUCAAGAGUUGCACCCAUAUAUCCACCAAAUAAAAAUGCCAAUAUCUCACCCUGAGAAUUGCGCAUCCAGUUACAUUCCUUGCAUUCAUUACUAUGAGGCUCCAUUCCACUUGUUCUUCCGUCAGCAACAAAGGAAUGAGCUAUUAAAAAAAUGUAUAUAUAUAUGAGAAAAGCCAAAAGGCAAACGGGGAAAAUCCAUACCCGUUCAAAAAAAAUUUAUCACCCAUUUCCUUCUCAGUUCCUCAUAUCAUUCAAAUAAAAGAGAGUCAUGUUGCAAGGAGUGACCAAAAAUAUUUAGAACUAGGACUUCCAGCAAAAAUUCCACACAUGCACAUUCUGAUCUAAGGGUAUGACGCACUCCCUCCAGUAUGGUCCUAGGUUUGACUCGACAAUAUAUGUAGGGUAAGUAUGAUUCCACUAUUACCAUACCUACCCAAAACUCUAGAUAAGCCUUUAGAGGUAGGAUGAUCAAAGAGAAGGCAUAAAAUCCUUAUGCCUUGGUGAGGAACCACUUACAAAAUUUGCGCGAUUUGAGAAGAGUCAUUCAAGGAACAUAUGCUGUCUUUCUUUUCAAAAAUUUGCAAAACCCCAAGUUUCUGUGCAGGGACUGUGUAAGUAGAUUUGAAUUCAAGUUGUUCCAUCUUUUAAUGACCCAAGAUUAUUUGGUAGACACUUUGAAAUUCAUAAAUCUGGGUGAAGCUUGAAAUAACUUGUAUGCAAAUUUCUUUGACAAGGAUGAUGAACCCAUUUGGUCCAUAGCACUUUACUCGAGGACGAGCAAAGGACCAAGUGUGGGGGAGUUUGUUGGCACUUCUUAUCUUAUAAUUAUAAACAUAAUUUUUAUAAAUAAAAUAAAUAGAUGAUAGGGCUUUUAUCUAACCUUUCCAGAAGCUUUGUUGUAAAUAUCAAUUUCAGGUAUGACACAUGGAAAGGCGCAAAAGACAUGAGAAAGCGCACUUCAAGAAAGCAUUUCUAGAAAAGGCACAAAUCAAGAUUAAAUGGAAAAGCCCACCAAAACACCGAACUGGAUCCAUCCGUAACCACGGGAAGGAUCAGGGCCCAGAGACGAACCACCACGCGAAGGCGGUGGCCAGGUGGGCCCUCCAGUGGUGCGACCGCACCCUGGUGCGGGCGCACCCCCCGUGGUGGCAACUUGGUCCCACCUUUUCUAGGCGGUUGCAUGGUGGCAUGCAUAGGACGGUUUCACCUACUACCAAAUUCAGAUCGCCCCGAACCGUCUUAUGGAGCUAUAAAUUGAGACCCCCACUCCUCCAUUGAAAUAUAUCAAGGUACAAGAAAAUAGAAGAAGGAGUGGUGCUUUAUUUUUCCAUUAGUUUAGCUCCAGCUAUUCUAGUCUUAGGCUAGAGAGAGAGAGGCAAGAGUUGAAGUGUAGAAGCGGGGUCAAAGCAAGUUCUACUCUAGGGUGGAUGAAGUGCCAGACGAGUCGGCUAUCGCUCCUUCUUGAACCUCUACAUUUGUUCUUACUACUUGAAGUAAGAGGUUUGUGUUACAUUUCAGUUUUGAUUCAUUAAGUGAAUUACAUUCAUAAAGCUAUUUGCUUGUGGGAUCAUCACUCGUUCUUAGAACGGGUGCUCUAGUAAGCGGACUCCUGAUAAAGACGGAUAAUCCUGUGCAUCGCUAGAGCAGUAGUCACCUUCGUAGACGUGGUGUCUAAGUUGUGGGCUACCUUCGUAUGUGGUAUGGCUUUCGGACAGAGGGGUAGGUGUCCGUGUAGUGACAGCAUCUGGCAUCCGUAGUAAUCCGCCACGAUCAGUCGUAGCAUAGUGCUAAUACUAGGAUCGCCUAGUUACCUAGGACUCUCAGUGGGCCUGAAGCAAGCAAGCAGAGGGAAGGUCUUUCCACUUAGUGGUUCAUCACUUUAGUGUAUCCUCUCAGCCGUGUUCUCCUCCCUUCUAUCUUCUAGGGUGAUUAGUUUAGAGUCUAAGUGACGUUUUGCCGUUCCCUGUGGAUAAAUACGAUUCCCGGAAUACUUCCGGGUGAAGUGCUACAACAGUACUCCCGCGCGCUUGCGGAUUUCUCUGCUGUCGCUAAGAAGCACCAACAGCCACUAGGUGGGUCAGGCCGGCCCCACCCUAGGAGCGCAGCCCGGCUACCUAUAGCUAGGGUUUUGGCCCCCCUUCUGGAAACUUCCUCCACCACCUCUGAGGAGCCAUCUCGGCCGCUUGUUAAGUCGGAUUGAUCCAACGGUGCGUAUCCAUCCCACCAGGCUAUAAAUAGAAGGCUAGACCCCCCUGGAGGAGGCCGGAUCAAGAGAUGAAGAGUCAGAGCAUUAGAUAGAGAUCCACUAGAUCUAGGCUAUCAAUCAAGAUAGAGAUUAGAGAGAUAGAGUAGAGGAGUAGAGAUUCGGAGGAGUCCUGGCCUGUCGGAGCUUCCUCAGAAGUUGUAUUUGUCUGGAUUCGGCUCCGUCGCCCGGAGCUACGUUCUAUGGUACUUUUGUAUUUACCAUUCUGAUUCAUGUAAGCAAGUUAUUUUUAUUUGUUCUUUGGUUUGCAACUCAUAUUAUAUUGUGUACUAUGAUUUGGGUACCUCCUAGGUCGUAGUAGUGAUUCGUAGCAUAGACGUGGUGUGUGGGCUAUGGUUGCUUGUGAAUGUCCCCUAAUCAGCCGGACAGUGGUAGUUCACAUAGGUGACUUUAUAGCUAUGUUGAUUUCUUUGUAGUCCACUUCCCGUUGAUAGGAUCGGUAGGCUUAUAGGUGCCUCAUUGGAGAUUAUUUUGUUUCUUCUCCUAUUCGGGUUACUUGCCCGAUAAGACAAUAUUAUACAAAGUUUACCGUUUAUUAGAACUAGAGUACAUUAGCUAUUCCUCAUUCUCAAUAGUUUUCUAGAUUGAUUGUACCCCCUUAGAUUAAGAGAUAUAGGUGUUGACGGUCCUUAAGUAUCAAAUUUAGGGGGUGUUUGGCACUGCUCCACGAACUCUGCUCCACAAACUCCACUGUGGAGCAGCUCCACAAAAAACUAGAGUUCGUGGAGUACCUCUUUAGGUGCUCUCACAACUCCACCCUUUUUUCUCGAACUGAGUGCGUGGAGCCGAAAUCGUUUGGCUAAAAAACACGGAGCGGAGCUGGAAAAUGUGGAGCAGAGCAGUCCCAAACACCCCCUUAAUCAUCAAAUACACAAGGAAAAGGAUCCAUAUUCAAAUACCACCUAGAAUUAGGGUUUGAUCUGACAGAAUUCCACGAGUUUUGUUGUUUAUCUAUUUCUGCAGGAGGUUAUCAGGAAAUAUAGAGGAAAGGGCCACACAUCGGGUUUACAUAGAGAAAUUAACGUGUGCGCCAAUUUUCCUUGAUCUAAAACACUCUAGAAGCCACGAGAACGAGCGGGAGGCCGAGCGGGCCUAGGGGCAGGGCGCCCGCCCUAAACCCUAGGGCGCCUACCCAAGCUCAGCAACCAAUGAGGCUGAGUCUCGUGGAUUAUGCUCCACCACCUUUGAGCAUCAAGGAAAACUGUGCAAUUAAGGUCGGUUUGAUCCGACGGUCCACGUUAAUUUGGGAGGGCUAUAUAAGCAAGGCCCCUGGCCCCUAGAGGAAGGCAAUCCCAUUAUUCAUUUGCAUAUUUUCUAGAGAGGAUUCGUAGAGAGAGGUUACUCUAGGGUUCCAAUCUCCAGGGCUUAGCAUUCAAUGUGAGAUUAGAAUUUUUUCUUCUAGAUUGAGAGAGAUAGAGUGGAGGUGUAGAUUAGAGGAAACCUGACCUGUCGGUGUCUUCUCCAAGUUGUACCUAUAGGAUCAAGUGUCCUAACCCGAGGCUUGCUCCUAGGAUUCUUCGGUAUUUCGACUUCUAAAUUCUAGUAAGUUCUUUGUUCUUAUUGUUAUUUGGUUUGUGAGUUUACUUUACCCUCUUCACAUAGAGUUUAGAGUAAUCAUCGCUUGUGUGAACAUAGUGUUCGGGCUACGAUACUCAUAGAUACCCCCUGUCUAGCCGGACCGUGGUAGUAGCGAGGAACGUGCAAUUCCGUAGCUACCUUUGUAGCCCAUAAUCCCGUUAGCAUGAUUGGUAGGGUUUAUAGGUGUGGGUCGAACAUCCUUUGUGGUGUCUAGAUUUUGUAAGCCUCCCCAAUAGAGCAGUAGAUCAUCCUUACUAAGGUUAGAACGAGGGUGCAGUCGUAGUCUUCUCUAUACAUCGCUCACAUCAAAUCACUUUGGUUGUAGCCUAAAUGUUAGUAGCAAUAGAUUUGGUUAGUUAGAUGCACACUUUCUCCUAGUCGUAAAAUAUAAAUACGAUACUCUGGAUAUCCUCUCGGGUGAAGUGCUCACCGAUAUCCGUGUGCUUACGGAUCAAAUUCUGAUUGCGUUACCAAAUAUCAACAAGUAUUUCUCGCGCCGUUGCCAGGGAGAAAGAUGGUUUGCUGAGAUAACCUUGAGUCUUGCUACUAGCUUGUAUCUAUACUUUUAUCUUUUCUUAUCUUUUUAUUUUCUUUAUUUUUACCUUUUGGAAAACCAAAAUUCUAAAUCAAUCUACCAAUAUGCAACACCUUCGGAGACUGACCUUUUACCAUGGGAGUCAUCACAGCCCAUCCAAACAUCCCAGUACAGGUUAAGUCCACGGUUAAUUACCAAGAUUGAGAGCCUAUCUUUUUCGGGAAAGUAAGACGAAAACCCUUACCUUCACAUUAGAGAUUUUGAGCAAACAUGCGAUUGUCUUCGCAUAGAAGGCAUAUCUGAUAAAACUUUAUGUUGGAAGCUAUUUUCUUUUUCUUUAAGGGGAGAAACUAGACAAUGGUAUAAUCAGAAGCUAAGUCAACAAUGAGGUGAUUGGGGAGCUUUACAUGCCAACUUUAGCCUAGGUUUUUAUUCCCUCGACCGUAUCGCCGACCUUAGACUCAAAGUCUAACUUUUCAACAAAAAGAAAAUGAAACUUUGGCUAAAUCCUAGAAACGUUUUUUAGAGCUUUUAGAAUCCGGUCAAAAGCUUAAUCUUGAAGACCCUAUUCUUCUUCAACAUUUCUUUCGAGGUCUUCAUAAAGUUCAUAAACAAUUGCUACACACAAUGUCUAGAGGUUCUUUCUUUCGUAUCCCAACUGAUGAAGCUAGGGCGAUCUUAGAUAGAAUCCUAGAAGCUAAGAUAGAUAAUACCCUCCAUGAUGAAACUUAUGAAGCCGAAGUAGACACUCUGCCAAAUUUUUCAUCUGCUUUAGCUAUCCCAAGUUCUGAGCCACAAAAGGAAGAAAUUCCACCACCUGAUUUCAUAUUGGAUAUAGAAUAUGAUCUUUUUUCUGACUUUGGAAAUAUUUCAAAUUAGCAUUCUAUAGAUAAACCCCAAAGCGGCCAUUCUAUCAUUUGUUUACCGAACGAAUAUGAUUUGAGAGAGCUUUCCUCUGAAGUGAUCCAUUUGGAUACACCUCCUAUACCAAUACGAUGUGCUUAUAAUUCAAGUCAAUUUGAUGCUCUCUACAAUCCUGUUGUGGGGAUCAACAUCAUGUCUAAAUCUUUUGCACAUAAGUUAUUUGGAAAAUUAAUUUUAACCCCAAAACAAAUUUCAUAAAGGAUUCUUCGGGACAAUUAGUCCCCAAUUUUGGAAUUUUGAAUGUCCUACCCAUUAUGUUAGAAAGCUCCAUGGUUCAUUUCAACUUUUAUAUCUUUGAUACAUAGUACUUCGACUUGUUGAUAGGACAACAUUUUAGAAGACUCCUUUAUGAAGGUCAAACUAGAAAGCUACACAUUUCAUUUGGAAAAGAUUUUAAAUUCCCGAUAACAAUUUCUCAUUCUUUGAACAAUAAGACCGAAACAUAUCUUCUACCUGAACCUAUGGAAGAUGUAAAAGCUAUGUCUCUAGAGCUUUUAAAUGAACCAAAUUUAGAAGAAGAAGCCUCUUUCUUCAUAGAAGAGUAGGCUGAACCUUCUGAACCUGAACCCUUAGAUGAGUUUGCAGAAACACCCAGACCUCCCAUAGAGCUUAAACCUUUACCACCCGGUCUUGCCUAUGCUUUCUUGAAUAAUAAUCUAGAGUUUCCUAUAAUCAUCAGUGAUAAACUCACUCAGGAGCAAACUCUCUGAUUAAUGGCUAUUCUUGGAAAACAUCACUCAGUCUUUGGCUACUCACUCCAAGAUCUUACAACAAUGAGUCCUAUGAUUUGUACUCAUCAUAUUCCGACAGAUCCUUCUGUUUCACCUUCUUGAGAGCCUCAACAUAGACUUAACAACGCGAUGAGGGAAGUAGUUAAAAAGGAAGUUAUAAAGUUGAUGUAUGCAGUUAUUAUAUAUCCCGUGCCGCAUAGUGAAUGGGUGAGCCUAGUUCAAGUUGUGCCUAAGAAGGGAGGCAUGACUGUUGUUACGAAUGAAAAGAGUGAGCCAAUUCCGCAAUGCACCAUCAUAGGGUGGUGGAUGUGAAUAGACUAUAUAGAAAACUGAACAAAGCCACAAAAAAGUAUCACUUUCCUUUACCUUGUAUAGAUGAGAUGUUAGAGCGGUUAGCGAACCACUCGUUCUUUUGUUUCUUAGAUGGAUAUUCAGGGUAUCACCAGAUCCUGAUCCAUCGUGAUGAUCAAAGCAAAACCACUUUUACAUGGCCUUACAGGACGUAUGCUUAUCAUAGAAUGUCUUUUGGGCUAUGUAAUGCACCAGCUUCUUUUCAAAGAUGCAUGAUGUCUAUAUUUUUGGAUAUGAUUGAAGAGAUUAUGGAAGUUUUCAUGGAUGAUUUCUCUGUUUAUGGAAAAACUUUUGAUAGUUGUCUUGAAAACUUAGACAAGGUUUUGUAAAGAUGUGAUGAAAAGCACUUAGUCCUUAAUUGGGAAAAAUGUCAUUUUAUGGUUAGGAAGGAAUAGUGCUGGGACACCUAGUGUUUGAAACAGGUAUUGAGGUAGACAAAGCUAAAAUUGAAGUAAUUGAACAACUACCUCCACCUGUGAAUGUAAAAGGAAUUCAAAGCUUUCUUGGCCAUGCUGGUUUUUAUCGGAGAUUCAUAAAAGAUUUUUCAUUAAUUGCUAGACCACUUAAUCUUUUGCUAGCCAUGGAUGCUCCUUUCGAAUUUGAUGAUGCCUGUUUAACAGCUUUUGAAUUAUUAAAGAAUGCACUCAUCACUGCACCAAUCAUUCAACCCCCCUGAUUGGUCUUUACCUUUUGAAAUUAUGUGUGAUGCUAGUGAUUAUGCUGUGGGGGUAGUUUUGGGACAAACUAAAGACAAAAAGAAGCAUCAUGCAAUUGCUUAUACCAGUAAAACUUUGAUAGGAGCUCAACUUAAUUAUGCAACCACUGAAAAAGAGCUCCUGGCUGUAGUCUUUGCCAUUAAAAAAUUUAGAUCUUAUUUAGUUCGAGCUAAAAUAAUUGUUUAUACUCAUCAUGCUGCACUGAAAUAUCUAGUCACUAAGAAAGAUGCUAAACUUCGAUUAAUUAGAUGGAUCUUGUUACUCCAAGAAUUUGACUCAGAAAUAAAAGAUAAAAAGGAGUAGAGAAUUCUAUUGUUGAUCACUUGUCUAGAAUGCACUUUAAGAAUCCACAGGAACCACCCAUCAAUGAUUCACUCCGGGACGACAUGCUCUACGGAAUCAACAGGUCUGACCCCUGGUAUGUAGAUAUUGUUAAUUUUAUGGUUUCAGGGAAUGUACCACCACGAGCGAACAAGAAAAUGCUUAUUCAAGAAAGUUGUUCACACAUAUGGGAUGAGCCAUACCUCUUCCGUGUAUGCUCUGAUGGCAUACUCAGGAGUUGUGUGACCACUAAGGAAGGAUGGAAGAUCAUCGACAGAUGCCAUUCAUCGCCAUAUGGAGGUCAUUAUUGAACAUUCCGUACACAUUCAAAGAUCUGGUAGUGUGGAUUCUAUUAGCCUACAAUGUAUGAAGACACGAAGCAAUAUAUCCAAAGAUGUGGGCCAUGUCAAAGACACGGAAAUAUAAACACAAGGGAUGCCAUGCCACUCACCAACAAUCUUCAGAUAGAGCUCUUUGAUGUCUGGAGAAUUGACUAUAUGGGACCAUUUCCCCCAUCAAAGAAGUGUGAGUUCAUCUUGGUGGCGGUUGACUAUGUGUCCAAGUGGGUAGAGGCACUACCAUGCAAGCAUGCCGACAACAUAAGUUCAAAAAGUAUGUUUCAGGAAAUCAUAUUUCCAAGAUUUGGAGUCCCCAGAGUAGUGAUAAGUGAUGGAGGAUCGCAUUUCAUCGACAAACGGUUCGAGCAUUAUCUAUGAAGACAUGGAAUCCGCCACAACAUUGCUACCCCCUAUCAUCCUGAGACAAGUGGCUAGGUAGAGACUUCCAGCAAGCAAAUCAAGAACAUUCUUCAGAAAACAGUAAAUGAGAUGGGAACAACAUGGAAGGAAAAAUUAUGUGAUGCACUUUGUGCAUACUGGACAGCAUACAAGACCCCAAUUGGGAUGUCUCUAUACCAAUUGGUGUACGGGAAGACUCGCCACCUACCUGUUGAACUAGAGUUCAAACCACACUGGGCCAUAAGGAAAUGGAAUAUGGACCUAGAUGUUGUUGGAGAUCAUAGAAGGAUGCAAUUAUCAGAAUUGGAAGAGUGGCGAGAGAAAGCAUAUCACAAUUCAAAGAUCUACAAAGAUAGAGUCAAAAGAUGGCAUGACAAGAGAAUCAAGAAGAAGGAGUUCUCACCUAGAGAUAAGGUAUUACUUUUUAAUUCCAGGGUGAAACUCUUCGGGCAUGGAAAACUCUGGAGCAAAUGGGAAGGACCGUACAAGGUAAUCAAUUCAUCAUCCCACGGAGCAAUCACACUUCAAAAUGAUGAAGGUACGUUAUUCAAGGUAAAUGGUCAACAUCUUAAAUUAUUUUUAGAGCCCAAUAAAGAAUUAGAGGAAAUAGACAUGAUCCAUUUUUACCUUCAAUGGAGAAUUAAAGCCCGACCAUUUUAAUUUGACGUUUUUGGGCCACGUAUAUAUUUUUCGGGAUAUCAAACCUUCUAGAAACACACACGAGAGAUCGGGCCAGCGGAGGAUCCCAGGCCAGGGCAGGCGCCCUACCCUUGUCUCCUCUUGCCGCCACUUUUUUCGUUAGGAUCUCCAUGUCCAUCCCUAUCUAGAAAACCCUAUGAAUAGUGUCGGUGUUUUUCCCACGGGGGGUCACACCAACGAGUAAAUUUGUAUGCGUGCUCCCUUUCCCAGAUGGUGAUGCAAAAAGACACACAAGGAUUUAUCCUGGUUCGGGCAAGAGAAGGCCCUACGUCCAGCGGGGGGGGGGAGAGUUUGUAUUAUUUUGCACCUAAGUGCUUGUAUAGGGGUGAAUACAAGCGUGGUAUGGAGUGAAAUGGAGUAUGGGAGUUCUACUGCGUAUGGGUGUAGUGUUGCGUGGUCGUUUAUGUCUAUUCCCGGGUCUCCCCUUUUAUAGCUCCAAGGAGAGACCUAGAGUACAUGUAUUGGUGUCAGAGUAGGGGUCGAUAGAGGCAUGGCGCGCUGACCUACUCGAGGCCUCCGUACUGGCGUGGUCUCGAGCCGUCCCGUCUUGGCAGCUGGAUGAUGAUUACGCGUGCCCCCGUAUCCUGCUCUGCGCGCCGUCUCGGGCUGUUUCACCGGUCGCACGCCUGUACGGUAUAGCGACAGAUCCGGCGGGGUGGCUGCGGUGUUGUCAGUCGACGCCCAACUCUUCCCCAGGAAGGAAUCAUGUCUGGUCGAGGGUCAGACGCCGUGCAGUGCCUUGUUGUCCAAAGCGUUGACCUUGGGUGUCUCGAGGGAGUCCCGAUUGGAUGCUCCAUCCUUGCUUUCCGUUUCCUGGUACGCUCUGGGUUGUUUGGUGGGGAAAGCUGCAAAAAGAAUGAUGGGACGGGUGCCUGUUCCCUAUCACGCUUCCCGUGACCAGCGUGUUAGGUGGGAAAGCGACAAGCGCAUUAAAUGCCCUGUCUCCCGUGCGCGCGUCAGGCGGCGGACAGUGUCCUUGCGCUCGACGCCUCUCGAUUCGCUCUAGCCUAUUUCCGUAUUCGACGGUAAUUAGUGAUCGACCCCUGUGUGGUUCGCUCGACGUCCUUUCCGUCUUCGAGGCUGCGGCCGUCGAUGACCGCACGGCUUAUUAGAACGUCGAGUUGAGGGCCUCGAUCUGUGCAUGGGUAAUCUCGUCAGGGUACCCCUUACUGAUACCCUCGACAGUAGCCCCCGAGUCUCUAUUCGAGCGCUGGCGCUCGAGUGGAGGCUUUAUUUCGCGGUCGAAUUUCUGUGGGGACGCGCGAGCGACCCCACGGGGGUAGCCCCCGAGCCCUUGGUUGAGUUUUUGACUCCUUCGAGGGUUAUAUUACCUAAUUCUCAGAAGCGCUAUCGACACCGGUGGUGGAAGGUCCUGAUUGGCUUGUUUUGUGCGGGGGUUUUGACGUACUCUCGAUAGAGCGAGCGUCUUCCACCCCAAGUUGAGUUCCUAGCGGGUAGUCCAAGUGAGAACCUGUGCCCCUUUCGAGGGGGUCAGCUGUAGCCCGGAGGCGUUCUCAUAAAGCAGGGUCGACGUGGUCGGAGAUACUGGUCUCAUUCAAUAGAGUCCAGCGGCUCGAUGCCUCCCGUUGGGGGGAUUCCUCUCGACUGUCUCGACCCUACCUUGGACAUCCCCAAUGAGUCUUUGAGGCGGGCCUCGAUCUUCGACCACUCGCUGGGGAUCCCUGACUCUGGUGCUCGAGAUCGGCUGUCGAACCCUUUCGGUGGGCCAGCCUGCGACCUCUCGAGGCUUUCACGGGUACACUCCUUGGCUUACAAGGGAAGGACAAGAUCGUGGGCGACUCGCCUUCCUGCCCGUUGGGCGUGCCUUUUUAGGUAGGAGACGUUACGACACUGCGUCGGCGUGGAAUUCGGAGCGUCCCACCUGAGAGGAGGGAAAGGACCGUUAGAUGGCGCAUUUAUGGGUGGAGUUACCUCAUUUAUCGGAUCUGUCCGUUGGUGGACAGCUGCCUAUAAAUGUGCCCUGGCGUCGCCGCUGUUCUCCCUUCCGCCUUCCAUCUUCAUUCUCGCCUUAGCCCUCUCGCCGUCUCACGCGCCCGUGCCCCCCUCGAGCAUCAGCGAAUCCGCUAUCCUUCCGGCCAAGAUGCCUGUGAGACUUGUCGCCGCAGACGACUGGCGCCCGUCGUCGAUGACGGAGCGCCGGUUGCUAGAGCUUGAGAGGGAGGGACUCCUACGCCGCCGCACCUCGCUGUCAUCGAUGGAGUGGAACGCGCCGCUGGCGGACCACAGGGAGCCCAGGCAGCCCAAGGGCUAUGUGGUUUCGUUCGCCAAGUUCCACCGCCACGGCCUGGGCACUCCCCCGAGCCGCUUCAUGCGGGCGCUCUGCCACCAUUACGAGGUGGAGCUCCAGCACUUCUCCCCAAACGCCAUCACCGUCGCAGCGGUCUUCGCCGCGGUGUGUGAGAGCUAUUUGGGGAUGAUGCCCCACUAGGAGCUGUGGCUCCACCUCUACAGAGGCGAGCUCUUCAACGCCCCCACUGGGACCACCAGCGUGAGGAAACCUAAUGCUGAAGACGGAGAAGACGGAGAGGCCGCACGAGUACAUCCCGGUGGGACUGUCGACCAACCACGCCGGCUGGGAUUCCCAGUGGUUUUACUUGAGAAACGACGACGAUCUCCUGCCCGCCUACACCAGGCGUCUGAUCACGGAGCGUCCAGAGAAUUGGACAUACGGUGUCGUCCAAGUUCAUCAGUCUCGGCUCGACCCCCUCCUCAACGUCAUGAAGAAGCUGCGCUCGGAAGGCUUGACCGCCGCUCUCGUCCUCUCGGCCGUCCAUCACCGGAGAGUUCUCCCAUUGAUGUCUCGACCGCUGAGGAUGGAUGAGAUGGCCCCCGGCGCCUCAUCUCGGGACCUCGAGGCAUGCCGGAUGUCAAGCGAGGCUCCGGCGAACGACAAAGUUGCGGCCCGGGUCAGGGCCGCCAUUGCUGGUGACUUUAAGCCGGAGCAUGUUAACGGCUUCCCCAUGAGGCCUGAUGCGGGCUCGAUUGAUCUGGUUUGUUCUCUUGUCGUAUACAGUUUUGAUUCUAGACUUCCUUCUACCCCUUUUCUAAGUCUGCCUUUGUUUUGGCAGGGGCAGAUUGAUGUCCGGUCCUCGAGGCCUCCAGUAAAGGAGGACGAGGUUGACGAUGACGCGCGGCGCUGGUCCGCCGAGAAGCAGAAGUCUCCCAAGGACUCUGCAAAGAAAGGAGAGAAAAAGAAGAACCUUGACCGCCAAGCAUUAGAGGCGUGUCGAGCUAAAUCCAGGCAGAGGGGGGAGCCUGAGGAGGAAUCCCCCAGCGACGAUGAAGGUGGAGAUGGUGAUGAGGACAGCGACGAUUCCGAGGGGAUGGCGUCUCACCUCGACCGGAUCCUCGAGGGUCCGUCUCGAGGCGACGUCGAUGCCCCACGGAUGGAAACACCAAAGGAGGGACCGGGCGGAUCUCACCGCCCUCGCGCCGACACCCCCCCCCCCCCGUGCCCGUGACUGGUCAGGUCGCCUUGCGUCCUCCACCUGCGCCCAAGAUGAGCAGCCAUGCUAGGCCCCAGGCGACGGGGCCACUGACUCGCGGUCGCGCCGCGACCUCCGAGAAAGGAGAGACUGGCCGCAGGAGCGCGAGUCCCGGUGCUCGCCAAGCGGAAGUUACUGGGCCAAGGCCAGCGCCUUUCCUCGAGGGGUCUGGGACCUUGACGCGGGGUGGCUCGAGGCCCACCGGUCGGGGUACCGGCAGGCGAGUCGUUCUCCCCGUGGGGUAAGCUCUUCCACGCUGUUAUUCCCCGUGGUUCUUUGCGUUUUCUCGCGGUGCAGUCUCCUUUACGCCCGUUCUUCCUUCCUUAGGUUGAAACGGACGCUCGAGCAGGCCCAGCCUUCGAUGGCGAAGAAGCUCAAGGUGGGAGCGGCCUCCAAGGAACCAGGUCAGUAGCUUACUUCUGCGAUUUGUGUUGUUCUUCCGCUGGUCAUCAUAGUGACCGGCCUUUAUUCUUUGUCUUACAGGCUCCUCUGAUUAUCAACCCCCGGCCGACGCUGAGAGUGCCCCGCCUCAUUCUGAGUCUGCCUCGUCGCCACCGACACGGGCCGAGGUCCCCCAGACCCAAGGGCAAGAGGGAGCCCCCGAGCCUCCCCGAUCGGGGGUCGAGGGGGAUCCCAUUACCAUCAGUGAUACGUCUGGCGGCAACGAGACGUCGAGGGAUGCCCACCCUAUGGAGGAGGAUGCGUCGACCUCCCUCGUCGCGGGACGGACUCACUGGCCUGCUGGUCUUCGUGCCCUCGAGGAGCAGAAGAAAAAGGAGGAGGAGGAGGAGCGGGAGCGCGAGGCAAGGCGGCAGCCGCAGGAGCUCGAGGAGCUAUAGCAGUGGCAGCAGCAGCAGGAGGAGCAACAGCAGCACCAGCAGCAGCAGCCGCAGCAACAGCAACUGUAGCAGCAACUGCUCGAGCCUCCUCCUCACAGUCCGCCCCAACCAGUACGACCGGCGCCGUAAGAACCCGGAGACCAGGAGGAGGAUUUGCCGGUUUUUGGUCCUCCGACCCCGGCGUGGCUCCGCCCUGGGGCGCCCGCCGCGAUCCCGGCAGAGCGGGGGCGAGCGGACGGUGUGGUAGCGCUUGCCUGCAUGAUACGUACCCCCACCGACCUCGAGUCCGAGAUCAGGAGGACGAUCUACGGCAUGGACGGGAUCGCCCCAGGGUUCCUCCGGGAGCGCCGGGCAUGGGAGGACCACAUCCCUGCUGAGGAGGAUGAGGCCGGGACGUCAGGUAUCCAAGACGGCACCUGGAAGACGGUGGACGACGACGGGCGGUUCCCUUGCCUCGUCGACUUGUUCCUGCAUCAUGGGGGAUCCCUCGAGACCGUCGAGGACCUUAUUCGUGGCGUCAAGGCACGGGGCGACCGGGAGAUGGAGAACUGGUGCCCCGAUCGGAUCCGCAUCCGGGCUUCCACCGACCCGUCCGAGCCCAACAUCUUCCUGGAUGAUAGGAAGGAGGCGGAGAAAUGGGAACACAUCGAGGAGCUCCGCCUUUGGAUGAAGCACGUGGUGGGGCUCCUAUCAGACGUCAUCAACAAUGGGCUCAGGCCGGCCUACUUCGUAAGUAUUCUACGGUCCUUAAUCCUCAUAGGUCUAUCGGUUUUGUGUUUUAAUCGUCUGACCACCGGCUCGCAGGACAUGAAAGAGACCUCCCGCAUCAAGUCGAGCUUCAUUCAUGCCACAAGAGGCGGCUGGGAGCAGCUCCCCGCCCUCAAGGACCAACUCCUCGAGUCGCAGGAAGGCUUAUAAUGACCUCAUACCACUCGAGGAGGAGAAGAAGGCGAGGGAGGCUGCCUUGGUCGAGGCUCGAGAGGCCUCAAGGAAGGCGGUGGAGGAGACGACGCUGCUGCGGGAGCGGGCUCUAACGGUCGAGGAGGCUGUAACACCCUAGGUGUUAAGCAUGCACUUAGUCUCAUCAAGGUCAUGCAUAAGCAUUUCCAUCAAGCAUAAGCAUCAUGAGCAUGACACUCUUUUCAAAUUAUGAUUUUAUGUGCUUCAUUUCAUGUGCUUUAAUUAUGUUAAAAAUGUGAUGCUUGUUUCUAAAAUUGUGAAAUAUUCAAAUUAGGUUGCUUUAUGUGUAAGAAGAAUUAAGAACAUUUUUGUGCAAUUUUUGGAGCUAUGGAAAUUGAGAAAUGGAAUUUAUACAAAAUAUCCAAAAUAACUUUAUUUAAAAACCUAGAACUAAGUUUUAAUUUGUAAUUCAAAUUCUAUUUAGAAUUUGGUCUUACCUAUUGAAGCAAAGUUGUAGAGCUUUUACUUUGGCACCACUUUGCUUUUGGGUGAAGAUGGUGAAAAUAAUUUGAAAAUGGUCAAAAUGAAUUUAUGAGAGAAUUUGAGAAAAGAAAUUCAAAAAAAAAAUAGAAAAGGGAAAGGGGGCGCUAGCAGGCCGCGGCCUCGCUUCUGGCCCGCUGGCCGAAGCCGGCCUGGCCCGCCCGCGCCUUCCCCUUCCCCCUCCUCGAGCUGGCUACCGCGUCAACGCUCUGCGGUAUGAUCUCGCCGUGCCGCCGUGGCGCGCCGGCAGAGCCUGGCCGCCGCGUUGCGGGCAUGCGGCGGCGUGGAGACGCCCUGGUCGGCCACNNNNNNNNNNNNNNNNNNNNNNNNNNNNNNNNNNNNNNNNNNNNNNNNNNNNNNNNNNNNNNNNNNNNNNNNNNNNNNNNNNNNNNNNNNNNNNNNNNNNAGCUCCGGCCCUCUCCUUCCCCUUCGCGACCACCACCGGCUCCGCCUCGUCCUUCCGCGUCUCGUGCUUGCGCUCUUCCGCGCUCGGUAAGCCCUGCGUGCCCGCUAGAGCUCACCGGAGUUAGUCAGAGCUCCGGCGACAUCUCGGCUCGCACGGUUCUCCCUCUCCUCUCUGUCUCUGCUCGCGUUCAUAGGUGCUUUGGGUCCGCCUUGACCUCGCGCACCUUUUCCCGUCACUAGCUCACGCUGUACCGCCGUGAAACGGCCGGACCACGGCGAGCAGCGCCGCCACGUCCACCAUUCACGACGGCGAGGUAGUUCCGGUGCUCGUCCGGUGCCAAAGAGGGUACGGCUGGACUCGUCUCGUUCGCGCGAAGCCGUACGUGCUCACGGUGUCGCCGGAAACCUCACCGGCGGCGAGAUUCCGGCCGAUCUUUGGCCGCGGGGUCACGGGGUGGAUGACAGGUGGGGUCCCUUGACCCGCGUGUCCCGCCUGUCAGUGACUCCGAGGGUUUGAAUCCGGGUGCGCUUAGCAUUUUGGGUGACUUUCCGUUUUAAAAGUUUUUCCAGGAAAUGAUUUAAAUGUUCAAAAAUCCAUAUCUUGAUGAAUGGUGAAAUAAAUUUUGGUGUGUUCCUUAUUUCCAGAUCUAUAGCCUAAUAUGAUUGCAUGUCAUGUUUGAGUAACUUUCCUGUAAGAAUAUAAUUAAUCCAUGUUUUUCCUAAACUUGGAAAAUGCAUAGUAAAUAAAAUAGGGUUCAGAAAAAUGUAAAACUUGUUUUGCUGGCUCUGCAUUGUGUUUAACCACUGAAAAAAUAUUGUUACAUAUUAUUUGGUGUAUAAAUGAAUUUAUGGUAAUUUAAAUGCUUGCAUGGCAGCGCUUUAUGAUUUUUAAUAAUUAAAUGGGUCAUGCAAUAAAUCUGGAAAAUUUUGUGGGUGUUAGACUCUGAGGACGAGAUGGACGCGGAUCCCGAGAUAGGAGCAGCUGCUAGUGGUGAUGAAGAUGAGGAUGGCUCCGGCAUGGACAGUGACCACAACGAGUAGAUGCUAGGGUUUAGGGUUUAGGGUGAUUAAAAAUAUGAAAUCUGUUGUUUGACACUUAUAUCACAGUAGGGUGAUUAUACUUGCCUUAUCCAUUAAUCUUGUGAUUUUUGUGGCUCAAAAUAAGUAACCAAAAAUUAUGAAAAAUUUACAGUAGACUUUGUGAUUAGCUAGUAGUCUCCUGUAAUUUUUCUGGAAUUUAUUGAUGAACAGAAUUGCAUGUGAUUUUUAAUGGGCUUAGAAAUGAAUAAAGAAAAUUAUGAAUGGUUGUGUAUGUAGGUUGAAUGGACUAAGUUGGGUUUGGUGUAUCUUUGAAGCAUCAUGUAGGUUGCUGAUUUCAUUUGAAAAAUAUUUGUAGAAGAGAAUGCAAUAGAUGCUUAAUCCAAGUGCCUGUUCUUGGAUGAUGUUGCAUACAUUGUAAUGAACAUGACCAAGUGUAUCAUCCAUGCAUCAUGUCAUGGUCCUUUGGUACUUUCUCAUACAAGCAUCCACUCGGGCAUCUCGCACUCCACUCAUGAGCAUAUAUGCAUCAUACUGGCUCGCAGGAGAAUGAAGUGGGACCCGAGGAACCCGAGGAGAUACAGGAGCAGGAACCUCCGGAAACACAGGAAACCGGAGAGGAAUUGCAAGAGUGUCCGGAUCACCGACCCAGCACCUUUGAGAAAGGCAAGCCCCGGAGCAUUCUAAGUCUCCCUAUUCUCGCUAACUUAUAUAAAGUGCUAUACUUGUUCUACUGUAUUGCAUAUUAAGUGAUAGGAGUUGCCUGAUACCGUUGCUGCAUGCGUACUCCUUGUUAUUCCUACUCAUUCAACUACCUUGUCCUAUGUAGAUAGGCACGGAGUCUAUGCUUAGCUUGCUUAGUUCGGUAGAAGUCGGGUGAUUCCCUGUCACCUGCGAGAUAUAGGUGGAUACCUGCUUGAUUAAGCAUUGGUUGCUCGGGGAAAAGAAUAACCAAGUGUGGAAUGAAUUUGGAGACCGGGCAGAGACUUAUGGUGGGUUGACCAUAGUGCCCCUGCCUGUGUCAAUUAAGGACCGAUCGUUGACGGCCCUCUUGUCAUGUUGAACGCAUGCCCCACAUUUAGCUGGAAGGAUAAGUCGUUCCGACCGCGAAGCCUGAGCACUAUCCGGGCCGGGAAUCGGCCCGAUGUACGCGCUGUAUUGGUGAUGGUUGAGGAGAACAACGAGGGCGCGGCGCGCAACCUUGGUAUACCUUGGAUACCUCGGUCGCCGGAACGGUCCUCGGGUACGGGCGGUGCCUGUCGAACCCGCGAAUUGGUCCUGGAUAGUGCAACACGGUGACCUGUAGCUCACUUGAUCAGUGAGUGUGGUUUGUGUGGGGAAUAAACUCGCCAGCUGGUUAGAAAUCGAUUCGAAUCGCCAUCGCUCCUGGAUAGUGAGCACUUGACAUGAGCCCUGUCCUCGUAGUAAGGACUAUGGAACACUUGGGUUAUAAUGAUGAAUAGUUUUAAGAAAUGCUAUGAUGAGGUACUAUCAUAGUCUCAUACUUGCUUGUAAUAGUGCAGGUGCAAACCUAGAUAAUAGGUAAUGAUACUUUCAACUUGAGCAAAUUAAAAGAAGAAAAGAUUUAUGUAAGUUAGGGUAAUAAAACCUUGCGGUCUUUGCAAAAUGGUUGUCAGCUACCCCACUAAAUAGCCUUCAUAAUCCUUGAUGAGUCUUUAUUUUAAGUUUAUGACGGGUAAGUCUAGCUGAGUACCUUCUCGUACUCAGGGUUCUAUUCCCAUGUUGUUUUGCAGAUGGUCAAAUGUACUAUGGUUAUUGCAUCCUCUGUCUGUACCCAGCUAUGGGUGAUGACUAGACCAUGGGCGAUGGUCUCUCCGUCUCUUCUUUUGCUUUUGUGGGAAUGACCGAACUAUGGCACUGUAUCAGACUUAUCGUGUGUGUUGUAAUCUCAAACUAUGAAGCUUCCGCUACUUGAAGAACUUGGUUUGUAAUAACUUUAAGCACUCCGAUGUAUUUUAUGAAUGUUGUAAUCUGGAUGUACUUGUGGAUGGCGACCGCUAAACUUAUUACGAUCUUGGCUGUUAUGUGAUGUGUGGUUUGAAAUCCAUCGAGAUUUCACGGACUACCGGGAUUAUAUGUGCUUAAGCGUGAUAGUUCGACUAUGCAAAUGGUCACUAUUAGGCUUAAUCUCUUAUAAUUUGGUCGGUUCUGUUACAGCUGGCAUCGGAGCAAGGUUUAGCGAGUUACUGUUCAUAAGUACGUUCUAAACAAAAUCUAAACCGGUCUAAUGAAAGAUUUUAGUAAUUAAUAAAGAUCAAGGUGUUAAACUAAGUUUUGGAAAACUAUCUAAUGUGCCGUGGUCAUAUCCUUUAUGCCCAGUUAAGGACUCUAAGGUGGCUAGCUAUGUACUAACCUGGGGGUUAAUGCAUCAUAUUUUUGUUUCGUCGCUCAUACGGCGUGCAAUAGUAUGAGUGCCAUUCAUUUGAGUGGUAAUGUAUGGAUCAAUUCUUCCUCUACGUCAUGGUAAGUGGGAGUUGUGAGAGCAUGAUCGGAUACACUGCCGGUCUAGGGGGGUGUUGUCAGGUGCUGUGCUAUGCGCACAUGUUGGUGUGUCUUGGGAACAGUACCGCAUGCUGGGAAUUCCGUCCUGAGAGGCGAUGCUGUCAAUAGGGCGAUGAUGUGGGUAGUGACACAUCGCAUGCAUGGACGGGUGUCUGUGUAUGCGAAGUGCCUAGUUUUAAAUUCCUAUUCUGCACGAUCAUACUGUGGGUGGGCUGAAAUGAGUUUUCUGUAGGUACACUAACCAUGUUCUCGCUUAGAACGCUAGUUACGUUAUGAGAGAACGUUGUGUGCCACCGCAUAUACCGCUUAGUGCUAACCUUUGUUUCUAAGUUUGUGAGAUCGUAAGCUCGUGCAUACAUCAUGUUCAUUUCAUAUCAUUGCUUACUUUCCCCCUUAAUUUAAUCUGUCCCAAUUCUAAAUAAAAUAAUUAAAGGUAAUCCUCGCUCUUACCCAUGGUAUUCCAUUUGCAGCAGAUGGCACGCACUAGGCUCACCGCUCGCAAGUCCACUGGUGGGCGGGCCCCUCGCCGUCCGUUGGCAGCUAGGAGCUCGCGACAUAAGAGCAAGUUCCUAGAGGAGUUUGGGAUGCCCACUUUGCUUUGGAGGGUGCUCAGUUCGAUGGGGUAUCCCGAAGGAAGGGAGCCUCGCUACUAUUGGGAUAAGGAGCCGCUUGGGGAUGAGACCCUGGUGGGGAUCGAGGCAGUUGUCCCUACCAGUGGAGGAGACCCUGCUUGGGGCGGUUGGGUGUACGAGUCCCGAGGUGUCCCGAGGUGUCCCUACCAGGGCAGCUUUCGCAGUUUUGAGGGACCUCAUGGAGAGGUUUCCACAGGAGCUGGCCCACGCCUUCACUGGGGUGUUUCCCCGGGGUGACCCUUACACUUCGGUGUGGGAUCAGUCCGAGGUGAAUGCUCUAGAGAGGAGUGCGGACGAGGACCAGCACAGUGACAGUGCAGCUAUGAGUGCCAUGUACGCGUUGAUGAAGACCUAUGGAGGCCUGGAGCGUUGUUUGGGUCGCUUGUCCGGGUCUCUUCUCACCGUCCAGGAUGAGAAGCGCCAGUUGCAGCGUGAGUUGACUCUGAGGUUGAGAGGCUACAGGAAGAGUUGGCUCGUGUGACCCGAGAGAGAGACCAGGCAGUCCAGAAGAACAGUGAGCUGAGUCAGGACCUGCUUGCAGUGCGAGAGUAGAAGGACAGGGUGACUACUGCUCACAGGAACUGCGAGCGCAUGCUAGUCCAUGUGCUUGGACAGAGGAAUGAAGCCUGGCACGAGGAGGACACUUUGAGGGCCCGACAGCUAGAGCUAGAGCAGCAGCUAGCUAAUGCUGAGGAGUACAAUGAGAACUUGCAUGAGGAGAUCCACCAGCUGCAUAACCAGCUCCACCCUCACCACCUGCCUGGAGCAGCGGAGCUAGACUCUGAGGACGAGAUGGACGCGGAUCCCGAGAUAGGAGCAGCUGCUAGUGGUGAUGAAGAUGAGGAUGGCUCCGGCAUGGACAGUGACCACAACGAGUAGAUGCUAGGGUUUAGGGUUUAGGGUGAUUAAAAAUAUGAAAUCUGUUGUUUGACACUUAUAUCACAGUAGGGUGAUUAUACUUGCCUUAUCCAUUAAUCUUGUGAUUUUUGUGGCUCAAAAUAAGUAACCAAAAAUUAUGAAAAAUUUACAGACGACUUUGUGAUUAGCUAGUAGUCUCCUGUAAUUUUUCUGGAAUUUAUUGAUGAACAGAAUUGCAUGUGAUUUUUAAUGGGCUUAGAAAUGAAUAAAGAAAAUUAUGAAUGGUUGUGUAUGUAGGUUGAAUGGACUAAGUUGGGUUUGGUGUAUCUUUGAAGCAUCAUGUAGGUUGCUGAUUUCAUUUGAAAAAUAUUUGUAGAAGAGAAUGCAAUAGAUGCUUAAUCCAAGUGCCUGUUCUUGGAUGAUGUUGCAUACAUUGUAAUGAACAUGACCAAGUGUAUCAUCCAUGCAUCAUGUCAUGGUCCUUUGGUACUUUCUCAUACAAGCAUCCACUCGGGCAUCUCGCACUCCACUCAUGAGCAUAUAUGCAUCAUACAGGCUCGCAGGAGAACGAAGUGGGACCCGAGGAACCCGAGGAGAUACAGGAGCAGGAACCUCCGGAAACACAGGAAUCCGGAGAGGAAUUGCAAGAGUGUCCGGAUCACCGACCCAGCACCUUUGAGAAAGGCAAGCCCCGGAGCAUUCUAAGUCUCCCUAUUCUCGCUAACUUAUAUAAAGUGCUAUACUUGUUCUACUGUAUUGCAUAUUAAGUGAUAGGAGUUGCCUGAUACCGUUGCUGCAUGCGUACUCCUUGUUAUUACUACUCAUUCAACUACCUUGUCCUAUGUAGAUAGGCACGGAGUCUAUGCUUAGCUUGCUUAGUUCGGUAGAAGUCGGGUGAUUCCCUGUCACCUGCGAGAUAUAGGUGGAUACCUGCUUGAUUAAGCAUUGGUUGCUCGGGGAAAAGAAUAACCAAGUGUGGAAUGAAUUUGGAGACCGGGCAGAGACUUAUGGUGGGUUGACCAUAGUGCCCCUGCCUGUGUCAAUUAAGGACCGAUCGUUGACGGCCCUCUUGUCAUGUUGAACGCAUCCCCCACAUUUAGCUAGAAGGAUAAGUCGUUCCGACCGCGAAGCCUGAGCACUAUCCGGGCCGGGAAUCGGCCCGAUGUACGCGCUGUAUUGGUGAUGGUUGAGGAGAACGACGAGGGCGCGGCGCGCAACCUUGGUAUACCUUGGAUACCUCGGUCGCCGGAACGGUCCUCGGGUACGGGCGGUGCCUGUCGAACCCGCGAAUUGGUCCUGGAUAGUGCAACACGGUGACCUGUAGCUCACUUGAUCAGUGAGUGUGGUUUGUGUGGGGAAUAAACUCGCCAGCUGGUUAGAAAUCGAUUCGAAUCGCCAUCGCUCCUGGAUAGUGAGCACUUGACAUGAGCCCUGUCCUCGUAGUAAGGACUAUGGAACACUUGGGUUAUAAUGAUGAAUAGUUUUAAGAAAUGCUAUGAUGAGGUACUAUCAUAGUCUCAUACUUGCUUGUAAUAGUGCAGGUGCAAACCUAGAUAAUAGGUAAUGAUACUUUCAACUUGAGCAAAAUUAAAAGAAGAAAAGAUUUAUGUAAGUUAGGGUAAUAAAACCUUGCGGUCUUUGCAAAAUGGUUGUCAGCUACCCCACUAAAUAGCCUUCAUAAUCCUUGAUGAGUCUUUAUUUUAAGUUUAUGACGGGUAAGUCUAGCUGAGUACCUUCUCGUACUCAGGGUUCUAUUCCCAUGUUGUUUUGCAGAUGGUCAAAUGUACUAUGGUUAUUGCAUCCUCUGUCUGUACCCAGCUAUGGGUGAUGACUAGACCAUAGGCGAUGGUCACUCCGUCUCUUCUUUUGCUUUUGUGGGAAUGACCGAACUAUGGCACUGUAUUAGACUUAUCGUGUGUGUUGUAAUCUCAAACUAUGAAGCUUCCGCUACUUGAAGAACUUGGUUUGUAAUAACUUUAAGCACUCCGAUGUAUUUUAUGAAUGUUGUAAUCUGGAUGUACUUGUGGAUGGCGACCGCUAAACUUAUUACGAUCUUGGCUGUUAUGUGAUGUGUGGUUUGAAAUCCAUCGAGAUUUCACGGACUACCGGGAUUAUAUGGGCUUAAGCGUGAUAGUUCGACUAUGCAAAUGGUCACUAUUAGGCUUAAUCUCUUAUAAUUUGGUCGGUUCUGUUACAGCUGGCAUCGGAGCAAGGUUUAGCGAGUUACUGUUCAUAAGUACGUUCUAAACAAAAUCUAAACCGGUCUAAUGAAAGAUUUUAGUAAUUAAUAAAGAUCAAGGUGUUAAACUAAGUUUUGGAAAACUAUCUAAUGUGCCGUGGUCAUAUCCUUUUUGCCCAGUUAAGGACUCUAAGGUGGCUAGCUAAGUACUAACCUGGGGGUUAAUGCAUCAUAUUUUUGUUUCGUUGCUCAUACGGCGUGCAAUAGUAUGAGUGCCAUUCAUUUGAGUGGUAAUGUAUGGAUCAAUUCUUCCUCUACGUCAUGGUAAGUGGGAGUUGUGAGAGCAUGAUCGGAUACACUGCCGGUCUAGGGGGGUGUUGUCAGGUGCUGUGCCAUGCGCAUAUGUUGGUGUGUCUUGGGAACAGUACCGCAUGCAGGGAAUUCCGUCCUGAGAGGCGAUGCCGUCAAUAGGGCGAUGAUGUGGGUAGUGACACAUCGCAUGCAUGGACGGGUGUCUGUGUAUGCGAAGUGCCUAGUUUUAAAUUCCUAUUCUGCACGAUCAUACUGUGGGUGGGCUGAAAUGAGUUUUCUGUAGGUACACUAACCACGUUCUCGCUUAGAACGCUAGUUACGUUAUGAGAGAACGUUGUGUGCCACCGCAUAUACCGCUUAGUGCUAACCUUUGUUUCUAAGUUUGUGAGAUCGUAAGCUCGUGCAUACAUCAUGUUCAUUUCAUAUCAUUGCUUACUUUCCCCCUUAAUUUAAUCUGUCCCAAUUCUAAAUAAAAUAAUUAAAGGUAAUCCUCGCUCUUACCCACGGUAUUCCAUUUGCAGCAGAUGGCACGCACUAGGCUCACCGCUCGCAAGUCCACUGGUGGGCGGGCCCCUCGCCGUCCGUUGGCAGCUAGGAGCUCGCGACAUAAGAGCAAGUUCCUAGAGGAGUUUGGGAUGCCCACUUUGCUUUGGAGGGUGCUCAGUUCGAUGGGGUAUCCCGAAGGAAGGGAGCCUCGCUACUAUUGGGAUAAGGAGCCGCUUGGGGAUGAGACCCUGGUGGGGAUCGAGGCAGUUGUCCCUACCAGUGGAGGAGACCCUGCUUGGGGCGGUUGGGUGUACGAGUCCCGAGGAGUCCCGAGGUGUCCCUACCAGGGCAGCUUUCGCAGUUUUGAGGGACCUCAUGGAGAGGUUUCCACAGGAGCUGGCCCACGCCUUCGCUGGGGUGUUUCCCCGGGGUGAACCUUACACUUCGGUGUGGGAUCAGUCCGAGGUGAAUGCUCUAGAGAGGAGUGCGGACGAGGACCAGCACAGUGACAGUGCAGCUAUGAGUGCCAUGUACGCGUUGAUGAAGACCUAUGGAGGCCUGGAGCGUUGUUUGGGUCGCUUGUCCGGGUCUCUUCUCACCGUCCAGGAUGAGAAGCGUCAGUUGCAGCGUGAGUUGACUCUGAGGUUGAGAGGCUACAGGCAGAGUUGGCUCGUGUGACCCGAGAGAGAGACCAGGCAGUCCAGAAGAACAGUGAGCUGAGUCUGGACCUGCUUGCAGUGCGAGAGCAGAAGGACAGGGUGACUACUGCUCACAGGAACUGCGAGCGCAUGCUAGUCCAUGUGCUUGGACAGAGGAAUGAAGCCUGGCACGAGGAGGACACUUUGAGGGCCCGACAGCUAGAGCUAGAGCAGCAGCUAGCUAAUGCUGAGGAGUACAAUGAGAACUUGCAUGAGGAGAUCCACCAGCUGCAUAACCAACUCCACCCUCACCACCUGCCUGGAGCAGCGGAGCUAGACUCUGAGGACGAGAUGGACGCUGAUCCCGAGAUAGGAGCAGCUGCUAGUGGUGAUGAAGAUGAGGAUGGCUCCGGCAUGGACAGUGACCACAGCGAGUAGAUGCUAGGGCUCUAGGGCUAGUCUUUCCUCUUUUGUGAUGUAUGUUGCAUGGCAUGUCGUGUACUUUUGGAUCUGGGCUGUGUAAGACUUUAUGAGUUGAUGCUGAAAGUCCAGUGUAUGUAUACUGGCAAGUUGGAUGUACGCGAACCUUGUUGCGUGAAUGCUAAGUAAUCUGUUAGUGAUGUUGUGCGUGGAUGAUGAGUUGUUGUGCCUUUGUUUAUUGUGUGAAUUUAUUCCCUCAGUAAAUUCAGUAUGGCACGAUUUUACACAUUUUCCACCGGUUGAUGGCAACUCCUAACGAUUGCUUGUCAUUGGCGUAUGCAGAUGGUGCAAACACGCGGCGGGGGUAACAGCAAUCCGGGUCUUGGAGCAGGUACACCCGGAAAUGGGGCUCAACGGAAUGAGGACCGAGCGCCAACACCACCACCACCUCCCCCGUACACUGCGGAUGUGUUUUUCGCGUAGUUUCAGGGAAGCCAACGCAACAUGGAACAGAUGCAGCGCAACAUGGAAGAAGCUUUGCGCAACAUAGCUGACAACACCCGUCGUGGGGAUAAUCAGGGUGGCCGGGAGGUCAACCAGUACAGUUCGUUCAAGGACUUCAUGGAUACCAAGCCACCAAUCUUCAAAGAGGCUUUGGAACCCCUCGAGGCAGAUGAAUGGAUCAAUACCAUGGAGCAGAAGUUUCGUCUUCUUCGGAUGACAGAAGAACUCAAGGCUGAAUAUGCGGCACAUCAGUUACAAGGACCCGCUGGGAUUUGGUGGUCCCAUCACCGUACCACCUACCCAGAGGGGACACCAAUCACCUGGAACCGCUUCACCACCGCUUUCCGGGGAAAUUACAUCCCUCCUGGUGUGGUUGAAAUGAAGGUUGGGGAGUUCAUGAGGCUGUCCCAAGGGACGAAGUCUGUGAAGGAGUAUCUACACGCUUUCAACAAUCUCGCUCGCUAUGCCCCUGAGUUUGUAAACACGGAGGCCAAGAAGAUUGCUAGUUUCCAGAGGGGCUUGAAUCCAAAGAUGCUGAAGACCAUGGGUACAGGGGCCAGGGCUACUUUCAAUGCCUAUAUCAGCGACUGUCUGACCCAAGAGAACAAUAACAACAACUACAAUGCAUCCAAGUCUCGUAAGAGGGCUUUUGAAGCCGGAUCAUCUCAGUCCAGGGCACCAGUGGCAGGGCGACAGCAGUAUCGUCCUCCUGCCCUGGGUGCUAGGUUCCGACCGCCGCAGAGAAGGAACACCGGGCAUCCAACACAACAGAAGCCGUACAAGGUGGCGAUAGCCCCUGCCAAGCCAAAGGCAAUUCAAGCUGCAGCACCUGCCGUCAACAGUGCGCCCAAGGGUCCGUGCUAUAACUGCCACAAGAUGGGGCACUUUGCUAAGGAAUGUCCCUACCCCAAAAGGCAGCAGCCAACCUAUCCAGCUCGUGUGCACCAUACCUCGAUCGAGGAGAUUCCGAAAGGAGAACCGGUAACAGCUGGUAUGUUUCCUGUCAACCAACAUCUUGCAGUUGUUUUGUUUGAUUCUGGAUCAUCGCAUUCAUUCAUGAGCCAAGCAUUUACACAAAAGCAUGAUCAGCCAGUUACUGAGUUAGGUUAUGGCUAUCGCAUCAGCUCAGCCGGAGCCGAUGUGUUGACUAAUAAAACGGUAACAGGAGUUACCUUGGAUAUCAGUGGUCGGAGGUUCCGUGUAAACCUUGUGGUCAUGCCAGGACUGGUUUUGGAUGUCAUCAUUGGGAUGAACAAAAUGACAGAUUGGGGCGCGGUUAUAGAUACCGGGAAUAGAACUCUUUCCCUUAGAGACCCGCAAGGGAAGGGGGUGCUUCAGGUCAAGCUACCUAGACGGUUGGACUUCGCCAGUCUUUCAUGUGCAGUACAGGUAGUCCCUCUAGAACACAUACCCGUGGUAUGUGAGUUCCCUGAUGUGUUUCCUGAGGAUUUACCAGGACUUCCCCCAGAUAGGGAGGUAGAGUUUGCAAUCGAGUUGAUACCAGGUACAGCACCAAUAUCUAGAAGGCCGUAUCGGAUGCCCCCAAAUGAACUCGCUGAGUUGAAGAAUCAACUAAAAGAGUUGCUGGAUAAAGGGUUCAUCCGGCCAAGCUCGUCGGAAUGGGGUUGUCCAGCGUUGUUUGUGAAAAAGAAGGAUCAGUCGUUGCGCAUGUGCGUGGACUAUCGUCCACUCAAUGCAGUGACAAUCAAAAAUAAGUAUCCCUUGCCAAGGAUUGAUAUCCUGUUUGAUCAGUUAUCCAAGGCAAGAGUGUUUUCUAAGAUAGAUUUGAGAUCUGGGUAUCACCAAAUGAAGAUUCAUCCGCAAGAUAUCACGAAGACUGCUUUUUCCACUAGAUAUGGGUUGUAUGAGUAUCUAGUCAUGUCCUUUGGGUUGACAAAUGCUCCUGCGUACUUUAUGUAUCUAAUGAAUUCAGUCUUUAUGCCAGAAUUGGAUAAGUUUGUUGUGGUGUUUAUCGAUGAUAUUCUGGUAUAUUCAGAAAAUGAGCAAGAUCACGCCGAGCAUCUGAGAAUCGUGCUGACACGAUUACGAGAGCAUCAGUUAUAUGCCAAGUUCAGCAAGUGUGAGUUCUGGUUAAAGAAAGUUACUUUCCUAGGGCACAUUCUGUCUGAAGAAGGAAUUGUUGUGGAUCCAUCAAAAGUGCAGGAAGUCAUGGACUGGAAGGCACCAACUUCGGUCUCGAAAGUUAGAAGUUUUCUUGGUCUGGCCGGGUAUUAUCGUCGUUUUAUACCUGACUUCUCCAAGAUUGCUAAGCCAAUGACAAGUUUGCUACAAAAGGAUCAUAAGUUCGUCUGGACGGAAGGGUGUGAGUUAGCCUUCCGCACCUUGCGAAAGUUGCUAACCACUGCUCCCGUUCUGGCACAACCUAAUAUAGAGAAGCCUUUUGAUGUGUUUUGUGACGCAUCGAAGAGUGGCCUGGGGUGUGUGUUGAUGCAAGAUGGCAGGGUGAUAGCUUAUGCUUCCCGACAGCUGAGAAAGCACGAAAUCAAUUACCCAACGCACGACCUCGAGUUAGCAGCUGUGGUGCAUGCUUUGAAGAUCUGGAGACAUUAUCUGCUGGGAAAUAAGUGUCACAUUUAUACCGAUCAUAAGAGCUUGAAGUACAUCUUCACGCAGUCCGAGCUGAAUAUGAGGCAACGACGGUGGUUAGAGUUAAUCAAGGACUAUGACCUGGAAGUUCACUAUCAUCCAGGCAAGGCUAAUGUAGUAGCAGAUGCUCUAAGUCGUAAACCACACUGUCAAGUGGUUCAACCGUUGUUUGAAGAUGGGUUCAAUCUUAUGCAUCCUGAGGUCUUAUGUCAUAUACAACUCAGUUGUUCACUCGAGAGUCAAGUCAUUGAAGGUCAGAAAACGGACAAGGGUAUUUUCCACAUCAAAGAGAAGAUCAAAGAUGACCCAAAGACUCAGUUUUGGGUUGAUGAGAAGGGGGUACUGUGGUUUCAACAGCGGUUAGUGGUCCCGAAAGAUCGGGAGUUGAAGAAUCGCAUCAUGGAUGAAGCCCAUCUCUCUAAGCUUUCUAUUCGUCCUGGCAGCAGCAAAAUGUAUCAAGAUCUAAGGCCCCACUUUUGGUGGACCAAGAUGGAGAAAGAAAUAGCCGCUUAUGUGGCCCGUUGUGACAUGUGUUGCAGAGUUAAGGCCAUCCAUAUGAAACCUGCAGGUCUGUUGCAACCGUUAUCAGUUCCGGAGUGGAAAUGGGAAGAGGUCAGUAUGGACUUUAUCACAGGCCUACCAACCACAAGGAGGGGGAAUGACUCGAUUUGGGUAAUCAUAGAUCGAUUGACCAAAUCGGCCCAUUUCAUCCCUGUGAAGACUCGUUACCGACCUCCUGAGUAUGCCGAUAUAUAUAUGGCUGAGAUUGUCAAGUUGCAUGGUAUUCCCAAGACAAUCAUAUCAGAUAGAGGACCGCAGUUCACCGCUCACUUCUGGGAGCGCAUGCAUAAAAGUUUGGGGACCAGUUUGAUAAGAAGCACAGCCUAUCAUCCCCAGACUUCAGGCCAAACUGAGAGGCUAAAUCAAGUGUUAGAAGAUAUGCUGAGGGCCUGUGUGCUAUCAUCCAAGGGAUCAUGGGAAUCGUGGUUACCUUUGGCUGAGUUCUCAUACAAUAAUAGUUAUCAAGAGAGCAUCAAGAUGGCCCCGUUCGAAGCUUUGUACGGUCGAAAAUGUCGAACUCCAUUAAACUGGGUUGAACCUGGUGAAAGAAGAUACUAUGGUAUCGACUUUGUGAAUGAUGCCGAGAAAAAGGUGCAUAUCAUACAGCAGCAUAUGCAAGCGGCACAGUCACGACAAAAGAGUUAUGCGGACAAGAGGAGAAGGCCGCUUCAGUUCAAAGUAGGCGACUAUGUGUAUCUCAAGGUUACGCCAAUGAAGAAAGUUCAACGUUUCCGAGUUUGAAGCAAGCUCGAACCCAGAUAUGUGGGACCGUACCAAGUGCUAGAGAGGAAAGGCCCAGUGGCCUAUAAGAUUCAGUUACCUGAAGAGAUGAGCUCGAUCUUUCCGGUCUUCCAUGUGUCGCAACUACGGAAAUGUUUGAAAGUGCCUGAGCAAAGAAUUGAACCUCGAGGGAUCAAAAUAAAAGCAGACUUAGAGUAUAAAGAGCAGCCAGUGGGAAUUGUGGAUACCAAGGAGCGAGUAACCCGAAACAAAGUUGUCAGAACGUACAAAGUGGUGUGGAGUCAUCAUGACGAUAGGGAUGCCACUUGGGAAACAGAGGAUUACUUAAAAACAGUUUAUCCAAAAUUUCAUAAGAAAUGGUUAGUAACCCAAAAUCUCGGGACGAGAUUUCCCUAAGGGGGGAAGGGCUGUAACACCCUAGGUGUUAAGCAUGCACUUAGUCUCAUCAAGGUCAUGCAUAAGCAUUUCCAUCAAGCAUAAGCAUCAUGAGCAUGACACUCUUUUCAAAUUAUGAUUUUAUGUGCUUCAUUUCAUGUGCUUUAAUUAUGUUAAAAAUGUGAUGCUUGUUUCUAAAAUUGUGAAAUAUUCAAAUUAGGUUGCUUUAUGUGUAAGAAGAAUUAAGAACAUUUUUGUGCAAUUUUUGGAGCUAUGGAAAUUGAGAAAUGGAAUUUAUACAAAAUAUCCAAAAUAACUUUAUUUAAAAACCUAGAACUAAGUUUUAAUUUGUAAUUCAAAUUCUAUUUAGAAUUUGGUCUUACCUAUUAAAGCAAAGUUGUAGAGCUUUUAGUUUGGCACCACUUUGCUUUUGGGUGAAGAUGGUGAAAAUAAUUUGAAAAUGGUCAAAAUGAAUUUAUGAGAGAAUUUGAGAAAAGAAAUUCAAAAAAAAAUAGAAAAGGGAAAGGGGGCGCUAGCAGGCCGCGGCCUCGCUUCUGGCCCGCUGGCCGAAGCCGGCCUGGCCCGCCCGCGCCUUCCCCUUCCCCCUCCUCGCGCUCGCGCCCGCGUCCACGCGCGCAGACGGCCUCGCCGUGCCGCCGUGGCGCGCCGGCAGAGCCUGGCCGCCGCGUGGCGGGCAUGCGGCGGCGUGGAGACGCCCUGGUCGGCCACCAGGAGCCCCUGGACGGGCCCGCCGAAGCCCCCGCUCCCAUUUGCGCCCUCCACCGCUCGCUCUCGCCUCUCUGCUCGCCCUCGCGCAGCGCUCACCGCUCCGCCGCACGCCAUAGCCGCCGACGGCUCGGAGCUUCCCUCCCGGCCAGCUCCGGCCCUCUCCUUCCCCUUCGCGACCACCACCGGCUCCGCCUCGUCCUUCCGCGUCUCGUGCUUGCGCUCUUCCGCGCUCGGUAAGCCCUGCGUGCCCGCUAGGGCUCACCGGAGUUAGUCAGAGCUCCGGCGACCUCUCGGCUCGCACGGUUCUCCCUCUCCUCUCUGUCUCUGCUCGCGUUCAUAGGUGCUUUGGGUCCGCCUUGACCUCGCGCACCUUUUCCCGUCACUAGCUCACGCUCUACCGCCGUGAAACGGCCGGACCACGGCGAGCAGCGCCGCCGCGUCCGCCAUUCACGAUGGCGAGGUAGUUCCGGUGCUCGUCCGGUGCCAAAGAGGGUACGGCUGGACUCGUCUCGUUCGCGCGAAGCCGUAGGUGCUCACGGUGUCGCCGGAAACCUCACCGGCGGCGAGAUUCCGGCUGAUCUUUGGCCGCGGGGUCACAGGGUGGAUGACAGGUGGGGUCCCCUGACCCGCUUGUCCCGCCUGUCAGUGACUCCGAGGGUUUGAAUCCGGGUGCGCUUAGCGUUUUGGGUGACUUUCCGUUUUAAAAGUUUUUCCAGGAAAUGAUUUAAAUGUUCAAAAAUCCAUAUCUUGAUGAAUAUAGCUCCAAAAAUGGUGAAAUAAAUUUUGGUGUGUUCCUUAUUUCCAGAUCUAUAGCCUAAUAUGAUUGCAUGUCAUGUUUGAGUAACUUUCCUGUAAUAAUAUAAUUAAUCCAUGUUUUUCCUAAACUUGGAAAAUGCAUAGUAAAUAAAAUAGGGUUCAGAAAAAUGUAAAACUUGUUUUGUUGGCUCUGCAUGUGUGUUUAACCACUGAGAAAAUAUUGUUACAUAUUAUUUGGUGUAUAAAUGAAUUUAUGGUAAUUUAAAUGCUUGCAUGGCAGUGCUUUAUGAUUUUUAAUAAUUAAAUGGGUCAUGCAAUAAAUCUGGAAAAUUUUGUGGGUGUUUCUUAUGAUAUUAGAUGAAUUCUAAAAAUAUGAAAUCUGUUGUUUGACACUUAUAUCACAGUAGGGUGAUUAUACUUGCCUUAUCCAUUAAUCUUGUGAUUUUUGUGGCUCAAAAUAAGUAACCAAAAAUUAUGAAAAAUUUACAGUAGACUUUAUGAUUAGCUAGUAGUCUCCUGUAAUUGUUCUGGAAUUUAUUGAUGAACAGAAUUGCAUGUGAUUUUUAAUGGGCUUAGAAAUGAAUAAAGAAAAUUAUGAAUGGUUGUGUAUGUAGGUUGAAUGGACUAAGUUGGGUUUGGUGUAUCUUUGAAGCAUCACGUAGGUUGCUGAUUUCAUUUGAAAAAUAUUUGUAAAAGAGAAUGCAAUAGAUGCUUAAUCCAAGUGCCUGUUCUUGGAUGAUGUUGCAUACAUUGUAAUGAACAUGACCAAGUGUAUCAUCCAUGCAUCAUGUCAUGGUCCUUUGGUACUUUCUCAUACAAGCAUCCACUCGGGCAUCUCGCACUCCACUCAUGAGCAUAUAUGCAUCAUACAGGCUCGCAGGAGAACGAAGUGGGACCCGAGGAACCCGAGGAGAUACAGGAGCAGGAACCUCCGGAAACACAGGAAACCGGAGAGGAAUUGCAAGAGUGUCCGGAUCACCGACCCAGCACCUUUGAGAAAGGCAAGCCCCGGAGCAUUCUAAGUCUCCCUAUUCUCGCUAACUUAUAUAAAGUGCUAUACUUGUUCUACUGUAUUGCAUAUUAAGUGAUAGGAGUUGCCUAAUACCGUUGCUGCAUGCGUACUCCUUGUUAUUCCUACUCAUUCAACUACCUUGUCCUAUGUAGAUAGGCACGGAGUCUAUGCUUAGCUUGCUUAGUUCGGUAGAAGUCGGGUGAUUCCCUGUCACCUGCGAGAUAUAGGUGGAUACUUGCUUGAUUAAGCAUUGGUUGCUCGGGGAAAAGAAUAACCAAGUGUGGAAUGAAUUUGGAGACCGGGCAGAGACUUAUGGUGGGUUGACCAUAGUGCCCCUGCCUGUGUCAAUUAAGGACCGAUCGUUGACGGCCCUCUUGUCAUGUUGAACGCAUGCCCCACAUUUUGCUGGAAGGAUAAGUCGUUCCGACCGCGAAGCCUGAGCACUAUCCGGGCCGGGAAUCGGCCCGAUGUACGCGCUGUAUUGGUGAUGGUUGAGGAGAACGACGAGGGCGCGGCGCGCAACCUUGGUAUACCUUGGAUACCUCGGUCGCCGGAACGGUCCUCGGGUACGGGCGGUGCCUGUCGAACCCGCGAAUUGGUCCUGGAUAGUGCAACACGGUGACCUGUAGCUCACUUGAUCAGUGAGUGUGGUUUGUGUGGGGAAUAAACUCGCCAGCUGGUUAGAAAUCGAUUCGAAUCGCCAUCGCUCCUGGAUAGUGAGCACUUGACAUGAGCCCUGUCCUCGUAGUAAGGACUAUGGAACACUUGGGUUAUAAUGAUGAAUAGUUUUAAGAAAUGCUAUGAUGAGGUACUAUCAUAGUCUCAUACUUGCUUGUAAUAGUGCAGGUGCAAACCUAGAUAAUAGGUAAUGAUACUUUCAACUUGAGCAAAUUAAAAGAAGAAAAGAUUUAUGUAAGUUAGGGUAAUAAAACCUUGCGGUCUUUGCAAAAUGGUUGUCAGCUACCCCACUAAAUAGCCUUCAUAAUCCUUGAUGAGUCUUUAUUUUAAGUUUAUGACGGGUAAGUCUAGCUGAGUACCUUCUCGUACUUAGGGUUCUAUUCCCAUGUUGUUUUGCAGAUGGUCAAAUGUACUAUGGUUAUUGCAUCCUCUGUCUGUACCCAGCUAUGGGUGAUGACUAGACCAUGGGCGAUGGUCACUCCGUCUCUUCUUUUGCUUUUGUGGGAAUGACCGAACUAUGGCACUGUAUCAGACUUAUCGUGUGUGUUGUAAUCUCAAACUAUGAAGCUUCCGCUACUUGAAGAACUUGGUUUGUAAUAACUUUAAGCACUCCGAUGUAUUUUAUGAAUGUUGUAAUCUGGAUGUACUUGUGGAUGGCGACCGCUAAACUUAUUACGAUCUUGGCUGUUAUGUGAUGUGUGGAUUGAAAUCCAUCGAGAUUUCACGGACUACCGGGAUUAUAUGGGCUUAAGCGUGAUAGUUCGACUAUGCAAAUGGUCACUAUUAGGCUUAAUCUCUUAUAAUUUGGUCGGUUCUGUUACAGAGGCCGCGUCCAAAGCUCGGGAGGAGGCCCUGUCCUACAAGAAUGUUAUUGCCGACUUGGACAAGGAGAAGGGCCUUCUCAAGACCGACCUAGACUCCCUCUGGGACUCCUUUCAAAGGAUGAAUGUGGCGUACGUGGACAGUGAGGUCGCCAGGGGGGCCGUGGAGUAAGCAAAGAAGAAGGCCCUCGAAGACCUCGAGGCAGAGCAGGCUCGAUCCCGCAGCCUCUCUGAUGACGUCGACCGUCUGAAGGGAGAGCUGUUGGAGAAGAGUGGAGCUAUUGCUCAAGCUGGUAAGGCGAUUGAGGAUCUUCGAGUCGCCAAUACUGAGCUGGCACGCUCCAACAGGGAGAUCGAGAUGGCCAAUACUAAAUUGGUUGGCGAGAACACGGCCCUGGAGGAGAGCAUCCGUGGUAUGUUUCUAUUGUCGAGUUUACUUUUCAAGGUGUGCUUGGUUUUUUCUAAAGUUUUUUACGUUGGCAUUCACAGGGCUUAAGGACGAACUCUUGGCCGCCCAAGUCGAGGCCCGCAAUGCUAAGGUCCAGCUCGAGGCGGAGGUUGCUUUGAACCGUCGAGUGCGGACGGCGAUAAGUGAUCUCUCGACCUCUUGGGAGAUCAAGCCUAUGGACGAGUCGAAGGAGGACGCUAGAGGCGACGCGCUGGUCGACCAGCUGUGCUACUUAGGCGCGACGCUGAGAGAUCGGGUGCGGGAUGCCAUCCACAUCGGGGUGAAGUGGGCAAUGGCGGUCGUCUGCUCAGGCUUCUCCUACGACAUGGAGGUGGUGUCCCACGGCUUCGUCACCGACAUCUCUAAGACCGACGCGGAGAACGAAGAGAGGCUCCACUCCUUGAUCGAUGACGCGGAGGUUCCUGAAGAGAGGCUGGCCAAGCUAUUUGAGCCUGAGGUGCUUCCCCCUGAGACUAGCUCGGGCGCAGGCGAGGGUGGUGAGGACCGUGCUGUGGACUAAGGCCUGCGAGCCUGCUCCGGGUGCCUAGGGCCCCUUGUAUAGUACUUUGUUAAUUCUGUUUUCAAGUGACACAGUGUCUUUAAGUGGUUAUUAUAUGUUUGUCUAUCUUUUGUCACGAGGCUUCUUUUUAUUCCUUUUUGCGCCUAUGUUUGUUUUUUCUCACUUGGUCUUUUGUUCGAGGCGGUCUCGAUUGCCUCAAGGGUGAGGAGGCGAGUAGAGUUUCCAUAGCCCGGGGGCGUAGGAAGUUCUCAGGCUCAUCGCUUCUAGGCCCUUUAAGGGGCUCGAGGUGCCUUUACUACUCAACCGUGUGAGUUUACUAAUAGGAAUGAAGGGAUUACUAAGUUUUUUUCGACGUUUGGGGGGGGUCGCCCCCCUUGUUAGCCUCCGAGGGAGUGUUGACUAUGAUGGGUCGUAGUCGAUACUCCCUUACAUCGUUGAGACUUGUGGAGAAGUAAAUCGCUCGAGAGAAAGACUUCAUUUAUUCGUACAUUUAUUUACAAGGCCUUGGUACAAAGCGUACGUAGGAACGUAAAGCUUUGAAAUUCUAGGGGUAGAAUCGACGUAGCUGUUCGAUGUUCCAUGCGUUGGUGAAGACUGCCCCCUUUUCGUCCGCAAGCUUGUAUGUCCCUGGCUUCAAGACCUCGGCCACCAUGUAUGGGCCCUCCCAUGGUGGGGUCAGCUUGUGGCGUCCUUGGUUGCUUUGUCGUCGUCGUAGAACGAGAUCUCCCACAUUCAAGUCCCUCCUGCGCACGUGCUUGUCGUGGUAGCGUCGAAGCUUCUGCUGGUAUCUAGCAGAGUUGAUGAGGGCCAUGUCUCGAGCUUCUUCGAGUUGGUUGACCGCGCUUUCUUGAGAUUCUUUAUUUGAUUGUUCGUUGUACGCUUUGAGUCGAGGGGACCCAUACUCGAGGUCUGUGGGGAGGACGGCCUCAGAGCCGUAGACCAUGAAGAAUGGGGUGUAUUUUGUGGCCCUGCUCAGUGUUGUCCUUAGGCUCCAUAGGACCGAGGAAAGCUCCUCGACCCACUUCUUGCCGAAUUUCUUCAAUCGAUUGUAGAUCCUUGGCUUGAGCCCCUGCAAGAUCAUGCCAUUGGCAUGCUCGACCUGGCCGUUAGUUCGAGGAUGGGCGACUGCGGACCAGUUCACACGGAUGUGAUGCUGAUCGCAGAAGUCCAAGAACUUCUUGCCCGUGAACUGAGUGCCGUUGUCGGUGAUGAUGACGUUGGGGAUCCCAAAUCAGUGGAUGAUGUCGGUGAAGAAAAGGACGGCCUGUUCGGAGCAGAUGUUGGUGAUGGGUCGAGCCUCGAUCCAUUUGGAGAACUUGUCGAUAGCCACCAGCAAGUGGGUGUACCCUCCUUUUGCCUUUUGUAGAGGCCCUACUAAGUCGAGCCCCCACACCGCAAACGGCCAUGUGAUGGGGAUCAUCUGAAGGGCGUGGGCGGGCAAAUGCGUCUGUUUGGCGUAGAACUGGCACCCGUGGCAUGAGCGUACGAGCUCGAUGGAAUCAGCUACGGCUGUUGGCCAGUAGAAGCCUUGUCGAAAGGCGUUCCAUACAAGGGUCCGUGGAGCAGCAUGGUGGCCACAAGCUCCCGAGUGUAGGUCCUCGAGGAGUUUCCGGCCUUCUUCCAUGGUGAUGCAACGCUGCAAGACCCCCGUCGGACUUCGUCGAUAUAGCUCAUUGUUCUCGCCAUAGAUCACAUACGACUUGGCCCGUCGAGCGACACGGCGGGCCUCAGAUCGAUCUUCCGGUAGCUCGCAGCGGAUCAGGCAGUCGAGGAACGGCGUGCGCCAGUCGAACGGUCAACCGGGCCGUUGCUCCACCUCCAUUACCUCGGCUGCCAUCAGUAGUGCGUCGACGGUGUCGGCUUGCUGGGCAGGAGUGGCGUCGACGCCAGCCCCUGAGCCCAGGUCGACGGAUGGCUCGUGAAGAUCCCUUGAGAACGCGUCAGGUGGUAUCGUGCCUCGGAUCGAUGCGAUCUUGGUGAGUUCGUCAGCUGCCUCAUUGUAGCGUCGGGCGAUGUGGACGAGUUCGAGGCCACGGAAUUUGUCCUCGAGUUGACGGACUUCCUUGCAGUAUGCCUCCAUUUUCGGGUCAUGGCAGCUUGAGGUCUUCAUUACUUGGUCGAUGACGAGUUGGGAGUCGCCUCGGACGUCGAGGCGUCGGACUCCUAGCUCGAUGGCGAUUUUGAGACCGUUGACGAGGGCCUCGUAUUCUGCGAUGUUGUUGGAUGCGACAAAGUGAAUUCUGAUGAUGUACCUCAUAUGAACGCCUAGGGGCGAGAUGAACAGCAGGCCGGCCCCAGCCCCCGUCUUCAUAAGAGACCCGUCGAAGUACAUCGUCCACAGCUCCGACUGGACCUGAGUUGGGGGGAGUUGGGAGUCUGUCCAUUCCACGACGAAAUCCACCAGGGCCUGCGAUUUGAUAGCCUUACGGGGCGCAUAAGUGAGAGUCUCACUCAUGAGCUCAACCGACCAUUUGGCUAUUCUUCCCGUGGCCUCCCUAUUUUGGAUUAUCUCGCCCAAGGGGAAGGACGAGACCACCGUGAUGGGGUGGCCAAGGAAAUAGUGUUGCAGCUUGCGUCGGGCGAGGAUUACAGCGUAUAUUAGCUUCUGGAUUUGAGGGGAACGUGUCUUGGUCUCCGAGAGCACCUCGCUGAUGAAAUAGACCGGUCUCUGGACUGGCGACGCAUGCCCCUCCUCCUGCCUCUCGACAACCACAGCUGCGCUGACGACCUGAGUCGUGGAGGCGACGUAAAGGAGCAGUGGUUCUGCAGGUUGAGGCGGGACCAGGACCGGUGCUGAAGUCAGCGUUUUCUUCAAGUUUUCGAGGGCUUCCUCAGCCUCGGGAGUCCAAGAGAAACGCUCGACUUUCUUCAGGAGCUGAUAUAAUGGUAAGGCCUUUUCUCCUAACCUCGAGAUGAAACGGCUCAGCGCCGCUAGGCAUCCCGUGAUUCUCUGCACACCCUUGAUGUCUCGAAUCGGGCCCAUUCUUGUGAUGGUCGAGACUUUCUCGUGGUUGGCCUCGAUGCCACGCUGGGAAACAAUGUAACCCAGGAGCAUGCCUCGAGGUGCGCCGAAAACGUAUUUCUCGAGAUUGAUCUUGAUGUGGUUGGCGCGUAAGCAGCUGAAAGCGAUUUCGAGAUCCUGGAUCAGGUCUCCUCGCCGCUUUGAUUUGACGAUGAUGUCGUCGACAUAGGCCUCGACCGUCGACCCUAUGUGCUUGCCAAACACGUGGAGCAUGCAGCGUUGAUAUGUAGCUCCCGCGUUUCGAAGCCCAAACGGCAUGGUUACAUAACAAUACAUCCCAAAAGGUGUGAUAAAAGACGUUGCGAGCUGGUCGGACUCUUUCAUUUUUAUUUGGUGGUAACCAGAAUAUGCAUCAAGGAAAGAAAGGGUUUCGCAUCCUGCAGUAGAAUCAACAAUUUGAUCAAUACGUGGUAAAGGAAAAGGAACAUUCGGACAUGCUUUAUUUAAACUCGUAUAAUCGACACACAUCCUCAUUUUCCCAUUCUUUUUCUUAACUAGUACAGGGUUUGCUCACCAGUCGUGAUGAUGAACCUCCUUGAUGAAUCCGGCCAUCAAAAGCUUGUGGAUCUCCUCACCAAUGAUCUUGCGCUUCUCCUCGUCGAAUCGGCGCAACCGUUGCUUCACUGGCUUGGAAUCGGCUCGAAUUUCCAAGGAGUGCUCGGCGACUUCCCUCGGUAUGCCUGGCAUGUCCGAGGGACUCCAUGCAAACAUGUCAGCGUUUGCACGGAGAAAGUCGACGAGCACAGCUUCCUAUUUGGGGUCGAGGUCGGCACUGAUCGUCAGCACCUUGCCGUCGAAGUUGUUAGGGUCGAGCGGGAUCUUCUUGGUUCCUUCUGCUGGCUCGAAGCUGCCCGCGUGGCGCUUGGGCUCUGGAGCCUUAGUGGCCAGGGCCUCGAGCAUUGCGACGAGCUCGGUGGAGUUCUCGAGCGCCUCCCCAUACUCGACGCACUCAAUGUCGCACUCGUAAGCGUGCUCGAAGGAGGAGCUGACGGUGAUGACACCUCUGGGACCGGGCAUCUUCAGCUUCAAGUAGGUAUAGUUGGGUAUAGCCAUGAACUUGGCGUAGCCCGGGCGCCCGAUGAUGGCGUGGUACGUGCGUCGGAACCCGACCACCUCAAAGGUGAGGGUUUCCUUCCUGAAGUUGGCCACCGUGCCAAAGAAGACCGGUAAGUCGAUUCGACCCACUGGCAGCGCCUUUUUCCCUGGCACGACGCCAUGGAAACUGCCGGCGCUUGGUUGGAGUCGUCCCCUGUCGAUGCCGAGGAGGUCGAGGGUCUCGAGGUAUAUGAUGUUGAGGCUGCUCCCGCCAUCCAUUAGCACCUUUGAAAGCUGGGUGUUGACGAUGAUGGGGUCGACGACGAGCGGGUAGACGCCUGGGGCGACUACCUUGUCCGGGUGAUUUCUCGAUCAAAAGUGAUGGGAGUGCUCGACCAGCUGAGGUACUGGGGCACCGCCAUUCUCGCCGCGAAGACCUCAUGUCGUUCCCUUUUGCGCUGCCUUGUGGUCAACUGCGUCGAGGGCCCACCAUAAAUCAUGUAGCAGUCGUGGACGGCUGGGAAGCCGUCGUCAUCUUUGUUGUCCUCCUUGUUGCCGCCCUUCUCCUUCUUUGAGUCGUCACGCGCAUCCUUUCUGAACCCCAGACCAUCGAAAUGCUUUCUCAGCAUACGACAGUCCUUGAGCUCGUGGUUGGCACCUCCCUUAUUGUCGAGGGUAUCAACAAGGGGUACCCUCACCAAUGCGUAUAACCAGGCCAUCCGUACGCACGCGCGGCCAUCGACGGUCGCAGCCUCGAAGACGGAAAUGCCAUCGAGCGAAUCAGUCAGGGCUCGAGCGACCACUGUCGUCGAAUACGGAAGCGGGCUCGAGCGAACCGAGAGGCAUCGAGCGCAAGGACACUGUCUGCCGCCUGACGCGCGCACGAGAGCCAGGGCAUUUAAUGCACCUGACGCUUCCCCACCUAACACACGGGUCACGGGAGGCUUCUGUCCCAUCGUUCUUUUUGCAGCCUUCCCACCGAACGAUCAAGGGCGUGUUAGGACGCAGGGAACAAGGAUGGAACGUCUAAUCGGGACCCCCUCGAGACCUCCAAGGUCAGCGCUCCAGAUAUCAGCACAUUACACGGCGUCCGACCCUCGACCGAACAGGGUCCCUUCCUAGGGGCAAGUUGGGCGUCGACUGACAACACCACAGCUACCCCGCCGGAUCCGCCGCCAUACCGUACAAGCAUGCGACCUCAGAACCAGCGCGAGGCGGCGGGCAGGGCCGAACGCAGGAGCACGCGUAAUCAUCACCGGGCUAUCAAGAUGGGACGGCUCGAGGCCAUGCCGUACGGAAGCCUCGAGUAGGUCAGCGCUCCAUGCGGCUAUCGACCCCUACUCUAACAUCUACGCAUGUACCCUGGGUCUCUCCUUGGAGCUAUAAAAGGAGAGACUCAGGAAUAGAACGGGCAUCACGACACAAGACCAUACUCAUAUGUAGUAGAGCUCCACAUUCCAUUCCACGCUUGUAUUCGCCCCUGUACAAGCACUUAGGUGCAAGAUAGUAUAAACUCUCUCCCCCCGCUGGACGUAGGGCUUUCUCUUGCCCGAACCAGGAUAAAUCUCUGUGUCUUCUUGCAUCACCAUCCGGGAAAGGGAGCACGCAUACAAAUUUACUCGUUGGUGUGACCCCCCCCCGGGGGAAAACACCGACAGUUGGCGCGCCAGGUAGGGGUCCUGCGUGUUUUUCAUCGAUUUCCCACUCCUUUCCGGAUGGCUACUCUUGCCUCGCCGUUUCCGCGCUCCACGGUGAUUUGGUUUGGGAGCCUCGAGUUCAUGUCUACGGGCUCCGGCUACGACAUGAUCUUGCUCUCAGUCAAAGGACCAGGAGGAGCCCGCGUUACGCCAGCACGGUUGAAGGCCCCGAGACGCCCUCACCACCACGCCUCCCCGCCUAAGAAGAGGUGCGGACAGCACCACCGCGGCCCCUCUGCUUCAGCACGACCAACAACUCGUGCGAGGCAGGGCGUAGGCCACAAGUCGGCGGCACCAUGGGACGGAGCAACAAGCGCGACGACUCAGCACCGCGUGACGACGGGAGGUGACACGUCUCGCGCGCUCUCCCCCACCGCUGCUAGGCUACUUCCACACGGGUUGUUCACUCCAAGAGCGGCACUGCCGUUCGGAUUGGACAACGCCGCGGCGUCGCUCGCCAGGACGAUAUGCCCAAACGCCCAGACGUACGUUGAAAGACCAAUGGUCCUCCCACGUAGCUCUGAAGCGCGGCGGUCGGCGUCCGAGCUGCCGGACCUUUCCCGAGUACAAGGCCUCCGUCGUCUAGGCCCCGGACGAUACUCGAUCACCUCCCUCAGGCAACGAUUGCUGGAGGAAGGACGUGGGUGUUUCUACGCCGCCGAACCGGACUCCGACUCCGAGACGGACAGCUAUGACCCUAUGAGGGAAUGCUAUCACAUCGACGGGGCGGUAGAAACUACUGACGAGACCCGGGAUGCUGCUGCGGGAGGUCGAGCUCCCGCGGCGCGAGAAGACCCCAGGACGCCUGGGAACGACGGACAGGUCGACCCCCCCUCCUCAUGAAGACAGAACCGCACAGCUCGCGCAGCUGCGGGAGCUCAAGAUGAAGCUCGACGAAGACCGCGAGCGCCUCGUCCUGCUCGAGCAAAUCCUCGAGCAAGACCUGCCCUACCCGCCGGGCGGAAGUGUCCGCAGACGCGCUCGAGAGGUACAUCGACAGAUCGUCGGCGACUCAGAGCCAGAGCAACCUGUCAGCCGUUUCCCUCGAGUGGGCCAGAAUGUAGUGGCAGCGACGAUGCUGCUACGUAACAUGCCAGAGCCGUCGAAUUCCCAGGCCCGACGCAUUCGAGAUGAGGUACAGACAUUGCUCCAGGUGGCGGCGGUUCAACAAGCCGAAAGUUCGGCGUCUCGACGGCGAGGAGCUGCCACAGAGAAGCGCGACGAACAGCCUCUAAACGAAGAGGAGGUGUCAGUCCAACAACAACCUCCCCCUCGAGGUAGAAAGACCGCUCUCAUCCUCCCUGUCGAAGGUCAACGUCGACACGACGCACGGCACGACAUCAAAGAAAAUCGACGCCGCCGGCACGGAGACGCGGAAGAGCGCGGUUAUAGCGCGCAUCGCGGUGGGAGAUACGACAACGACGAGGACCGGGUGGCCCCCGAGCCACCAGGCCCACGGGUGUUCAGCAGGGCGAUCCGCAGCACGCCCCUGCCCAAUCCAUUUUGACCCCCGACCAGCAUCGCGAAGUACAAUGGAGAGACCAAACCAGAGUUGUGGCUGGCCGACUUCAGGCUGGCCUGUCAGCUAGGUGGCGCUCGAGGUGAUGAUCGAGCCAUCAUCAGACAGCUACCCCUUUUCCUCUCCGACACCGCCCGUCGAUGGCUCGAGGAACUCCCUGCCAAUCAGAUCCACAACUGGGUUGAUCUGGUCAGAGUCUUCGAGGGUAACUUCAAAGGGACCUACAUACGACCAGGGAACUCGUGGGACCUCAGCAAGUGCAAGCAGAAGUCAUGAGAAACUCUUCGGGAGUAUGCUCGGCGCUUCUCGAAGUAGCGCACUGAGCUGCCGCACAUCCCUGACCAUGACAUCAUCUUGGCGUUUGUCUCGGGCACCACCAGUCGAGACUUGGUGCGGGAAUUAGGUCGCAAUCGACCUCAGACCGUCGACGAGCUGAUGGACGUAGUAGCCAACUACGCGGCAGGGGAGGAGGCAGUCGGCGCCUUCUUCAGCUCGGAAGGAAGGAAAGGCAAGCAGCCCAUCAACAAAGAUGGGACCCCCAGUCGAGGCCUCAAGAAAAACAAAAAGAAGCAGAAAGUGCGGCAGUUCCACCGGGAAGAUUCCGAUGACAACCUUGUCGCCGCCAUGGAUCGAAAGAAGCCUCGAGGCCCUCCGGAUGGAGGCAUCUUUGACAAGAUGUUGGAGGAGCCGUGCCCUUACCAUAAGGGAGGCGCCAACCACAAGCUCAAGGACUGUCGUAUGCUGAGAAAGCAUUUCGACGGUCAGGGGUUCAAAAAAGAUACGCGUGAUGACUCCAAGAAAGAGAAGGCUGGCAGCAAGGAGGACAACAAAGAUGACGACGGCUUCCCUGCCAUCCACGACUGCUACAUGAUCUAUGGCGGGCCCUCGACUCAGUUGACCACGAGGCAGCGCAAAAGGGAGCGUCGCGAAGUCUUUGCAGCAAGAAUGGCGGUGCCCCAAUACCUUAGCUGGUCAAGCACUCCUAUCACUUUCGACCGAGAAGACCACCCCGACAAGGUAGUCGCCCCAGGCGUCUACCCGCUCGUCGUCGACCCCAUCAUCGUCAACACCCGGCUCUCGAAAGUGCUGAUGGAUGGCGGUAGCAGCCUCAACAUCAUCUACCUCGAGACCCUUGACCUCCUCGGCAUAGAUAGAGGGAAGCUCCAACCAAGUGCCGGCGGGUUCCAUGGCGUCGUGCCAGGAAAAAAGGCGCUGCCAGUAGGUCGGAUUGACUUACCGGUCUGCUUCGGCACGGCGGUCAACUUCAGGAAGGAGACCCUCACCUUCGAGGUGGUUGGGUUUUGAGGCACGUACCACGCCAUCAUCGGGCACCCGGGCUACGCCAAGUUCAUGGCUAUACCCAACUACACCUAUUUGAAGCUGAAGAUGCCCGGUCCCAAAGGUGUCAUCACUGUCAGUUCCUCUUUCGAGCACGCGUACGAGUGCGACGUCGAGUGCGUCGAGUACGGGGAGGCGGUCGAGAACUCCACCGAGCUCGUCGCGAAGCUCGAGACCCUGGCCGCUGAGGCUCCAGAGCCUAAGCGCCACGCGGGCAGCUUCGAGGCGGCGGAAGGAACCAAGAAGAUCCCACUCGACCCCAACAACUCCGACGGCAAAGUGCUGACGAUCAGCACCGACCUCGACCCCAAAUAGGAAGCUGUGCUCGUCGACUUUCUCCGUGCAAAUGCCGACAUGUUUGCAUGGAGUCCCUCGGACAUGCCAGGCAUACCGAGGGAAGUCGCCGAGCACUCCUUGGAGAUUCGAGCCGGUUCCAAGCCAGUGAAGCAGCGGUUGCGCUGAUUCGACGAGGAGAAGCGCAAGAUCAUUGGCGAGGAAGUCCACAAGCUUUUGACGGCCGGAUUCAUCAAGGAGGUUCAUCAUCCUGAUUGGUUAGCAAACCCUGUAUUAGUUAAGAAAAAGAAUGGGAAAAUGAGGAUGUGUGUCGAUUAUACUAGUCUGAAUAAAUCAUGUCCAAAAGUUCCCUUUCCAUUGCCACGCAUUGAUCAGAUUGUCGAUUCUACCGCGGGAUGUGAAACCCUUUCUUUCCUUGAUGCAUAUUCUGGUGACCACCAAAUAAAAAUGAAGGAGUCCGACCAGCUCGCGACCUCUUUCAUCACGCCUUUUGGGAUGUAUUGCUACGUGACCAUGCCAUUCGGGCUUCGAAACGCGGGAGCCACGUAUCAACGUUGCAUGCUCCACGUGUUUGGCGAACAUAUAGGGUCCACGGUCGAGGCCUACGUCGACGACAUUGUCGUCAAGUCAAAGCGACGAGGAGACCUGAUCCAGGACCUCGAGAUUGCCUUUACCUGCCUACGCACCAGCCGGAUCAAGCUCAAUCCCGAGAAGUGCGUUUUCGGUGUGCCUCGAGGCAUGCUCCUAGGUUACAUCGUUUCGCAGCGCGGCAUCGAGGCCAACCCCGAGAAAGUCUCGGCCAUCAUGAAAAUGGGGCCGAUCCGAGACAUCAAGGGUGUAUAGAGAGUCACGGGGUGCCUGGCGGCUCUGAGCCGUUUCAUCUCGAGACUAGGAGAAAAGGCAUUACCAUUAUAUCGACUCCUAAAGAAGGUCGAGCGUUUUUCUUGGACCCCCGAGGCCGAGGAAGCACUCGAAAGGCUGAAGAAGACGCUGACCUCGGCCCCAGUCCUGGUUCCACCUCAACUUGCGGAGCCGAUGCUCCUCUACGUCGCGUCGACGACCCAGGUCGUCAGCGCGGCGGUGGUGGUCGAAAGACAAGAGGAGGGUCAUGCGCUGCCGGUCCAAAGGCCAGUCUAUUUCGUCAGCGAGGUGCUUUCGGAGACCAAGACACGUUAUCCCCAAAUCCAGAAGCUGAUCUACGCCAUAAUCCUUGCCCGCCGCAAGCUGCAGCAUUACUUCCUCGGUCACCCCAUCACGGUGGUUUCGUCUUUCCCUUUAGGAGAAAUAAUCCAGAGCAAAGAGGCCACGGGAAGAAUAGCAAAAUGGUCGGUCGAGCUCAUGAGUGAGACUCUCACUUACGUGCCUCGGAAGGCCAUCAAAUCGCAAGCCCUGGUAGACUUCGUCGCGGAAUGGACGGACUCCCAGCUUCCCCCGACUCAGGUCCAGGCGGAGCUGUGGACAAUGUAUUUCGACGGGUCACUCAUGAAAACUGGGGCCGGGGCCGGCCUGCUGUUCAUCUCACCCUUAGGCGUCCACAUGAGGUAUGUAAUCAGGAUUCAUUUUGCCGCAUCAAACAAUGUCGCAGAAUAUGAGGCCCUGGUCAACGGUCUCAAGAUCGCUAUCGAGUUAGGAGUCCGACGCCUCGACGUCCGAGGAGACUCCCAACUCGUCAUCGACCAAGUAAUGAAAACCUCGAGCUGCCACGACCCAAAAAUGGAAGCGUACUGCAAGGAGGUCCGCCGACUCGAAGACAGGUUCCACGGUCUCGAGCUUGUCCGUGUCGCUCGACGCUACAACGAGGCAGCCGACGAACUCGCCAAGAUCGCAUCGACCAGAGGCACGGUGCCGCCUGAUGCAUUCUCAAAAGAUCUUCAUGAGCCAUCCGUCGACCUAGGCACGGGGGCUGGCGUCGACGCCACCACCGCCCAACCGACCAACGCUGUUGAUACGCUCUUGAUGGUGGAAGAAAUGAUGGAGAUAGAACGACGACCAGGCCGACCAUUCGAUUGGCGCACACCGUUCCUCGACUGCCUUAUCCGCGGCGAGUUGCCAGAAGACAGGUCAGAAGCUCGUCGUAUCGCUCGGCGGGCCAAAUCAUAUGUGAUCUAUGGUGAAGACAACGAGCUAUAUCGACGGAGCCCGACGGGGGUCUUGCAACGUUGCAUCACUGUGGAAGAAGGCCGAAAACUCCUCAAUGACCUGCACUCGGGGGCUUGCGGUCACCACGCCGCUCCACGGACCCUUGUAGGGAACGCUUUUCGACAAGGCUUCUACUGGCCAACGGCCGUGGCGGACGCCAUCGAGCUCGUAAGAUCAUGUCACGGGUGUCAGUUCUACGCCAAGCAGACGCAUCUGCCUGCCCACGCUCUUCAGAUGAUCCCCAUUACCAGGCCGUUUGCGGUGUGGGGGCUCGAUUUAGUAGGACCUCUACAAAAGGCAAAAGGAGGAUUCACCCAUUUGCUGGUGGCCAUUGACAAGUUCUCCAAAUGGAUCGAGGCUCGACCCAUCACUGUGGCAGAACCCCCUAAGUGUUUGGGCCCACCGGCACCUGCCAUUGUCCUAAGGACCUCUGACGGUGAUGCCGGGAGUCCUCCCACUUCAGAAGUCCGAUGAGCAUUGCUGGGCGCUCAUUCCACUGCUACCUGUGGCGUACCAAGCUGGCUCGUCCUGACCACUGGUAAUGGUCAAACAACGAGAACUGUUUCUUCUCGCCCUUACAGGAUAGCAAGUGGCCACCUUAACACCAGGAUCAUUCGUUGCGAAGAUAAAGCAGUAACUCAACGACACAAGACCAAAAUAAUAUUUCAGAGUGAAACAGCGGAAGUAUUACAUAACUUAAUUUACAAAAGGAGUUUUUCCAAAUAGUAGAGUGUUAUUACAAGCCUGGUCCAGCGGAGCAACUGAAACUUUAGUAUAGACAGAACAAAUUUACAGACCCUGCCCAUGGGUCACGCUCACUCUUCUUCGUCGUCAACCUCGACGACGGUCACACAACAGGGUCCGAAACAAGUCGGCUCCUGUGCUUCACCUGCAACAGGGGUAUUGAAACCCUGAGUACGGGAGCACUCAACAAGACUUACCCGAUGGGAAAAAAAGAGAACUUAGGGAUGCAGGCUUAGGGUAGACAAGGGGUGGCUGAGCAAGGAGCCAAAGUGUUUUGCGUAAAAAGCUUACUAGUAGUGCAUCCUUAUUUUCAAGUUUUACCCACGAAUUCCUCCCUCGCAGAGGCCGAGGAGUUCGAGGACAGUCUAACUGGUUGUUCCUCACAGACGAAUCCGUGAGUUCCUAGUCCUAUCAUAAAGUAUUAUUUAUCGAUGGCCAUAGCUUCAUGUCGCUAUGAGUCCGGGAAUUGGGAUCCGAACCUCAUGGGACAUUUUCCCCUUUCUCAUGUUAUCAUUCAGUUGCAUAUUUAACUACGAUGAGGGUCGAAGGAAUUGAGUCUCCCAAUCGGGGAGCAACGACGAUUCGAAUCGCUUAGCAAUCCAGCUGGAGUUCCUAACCACCCGACAUAUGUAGAACCAAAUCUUGCAUAUAUCAACCCAAAUCAAGCUCUCCCCAAAUUUGACCAGGUUCGCGGCAUCCGAGAGCACAGUACUCCACCAUCCUACAGCCGAUCUAGAUGUUUUCCGGUCAUCUCAGAUCCGUAAGGUGGGUACACACUACUCUCGCCAUCUUUCCACUCCCAGUGCGCGAGUAGCUGUUCGCGUCGAGGGAUCACAAGACUGGGCUUACCGAGGGCAAGCGGUUAGUACUAUAAAUUCUCAACCCAGCAGUCCAUCAACGGAACGGUCCUUAAUCGACACAGUCGGAGACACUACUUUAAGACUCCAUUCUUAGAGCAAGUCCACCGACCGGUCUCAAAUUGAAACAUCAUUGAUCAUAAGUGUAUCCCACAACAACCCUUCAAACUUUCUUGUUUGAAAACCUAUCUAGUAGCAGGGCUAAGCAUCGCUACGCAGUUUUAAAAUAAAACAGGUGUCAAGGACAGGAUAACAGAUGUCAAGGUAGUAAAUGCAGCAAGUAGGUUAACCCAAUUCUCAACUACCUAAUGCAGCAUUUUCAAUUCAUGAGUGAUAAAAGAUUUAAAAUAUCCAAGGAGGGGUUAAUGCAUCCGGGGCUUGCCUUGGUUGCAGGGCAGAGAGGGACCCUCGGAGACUUCCCAAGUCUCGGAUCCUACUUCUUCGAAUGGAGCACCGACCUCGGGGUUCGGUUCAACGGGCGCUCCUUCAGUCACGGACACUAUACGCAAAAUGAUGAAUGCUUAUGAUAUGCGUAUGGCAGUUAUGCAAGAUGGACCGAAUUAAGUACGAUUUGUCUUUUUAAUGCAAUACAGAAUUGUCACUAAAUAAAGUUGUUUAACAAUUUACUGUUUUUACCCAAGAGAUUGCAUCAGUAAAUUAAAACUCCUUUUAAUUCCUAAUUAUCCUGAAUUAACUAAUUAUUAAUCCUAUUUACCUUAAUCAAUUCUUAAUUAACUACUAAUGACAGUAAUUAAGCAUUAAGGCUAAACAAUAAUUAAGUGCCAAGGUCAUUAGGGUUAAUGACCUCAGGUCAUCACACAAUCCCAAAAUCACUCAACCCUAAUUAUGAGGAUUUAAUUAAUCACUAUCUACUUAUUUUGGAAUUAUUAUUUAAGUGCUAAAUAAGGGUUUAUUAAUAUUUUAAACAAACAUUAUCCAAAUGCCACCAAAUUUUGGGUGGAGCCAGGGAAUAAUAUCCAGAGGCUCCCCACAAUUUUUGGUGAUUUUUGGACACCCCAAUAAAUUACUAAAAUUCAUCAAAGUUUUAUUUGCUAAUUAAAAGAGCCAAUUUUUUUAUAUCCUUGCAAACUAUUAGAAAGCAGAACCUAGUAUUUUUCUUGGAUCCUACAUAUUUCAGAGAGUUUGUACAAAAAUUCUCAUUAUUUUUGGAUCAGCACAGAAUUCACCAUUCAAAUUCAAACAUUAAGCACUUUUAAACAAAAAGAAAAAAAAGAAAAGGGCACUGUGCCACGCUGGCGGCCCGCUGGGAUCCGGCCCAAGUUGGCCCGAGAGUGCUCUCCCGCGCGGAUCGCGCGCGCGCUCUCUUUUACGCGGCCACUGACGGGCGGGUCCCGCCCGUUAGAGGCGUCUUCAACCUCCCACCACGGCUCCGGUGAGCUCCGGCUCCGCGCCGGUGAGCUCCCGGCCUGCGCGGCGGGGUGGGUUAGCAUCUCUGGUGUCUCACGCAACCUCUAGGACACACGAGACCACCUCUACUCCCUCCUACCCUCCCUGUCCACGCUCAUGGCGGAUGGCCGCCGCGGCCGAGCCAACGCCGGCCGCUUCAGGCGAGUAGAGCGUGAAGUAAGCGGCGCAACAGCACCAGAAGCUCACCGUGACUUCAACGAAGCAAGAAACAGCAGCGGGGAGGCGCGGGGUGAAGCUGGCCACGGUGAAGUGCUCCCGGCGGCGCUUUGGCCGGAGUUGGAAGGAAAUGGCUCGGUAGAGGGCGAGGGUGGGUUAUAGCUUGUGCGUGGGGGUGCAACCGGUGGCGGAGCUCAAGGCGGAGUCGCUGGGGUGCUCAAAUCGCGUGGAAAGGCAACGGAGAGGACGAAUUUUGGCGGCGGAUGGUGGUGGUCGGCGGUGAGGUUCAAAGGAAGAAAAAGAAACACUCCGGCCGUCCGAGGCUUUAUCCAAGCGGCGGAACAGGGGAUGUGGAUGAGGCCGUCCGCGCGAAGCACAGCAGCAAGCAGCUGCGUGGCCAGCUGCGUGGCGUCGCGCGCGGAGGCGGCUCUGCCGCGGCGGCAGAGCAACCCCCUGCCAAACACUGUAGCAGGCCACAUCCAUUCAGUUUGUCUUUUUGCGAAAUCCGACCAAAAUUUGAACUAAAGUCAAAUUUCCACCAAAACAAAAGUUGUGCCAAAUUUUGUAAGCUACAAAUCAUAUUUAGGUGUCCCAAGCUGAUUCUCAAAGGAAAAAGGUUAAUUUUGCCAGGCAGUUUGAAAAUCAACUCAAUUCAAAGGAAAUUCAAAUUUUUGAAUUGGGGCAAAUCAUGAUUUCCAAAAUUACUUUUGAUUUGGCAUAACAACUUGAAAAACUCCCAACAUGAAAGUUGCUCAAAUUUUUGUGCUCUACAACUUUCAUGUUGACCACUUUUCAAAAUUCCAAAUGGAUUUUGAAUUGGGGGUUUAAGUUGGAAAAGGGGACACUUUUCGGAAAUCUGUAUUUUCAAAAUUACUUUGAAUCUUGUAUUGAAACCUCAAAAACUCAAAACACCAAAGUUGUACAUCUUGCCAAGAGCUACAACUUUGCUUUUGAACUCAACCUCAAAUUUUGCUUAGUUUUUGACUUAUGCAAAAGGGGACAAAUCUAGGAUCCAGAAAUCAGGGUUUUCCCCCCCUUAGCUUUUCGGAAAAAAAAUCCACCCUAGGGUUUUUAGCAACCACACAAGCAUCAACAUCCCACAUAAACACACUCUACCUCCCUAAGCUCAAGCAAUAAAAAUAAACUUGUUUUAAGUUGAUGCAUACUAAUGUACUUUAACAAAUAUGAUUUGCAAUGCUCGUGAUGACAUGAUCCAUUUUUAGUAACCGUAACAUCAGGGAUGUUACAAUCACCAACAUCCGCUCCGAGCAGGCCGUCCUUUUCUUCACCGACAUUAUCCAUCGGUUUGGGAUCCCCAAUGUCAUCAUCACCGACAACGACACCCAAUUCACCGGCAAAAAGUUCUUGGACUUCUGCGAUCGGCAUCACAUCCGUGUGAACUGGUCUGCAGUAGCCCACCCUCGAACUAACGGCCAAGUCGAGCGUGCCAACGACAUGAUUUUGCAAGGACUCAAGCCAAGGAUCUACAAUCGAUUGAAGAAAUUCGGCAAGAAAUGGGUCGAGGAGCUUUCCUCAGUCCUAUGGAGCCUUAGGACAACACCAAGCAGGGCCACAAAAUACACCCCGUUCUUCAUGGUCUACGGCUCUGAAGCUAUCCUGCCCACAGACCUCGAGUAUGGGUUACCUCGACUCAAGGCCUACAACGAGCAAUCGAACAAAGAGACUCAAGAAAACGCGGUCGACCAACUUGAGGAGGCUAGAGACAUGGCCCUCCUCAACUCUGCCAGAUAUCAGCAAAGGCUUCGAUGCUACCACGACAAGCAUGUGCGCAAGAGGGACCUCAACGUGGGUGACCUAGUCCUACGACGCCGGCAAAGCAAUCAGGGACGCCACAAGCUGACUCCGCCUUGGGAAGGUCCGUACGUGGUAGCCAAGGUCCUGAAGCCGGGAACGUACAAGCUGGCGGACGAAAAGGGGGCAAUUCUCACCAACGCAUGGAACAUCGAACAGCUACGUCGAUUCUACCCCUAGAAGUUCUAAACUUAUGUUCCUGCUUACGUUUUGUACCAAGACUUUGUAAACGAAUGAAUGAAUAAAUAAAGUCUUUCCCUCGAAACAAUUCUUCUUUCUUUGCGCCGAGAAGAUUAAUAAAUCACGAUCUCGACGUUAGAAGGGGGCGCCGACUAUGACCCAUCAUAGUCAGCACCCCCUCGGGGGCUACCAGGGGGACGACACCCCCCCCGAGUAUCGAAAAAACCGAGAAGUUUUCUUUUCUUACGUAGUAAACCUUGCACGGUUCGAGUUGCUAAGGCACCUCGAGCCCCUCAAAGGCCGAGGGACAACGAGCUGGAGAACUCCUACGCCCCCGGGCUACGGAAACUCUACUCGCUUCCCCACCAUUGAAGUGAUCGAGGUGGUCUUUUACGAAAAAUCGAGCAAGGGAUACAAACGUAGGCGCAAAGAGAGACGAAAGCAUCAAGCGGAAAGACUAAAUAAGCGUCUGACAAUUACGAAAGUGAUACAGCAUCAGUUAACCACAGAAUUCACAAAGUAUUGUACAAGGGGCCUCAGGCGCCCUGAGCAGGCUCGCAGGCCUUAGUCCGCGGCACGAUCCUCACCGCCCUCGCCUCCGCCCGAGCUAGCCUCAGGACGGAGCACCUCAGGCUCGAAAAGCUUGGCCAACCUUUCCCCAGGAGCCUCCGCGUCGUCGAUCAAGGCAUGGAGCCUCUCCUCGUUCUCCGCAUCGGUCUUAGAGAUGUCGGUGACGAAGCCAUGGGACACCACCUCCAUGUCGUAGGAGAAGCCCGAGCAGACAACCGCCAUCGCCCGCUUCACCCCGAUAUGGAGGGCGUCCCGCACCCGAUCUCGCAGCGUCACGCCUAUGUAGCACAACUGGUCGACCAGGGCGUCACCUCGAGCGUCCUCCCUCGACUCAUCCAUAGGCUCGACCUCCCAAGAGGUCGAGAGAUCACUUAUCGCCGUCCGUACUCGACGGUUCAAAGCAACCUCCGCCUCGAGCUGAGCCUUGGCGUUGCGAGCCUCGGCUUGGGCGGCCAGGAGCUCGUCCUUGAGCCCUGUAAAAGCCAAUACAAAGAAACCUUAGGAAAAACUAAGCACACCUCGGAAAAAGAAAUCUGAUAGAGGAAACAUACCGCGUACGGUCUCCUCGAGGGCCGUGUUCUCGCCGACCAGCCUGGUGUUGGCCCCCUCGAUCUCUUUGUUGGAGCGUGCCAGCUCAGUGUUGGCAACGCGGAGAUCCUCGAUCGCCUUGCCAGCCUGAGCAAUGGCCCCACUCUUCUCCAGCAAUUCUCCCUUCAGACACUCGAUGUCGUUAGAGAGACUGCGGGAUCGAGCCCGCUCUGCCUCGAGAUCUUCGAGGGCUUUCUUCUUGGCUUCCUCCGCGGCGCCCCUGGCGACCUCGCUGUUCACGUGCUCCACCUUCAUCUUUCAGAAGGACUCUCGGAGAGAGUCCAGGUUGGAUUUAAGGAGGCCCUUCUCCUUGUCCAGAUCCACGAUAACGCUCUUGUAGGACAGGGCCUCCUCCCGGGCUCUGGACGCGGCUUCCUCGACCGUAAGAGCCCGCUCCCGUAGCUGCAUCGUCUCCUCCUCCGCCUUCUUCGAGGCCUCUCGGGCCUCAGCCAGGGCAGCCUCCCUCGCCUUCUUCUCCUCCUCGAGCGCUAUGAGAUCUUUGUAAGCUUUAAGGAGCUUUUCCUGCGACUCGAGGAGUUGAUCCUUGAGGAGGGGGAGCUGCUCCCAACCGCCCCUCGUGGCGUGUAUGAAGCUGGACUUGAUGCGGGAGGUCUCUUUCAUAUCCUGCGAAUCAAGAGUCGGAUGGAUUAGAAUACAGAAACCUGAAAGCACCAUGAGGAUUGGAGUUCGAGAAACACUUACGAAAUAAGCCGGGCCGAGCCCGUUGUUGAUAACGUCCGAGAGGAGCCCCACCACAUGCUUCAUCCAAAGGCGGAGCUCCUCGACGUGUUCCCACUUCUCCGCUUCCUUCCGAUCGUCGAGGAAGAUGUCGGGCUCAGACGGGUCGUGGGAGGCCCGGAUACGGAUGCGGUCGGGGCACCAGUGCUCCAUCUCCCGGUCAGCCCGCGCCUUAACGCCGCGGAUGAGGCCCUCGACGGUCUCGAGGGAGCCCCCAUGGCGCAGGAACAGGUCGACGAGGCAUGGGAACCGUCCGUCGUCGUCCACCGUCUUCCAGGUUCCAUCCUUGGUCCCCGAUGCCCCAAUUUCAUCCUCCUCGGAAGGAAAGCGGUCCUCCCACGCCCGACGUUCCCGGAGGAACCCUGGAGCGAUCCCGUCCAUGCCGUAAAUUGACCUCUUGAUAUCGGACUCGGCGUCGGGAGGCGUGCGCUUCAGGCAGGCGAGCGCCACCACUCCGUCCGCUCGCCCCGGCUCUGCCCGGAUCGCAGCCGGUGCCCCCGGGAGGAGCCACGCCGGGGUUGGGGGGCCGUACACCGGCAGGUCCUCCUCCUCGCCGAGCUCUUGCGGCUCCGGUAGCACUGGCUGGGCCGAACCUUGGGGCGGAGGCUCGAGCGGUCCCUCCUCUUGGCCCGCCUGCCGCUGCUGCAGUUGCUGCUGCGGUGGUUGCUGCUGUUGUCGCUGUUGCUGCUGCUGCUGUUGCUGUUGCUGCUGCUGCUGUUGUUGUUGCUGCUGCUGCUGUGCCUCAUGCUCCUGUGGCCGCCGCGCCGCCUCGUGCUCCCGCUGUUCAUCCUCCUCCCUCUUCUUCCUCUGCUCCUCGAGGGUGCGGAGGCCGGCGGGCCAGGGAGUCGAUCCCGCGACGUUGGGGGUCGACGCUUCCUCCUCCAUAGGGCGAGCGCCCCUAGACGCUUCGUUACCAUCGGACGUAUCGCUGAUGGUGAUGGGUUCCCCCUCGACCCCCAAUCGGGGGGGCUCGGGGGCUCCCUCUGACGCUUGCGUCUGGGGCGCCUCAUCACGAGUCGGCGGCAACGGAGUAGGCGCGGGACGAGACGGAGCCCUCUCGACGCCGGCUGGAGGUUGGGAGCUGGAGGAGCCUACGAAACAAAGGGUAAGGGUCAGAUGUUAUGAUAACCGACACAGGAACAUCGCAACGCCCAGAAAUAAACUACGAACCUGGUUCCUUGGAGGCGGCACCCGUUCUGAGCUUCUUUGCCAUGGACGGUUGGGCCUGCUCAAGGGUCCGCUUCAGCCUGAGAAAAGGUUGGCAUAUGAAGAAAGGUGGAAGAAUAGGAAGACAAAAACCGCAACAUCAAAAAGGCUUACCCCACAGGGAGAACGGCUCGCCUUCCGCCACCCCGACCAGUGGGCCUCGAGCCACCCCGCGUCGGGGCUCCAGGCCCCUCGAGGGGAGGCACUGGCUUAGGCGCAUCGGUCCCCGCCUGGCGGGCGCCGGGACUGGCGCUCCUACGGCCGGCAUCUCCUUUCUCAGAGGCCGCGGCGCGACCACGAGUUAGUGGCCCCGACGCCUGGGGCCUAGCCAGACUGCUCUCCCUGGGCACCGGGGGAGGGCGCGGUGCGUCUUGGCCCGCCUUGGGCGCGGGAGGGGUGUCGGCCCGGGGGCGACGAGAUCCGCUCGGACCCUCCUCUGGUGCCUCCGUCCGGGGGGCGUCGACGUCACCUCGAGGCGGGCCCUCGAGAAUCCGAUCGAGGCGCGACGCCAUCCCCUCGGAGUCAUUGCUAUCCUCGUCAUCAUCGUCAUCAUCGUUAGGAGAUUCUUCCUCAGGCUCCCCCCUCUGCCUGGAUUUGGCUCGACGCGCCUCUAAUGCUUGGCGGUCGAGGUUUUUCUUCUUCUCCCCCUUCUUUGCAGAGUCCUUGGCAGACUUUAGCUUUUCGGCAGAUUGGCGCCGUUUGUCACGAUCGACCUCGUCCUCCUUUACCGGAGGCCUCGAGGACCGGACAUCAAUCCGACCCUGCCAAAACUAAGGUAGACUUAGAAAAAAGAGAGGGGAGAAAGGAAACCCAGAAUCGAGGCUGCGCGCAAGAAGAAGGCGUACCAGAUCGAUCGAGCCUGCGUCAGGUCUCAUGGGGAAGCCGUUAACAUGCUCCGGCUGAAAAUCACCGGCAAUUGCAGCCCUGACUCGGGCCACGACUUCGUCGUCCGCCGGAGCCUCGUUGGACAUCCGACACGCCUCAAGGUCCCGAGAUGAGACACUAGGGCCCAUCUCGUCCAUCCUCAACGGUCGAGACAUCAAAGGGAGAACUCUCCGGUGAUGGACGGCCGAGAGGACGAGAGCGGCGGUCAAACCCUCCUGGCGAAGCUUCUUCAGGGCGUCGAGGAGGGGGUCGAGCCGAGAUUGAUGAGCUUGGAUGACGCCGUACGUCCAAUCCGCUAGACGCUCCAUGAUCAGACGGCCCGAGUAGGAAGGCAGGAGGUUGUCAUCGUUCCGCAGAUAAAACCACUGGGAGUCCCAGCCGGCGUGGUUGGUCGAUAACCCUACCGGGAUGUACUCCCGCGGCCUGUCCGUCUUCCCCGUCUUCUACACCAGAUUGAGGCAUCCCGCCCGCACGGGUUUCCUUACGCCCGUGGUUCCGGUGGGGGCAUGGAAAAGCUCGCCCCUGUAGAGGUGGAGCCACAGCUCCCAGUGCGGCAUCAUCCCCAAGUAGCCCUCACAUACCGCGGCGAAGACCGCCGCUACGGUGAUGGCAUUCGGAGAGAAGUGCUGGAGCUCCACCCCAUAAUGGAAGCAGAGGGCCCGCAUGAAGCGGCUCGGGGGCGCGCCCAGACCGUGGCGGUGGAACUUGGCAAACGACACCACGUAGCCCUCGGGCGGCUGAGGCCUCCUGUGACUCGCUGGCGGCGCGAUCCACUCUGGCGACGAUAGCGAGGUACGGCGGCGCAGCAGUCCCUCUUUCUCAAGCUCUAACAACCGGCGCUCCGUCAUCGACGACGGGCGCCAGUCGUCGGCGGCGACGAGUCUUACAGGCAUCUCGGCUGGAGGGACGGUAGAUUCACUACAGCUCAAGGAGGCGUGUGCGCGUGAGACGGCGAGAAAGCAAAGGCAACGAGAGAAUAAAAGCGAGAAGGCGGAAGGGAGAGGAACGGCGGUGACGCCACGACGUAUUUAUAGGCAGCAGUCCGCCAACGGACAGAUCCGAGAAAUAAGGUAACUCCCUCCCAUAAACGCGCUGUCUAACGGUCCUUUCUCUCCACACAGGCCGGACGCUCCGAAUUCCACGCCGAUACAGUGUCGCAACGUCACUUACCUCAAAAGGUGCGCCCAACGGGCAGAAAGACGAACCGGCACAGCAGUUUCCUUACUUUGUAAGCCAAGGUAUGCGCCCAGGAUAGUCUCGAGAGGUCGAUGGCUGGCCCGUCGAAAGGGUUCGACAGCCGAUCUCGAGCACCAAGAGUCAGGGAUCCCCAGCGAGCGGUCAAAAAUCGAGGCCCGCCUCGAGGACUCGCUGGCGAUGUCCAAGGUAGGGUCGAGACAGUCGAGAGGAAUCCCCCCGAAGGGAGGCAUCGAGCCGCUGGACUCUAUCGAAUGAGACCGGUAUCCCCGACCACGUCGACCCCGCUUUAUGAGGACGCCUCUGGGCUACAGCUGACCCCCUCGAAAGGGGCACAGGUUCUCACUUGGACUACCCGCUAGGAACUCAAUCUGGGGUGGAAGACGCUCGCUCUAUCGAGAGUACGUCGGAACCUCCACGCAAGGCAAAGCCGAACAGAACCUUCCACCACUGGUGUUGACAGCGUUUCUGCAAUUUUGGCAAAAUAACCCUCGAAGGAGUUGAAUACUCCCUCGAGGGCUCGGGGGCUACCCCCGCGGGGUCGCUCGCGCGCCCCCGUGGAAGCUCGACCGUAAAAACGAAAGUCUCCACUCGAGCGCCAGCGCUCGAAUGAAGACUCGGGGGCUACUGUCGAGGGUAUCAACAAGGGGUACCCUCACCAAUGCUUAUAACCAGGCCAUCCGUACGCACGCGCGGCCAUCGACGGUCGCAGCCUCGAAGACGGAAAUGUCGUCGAGCGAAUCGGUCAGGGCUCGAGCGACCACUGCCGUCGAAUACAGAAGCGGGCUCGAGCGAACCGAGAGGCAUCGAGCGCAAGGACACUGUCCGCCGCCUGACACGCGCACGAGAGCCAGGGCAUUUAAUGCACCUGAUGCUUCCCCACCUAACACACGGGUCACGGGAGGCUUCUGUCCCAUCGUUCUUUUUGCAGCCUUCCCACCAAAUGAUCAAGGGCGUGUCAGGACGCAGGGAACAAGGAUGGAGCGUCUAAUCGGGACCCCCUCGAGACCUCCAAGGUCAGCGCUCCAGAUAUCAGCACAUUACACGACGUCCGACCCUCGACCGAACAGGGUCCCUUCCUAGGGGCAAGUUGGGCGUCGACUGACAACACCACAGCUACCCCGCCGGAUCCGCCGCCAUACCGUACAAGCAUGCGACCUCAGAACCAGCGCGAGGUGGCGGGCAGGGCCGAACGCAGGAGCACGCGUAAUCAUCACCGGGCUAUCAAGAUGGGACGGCUCGAGGCCAUGCCGUACGGAAGCCUCGAGUAGGUCAGCGCUCCAUGCGGCUAUCGACCCCUACUCUAACAUCUACGCAUGUACCCUGGGUCUCUCCUUGGAGCUAUAAAAGGAGAGACUCAGGAAUAGAACGGGCAUCACGACACAAGACCAUACUCAUACGUAGUAGAGCUCCACAUUCCAUUCCACGCUUGUAUUCGCCCCUGUACAAGCACUUAGGUGCAAGAUAAUAUAAACUCUCUCCCCCCGCUGGACGUAGGGCUUUCUCUUGCCCGAACCAGGAUAAAUCUCUGUGUCUUCUUGCAUCACCAUCCGGGAAAGGGAGCACGCAUACAAAUUUACUCGUUGGUGUGACCCCCCCGGGGGAAAACACCGACACUUAUGGUAAGGGCAUGACUCUUCUAGCAUCUUGUCGAAAAUGCCUCCAUUUGGAGGGCCUCGAGGCUUCUUGCAUUCCGUGACGGCGACGAGAUCGUCGUCGAGGUCUUCCUGCUUGAACUGCCGCGCUCUCUGCUUCUUCUUGUUUUUCUUGGGCCCUCGACUGGGGGUCCCAUCUUCAUCGGCGGGUUGCUUGCCUUUUCUUCCUUCACAACUGAAGAAAGCGCCGACUGCUUCCUCCCCUACUGCGUAGUUUGCCACUACGUCCAUCAACUCAUCGACGGUCUGAGGGCGAUUCCGGCCCAAUUCCCGUACCAGGUCUCCACUGGUGGUACCAGAGACAAAGGCCAGGAUGACGUCGUGGUCGGGGAUGUGUGGCAGCUCGGUGCGCUGCUUCGAGAAGCGUCGAGCAUACUCUCGAAGAGUUUCUCCUGACUUCUGCUUGCACUUGCUGAGGUCCCACGAGUUUCCGGGCCGUAUGUAGGUCCCUUUGAAAUUACCCUCGAAAACUCUAACUAAAUCGACCCAAUCGUGGAUUUGAUUAGCUGGAAGCUCCUCGAGCCACCGACGGGCAGUAUCAGAAAGGAAAAGCGGUAGCUGUCUGAUGAUGGCUCGAUCGUCACCUCGAGCGCCUCCCAACUGACAAGCCAACCUGAAGUCUGCCAGCCACAGCUCUGGUUUGGUUUCACCGUUGUAUUUCACAAUGCUGGUCGGGGGUCGGAACGGACUGGGCAGGGGUGUGCUGCGGAUUGCCCUGCUGAACACACGUGGGCCUGGUGGCUCGGGGGCCAUUCGGUCCUCGUCGCUGUCGUACCUCCCGCCACGAUGUGCGCUGUAACCGCGCUCUUCCGCGUCCCCAUGCCGGCGGCGUCGAUUUUCUUCGAUGUCAUGUCGUGUGUCGUGUCGACGCUGAUUGUCGACAGGGAGAACGAGCGUGGUCUUUCUUCCUCGAGGGGGUGGCAGUUGAUGGAUAGAUACCUCCUUUUCGUUUUGGGGUGGCUCAUCGCGCUUUUCAGUGGCAGCUCCCCGUCGACGAGAAGCCGAGCUUUCGGCUUGUUGAACUGCCGCCACCUGGAGCAGAGUCUGUACCUCGUCUAGAAUACGUCGAGCUUGAGAGUUCGAUGGCUCUAGCAUGUUGCGCAGCUGCAUUGUCGCUGCCACUACAUUCUGGCCUGCUCGAGGGAAAUGGCUGACAGGCUGCUCUGGCUCUGCGUCUCCGACGAUUUCUCGGUGUACCUCUCGAGCGCGUCUGCGGACACUUCCGCCAGGCGGGUAAGGCAAGUCUUGCUCGAGGAUUUGCUCGAGCAGAACGAGGCGCUCACGAUCCUCAUCAAGCUUGGUCUUGAGCUCUCGUAACUGCGCGAGUUGUGCGGCCCUGUCUUCCUGUGGAAGCGGGUCGACCUGUCCGUCGUUCUCAGGCGUCCUGGGAUCUUCUCUCGCCGCAGGGGCUCGACCGCCGGCAGCCGCAUCCUGCGUCUCGUCGGUAGUUUCUACCGCCCUGUCGACGUGAUAGCAUUCCCUUGUAGGGUCGUAGCUAUCGGUCUCGGAGUCGGAGUCCGGCUCGGCGGCGUAGUAACAUCCACGUCCUUCCUCCAGCAGCCGCUACCUGAGCGAGGUGAUCGUGUAUCGUCCAGGACCUAGGCGGCGGAGACCUAGUACCCAGGAGAGGUCCGGCAGCUCGGACGUCGGCGGCCGUGCUUCAGUGUCAUGUGGAAGGACCAUUGGUCUUUCCACGUAUGUUUGGGCGUUUGGGUAUAUCGCCCUGGCGAGCGACGUCGCGGCGUUGUCCAACCCGAAUGGCAAUGCCCUUCUUGGGGUAAACAACCCAUGUGGAAGCAGCCUAGCGGUGGGGGAGAGCGCUCGGGGCGCGUCACCUCUGGUCGUCGUAUGGUGUCGGGCCGGCAUGCCCGCGGUUCCAGCACACGGCGCGGCCGGCUCCUGUGCUACCUCCUGCCUAGCACGAACUGCCGGUAGUGACGAGGCAGAGGGAUGACGAUGGUGCUGCCCAUGCCUCUUCUUGGGCGGGGAGGCGUGAUGUCGAGGGCGUCUCGGGGCCCUCGUUCACACUUGCGCAACGCGGGCUCCUCCCGGUCCUCUGAUUGAGAGCAAGACCAUGUCGUAGCCGGAGCCAGUCGACAUGAACUCAAGGCUCCCAAACCAGAUCACCGUGGAGCACGGAAUCGACGAGGCGAGAGUGGCCAUCUGGAAAGGAGUGGGAAAUCAAUGAAAAACACGCAGGACCCCUACCUGGCGCGCCAACUGUCGGUGUUUUUCCCACGGGGGGUCACACCAACGAGUAAAUUUGUAUGCGUGCUCCCUUUCCCAGAUGGUGAUGCAAAAAGACACACAAGGAUUUAUCCUGGUUCGGGCAAGAGAAGGCCCUACGUCCAGCGGGGGGGAGAGUUUGUAUUAUUUUACACCUAAGUGCUUGUACACGGGUGAAUACAAGCGUGGUAUGGAGUGAAAUGGAGUAUGGGAGUUCUACUGCGUAUGGGUGUAGUGUUGCGUGGUCGUGUAUGUCUAUUCCCGGGUCUCCCCUUUUAUAACUCCAAGGAGAGACCUAGAGUACAUGUAUAAGUGUCAGAGUAGGGGUCGAUGGAGGCAUGGCGCGCUGACCUACUCGAGGCCUCCGUACUGGCGUGGUCUUGAGCCGUCCCGUCUUGGCAGCUGGAUGAUGAUUACGCGUGCCCCCGUAUCCUGCUCUGUGCGCCGUCUCAGGCUGGUUCACCAGUCACACGCCUGUACGGUAUAGCGGCAGAUCCGGCGGGGUGGCUGCGGUGUUGUCAGUCGACGCCCAACUCUUCCCCAGGAAGGAAUCAUGUCUGGUCGAGGGUCACACGCCGUGCAGUGCCUUGUUGUCCAAAGCGUUGACCUUGGGUGUCUCGAGGGGGUCCCGAUUGGACGCUCCAUCCCUGCUUUCCGUUUCCUGGUACGCUCUGGGUUGUUUGGUGGGGAAAGCUGCAAAAAGAAUGAUGGGACGGGUGCCUGUUCCCUAUCACGCUUCCCGUGACCAGCGUGUUAGGUGGGAAAGCGACAAGCGCAUUAAAUGCCCUAGCUCCCGUGCGCGCGUCAGGCGGCGGACAGUGUCCUUGCGCUCGACGCCUCUCGAUUCGCUCGAGCCUAUUUCCGUAUUCGACGGUAAUUAGUGAUCGACCCCUGAGUGGUUCGCUCGACGUCCUUUCCGUCUUCGAGGCUGUGGCUGUCGAUGACCGCACGGCUUAUUAGAACGUCGAGUUGAGGGCCUCAAUCUGUGCAUGAGUAAUCUCGUCAUGUGCAUCAGUUAGGGUACCCCUUACUGAUACCCUCGACAAAUAGUUUGUUUCGCAAGUUGGCCACGGGAUCUAUCUCGUGGAAGAUUCUAGAUACACGUGUGACCCCUAUAUAAACAGACCCCUGACGUCAGCUUUCAUCACCAAUUCAUUCUUUCCUCCCUCAUUUAGAGCUUUGCUUGGUCCCUCACUCCAAUGGCCGGUAGCAGCAACCCCGAUUGGAAGAUCGUCCCAUAUGGGAUUGAUCUUAAUAAGAAGCCAAAAGUAGAUCCAGACUCCAAGGCGUUAAUGCCAAUCAACAGCGAGCGGCAGCUAGCAGCCUUUCCACCACGCCAGCGCAGUGCCAGCCAUUCUUACUAUGCUCAACCAGUCCUCACCGCGCCGCCACAACCCCUUCUCAAGGGACCACCGGUGAAGCUGGGCGCGCUCGUCAAGGUGCCUACCGGCACUAAGGUCCUACCGCCGAAGCCUAAUGAGAGGGUGGUAGGCGUGAAGACCAACAGGAGUGGUGAAAUCAGCAGCGUCCGGUACACGAUAGAGGAGGAACACCCUUACUUCGAGGGAGUACGAGCGGCGAAGGUCUAAUUCAUCCCGCCAAAGGACGCCCCGAAGCACGUGCUUAACUCUUUUGAGUCGCCGCCUAAGCGCCGUAAAACCAUAGUUGAUCUAGAGAAAGAGUUCCAUGAGAGGGAUGGAGUGAUCCUAGAGCUCCAGUCGUCUGUCAGCUUCCUAAAUAGGCAGGUCGCGAACCUGAACACAACUACGCUCAACCUUAGACGCGACCUCACUAAGGCCACUGAUAGGGUGAAGGAGCUAGACAUCACAGAGCUGCUUAGUUUGAUCUUGAGGCACCUGUAUCUUAGUUCAUUCAUUAUUAGAUUCGUUUUAGAUUCAUUAUUAGAUAAAAUUCAUUAGUCAGUUGACUUAUUGUAAUAAAUGCCUCAAGGAAAAAUAAAUAAAGAUUGCUUUAUUAUUAUGCCUCGUGUGUCUCCACUUUGUUUUAUGCAAGAGAACAGAAAACAAGUAUGGGGGAGAUCCCUGACAAGAUGAACGAACUUCAACCGCACCACUCCACUCAGGUACACGCUCUACACGCUUUAUCUCUAAACAUGAUAAAAAUAUUGUUAAUCUCACUUUAUGAUAUUUCCUGAAAACCUACAAUUAUUGACAAAUUUAUUUUUUAAAACCCUGUGCUACUCAAGUCAUUGUGGAAUGUGAGAUUGUAGAAUAUGAGUACCUUAUUCUUGAUAUCUUUGUCACUUGGAGAGUUUCUUUCAAAAACUUUAAAAAUAUUGCUACCAUCCUCAGUGUUUUAUAUGCUCUAAAGAUCAAGACAUUUUUAUUCACAAAGAUUCACUCUUCCGAAGUAUUAUUGCGUUAGAGGCAUGGGCUAUGCAAAAAUAUGAAAUUCAAGGAAAUAAAAAGGGGCAAGUGCUCGGAAACCUCAUGGAAAAAAAUGAACAAGUGUCUGACAGUAGAAUUAGGGGUACCUUGAUAUCCACCUGAAAAAAAUGAGUUGAUAAAAAUAUGAUGAAAAGAAAAUGAUAGCCCAUGGUCCAUCUAAUAAGCAAUAUAACAGUAAUAGUUGACAAGUUUUUAAUUUUUCAAAGUCUUGAUCUAAGAGUAUGGCAUUCCUCUCCUCGGAUCAUGUUUUGACUAGGCAAUAUAUGCGAGGUAAGUAUGCUUAAGAAUUGUUGCAAAUCAAAACAAGCCUCAGUGAGAUCUAUAAAAUAAUAAUAAUAAUAAUAAAAUAGUAAUAAAUAAUAUGAGUGAUAUGAGGGGACCUAUGAGGACAAAGGUCAGCUAAGUUUUUUUUUCAAAAAUAUACAAAAAAACUCCAAGUGACAGGGUUGGGAAGAAGAAAGGAUCUCUAUUCCCUAACUACAGUACAUGGUGGACAUUUUACUACACCCUGUAGGUAUGAAAAGAAUGCUUUACAAUGUUUAACCCCAAGUGAUUUUGUAAACCAUCCUUUUCUCGAGGACGAGAAAAAGCCUAGGUAUGGGGAAGUUUGUUGACGGUCCUAAACCCUAAAUUUAAUCGUCAAAUACACAAGGAAAAGGAUCCAUAUGCAAAUACCACCUAGAAUUAGGGUUUGGUUUGCCAUAAUUCCAUGAGUUUUGGUGUUUAUCUGUUUUUGCAGGGGGUUAUCAGGAAAUAUGGAGGAAAGGCCCACACGUUGGGUUUACAUAGAGAUAUUAACAUGUGCGCCAAUUUUCCUCGAUCUAGAACACUCCAGAAGCCACGGGAAGGAGCGCCCUAAACCCUAGGGUGCCCGCCCUAGCUCAGCAGCCAAUCAGGCUGAGUCUUGCGGAUUAUGCUCCACCACCUUUGGGGAUCAAUGAAAACCAUGCAAUUAAGGUUGGUUUGAUCCGACAGUCCACGUUCAUUUGGGAGGUCUAUAUAAGCAAGGCCCCUGGCCCCUGGAGGAAGGCAAUCCCAUUAUUCAUUUGCGUAUUUUCUAGAGAGGAUUCGUAGAGAGAGGUUCCUCUAGGGUUCCAAUCUCCUAGGCCUUAGCAUUCAAUGUGAGAUUAGAAUUUAUUCUUCUAGAUUGAGAGAAAUAGUGUGGAGGUGUAGAUUGGAGGAAGCCCGGCAUAUUGGUGUCUUCUCCAAGUUGUACCUACAGGAUCAAGUCUCCUAACUCGAGGCUUACUCCUAGGAUUCUUCGGUAUUUUGACUUCUAAAUUCUACUAAGUUAUUUGUUCUUAUUGUUUUUUGGUUUGUGAGUUUCCUUUAAUCUCUUCGUGUGGAGUUUAGAGUAAUCAUCGCUAGCGUAAACAUUGUGUUUGGGCUAGGAUACUCAUAGAUACCCCCUGUCUAGCCAGACCAUGGUAGUAGUGAGGAACGUGACAAUUCUGUAGCUACCUUUGUAGCCCAUAAUUCCAUUAGCAGGAUCGGUAGGGUUUAUAGGUGCGGGUCAAACAUCCUUUGUGCUGUCUAGAUUCUGUAAGCCUCCCCAAUAGAGCAGUAGAUCAUCCUUACCAAUGUUAGAACGAGGGUGCAGUCGUAGUCUUCUGUAUACAUCGCUCACAUCAAAUCACUUUGGUUGUAGCCUAAAGGUUAGUAGCAAUAGAUUUGGUUAGUCAGAUGCACGCUUUCUCCUAGUGGUAAAAUAUAAAUACGAUACUCUGGAUAACCUCCCGGGUGAAGUGCUCACCGAUAUUCGUGCACUUGCGGAUCAGUUCCUGAUUGCGUAACCAAAUAACAACAAUAGGCUAGGUCAUAAAUCACCUACUGUUCCAUUGGGUUCGAUAUUAAACCGGGUUGAUCUUGGUGAAGUGCUAAUUAGUAUAUAUUUGUGCUCUUGCGGAUAAUCUCAUUAUAAUCAAUAUUUAGGGUGCAGUUAAUUUAUACCAACAAUGUGGUUUGCUGAAGUGGUUUCCCUUCCAACACCAAUCUAAGUGUACUACUCUCAAGAUUCACCACAACGACAUCUAAAAUAUUUAUGAUAAGCAUACGUGUGUAUAACCACCCUUUCAACAACUUUAGGAAUAGAGAGCAUGAGGGGGUUGAAGAUUUCAUGUGGAGUAAUGUUAGAGAGACUAAGUGAAUCAGGAUAUUUUUCAUAUGACCAAGGAACUGAUGUGGUGUUCAUGAAGUAGCUUCCUUGGUCAUUGAAGCCUCCAUCAUUUUCUAAUUCCAAGGGUGACUCGAUACGUGUGUCCAAAAAUUCCCUUGGUUCAUCUCUUGAAUUGAUCUUAUCUAAGGUCUUGUCCAUCCAUUUAGUGGCAAUAGCACAUAGGUUUUAAUGCUCUCUAGCCAUGGAUGUUGCUCUUUUUGAUCUUCUAUAUGGUCUUGAUGGUUCCUAUGCAUGGGAUAUCUAGAUGGAUUUCUAGAAUCAUUAGGAGGUUUAGGAGAAAGAUCAUAGAGCAGGCCAUAGUCAUCAAGGAUGGGUUUAGAGAUGGGUUCGUAUUAUAUAUCCAAUAUGGGCAUAGGAGGGGAGAGGAUAAGAGAAACUUCUAGAUGGCUUCACUCUCCUUCUAUGGCAUCACUUGACAUACCAUCCUUGAGUCUUUCGAGUUGUCCUUCGAAGAGAUUGUAUUUGAAAAUGUUUCUAAGAGAUCUUUUUUUAAGAUUCAAACUAUGUGUACUAAAAGAUCUCUUAUGAAGCUAGAAGUUUAAACUCCUCCCAAAAUCACUAGAAAGGAUUUCUAAAGGUACAAUUACUUCUUCCCUUAGAAAAUUUUGGGGUACUGCUAGUUUGGGACGGAUAGUCAAAUCAUGGGAUUGGAAUGUUUGCAAAGUGGCUAUAAAAUCUUCAUCUUCUAGUUUGGGGGAUGAUUCCUUCUCUACCUCUAGGAUUUCAUCAUGAAGGCUAGUGCAAGGAGUGUGUCCACUAUAGCUAAGGAUAAAGCUCACUUCACUAAUUGAUAAAGAAAGGAAAACUCCUCCAAAGACGGUAUUAUCAAUGCCAAUAUAAAGAUGUUGAAGAAGAAUAGAGUCUUGUAGGUCUAACUAAAUUUAUAGGAAGAUUAAAAGAUUCCCUAAGUGUAGCCAAAAGUUCAUUACCUACUUGAUCAGAAGAUAGGACCUUGGGUAUGUUGGGUAUUCUUAACGUCAUUACCAAAAGUAGACUUAGUUUUCUAAUUCUGAUAACGGCGCCAAAAAUGCCAAACCUAUCACUCAUACCACUUAAGCCAAGUUGUCAUCCCCAGCAUGACAUGAGAGACGCGGUAUUGAAAUAUGCAAUUGCUCAUCUAAAUAAAUAACAAAUGGGAUCUGCAAGUGCACAGAUUAAUACCGAUGUAGCAUUUUAACCGGGAAGUAUUCCAGGUAUCGUUAUUUAUAUUUUUACCACUGGGAAGGGAUUGCUAAACAUCAAUGUUGAUUAUAGAAUGGAAUAUAGAAUUGAGUAUCUAUCAUUGCAUGUAUAAUUGAGAACAUUUAUCUAUCUCUUUCAUACAGGGAUAUGUGUCACAUAAAGGAUAUAUAAAGUAAUGAAUAGUGACAAAGAUAAUUAAUCUGAUCAGCAUAACUUAGCCACAUAAUAAAUAUGAUAAGCACCUCAAUUAGAUAUUCUAGCAAGUCAUUAGCAUGGAAUUACGAUGAACUACAAGAAUAUUUCCUAAGUUAUUCUUAACUAUAUAGUCUAGCAUAUCAUAGUUAGUGCAAUUAUACUUAGCAAUCAUUGUGAGACAGGACUACGCCCAUAGUGAUAUUAGCAAGGAAUAUGAGAAACAUCGUAAUCACUCCCCUGUAAUAAUGUUGCUCUGCCAGCCCAAUACACGAGAGGGGGACUAUAUAAGAAUCAAUGGAGCUCUCAAUACCACAAACUACCCCGCGAUCUGGUUUAUAGGGUACAAUCGCAGAUAAAUAUGGUAUAAGCACCACGCCUACACAAUAUCUAUCAUUUACCCAUGGAUCUGAUGGAUAAAUGCUAUACGAUCCUAAACAUGUAUAUAAUUCCAAUCUAACUAAGCCAAGUAUAAAACUAUGAUAAACUAAGAACAAUAUGAUUGUGAAUAUAAACAAGUAGAGCAAAGUCAUAAUUAAUAUAUUGAAGUAGAACAAAGUCAUAUUCAUAAUAUUGAAGAACAAAGAUGAACAAUUGAAGAACAAUAGAGAAUUACCAAGAAUCCUCUUGACAGAUCUGGAAACCAAUCGAAGAUUGACUCCUUCUAGUUCUAAUCCUAUGUAGAUAUGCUUAUCUAGAUGUCUAAUUGUUGUGGUGGCUCUAGGCUUGAUCAGAGGUUUCUUCUCCCUUGAUGAAUAAUGAAUUGGGGUUCAGAGGUCCUCUCCUCCAGGGGCCAGGGGGUCUGGUUUUAUAGUCCUUCCAAGUGAUUAUGGGCCAUUGGAUCAAACCGACAUUGAUUGAACGGUUAUCCUUGAUCCUUUAGGUCGGUGGAGCAUAAUCCUGAAAGAGAGUCCAGAUUGAACUCCAGCAGGGGGCGGGCGCCCUGGUCCCUAGGGCGGGCGCCCUAGGCCAGGCUCCGUUCUACCUCCGCUUCGAUCUCGUGGCUUCUGGAGUCUUCUAGAUGUAAGAUAAUUGCACAGCAUGUUAAUAUCUCUAUGUAAUCCCAACGUGUGGGCCUUUCUUCCAUAUUUCCUGAUAACACCCUGCAGUAAUAGACAAACACGAAAACUCGUGGAAUUCUGUCAGAUAAAACCCUAAGUCUGGAUGUUGGUUGCAUUUGGAUUCUUUUCUUUGUUUAUUUGAUACUUAAGGACCGUCAACAAACUCCCCCAAGCUUACCUCUUGCUCAUCCAUGAGCAAGGAUAAUCUCAGCAAUGGAUCAGAAGUUGUUGUAAUGCCUUUAAAAGUUGACAGUACACAUGCUUAUAAAUAAGAUCUCAUCUCUGAGUUAGAGUAAACUGUCAAGACAUUAAAACUUAUUCAUUUUACCUUUCACCAUGGAACUUGUAACCGUCACUUCUAUCUUGAGUAGUUAAGUGCCAUGUCUCUUAUUCUUGAUCAGCUAUAGCUCUGGACUUUUUGCAGAUUUUCAAAUAAACUCAGAGAUUCCUUGUGUGAUUCUCUCAGAUCUCUCUUUUGUGGUAUUUUUGGAUCCUUACCAAGGCAGUAUUUGUGGUAUAAAGCAUAGUGACAUUGCCUUCUCUCUCACCCUAGUCUAAUAAGGCUUUAAUAUCUGGAGCUCAUAGGUGGGAGAUAAAGUAUACAUACUCACAAGACAUUUAUUGUAUAGUCAAACCAUGGAUCCAACGAAACAAGUCAAUAAGUCAAAUCAAGAUGUGCAUGUGUGGCGAAUGAAUGGCGUAUGGUGAUGAUGGUGAUAACAAUGGUGAAAGUCUAAUUCUAUUUUUGCUCCUUAAGGGGAUACAUACCUUCCUUGCUCUUUUUGAAACUUUUUGACGAGAAUGAGAUGCUCUAUAUUUUCUUUUUCUUUCCUCUUAGGUGGGUAUCUUGUACCUCCAAUUCUACUGUCGGACACUUGUCCAUUUUUACCUCUCGUCUCACUUUUUCUUUUCUUCGAGUUUCUGGGCACUUGCCCCUUUUUAUUUCCUCGUAUUUUUUCUCUUUUUUUAGAGCACUCAUCUCAUGAAAUAAUAUAGCAAGUGGUAGUAACCAAGAUAACUCAAGCAUUUAUUUCACAGGGGAAAAAUAAAUAUUUUUGGCUAUUCUCUCCCAGAUUAGGAGUAGAAUAUUUUUGGGUGGUUUUGGAGAUGGUAAUGAGUGGAUAUAUGUGGAUGGUACUUCCAGAGUAGAAGCAGCAUGUGUGAGUGAACGUGCAAGUGAAUCUUGAUUUUAACCACAUGACAAGCUCCUAAGGGUCUACACAACUUGACCACACUCAAUGCUCAUAAGUACUAAAUUAAAUGUGUGGCUCAAAGUCUAGCAAGCAUGUAUAUAUGGCUGUGGUAGGAAUUUAGACUCUCAUCAUAUAGGAACUCAUCAUGCAAUAUUUAAAGAUUUUCAAAGAUAACAUUCUUAAGAAUUCUAGCAUCUCUAGGAACAGAUAAACAGCAGCUCAACUUCCCCAUAUCAUAUCCGUUAACAACUUAGACGUCAGAUCAAGUUUUCUUCCCACAAGUUUAGGUUUAGAGCAAGCUUUAAAUUAUAACAGUUAUGUGUAAGCUUGAGAGAAAACUUAUAUUUGAAAAUUAGGCAGAGCAACUAUUCAUCAUAUCCAUGCUAUAUUUUUAUUAUUAAGAUUUAGUUUAGCAUAACCACUUUAUUUAUUUAUUAAACACACUAAGCAAAAGAGAUAUAUAUAAGCACAAAAUAUUUCUUUGGUUUUCCAUAGUUACGUAUUUUUAUAUUUUAGUAUAGUAUAAGUAUAAAGAUAGAUAGAAAUACUUAGCGGGAUAAAUGGGGGUGCUCUCCCCCAAGCAGAAUUUUGAUGUAAUUUCUUCUGAUGUAGCUAGCAGGUGGCAGAGGUGUAUUUGAAAGUCGGUAGUACCCUGACAGCGAUUAGAAUGUCCUCCGUCUGCUAGUCUUCUUGAUUCUUAAAUUCUGUGGAGCUCAAAUAGACAACAAAGCUUGUGGAACUAGUUAAGUGUUAGCAUAAAUAUCUAGCCUUUAUCAUGUUGAGCCUUCUCAAUAAAUGUUACUCUUUAUUUUUAUAUUUUCAUUUUACAAAGCAGAAAAGAAAUAUUUGUUUUAUUUUUUAUGCCACCACAGUGAAUGUACUUUUGGGUUUUAUGCCACUCGUAUACUCACAUAGGGCUUACUAAUUUUAACAUUUUUAUUUUAUUUUUAGGAUAGUAUGAAUAUGAUUAACUAAGUAAACUAUUUUAAAUAAUUGAAAGGGAAAGGAUAACUACCAAGUUUACCUCUUGGCAAGGCGUUUGGUGUUUUUAAGUCCUCCGAACGGGACUCUUCGUUUUCUAGUUGUCCUGGGAUUCAUUGGAUGGCGGAGUCGGUGCUUCCAGCGGCGCCUCCUCUUCAUCUAUAGUUAACUUCUCUUUCCACACCUGACUCGGUGCUACGGUCUCCUCUAGAUAAUUCUGUUUAAACUGUAUGUCUUCUGACCUUAUCACUUCUCCUUCGUAGUCUGCCCAUCUGUCCUUGAUGAUUUCCCUCCUCUAGUUGCGGUUGCGUCGUUUUCUUCUUGUCCUGACCUGCUUAGAGUCUUCAACGAUAUAGUUAGGGUCAGUAAAAUAGCGGUGUACCUUCUCUGAGGGAAAGUGCAUAUGGACUUCUCCAGUUCCAAUGUAGAUGAUUGCUUUAACGGUGCUCAGGAAUGGUCUUCCAAGGAUGAUGGGUGGAUCAUACUCAUCUUCUCCCAUGUCAAUAACCUGAAAGUCUGUGUAGACAAAAUGAUCGUCUAUUUUGACAGGGACAUCAGUUAAUAUACCUUUAACCUCUCGAAAUGUCUGAUCUGCCAUCUGGAGCUGAAUGUAUGUUGGUUUUAAGGGCAUGGUUCCGAAUAAGAGCCGAUAGGUGACUGCGGCCAUUAUGUUGACGCCUGAUCCAGUGUCGCAAGUCGUCUUGUAAAAGUUGUAUCCAUUUAUAGAGCAAUAGAUGCUUGGCAUUCCUGGGUCGUCCUUCUUGGUCAGAAACGGUGACUUAAGUCGAUGAUCUUGACCUCCUUGAACUACAGUGACCAUCUUAGCUGACUCGGUCCACACUUGCUUAUUCCUGUUCCUCCUGUUGGUCCUUUUCCUUGAUUCAUGUCGAGAUUGCUCUGGGAUUUAUGUAGUCUUGUUCUUGAAGGAAAACAUCUCCUUCCUCCUUUUGAUGUAGAAACUGAUCUUGGCAGCACUAGCGUAGAUGACAACUCCCGAGGUGUUUAAGAAUGGCCUCCCUAGGAUGAUGGGUGCCCUCUCAUCAUUAUCGGUCUCUAUCACCACGAAGUCUGCUGGGGCGUACAAGGUACCAACUCGGACACAAAGGUUCUUUAAUAUUCCAUUUGGGAAACUUAUCGUCUGAUCUGCAAACUGCAAACACAUGGUUGUUUCUGAUAAAGGAUAUGUAAAGAAUUUUUCAUAGAAUACCUUGGGCAUAAUGUUGACACUAGAGCCAAAGUCGCAGAGUGCUUCUGGGAAGUCCACCAUGCCGAUGGAGAUCGGGAUGACGGGGCGUCCUAGACAGCCUCUCUUGACCGGCAGAAGGUCAGUAGUAACUUCAGUGACGGGGUUACUCCAGUAGUUACCUGCAUCAAACAUGUCUACAAGAUUUGCAGAUUCUAAUCUUUCCGGUUGUGAUGGUAUACUGUUGACACUUCUUAACGCAACCACCGGAUAUCGGCGACGGCGCCAGAAGUGCCCUGGUAGGGUAACUCUAUUUACUAUUGGAUAAUUCCGCAAGCGCACAGAAUGUACCGCUGUAGCACUUCACCAAGGAGUAUUCCAAGGUAUCGUAAUUUAUAUUUUCCCAAGGGAAAGCGGCUAAGUGUGUUUAACAAAAGGGGAAUGAGAUUCCUUGAGUUAUCUAGUAUCAACUAGUGAAUAAGGGUGGUAAAUAAUGAAUAGGAAGGGUAGUGGUGAAUCCAAGGUCCUAUGCUAAAGGUGAAUGGUAGAGUUAGCUAGGUGGGAGGACAACGAGUGAGUAAAGGACUCCUAUGUAUCUAACUUGACUUCUGUGACUUACUUUAAUAGAUAAUUGUCUUAACUACGCUAGAGCCUUACUAACUGUGUGCGAGGGAUAGCCGAGCUGGUAAGACGCUUAGAAGGUUUUUCACCUAACCCCUUACCGAAAGCGACUAUUGGGCUUAUGGACGCCUUACCUUUUAAGAACUAGCCUGUACGUGAGGAGAACCUAAUGCCGCCCACGAUCUGUCACCUACUAGGGAGUGCGCUCCUACUUUCCGUUCAAGCCAGCGGUAAUCAAAGGUAAUCUUAAGUAUGAGCACCACGCUCACACUUAAUCCUACAACGCUAACUAGUUGCAGCUAGCUAGAGCUCCUAUACAAGAUAGGACGAUGAUGCACACACAGGAGUGGUUACAGGUCACUAACUUCACUAAGACAACUAUAUUACUAAAGUAAAUGCACAACAAGACUAAAAGACUUGCACUAAGUAAGAACUCAGUAAAGUAAAGUAAGAAUAAUAUAUUAAUAAAAGGAAAGUCUUACAAAAGUAGAAAGGUACAAGAGCUAUACCAGACUCUCCAGAAGACGACUCCGGAGACCCCGAGCUUCGCUCGACUCGACUCUAACUCCCACUCUAGACUAACUACUACUCUACUUGUAUGCUUGGAACUUGUAAUGCACUUGGCCUUGGAAUUGCACACUUGAAAUGAAGGAUGGAGGCUGCCUUUUAUAGAGGGAGAUGGAGUAGGGUUACUCCAUCGCCACGUCAUCGAUCCGCGUGACAUCUUCUCUCCACCCUUGGAUCAAACCGACCUCACAACCGCCAUUUGAUCAACGGAAGGGGCAAAUCAACAUGUGGGACAUGUGGGGAAGGUCGGUGGGAGGCCACCGACCCUGGAACCGCCUUUGAUGUGGGGUCGGGCGACCCCACUUCUGGGCCUCUGGGCCCACCAGCAGUGUCCACAGGGGUCCCUUAUGUCGGUGGACUAGGUGGCACACCUGGGUCCCACCAAAGAGGGGUCGGGCGACCCCCUCCCUGUGGGCCCAGGGUGUCACCUGUUGUCCCCUCGAUCUCCUCUUGAUGAUUCUGAUGUUGGCUUUGUCAAAUAAUGUCUUGAAUUUGUUGUUCCUGCAUAAACAAGCUAAGAGUACAAGUGGAACUAGUUAUGGAUAAAAUAUGUUCAUGUCAUGUCGUUUCCCCUUGCAACCGAGGCAUGUUGACGGUGUUUUGUAUGUGGAUUUCUAUGGUAUAUCCACCGUCAACAAGAUCCCCCAAGCUUAACCUUUGCUCGUCCCGAGCAAACAAUCAAACUUAGCCUCGGUGGAUCAGGUAUUGUUACUAUGUUCACAUUUCAAGAGUACCAUGUGUACAACAAAGUUCUUCUCUUUGCAUGAAAAAUUUAGCUAUGUAAACUUACCCCUAUUACCUUAGUCCCUUAUGGGGCUUAUGGCUUUUCCUUUGUCUUAGGUGGUUGAGAGAUAGAACAGUUUGACUUCAGCACUAACUUUCUCAUUCUUAGCAAGUUUCAUAUCAGAGGUUUUGUGAUAUUUUCAAAAGAAAGCUUAAAUGUUCCUCUUAUGGUUCUCUCAUGUCACUCAAAUGGUGUAUGAUUCCUCACCAAGGCAUAUGGUAAGAGUUGCCUUCUCUAUUUCAUCCUAUUUCUAAAAGGCUUAUGUGGAGUUCAAGGUAGGGAUGAAAGGAGAUAGCAUACUUACUUUGCAUGUAUUGCGAAGUCAAAGCUCGGAUCCUUGAAGAGAAGUGUCAUACUCCCAGAUCAAGAUGUGCAAGUGUGAUAUAUGGUGGACUAGGUUGCUCCUUUAUUUGAUAGACUCUCUAUGUAUUGAGACAUGGCUAGCAUUUUUUCUUCUUCUUUUUUUUAUAUAUAUGAGCUUUCAUGUGCUCAAUUUUCUUUUUCUGUGGACUUGCACAUGUCCAUCUUUUUAUUUCAUUUUGCCUAGCCUUUUGAUGUCUCAUUUACCAAAUAAUGCUUAGAGAGAUGUUCUAACAUUUAGAGUAUGGAGCAACCUAUUUAGUGGAUGCGAAAUACAUGUGGUUGCGUACUUCCAGUGUAGAAGCAGCAUAUAUAUAUGUGGUGUGUACGUGAUCUUGAUCUUAGGAGCAUGAAAAGUCUCUUAACAAGGGUCAACAAGACUUGACGACACUCAACACAAAGCAAAUAGCUUAUGUGGAAAGGUUGCAAUUAUGUAAAGUAGAUAUGGCUGUGGUAGGAAUUCAUCACCAUUGAGGAACAAUUAAGGUUUUGAUCAUUUUAAGAAUAAAUCUCUGAUAAUCAUGCAUGCUUAGAAAAAUAUUAUAGUAGCUCUUGCCUUACUAUCUCAUGUCCCACAACAACUUAGACUUAGUUCUAGCACUUGCAACCCACAAAGUUUUUAGGUUCAUGGCAGUUUAAGUGAGCUAAGUGAUCCAUACUUAGAGAAAUACUAAGUUGUAUACUAGGCACUAGAGAAACAUUAACAAGCAACUAGUCAUAAUUUCCAUGAGGGAUAUAAACAUACAUGAAGCAUAUAUGCUAAAGGGAAAUGCUAAUAAAUAUUUUUUUAAGUAAGAAUGAUAAAAUGCAUGAAAAUAAAUAGGAUAGAAUACUUACCUUAGUGGGGGAGAGGAUCUCCACCAAGCUAGAUCUUCGCUCACUGUGGUGGCGGGAAAUUCUGGUACCAUCCAGCCCAGCGUUGUGCGUCUUCCUCUCGCACACGUCGGAUAUGUUGGCCGUUUUGUAACGCCAGUUGCAAUGUUGCUUCUUGCCCAAUCUGCAAUUCGCCCAUGUCAUUAAUGAGACUGUCCAUACCUGUGGGCUGGUGACGCCUAGCCCUGUCCCUUGGGCGUGGAGUGCGUUGUGGAGGUAGACCCAUGGAGUCUGAAGCAUCCACUGACAUCGCUUCAUCGCCCUCUUCAACGUCAUGGUGCGAGGAUCCUCCUUGCUCCAUCUGGGCGGCUUGCAUCAUCCUUCUUGUCACCCUGCGUGUCCCUGCAACAUCUGGUCUUGCCACUCGGGCUAGUCUAAUGGUAAGUGUGCGGACCCCAUACAACCGGCGCCUCGCACAUGGGAGAGGAAUUUCGGUUGUAUAGCCCGGAUAAAUCAUUUUAAGUUCACCAUUUGGAUCUCUUAUGAGCAUGUUAGCAUUGAUAAAUAAGUUCUCAUCUACCACUCCUCUAACAUAGCCAAUGUCUUCAAAAUAAUGUGAUUCAAGUAAUCCAAAAGUAUCGGCUAUUCGAGUAAUAAAGGAUGUGAAAUAGAUGGGCUUCCCAUACUCAAUAGAGUUAAGCCAAUAGUUCACUAGCAGUUUCACAGGGGAGACCUUGAUUUUACUAACCAUGGCAUAGAGAAUUUUAAGUUCAUCAUCAAUUAAAGUAUCAGUUCCCAUGCCAGGAUCUAGAGUGCACAUGAUCCAGAAGUGAAGAAAGCGCAAGGUUGGAUUAUGGAUUUCAAUGGGAGUAGGAUUUGAACAAUCAUUAGAGCCAGAAAUUGCUUUCCAGAAUCUAAUUUUAUCGAACAUUCUAGUGGCAUGAUCUAGAUCAAGUUCACAUUCAUGUUCACACCCUAAAGCAGUGUUUAGCAAACUCCAAUUUAAUUGAUGUUCUUGCUCACACAUGCGAAAAGAUAUUCCAUUAUUUGUGAGUUUUAGGGUGCAUAGAAAUUCCUUAGCAAGCAAUUCUUUUCCAAAUUCAAGCACUUGCCAAAAACUACUCCAACCAAUUGCUCUAAACACCUUAUCGAAUUCAACAUCCAUACCUGUGCGGGCCAAAAGGUCCGGAUCGAUGAUGCUAGUGUGUAGGAAGAGACCCUCUCGGAUGAUGUAUUACCUUUGCAACUCUUCUUGGCUUAACAUGAGGCCGCUCUCGGGCUCUCUCAUCCUUGAUGGAGGCUCGUAGGGUACGAUCCCAUGGUAACCUUCUUCUUCCUCCCUUCCAUGAGCAUGGUGAGAGCCUUGAGAAGAGCUCUCACCCUUUGCUUUCUUGAACUUGCCGAAGAUAUGCUUCUUCAUCCUCCUACACAAGUGAGGCAAACCAAGCUCCUACUACUACUACUAUGCAAGGGGAAUCUUUUUGGGUUUUUGUUUUGAUGACUAUUUCUAAACUAAACUUGAGAAAUGGCUUGUAACAAAGAGAGAAGAGAAAGGAUUGUGAGCUCGAAAUGGUUCUGGUGGUUUUGGGUGUGGAAUUGAGCUCACAAUGCUGUGGUAUUUAUAGGGGGAGAAGGGCAAGUAGUGGACCCACAAUAUAGGGGUCGGCCGACCCCCCCUAGAAGCACUUUGAAUUUGAGUUUAGCUUUAUACAGGGAACCAUUCUGCAUGCUUUCAAGAUUUUGCAGAGAUGGUCCAAAAUGGGGGUCGGCCGACCCCCAUCCUAGCCCCUCCUCCACUUUAAACAUUGUGUCAUUGAUUGUCCGGAAAAGUAAAGGCUAGGUGUGGACCAAAAGUUUUCAAAUUGUUUCUGAGAUUCCCUGUUUUAGUGCUUUGUGAAAGGUAAAAGAUGAAUGGCAAAAGUGGAGACAUGUCUAAAGUGAUUCCUAUGGACCAUGGGAGCACUCAAGCAUGCCUAGGUGACCACUUUGCAGAAUUUAAGCUAGUGGAGUGGUCCCAAAAGAAUCAAAGAUGAAAGGAGCAUCUUAUGACUAAAGUAAAGGAUCAAGGGACCACUCUUUUUCAAACUUUAGCUAGUGUUACAAGCAUAGGACUCCAUUGUGAUUCAAAUGGUGGCCAGCAGGAGGCAAGUGGGGCCAAUAUGGGGGUCGGCCGACCCCCACAUUGGAGCUCCCAGAGCAUCCAAGUGCUGGGUUGGAACCUCUAUGACUAACAAGGUUGAAAUGUGGUGAAGUGGGCCCCAAGGUGGGGUCGGGCGACCCCCCUUUGGGAGCUCCAGCAGCUCAAAUUUUUAUGACAAGUUAUUCUCAAGAUUUUAUUUAUUAUGGCUAAACAUUUUGUCGAAAUAAGAUAUGCAAAAUUUAAAGUAAGAAUGCAAUUGAAAAGUGAAUAGUAGAAAUUGAAAUGCAGAAAAUAAAUAUGGGAUAACUACUGAUUUACCUUAUCAGCAAGGGCUCCAUGUUUUAGGUCCGUAGAGCAGGACCUCUCCAUCUUGUUCAUCCUUCGGGUGCAUCAGAUGGUCCCGGAGACGUGGACCUUGAUUGCACCUCUUUCUCCCGCCAUACUUGCUUGGUAUUGAUUUUUGGUUCAGCGGGUUCCUCUUCUUUCUUUUCGGCCCUUUUGGCCGACUUACCUCUCUUGUCCCUUCGGCGUCGGAUGUGGCGAGGCUUAGUCGGAGGUUCUUUGUCCUUCACCUGCAUGUUAGCUUUAUAACCAUUGAAUGGACAUUUUACCUUCCAUCCUGGGAAUUGGAGGUGAAUCUGGCCGGACCCCACAUAGAUGACUGCAUUGACCGUGUUGAGGAAUGGCCUUCCCAAGAUGAUCGAGACAUCAUUAUUGGAUCCCAUAUCCAAAAUGAUGAAGUCGGCAGGGACGUAGUCGUCUUGGACCUUUACCAGUAUGUCCCUUGCCAACCCCUCAGGGAACCUGAUCGUCUGAUCUGCCAUCUGCAAACGAACAAAUGUGGGGUGCAAAGGCCCCCCUAGCAAAUUAUCAUAAGUUACCUUGGCCAUGAUGUUGACACCCGAUCCAAGGUCGCAGAAGGCGUUGUGGAAGAUUUGCGGUCCGAUCUCACAGGUGAUGGUCGGCAGGCCUGGGUCGUCCUUCUUGGUGAUGAAGGGCGAAUCCAGAAGAUAGCUCCAGUUGGAUUGUACCGGAGGCUUACCGAACCUCGUAGUAACUAGUUUAACUCCUUCAAUUGGGUCCUCAGGUUUCCCUGGGAUCUUACCUUGCUCGAAGGAUGGGACAGCUGCUGCUAAUUGAGCUAAUUGUGUUUCUAGCAUUUUGUUAAAGCUCAACUGAUUUUUCAUAGCAGAGUUAAAGCUAUCCAACUUUUCACUUAAGUUUUUAAGGAUCUUAUCAUUAGCCAUCAUUUUCUUGUUAAUGCUAUCAUUGAUUUUAGAUUGGCCUAAGACAAGAUCUCUAAGAGAAGGUUGGUUACCAAAAGAAUUAUUGAAAUUUUGAUUGUAACUAUUACCUUGAUUACCUUGGUAGAAGGUGCGCGAGUUCCAUUGCUGUUGUUGGGGCCGGUACCCAUUGUUGUUGUUGUUGAUGAAGCUCACUUCCUCCUUUGUUUCGGGACAAUUGUUUCCCGAAUGAUCAUCUCCUCCGCACACUUCGCACCAUGAAUCAGAUUCAAUGGCCCGUGCAGUGGCGUAAGGUUGAAUGGUCUCUUGCUUGGAACUUUCUUCCAUCUUCUUCAUUAAGAGGUCCAUCUUAGCAGAGAGCAUGUCCACCUCAUUCAAGGCAUGGACACCUCUUCUCUUGGGUUGGAGGCGUUCCUCAUUCCAUCCUUGGUUUAUAACCAUCUUUUCAAUGAGGUCCUUGGCAUCCUUGACAUUGUGUUGCAAGAAUGCUCCUCCAGCGGCAGCAUCAAGGUGACUACGGGCCAAACCGGUCAGGCCAUGGUAGAAACCUUGGAUUAGGAGCCACUCCUCUAUCCCAUGAUGAGGACAGGCGCGAAUGUACUCCUGCAGACGUUCCCAUGCUUUGGGAAUCGUCUCAUCCGCUUGCUGUUGGAAGCUGGAAAUCUUUCCACGAAGGGCGCUGGUCUUGCCCAUCGGAAAGAACUUCUUGAGAAAUGCAUUGGCGCACCUCUCCCACGUGGUCACUUCACCCUUGUUGGCGUAGAACCAUUGCUUCGCCUUCCCCAAUAACGAGAAUGGGAGGAGGCGAAGACGGAUGGCGUCUGCGGCGACAUUCUUGAUGGUGAAGGUGCCGCACACCUCCAAGAAGUGUUGGAGAUGGGCAUUGGCAUCCUCGUGUGGCUUUCCACAGAAGGGAUUAGCUUGCACCAUAUUGAUAAGCGCAGGCUUCAACUCAAAAGUCGCAUCCCCCAAGUUAAGCUGCGGACCCGUGGCGACAUUGUCAGCCGACGGCGCAGAGUACUCAGAGAUGGUCUUCUGGGCCAUAGCUUCUUUGAUAACCGGUGCAGAUACUCCUUCCUCUAACGGAUUCAGGUUCGAGAUGAACCUUUGAGGUGGAACUUGACGACGUCUAGUUCUCCUCAACAGUUGCUCAGGAUCUUCAACGAAGUUUGACGGCAAUUGGAAACCGCUCAUACACUGUCAGGCUUCACAAUAAAGGAAGACAAGACAAGUGAUGGGUUAUCCCUAUCACUACUUGAUAACUAGCAAACUCUGGAUUCUCUUUUUGUUAAAACUCUUAGACAGACGCUCUCCCCGGCAACGGCGCCAGAAAUGCUUGUUGACACUUCUUAACGCAACCACCGGAUAUCGGCGAUGGCGCCAGAAGUGCCCUGGUAGGGUAACUCUACUUACUAUUGGAUAAUUCCGCAAGCGCACAGAAUGUACCGCUGUAGCACUUCACCAAGGAGUAUUCCAAGGUAUCGUAAUUUAUAUUUUCCCAAGGGAAAGCGGCUAAGUGUGUUUAACAAAAAGGGGAAUGAGAUUCCUUGAGUUAUCUAGUAUCAACUAGUGAAUAAGGGUGGUAAAUAACGAAUAGGAAGGGUAGUGGUGAAUCCAAGGUCCUAUGCUAAAGGUGAAUGGUAGAGUUAGCUAGGUGGGAGGACAACGAGUGAGUAAAGGACUCCUAUGUAUCUAACUUGACUUCUGUGACUUACUUUAAUAGAUAAUUGUCUUAACUACGCUAGAGCCUUACUAACUGUGUGCGAGGGAUAGCCGAGCUGGUAAGACGCUUAGAAGGUUUUUCACCUAACCCCUUACCGAAAGCGACUAUUGGGCUUAUGGACGCCUUACCUUUUAAGAACUAGCCUGUACGUGAGGAGAACCUAAUGUCGCCCACGAUCUGUCACCUACUAGGGAGUGCGCUCCUACUUUCCGUUCAAGCCAGCGGUAAUCAAAGGUAAUCUUAAGUAUGAGCACCACGCUCACACUUAAUCCUACAACGCUAACUAGUUGCAGCUAGCUAGAGCUCCUAUACAAGAUAGGACGAUGAUGCACACACAGGAGUGGUUACAGGUCACUAACUUCACUAAGACAACUAUAUUACUAAAGUAAAUGCACAACAAGACUAAAAGACUUGCACUAAGUAAGAACUCAGUAAAGUAAAGUAAGAAUAAUAUAUUAAUAAAAGGAAAGUCUUACAAAAGUAGAAAGGUACAAGAGCUAUACCAGACUCUCCAGAAGACGACUCCGGAGACCCCGAGCUUCGCUCGACUCGACUCUAACUCCCACUCUAGACUAACUACUACUCUACUUGUAUGCUUGGAACUUGUAAUGCACUUGGCCUUGGAAUUGCACACUUGAAAUGAAGGAUGGAGGCUGCCUUUUAUAGAGGGAGAUGGAGUAGGGGUUACUCCAUCGCCACGUCAUCGAUCCGCGUGACAUCUUCUCUCCACCCUUGGAUCAAACCGACCUCACAACCGCCAUUUGAUCAACGGCAGGGGCAAAUCAACAUGUGGGACAUGUGGGGAAGGUCGGUGGGAGGCCACCGACCCUGGAACCGCCUUUGAUGUGGGGUCGGGCGACCCCACUUCUGGGCCUCUGGGCCCACCAGCAGUGUCCACAGGGGUCCCUUAUGUCGGUGGACUAGGUGGCACACCUGGGUCCCACCAAAGAGGGGUCGGGCGACCCCCUCCCUGUGGGCCCAGGGUGUCACCUGUUGUCCCCUCGAUCUCCUCUUGAUGAUUCUGAUGUUGGCUUUGUCAAAUAAUGUCUUGAAUUUGUUGUUACUGCAUAAACAAGCUAAGAGUACAAGUGGAACUAGUUAUGGAUAAAAUAUGUUCAUGUCAUGUCGUUUCCCCUUGCAACCGAGGCAUGUUGACGGUGUUUUGUAUGUGGAUUUCUAUGGUAUAUCCACCGUCAACAUAUACCGAGGUUAGUAGCAGGAACAACAGCAGCUAUUUGAUUUAACUAAGAUUCAAUCAUCCUAUUAAAGCUAAGUUAAUUCUUGAUGGCAGUAGAGAAAUUAUCCAUUCUAUUAUUAAUAUUGUCUAGUAUUUUAUCAUUAGAUGCCAAUUUCUUAGAUAGGUUAUCCAUUAGCUUUCCUUGAUUAGACACUAACUCUCUCAGAGGUGGAAAAUUAUUAUUAUUGUUGUAAGAAUUGUUACCUUGAUAAUUACCUGAGUAGUUAGGUCUUUGUUGAUUCCAACCUUGAUUUUGUUGAGGACGGUUGUAGUAGUAGUUGUUGUUGUUAUUGUUGAUGUAGUUCACAUCCUCAAGCAUCUCAGGGCAGUGAUUGCCGGAGUGUCCAGUAUCUCCACACUCCACACAAGUCAUGUGAGAGACGUAGAUGUGCAUAACUUCUUUUUUAUCUCCAACUCUAUCAUUGAGCUUCUUCAUGUGCAGGUCUAGCUUUGCAGACAGCAUGUCUACCUCCUUGAGCUGAUGCAUACCUCCACCUUUCUUGCGUGUCUGGGUCCUCUCUUCAUUCUAGCUUUGAUUGGACACCAUCUUCUCCACAGGAGCUGUGGCUUGUGAUAUGGUGAGUGAUAGGAAUGCUCCUCCAACUGCAGCAUCCCUGGUCUCUCGGGCACUGUUGCCGAGCACAUGAUAAAACGUCUGCAUCAGUAGCCAACUCUCCAUUCCAUGAUGGGGACAUUCUAGGAUGUAGUCUUGGAAGCGCUCCCAUGCUUCUGGAACGGAUUCAUCAUGUUGUUGCUGAAAACUUGUAAUUUUCCCACGGAGAGCAUUGGUCUUGCCCAUGGGAAAGAACAUAGCCAGAAAGUUCGUGGAGCAGAGUGACCACGUAGUAUUCUUCUCCUUUGUAGCGUAGAACCACUGCUUCGCUCUCCCCAACAGUGAGAAUGGGAAGAGGCGAAGUAGUAUAGCAUCUCUGGGGACUCUGAUAUGGUGAAUGUGCUGCAAAACUGCAGGAAGUGUUGGAGAUGAGCACUAGCAUCUUCGUGUGCCUUCCCACAGAACUGGUUGGAUUGUACCGUGUUGAUAAGUGCAGGCUUGAGCUCCAAGUUGCCAUCAAUCUAUGAAGCAGGUCCAGUGCAGAUGUUGUCCGUUGUGGGAGCUGAGAACUCGCGGAUCGAUUUGUUCGCCAUGACUUCAAACUCUGAAGACAAGUUCCGGUGAUCUUCUUGAUUGGAUGAAGCUUCUUGCUGAAGUGUUGAUGAUCUUUUCUUCUUGAACUUGGCUCUUGUUUUUCUGAAUAACGCUUCGGGAUUGUCAACAAAAUUUCCUAGAAGAUGUCUUCUAUUCAUACAUUCCCCUGCAUAAGAUAAAAUAGAAAAAUAUUGGGGUAAAACUGUAUGAGAGAAUUGAUAAGCUCACUCAUAUUAGUGACGUGAAUGAUGACUCGAAAUUCUAUAUUCAUUCCAGAUUAGUAAUCAACCUUCCCCGGCAACGGCGCAAAAAAUGCUUGUUGGGUAUUCUUAACGUCAUUACCAAAAGUAGACUUAGUUUUCUAAUUCUGAUAACGGCGCUAAAAAUGCCAAUCCUAUCCCUCAUACCACUUAAGCCAAGUUGUCAUCCCCAGCAUGACAUGAGAGAUGCGGUAUUGAAAUAUGCAAUUGCUCAUCUAAACAAAUAACAAAUGGGAUCUGCAAGCGCAUUGUAACACUCCAGUGUUAUGGUUGCAUCAAUCAGAUGCAAAACAUGAGCAUCAUCAUCCAGUCAAGCAUAUCAUGAUCAAAAUCUACCUUGAGUCAUGUCAUUCUAUGCAAAAUUGUGAGUUAACUUGUUAAAUAUGCUUCUUGUGCUUGUGUUUGUUUGUACCAUGCUCAUGCUUGUGUGUUAAGUCUUGGUAAUUAGUUUAUCUAUGCUUAACUCAACCUUAGGAACAAUGCUCAUGUUGAUCACUUGUCGGUGUUUUCCCACAGGGGGUGACACCAACGAGUAAAUUUGUAUGCGUGCUGCCUUUUCCAGAUGGUGAUGCAAAAAGACACAAAGAUUUAUCCUGGUUCGGGCAAGAGAAGGCCCUACGUCUAGCGGGGGAGGAGAGUUUGUAUUAUCUUGCACCUAAGUGCUUGUACAGGGGUGAAUACAAGCGUGUAUGAACUGGGAAGGAGUGUGGAAGCUCUACUACGUAUGAGUGUUGUAUCGCAUGAUGUUGUAUUCGCUCCCGGGCCUCCCCUUUUAUAGCUCCAAGGAGAGACCUAGGGUACAUGUAUAGGCGUCAGAGUAGGGGUCGAUAGAGGUAUGGCGCGCUGACCUACUCGAGGCCUCCGUACCGACGUGGUCUCGAGCCGUCUCGUCCUGGUAGCUUGAUGAUGAUUAUGCGUGCCCCUGUAUCCCGCUCAGUGCGCCGUCUGGGACUGGUUUAUCUGUUGCAUGCCUGUACGUCAUGGCGGCAGAUAUGUCGGAGUAGUUGCGGUGUUGUCAUUCGACGCCCAACACUUCCCCAGGAAGGAAACGUGUCUGGUCGAGGGUCAGACGCCGUGUAACGCCUUGCUAGCCAGAGCGCUGACCUUGGACGUCUUGAGGGUGUCUUGAUUAGACGUCCUGACCCCGCUUCCUGCGUCCUGACACGCUCUGGAUUAUUUGGUGGGGAAGGCUGCAAAAAGAAUGAUGGGACGGGUGCCUGUUCCCUAUCACGCUUCCCGUGACUGGCGUGUUAGGUGACAACGCGACAGGCGCAUUAAAUGCCCUGGUUCCCGUGCCCGCGUCAGGCGGCGGGCGGCGUCCUUGCGCUCAACGCCUUCCGAUUCGCUCGAGCCUAUUUCCGUAUUCGACGGUAGCCGGUGCUCGAGCCCUGAUCGAUUCGCUCGAUGCCCUUUCCGUCUUCGAGGCUGCGGUCAUCGAUGACCAUACGCGUGACUGGGUAGAGCGUCGAGUUGGAGGCUUCGACUUGCGUACAGGCAAUCUUGUCAUGUACAUCAGUUAGGAUACCCCUGUUGACACCAUUUUUGGACACGUAUCCAGGAUUGGUAGAAUGUGGAUCGGCAAGACAGGGUAAUGGUCACUGGUCUGCAGAAGGGUUACCGAUGAUGAUGGUUGCCGAUGAGAAGACAGUUGGAUAUGACUAAGUCUGUGAAUGGUGAUGUGUGUAUGCCGAUGGCCGGGGUUAACCGUUGCCGAUGGGGAGUCUGCUGAUGAUAUGGAAUUAAAACUCGCAGGUUGCUGAUUAGUCCGUGGUGGUGUCCGAGUUCGUCACGGAAGGAUGGUUUUAUGUUUUCCUUAGUUAUUUAAAUCGUUUUGUAUAAGGAUUCUGUUUAAAUUUGGAAUUCGAGUUCUAGUCGUGUCUGGUUGUAGCUCUUUGAGCAGGGUAUAAAUGUAGACCCUAGGGCUUUGUAAUCAAAGAAUCUAUCAAUCAAUCAAACACCAGUUUUUUAGUCAUAUUACAGCAUCUACUAUUUCGACGACUUCGUCAUACUUUUUCUUUUUCAUUACGAGUUCUUAAGAAUUCGUCGACUUAAGCUCAGCGUGUUCUCAAGUUCCGCGUGAAUACCUCUUGGCCGUGGCAUCCGGGCGCAUCGCUCUUGUCGGGACCAAAGUAUUCAAGUUAUCACCUUUGCCGAUAGUAAGGUCAAAUCGGCUGGCACGCCUUCAUGUUUAAAUCGGGUAUUAGCCCUUUGUGUUUGCAGAUCAGCUUUUGCAUCAACACAUCUUUUGGCACGCCCAGUGGGACCUGAUUCAAGAUCAACAUGUCGACUACUGAGUUUGAUCAGGAGAACGUCAUCCCCGUGACGGAAGCCAAUCUCAAGGAUGAGCAGAAGCAAGCUAUUGUUAAAGCCAAGGAGGAUUACAAGCAGCAAUGCUUGAGGUCCUUCAGCAUGAACAGGAGCGGCGAGGUGAUCUAGAAGGACACACUGCCGAUGCCUCGGCAGGUUACUUUCGAAGCCAAUCCUGGGAAACUUCAAGAUAUGGUUGAUAAUGCUAUCAACCGUGCUUUGAUCAACCAAGCUGGUGUACUGUCCAAUACGGUUUUCAAUGCCGUGGCUAGAACUUUCAAGGAAGGACAGUUGCCACCAGAUUAUGUGGGUCCUUCUCAUCAUCAGCCAGGAUCACCGGUUGUCACAGCCCCAUCGGCUGCUAUGGCCACUGCGGGUACCCAGACUACUGUUCCCCCAAGCACGUUGGGAGUCACUAGUGCACAGUCUAAGCCGAUGACGACUAAUCCACCGUCUUCAGAUGAGCAGAUUAAGCUUACUACAGAUCUAUUGGCAUCGGCAAUGUCAGGACCAGUUCCUCCUCAUAAUUGGUGGGGUUUUGGUAUGCCUCCGGAAUACUCACUGAGGACACCUAGCACAUCUCAACCAGCUGAUAUGAGAGGCAAGGCUCCUAUGACAUCGGCACCCCCAAACAUGCCGAUGAAUCAGAGUCCCCAGUUUACUACAACUACUACUGCAAGACCUUACACUGGGAAUUCUCAAGCUCCAACUUUCCCGAUGCCUAAUGCAUCGGCAGAUUCAAUGCUGGUGCAACAGAGGUUUGUGACUCAACAAGGGUAUGUCAAUUUGAUGAUGAUACCCAAUUACCAGUCAUCGGCAGGCCCUAUGCCGAUGAAUGCUAAUAGUGGAUGGCUUGGGCAGCAAGUCUUUCCGCAAACACCCCAACAGAAUCAUCAGACUACCGGAUUUCAGCAUGGCCAGAUCUACCCCGGGUUCCAGAAUCAGGGAAUGCCCAACCAGCCAAUGAAUCUUGGGCAGCAGGUCGGCGGACAGUAGAUUGGCGGGCAACAGUUUGGUGGUCAGCAGAUGGGUGGCCAAAUGAUUAACCCAAUAUUCCAUGCAGAUCGCGCACCGCAGAGACACGUGGAAGCUUAUCAACAGGUGCCAAAUCCGCAGCCGCCCCAUCGGCAAGACGCCGAUGCUUAUUGGGCCGAUAAGAUCACUGAAGUAAUGAGAGACCAAUUUGGGAUAAAACCCAAAGUCAACACUUACUCUUAUCGGACACCGUUUCCUCCUGCGUAUGAUUUAAUCCCGCUUCCAAAUCGGUACAAAGUGCCGGAUUUUACUAAAUUUUCUGGGCAGGAUGAUACAUCGACUAUGGAGCAUGUCAACAGGUUCAUCAUCCAAUGUGGAGAAGCUGCUAACCGGGACGAGUUAAGGGUCCGGUUGUUCUCGUCAUCAUUGUCUGGAUCGGCAUUCACCUGGUUUAUAUCAUUACCUCCCAAUUUAGUGAUUACUUGGGCCGAUCUAGAGAAGCAAUUCCAUAAAUACUUCUUUUCUAGUGUCCAUGAGAAGAAGAUCACCGAUUUGGUCAAAUUGAAGCAACGCAAUGAUGAAUCGGUUGAGAGUUUCGUACAGAGGAUACGGGAAGUCAAGAACAAGUGCUAUAGCCUUGUUCUGGAUGAUCGGCAGUUAGCUGAUUUGGCUUUCCAGGGUUUGUUGCCACAUAUCAGGGACAAGUAUGCAUCUCAGGAGUUUGAAAGCUUAAGUCAUUUGGUCUAGAGAAUUCCUGAUCAAGAUAUCAAGCCUUUCGAGCCCAAGAGAGCAUGGAACAAGAAGGUAUCAUUUGUGGAUGAAGCAGCAAGCUCGGACUCUGAUGAGGAACCAGUCAUCAGCUUAGCAGAGUGGGUGAAAAACAAGAAGCCGAUUCUUGCCCCGUCGGGCAUAAAGAGCCAGAGAAGUUCGCAUUUGACAUCACCAAGGCCGAUAGGAUAUUUGAUUUUCUACUUCAGGAAGGUCAGAUCCAAUUGUCACCCAAUCAUGUAAUCCCAUCGGUUGAAGAAUUGAAAAAGAUGAAGUACUGUAAAUGGCACAAUGCAACUUCUCACGGCACCAAUGAAUGCAAAGUUUUUAGGCAGCAGCUGCAAUCGGCUAUAGAAUCUGGGAGGAUCAAAUUUGACAGCUCCAAAACUCAGAAGUCGAUGAAGACUGAUCAGCACCCUUUCCCAACAAACAUGCUGGAUGCUAAGGGAAAGGCCAUGGUCUUAACAUCAGAAGCAGCUGAAAGAAAUGCAUCGGUGGAUCCUCAGCAUCAGAUCACUAAUGCGGAUGCGAAAGGAAAAGGCUUGGUCCAGGAGGGAACUAACUCGGGGAGGCCUCCCCGAUCUAGUAUUGUGAUAACUCACAGAAGGCCUCGAGAAACUUGGCAGCAACAUGAGGACCGGUAUCGGCGCCGGCAGGAUGAAUACCAUCGGGGGGAGGAAAGACGCCGACAAGAGUGGAAUCGGCACAGGGAUCACUGGAAUUGUCCGUUCUUCAUCCAUUGUUGGGAGGAAAACAUCAAACUUCCUACUGUCAGAGGUUGUCCUGAGGUGCAAUGGUUAUGAUCAGUAUGAUAGAUCCGAUCGGCGCUAUCACAAUGAUGAUCGCCGAUUCAAUGGGCCGAUUCGAGGAAGAGCAUCCGUUCACGAUCGGCUAGGGGGCAGGCUCAGUGUGCACGACAGGCUCGGCGAUCGUGUUGAGUAUUUUCCCAAGAACCAGGAAGAACUUGAAGAGAUGGCUAAUGCUCACGUUCCCAAUGAAUUCAUAUUUUGCAGGGACGCCAACACUCAUCGGAUGGAGUCUAGAGAAAAUCAUCGCCCGUCGGUGAGGCAGCAGCAACUCCCUCCAUGGUGUCUAGAGGGGUUGACUAGGUCCCAGAAAAGGAGGCUGCAGUGUGAAAGAUGAUAAGAGUUGAACAAGGGCGAGAACUCUGGUCAGUCUAAGGAUCAACAACAGUCAGAUCCUAAUAGAAAAGGCCCAUCGGCAGAUGUCAACAUGGUAUUCAUGUUGCCGAUGGAGUUUCUUGCGCCGUCCAGUGAUGAUGAGUUGGACUUUCCCGACCAGAUAGCUCAAUUGGCUCUAGAUCCAAUGACGGCCAUCUUCGAGAAGCCUGCCGAUGAUGAGAGGCAACAUCUUAAGGCUCUGUUUGUUAAAGGAAGAGUGGAUGGUCAGCCGAUGACCAAGAUUUUGAUUGAUGGUGGGCUGCCAUCAAUACCAUGCCAUAUGCGGUGUAUCGGAAACUUGGAAAAGGAGAUCAGGAUUUCACCAAGACUGAUAUGAUGCUCAAAGACUUUGAGGCCAAUGUGUCUCCGGUUAAGGGGGCAAUAUGUGUUGAGUUGACCAUCGGCAGCAAAAUCUUGCCGACAACCUUCUUCGUGAUCAAUGGAAAAGGUGCUUAUAACUUGCUGCUGGGGAGAGAUUGGAUUCAUGCCAAUUGCUGCAUCCCGUCUACAAUGCACUAGUGCUUGGUCCAGUGGGUAGGUGACAAGAUUGAAAUCGUCCCUGGAGAUUCUUCUUAUGUCAUCGCAUCGGCAGAGGUAGACACUUACGAGAGGACUAGGUGCAUUUCAGGAGAAGUUUGGGAGAAGGAUUUUCUCAAGGUUGCCGAUUAUGAGAUUCCACCGAUCCAAGCAGUCGGUUCUGAUGAAGGUUUUUAAUGGAUAGGUUCGCCAAUGAUGGAAAAUUAGGCCAAGGAUUCACAUCGGCUGAUGAUUUGGUAGAAGUAGAUAUAGGUAGUGGUAAUAAACCUAGACCUACUUUUAUUAGUGCUAAGUUAGAUCCUGAGUGUAAGCAGCAGUUAACUGAUUUGUUAAAGGAAUAUAAAGAUUGCUUUGAUUGGGAUUAUACUGAGAUGCCUGGUUUGGACCGAUCGAUUGUUGAACAUUGGUUGCCUAUCAAGUCUGGAUUUUGGCCACAUCAACAGCCAGCUCGCCGAUGUAAUCCUAAUAUUCUUCUAGAUAUUAAGGCUGAAAUAACCAAACUUAUUGAAGCUAAAUUUAUUCGGCAGUGUUGGUACGCCGAAUGGAUUUCCAAUGUGGUUCCAGUCUACAAGAAAAAUGGGAAGCUUCGGGUUUGCAUUGAUUUCAGGAAUCUCAAUAAAGCUACACCGAUGGAUGGCUACCCAAUGCCAGUUGCCGAUCUGCUAGUUGAUGCUGCAGCUAGGCAUCGGAUUAUCAGCUUUAUGGAUGGCAAUGCAGGGUACAAUCAAAUAUUCAUGGCUGAAGAGGAUAUUCCGAAGACAGCGUUUAGGUGUCCUGGUCAUGUUGGGUUGUUUGAAUGGAUAGUCACGACCUUUGGCUUGAAAAAUGCAGAUGCCACUUAUCAGAGGGCUAUGAAUUUUAUAUUUCAUGAGUUCAUCGGCAAGCUAGUGGAAAUUUAUAUUGAUGAUGUGGUGGUUAAUUCUGGAGGCUUCACAAAGCAUCUUGCCGAUCUACGAAAGGUGUUGGAAUGCGCACGGAAGCAUGGUUUGAAAAUGAAUCCCAAUAAGUGUGCAUUUGGUGUAUCGGCAGGACAAUUUCUUGGUUUCAUGGUGCAUCAAAGGGGGAUUGAAAUUUGUCGAAGAUCCAUUGAUGCUAUUAACAAAAUAGUUGCCCCUACCAACAAGACUGAGCUCCAGUCCUUGAUCGGCAAGGUAAAUUUUAUCAGUUGUCUGGUAAAAUUUGUGCUUUCAGUCCUCUUCUUAAGCUAAAAGCCGAUCAAGAGUUUGUUUGGGGAAAGAGCAACAGUUGGCUUUAGAUGAAAUCAAGAAUUACUUGGUAAGUCCUCCAGUUCUGAUUCCACCUCAGCAAUGGAAGCCCUUCAGAUUGUAUUUGUCUACCGAUGGGAUGGUCAUCGGUUCGACUUUAAUUCAAGAAUUUGAAGGGAAAGAGCGUGUGAUUUAUUACUUAAGCAGGAGGUUGAUUGAUGCUGAGAUGAGGUAUUCGGCUAUUGAGAAGCUGUGUUUAUGCUUGUACUUCUCCUUAUUAAGUUAAGGCAUUAUUUGCUAUCGGCCGAAUGCACUGUUAUUUGCAAAGAUGAUGUCAUAUGAUACAUGUUAUCUAUGCCGAUCAUGAGUGGUAGGAUCGGUAAGUGGAUUUUGGCAUUGUCAGAAUUCGAUCUGCGGUACGAAUCGGCUAAACGGUUAAAGGACAAGUUAUGGCCAAUUUUGUGACCCAGCAUUGUGGUACAGUGGAGACCUUGGAGAUUGUACCUUGGACGCUCUUCUUUGAUGGAUCCACGUGUGACCGGGGGGCAGGAAUCAGCAUAGUGUUAAUUUCCCCUCGGGGAAGAAAAUAUGAGUUCUCCUUACCGAUUGUUGCCACGUCGACAAACAAUCAGGCUGAGUAUCAAGCCCUAAUAAAGGGGUUGGAAUUGCUGCGGGAAAUUCAUGCUGAUGUUGUUGAAGUCUUUGGGGAUUCUAUGCUGAUUAUAAAUCAUUUGGUUGGAAAUUAUGAGUGCCAAAGUGAAGUCUUGAUAACAUACCAUGAAAGGAGUAUGUAGCUGUUAAAGGAAUUCAGGGAUUUCCGAUUAGAGCAUGUUCCUCGAUUGCAUAAUGAAGAGGCCAAUCGGUUGGCUCAGCAUGCCUCGGGAUAUCAGCCUAUGAUUAAUGCAAUAUUGGCAAUCGGUGCCGAUGAUUUGAGGAGAGAGAUCAUUGAUUAUUUAAAGGAUCCAUCCAAAAAAGUUGAGAGGCGUGUUCGGUUUCAAGCCACCAAGUAUGUGCUCCUCAGAGAUAAGUUGUAUUACCGAACUAUUGAUGGGAUUCUUCUCAGGUGUCUAGGCGAUGAUGAGGCUAGAAGUUUGAUGGGAGAGAUCCAUGAGGGAGUGUGUGGUGCGCACCAGUCGCCUUUUAAGAUGAAGUGGAUGAUUAGGAGAAAUGGGUAUUAUUGGCCGACCAUACUCGAGGAUUGCUUUAAGUAUUUCAAAGGGUGUCAAGGAUGUCAAGAGUUUGGCAAUAUUCAAAGAGCACCUGCAUCGGCUAUGAAUCCUAUUAUCAAGCCUUGGCCGUUCCGAGGGUGGGCUAUUGAUUUGAUCGGUCAGAUUUAUCUGCCGUCCAGCAAGGGGCAUAAGUUCAUCUUGGUUGCCACCGAUUAUUUCACUAAGUGGGUUGAAGCUAUUCAUUUGAAGAAAGUUACAUCGGCCAAUAUGAUUGAUUUUGUGAAAGAGCAUAUUAUCUACCGAUUUGGAAUUCCUCAAACCAUCACUACCGAUCUGGGUACUAUGUUCACAUCGGGGGAAUUUGAUGAAUUCGCAAUCGGUAUGGGGAUUAAAGUAUUAAACUCUUCUCCUUACUAUGCUCAAGCUAAUGGGCAGGCUGAGGCAUCUUGUCGAGGGUAUCAACAAGUGGUACCCUCACCAAUGCGUAUAACGAGGCCAUCCGUACGCACGCGCGGCCAUCGACGGCCAUGCGUAUGCGCAGCCUUCGACGUCCACAACCUCGAAGACGGAAAUAGCGUCGAGCGAAUCGGUCAGGGCUCGAGCGACAGCUGCCGUCGAAUACGGAAGCGGGCUCGAGCGAACCGAGAGGCGUCGAGCGCAAGGACACUGUCCGCCGCCUGACGCGCGCACGAGAGCCAGGGCAUUUAAUGCACCUGACGCUUCCCCACCUAACACACGGGUCACGGGAGGCUUCUGUCCCAUCGUUCUUUUUGCAGCCUUCCCACCGAAUGACCCAGGGCAUGUCAGGACGCGGGAAACAAGGAUGGAACGUCUAAUCGGGAUCCCCUCGAGACACCCAAGGUCAGCGCUCUAGAUAUCAGCAUAUUACACGGCGUCCGACACUCGACCGAACAGGGUCCCUUCCUAGGGACAAGUUGGGCGUCGACUGACAACACCACAACUACCCCGCCGGAUCUGCCGCCAUACCGUACAAGCGUGCGACCUCAGAACCAGCGCGAGGCGGCGGGCAGGGCAGAACGCAGGAGCACGCGUAAUCAUCACCGGGCUAUCAAGAUGGGACGGCUCGAGGCCAUGUCGUACGGAAGCCUCGAGUAGGUCAGCGCUCCAUGCGGCUAUCGACCCCUACUCUAACAUCUACGCAUGUACCCUAGGUCUCUCCUUGGAACUAUAAAAGGAGGGACUCAGGAAUAGAACGAAAAAACACAAGACCACGCUCAUACGUAGUAGAGCUCCACACUUCAUACCACGCUUGUAUUCGCCCCUGUACAAGCACUUAGGUGCAAGAUAAUACAAACUCUCUCCCCCCGCUGGACGUAGGGCCUUCUCUUGCCCGAACCAGGAUAAAUCUCUGUGUCUUCUUGCAUCACCAUCCGGGAAAGGGAGCACGCAUACAAAUUUACUCGUUGGUGUGACCCCCCGGGGGAAAAAACACCGACAGUUGGCGCGCCAGAUAGGGGUCCUGCGUGUUUUUCAUCGAUUUCCCACUCCUUUCCGGAUGGCUACUCUUGCCUCGCCGUUUCCGCGCUCCAUGGUGAUUUGGUUUGGGAGCCUCGAGUUCAUGUCUACGGGCUCCGGCUACGACAUGAUCUUGCUCUCAGUCAAAGGACCAGGAGGAGCCCGCGUUACGCCAGCACGGUUGAAGGCCCUGAGACGCCCUCACCACCACGCCUCCCCGCCUAAGAAGAGGCGCGGACAGCACCGCCACGGCCCCUCUGCUUCAGCACGACCAGCAACUCGUGCGAGGCAGGACGUACGCCACAAGUCGGCAGGACCGUGUGACGGAGCAACAAGCGCGACGACUCAGCACCGCGCGACGACGGGAGGGGACGCAUCUCGCGCGCUCUCCCCCACCGCAGCUAGGCUACUUCCACAUGGGUUGUUCUCUCCAAGAGCGGCACUGCCGUUCGGAUUGGUCAACGCCGCGGCGUCGCUCGCCAGGGUGAUAUGCCCAAACGCCCAGACGUACGUAGAAAGACCAAUGGUCCUCCCACGUAGCUCUGAAGCGCGGCGGUCGGCGUCCGAGCUGCCGGACCUUUCCCGAGUACAAGGCCUCCGUCGUCUAGGCCCCGGACGAUACUCGAUCACCUCCCUCAGGCAACGAUUGUUGGAGGAAGGACGUGGGUGUUUCUACGCCGCCGAACCGAACUCCGACUCCGAGACAGAUAGCUAUGACCCUACGAGGGAAUGCUAUCACAUCGACGGGGCGGUAGAAACUACUGACGAGACACGGGAUGCUGCUGCGGGUGGUCGAGCCCCCGCGGCACGAGAAGACCCCAGGACGCCUGGGAACGACGGACAGGUCGACCCCCCUCCUCAGGAAGACAGAACCGCGCAGCUCGCGCAGCUGCAGGAGCUCAAGAUGAAGCUCGACGAAGACCGCGAGCGCCUCGUCCUGCUCGAGCAAAUCCUCGAGCAAGACCUGCCCUACCCGCCGGGCGGAAGUGUCCGCAGACGCGCUCGAGAGGUACAUCGACAGAUCGUCGGCGAUUCAGAGCCAGAGCAACCUGUCAGCCGUUUCCCUCGAGCAGGCCAGAAUGUAGUGGCAGCGACGAUGCUGCUACGUAACAUGCCAGAGCCGUCGAAUUCCCAGGCCCGACGCAUUCGAGAUGAGGUACAGACAUUGCUCCAGGUGGCGGCGGUUCAACAAGCCGAAAGUUCGGCGUCUCGACGGCGAGGAGCUGCCACAGAGAAGCGCGACGAACAGCCUCUAAACGAAGAGGAGGUGUCAGUCCAACAACAACCUCCCCCUCGAGGUAGAAAGACCGCUCUCAUCCUCCCCGUCGACGAUCAACGUCGACACGACGCGCGGCACGACAUCAAAGAAAAUCGACGCCGCCGGCACGGAGACGCGGAAGAGCGCGGUUAUAGCGCGCAUCGCGGUGGGAGAUACGACAGCGACGAGGACCGGGUGGCCCCCGAGCCACCAGGCCCACGGGUGUUCAGCAGGGCGAUCCGCAGCACGCCCCUGCCCAAUCCAUUUCGACCCCCGACCAGCAUCGUGAAGUACAAUGAAGAGACCAAACCAGAGUUGUGGCUGGCCGACUUUAGGCUGGCCUGUCAGCUAGGUGGCGCUCGAGGUGAUGAUCGAGCCAUCAUCAGACAGCUACCCCUUUUUCUCUCCGACACCGCCCGUCGAUGGCUCGAGGAACUCCCUGCCAAUCAGAUCCACAACUGGGUUGAUCUGGUCAGAGUCUUCGAGGGUAACUUCAAAGGGACCUACAUACGGCCAGGGAACUCGUGGGACCUCAGCAAGUGCAAGCAGAAGUCGGGAGAAACUCUUCAGGAGUAUGCUCGACGCUUCUCGAAGCAGCGCACUGAGCUGCCGCACAUCCCUAACCACGACGUCAUCUUGGCGUUUGUUUCGGGCACCACCAGUCGAGACUUGGUGCGGGAAUUAGGUCGCAAUCGACCUCAGAUCGUCGACGAGCUGAUGGACGUAGUAGCCAACUACGCGGCAGGGGAGGAGGCAGUCGGCGCCUUCUUCAGCUCAGAAGGAAGGAAAGGCAAGCAGCCCAUCGAUGAAGAUGGGACCCCCAGUCGAGGCCUCAAGAAAAACAAAAAGAAGCAGAAAGUGCGGCAGUUCCACCGGGAAGAUUCCGAUGACAACCUUGUCGCCGCCAUGGAUCGAAAGAAGCCUCGAGGCCCUCCGGAUGGAGGCAUCUUUGACAAGAUGUUGGAGGAGCCGUGCCCUUACCAUAAGGGAGGCGCCAACCACAAGCUCAAGGACUGUCGUAUGCUGAGAAAGCAUUUCGACGGUCUGGGGUUCAAAAAAGAUGCGCGUGAUGACUCCAAGAAAGAGAAGGCUGACAGCAAGGAGGACAACAAAGAUGACGACGGCUUCCCCGCCGUCCACGACUGCUACAUGAUCUAUGGCGGGCCCUCGACUCAAUUGACCACGAGGCAGCGCAAAAGGGAGCGUCGCGAAGUCUUUGCAGCAAGAAUGGCGGUGCCCCAAUACCUUAGCUGGUCAAGCACUCCUAUCACUUUCGACCAAGAAGACCACCCCGACAAGGUAGUCGCCCCAGGCGUCUACCCGCUCGUCGUCGACCCCAUCAUCAUCAACACCCGGCUCUCGAAAGUGCUGAUGGAUGGCGGUAGCAGCCUCAACAUCAUCUACCUCGAGACCCUUGACCUCCUCGGCAUAGAUAGAGGGAAGCUCCAACCAAGUGCCGGCGGGUUCCAUGGCAUCGUGCCAGGAAAAAAGGCGCUGCCAGUAGGUCGAAUUGACUUACCGGUCUGCUUCGGCACGGCGGCCAACUUCAGGAAGGAGACCCUCACCUUCGAGGUGGUUGGGUUUCGAGGCACGUACCACGCCAUCAUCGGGCGCCCGGGCUACGCCAAGUUCAUGGCUAUACCCAACUACACCUACUUGAAGCUGAAGAUGCCCGGUCCCAAAGGUGUCAUCACUGUCAGUUCCUCCUUCGAGCACGCGUACGAGUGCGACGUCGAGUGCGUCGAGUACGUGGAGGCGGUCGAGAACUCCACCGAGCUCGUCGCGAAGCUCGAGGCCCUGGCCGCUGAGGCUCCAGAGCCUAAGCGCCACGCGGGCAGCUUCGAGGCGGCGGAAGGAACCAAGAAGAUCCCGCUCGACCCCAACAACUCCGACGGCAAAGUGCUGACGAUCAGCACCGACCUCGACCCCAAAUAGGAAACUGUGCUCGUCGACUUUCUCCGUGCAAAUGCCAACAUGUUUGCAUGGAGUCCCUCAGACAUGCCAGGCAUACCGAGGGAAGUCGCCGAGCACUCCUUGGAGAUUCGAGCCGGUUCCAAGCCAGUGAAGCAGCGGUUGCGCCGAUUCGACGAGGAGAAGCGCAAGAUCAUUGGCGAGGAAGUCCACAAGGUUUUGACGGCCGGAUUCAUCAAGGAGGUUUAUCAUCCUAACUGGUUAGCAAACCCUGUAUUAGUUAAGAAAAAGAAUGGGAAAAUGAGGAUGUGUGUCGAUUAUACUAGUCUGAAUAAAGCAUGUCCAAAAGUUCCCUUUCCAUUGCCACGCAUUGAUCAGAUUGUCGAUUCUACCGCGGGAUGUGAAACCCUUUCUUUCCUUGAUGCAUAUUCUGGUUACCACCAAAUAAAAAUGAAGGAGUCCGACCAGCUCGCGACCUCUUUCAUCACGCCUUUUGGGAUGUAUUGCUACGUGACCAUGCCAUUUGGGCUUCGAAACGCGGGAGCCACGUAUCAACGUUGCAUGCUCCACGUGUUUGGCGAACAUAUAGGGUCCACGGUCGAGGCCUACGUCGACGACAUUGUCGUCAAGUCAAAGCGACGAGGAGACCUGAUCCAGGACCUCGAGAUUGCCUUUAGCUGCCUACGCACCAGCCGGAUCAAGCUCAAUCCCGAGAAGUGCGUUUUCGGUGUGCCUCGAGGCAUGCUCCUAGGUUACAUCGUUUCGCAGCGCGGCAUCGAGGCCAACCCCGAGAAAGUCUCGGCCAUCACGAAAAUGGGGCCGAUCCGAGACAUCAAGGGUGUACAGAGAGUCACGGGGUGCCUGGCGGCUCUGAGCCGUUUCAUCUCGAGACUAGGAGAAAAGGCAUUACCAUUAUUUCGACUCUUAAAGAAGGUCGAGCGUUUUUCUUGGACCCCCGAGGCCGAGGAAGCACUCGAAAGGCUGAAGAAGACGCUGACCUCGGCACCAGUCCUGGUUCCACCUCAACCUGCAGAGCCGCUGCUCCUCUACGUCGCGUCGACGACCCAGGUCGUCAGCGCGGCGGUGGUGGUCGAAAGACAAGAGGAGGGUCAUGCGCUGCCGGUCCAAAGGCCAGUCUAUUUCGUCAGCGAAGUGCUUUCGGAGACCAAGACGCGUUAUCCCCAAAUCCAGAAGCUGAUCUACGCCGUAAUCCUUGCCCGCCGCAAGCUGCAGCAUUACUUCCUCGGUCACCCCAUCACGGUGGUUUCGUCUUUCCCUUUAGGAGAAAUAAUCCAGAGCAAAGAGGCCACGGGAAGAAUAGCAAAAUGGUCGGUCGAGCUCAUGAGUGAGACUCUCACUUACGCGCCUCGGAAGGCCAUCAAAUCGCAAGCCCUGGUAGACUUCGUCGCGGAAUGGACGGACUCCCAGCUUCCCCCGACUCAGGUCCAGGCGGAGCUGUGGACAAUGUAUUUCGACGGGUCACUCAUGAAAACUGGGGCCGGGGCCGGCCUGCUGUUCAUCUCACCCUUAGGCGUCCACAUGAGGUAUGUAAUCAGGAUUCAUUUUGCCGCAUCUAACAAUGUCGCAGAAUAUGAGGCCCUGGUCAACGGUCUCAAGAUCGCUAUCGAGUUAGGAGUCCGACGCCUCGACGUCCGAGGUGACUCCCAACUCGUCAUCGACCAAGUAAUGAAAACCUCGAGCUGCCACGACCCAAAAAUGGAAGCGUACUGCAAGGAGGUCCGCCGACUCGAAGACAGGUUCCACGGUCUCGAGCUUGUCCAUGUCGCUCGACGCUACAACGAGGCAGCCGACGAACUCGCCAAGAUCGCAUCGACCAGAGGCACGGUGCCGCCUGAUGCAUUUUCAAAAGAUCUUCACGAGCCAUCCGUCGACCUAGGCACGGGGGCUGGCGUCGACGCCACCACCGCCCAACCAACCAAUGCUGUCGAUACGCUCUUGAUGGUGGAAGAAAUGAUGGAGAUAGAACGACGACCAGGUCGACCAUUCGAUUGGCGCACACCGUUCCUCGACUGCCUUAUCCACGGCGAGUUGCCAGAAGACAGCUCAGAAGCUCGUCGUAUCGCUCGGCGGGCCAAAUCAUAUGUGAUCUAUGGCGAAGACAACGAGCUAUAUCGACGGAGCCCGACGGGGGUCUUACAACGUUGCAUCACUGUGGAAGAAGGCCGAAAACUCCUCGAUGACCUGCACUCGGGGGCUUGCGGUCACCACGCCGCUCCACGGACCCUUGUAGGGAACGCUUUUCGACAAGGCUUCUACUGGCCAACGGCCGUGGCGGACGCCAUCGAGCUCGUACGAUCAUGUCACGGGUGUCAGUUCUACGCCAAGCAGACGCAUCUGCCUGCCCACGCUCUUCAGAUGAUCCCCAUUACCUGGCCGUUUGUGGUUGUUGAUGCAAAACUGAUCUGCAAACACAAAGGGCUAAUACCCGAUUCAAACGUUAAGGUGUGCCAGCCGAUUUGACCUUACUAUCGGCAAAGGUGAUAACUCGAAUACUUUAGUCCUGACAACAGCGAUGCGCCCGGAUGUCACGGCUAAGAGGUACUCACACGGAACUCGAGAACACACCGAGCUUAAGUCGACGAAUUCCUAAGAACUCGUAAUAAAAGGAAAAAAGUAUGACGAAGUCGUCGAAAAGUAAAUGCUGGAAUAUGAGUAAAAACGUGUGUUUGAUUUCUUGAUUGAUUAUCUAUUACAAGGCCCUAGGGUCUAUAUUUAUACCCUGCUCAAAGAGCUACAACCAGACACUAUUAGAAUUCGAAUUCCAAAUUACACGGAAUCCGUAUACAAAACGACGCAAAUAAUUAAGGAAAUAACAAAACUAUCCCUCGUGACAAACCGAAACUCCUCCGCAUAACGACCGGCCGCUUCCGGACUCCCUCUUUGCAUCAUCGGCAGACCUUUUGCCAUAGGUAUCGGCAGACUUUCUUAUCUAGCCAUCGGCACCAUAUUACUGCCUGUGGACUUAGUCACAUUCAACUUCUCCCUCAUCGGCAACCAUCCUCAUCGGCAACCCACUUUGUAAACAUCGUACUGCCACCUUAUCCUGCCAUCCUAGACACGUGCCCAAAAACGGUGUCAACACAUGCCCCCCAGUUUCGGAGUAUAAAACUAUUAAUGCUCCGAAAUUCUCUGCAGUAAUGAUGCCUUCUCCCGCAAUUAAUGCUCCUAAUCUGGUAACCGACAACCUCAAUCUGAACAACUCUGAUCCUAUUCCUCCGCAGAUUCCUCGAAAUCCCCAACCUCCUAAACGGGCAUUUUUCUCAGUCGUACAUCGGCAACAAUACCGUUACAAAGAUCUGCCGAUGUUCUGACCAGGAUAUUCGCACAAACGGUUACUCCCCCUCUAUCCGCCCAUCGGCAAUAUGACCGUUAUAGAAUAUUACCGAUGGACCGAUCAGGAGAUCUCGCACAGUAAAAUAUCUUCAGAUAAUGACCGGUUCCCGUCAAAUCACCUGCACAAUCCCUGGAUUACCGUGCGAACAGUUACCAUAUCCACCUGAGUACCCUCGGAUUUCUCGGAUGCGGCAAGGAGAUAAGUCGGAUUUGCCCUUGCCCAUUUUGUCCUAUAAAUAGUUCCUUCUUGGGUACUCCUUCCCCAUCACACCAUUCUACUAUCCAACUUUACUUUUCCAGCGGCGGCGCCACCAAAAACUCCCAUGGUCUCCUACAAGUACCCCUCUUCACCAACUCCGGCGCCUUCAAACGCUUCCUUCGCAGCAAGAUGGCCGUCGGGUUCGUCGUCCCUGAGGUCAAAUCUCCACCCCGUCUUCUGUAUCUUUCUUCAUAUCCCUGUUCACUCGCAAUUCAUUUUACUGAACAUCUUCCUUUUCUUUCCUUUUUGUAUUUCUUUUUACGCCCAAAAUCACUAGGAAUUGUCCAACAAAAUUGUCAUCCCCACCGAUAAACCACACCUUCAAUGCCUCGGCCCUCUAGGGAACCCAGAUCCAACUGACCUUAUCAACGCAGAAACCAACAGGAUCCCCUUCAGAGCCGAAAAUUUUUCCUUAGAUCUGUGGAAGGACACCUUCCGCUCUUGGCCCAGCCCAACUGUAGGGUGGAAAGACUGGUUCUUGAGGGUCAGCAACUCUAAUGAAGUUCAGUGGGGUGAAAGGAAUCUAGCCCAAUGCAUUAGAUUAUCCAUUGCCGAUAUGCAUAGGAACGAGUCACUGCUGAUAGCUGCAUCCUACUUUUGGUCAGACACCCUCAAUGCUUUUGCCUUUGGCCACGACCCUGCUUCUCCUACUCUUGCCGAUGUAGCCAUGCUUACUGGUCUUGAUAUAUCUUCUGCCGAUAGCACCCACUUCUUUGAUACUGCCCCUAGUGCCAAAGUGGAGACUCGCGCUAUCGGCGGUUGGUCGGGGUACAUUCAGAAGUACCGUGGGAAAGGAUCUGUCACCAUAAAGGAACAAACCACCUUUCUGAACAUGUGGCUGGACAAGUUUGUAUUCUGUGGUCGAUCGGCAGGACCGACUUCUGUCUACCUAUCGGCAGCAGAAAGACUGGCUAACGGUGGCCGAUUCCCUCUCUGCCGAUACUUGCUUGGCGCUGCUUACCACCUUCUCCAUCGAGUAGCCCAGAAACUUCUGCUCGGCCAAUCCACUGGCAACUUGGGAGGCCCCUGGUGGUUUGUCAACAUGUGGCUCAAUCUGCAUCUGCACAAGCGUCUCAACUUCAACCUGUUCACACAGCGUUUCCCAAGAGAUAUAGCUGAAAACCAUGUACUGGGUGAAGAGGAAUCGGCAACACGCACCCCCUUGAACUUUGGCGAAGCUGUCAUAGUUCUGCCUGGUUCAGGGGGUAAUCCGGAUCAGAUCGGUCGAUUCUUCCAGACUCUGUAUGAGGGUUUGACCAGAGACGAACGACCAUGGUUGGCUUAUGAUGACCCAGAUAGCAUGCUCCCUCUGACCUUCAAUCCAUUCGAUGAAGCUCUCGACAGGGACAAUGAGGUGAUGAUGGCAAUUGUGACUCCCAGAAUCAUUCCAGAGAAUUUCUUUGGCAGCACAAAAACCUCCCCUCAAACUUACGAAUUUUACAAUCCAUCGGCAUUAGCUCGCCAGUUAGCUUUCGGCCAGUUGCCGAUUGCACUUCCUUAUGCCGAUGUGAUAAAACCCAGAGAAACUAUCAACAACCUUCUUGAGUGGACUCGAGCAGCCCAACUACCACCAAACGCCGAUAUAGAUGUAGAUCUAUCAGAAUGGGUUCCGGCUGCUUUUAUCACUCAGGCAUACAAGUCAUGGUGGGCAGAAUGGAAAGAGCAUCUAUUCUGUAGAUCGGCACUUUCAUACCGCGGCAUGAUUGACUCCGAAUACGAAGUUCCCGAUGACACUAUAAGUAACUCAAACCAACGUUUCAUUUUCUCAAUAUUACCUCCAUCGGCAGCUUACCCUUGUAUUCCUUUUGCAGGUUGAUAAUAUUCCUCCAUUGGUUAGCAGGAGUGGCAGGCCGAUCGGCUUGUUUCCAUCAGGCCCGAUUUCCUCAAUCGGCCACAAUGCUCCCACUCUAGCUUCCAUCGUGCAUCGGGGUGUACGCCUCAGGAAAGUCACCACCAGAAGAACCCAGACAUCACCAACGGUUGCUGCUCCCACUCUCGCACGGGCUUUCAAGGCAAUUUGUCAAAUCUUUUCCUUUAUGCUGACUAUCUUUAUAUUGGCUAUAUUUAUGCUUAUAAACUCUUGUUCAUUAUUGCAGCAAACCGGCGCAUCGGCGAAAGCCAGGUGUGAGAGUACCGAUGCCCCCCAGUCUAGCCAACCCAAGAGAAAGGGCACCACGGGUGCUAAGACUGGAACAAAGCGCCAGAAGGUAGCAACUCCCCCUCCUCCUCCGGUAUCUCCAAUUCCGGUGGAGUGUUCUCCUUCUUCUCCAGAAGCCCAGCCACAGCAAGCACCAUCUCCCCCACCUAUGCAGGAAGCACCACAGAUAGAAGAACCCCAACAGGAAGGAUCUCAAACAGAAGAUAUAUCAGCUGACAUGGGUGAACAAACAACUGGUCCGACGGGUCCAGUUAUACCAUCAGCAGUUCUCCCGAUUCAGACAACCGUUGUCCCUCCUCCAGGUAACAUACUUUAACAUCUUCGCUACCGAUGAACUUAUUCUUAUUUAGUCUCACAACUCCUUUUGUCUUCUUUCAGUUGAUAUCGUUCCAUCGGCAAUCUCAGCCGACCAACCUGUAGCUCCAUCGGCACUUCUCAGUCAAAGGCAAGAGAUCGCCUUGAAGCAAGUAAGUCACCGUUUACCGUUAGUACUAUUUGCCGAUUCUCUGAGUAUGAGCUAAUUUUGCUUUCCUUCCUAGGAACAAGAUUCUCCCGACAGCCUGUUCUCCUUCGCCAUCGAUCUCUCUGAAGAAGAAGGUGAAGAAGCAAGCUCUUCUCAGACGGUCGGCAUCACAUCGGCAGAGAUCAGGGUCAGGCUGGAAGAAUUGUCAGCUCUCCUUCACCAGGACACAGCGCAAUUGGUUGAUGAUUCCGACCCUACCAAGACCCUGUUCAGAACUCUCAGAGGCCAAAUCCCAGCCGAUGUUGAAGAAAUCCUGUUCCAAGCCGCUCAUCUGGAGAGUCGCCAGCUGCAGUACCAAAGAGCUUCUCGGCGGCUUGCCGAUAGAGCCGCUCAGACUCAACUCUUCGAUGAAAUGAGGAGAGAGAAGCUUUUGACCGAUGAGAAGCACAAGAACAUCGGUAUCCUGAGAUCUUCUGGAGACGCGCUGAAGCAGAAGAUAUCCGAUCUAUCGGCAAGAAAAGAAUCCCUGUUGGCGGAGCUCAAGGAAGUAGAGAACGCUCUGUCCCAAGCCCAACAGGAAGACAGCCAAUUGCCAGAGACCAUCAGGCUUCUUGAGCACGAGCGAAAUGCUCAUGGUCGCAAAGCACUUCAACUGAAGAAGAAGCUGAGGCCGAUAGAAGGUUCUGCCGAUGAUGACAUCAAGGAGAUAGAAGCAGCCAACCAAAUUCGGCUACGCGCUAUAUCGGCAAUCCAGACGCUGCUUAACACAUAGAGUUUCCAUCGGCAUUGUAUCUGCGCUUUCCUGCUUCCUCAGCUUUUAGUCUAGCCGAUAGGACUGUUAUCGGCGCCUAAACUUUUGAAACACCAAGUCUUGUCCCCAAGCAUUUGGAUCCAGCCGAUAUGAGUGUUAUCGGCACCUAAACUUCUAUGCAUCGACCCAUAUACUAGGGUAGUACUUCUUUAAAUAUUUGCCGUUUAAUGCUCUGGGAAAUUCAAUUCCUUCGAGGGUUUCUAGAAUGUAGGCAUUACCAGGAGCCGAUCGACUUAUCCGAUAAGGACCCUCCCAAUUAGGAGACCACUUUCCAAACUUCGAACUUUUGGUCCCAAUUGGUAAAAUUAAUUUCCAUACCAAAUCCCCAUCGGCAAACUCUUUAGCCUUCACUUUCUUAUCAUACCAUCUAGCAACUCUCUUCUUAUUUUCUUCUAUACUCAUUAAAGCUUUUAACCGAUGCCCUGCUAGAUCGUCCAAUUCAUCGGUCAUCAAAGUGGCAUAACCAUCGGAAGUUAAUUGAUCUUGAAAAGAUAAUCGCCUAGAUCCAGCCUUAAUUUCCCAAGGCAACACUGCAUCAUGUCCAUACACCAAUUGAUAGGGUGAUACCUUGGUCGAUCCAUGACAAGCCAUCCGAUAAGACCACAAUGCUUCAUUUAAUAAUGUAUGCCACCGCUUAGGAUUUUCUUCAAUCUUUCGUUUAAUAAGUUUGAUAAUUCCUUUGUUAGACGCUUCGGCCUGCCCAUUGGCUUGAGCAUAAUAAGGAGAAGAAUUCAACACUUUAAUUCCCAUACCGAUUGCGAAUUCAUCGAACUCCCCCGAUGUGAACAUGGUGCCCUGAUCGGUAGUAAUCGUUUGGGGAAUCCCAAAUCGGUAAAUAAUAUGCUUCUUCACAAAAUCAAUCAUAUUGGCCGAUGUGACUUUCUUCAAAGGAAUAGCUUCAAUCCACUUAGUGAAAUAGUCAGUGGCAACUAGAAUGAACUUAUGCCCUUUGCUAGAUGGUGGAUAAAUCUGGCCGAUCAGAUCGAUGGCCCAUCCCCGGAACGGCCAAGGCUUUAUUAUAGGAUUCAUAGCCGAUGCGGGUGCUCUCUGGAUAUUACCAAACUUUUGACAACCUUGACAUCCCUUGAAAUAUUUAAAACAAUCCUCAAGUAUGGUUGGCCAAAAAUAUCUAUUCCUUCGAAUCAUCCACUUCAUCUUAAAAGCUGACUGAUGCGCUCCACACACUCCUUCAUGGAUUUCCCCCAUCAAACUUCUAGCUUCAUCAUCACCCAAGCAUCGGAGAAGAAUUCCGUCGAUAGUCCGAUAAUACAAUUCAUUUUCAAGGAGCACAUACUUGGUUGCUUGAAAUCGAACCCGUCUUUCAACUUUUUUGGAUGGAUCUUUUAGAUAAUCAAUAAUUUCUUUCCUCCAAUCACCGGCACCGACUGCCGAUGUCACAUUAAUCAUUGGCUGAUAUCCCGAGGCAUGCUGAGCUAACCGAUUAGCGUCUUCAUUAUGCAAUCGGGGAACAUGCUCCAAUCAGAAAUCCUUGAAUUCCUUUAACAGUUGCAUACUUCUCUCGAAAUAAGUUAUGAGAACUUCACUUCGGCAUUCAUAGCUUCCGGCCAAUUGAUUUAUAACCAACAUAGAAUCCCCGAAUAUCUCAACAGCAUCAGCACGAACUUCUCUUAACAACUCCAAUCCCUUGAUCAGAGCCUGAUACUCAGCCUGAUUAUUUGUUGAUGUGGCAACAAUCGGCAAGGAAAACUCAUAUUUCCUCCCCUUAGGGGAAACUAAUACAACGCCGAUUCCUGCCCCCCGGUCACAGGUAGAUCCAUCAAAGAAGAGCGUCCAGGGUACAAUUUCCAAGGUUUCCACUAGACCGCAAUGCUGAGUCACAAAAUCGGCCAUAAUCUGCCCUUUGACUGCCUUAGCCGAUUCGUAACGCAAAUCAAACUCCGACAGCGCUAAAAUCCAUUUACCGAUCCUACCACUCAUAAUCGGCAUAGAUAGCAUGUAUCGGACCACGUCAUCUUUGCAAACAACAGUGCAUUCGGCCGAUAACAGGUAAUGUCUCAGCUUGAUACAUGAAAAAUAUAAGCAUAAGCAUAGUUUCUCAAUGGCCGAAUACCUGGUUUCAGCAUCAAUCAACCUCCUACUCAAAUAAUAAAUUACCCUUUCUUUCCUUUCAAAUUCUUGAACUAAAGCUGAACCGAUAACCGAUCCAUCGGUAGAUAAAUACAAUCUGAAGGGCUUCCCUUGUUGAGGUGGAACUAGAACUGGAGGAUUUACUAGAUACUUCUUGAUUUCAUCCAGAGCCAACUGCUGUUCUUCUCCCCAAAUAAACUCUUGAUCGGCUUUCAAUUUAAGAAGAGGACUGAAAGCACGAAUCCUACCAGACAAAUUCGAUAUAAAUCUCCUGAUAAAAUUUACCUUGCCGAUCAAGGAUUGGAGCUCGGUUUUGUUGGUAGGGGCCACUAUUUUAUUGAUGGCAUCAAUAGAUCUUCGACUGAUUUCAAUACCCCUCUGAUGUACCAUGAAACCAAGAAACUGCCCUGCCGAUACACCAAAUGCACACUUGUUGGGAUUCAUCUUCAAUCCAUGCUUCCUUGUGCACUCUAACACUUUUUGUAAAUCGGCAAGAUGCUUUGAGAAAUCUCCAGACAUAAUUACCACAUCAUCAAUAUAAAUCUCCACGAGCUUGCCGAUGAACUCAUGAAAUAUAAAAUUCAUAGCCCUUUGAUAAGUAGCACCAGCAUUCUUCAACCCAAAAGUCAUGACUAUCCAUUCAAAUAGCCCAACAUGACCAGGACACCUGAAUGCGGUUUUUGGAAUAUCCUCCUCCGCCAUGAAUAUUUGAUUGUAACCUGCAUUACCAUCCAUGAAGCUAAUGACCCGAUGGCCGGCCGCAGCAUCAACCAGUAGAUCGGCGACAGGCAUUGGGUAUCCAUCCAUCGGCGUAGCUUUAUUGAGAUUCCUGAAAUCAAUGCACACCCGAAGCUUCCCGUUCUUCUUGUAAACCGGAACAACAUUGGAAAUCCACUCGGCAUACCGACACUGCCGAAUAAACUUAGCUUCAAUAAGUUUGGUGAUUUCGGCCUUAAUAUCAGGUAGAAUGUUAGGAUUACAUCGGCGGGCUGGUUGCUGAUGUGGCCGAAAUCCAGACUUGAUGGGUAACCGAUGUUCAACAAUUGACCGGUCUAAACCAGGCAUCUCGGUAUAAUCCCAAGCAAAGCAAUCUUUAUAUUCCUUUAACAAACUAAUCAAUUGUUGCUUACUCUCAGGAUCUAAUUUAGCACUAAUAAAAGUAGGCCUAGACUUAUCACCACUACCUAUAUCUACUUCUACCAAAUCAUCGGCCGAUGUGAAUCCCUGGCCUAAUUUUCCAUCAUCGGCGAAUCUAUCCAUUAAAAACCGUCGUCAGAACCGACUGCUUGGAUCGGUGGAAUCUCAUAAUCGGCAACUUUAAGAAAAUCUUUCUCCCAAACUUCUCCUGAAAUGCACCUGGUCCUUUCGUAAGUAUCCGCUUCUGCCGAUGCGAUAACAUAAUAAGAAUCUCCUGGGACAAUCUCAAUCUUGUCACCUACCCACUGAACCAAGCAUUGAUGCAUUGUAGAUGGGAUGCAACAAUUAGCAUGAAUCCAAUCUCUUCCCAAUAAUAAGUUGUAAGCACCUUUUCCGCUGAUCACGAAAAAAGUUGUCGGCAAGGUUUUGCUGCCGAUGGUCAACUCUGCACAUAUCGCCCCCUUGACUGGAGACACGUUUCCUUCAAAGUCUUUCAGCAUCAUAUCUUGAUCCCCUUUCCCAAGCUUCCGAUAUACUGCAUACGGCAUAAUAUUAAUAGCAGCUCCACCAUCAACUAGGAUUUUGGUCAUUGGCUGCCCAUCAACCCUUCCUUUGAGGAACAGAGCUUUAAGAUGCUGCCUCUCGUCAUCGGCAGGUUUCUCAAAGAUAGCCGUCAUCGGAUCCAGAGCCAACUGAGCUAUCUGAUCAGAAAAUUCCAACUCAUCAUCACUGGCUGGUGCAAGAAACUCCAUCGGCAACAUGAAGACCAUGUUGACGCCUGCCGAUGGACCUUCCCUCUUAGUGUCUGACGGCUGCCGACUUCCAGAGUUCUCUCCCUUGUUUAGCUCUUCUUGCCUUUCACGUUGCAAUCUCCUUUUCUGUGUCUUGGUUAAUCCUCCAGGGCACCAUGGAGGAAGUGGCCUUUGCCUUGCCGUCGGGCGUCGGUUCUCCCUUGACUCCAUACGAUGCGUGUUAGCAUCCCUGCAAAAUAUGAAUUCAUCGGGAACCCGCGCAUCAGCCAUUUCCUCGAGCUCUUCUUGGUUCCUGGGAAAAUACUGGACACGGUCACUAAGUCUGUUGUGCCCACUAAAUCUGCCCCCCAGCCGGUCAUGAACUGACACCCUUCCUCUGAUCGGCCCAUUAACUCGCCGUUCAUCAUCAUGAUAAUGCCGAUCGAUCCUAUCGUACCAAUCAUAACCGUUGCACUCAGGGCAGUCUCUGACAUUAGGAAGCUUGAUAUUUUCCUCCCAACAAUGGAUGAAGAAUGGACAAUUCCAAUGAUCCCUGUGCCGAUUCCACUCCUGUCGGCGUCUUUCUUCUUCCCGUCGAUAAUCUUCCUGCUGGCGCCGAUACCGAUCUUCCCGUUGUUGCCAUUUCUCUCGAGGCCUUCUAUGAGUUAUGACGAUACCAGACCGAGGAGGCCUUCCUGAGCUAGUUCCUUCCUGGACCAAGCCCUUACUUCUUGCAUCAGCAGUAUUAACUUGAUGCUGAGGAUCUACCGAUGCACUCUUCUCAGCUGUCUCCGAUGUUAAGACCUUAGCCUUCCCCUUAGCAUCCAACAUGUUUGUCGAGAAAGGAUGUUGGUCUAUCUUCAUCGGCUUCUGGGCUUUGGAACUGUCAAACUUGAUUCUCCCUGACUCUAUAGCCGAUUGCAGCUGCUGUCUGAAUACUUUGCACUCGUUGGUGUCAUGGGAAGUUGCAUUAUGCCACUUGCAAUAUCUCAUCCUUUUCAACUCUUCUGCCGAUGGGAUCACAUGGUUAGGUGACAGUUUGAUCUGACCUUCCUGAAGUAGAAAGUCAAAUAUCCUAUCAGCCUUAGCGGUGUCAAAAGCAAACUUCUCUGGUUCCUUCUGCCCAAAAGGACAAGACAUCGGCUUCUUGUUUUUUACCCACUCUGCCAAGCCGAUUACUGGUUCUUCAUCAGAAUCUGAGCUUGUUGCUUCAUCGACAAAUGACACUUUCUUAUUCCAUGCUCUCUUAGGCUCGAAAGGCUUGAUGUCUUGAUCAGAAAUCCUCUGCACCAAAUGACUUAAACUUUCGAACUCCUGAGAGGCAUACUUAUCCCUGAUAUGUGGCAACAAACCCUGGAAAGCCAAAUCGGCUAGCUGCCGAUCAUCCAGAACCAGGCUAUAGCACUUAUUCUUGACCUCUCGUAUCCUCUGCACAAAUCCCUCAACCGACUCAUCAUUACGUUGCUUCAACUUGACCAAGUCGGUGAUCUUCUUCUCAUGAACCCCCGAGAAGAAGUAUUUGUGGAAUUGCUUCUCUAGAUCGGCCCAAGUAAUUACUGAGUUGGGAGGUAAUGAAAUGAACCAAGUAAAGGCCGAUCCAGACAAUGAUGAUGAAAAUAGACGAACCCUCAAUUCGUCCCUGUUACCAGCCUCUCCACAUUGAAUGAUGAACCUGUUGACAUGCUCCAUGGUUGACGUGUCGUCCUGCCCGGAAAACUUUGUAAAAUCCGGUACCUUGUACCGAUGUGGAAGCGGGAUCAAAUCAUACGCGGGAGGAUACGGUGUCCGAUAAGAAUAAGUGUUGACUUUGGGUUUUAUCCCAAAUUGUUCCCUCAUUACUUCAGCAAUCUUAUCGGCCCAAUAUGCAUCGGCAUCUUGCCGAUGAGGCGGCUGCGGAUCUGGCACUUGGUGGCGGACCUCCACGUGUCUGUUCGGGACGUGAUCUGCACGGAACAUUGUAUUGAUCACCUGUCCUCCAAUCUGCGGACCACCAAACUGCUGUCCACCGAUUGGCUGCCCUCCGAGUUACUGUCCAAAAUUCAUUGGCUGGUUGGGAAUCCCCUGACCUUGGAACCCGGGAUAGACCUGCCCUUGCUGGAACCCUGUAGUCUGGUAACUCUGCUGGGGCGACUGUGGAAAGGCUUGCUGUCCAAGCCAUCCAUUAUUAGCGUUCAUCGGCAUAGGUGCUGCCGAUGAUUAGUAAUUGGGUACCGUCGUUGAAUUGACAUACCCCGACUGGGCCAUAGACCUCUGUUGCAUCAGCAUUGACUCUGCCGAUGCGUUGGGCAUCUGGAACAUUGAAUCUUGAGGAUUUCCAGUGUGAGGCCUUGCAGUAGUAGUUGUGGUAUACCGAGGACUCUGGUUCACCGGCGCAUUGGGAGGUGCCGAUGUCAUAGGAGUUUUGCCCCUCAUGUCAGUUAUUUGUGAUGUUCCCGGUGUCAACUCUGGAGGCAUACCGUAACCCCACCAGUUGGGAGGAAGAGUCAACCCUGACAUUGCCGAUGCCAACAUAUUUGUUGUCAGUUUAUGCUGCCCAACUGAAAUUUGUGGGUUGGUUGUCAUCGGCAUAGAUAGUGCACCAGUAGUCCCCGAUGUACUUGGAGGGACGGCAGAUUGUGCACUUGUAUUCGUCAAGGCAGCCGAUGGAGCCGUGACCUCUGGUGCCGUUGGCUGAUGAUGGGAAGGGCCCACAUAAUCUGGUGGGAUUUGUCCUUCCUUGAAAGUUCUUGCCACGGCAUUGAAAACCGUAUUAGACAGUACACCAACUUGGUUAAUCAACGCUCGAUUGAUGGCAUUGUCAACCAUAUCUUGAAGCUUGCCAGGAUUGGCGUCAAAGGUAACCUGCCGUGGUGCCGGCAGUGCAUCUUUCUGAACCACUUCGCCGCUCCUAUUUAUGCUGAAAGACCUCAGGCAUUGCUGCUUGAACUCUUCCAUGGCUUGGGCGAUAGCUUGCUUCUGCUCAUCCUUGAGGUUGGCCUCCGUCACGGGGAUGACGUUCUCUUGAUCGAGGUCAGAGAUCGACAUGUUGAUCUUGAUCUUGAAUCCUGUCCCACCAGGCGUGCCAAAAGAUGUGUUGAUGCAAAACUGAUCUGCAAACACAAAGGGCUAAUACCCGAUUCAAACAUUAAGGCGUGCCAGCCGAUUUGACCUUACUAUCGGCAAAGGUGAUAACUCGAAUACUUUAGUCCUGACAACAGCGAUGCGCCCGGAUGUCACGGCUAAGAGGUACUCACGCGGAACUCGAGAACACGCCGAGCUUAAGUCGACGAAUUCCUAAGAACUUGUAAUAAAAGGAAAAAAGUAUGACGAAGUCGUCGAAAGGUAAAUGCUGGAAUAUGAGUAAAAACGUGUGUUUGAUUUCUUGAUUGAUUAUCUAUUACAAGGCCCUAGGGUCUAUAUUUAUACCCUGCUCAAAGAGCUACAACCAGACACGAUUAGAAUUCGAAUUCCAAAUUACACGGAAUCCGUAUACAAAACGACGCAAAUAAUUAAGGAAAUAACAAAACUAUCCCUCGUGACAAACCGAAACUCCUCCGCAUAACGACCGGCAGCUUCCGGACUCCCUCUUUGCAUCAUCGGCAGACCUUUUGCCAUAGGUAUCGGCAGACUUUCUUAUCUAGCCAUCGGCACCAUAUUACUGCCUGUGGACUUAGUCACAUUCAACUUCUCCCUCAUCGGCAACCAUCCUCAUCGGCAACCCACUUUGUAAACAUCGUACUGCCACCUUAUCCUGCCAUCCUAGACACGUGCCCAAAAACGGUGUCAACAGCGGUGUGGGGGCUCGAUUUAGUAGGACCUCUACAAAAGGCGAAAGGAGGAUUCACCCAUUUGCUGGUGGCCAUUGACAAGUUCUCCAAAUGGAUCGAGGCUCGACCCAUCACCAACAUCCGCUCCGAGCAGGCCGUCCUUUUCUUCACCGACAUUAUCCAUCGGUUUGGGAUCCCCAAUGUCAUCAUCACCGACAACGGCACCCAGUUCACCGACAAAAAGUUCUUGGACUUCUGCGAUCGGCAUCACAUCUGUGUGAACUGGUCUGCAGUAGCCCACCCUCGAACUAACGGCCAAGUCGAGCGUGCCAACGGCAUGAUUUUGCAAGGACUCAAGCCAAGGAUCUACAAUCGAUUGAAGAAAUUCAGCAAAAAAUGGGUCGAGGAACUUUCCUCAGUCCUAUGGAGCCUUAGAACAACACCAAGCAGGGCCACAAAAUACACCCCGUUCUUCAUGGUCUACGGCUUCGAGGCUAUCCUCCCCACAGACCUCGAGUAUGGGUCACCUCGACUCAAGGCCUACAACGAACAAUCGAACAAAGAGACUCAAGAAAACGCGGUCGACCAACUUGAGGAGGCUAGAGACAUGGCCCUCCUCAACUCUGCCAGAUAUCAGCAAAGGCUUCGACACUACCACGACAAGCAUGUGCGCAAGAGGGACCUCAACGUGGGGGACCUAGUCCUACGACGCCGGCAAAGCAAUCAGGGACGCCACAAGCUGACUCCGCCUUGGGAAGGUCCGUACGUGGUAGCCGAGGUCCUGAAGCCGGGAACGUACAAGCUGGCGGACGAAAAGGGGGCAAUUCUCACCAACGCAUGGAACAUCGAACAGCUACGUCGAUUCUACCCCUAGAAGUUCCAAACUUAUGUUCCUGCUUACGUUUUGUACCAAGACUUUGUAAGCGAAUGAAUGAAUAAAUAAAGUCUUUCCCUCGAAACAAUUCUUCUUUCUUUGCGCCGAGAAGAUUAAUAAGUCACGAUCUCGACGUUAGAAGGGGGCGCCGACUAUGACCCAUCAUAGUCAGCACCCCCUCGGGGGCUACCAGGGGGACGACACCCCCCCCCCCCGAGUAUCGAAAAAACCAAGAAGUUUUCCUUUCUUACGUAGUAAACCUUGCACGGUUCAAGUAGCUAAGGCACCUCGAGCCCCUCAAAGGCCGAGGGACAACGAGCUGGAGAACUCCUACGCCCCCGGGCUACGGAAACUCUACUCGCUUCCCCACCAUUGAAGUGAUCGAGGUGGUCUUUUACGAAAAAUCGAGCAAGGGAUACAAACGUAGGCGCAAAGAGAAACGAAAGCAUCAAGCGGAAAGACAAAAUAAGCAUCUAACAAUUACGAAAGUGAUACAGCAUCAGUUAACCACAGAAUUAACAAAGUAUUGUACAAGGGGCCUCAGGCGCCCUGAGCAGGCUCGCAGGCCUCAGUCCGCGGCACGAUCCUCACCGCCCUCGCCUCCGCCCGAGCUAGCCUCAGGAGGGAGCACCUCAGGCUCGAAAAGCUUGGCCAACCUUUCCCCAGGAGCCUCCGCGUCGUCGAUCAAGGCAUGGAGCCUCUCCUCGUUCUCCGCGUCGGUCUUGGAGAUGUCGGUGACGAAGCCAUGGGACACCACCUCCAUGUCGUAGGAGAAGCCCGAGCAGACAACCGCCAUCGCCCGCUUCACCUCGAUGUGGAGGGCGUCCCGCACCCGAUCUCGCAGCGUCGCACCUAUGUAGCACAACUGGUCGACCAGGGCGUCGCCUCGAGCGUCCUCCCUCGACUCAUCCAUAGGCUCGACCUCCCAAGAGGUCGAGAGAUCACUUAUCGCCGUCCGUACUCGACGGUUCAAAGCAACCUCCGCCUCGAGCUGAGCCUUGGCGUUGCGAGCCUCGGCUUGGGCGGCCAGGAGUUCGUCCUUGAGCCCUAUAAAAGCCAAUACAAAGAGACCUUAGGAAAAACUAAGCACACCUCGGAAAAAGGAAUCUGAUAGAGGAAACAUACCGCGUACGGUCUCCUCGAGGGCCGUGUUCUCGCCGACCAGCCUGGUGUUGGCCCCCUCGAUCUCUUUGUUGGAGCGUGCCAGCUCGGUGUUGGCAACGCGGAGAUCCUCGAUCGCCUUGCCAGCCUGAGCAAUGGCACCACUCUUCUCCAGCAACUCUCCCUUCAGACGCUCGACGUCGUUAGAAAGACUGCGGGAUCGAGCCCGCUCCGCCUCGAGAUCUUCGAGGGCCUUCUUCUUGGCUUCCUCCGCGGCGCCCCUGGCGACCUCGCCGUUCACAUGCUCCACCUUCAUCUUUCAGAAGGACUCUCAGAGAGAGUCCAGGUUGGAUUUAAGGAGGCCCUUCUCCUUGUCCAGAUCCGCGAUAACGCUCUUGUAGGACAGGGCCUCCUCCCGGGCUCUGGACGCAGCUUCCUCGACCGUAAGAGCCCGCUCCCGUAGCUGCAUCGUCUCCUCCUCCGCCUUCUUCGAGGCCUCUCGGGCCUCAGCCAAGGCAGCCUCCCUCGCCUUCUUCUCCUCCUCGAGUGCUAUGAGAUCUUUGUAAGCUUUAAGGAGCUUUUCCUGCGACUCGAGGAGUUGAUCCUUGAGGAGGGGGAGCUGCUCCCAACCGCCCCUCGUGGCAUGUAUGAAGCUAGACUUGAUGCGGGAGGUCUCUUUCAUAUCCUGCGAAUCAAGAGUCGGAUGGAUUAGAAUACAGAAACCAGAAAGCACCAUGAGGAUUGGAGUUCGAGAAACACUUAUGAAAUAAGCCGGGCCAAGCCCGUUGUUGAUAAUGUCCGAGAGGAGCCCCACCACAUGCUUCAUCCAAAGGCGGAGCUCCUCGACGUGUUCCCACUUCUCCGCCUCCUUCCGAUCGUCGAGGAAGAUGUCGGGCUCAGACGGGUCGUGGGAGGCCCGGAUACGGAUGUGAUCGGUGCACCAGUGCUCCAUCUCCCGGUCAGCCCGCGCCUUAACGCCGCGGAUGAGGCCCUCGACGGUCUCGAGGGAGCCACCAUGGCGCAGGAACAGGUCGACGAGGCAUGGGAACCGUCCGUCGUCGUCCACCGUCUUCCAGGUUCCAUCCUUGGUCCCCGGUGCCCCAAUUUCAUCCUCCUCGGAAGGAAAGCGGUCCUCCCACGCCCGACGUUCCCGGAGGAACCCUGGGGUGAUCCCGUCCAUGCCAUAAAUUGUCCUCUUGAUAUCGGACUCGGGGUCGGGGGGCGUGCGCUUCAGGCAGGCGAGCGCCACCACUCCAUCCGCUCGCCCCGGCUCUGCCCGGAUCGCGGCAGGCGCCCCCGGGAGGAGCCACGCCGGGGUUGGGGGGCCAUACACCGGCAGGUCCUCCUCCUCGCCGAGCUCUUGCGGCUCCGGUGGCACUGGCUGGGCCGGACCUUGGGGCGGAGGCUCGAGCGGUCCCUCCUCUUGGCCCGCCUGCUGCUGUUGCUGUUGCCGCUGCGGUGGUUGUUGCUGCUGCUGCUGCGGCUGCUCCUGCGGUUGUUGCUGUUGCUGCUACCGCUGUUGCUGCUCCUGAUGUUGCUGUUCCUCCUGCUGUUGUUGCUGUUGCUGCGUGUUGAUGCAAAACUGAUCUGCAAACACAAAGGGCUAAUACCCGAUUCAAACGUUAAGGCGUGCCAGCCGAUUUGACCUUACUAUCGGCAAAGGUGAUAACUCGAAUACUUUAGUCCUGACAACAGCGAUGCGCCCGGAUGUCACGGCUAAGAGGUACUCACGCGGAACUUAAGGAUACGCCGAGCUUGAGUCGACGAAUUCCUAAGAACUCGUAACAAAAAGAAAACGUAUGACGAAGUCGUCGAAAAGUAAAUGCUAGAAUAUGAGUAAAAACGUGUGUUUGAUUGAUUGAUAGAUGUCCUGAUUACAAGGUCUUAGGGCUUAUAUUUAUACCCUGCUCAAAGAGCUGCGACCAGACAUGAUUAGAAUUCGAAUUCCAAAUUACACGGAACCCGUAUACAAAACGAUACGAAUAACAUAAGGAAAUAAUAAAACCAUCCUUCGUGACAAACCGAAACUCCUCCACAUGACAACUGGCAGCUUCCGGACUCCUCCUUCGCGUCAUCGGCAAUCCCCUCGCCAUAGUCAUCGGCAGACCCUUUUACUUGGUCAUCGGCACCAUAUUACUGUCUGAGGACUUAGUCACAUUCAACCUUUCCCUCAUCGGCAACCAUCCUUACCAGCAACCCGCAUCGUACUGCCACCCUGUCCUGCCAUCCUGGACACGUGCCCAAAAAUGGUGUCAACACAUGCCCCCCAGUUUCGGAGUAUAAAACUAUUAAUGCUCCGAAAUUCUCUGCAGUAAUGAUGUCUUCUCCGCAAUUAAUGCUCCUAAUCUGGUAACCGACAACCUCAAUCUGGGCAACUCUGAUCCUAAUCCUCCGCAGAUCCCUCGAAAUCCACAACUUCCCAAACGGGCAUCUCUCUUAGUCGUACAUCGGCAACAAUACCGUUACAAAGAUCUGCCGAUGUUCUGCCCAGGAUAUUCGCAAAAACGGUUACUUCCCCUCUAUCCGCCCAUCGGCAGGACGACCGUUAUAGAAUAUCACCGAUGGACCGACCAGGAGAUCGCGCACAGUAAAAUAUCUUUAGAUAAUGACCGCUUCCUGUCAAAUCACCUGCACAAUCCCUGGAUUAUCGUGCGAACAGUUACCAUAUCCACUUGAGUACCCUCGGGUUUCUCGGAUGCGGCAAAGAAAUAAGUCAGAUUUGCCCUUGUCCAUCUUGCCCUAUAAAUAGUUCCUUCUUGGGUACUCCUCCCCCAUUACAUCAUUCUGCCAUCCAACUUCACUUUUCCAGCGGCGGCGCCAUUCUCAAUCCUCAAGAUCUCCGACAAGCAUUCUUCUUCAUCAACUCCGGCGUCUUCCAGCGUCCCCUUCACGACAAGAUGGCCGUUGGCUUCGUCGUCCCUGAGGUCAGACUUCCAUCUCAUCUGCCGUACCUUUUUCCUGCAUUCCUGUUCAUCUGCGAUUUACCUUACCGAAUAUUUCCUUCUCCUUUUUCUUUGUAUCUUUAUUCCCCAAAACACCAGGAGUUAUCCAACAAAAUUGUCAUUCCUACCGAUCAACCACAUCUUCAAUGCCUCGGCCCUCUAGGGGAUCCAGAUCCAACCGACCUUAUCAACGCAGAAACCAACAGGAUUCCCUUUAGAGCUGAAAACUUUGCUCUAGAUCUAUGGAAGGACACCUUUCGCUCUUGGCCUAGCCCUACUGUAGGGUAGAAAGACUGGUUCUUAAGGGUCAGCAACUCUUAUGAAGUUCAAUGGGGUGAGAGGAAAUUAGCUCAAUGCAUUAGGCUGUCCAUUGCCGAUAUGCAUAGGAACGAGUCAUUGCUGAUAGCCGCAUCUUACUUUUGGUCAGACACUCUCAACGCUUUUGUUUUUGGCCACGGCCCUGCUUCUCCUACCCUUGCCGAUGUAGCCAUGCUUACUGGGUUGGACAUAUCUUCUGCCGAUAGCACCCACUUUUUUGAUACCGCCCCCAGUGCCAAAGUGGAGACUCGCGCUAUCGGCGGCUGGUCAGGGUACAUCCAGAAGUACCGCGGGAGAGGGCCUGUCACCAUAAAGGAACAAACCACCUUCCUGAACAUGUGGCUAGACAAGUUUGUAUUCUGUGGUCGAUCGGCAGGACCGACUUCUGUCUAUCUAUCGGCAGCAGAAAGACUGGCUAGCGGUGGUCAAUUUCCUCUCGGCCGUUAUUUGCUCGGCGCUGUUUAUCACCUUCUUCAUCAGAUAGUCCAGAAACUCCUGCUCGGCCAACCUAUCGGCAACUUGGGAGGUCCUUGGUGGUUUAUUAAUAUGUGGCUCAAUCUGCACCUGCACAAGCGCCUCGAUCUCAACUUGUUCUCUCAGCACUUCCCAAGAGAUAUAGCCGAGAACCAUGUGUUGGGUGAAGAGGAAUCGGCAACACGUGCCCCCCUGAACUUUGGCGAAGCUGUUAUAGUUUUACCCGGUUCAGGGAACACUCCGGAUCAGAUCGGCCGAUUCUUCGAAACGCUGUAUGAGGGUCUGGCCAGAGAUGAACGACCAUGGCUGGCUUAUGACGACCCAGAUAGCAUGCUCCCUCUGACCUUCAAUCCGUUCGACGAAGCUCUUGAUAGGGACAAUGAGGUGAUGAUGGCAAUCGUGACUCCCAGAGCCAUACCAGUGAACUUCUUCGGCAGCACGAAAACUUCUCCCCAAACUUAUGAAUUUUAUAAUCCAUCGGCAUUAGCUCGCCAGCUAGCUUUCGGCCAAUUGCCGAUCGCACUUCCUUAUGCCGAUGUAAUAAAGCCCAGAGAACCCAUCGCUAACCUCCGCGAGUGGACUCGAGUAGCCCAGCUACCACCAAAUGCCGAUACAGAUGCAGAUCUGUCAGAAUGGGUUCCAGCUGCCUUUAUCACUCAAGCAUACAAGCUAUGGUGGGCAGAAUGGAAGGAGAAUCUUUUCUGCAGAUCGGCCCUCUCAUACCGCAGCAUGAUCGACCCCGAAUACGAAGUCCCUGACGACACUGUAAGUAUUUUAAACCGAUGUCUCAUUUUCCAAUACUAUUCCCAUCGGUAACUUACCCCUGUAUUCUUUUUGCAGAUUGACAACACCCCCCCAUCGGUUAGCAGGAGUGGCAAGCCGAUCGACUUAUUCCCAUCAGGCCCGAUCUCCUCAAUCGGCCACAAUGCUCCCACUCUGGCUUCCAUCGUGCACCGGGGCGCGCGUCUCAAGAAAGUUACCACCAGGAAAACUCAGACAUCACCAACGGUAACUGCUUCCACUCUGGCGCAAGCUUUCAAGGCAAUCUGUUAAACCCCUUUUUUAUUUAUGCUGACUAUCUUUAUAUCGGUUAUCUGUGCUCAUAAACUCUUUAUCGUUGUUGCAGCAAACUGGUGCAUCGGCAAAAGCCAAACGCCAAGGUGCCGAUCCCCCCCAGUCUAGCCAGCCAAAGAGGAAAGGCGUCCAAGGUGCUAAGACUGGAACAAAGCGUCAGAAAGUGGCAACUCCUCCUCCUCCUCCGGUGUCUCCAAUCCCGGUGGAAUCUUCCCCUUCUCCUCCAGAAGUCCAGGCACAGCAAGCACCAUCUCCUCAAUCAAUACAGGAAGCACCACAGAUGGAAGAACCUCAGCAAGAAGAACCUCAAACGGCAGGUACGUCAGCUGACAUAGGUGAACAAACAACUGGCCCGGCAGGUCCAGUUAUAUCAUCGGCGGUUUCCUCAAUUCAAACAACUGUUGUUCCUCUUCCGGGUAACAUAUCCCAACAAUACUCCUACCGAUAAACUUAUUUUCAUUGAUUCUUAUAAUCCUUCCUGUCCUCUUUCAGGCGAUAUCGUUCUAUCGGCAACAUUUGCCGAUCAACCUGCAGCUCCAUCGGCCUCUCUGAGUCAACGGCAGGAAAUCGCCUUGAAGCAAGUAAGUCAUCCACUUUUCCAUCGGUAUCAUCUGCCGAAGUUUUGACCAUAAAAUUGACCUAUUUCAUUUUCAUUUUCAGGAACAAGAUUCUCCCGACAGCUUGUUCUCCUUCGCUAUUGAUAUCUUCGAAGAAGAAGGCGAGGAAGCAAGCUCCUCUCGGGCAGUUGGAAUUGUAUCGGCAGAAACCAGAGCUAGGCUGGAGGAGCUAUCGGCCAUACUUCAUCAAGACACAACUCAACUGGUCGACGAUUCUGACCCAGCCAAGGCCCUGUUCAAGACUCUUAGAGGCCAAAUUCCUGCCGAUGCCGAAGAAACACUCUUCCACGCUGCACAUCUAGAAAGCCGCCAGCUACAGUACCAGAGAGCUACUCGACGCCUUGCCGACAGAGCUGCUCAAAUCCAGCUCUCUGAGGAGAUGAUGAAAGAAAAACGCUUAGCCGAUGAGAAACAUAAGAACAUCGGCAUCUUAAAGUCCUCAGGUGAUGCACUGAAGCAGAAAAUGUCUGAUCUAUCGGCAAAAAGAGAAGCUCUGCUGGCUGAACUCAAGCAAGUAGAAGACGCCCUGUCCCAAGCCCAGCAAGAAGACAGUCAACUGCCGGAGACCAUCAAGCAUCUUGAACAGGAACGAAACGUCCAUGGUCGUAAAGCGCUGCAACUGAAGAGGAAGCUGAAGCCAAUUGAAGGUUCUGCCGAUGACGAUAUCAAAGAGAUAGAGACAGCCAACCAGAUUCGGCUGCGCGCCAUAUCUGCAAUCCAAGCGCUGCUGAACAUCUGAAGCUUUCAUCGGCGACACACCUUUGUUUCUCCGUUUUUAGCUUUUAGUCUAGCCGAUAAGACUGUUAUCGGCAUCUUUUGAAACAUUAAGUCUGCCCUUGAACAUUUAAAUUCAGCCGAUAGGAGUGUUAUCGGCACUUAACCUUUUAUGCAUCGAUCCAUAUGCUGGGGUAGUACUUCUUCAAAUAUUUGCCAUUUAACGCUCUGGGAAAUUCAACUCCUUCGAGAGUUUCUAGAAUAUAGGCAUUACCAGGAGCUGAGCGUUUUAUCCGAUAAGGACCUUCCCAAUUAGGAGACCACUUCCCAAACUUUGAACUUUUAGUCCCGACUGGCAAAAUCAACUUCCAUACCAAAUCCCCAUCGGCAAACUCCUUAGCCUUCAACUUUUUAUCAUACCAUCUGGCAACUCUCUUCUUAUUUUCUUCUAUACUCAUUAAAGCCUUUAACCGAUGCCCUGCUAAAUCAUCUAACUCAUCGGUCAUUAAAGUGGCAUAAUCAUCGGCAGCCAAUUGAUCUUGAAAAGAUAAUCGCCUAGAUCCAGCCUUAAUCGCCCAAGGCAAAACUGCGUCAUGUCCAUACACCAAUUGAUAAGGUGACACCUUGGUUGAUCCAUGACAAGCCAUCCGAUAAGACCACAGUGCUUCAUUCAACAAUGUAUGCCACCGCCUAGGAUUUUCUUCAAUCUUUCGUUUAAUAAGCUUGAUAAUUCCCUUGUUAGACGCUUCGGCCUGCCCAUUGGCUUGAGCAUAAUAAGGAGAAGAAUUCAACACUUUAAUUCCCAUACCGAUUGCGAAUUCAUCGAACUCCCCCGACGUGAACAUGGUGCCCUGAUCGGUAGUAAUCGUUUGGGGAAUCCCAAAUCGGUAAAUAAUAUGCUCCUUCACAAAAUCAAUCAUAUUGGCCGAUGUGACUUUCUUCAAAGGAAUAGCCUCGACCCACUUGGUGAAAUAGUCAGUGGCAACUAGAAUGAAUUUAUGCCCUUUGCUAGAUGGUGGAUAAAUCUGGCCGAUCAGAUCGAUGGCCCAUCCCCGGAACGGCCAAGGUUUUAUUAUAGGAUUCAUAGCCGAUGCGGGUGCUCUCUGGAUAUUACCGAACUUUUGACAACCUUGACAUCCCUUGAAAUAUUUAAAACAAUCUUCAAGUAUGGUUGGCCAAAAAUAUCCAUUCCUUCGAAUCAUCCACUUCAUCUUAAAAGCUGACUGAUGCGCUCCACACACUCCUUCAUGGAUUUCUCCCAUCAAACUUCUGGCUUCAUCAUCACCCAAGCAUCGGAGAAGAAUUCCGUCGAUAGUUCGAUAAUACAAUUCAUUUUCAAGGAUCACAUACUUGGUUGCUUGAAAUCGAACCCGUCUUUCAACUUUUUUGGAUGGAUCUUUUAGAUAAUCAAUAAUUUCUUCCCUCCAAUCACCGGCACUGACCGCCGAUGUCGCAUUAAUCAUUGGCUGAUAUCCCGAGGCAUGCUGGGCUAACCGAUUAGCGUCUUCAUUAUGCAAUCGGGGAACAUGCUCCAAUCGGAAGUUCUUGAAUUCUUUUAACAGUUGCAUACCUCUCUCGAAAUAGGUUAUGAGAACUUCACUUCGGCAUUCAUAGCUUCUGACCAAUUGAUUUAUAACCAACAUGGAAUCUCCGAAUACUUCAACAGCAUCAGCACGAACUUCUCUUAACAACUCCAAUCCCUUGAUCAGAGCUUGAUACUCAGCCUGAUUAUUUGUUGAUGUAGCAACAAUCGGCAAGGAAAACUCAUACUUCCUCCCUUUAGGAGAAACUAAUACAAUACCGAUUCCUGCUCCUCGGUCACAGGUAGAUCCAUCAAAGAAGAGCGUCCAGGGUGCAAUUUCCAAGGUCUCCACUAGACCGCAAUGCUGAGUCACAAGAUCGGCCAUAACCUGCCCUUUGACCGCCUUAGUCGAUUCGUAACGCAAAUCGAACUCCGACAGCGCCAAAAUCCACUUACCGAUCCUACCACUCAUAAUCGGCAUAGAUAGCAUGUAUCGGACCACGUCAUCUUUGCAAACAACAGCACAUUCGGCUGACAACAGAUAAUGUCUUAGCUUGAUACAUGAGAAAUAUAAGCACAAGCACAGCUUCUCUAUGGCCGAAUACCUGGUUUCAGCAUCAAUCAACCUCCUGCUCAGAUAAUAAAUUACUCUCUCCUUCCCUUCAAAUUCUUGAACUAAAGCUGAACCGAUAACCGAUCCAUCGGUAGAUAAAUAUAAUUUGAAGGGUUUCCCUUGUUGGGGUGGAACUAAAACUGGAGGAUUCACUAGAUACUUUUUGAUCUCAUCCAGAGCCAACUGCUGUUCUUCUCCCCAAACAAACUCCUGAUCGGCUUUUAAUUUAAGAAGGGGACUGAAAGCACGAAUUCUCCCAGAUAAAUUCGAUACAAAUCUUCUGAUAAAAUUCACCUUGCCGAUCAAGGAUUGGAGCUCGGUUUUAUUGGUAGGGGCCACUAUUUUAUUGAUGGCAUCAAUAGAUCUUCGACUAAUCUCAAUACCCCUCUGAUGUACCAUAAAACCAAGAAACUGCCCUGCCGAUACGCCAAAUGCACACUUGUUGGGAUUCAUCUUCAAUCCAUGCUUCCUGGUGCACUCCAACACUUUUCGUAAAUUGGCAAGAUGCUUUGAAAAAUCUCCAGACUUAACCACCACAUCAUCAAUAUAAAUUUCUACGAUUUUGCCGAUGAACUCAUGAAAUAUGAAAUUCAUAGCCCUUUGAUAAGUAGCACCAGCAUUCUUUAACCCAAAAGUCAUGACUAUCCAUUCAAACAAUCCAACAUGACCAGGACACCUGAAUGCGGUUUUUGGAAUAUCCUCCUCUGCCAUGAAUAUUUGAUUGUAACCCGCAUUACCAUCCAUGAAACUGAUGACCCGAUGGCCAGCCGCAGCAUCAACCAGUAGAUCGGCAACAGGCAUUGGGUAUCCAUCCAUCGGCGUAGCUUUAUUGAGAUUCCUGAAAUCAAUGCACACUCGAAGCUUCCCGUUCUUUUUGUAAACCGGAACAACAUUGGAAAUCCAUUCGGCAUACCGACACUGCCGAAUAAACUUAGCUUCAAUAAGUUUAGUGAUUUCGGCCUUAAUAUCAGGUAGAAUGUUAGGAUUACAUCGGCGGGCUGGUUGCUGAUGUGGCCGAAAUCCAGACUUGAUGGGUAACCGAUGUUCAACAAUUGAUCGGUCUAAACCAGGCAUCUCCGUAUAAUCCCAAGCAAAGCAAUCUUUAUAUUCCUUUAACAAACUAGUUAACUGCCGUUUAAACUUAGGAUCUAAUUUAGCACUAAUAAAAGUAGGCCUAGGCCUAUCACCACUACCUAUAUCUACUUCUACCAAAUCGUCGGCCGAUGUGAAUCCUUGGCCUAAUUUUCCAUCAUCGGCGAAUCUAUCCAUUAAAAACCGUCGUCAGAACCGACUGCUUGGAUCGGUGGAAUCUCAUAAUCGGCAACUUUGAGAAAAUCUUUCUCCCAAACUUCUCCUGAAAUGCACCUAGUCUUUUCAUAAGUAUCCGCUUCUGCCGAUGCGAUAACAUAAGAAGAAUCCCCUGGGACGAUCUCAAUCUUGUCACCUACCCACUGAACCAAGCACUGAUGCAUUGUAGAUGGGACACAACAAUUGGCAUGAAUCCAAUCUCUCCCCAAUAAUAAAUUGUAGGCACCUUUUCCGCUGAUCACGAAAAAGGUUGUCGGCAAGGUUUUGCUGCCGAUAGUCAGCUCUGCACAUAUCGCCCCCUUGACCGGAGACACGUUUCCCUCAAAGUCUUUGAGCAUCAUAUCGGUCUUGGUCAAAUCUUGAUCCCCUUUCCCAAGCUUCCGAUAUACUGCAUACGGCAUAAUAUUGAUAGCAGCUCCACCAUCAACUAGGAUCUUGGUCAUUGGCUGCCCAUCAACCCUUCCUUUGAGGAACAAAGCUUUAAGAUGCUGCCUCUCGUUAUCGGCAGGUUUCUCAAAGAUAGCCGUCAUCGGAUCCAGAGCCAACUGAGCUAUCUGAUCAGAAAAUCCCAACUCAUCAUCACUGGCUGGUGCAAGAAACUCCAUCGGCAACAUGAAUACCAUGUUGACGCCUGCCGAUGGACCUUCCUUCUUAGUGUCUGCCGGCUGCCGACUUUCAGAACUCUCUCCUUUAUUUAACUCCUCUUGCCUUUCUCGUUGCAACCUCCUUUUCUGUGUCUUGGUUAAUCCUUGAGGGCACCAUGGAGGAAGUGGCCUUUGCCUUACUGCCGGGCGUCGGUUCUCCCUUGACUCCAUACGAUGUGUGUUAGCAUCUCUGCAAAAUAUGAACUCAUCGGGAACCCGCGCAUUAGCCAUUUCCUCAAGCUCUUCCUGGUUCCUGGGAAAAUACUGGACACGGUCACCGAGCCGAUCGCGAACACUAAGCCUGCCCCCCAGCCGAUCAUGAGCUGACGCUCUUCCUCUGAUUGGCCCAUUAAAUCGCCGUUCAUCAUCAUGAUAACGCCGAUCGUUCCUGUCGUACCGAUCAUAACCGUUGCAUUCAGGGCAGUCUCUGACAGUAGGAAGCUUGAUAUUUUCCUCCCAACAAUGGAUGAAGAAUGGGCAAUUCCAAUGAUCCCUGUGCCGAUUCCACUCCUGUCGGCGUCUCUCUUCUUCCCGUUGAUAAUCUUCCUGCUGGCGCCGGUACCGAUCUUCCCGUUGUUGCCAUCUCUCUCGAGGCCUUCUAUGAGUUAUGACAAUACCAGAUCGAGGAAUUCUUCCUGAGCUAGCUCCUUCCUGGACCAAGCCCUUACUUCUUGCAUCGGCGGUAGUAACUUGAUGCUGAGGAUCUACCGAUGCACUCUUCUCAGCUGUCUCCGACGUUAAGACCUUAGCCUUCCCCUUAGCAUCCAACAUGUUCGUCGGGAAAGGAUGUUGGUCUAUCUUCAUCGGCUUCUGGGCUUUGGAACUAUCAAACUUGAUUCUCCCCGAUUCUAUAGCCGAUUGCAGCUGUUGUCUGAAUACUUUGCACUCAUUGGUAUCAUGUGAAGUUGCAUUAUGCCACUUGCAAUAUCUCAUCCUCUUCAACUCUUCUGCCGACGGGAUCACAUGGUUAGGUGACAGUUUGAUUUGACCUUCCUGAAGUAGAAAGUCAAAUAUCCUAUCGGCUUUGGCGGUGUCAAAGGCAAACUUCUCUGGUUCUUUCUGCCCAAAAGGACAAGACAUCGGCUUCUUGUUUUUUACCCACUCUGCCAAACCGAUUACUGGUUCCUCGUCGGAAUCUGAGCUUGUUGCUUCGUCAACAAAUGACACUUUCUUAUUCCACGCCCUCUUAGGCUCGAAAGGCUUGAUGUCUUGAUCAGAUAUCCUCUGCACCAAAUGACUUAAACUCUCGAACUCUUGAGAUGCAUACUUAUCCCUGAUAUGUGGCAACAAACCCUGGAAAGCCAAAUCGGCUAGCUGCCGAUCAUCCAGAACCAGGCUAUAGCAUUUAUUCUUGACCUCUCGUAUCCUCUGCACAAAUCCCUCAACCGACUCGUCAUUACGUUGCCUCAACUUAACCAAGUCGGUGAUCUUCUUCUCAUGAACCCCUGAGAAGAAGUAUCUGUGGAAUUGCUUCUCUAGAUCGGCCCAAGUAAUUACUGAGUUGGGAGGUAACGAUAUAAACCAAGUAAAGGCCGAUCCAGACAGUGAUGACGAAAAUAGACGAACCCUUAAUUCGUCCCUGUUACCAGCUUCUCCACAUUGAAUAAUGAACCUGUUGACAUGCUCCAUGGUUGACGUGUCGUCCUGUCCGGAAAACUUUGUAAAAUCCGGUACCUUGUACCGAUGUGGAAGCGGGAUCAAAUCAUACGCUGGAGGAUACGGUGUCCGGUAAGAAUAAGUGUUGACUUUGGGUUUUAUCCCAAAUUGUUCCUUCAUUACUUCAGCAAUCUUAUCGGCCCAAUAAGCAUCGACAUCUUGCCGAUGAGGCAGCUGCGGAUCCGGCACUUGGUGGCGAACCUCCACGUGUCUGUUUGGGACCUGACCUGUAUGGAACAUCGUAUUGGUCACCUGUCCUCCAAUCUGCGGACUACCAAACUGCUGUCCACCGACUGGCUGUCCUCCGAGUUGCUGUCCAAAAUUUAUUGGCUGGUUGGACAUUCCCUGACCUUGGAACCCGGGAUAAACUUGCCCUUGCUGGAACCCCGUAGUCUGAUAACCCUGCUGGGGCGACUGUGGAAAGGCUUGCUGUCCAAGCCAUCCAUUAUUAGCGUUCAUCGGCAUAGGUGCUGCCGAUGAUUGGUAAUUGGGUAUCGUCGUUGAAUUGACAUACCCCGACUGGGCCAUAGGCCUCUGUUGCAUCAGCAUUGACUCUGCCGAUGCGUUGGGCAUCUGGAACAUUGAAUCUUGAGGAUUUCCAGUGUGAGGCCUUGCAGUAGUAGUUGUGGUAUACCGAGGACUCUGGUUCACCGGCACAUUGGAAGGUACCGACGUCAUAGGAGUUUUGCCCCUCAUGUCAGUUGUCUGUGAUGUUCCCGGCGUCAACUCUGGAGGCAUACCAUAACCCCACCAGUUGGGGGGAAGAUUUAACCCUGACAUUGCCGAUGCCAACAUAUCUGUCGUCAGUUUAUGCUGCCCAACUGAAAUUUGGGGGUUGGUUGCCAUCGGCAUAGAUAGUGCACCGGUAGUCCCCAAUGUACUUGGAGGAACGGCAGACUGUGCACUUGCACUCGUCAAGGCAGCCGAUGGAGCCGUGACCUCUGGUGCCGUGGGUUGAUGAUGGGAAGGGCCCACAUAAUCCGGCGGGAUUUGUCCUUCCUUGAAAGUUCUUGCCACGGCGUUGAACACCGUGUUAGACAGUACACCAGCUUGGUUGAUCAGCGCUCGAUUGAUGGCAUUGUCAACCAUGUCUUGAAGCUUGCCAGGAUUAGCGUCGAAGGUGACCUGCCGUGGUGCCGGCAGUGCAUCUUUCUGGACUACUUCGCCGCUUCUGUUUAUGCUGAAAGACUUCAGGCACUGCUGCUUGAACUCUUCCAUGGCUUGGGCAAUAGCUUGCUUCUGCUCAUCCUUAAGGUUAGCUUCCGUCACGGGGAUGACGUUGUCUUGAUCGAGGUCAGAGAUCGACAUGCUGAUCUUGAUCUUGAAUCGGUCCCACUGGGCGUGCCAAAAGAUGUGUUGAUGCAAAACUGAUCUGCAAACACAAAGGGCUAAUACCCGAUUCAAACGUUAAGGCGUGCCAGCCGAUUUGACCUUACUAUCGGCAAAGGUGAUAACUCGAAUACUUUAGUCCUGACAACAGCGAUGCGCCCGGAUGUCACGGCUAAGAGGUACUCACGCGGAACUUAAGGAUACGCCGAGCUUGAGUCGACGAAUUCCUAAGAACUCGUAACAAAAAGAAAACGUAUGACGAAGUCGUCGAAAAGUAAAUGCUAGAAUAUGAGUAAAAACGUGUGUUUGAUUGAUUGAUUGAUUCCCCGUUUACAAGGUCUUAGGGCUUAUAUUUAUACCCUGCUCAAAGAGCUGCGACCAGACACGAUUAGAAUUCGAAUUCCAAAUUACACGGAACCCGUAUACAAAACGAAUAACAUAAGGAAAUAAUAAAACCAUCCUUCGUGACAAACCGAAACUCCUCCACAUGACAACUGGCAGCUUCCGGACUCCUCCUUCGCGUCAUCGGCAAUCCCCUCGCCAUAGUCAUCGGCAGACCCUUUUACUUGGUCAUCGGCACCAUAUUACUGUCUGAGGACUUAGUCACAUUCAACCUUUCCCUCAUCGGCAACCAUCCUUACCAGCAACCCGCAUCGUACUGCCACCCUGUCCUGCCAUCCUGGACACGUGCCCAAAAAUGGUGUCAACACUGCGCCUCAUAUUCCUGCGGCUGCCGCGCCGCCUCGCGCUCCCGCUGUUCAUCCUCCUCCCUCUUCUUCUUCUGCUCCUCGAGGGUGCGGAGGCCGGCGGGCCAGGGAGUCGAUCCCGCGACGUUGGGGGUCGACGCUUCCUCCUCCAUAGGGCGAGCGCCCCCAGACGCUUCGUUACCAUCGGACGUAUCGCUGAUGGUGAUGGGUUCCCCCUCGACCCCCAAUCGAGGGGGCUCGGGGGCUCCCUCUGACGCUUGCGUCUGGGGCGCCUCAUCACGAGUCGGCGGCGACGGAGUAGGCGCGGGACGAGACGGAGCCCUCUCGACGCCGGCUGGAAGUUGGGAGCUAGAGGAGCCUACGAAACAAAGGGUAAGGGUCAGACGUUAUGAUAACCGACACAAGAACAUCGCAACGCCUAGAAAUAAACUACGAACCUGGUUCCUUGGAGGCGGCACCCGUUUUGAGCCUCUUUGCCAUGGAUGGUUGGGCCUGCUCAAGGGUCCACUUUAGCCUGAGAAAAGGUUGGCAUAUGAGGAAAGGUGGAAGAAUGGGAAGACAAAAACCGCAACAUCAAAAAGGCUUACCCCACAGGGAGAACGGCUCGCCUCCCGCCACCCCGACCAGUGGGCCUCGAGCCACCCCGCGUUAGGGCUCCAGGCCCCUCGAGGGCAGGCACUGGCUUAGGCGCGUCGGUCCCCGCCUGGCGGGCGCCGGGACUGGCGCUCCUACGGCCGGCAUCUCCUUUCUCAGAGGCCGCGGCGCGACCACGAGUUAGUGGCCCCGACGCCUGGGGCCUAGCCAGACCUCUCUCCCUGGGCACCGGGGGAGGGCGCGGUGCGUCUUGGCCCGCCUUGGGCGCGGGAGGGGUGUCGGCCCGGGGGCGACGAGAUCCGCUCGGACCCUCCUCUGGCGCCUCCGUCCGGGGGGCGUCGACGUCACCUCGAGGCGGGCCCUCGAGAAUCCGAUCGAGGCGCGACGCCAUCCCCUCGGAGUCGUCGCUGUCCUUGUCGUCAUCGUCAUCAUCGUUAGGGGAUUCUUCCUCAGGCUCCCCCCUCUGCCUGGAUUUGGCUCGACGCGCCUCUAAUGCUUGGCGGUCGAGGUUCUUCUUCUUCUCCCCCUUCUUUGCAGAGUCCUUGGCAGACUUUAGCUUUUCGGCAGAUUGGCGCCGUUUGUCACGAUCGACCUCGUCCUCCUUUACCGGAGGCCUCGAGGACCGGACAUCAAUCCGACCCUGCCAAAACUAAGGUAGACUUAGAAAAAAGAGAGGGGAGAAAGGAAACCCAGAAUCGAGGCUGCGCGCAAGAAGAAAGCGUACCAGAUCGAUCGAGCCCGCGUCAGGUCUCAUGGGGAAGCCGUUAACGUGCUCCGGCUGAAAAUCACCGGCAAUUGCAGCCCUGGCUCGGGCCGCGACUUCGUCGUCCGCCGGAGCCUCGUUGGACAUCCGACACGCCUCGAGGUCCCGGGAUGAGACGCCAAGGCCCAUCUCGUCCAUCCUCAACGGUCGAGACAUCAAAGGGAGAACUCUCCGGUGAUGGACGGCCGAGAGGACGAGAGCGGCGGUCAAACCCUCCUGGUGAAGCUUCUUCAGGGCGUCGAGGAGGGGGUCGAGCCGAGAUUGAUGAGCUUGGACGACGCCGUAUGUCCAAUCCGCUGGACGCUCCAUGAUCAGACGGCCCGAGUAGGAAGGCAGGAGGUUGUCAUCGUUCCGCAGGUAAAACCACUGGGAGUCCCAGCCGGCGUGGUUGGUCGAUAACCCUACCGGGAUGUACUCCCGCGGCCUGUCCGUCUUCCCCGUCUUCUGCACCAGAUUGAGGCAUCCCGCCCGCACGGGCUUCCUUACGCCUGUGGUUCUGGUGGGGGCAUGGAAAAGCUCGCCCCUGUAGAGGUGGAGCCACAGCUCCCAGUGCGGCAUCAUCCCCAAGUAGCCCUCACACACGGCGGCGAACAUCGCCGCUACGGUGAUGGCGUUCGGAGAGAAGUGCUGGAGCUCCACCCCAUAAUGGAAGCAGAGGUCCCGCAUGAAGCGGCUCGGGGGCGCGCCCAGACCGUGGCGGUGGAACUUGGCGAACGACACCACGUAGCCCUCGGGCGGCUGAGGCCCCCUGUGACUCGCCGGCGGCGCGAUCCACUCUGGCGACGAUAGCGAGGUACGGCGGCGCAGCAGUCCCUCUUUCUCAAGCUCUAACAACCGGCGCUCCGUCAUCGACGACGGGCGCCAGUCGUCGGCGGCGAGGAGUCUUACAGGCAUCUCGGCUGGAGGGACGGUAGAUUAACUACAGCUCGAGGAGGCGUGUGCGCGUGAGACGGCGAGAAAGCAAAGGCAACGAGAGAAUAAAAGCGAGAAGGCGGAAGGGAGAGGAACGGCGGCGACGCCACGACGUAUUUAUAGGCAGCGGUCCGCCAACGGACAGAUCUGAGAAAUAAGGUAACUCCCUCCCAUAAAUGCGCCGUCUAACGGUCCUUUCUCUCCUCACAGGCCGGACGCUCCGAAUUCCCCGCCGAUACAGUGUCGCAACGUCACUUACCUCAAAAGGUGCGCCCAACGGGCAGAAAGACGAACCGGCACGGCAGUUUCCUUACUUCGUAAGCCAAGGUAUGCGCCCACGAUAGUCUCGAGAGGUCGAUGGCUGGCCCAUCGAAAGGGUUCGACAGCCGAUCUCGAGCACCAAGAGUCAGGGAUCCCCAGCGAGUGGUCGAAAAUCGAGGCCCGCCUCGAGGACUCGCUGGCGAUGUCCAAGGUAGGGUCGAGACAGUCGAGAGGAAUCCCCCCGAAGGGAGGCAUCGAGCCGCUGGACUCUAUCGAAUGAGACCGGUAUCCCCGACCACGUCGACCCUGCUUUAUGAGGACGCCUCCGGGCUACAGCUGACCCCCUCGAAAGGGGCACAGGUUCUCACUUGGACUACCCGCUAGGAACUCAAUCUGGGGUGGAAGACGCUCGCUCUAUCGAGAGUACGUCGAAACCUCCACGCAAGGCAAAGCCGAACAGAACCUUCCACCACGGGUGUUGACAGCGUUUCUGCAAAUUUGGCAAAAUAACCCUCGAAGGAGUUGAAUCCUCCCUCGAGGGCUCGGGGGCUACCCCCGCGGGGUCGCUCGCGCACCACCGUGGAAGCUCGACCGUAAAAACGAAAGUCUCCACUCGAGCGCCAGCGCUCGAAUGAAGACUCGGGGGCUACUGUCGAGGGUAUCAACAAGGGGUACCCUCACCAAUGCGUAUAACGAGGCCAUCCGUACGCACGCGCGGCCAUCGACGGCCAUGCGUAUGCGCAGCCUUCGACGUCCACAACCUCGAACACAGAAAUAGCGUCGAGCGAAUCGGUCAGGGCUCGAGCGACAGCUGCCGUCGAAUACGGAAGCGGGCUCGAGCGAACCGAGAGGCGUCGAGCGCAAGGACACUGUCCGCCGCCUGACGCGCGCACGAGAGCCAGGGCAUUUAAUGCACCUGACGCUUCCCCACCUAACACACGGGUCAUGGGAGGCUUCUGUCCCAUCGUUCUUUUUGCAGCCUUCCCACCGAACGACCCAGGGCGUGUCAGGACGCGGGAAACAAGGAUGGAACGUCUAAUCGGGAUCCCCUCGAGACACCCAAGGUCAGCGCUCCAGAUAUCAGCAUAUUACACGGCGUCCGACCCUCGACCGAACAGGGUCCCUUCCUAGGGACAAGUUGGGCGUCGACUGACAACACCACAACUACCCCGCCGGAUCUGCCGCCAUACCGUACAAGCGUGCGACCUCAGAACCAGCGCGAGGCGGCGGGCAGGGCAGAACGCAGGAGCACGCGUAAUCAUCAUCGGGCUAUCAAGAUGGGACGGCUCGAGGCCAUGUCGUACGGAAGCCUCGAGUAGGUCAGCGCUCCAUGCGGCUAUCGACCCCUACUCUAACAUCUACGCAUGUACCCUAGGUCUCUCCUUGGAACUAUAAAAGGAGGGACUCAGGAAUAGAACGAAAAAAACACAAGACCACGCUCAUACGUAGUAGAGCUCCACACUUCAUACCACGCUUGUAUUCGCCCCUGUACAAGCACUUAGGUGCAAGAUAAUACAAACUCUCUCCCCCCGCUGGACGUAGGGCCUUCUCUUGCCCGAACCAGGAUAAAUCUCUGUGUCUUCUUGCAUCACCAUCUGGGAAAGGGAGCACGCAUACAAAUUUACUCGUUGGUGUGACCCCCCGGGGGAAAAAACACCGACACAUCUAACAAAGGGAUUAUCAAGCUUAUUAAACGAAAAAUUGAAGAAAAUCCUAGGAGGUGGCACACUUUGUUAAACGAAGCUCUAUGGUCGUACCGAAUGGCUUGUCAUGGAUCGACCAAGGUUUCACCUUAUCAGUUGGUGUAUGGGCAUGAUGUAGUGUUACCUUGGGAAAUUAAGACUUGGUCUAGGCGACUAUCUUUUCAAGAUCAGUUGGCUGCCGAUGAUUAUGCUACUUUGAUGACAGACGAGUUGGAUGAUCUAGCAGGGCAUCGGCUGAAGGCUUUGAUGAGUACAGAAGAGAAUAAGAAGAGAGUUGCCAGAUGGUAUGAUAAGAAGGUAAAAGCUAAGGAGUUUGCCGAUGGAGACUUAGUAUGGAAGUUAAUCCUACCGAUCGGUACUAAAAGUUCAAAGUUUGGGAAGUGGUCUCCCAAUUGGAAGGGUCCCUAUCGGAUAAGUCGAUCGGCUCCUGGUAAUGCCUAUAUUUUAGAGACUCUCGAAGGAGUUGAGUUUCCCAGAGCAUUAAAUGGCAAAUAUCUAAAGAAGUAUUACCCAGCAUAUGGGUCGAGGCAUGAAAGUUAAGUGCCGAUAACAUUCCUAUCUGCUGGAUCAAAAUGUAUCUGGGGGUAAAACUCAGUGUUUUAAAGGGUGCCGAUAACAGUCCUAUCGGCUAGACCAAAUAUCAAGAAAGCUGGAAAGCAGAGAGAGGCGAGUAUGUUGCCGAUGAAGAGCUCACAUGUUUUGCAGCGCCUGGAUGGCCGAUAUGGCACGAAGGCAGAUUUGGUUGGCUGCUUCUAUCUCUUUGACGUCUUCAUCAGCAGAACUUCUAUCGGCUUCAACUUCUUCUUCAACUGUAGUGCUUUACGACCAUGGACAUUUCGCUCUUGCUCAAGAAGCUUGAUCCUCUACUUGCUUGAGUUCUGCCAGUAGGGCUUCUCUUUUGGCCGAUAGAUCAGAGAUCUUGUGCUUCAGAGCAUCUCCUGAGGACUUUAAGAUGCCGAUGUCUUUGUGCUUCUCAUCGGCAAGGAGUUUCACCUUCAUCAUCUCCUCAGAGAGUUGGGCAUGAGCCGCUCUGUCGGCAAGACAUUGGGCAGCUCUCUGGUACUGUAGCUGACGGCUCUCUAGAUGUGCAGCUUGGAAGAGGACUUCUUCAGCAUCGGUAGGAAUUUGACCUCUCAGGAUCUUGAAUAAAGCCUUGGCCGGAUCGAAGUCAUCAACUAGUUGGGCCGUGUCUUGAUGGAGGAGAGCCGACAGUUCUUCCAGCUUUGCCCUGAUCUCUGCCGAUGUAAUCCCAACUGCCUGGGAGGAACUUGCUUCCUCACCUUCACCUUCGGAGAUGUCAAUGGCAAAGGAGAACAGCCUGUCGGGAGAGUCCUGUUCCUGAAAAAGAAAUAAAAUGAGUCAUUCCAUGGUCAAGCAUUGACAAAUAAUACUGAUGCAGAUUGGAAGGCUUACUUGCUUUAGGGCAAUCUCUCGCCUCUGACUGGAAGAUGCCGAUGGCACUACAGGCUGAUCGGCCGGGGUUGCCGAUGGGACUAUGUCAGCUAAAAAUUGGCCGAAGGAAUUGUGAGAACAGGAAAGUAGGAUUCAUCGGCAAUGGCUUCGUAAAGAUCUAUUACCUUGAGGAGGUGUAGUGCUCGUCUGGAUUGAGGAAACUACCGAUGCUAUGAUUGAGCCUGCUGGAUCGGUAGUCUGCUCACUCACAUCAGCCGAUGUGUCUUCCGGCUGAGGUACUUCUGGCUGAGGCUCUACUGGUUGGGGUACUUCUUGCAGCUGAGGGGGAGAUGGUGCUUGUUGCAUUUGGGCUUCUGGAGAGGAAGGAGAAGAUUCCACUGGGAUUGGAGAUACCGGGGGAGGAGAAGGCGUUGCUACUCUUUAGCGCUUUGCUUGUGCUCCGGUGUUCUUGGCACCCUUUCUCUUCGGUUGACUAGACUGGGGGGCAUCGGCACUUUUGCUUCUGGUCUUUGCCGAUGCGCCGGUAUGCUGGUGCAGAGAGGAAAAUUUGUGAGUACAAGUAUAACAGAUGCAGAAGUGAAAUCGGUAUGAAUAGGUUUUACAAUUACCUUGAAGGCCUGUGCUAAGGUGGAAGCAGCCACUGAUGGGGAUGUCUUUGUACGCUUGGUGGUGACUUUCUUGAGGCGUACACCCUGAUGCAUUAUGGCAGCCAAGGUAGGUGCAUUGUUGCCAAUGGAGGAGAUCGGACCUGAUGGGAACAGAUCAAUCGGCUUGCCGCUCCUACUGACCGAUGGGGGAGUGUCAUCAACCUGCAACAUAACCCAGAAAGUAAGUUACCAAUGAAAUGAGGAUAAAAAGAUUAGAGCAUUAGUUUGGAGGUACUUACGGUGUCAUCGGGGACUUUGUACUGAGGAUCGAUCAUGCCAUGGUAUGUGAGGGCCGAUCUGCAGAACAAAUGUUCCUUCCACUCCUCCCACCAUUGCUUGUACACCUGGGUAAUGAAGAGGGCCGGAACCCACUCUAAUAGAUCUGCAUCUGUAUCGGCAUUCAGUGACAGCUGGGCUACUCGGAUCCACUCGAGCAGGCUAGUGAUGGCUUCCCUGGGUUUUAUCACAUCGGCAGAAUAGAGUGCAAUCGGCAGUUGGCCGAAAGCUAGUUGACGGGCUAGUGCCGAUGGGAUGUAAAACUCAUAGGUUUGGUUGGAGGUUUUCCCACUGCCGAAGAGGUUUACUGGUAUAGCUCUGGGGGUGAUCAGUGCCAUCAUCACUUCGUGGUCCUUGUUGAGAGCAUCGUUAAACGGAUGGAAAACCAAAGGAAACAUGGUGUCUGGAUCUUCAUAAGGCAUCCAUGCUCGUUGUUCUCUGGUCAGGCCUUCAUACAGGGUUUGGAAGAAUCGGCUGACUUGAUCUACAUUGCCCCCUGUAUCAGGCAGAACUAUGGCGGCCUCGCCAAAAUUUAGAGGAGGGCGAGUUGCCGAUUCUUCAUCAUCCAGUUCAUAGUCCUCGGCUAUAUCCCUGGGAAAACGCUGUGCGAGGCGCUUGUGCAUGUGGAGGCUGAGCCACAUGUUGAUAAACCACCAGGGACCCCCCAAGUUGCCGAUGGACUGGCCGAGUAGGAGUUUCCUGGUCACUUGAUGAAGGAGGUGGUAGGCCGCGCCAAGUAGGUAUCGGCCGAGGGGAAAUCUGCCACCAUUGGCUAAUCAUUCUGCUGCUGCUAGGAAGACGGAAGUUGGUCCUGCCGAUCGGCCGCAAAACACAAAUUUGUCCACCCACAUGUUCAGGAAGCUGGUCUGUUCUUUUAUGUUGACAGGGCCUGUUCGUCUGUAUUUUUGGAUGUACCCUGACCAACCGCCGAUGGCACGAGUUUCUACCUUAGCACUGGGUUUGGUGUCGAAGAAGUGAGUGCUAUCGGCAGAAGAUACAUCUAGGCCGGUGAGCAUAACUACAUCGGCAAGUGUAGGGGAAGCAGGGCCGUGGCCGAAAGACAAAGGCAUUGAGUGUGUCUGACCAGAAAUAUGAUGCAGCUAUCAACAGUGACUCAUUCCUAUGCAUAUCGGCAAUGGACAACCUGAUGCAUUGGUCUAGUUUUCUCUCACCCCACUAGACUUCGUUUGAAUGGCUGACUCUCAAAAACCAAUCCUUCCAUCCCAUGGUAGGACUGGGCCAAGAACGGAAGGUAUCCGUUGGUUUCUGCAUUGAGAAAGUCGGUUGGAUCUGGAUUCCCUAACGGACCGAGACAUUGGAGGUGUGGUUGAUCAGUGGGGAUGACAAUUUUUUUGGACAGAUCCUAAUGGUUUUGGGUAUAAAAAGAAGAACAAAAGAAGAAAAAGAGGGAUAUUCAGCAAAAUAAAUCGCGAAUAAACAUGGAUGAGGUAAAGGUACAAGAAAUAAGGUGAUGAACUGACCUCAGGGUUGGUGAAGUUGAUGGCCAUUUUCUCGCGAGGAAGGAGAUUGAAGACUUCGAGAUUGGUGGAGAGAAGUCUUCACUGGAGUUCUUGGAGCUCUCGAACAGCGCCGCCGCUAGAAAAGUAGAGUUGGGGCUGUAGAAUGAUGUGAUGAGGAAGGAGUACCCGAGAAGGAACUAUUUAUAGGAAAAAAUGGGCAAGGGCAAAUCUGACUUAUCACUUCGCCGUAUCUGUGAAAUCUGAGGGUGCUCAGGAAGAUAUGGUAACUGUUCGCAUGGUAAUCAAGGGAUUGCACGAGCGAUUUGACAGGAAGCGGUCGUGAUUUGGAGAUAUUUUACUGUGCGAGAUUUCCUGGUCGGUCCAUCAGCAGCGCCUUGUAACUGUAAUAUUGCUGAUAGGCGAAUAGAGUGGAAAUGUCUGUUGGGGGGGAUAAGAUACGUCACUGUACGGGGCCUCCUAGUCAGUCCAUCGGCAAUUCUUUGUAACGGUAACGUUGCCGAUAGGCGAUUAAAGUGGAGAUGUCCGUUUAAGAGGUUGAGGAUUUCGAGGGAUCUGCGGAGGAAUCAAACCAGGGUUGUUUAGAUUGAGGCUGUCGGUUGCCAAAUUGGGAGAAUUAAUUGCGGAAAGGCAUCAUUACUGUAGAGAAUUUCGGAGCAUUAAUGAUUUUAUACUCCGAAAUUGGGGGGCAUGUGUUGACACCGUUUUUGGACACGUAUCUAGGAUUGGUAAAAUGUGGAUCGGCAAGACAGGGUAAUGGUCACUGGUCUGCAGAAGGGUUACCGAUGAGGAUGGUUGCCGAUGAGAAGACAGUUGGAUAUGACUAAGUCUGUGAAUGGUGAUGUGUGUAUGCCGAUGGCCGAGGUUAACCGUUGCCGAUGGGGAGUCUGCUGAUGAUAUGGAAGGAAAACUCGCAGGUUGCCGAUUAGUCCGUGGUGGUGUCCCAGUUCGUCACGGAAGGAUGGUUUUAUGUUUUCCUUAGUUAUUUACAUCGUUUUGUAUACGGAUUCUGUUUAAAUUUGGAAUUCGAGUUCUAGUCGUGUCUGGUUGUAGCUCUUUGAGCACGGUAUAAAUGUAGACCCUAGGGCUUUGUAAUCAAAGAAUCUAUAAAUCAAUCAAACACCAGUUUUUUACUCAUAUUCCAGCAUCUACUAUUUCGACGACUUCGUCAUACUUUUUCUUUUUCAUUAUGAGUUCUUAAGAAUUCAUCGACUUAAGCUCGGCGUGUUCUCAAGUUCCGCGUGAAUACCUCUUGGCCGUGGCAUCCGGGUGCAUCGCUGUUGUCGGGACCAAAGUAUUCAAGUUAUCACCUUUGCCGAUAGUAAGGUCAAAUCAGCUGGCACGCCUUAACGUUUAAAUCUGGUAUUAGCCCUUUGUGUUUGCAGAUCAGCUUUUGCAUCAACAGCCCCUUACUGAUAUCCUCGACAGUAGCCCCUGAGUCUCCAUUUGAGCGCUGGCGCUCGAGUGGAGGCUGUAUUUUCGUGGUCGGGUUUCCGUGGGGCGCGCAAGCGACCCCGCGAGGGUAGCCCCCGAGCCCUCGGAGGAGUUAUUUGACUCCUUCGACGGUUAUAUCGCCCGAUUUAUAGAAACGCUAUCGACACCUGUGGUGGAAAGUUCUGAUUGGCUCGUUUUGUGCAGGGGUUUCGACGUACUCUCGAUAGAGCGAGCGUCAUCCACCCUAGAUUGAGCUCCUAACAGGUAGUCCAAGUGAGAACCUGUGCCCCUUUCGAGGGGGCCAGCUGUAGCUCGGAGGCGUUCUCAUAAAGCGGGGUCGACGCGGUCGGGGAUGCUGGUCUCGUUCGAUAGAGUCCAGUGGCUCAAUGCCUCCCGUCGGGGGAUUCCUCUUGACUGUCUCGACCCUACCUCGGACAUCCCCAGUGAGCUCUCGAGGCGGGCCUCGAUUUUCGACCACUCGCUGGGCAUCCCUGACUAUGGUGCUCAAGAUCGGCUGUCGAACCCUUUCGGCGGGUCAGCCUGCGACCUCUCGAGGCUUUCGUGGGUGCGUACCUUGGCUUACAAGGGAAGGAAGAGGCCGUGGCGGCUCGCCUUUCUGCCCGUUGGGCGCGUCUUUUCAGGGAGGAGCAGUUGCGACACUGUAUCGGCGCAGAAUUCGUAGCGCCCCGUCUGUGAGAGGAAAAGGACCGUUAGGCGGCGCAUUUAUGGGGGGACUUACCUCAUUUAUCGGAUCUGUCCGUUGGUGGUCGUCGUCUAUAAAUAUCCUGUAGCCUGGUUGCUGUUCCCCCUUCCGCCUUCUGCCUCCAUUCUUGCCUUAGCUCCCUUGCCAUCUCACGCGCACGCACCCCUUCGAGUAGCAGCGAAUCCGCCUUCCUUCCACCCAAAGAUGCCUGUGAGACUCGUCGCCGCCGACGAAUGGCGCCCGUCAUCGAUGACGGAGCGCCGGUUGCUGGAGCUCGAGAGGGAGGGACUCCUGCGCCACCGCACAUCGUUGUCGUCGCCGGAGUGGAUUGCACCGCCGGCGGACCACCGGGAGCCCAGGCUGCCCAAGGGCUACGUGGUUUCGUUCGCCAAGUUCCAUCGCCACGGCUUGGGCGCCCCCCCGAGUCGCUUCAUGCGGGCGCUCUGCCACCACUACGGGGUGGAGCUUCAGCACUUCUCCCCAAAUGCCAUCACCGUCGCGGCGGUCUUCGCCGCGGUGUGUGAGUGCUAUUUGGGGAUGAUGCCCCACUGGGAUCUGUGGCUCCACCUCUACAGGGGCGAGCUCUUCAACGCCCCCACCGGGACCACAGGCGUGAGGAAACCCGUACGGGCGGGGUGCCUCAACCUUGUGCUGAAGACGGGGAAGACAGAGAGGCCACGCGAGUACAUCCCGGUGGGAUUGUCAUCGAACCAUGCCGGAUGGGACUCCCAGUGGUUCUACCUGAGGAACGACGAUGGUCUCCUUCCGACCUACACCGGCCGCCUGAUCACGGAGCGCCCGGAGAACUGGACGUACGGCGUCGUCCAAGUUCAUCAGUCGCGGCUUGACCCCCUCCUCGACGCCUUGAAGAAACUACGUGUGGAGGGUCUGUCCGCCGCUCUCGUCCUCUCGGCCGUCCAUCAUCGGAGUAUUCUCUCGUUGAUGUCUCUGCCACUGAGGAUGGAUGAGAUGGGUCCCGGCGUUUCGUCCCGAGACCUCGAGGCGUGCCGGAUGUCCAACGAGGCUCCGGCGGACGACGAGGUCGUGGCCCGGGUCAGGGCGGCCGUCGCCGGCGACUUCUGGCCAGAGCACGUCAACGGCUUCCCCAUGAGGCCUGAUGUGGCUUGUAAGUUCUUUCUUUGCGUAUGGCUUUGAUUCUGGAUUUCCUUCAACCCCCUUUUUAAGCCCAUCCUUGCUCUCGCAGAGACCGAUCGACGUUCGGUCCUCGAGGCCUCCAGUAAAGGAGGACGGGGUCGACCGUGACAAGCGGCGCCAGUCCGCUGAGAAACAGAAGUCCGCCAAGGACUCAGAGAAGAAAGAGAAGAAGAAUCUCGACCGCCAAUCGUUAGAGGCACGUCGAGCCAAGGCCAGGCAAAGGGGGGAGCCUGAAGAAGAAUCCCCUAGCGAGGAUGACGGCGGUGACAGCGAUGACAGCAGCGACGACUCUGAGGGGAUGGUGUCCCGGCUUGACAGGAUCCUUGAGGGUCCGCCUCGUGCCGACGCUGAUGUCCCGCGAACGGGAGCGCCAAAGGAGGGACCAGGCGGGUCUCUUGAGAGGUAGCUGAGGGAGUCGUCCCCCCGCCGCUCCCGUGCCGAUGUCCCUCCCGCACCGGCUCAUAGCCGGUCCGUCCCGCACCCCCAACCUCCCCCUGCGCCAAAGGCGGGCAACCGGGCCAAGCCCUAGGCGACGGGGCCAUUGACCCGUGGCCGUGCUGCGGCCUCCGGCAAGGGGGAAACAAGCCGUAGGAGCGCUAGCCUUGGCGCUCGCCAGGGGGGAGACGCCGAGCAGAGGCCGGCGCCCGCUCGUGAGGGGCCUGGAGCCUUGACGCGGGGUGGUUCGAGGCCCACCAGUCGAGGUACCGGUCGGCGAGCCGUCCUCCCUGUGGGGUAAGGUCUUCGACACUAUGAUUUUCAUCUUCCCAAGUCAUCGUGUUCUAUUCAUGUAAUAGCUUCUUUCAUGCCCGUUCAGGUUGAAGCGGACGCUCGAGCAGGCCCAACCCUCGUUGGCCAAAAGGCUCAAAGUGGGAGCGGCCUCCAAGGAUUCAAGUUAGCAGCUUAUUCCCGUUGUUAUGGGAUUUGUGUUGCUCUUAUGUCGACCACCAUGAUGACUGACCUUUGUUUUGCGUUUUAUAGGCUCCUCCGACCCUCGACCACCAACUAGCGCCGAGAACGCCCCGCCCCGUCCCCUGGUGGGUGAGUCCGCCCCGUCGUCGCCAAAGCGGGUCGAGGCACCUCACCAUCAAGGGUAGGAGGGAGCCCCCGAGCCCCCCCGAUCUGGGGUCGAGGGGGAUCCUAUCACCAUAAGUGAUGGGUCUGGCGGCGACGGGACUUCGAGGGAUGCCUGUCCUAUGGACGAGGAGGCCCAGACUUCUCUCGUCACGAGACGGACGCCGUGGUCUGCCGGGCUUCGCUCCAUCGAGGAGCAGAGGAAGAAAGAGGAGGAGGAGCGUGAGCAGGAGACGCGGCAGCAGCCACAGGAGCAGGACCGUCAACAGGAGCCGUAGGAGCUCCAGGAGCAGCAGUAGCAGGGAGCCAGCAGCUGGCGGAACCGCUUGAUCCGCCCCAACCAGAGCCGGUAGCGCCACAGGAGCCUGGAAACCAGGAGGAGGGCUUGCCAGUUUUUGGUCCUCCGACCCCGGCGUGGCUCCGUCCGGGGGCGCCUGCCGCGAUCCCAGCAGAGUUGGGGCAGGCGGACGGCCUGGUGGUGCUCGCCUGCAUGAUGCAUACUCCAGUCGACCCGAGUCUGAGAUCAGGAGGACGAUCUACAGUAUGGAUGGAAUCGCUUCGGGGUUCCUCCAGGGGCGUCGAUCAUGGGAGGAGCGCGUCCCCGCCGAGGAAGAUGAGAUCGGGACGUCGGGUGGCAGUGGCGGCAGCGAGACUGGGACGUGGAAGAUGGUGGAUGACGACGGGCGGUUCCCUUCUCUCGUCGACCUGUUCCUGCGCCACGGGGGGUCUCUCAAAACCGUCGAGAAGCUCGUCCGAGGCGUCAAGGCGUGCGCCGACCGGGAGAUGGAGAACUGGUGUCCCGACCGGAUCCGCAUCCGGGCUUCCACCGAUUCGUCCGAACCCAAUAUCUUUUUGGACGACCGGAAGGAGGCCGAGAAGUGGGAGCACAUUGAGGAGCUUCGCCUGUGGAUGCAGCACACGGUGGGGCUCCUGUCUGACGUGGUUAACAAUAGGCUCGCUCCGGCUUACUUUGUAAGUGUUUUUUCAGUCCUUAAUCCUUAUAGAACAUUUGGUAUUGUGUUCUAACUGCUCGACCACCGGCUCGGAGGACCUAAAAGAGACCUCCCGCAUUAAGUCGAGCUUCAUCCACGCCAUGAGAGGCGGCUCGGAGCAACUCCCCAUCCUCAAGCAUAAACUCCUGGAGUCGCAGGAGAAGCUCCUCAAGGCCUACAAGGAGCUCUUGGCACUCGAGGAGGAGAAGAAGGAGAGGGAGGCUGCUCUGGUCGAGGCUCAGGAGGUCACGACGAGAGCUAUGGAAGAGGCUAUGCUCCUGAGGGAGCGAGCCAUGAUGGUCGAAGAAGUCGCAUCCAAAGCCCGAGAGGAGGCCCUGUCCUAUAAGAACGUCGUUGCUGACCUGGACAAGGAGAAGGGCCUCCUCAAGACUGACCUAGACUCCAUCCGAGAAUCCUUCCAGAGGAUGAAGGCGGAGUGUGUGAACAGCGAGAUCGCCAGGAGCGCCGCGGAGGAGGCAAAGAAGAAGGCCCUCGAAGACCUCGAGGCGGAGCGGGCUCGAUCCCACAACCUUUCUGACGACGUCGAUCGUCUGAAGAGAGUGCUGCUGGAAAAUGAUUGGGCCAUCGUGCAAGCCAGCAAGGCGAUCGAAGAUCUGCGUGUCGCCAACACCGAGCUGGCGUGCUCCAACAGGGAGGUCGAGAGGGCCAACACCAACUUGGUUGGCGAGAACACGACUCUGGAGGAGAGCAUCCGUGGUACGUUUCUAUUGUAAAGUUUCUUUUUUGAGGUGUGCUUGGUGUUAUAUAAUUUCUUCAUGUUGGUCCUUGCAGGACUCAAGGAUGAGCUGCUGGCCGCCAAAGUCGAGGCCCGCUCCAUCAAGACCCAGCUUGAGGGGGAGGUCACCUUGAACGGACGUCUACGGACUGCGAUAAGCGACCUCUCGGCCUCCUGGGAGCUCGAGCCUAUUGACGAGUCGAGGGAGGAGGCUCGAGGCAACGCACUCGUCGACCAGCUAUGCUACCUUGGAGCUACGCUGAGGGACUGGGUGCAGGAUGCUCUUCACGUCGCAGUGAAGCGGGCGAUGGCGGUAGUCUGCUCGUGCUUUUCUUAUGACAUGGAGGUGGUGUCCUACGGCUUCGUCACCGACAUCUCCAAGACUGACGCGGAGAACGAGGAGAGGCUCCACGCCUUGAUCGACGACGCAGAGGUUCCUGGGGAGAGGUUGGCUAAGUUGUUCGAGCCAGAAGUACUUCCUCCUGAGACUAGCUCAGGCGCGGGCGAGGAUGGUGAGGGCCGAGACGCGGACUACGGCUUCGUGAACGAGGCUGAGAAAAAGGUGCAAAUCAUACAGCAGCAUAUGAAGGCGGCACAAUCGCGACAAAAGAGUUAUGCUGGUAAGAGAAGAAGGCCGCUCGAAUUCAAUAUAUGUGACUAUGUUUACCUCAAGGUUACGCCAUUGAAGAAAGUUCAGCGUUUCCGAGUUCGAAGCAAGCUUGCACCCAGAUAUGUGGGACCGUAUCAGAUACUAGAAAGAAAAGGCCCUGUAGCCUACAAGAUUCAGUUACCUGAAGAGUUGAGUUCAAUCUUCCCAGUCUUCCAUGUGUCGCAGCUACGGAAAUGUUUGAAAGUACCCGAGCAGGGGAUUGAACCCCGACGAAUCAAGAUAAAGGCAGAUUUGGAAUACAAGGAACAACCAGUGGGUAUCAUAGAUACCAAGGAGCGGGUAACCCGGAAUAGAGUUGUCAAGACUUACAAGGUGGUGUGGAGUCAUCACGACAAUAGAGAUGCAACCUGGGAAUCCGAGGAUUACCUAAAAACAGUUUAUCCAAAAUUUCAUAAGAAAUGGUUAGUAACCCAAAAUCUCGGGACGAGAUUUCCCUAAGGGGGGAAGGGCUGUAACACCCUAGGUGUUAAGCAUGCACUUAGUCUCAUAAACUCAUCCAUAAGCAUUAUCAUCAAGCAUAGCAUUGCAUGAACAUGUCCUUCAUUCAAUUGUGAUUUUAUGUGCUUUGUUUUAUGUGAAUUAAAUAUGGUAAAAAUAUUAUGCUUACUUCUAAAUUUCUUGAAAUGCCCAAAUUAGGUUGAAAUAUGUGUUAGAAGAUUUAAGAGGAAUUUUAUGAAAUCUUUGGAGCUAUAAGAAUUGAGAAAUGGAAUUUAUACAAAAAUUCCUAAAAUGAAUUUAUUAAAAACCUAGAACUAGUUUUAAUUUGUGAUUCAAAUUCUAUUUGGAAUUUGGCUUUGCUUAUUAAGACAACGUUGUAGGGAAUUUUAUGGGGAACAAUUCUUCUUUUUACUCCAACCCCUAAAAAGAUUUGUAAAAGCUUCAAAAAGCCUCAUUUAAGCUUUUGGGAAAAUAAUUUCAAAAAAAAAGAAUAGAAAAAGGGGCAGGCGCUGCUGGGCCGACCCGCCUCCCUUUCGGCCCAGCGAGACAGCGUGGCUCGGUUUCCCCUCCCUCUCUCUCCCGCGCGCGGACGCCCGCCUUCGUCCACCCGACGCCGGCCACGUGGCGUGUAACAUCCCUGAUGUUACGGUUACUAAAAACGGAUCAUGUCAUCAUAAGCAUUGCAAACCAUAAUUGUUAAAGCACAGUAGUAUGCAUCAACUUAAAAUAAGCUUACUUUGAUUGCUUGAGCUUAGGGAAGUAGAGUGUGCUUCUGUGGUGUGUUGUUGCUUGUGUGGUUGCUAAAACCCUAGGGUAAAAGAUUUCCGAGAAAAUGGGGGGGGAAAACCCUGAUUUCUGGAUCCUAGAUUUGUCCCCUUUUGCUUAAGUCAAAAACUAAGCAAAAUUUGAGGUUGAGUUCAAAAGCAAAGUUGUAGCUCUUGGCAAGAUGUACAACUUUGGUGUUUUGAGUUUUUGAAGUUUCAAUACAAAAUUCAAAGUAAUUUUGAAAAUACAGAUUUCCAGAAAGUGUCCCCUUUUCCAACUUAAAUCCCCAAUUCAAAAUCCAUUUGGAAUUUUUAAAAGUGGUCAACAUGAAAGUUGUAGAGCACAAAAAGUUGAGCAACUUUCAUGUUGGGAGUUUUUCAAGUUGUUAUACAAAAUCAAAAGUAAUUUUGGAAAUUCUGUUUUGCCCCAAUUCAAAAAUUUGGAAUUUCUUUGAUUUGAGUUUGAUUUUCAAACUGUUUGGCCAAAUUCACCCUGUUACACUAAAAAUCAGCUCUGGUCACCAAAACAUGAUUUGUAGCUUACAAAAUUUGGAACAACUUUUGUUUUGACACAAAUUUGACUCCAGUUCAAAUUUCGGCUGAAUUUUACAAAGUUCAGAAAAGAGGGGAUAAGGGUCUGCUACAGUGACCCGAUAGGGAUCACUGGCUCCCUGUCCAGCGCGGCCGCCGUGCGCGCAGCACCGCGAGCGCCCGUGCGGGCACGCAGCUGCCUGCUUGCCUGCGUCGCCAGGCAACGUGGACGCCCUGGGCUCAUCUCCUUCUCCCCUUUGAGCACCAGCGUAGGCGCCGCCGCGCGUUUCCUCCGUCCUGAGCCAGAGAACCCCGACGAGCUCCCUUCUUCAAUUCACCAUAACCACUCCUUCCCGAGCCAAAUUGAGCAACCCAGCGUCUUCGCCACCUUCUUGCGAACCCAGUGCACCCCUAAGCUCCCUCUCUAACCCCCUCAAGCGCCCGAGCUCCUCCCUCCUCUCCAACUCCGGCCGAGACCGCCGCCGCGGAGCUCUUCCCGUGGCCACGGUGUUCCAGUGAGUAUCACACCCCGCUGGCGACUGUUUCAAGUUCCUUCCGUGCCCCGGUUGCUCAUGCUCUCGCUCCUUCUCCUUGAAUGUGAGCAGGAUCGCCGGAAUAAGUUUGCCGGAGCCAGAGCUCCCGCCCGACGACACUGCUUCCGUCGCCAGCGGCUUCAGCUGCUUCUCCGAGCCUUGCAGCGUGAGCACCACCCUCCCCAACCCCUAUGGAAGCUCGCUCGGCCGUCGGCUUGCACUCUAUCGGGCCCUAGCGGCCGGCCGAGGGUCGGCCAUGGCGGCUGCCCGCCCUUCUCGUGACCGAGGUGGAAGAAGUAGGGUAGAGCGUGGGUAGGGGGUGUCCACGGUGUCGCGGAGUUGAAGUGAAGCCGAUGCGCACGCGCACUCCGGCCGAGACCCUCGCCAACGGCGGCCGGAGCUGUGGCCGAACCGCCGUGCGCGGUGAGGACGCAGCUGACGGGUGGGGUCGCCCCGUCAGCGUCCCGCAGAGAGAGGGCCUGACGAGCGGGACCCGCUCGUCAGUGACCGCUCAGAGAGAGAGGGGCAGCGCGCGCAGCGCGGGUGCGGGCCGAGCGCGUGUGGGCCGGCCUGCGGCCCAGUUCCCAGACAGCCCACUGCACUGUGUUUCUUUUCUUUUUCCUUUUUGAUUAAAAUUGCUUGAUGUUUGAAAUUAUGUGAUUAAUUGUGUGCUAAUCCAAAAAUGAUGAAAGUUUUUGUAUAGGUUCCAUAAGGUGGGUAGAACAUAAGAAAAAUAGUGGAUUCUGUUUUCUGGUAGUUUGCAUGUUUGUAAAAAUUUGCUCUUUUAAUUAAUGAAUAAAACUUCUAGGAAUUUUAAUAAUUUAUUUGUAUGUCCAAAAAUCACCGGAAAUUGUGGGGAGCCUCUGAAUAUUAUUCCCUGGCUCCACACAAAAUUUGAUGACAUUUGGAUAAUGUUUGAUUAGAAUACUAAUAAACCCUUAUUUAGUACUUAAGUAAUAAUUCCAAAACCAUUAAAUAAUAAUUAAUUAAAUUCUCAUGAUUAGGGUUGAGUGAUUUUGGGAUUGUGUGAUGACCUGAGGUCAUUAACUCUAAUGACCUCUGGCAGUUAAUUAUUGUUUAGCCUUAAUGCUUAAUUACUGUCAUUAGUAAUUAAUUAAAAAUUAAUUAAGGUAAAUAGGUUUAAUAAUUACUUAAUUUAAGAUAAUUAUGAAUUAAGUAAAGUCUUAGUUUACAGAUGCAACCUCUUAAGUAAAAAUAGUAAGUUAUUAAACAACUUUAUUUAUUAAUUGUUCUGCACUGCAUUGGGUGGGCAAAUUGUACUUAAUUCGGUCCAUCUUGCAUAAUUGCCAUACGCAUAUCAUAAGCAUUCAUCAUCUUGCGUAUAGCGUCCGUGACCGAAGGAGCGCCUGUUGAACCGAACCCCGAGGUCGGUGCUCCGUUCGAGGAAGUCGGAUCCGAGACUUGGGAAGUCUCCGAGGGUCCCUCUCUGCCCUGCAACCAAGGCAAGCCCCGGAUGCAUUAACCCCUCCUUGGAUGUUUUAAAUCUUUUAUCACUUAUGAAUUGAAAAUGCUGCAUUAGAUAGUUGAGAAUUGGGUUAACCUACUUGCUGCAUUUACUACCUUGAUAUCUGUUAUCCUGUCCUUGACACCUGUUUUAUUUUAAAACUGCGUAGCGAUGCUUAGCCCUGCUACUAGAUAGGUUUUCAAACAAGAAAGUUUGAAGGGUUGUUGUGGGAUACACUUAUGAUCAAUGAUGUUUCAAUUUGAGACCGGUCGGUGGACUUGCUCUAAGAAUGGAGUCUUAAAGUAGUGUCUCCGACUGUGUUGAUUAAGGACCGUUCCGUUGAUGGCCUGCUGGGUUGAGAAUUUAUAGUACUAGCCACUUGCCUUCGGUAAGCCCAGUCCUGUGAUCCCUCGACGCGAACAGCUACUCGCGCACUGGGAGUGGAAAGAUGGCGAGAGUAGUGUGUACCCACCUUACGGAUCUGAGAUGACCGGAAAACAUCUAGAUCGGCUGUAGGAUGGUGGAGUACUGUACUCUCGGGUGCCGCGAACCUGGUCAAAUUUGGGGAGAGCUUGAUUUGGGUUGACAUAUGCAAGAUUUGGUUCUACAUAUGUCGGGUGGUUAGGAACUCCAGCUGGAUUGCUAAGCGAUUCGAAUCGUCGUUGCUCCCCGAUUGGGAGACUCAAUUCCUUCGACCCUCAUCGUAGUUAAAUAUGCAACUAAGUGAUAAAAUGAGAAAAGGGAAAAUGUCUCAUGAGGUUCGGAUCCCAAUUCCCGGACUCAUAGCGACAUGAAGCUAUGACCAUCAAUAAAUAAUACUUAAUGAUAGGACUAGGAACUCACGGAUUCGUCUGUGGGGAACAACCAGUUAGACUAUCCUCGAAUUCCUCUGCCUCUGCGAGGGAGGAAUUCGGAGUAAAACCUGAAAAUAAGGAUGCACUACUAGUAAGCUUUUACGCAAAACACUUUGGCUCCUUGCUCAGCCACCCCUUGUCUACCCUAAGCCUGCAUCCCUAAAUUCUCCUCUUUUUCCCGUCGGAUAAGUCUUGUUGAGUACUCCCGUACUCAGGGUUUCAAUACCCCUGUUGCAGGUGAAGUUCAGGAGCCGACUUGUUUCGGACCCUGUUGUGUGACCGUCGUCGAGGUUGACGACGAAGAAGAGUGAGCGCGACCCAUGGGCAGGGUCUGUAAAUUUGUUCUGUCUGUACUAAAGUUUCAGUUGCUCCGCUGGACCAGACUUGUAAUAACACUCUACUAUUUGGAAGAACUCCUUUUAUAGAUUAAGUUAUGUAAUACUUCCGCUGUUUUACUCUGAAAUAUUAUUUUGGUCUUGUGUCGUUGAGUUACUGCUUUAUCUUCGCAACGAAUGAUCCUGGUGUUAAGGUGGCCACUUGCUAUCCUGUAAGGGCGAGAAGAAACAGUUCUCGUUGUUUGACCAUUACCAGUGGUCAGGACGAGCCAGCUUGGUACGCCACAGGUAGCAGUGGAAUGAGCGCCCAGCAAUGCUCAUCGGACUUCUAAAGUGGGAGGACUCCCGGCAUCACCGUCAGAGGUCCUUAGGACAAUGGCAGGUGUCGGUGGGCCCAAACACUUAGGAGGUUCUGCCACAGCUGGUAUCAGAGCAUUCGUUGCUAAGAUGACUGCUGAACCUUUUGAAAAUCAUCAAAAAAAUUCGUUUGGAACUAAUACUAUGAACCUGCUUAUUUUGAGUCCAAGUGCUUAGUCCUAACCUACCCCUGUCUAUAGGUUUUCUUAGAAUUUUUGAAGUGGUUUGGAGGAGCAACCUAAGGUAUUGCCCUAUGUUGUAAAAGUUUAAAGUAAUAUCGUUACGAAUUGUUAGUAGGAAUCGUAAGUUCGUGCAUGCAUCAUGAUGUAUUAACUGAUUAAGUUCCUUCCUCCUUGUUGGGUUGAGCGAAUAGAAUCAAUCCUAUUCUUGCUAACCUUUAAGGUCUCUCUUACUAAUCUAAACUUACCCUCUACAGGAUGGCUCGUCAGAAGCAGACCCCGCGUAAGCGGACUGGUCCAAAAGGAGUUCCCCGACAUCAGCUAGCUCCACGCAGUGAUCAAGCCAGUAGUAGCCGCACACCGCCUCAACAGGAGGUGGACAGGUUGUCCGCCGAGUUGACUGAGGUGAUGAGAGAGAGAAUGUACAAUGUUAUGGAGAUUGGCAAACUUAAAGCUCAACUGGCCAAAGAAAAACGAGCUACAGAAAAUUGUGAAGCUAUGUUGUCCCGGAUGGUGGAGGAGCGGAAUGCAGCCAUUGCCCGAGAGGAAGAAGCUAGGAGCACCCAUAGGCAUGAGCUAACUAGGAUGAACGCAAAGUUGGGCAAGGCAAAGUAUCUUAAGGAUUUGUAUGUGAAGAUGGCGGCCACGGUCACCGCACAACGGGAUGUCGCGUGGCAACGAGAGGACCAGCUCCAGCUGGAGAAACUGGAGCUGGCACAUCACUUAGAUACAGUCAAUGAUCUGGCUAUGCAAUAUCGUGAUAUUGCGUUUGAUCUGUAUCAUCAACUCCACCCACCUCCCGGCGAAGGAGAAAUGGAUACGGAUGGCGAGCUGGCAGACGAUGGAGAACCCGAUCCAGGCCUCAGUGAUGAAGAGGAGUCCGACCCCGAUGACCACAACCCAGGGGGUAAUCAAGAUGAUGACAAUGACGACCCGGGCUACAGUUCUGGCCACACCGAUUAGUUCGGUGAAACCGAGGGCAACGUCGUUGUAGGGGUCUUAGCUUGCCGUAGUGGGGUUCGGGUUUGUAAUAUAAGUUCUCUUUUGGUUUGAAAAGUUGUACCUGUUUACUUUUGGUGUGUAUCUAACUAAUGUUUAAUAAGUGAAUGUAAGAUAUGUUCUGUGUUAUGAAUUCUGCGUGGUAACAGGUAUCUACGAUUCUUGUAACAGAUGCCGAUGCGUACUCGCGGAUCCAAUGGAGCUGGGACAUCCCAGGGAGGGGAUGAUAUCCCCAACCCUCCACCUGCUCCACCUUCUUUGGCUGACGCCAUUGCUGUCUUGCUAAGUGCCACAACUGACAAUGCUCGCUUGCUGCGCGAGCUAGCACAGCGUCAAACACACUCUGCUCCAAACAUCAGAGCACCGCGCAACGGGGACGGAGAGACUCGGUAUGUAGAUUUUACCGAGACCAGGCCCCCGGUGUUCACUAAGGCCGAUGAGCCUUUAGAAGCGGAUGACUGGCUCCGAACUAUGGAGCAUAAGUUCAGUUUAAUUCAGUGUUCAGAAACUCAGAAACCCUUAUUUGCAGCUCAGCAACUUCGGGGAGCUGCAGGUGCCUGGUGGGAGAACUUCUUAGCUAUUCAAGCUCCCGGACACCAAGUUACCUGGACGGAGUUUAGGGACGCGUUUCGCGCCCACUACAUCCCCGAAGGGCUCAUGGCCAUGAAGGCCGAAGAGUUUCUCGCCUUGCAGCAAGGCGAUAAAAGUGUUAUGGAAUACGUGGCAAGGUUUAAUCAUCUCUCUCAAUAUGCCACGGAUCAUGUGAACACUGACAGAAAGAGGAAAGCCUGUUUCAUGCGUGGUCUAAAUACUAAACUUCAGACCAUGAUGACCACUUGCCAAAAUGCUACUUUCUAUGAGGCGGUAAAUAUUGCUAUCGCCUCAGAGGAAAAGAAUAGGAAACAUAAGGAAGCCAAGAAGAAGGCUGCUUCCUCUUCUUUCUCUGGUCGCGGUCAAAAGCGCCAGAGGAUCAUUUAUCAUCCACAGGGCCACGGACGUUUCCAAGCGCCGUCAUAUUAUCGUGGUCCUUUCUCCCCUCCACAGUACAGACCCGGGCAGCAGGUAUAUUCUCGACCUACUGCCCUCGCUUUUGCACCACGCCAGCCGAACGCCCCGGGUGUUCGCCCUACUGCUCCGCCCAGCCACAAUUACCCUUGCUUCAAUUGUGGUAAACCUGGGCAUUUCUCUAAAGAGUGCCCUUUUCCCCGUCAAACCAACCCUACCUUUCCAAGGCCACCUAUGGGCCAACCCCAGCCGGGUCAGUUCAGAACUGGGGUUCAAAAAGGGCAACAGGUACAGAAAGGUAGACCGGUAAAGAAGACAGGGCAAGUCUUCCAUACUGAAGUGGAGACAAUUCCAGAGGGUGAACCAGUGAUGAUGGGUACGUUUCCUGUUGCGAAGCAUCCUGCUUUAAUGCUCUUUGAUUCUGGUGCAUCCCAUACAUUUAUCAAUCGCACCUUUGUGUUAAAGCAUGGCAUACCCAUUGGGGAAACACAAGAUCAUUUUUAUAUACAGUCGCCAGGAGGACGGCUGAUGUCUAAAGAAAUGGUUCACCAAGUACCCAUUGAAUUUGGUGGGCACAAUUUUCCUACUAGUAUGAUUGUUCUUAAGGACCAAGAAAUUGAUGUCAUUUUAGGCAUGAACUGGAUGGCGCAACGAGGGGUUGUGCUAGACACUUUGCACCGAACCAUUAAAAUCCCAUUGCCCAAUGAGAGUUCUUAUUUGCUAAUCCAAUUAGUUACUCCCAAACGGACAAUUGGGCAAGUUCAUGCCGCUAAUGUGUCUGAAGUUAAAGAUAUCCCGGUAGUUCACGAUUUCCCGGAUGUAUUUCCUGAAGAUUUACCAGGUCUGCCUCCGGACCGGGAUGUACAAUUUAGUAUAGAAUUGAAACCAGGAACGGCCCCAAUAUCUCGAAGGGCCUACAGAAUGGCACCGAAAGAGCUGGCCGAAUUAAAAACCCAAUUACAAGAGUUGUUGCAGAAGGGUUUUAUUCAGCCUAGUUCUUCUCCAUGGGGUUGCCCAGCCUUGUUUGUGAAGAAAAAGGAUCAGACAUUAAGGCUGUGUGUUGACUAUCGUCCUCUGAAUGAGGUAACGAUUAAAAACAAGUACCCAUUGCCCCGCAUUGACUUAUUGUUUGACCAGUUAGCUGGGGCCAAAGUGUUCUCAAAAAUUGAUUUGAGAUCAGGGUACCAUCAAAUUAAAAUUAGGCCGGAAGAUUUGCCCAAGACUGCUUUCACAACCCGUUACGGGUUGUAUGAAUACUUGGUGAUGUCUUUUGGGUUGACUAACGCACCGGCCCAUUUUAUGUACCUGAUGAACUCUGUCUUCAUGCCAGAACUAGAUAAAUUUGUGGUCGUCUUCAUCGAUGACAUCUUGAUUUACUCCAAAACUAAGAAGGAGCAUGCUGAACACUUGAGAAUCGUGCUGACCCGUCUCAGGGAGCACCAGCUAUAUGCCAAAUUCAGCAAAUGUGAGUUCUGGCUGGACAAAGUUCAUUUCCUGGGUCAUGUAUUAUCAGCGGAAGGAGUCGCUGUAGACCCAGGCAAGGUAGAAGAUGUAUUGAAUUGGAAACCCCCGACUACGGUACAUGAGGUCCGUAGUUUUCUGGGCAUGGCGGGAUAUUACCGUCGUUUUAUCCCGGACUUUUCCAGAGUCGCCAAACCAAUCACAACCUUGCUCAAAAGUCAAACAAAAUUUGUUUGGUCACCCCAAUGUGAGCAAGCUUUUCAGACUCUGAAAAGGUUGUUGACAACUGCACCUGUCUUAGCCCAGCCAGAUAUUGAAAAACCCUUUGAUGUAUAUUGUGACGCAUCAGGAAUCGGGUUAGGCUGUGUGCUGAUGCAGGAGGGUCGCGUAAUUGCAUAUGCUUCCAGGCAACUCAAACCUCAUGAAGAGAAUUACCCGACCCAUGAUCUCGAACUAGCCGCCGUGGUACAUGCAUUGAAGAUCUGGCGUCAUUAUUUGUUGGGAAACACAUGUCAUCUAUAUACAGAUCACAAAAGCUUGAAGUAUAUCUUUACUCAAGCUGAGCUUAAUAUGCGCCAGCGAAGGUGGCUAGAACUAAUCAAAGAUUACGACCUUGAGGUGCAUUAUCACCCUGGCAAGGCAAAUGUAGUAGCGGAUGCCCUCAGUCGUAAGGCUCACUGUAAUUGCUUAACAGUGAAGCCUAGGGAUAUAACUUUGUGCCAAGAGCUAGAGAACAUGGGAAUAGAAAUGAUUUCCCAAGGAAGCCUUUCCAAUUUAAAGAUUGAUUUCAAUCUCGAGGCUCAAAUCAUAAAGGCACAAAAAGAAAACAAAGGCAUGAGACAUCUUAAAGAGAAGGUUUUUAAUAGAGCACUCACAGACUUUAAGGUGGAUGAUGCGGGAGUAAUCUGGUUCAAGAACCGGUUAGUGGUUCCAAAGGUACCUGAGCUACGUCAGCAAAUCCUGGAUGAAGCUCAUGCCACGAGGUAUUCCAUUCAUCCGGGAAGCAAUAAGAUGUAUCAGGACCUGAAGCAAAGGUUUUGGUGGACAAAAAUGAAGAUAGAAAUAGCUCGCUAUGUGGCCCAAUGUGACACCUGUCGAAAGGUCAAAGCCAUUCAUCUCAAAUCCGCUGGGGAGUUGCAACCUUUGCCUAUCCCCGCAUGGAAAUGGGAUGACAUAAGUAUGGAUUUCAUAGUAGGAUUGCCCAAGACGGCCAAGGGCUUUGAUUCCAUUUGGGUCAUAGUAGAUCGUCUCACCAAAACAGCACAUUUUCUGCCGGUAAAGCUAUUGUAUCCUGCCUCCACCUAUGCUAAGAUUUAUUUUGACCGUAUUCUAAGUCUGCAUGGAGUGCCAAAGACAAUAGUGUCAGAUAGAGGCACACAAUUUGUCUCCCAAUUCUGGAGAUGUUUACAUGAGUCCUUGGGCACUAAGCUUUUAUACAGCACAGCCUACCACCCUCAAACCGGUGGGCAAACUGAAAGGGUAAAUCAAACCCUAGAAGAUCUAUUAAGAUCUUGUGCCCUGAAUUUUCCAGAUAAGUGGGAUGACUGCUUGCCUCUAGCAGAAUUUUCCUACAAUAAUAGCUAUCAAGAGAGUAUCAAAAUGGCUCCCUUUGAGGCACUGUAUGGUCGCCGAUGUCGAACUCCGUUACACUGGUCAGAACCUGGAGAAAGAUGGUUCUUCGGAGUUGAUUUAGUGAAAGAGACUGAGAACAAAGUAAAACAAAUCCAAAAUAACUUGAAAGUUGCUCAGUCCCGACAGAAAAGUUACGCUGAUAAAAGACGUCGACCAUUAAAGUUCGCCAAAGGUGAUCAUGUGUAUUUGAAAGUAUCCCCAAUGAAAGGAGUAAACCGUUUUGGUGUUAAAGGCAAGUUAGCGCCUCGUUACAUUGGUCCAUUUCCAAUUAUUGACCGAUGUGGGCAAGUCGCUUACCGCCUUAAACUGCCCGAACGAUUAUCCGGGGUACAUAAUGUGUUCCAUGUGUCUCAACUGAAAAAGUGUCUUCGGGUACCAGAUCGAGUUCAAGAUAUUGAAGAUGUAAAGCUUGAACCAGAUCUAACUUAUUCGGAAUAUCCUAUCCGAGUACUGGAUCAAAAAGCUAGAGUUACUCGAAGGACAACCACUAAAUGGUAUAAAGUACAGUGGAGCCAGCACUCUGAAGAAGAAGCCACAUGGGAAUCUGAAGAUUACUUGUUAGAGAAUUUUCCUGAAUUCUAUGCAUCUCUUCAGGACAAUAUAUGAUAACCAGAGAAUGUACUCUAGUGAAGAAAAAGAGUUACCAAAGCCAUGUACUUAAUGUACCUAUAUGCAUAUAGUGAAGUAUUUUCCCCAACUCCUUGCCUUAUGGAAAAGUUGAAGAUGAAAGAGUUUUGACAAAUUUCCUUUUCCAUUACUUACCCUAAGGUUUUAAAUCUCGGGGACGAGAUUUCUUUAAGGGGGAAGGGCUGUAACAUCCCUGAUGUUACGGUUACUAAAAACGGAUCAUGUCAUCAUAAGCAUUGCAAACCAUAAUUGUUAAAGCACAGUAGUAUGCAUCAACUUAAAAUAAGCUUACUUUGAUUGCUUGAGCUUAGGGAAGUAGAGUGUGCUUCUGUGGUGUGUUGUUGCUUGUGUGGUUGCUAAAACCCUAGGGUAAAAGAUCUCCGAGAAAAUGGGGUGGGAAAACCCUGAUUUCUGGAUCCUAGAUUUGUCCCCUUUUGCUUAAGUCAAAAACUAAGCAAAAUUUGAGGUUGAGUUCAAAAGCAAAGUUGUAGCUCUUGGCAAGAUGUACAACUUUGGUGUUUUGAGUUUUUGAAGUUUCAAUACAAAAUUCAAAGUAAUUUUGAAAAUACAGAUUUCUAGAAAGUGUCCCCUUUUCCAAUUUAAACCCCCAAUUCAAAAUCCAUUUGGAAUUUUUAAAAGUGGUCAACAUGAAAGUUGUAGAGCACAAAAAGUUGAGCAACUUUCAUGUUGGGAGUUUUUCAAGUUGUUAUACAAAAUCAAAAGUAAUUUUGGAAAUUCUGUUUUGCCCCAAUUCAAAAAUUUGGAAUUUCUUUGAUUUGAGUUUGAUUUUCAAACUGUUUGGCCAAAUUCACCCUGUUACACUAAAAAUCAGCUCUGGUCACCAAAACAUGAUAUGUAGCUUACAAAAUUUGGAACAACUUUUGUUUUGACACAAAUUUGACUCCAGUUCAAAUUUCGGCUGAAUUUUACAAAGUUCAGAAAAGAGGGGAUAAGGGUCUGCUACAGUGACCCGAUAGGGAUCACUGGCUCCCUGUCCAGCGCGGCCGCCGUGCGCGCAGCACCGCGAGCGCCCGUGCGGGCACGCAGCUGCCUGCUUGCCUGCGUCGCCAGGCAACGUGGACGCCCUGGGCUCAUCUCCUUCUCCCCUUUGAGCACCAGCGUAGGCGCCGCCGCGCGUUUCCUCCGUCCUGAGCCAGAGAACCCCGACGAGCUCCCUUCUUCAAUUCACCAUAACCACUCCUUCCCGAGCCAAAUUGAGCAACCCAGCGUCUUCGCCACCUUCUUGCGAACCCAGUGCACCCCUAAGCUCCCUCUCUAACCCCCUCAAGCGCCCGAGCUCCUCCCUCUUCUCCAACUCCGGCCGAGACCGCCGCCGCGGAGCUCUUCCCGUGGCCACGGUGUUCCAGUGAGUAUCACACCCCGCUGGCGACUGUUUCAAGUUCCUUCCGUGCCCCGGUUGCUCAUGCUCUCGCUCCUUCUCCUUGAAUGUGAGCAGGAUCGCCGGAAUAAGUUUGCCGGAGCCAGAGCUCCCGCCCGACGACACUGCUUCCGUCGCCAGCGGCUUCAGCUGCUUCUCCGAGCCUUGCAGCGUGAGCACCACCCUCCCCAACCCCUAUGGAAGCUCGCUCGGCCGUCGGCUUGCACUCUAUCGGGCCCUAGCGGCCGGCCGAGGGUCGGCCAUGGCGGCUGCCCGCCCUUCUCGUGACCGAGGUGGAAGAAGUAGGGUAGAGCGUGGGUAGGGGGUGUCCACGGUGUCGCGGAGUUGAAGUGAAGCCGAUGCGCACGCGCACUCCGGCCGAGACCCUCGCCAACGGCGGCCGGAGCUGUGGCCGAACCGCCGUGCGCGGUGAGGACGCAGCUGACGGGUGGGGUCGCCCCGUCAGCGUCCCGCAGAGAGAGGGCCUGACGAGCGGGACCCGCUCGUCAGUGACCGCUCAGAGAGAGAGGGGCAGCGCGCGCAGCGCGGGUGCGGGCCGAGCGCGUGUGGGCCGGCCUGCGGCCCAGUUCCCAGACAGCCCACUGCACUGUGUUUCUUUUCUUUUUCCUUUUUGAUUAAAAUUGCUUGAUGUUUGAAAUUAUGUGAUUAAUUGUGUGCUAAUCCAAAAAUGAUGAAAGUUUUUGUAUAGGUUCCAUAAGGUGGGUAGAACAUAAGAAAAAUAGUGGAUUCUGUUUUCUGGUAGUUUGCAUGUUUGUAAAAAUUUGCUCUUUUAAUUAAUGAAUAAAACUUCUAGGAAUUUUAAUAAUUUAUUUGUAUGUCCAAAAAUCACCAGAAAUUGUGGGGAGCCUCUGAAUAUUAUUCCCUGGCUCCACACAAAAUUUGAUGACAUUUGGAUAAUGUUUGAUUAGAAUACUAAUAAACCCUUAUUUAGUACUUAAGUAAUAAUUCCAAAACCAUUAAAUAAUAAUUAAUUAAAUUCUCAUGAUUAGGGUUGAGUGAUUUUGGGAUUGUGUGAUGACCUGAGGUCAUUAACUCUAAUGACCUCUGGCAGUUAAUUAUUGUUUAGCCUUAAUGCUUAAUUACUGUCAUUAGUAAUUAAUUAAAAAUUAAUUAAGGUAAAUAGGUUUAAUAAUUACUUAAUUUAAGAUAAUUAUGAAUUAAGUAAAGUCUUAGUUUACAGAUGCAACCUCUUAAGUAAAAAUAGUAAGUUAUUAAACAACUUUAUUUAUUAAUUGUUCUGCACUGCAUUGGGUGGGCAAAUUGUACUUAAUUCGGUCCAUCUUGCAUAAUUGCCAUACGCAUAUCAUAAGCAUUCAUCAUCUUGCGUAUAGCGUCCGUGACCGAAGGAGCGCCUGUUGAACCGAACCCCGAGGUCGGUGCUCCGUUCGAGGAAGUCGGAUCCGAGACUUGGGAAGUCUCCGAGGGUCCCUCUCUGCCCUGCAACCAAGGCAAGCCCCGGAUGCAUUAACCCCUCCUUGGAUGUUUUAAAUCUUUUAUCACUUAUGAAUUGAAAAUGCUGCAUUAGAUAGUUGAGAAUUGGGUUAACCUACUUGCUGCAUUUACUACCUUGAUAUCUGUUAUCCUGUCCUUGACACCUGUUUUAUUUUAAAACUGCGUAGCGAUGCUUAGCCCUGCUACUAGAUAGGUUUUCAAACAAGAAAGUUUGAAGGGUUGUUGUGGGAUACACUUAUGAUCAAUGAUGUUUCAAUUUGAGACCGGUCGGUGGACUUGCUCUAAGAAUGGAGUCUUAAAGUAGUGUCUCCGACUGUGUUGAUUAAGGACCGUUCCGUUGAUGGCCUGCUGGGUUGAGAAUUUAUAGUACUAGCCACUUGCCUACGGUAAGCCCAGUCCUGUGAUCCCUCGACGCGAACAGCUACUCGCGCACUGGGAGUGGAAAGAUGGCGAGAGUAGUGUGUACCCACCUUACGGAUCUGAGAUGACCGGAAAACAUCUAAAUCGGCUGUAGGAUGGUGGAGUACUGUACUCUCGGGUGCCGCGAACCUGGUCAAAUUUGGGGAGAGCUUGCUUUGGGUUGACAUAUGCAAGAUUUGGUUCUACAUAUGUCGGGUGGUUAGGAACUCCAGCUGGAUUGCUAAGCGAUUCGAAUCGUCGUUGCUCCCCGAUUGGGAGACUCAAUUCCUUCGACCCUCAUCGUAGUUAAAUAUGCAACUAAGUGAUAAAAUGAGAAAAGGGAAAAUGUCUCAUGAGGUUCGGAUCCCAAUUCCCGGACUCAUAGCGACAUGAAGCUAUGACCAUCAAUAAAUAAUACUUAAUGAUAGGACUAGGAACUCACGGAUUCGUCUGUGGGGAACAACCAGUUAGACUAUCCUCGAAUUCCUCUGCCUCUGCGAGGGAGGAAUUCGGAGUAAAACCUGAAAAUAAGGAUGCACUACUAGUAAGCUUUUACGCAAAACGCUUUGGCUCCUUGCUCAGCCACCCCUUGUCUACCCUAAGCCUGCAUCCCUAAAUUCUCCUCUUUUUCCCGUCGGAUAAGUCUUGUUGAGUACUCCCGUACUCAGGGUUUCAAUACCCCUGUUGCAGGUGAAGUUCAGGAGCCGACUUGUUUCGGACCCUGUUGUGUGACCGUCGUCGAGGUUGACGACGAAGAAGAGUGAGCGCGACCCAUGGGCAGGGUCUGUAAAUUUGUUCUGUCUGUACUAAAGUUUCAGUUGCUCCGCUGGACCAGACUUGUAAUAACACUCUACUAUUUGGAAGAACUCCUUUUAUAGAUUAAGUUAUGUAAUACUUCCGCUGUUUUACUCUGAAAUAUUAUUUUGGUCUUGUGUCGUUGAGUUACUGCUUUAUCUUCGCAACGAAUGAUCCUGGUGUUAAGGUGGCCACUUGCUAUCCUGUAAGGGCGAGAAGAAACAGUUCUCGUUGUUUGACCAUUACCAGUGGUCAGGACGAGCCAGCUUGGUACGCCACAGGUAGCAGUGGAAUGAGUGCCCAGCAAUGCUCAUCGGACUUCUAAAGUGGGAGGACUCCCGGCAUCACCGUCAGAGGUCCUUAGGACAAUGGCAGGUGUCGGUGGGCCCAAACACUUAGGAGGUUCUGCCACAUGGCGGCCGUACGUCGGUGUCAUGGACGCGCCCCGGCUGACUGGCCUUAACCUGGUCAGAACGCCGCCCCGCGCCCCCUAGGCCACUCCAUUCUGUCCCCUCCCCGCUCCCCACUCCUUCCUCCGCUCGCGAGCGCCGCAGCCGUAGCAGCUCCGCCGCAGCGCCAUCGCCGGAGAGCUCCGCCGCUCACCGCCGGCCACACCAGUGACCUAUCCUCGGCGCCGAAACCACCACUGCACUCAUCUUUACCGUGGUAAGCUUCUGCGCACGCUCUACCGAGGUGAGACACCGCCGCAUGCCGUGAAUCGCUCGCCGGAGUUUCCAUGACCUCGUCGGAGUGCUCCGCUGCGUCGUACCUUGCUCGUUUCUGUCUCGUUUCGCUUGCUUUUAGCCGCGUUAGGUCCGUAGCUCGACGGGGAAGCCUCGACGGAACUCCGCGCGCGCUCUAGCGCACCGGAGCGGCCUGGCCACGGCGAGCAGCGCCGCCGUGCCGCCAUGCAUGCUCGCGAGGGUGCUCCGGGCGUCUUCCGGCCGAUCCAAGAGCACCCUUGGGUGCGCCGCGCUGCGGGGAGCAUGAUGGUGCUCACCCCGUGGCCGGGGACCUCACCGCCGACGAGAUCCGCUCGUCGGAGGUGCCCUCCCUCUCGGUCACGCUAACCAGUGGGGUCGGGGACCCACUGUCAGUCGCAGGAGGGACAGAGAUGGGUAGAGAUCUGGGUGUCUUUAGUGUUCUUCAUCCCGAUUUCGAAUUGGUUUUCAGAAAAUAAUUUCCAGAAAAUAGUUUAAAUGAUAUAAAAUCCAUAUCUUGAGAUAUAUAGCUCCAAAAUGGAUGAAAUAAAUUUUGAUGUGUUCUAUAAUCUCAGAUCUAUAGUUUGGUGUGGUUGCAUGUCAUGUUUGAACAACUUUUCUGUAAAAAUAUAUUUAAUCCAUGUUUUUGCAAAAAAUUGGAAAAUGUAUAGUAAUUAAAGUGUAGCUCAGAAAAAUAUGAAACUUGUUUUGGUGGCUUUGCAUGGAUGAUUAGGCUCUGGGAAAAAUAUGAUACACACUAUUUGUUGUAUGAAUUAAUUUAGGGUGAUUUAAAUGCCUGCAUGACAGUGGUUUAUGAUUUUUAAUAAAUAACUGGAUCAUGCAAUUAAUCUGGAAAUUUUUGUGGGUAUUUCUUAUGUUAACAAGUUAAUUAUAAAAAUAUGAAAUCUGUUGUUUGACACUUAUACCACAGUAGGGUAUUUAUACUUGCUUAUAUAGAUCUAUCUUGUGAUUUUUGUAGCUCAAAAUAAAUGUCCAAAUAUUAUGAGAAAUUUAAGAUAGAGUUUAUGAUUGAUUGGUAGUCUCCUGUAAUUUUUAUGGAAUUUAUUGAUAAACAGACAUAUAUGCUACUGUUGUAGGCCUAAAAGUGGAUAGAUAAAUUAUGAAUUGUUAUACAUAGAUUAAAUAAAGUAAGAGGAUGUUUGGUGUAUCUUUGAAGCAUCAUGUGAGCUUGCUGGUUAACCUUGACGGCAACUUGUAGAAGAGAAUGUAAUAAAUGUUUAGUUCGAUUACAUGUUCUUGGAUGAUGUUGACUACCUUAUAAAAGUGACCACUUAUAUCAUCUAUGCAUCAUGUCAUGGUCAUCUGGUAUCCACUUGUAUAAGCAUUGCACCCCGGGCAUCUCGCACUCCACUCAUGGGCACACAUGCAUCAUAUAGACUCGCAGGAGAACGAGGUGGGACCUGAGGAGCAGGAGGAGCUCAAGGAGCAGGAACCUCUAGGAGGACCGGAGCUCGGAGAAGAGCUACAGGAGUGCCCGGACCACAAACCGAGCACGUUUGAGAAAGGCAAGCCCCAGAGCAUUCUAAGUCUCCCUAUUCUCGCUAACUUAAAUGAUAUAUUAUGCUUAUUCUACUAUGUUGCAUUUAAGUGAUAGGAAUUGCUUGAUACCGUUGAUGCAUAAGUACUCCUUGAUAUCACCACUUGUUUAUCUACCUUGUCCUAUGUAGAUAGGCACGGAGUCCAUGCUUAGUUUGCUUAGUCCGGUAGAAGUCGGGUGAUUUCCUGUCAGCUGCGAGAUAUAGGUGGACACAUGUUUGAUUAGCUGUAAUUGCUAUGGGGAAGAAUAACCAAGUGUGGAAAAGAAUUUGAGACCAGGCAGGGUCUUGUGGUGGGUUGAUCAUAGUGCCCCUGCCUGUGUCGAUUAAGGACCGAUCGUUGACGGCCCUCUUGUCAUGUUGAACGCAUGCCCCACACUUAGCUGGAAGGAUAAGUCGUUCCGACCACGAAGCCUGAACACUAUCCGGGCUGGGAGUCGAGCCGCCAUGCGCUGUAUUGGUGAUGGUUGAGGAGAACGACGAUGGCGCGGCGCGCAACCUUGGUAUACCUUGGAUACCUCGGUCACCGGAACGGUCCUCGGGUACUAGCGGUGCCUGCCGAUCCCGCAAUUUGGCCUUGGAUAGUGUAACACGGUGAUCUGUAGCUCACUUGAUCAGUGAGUGUGAUUUGUGUGGGGAAUAACUCGACAGCUGGUCAGAAAUCGAUUCGAAUCGCCAUCGCUCCUGGAUAGUGAGCACUUGACAUGAGCUUCAUCCUCGUAGUAAGGAUUAUGGAACACUUGGGUUAUGAUGAUAAAUGAUUUAUGAAUGCUAUGAUGAGGUACCAUCAUAUUACUACACUUGCUUGUAAUAGUACAGGUGCAAACCUAGAUAAUAGGUAAUGAUAUUAUCAAACUUGAGCUAAUUAAAAGAAGAAUGGUCUCUAGACUAUGUUUAGGGGAAUAAUGCUUUUAUGCAAAAAGUCUCAGGUACCCCACCAUACAGCCUUCAUGAUCCUUGAAGAGUCUUUAUUUUUGGUUUAUGACGGGUAAGUCUAGCUGAGUACAUUCUCGUACUCAGGGUUCUAUUCCCAUGUUGUUUUGUAGAUGGUCAAAUGUACUAUGGUUAUUGCAUCCUCUGCUUGUACCUAGCAAUGGGCGAUGACUAGACCAAGGGCGAUGGUCACUCUAUCUUCUCUUUUGCUUUUGUGGGAAUGACCAAACUAUGGUACUGUAUCAAACUGAAUUUGUGUGUGUGUUACUUUCACUAUGAAGCUUCCGCUACUUGAGAACUUGGUUUGUAAUAAUUUUAAGUACUCCGAUGUAUUUGUUGAAUGUUGUGCACUGGAUGUAAUUGUGAAUGGUGACCGCUGAACUUAUUACGAUCUUGGCUGUAUGUACGAGUUGUGGUUUGAAAUCCUUUGAGAUUUCACGGACUACCGGGAUUAUAUGGGCUUAAGCUCGAUGGUUUGACUGUGCAUAUGGUCACUAUUAAGCUUAAUCUCUUAUAAUUUGGACGGUUCUGUUACAGCAAUAAGAUGUAUCAGGACUUGAAGUAGAGAUUUUGUUGGACGAAGAUGAAAAUAGAAAUAGCCCGCUAUGUAGCCCAAUGUGACACUUGUCGAAAAGUCAAAGCCAUUCAUCUCAAAUCUGCUGGAGAAUUGCAACCCUUGCCUAUCCUAGCAUGGAAAUGGGAUGAUAUUAGCAUGGAUUUCAUAGUGGGAUUGCCCAAGAUGGCAAAGGGUUUUGAUUCCAUUUGGGUUAUCAUUGAUCGUCUUACCAAGUAUGCGCAUUUUCUGCCGGUAAAAGCAAUCUACACUGCUGACACUUAUGCUAAGAUUUAUUUUGAUCGUAUAUUAAGUCUGCAUGGGGUGCCAAAGACGAUAGUGUUUGAUAGAGGCACACAAUUUGUCUCCUAGUUUUGGAAAUGUUUGCACAAAUCCUUAGGCACCAAGCUUCUCUACAGUUCAGCUUACCACCCCAAACAGGUGGGCAAACCAAACGAGUGAAUCAAACAUUAGAAGAUCUAUUGAGGUCAUGUGCCCUAAAUUUUUUAGACAAGUUGGAUGACUGCCUGCCUCUAGCAGAAUUCUCAUUUAACAAUAGCUAUCAAGAAAGCAUUAAAAUGGCUCCAUUCGAGGCAUUCUAUGGCCGUCGAUGUCAAACUCCCUUACACUGGUCUAAAUCCAGUGAAAGAUGGUUCUUUGGGGUUGACUUGGUGAAGGAAACUAAGGACAAAGUCUAACAAAUUAAAAAAAACUUGAAAGUUGCUCAAUCUCGACAAAAGAGCUAUGCUGAUAGAAGACGUCGACCCUUAAGAUUUACUAAAGGUGACCAUGUGUAUUUAAAGAUAUCCCCAAUGAAAGGAGUGAAUCAUUUUGGGUUUAAAGGCAAGUUAUCACCUCGCUACAUUGGUCCAUUUCCAAUCAUCGACCGGUGUGGACAGGUAGCUUACCGCCUCAAAUUACCUAAACAAUUAUCCGAGGUACACAAUGUGUUUCAUGUAUCCCAAUUGUGUCCAAGAUUUUGAAGAUGUGGAACUUGAACCGGAUCUGACUUAUGUAGGAUAUCCCAUCCGAGUAUUGGACCAAAAGGAUAGAGUUACCCGAAGAACAACUACCAAGUGGUACAAGGUGCAAUGGAGUCAGCAUUCUGAGGAAGAAGCCACAUGGGAAUCCGAAGACUAUCUGAUGAAGAACUUUCCUGAGUUUCACGCUACUCUUUAAAACAAUAGCUAAUAAAAAGAAAAUGUACUCUAUGGUGGAUAAAUCUGUAAUCAAAGGCAUGUACCUAAUGUACGUAUAUGUCUACAACGAGAUGUUCUUCCCCAACCGUUUGUCUUGUGAAAAAGCUAAUGAUAGAUUAGCUUGACACAUUUCCUUUUCCAUUACUUAUCCUAAGGUUUUAAAUCUCGGGGACGAGAUUUCUUUAAGGGGGAAGUGUUGUAACAUCCCUGAUGUUACGGAUACUAAAACUGGAUCAUGUCAUCAUAAGCAUUGCUUAGCAUACUGGUUGAGCACAUCCUGAUGCAUCAACUUAAAACAAGUUUAAUAUGGUUGCUUGUCCUUAGGGGACUAAAGUGUGCUUAUGUUGUGAAAUGAUGUUUGUAUGGCAGUGCAAUCCUUAGUGUGGGGAGGGGGUUCCGAGGAAAGGUGGGAGGAAACCCUAAUUUCAAAACCCUAGUUUUUGCCCCUUUUGUGCAACUUCAAAACUAAGCAAAAUUUGGGGAUAAGUUCAAAAGCAAAGUUGUAGAUCUUGACAAGAUGCACAACUUUGGUGUUUUGAGUUUUUGAAGUUUCAAUACAAAAUUCAAAGUUUUUUUUGAAAAUACAGAUUUCCAGAAAUUGUCCCCUUUUCCAAUUUGAAUCCCUAAUUCAAAAUCUAGUUAGAAUCUUGAAAAGUGAUCAAAAUGAAAGUUGUACAGCCCAUCAAAAUGAACAACUUGUAUUUGGGGAAUUUUUCAAGUUGUUGAGAAAAAUCAAAAAGUAAUUCUGGAAUUUCUAUUCUGCCCCAAUUCAAAUUGAAUCCCCCCAAAUUAGAAUUUUGAAUUUCAAAUUGUUUUCCUCAAAUUCAUGCCUUUCCACUCAAAAUCAGCUUUGGACCCUUAAAGAGGUUUUGUAGCAUCCAAAAUUUUGAAAAACUUUUGUUUUGGCAGAAAGUUGACUUCAGUUCUAAUUUUUGGAGUAAUUUGCACAAAACAAAAAAGUGGAUAUGGCUCGCUACACUGACCUGAUGAGGAUCACUGUUGACGGUCCUUAAGUACCAAAUUUAAUUAUCAAAUAAACAAAGAAAAGGAUCCAAAUGAAAUCAACAUCCAGACUUAGGGUUUUAUCUGACAGAAUUCCACGAGUUUUGGUGUUUGUCUAUUUCUGCAGGGGGUUAUCAGGAAAUACGGAAGAAAGGCCCACACGUCGGGAUUACAUAGAGAUAUUAACGUGCCGCGCAAUUAUCUUACAUCUAGAAGACUCCAGAAGCCACGGGAAGGAAGCGGAGGCCGAACGGGGCCAGAGGUAGGGCGCCCGCCCUGACUUGGGGCCCAAUCAGGACUCUUUCUCUCGGGAGAUCUCCACCGACCUAAAGGAUCAAGAAUAACCGUUCAAUCAAUGUCGGUUUGAUCCGACGGCCCAAGUUCACUUGAGGGGACUAUAUAACCAGACCCCCUAGCCCCUGGAGGAGGCUCCCCUUGAUCAUUAUUCAUUAUUCAUAGAUAGAGCAAAAGCUAGGGUUUAGAGAUGAGAGCUCUCCUCUCUUCUCUAAACUAGAGUAGAUCUAGAUAGUAGCGAGAUGGAGAGCGAAGGAGGAUUAGAGGAGAGGCCGGCCUGUCGGUUCUUCCUCUGGUUGUACUUCAUCAUGAUCAAGCUCUAAUCAAGCUUGCUCAUGGGAUGACUCUGGUAAUCUACUUCUAAUUCAUUAUGCAAUUACUAAUCAUGUAUGUUCUGGUUCACAACUCUUUUGAGUACUUCUAAUCUAUAGGACGCUAUAGGUUAGAGUUGUAGUAUAGGUGUAAGCAUGGUGCUUAGACCUAGAUUACUUGUGGAUAUCCCCUGUCUAGUUGGAUCGUGUGGUAGGCCGCGUAGGUGACAGUUACGUUGGUCCUCUGUAGUCCACCUCUCGUUAGCAGGACGGGUAGGGUUUAUCGGCCUAAGGAUAAGCAUCCUUUGUGGUGUACUCUUAUCACGUGGUUCGUCCCAGACAUAGACAUACCCCUUUGAAGUAGAGAAAUCAUAGUUAUCCUCUCUAUUCUGCUACCAUCGCCCAUAUACUAGAAUUGCUCUACUCUCUAUUCCCAUAUUAUCACCUAUUGUUAUCUUACCUUUAAUAUUGUUCUUAUUCAAUUCUACCAUCUUUCCUAUUUACACCUAUCUAUCUAUCUUGGUUAAGUUAGAGCGUAGUUGGUUCUCCCGUUUCCCUGUGGAUACGAUAAACCUUUAACCGGGUAAAAGCUUCAACGGUAUCCGUGCGCUUGUGGAUUAUCUGUGUGCGUACAAAUACCAUAGUACACUCUAGUGCCAUGCUGGGGAUGACAACCUAGUAUUCAAGUGGUGUUAGCAAGUGUCAACAAGCAUUUUUGGCGCCGUUGCCGGGGAGACGGUUGCUGAGGUUACUACGAACUAGCUUAAUCAUUUUCUAAAAAAAUUAUUAUAUAUAUAUUUUUCCUUUUAUCUUUUACUUAUCUCUGCUAUUCUUUCCUCUUAUCUAAUCCUUGAUCUCUGGUCUAUCAUGAAUUCAAACAUGUCUAUCUACGAAUUUCAUAGACCUACGGGCACACAUCUCGAACCAGCAAAAUCUUCAAAGCCUAUCAUAGCAUCUAGUUUUGAGAUAGACCCCGAAUACAUAGAAUUUUGUUCAAAAACAACCUUUCUCAAGAGAAGGUGAGGAAAACCCAUACACACACCUAAGAGAGUUUUAUCGAGUCUGUGACCUCCUUCGCAUAGAAGGCAUGUCCGAUGAGACCCUUAAAUGGAAGCUCUUUCCGUUCUCUUUAACAGGAAAAGCUAGACAUUGGUACAAACUCAAAGUAGGGAGUGUUCAUGGAGAUUGGAAGGAGUUAUAUAGUAGUUUUCUUUCUAAAUAUUUUCCAAUCUCCAAAGUGGUGGAACUUCGGCGUGAGAUUCUUUCUUUUAGACAACUAGAAGAAGAAUCUCUUGGCAAAUCAUGGACCGCUUUAUUAACCUUACUCUCACUAGCCCAAAGCUUUCUAUUCCAUAAGAAGUUCUUCUAAUUCACUUUUUUGAGGGCCUUAGUAGAGAAAAUAAGCAAACCCUUCAUGCGGCCUCUGGAGGAUCUUUCCACCACCUAUUCGCUAGUGAAGCUUGGAAUUUGAUUGAUUUAUUAAGUGGAAAGUCUCCUAGCUUUUAUAUCCCUGAGAAAGAGACAGAACCAGUUCCUAGACAAGAAGAAGAAGUUUCGAUAGCUAGAUCACAACCACUUCAAUUCCAAACUUUAGCUAUCGAUCCUAAACCAUCAAUACCCCAAAAUUCUCCAAGGGAGGAAGGAAUUCCGACCUUAAAUCUUUCAGAUGCUGAUGGUUUAGACUUCUGGUUCCAUAAGAGACCUUCAAGCAGGGAUAAUUCAAAUCCUCGCAAUAAUGGUUCUCUUAGAGAAUGUCCUGGUUCCUGUUAUGAAGAAGCUGAGGAUGACAUAUCAAGUGAAGGAGAGCUAAGCCAUAUUGAAAAUUCUAUCAGCUCCCCUUUCCUGAUCACAAGUUCCAAAUGGCUAGAAUGUGUAGAAUGGAUGGAUAAGGAAGAAGCCUUAAUGGAUUCUGACUUUGGCUCAAUUUCAAAUGAUGAGUUCUUGACUCCAUUUGAAGAUGAGAUUCAUCCAACCAUAGAAGAGGACAUAGGUGAGAGAAACUCCAAAUUCAGAUUGGAGACGAAGAUAACAUUAAUGAGCAUGGAAUUUAUUUCAUAGCCACUUCAUUCACUCCAUGCUCAUAUGCAACAUCUUCCCAAUCUAUUGGUCUCUCCAACAUCACCACAUUUGAGAUCUCCAACCCCCUCUUCCUUUCUAUUUAUAAAAACUUUAAAAGGGCGGUUGUCGAUGCAUAUGUCUAUAAUAAAUAUUGCAGAUCUCGUUGAGUUGAUCUUGAUUUAGGUCAGCGUUGGAAGGGAAACCACUUCGCCGACAUAAAUUGAUGGUUUCCCAAGGACAAGCUUGGUGUCCUAAAAUAAGCACUGAUCAGAUCAUAACAUGAGUUUUUAAUUAUUUGCAACAUUACCUUGUGUAUUGAGCAUAUAAGGAUAAUUGUAAAAAUAUUCCUUCGGGUAUUCUUGUCACUAACCUUUCCAGGAUUGGAACAAGAAGAUCAGAAGAAUGACAAGCAAGUACAAGGUAUGUCCAACCAAUCAUCAUGCAACACUGAAUUAAUUUCAUCCAAACUUGAAUUCUGCAAAAAUUCAAGCUUGGGGGAGUACGUUACAUAAAAACAUCCUUUGCCAUGUUGCUAUGUUGGUUGUCCCAACCUUUAAGACAUGCUCAAUUUGUUAAAUACUAAUCACACUACUUCAUCUUCACUUAAGUAGAUCUCUAUAAAUGCUGCCAUGUUACCUUUGUCUAUUUACUAGUAAGUGUUAGUUUGAAAGUAUUGCACAUACUUCUAUUGGCUUUUAAAUUAAGCAUGGUGCUUAGGUUAAAUAGCCUUCCUUAAUCUGAUUAGACAUGGAGUCUAGUUUGGUUACUGAACUAAAAACUGCUUGAGUAGAUAUUGGUAUAUUUUGUCGGACUAACCCCUGCAGGAAAACUUUCAAUAUCGACCUGGGAAGUCCUGAGAUAAACUCACAUUAGAGAUAAAGAGAGUGACACAUGAAGUUUAACAAUUUGCACAAGAAGGACAUAGCUCAUUCAUCAUACAGAGAUGAUCCAUGGAAGGAGACAAAGUACAUAAACAAGAUACACAACCACUACGAAAGGAAAGCUUCCACAAGGUGAUACUAUACCAUCACUCUUCAAGUAAGGUAACAUCUUAAGAUAUCUGACUAUCACUUUUAGAAGCUUCUCCUUGGUUCUGGCGUUCAUAUAAAUAAAAGAGACAAACAUGUAUGAUUUACAACUCUAGAUUAACCAACCCAACUGAUUCAACAUGUUUAGUCCUUUAAUCCUUGUUCUUAGUACUACCUCCAUGAUCCCACACUCCUAAUCAUAUGAGCUAAAAUGUUACACAUUCAAUCAUUAAGAGAUAUAAAGAAAAAGACAUAUACGUAGAUAGAUUAUCUUUCCAUAAGGUUAAGCGAUCUGAUCUGACAAAUGUUAUAAGUGCUACACUCAUGAACUUUUCAUCCAUCAACUUUGUCUUGCUCACUAUGCUUAGGGUUAGAGAAGAACUAAUACACUUUAGGUUCUGUUGGUGUUUUCCACCAACAGGACCCAUGCACUUGAUCUCUGCCUUGUCUCUAUGAGCAGGUACACUUCGAGCAAAACACGGAGGAGUUUUAUAACUCUUAGACUCUACCAAGUGAAGGACCUGGAUCUACGAGCAAAAACACACUGAGUAGGAUACUGCCAACGCUGCACUUCGAACUGCUGGGCAAACAAAGAGGUGCAGACGUCAAGGUCCGCACCUGAAUCAAAUGACGCACCUGAAGAAUGAACACGGUGAGAAGUCUUGUUAAGAAGACUUAAAACAUUGAACCCUCGCCGAAAGGUAAGAUCGGUAGUUAUCCAUAUUCAUCCUUUCUGCAUUCCCUUUUCCCUUUAAUUAUUUAUUUUCCUUAAAUAGAUUAUUAGUUAUUCAUGCUGUUUUGAAAAUAAAAUAAAAUUUUUAAAAAAAUACUAAGCCCCAUGUGAGUAUACGAGUGGCAUAAAACCCAUAAGUACCUUCACUGUGGUGGCAUAAAAAUAAAAUAAAUAUUUCUUUUCUGCUUUAUAAAAUAAAAAUAUAAAAACAGGGAGUAAUAUUUAUUGGGGAAGCUCAACAUGAUGAAGGCUAGAUAUUUAUGCUAACACUUAAUUAGUUCCACAAGCUUUGUUGUCUAUUUGAGCUCCACAGAAUUUAAGAAUCAAGAAGUGUCGGUGUUUUCCCCACCGGGGGUCACACUAACGAGUAAAUUUGUAUGCAUGCUCCCUUUCCCAGAUGGUGAUGCAAGAAGACACAGAGAUUUAUCCUGGUUCGGGCAAGAGAAGGCCCUACGUCUAGCGGGGGGGAGAGAGUUUGUAUUAUCUUGCACCGAAGUGCUUGUACAGGUGUGAAUACAAGCGUGGUAUGAAGUGUGUGAGUUCUACUGCGUAUGGGUGUCGUGUUGUCCCUGAUCUAUUCCUGAGUCCCUCCUUUUAUAGUGCCAAGGAGAGGCCCAAGGUACAUGUAUAGGCGUCAGAAUAGGAGUUGAUAGCAGUAUGGAGCGCUGACCCACUCGAUGCUUCCAUACCAGCAUAGCCUCGAGCCGUCCCAUCUUAAUAGCCCGGUGAUGAUUACGCGUGCCUCUGCAUUCUGCUCUGUGCGCCGUCUUGGAUUGGCUCAACGGAUGCAUGUUUGUACGAUCCGGCGGCAAAUCCGAAGGAGUGGUUGGGAUGUAGUCAGUCGACGCCCAAUCCGUCCCCUGGAAGGAUCCCUGUCUGGUAGAGGGUCAGAUGCCGUACAUCAUGCUGAUAUCCGGAGCGCUGACUUUAGACGUCUCGAGGGGGUCCCGAUUAGACGUCUCAUCCUUAUUUCCCGCGCCCUGUCAUGCCCUGGGUCGUUCGGCGGGAAGGCUGCAAAAAGAUCGAUGGGACGGAAGCCUGUUCCCUAUCACGCCUCCCGUGACCUGUGUGUUAGAUGGGGAAGCGUCAGGCGCAUUAAAUGCUCCGACCCGCGUGCGCGCGUCAGGCGGCGGGCGGCGUCCUUGCGCUCGACACCCCCCGAUUCGCGUGAGCCUGUUCCGUAUUCGACGGUAUCCGGCGCUCGACGCCAGAUCGAUUCGCUCGACGCUACUUCCGUCUUCGAGGUUGUGGCCGUUGAUGGCGGCGCAUACGUAAGACUAGAGCGUCGAAUUGAGGGCCUCGACCUGCGUACGGGCAAUCUCAUAAUGCGCAUCGCUGAGGGUACCCCUUACUGAUACCCUCGACAGUAGCCCCCGAGCCUCCAUUUGAGCGCUAGCGCUCGAGUGGAGGCUUUGUUUUGCGGUCGAAUUUCCGUGGGGGCGCGCGAGCGACCCGCGGAGGUAGCCCCCGAGCCCUCGGAGGAGUCUUUGACUCCUUCGAGGGUUAUGUUGUUUAAUUCGCAGAAGCGCUUCCGACACCAGUGGUGGAAGGUUCUCAUUGGCUCGUUUUGCCCGGGGGUUUCGACGUACUCUCGGUAGAGAGAGCGUCUUCCACCCCAGAUUGAGUUCCUGGCGGGUAGUCCAAGUGAGAACCUGUGCCCCUUUCGAGGGGGUCAGCUGUAGCCUGGAGGCGUUCUCAUAAAGCGGGAUCGACAUGGUCGGGGAUACCAGUCUCAUUCGAUAGAGUCCGGCGGCUCGAUGCCUCCCGUCGGGGGGAUUCCUCUCGACUGUCUCGACCCUACCUUGGAUAUCGCCAGCGAGCCCUCGAUGCGGGCCUCGAUCUUCGACCGCUCGCUGGGGAUCCCUGACUCUGGUGCUCGAGAUCGGCUGUCGAACCCUUUCGGCGGGCCAGCCAUCGACCUCUCGAGACUCUCGCGGGUAUGCCCCUUGGCUUACAAGGGAAGGAAGUGGCCGUGGCGGUUCGCCUUUCUGCCCGUGGGGCGCGCCUUUUUAGGUGGGUGACGUUGUGACACUGCGUCGGCGUGGAAUUCGGAGCGCCCCGUCUGUGUGGGGAUAGAGAUGGUUAGGUGGCGCAUUUAAGGGAGGGAGUUACCUUGUUUCUCGGAUCUGUCCGUUGGCGGACUGCUGCCUAUAAAUACGUCAUAUCGCCGCCGCCGUUCUUCUUCCUUCCACCUUCUCACUUUCAUCCUCUUAUUGCCUUUGCUCUCUCGCUGCCUCACGCGCGCGUGUACCCCCUCGAGCGGCAGCGGGUCCAUCGUCCCUCCAACCAAGAUGCCUGUGAGACUCGUCGCCGCCGACGACUGGCGCCCGUCAUCCAUGACGGAGCGCCGGUUGCUAGAGCUGGAGAAUGAGGGACUCUUGCGCCGCCGCACCUCGCUGUCGUCGCCAGAGUGGAUCGCGCCGCCGGCGAAUCACAGGGAGCCCCAGCCGUCCGAGGGCUAUGUGGUGUCGUUCGCCAAGUUCCAUCGCCACGGCUUGGGCGCUCCCCCGAGCCACUUCAUGUGGGCCCUCUACUUCCACUAUGGGGUGGAGCUCCAGCAUUUCUCCCCGAACGCCAUCACCGUCGCGGCGGUCUUCGCUGCAAUGUGUGAGGGCUAUCUGGGGAUGAUGCCCCACUGGGAUCUGUGGCUCCACCUCUACAGGGGCGAGCUUUUCAACGCCCCCACCGGAACCACUGGCGUGAGGAAGCACGUGCGGGCCGGGUGCCUCAACCUGGUGUUGAAGACGAAGAAGACGGAGAGGCCGCGCGAGUACAUCCCGGUGGGGCUGUCAUCGAACCAUGCUGGGUGGGACUCCCAGUGGUUCUACUUGAGGAACGACGACGGUCUCUUCACCGCUUACACGGGCCGUCUGAUUACAGAGCGCCCCGACAACUGGACGUACGGCGUCGUCCAGGAGCACCAGUUGCGGCUCGACCCCCUCCUCGACGCCAUGAAGAAGCUGCGCCUGGAGGGACUCUCCGCCGCUCUCGUCCUCUCGGCCGUCCAUCGCCGAAGGGUCCUCCCUUUGAUGUCUCGGCCGUUGAGGAUGGACGAGAUGGGGCCAGGCGUCUCGUCCCGGGACCUCGAGGCUUGCCGGAUGUCUAACGAGGCUCUGGCCGACGAGGAGACUGCCGCUCGAGUUAUGGCGGCCAUCGCUGGUGACUUUAAAUCGAAGCACGUCAACAACUUCCCCAUGAGGCCCGACGAAGGCUCGAUCGACCUAGUACGCUCUUUUCUCACACAUAGCUCUGAUUCUGGAUUUCCCUCGAUUCUUUGUUUUCUUUUUUAACCUUUCCUUUAUUCUGGCAGGGACGUAUUGAUGUCCGGUCCUCGAGGCCCCCUGUGAGGGAGGACGAGGUCGAUCGGGACAGGCGGCGCCAGUCCGCCGAAAAGCUAAAGUCCGCCAAGGACUCCGCAAAGAAAGGGGAGAAGAAGAAGAACCUCGACCGCCAAGCAUUGGAGGCACGUCGAGCCAAAUCCAGGCAUAGGGGGGAGCCUGAGGAAGAAUCCCCCAGCGACAACGACGAUGAUGACGAGGGCAGCGACGACUCCGAUGGGAUGGCGUCGCGUCUUGACCGGAUCCUCGAGGGCCCACCUCGAGGUGACAUCGACGUCCCCCGGACGGAGACUCCGAUGGAGGGCCCGAGCGGAUCUCACCGCCCGCGGGCCAUCACGCCCCCUGCGCCUACGGCCAGUCAGGUCGCGCCGCGCCCUCCCCUUAUGCUCAGGGGGAGUGGCCAUGCUAGGCUCCAGGCAACGGGGCCUCUGACCCGCGGUCGGGCCGCGGCCUCCGAGAAGGGAGAGGCCGACCGCAGGAGUGCUAGCCCCGGCGCUCGUCAAGCGGGAGCCGUUGCGCCAAGGCCAGCGCCUGCCCUAGAGGGGCCUGGAGCCUCGGCGCGAGGUGGCCUGAGGCCCACCGGUCGGGGCGCUGGGAGGCGAGCUGUUCUUCCCGUGGGGUAAGCUCUUUUUGGUGUUGCGGCUUUUGUCUUCCUGCUCGUCUGCCUUUCCUCACAUGCCCAUCUUUUCCCAGGUUAAAGCGGACCCUCGAGCAGGCCCAGCCGUCCAUGGCGAAGAAGCUCAAAGUGGGAGCUGCCUCCAAGGAACCAGGUUCGUAGUUCAUUUCUGAGCCUUGUGAUGUUCUUGUGUCGGUUACUAUAAAGUCUGACCCUUACCCUAUGCUUCGUAGGCUCCUCCGACCUCCAACCUCCAGUAGGCGCUGAGAAUGCUCCGCCUCGUUCCGAGCCUACUCCGUCGCUGCCGGCGUGUGGUGAGGCGCCCCAGACGCAAGUGCCGGAGGGAGCCCCCGAGCCCCCUCGAUCGGGGGUCGAGGGGGAACCCAUCACCAUCAGUGAUACGUCUGAUGGUAACGAAACACCUGGAGGCGCCCGCCCUAUGGAGGAGGAAGCGUCGACCUCUCACGUCGCGGGACUAACUCCAUGGCCCACUGGCCUCCGCGCUCUCGAGGAGCAGAGGAAGAAGAGGGAGGAAGAUGAAGAGCGGGAGCGUGAGGCGGCGCGGCAGCCACAGGAGUAGGGCCGCGGGCAAGAGCCGCAGGAGCAUGAGGCGCAACAACAGCAACAACAGCAGCAACAGCAACAGCAGCAGCAACAGCAACAGCAGCAGCAGCAGCCGGGGGGCCAAGAGGAGGGACUGCUCGAGCCCCCGCCCCAAGGUCCGGCCCAGCCAGUACCGCCGGAGCCGCAAGGGCCCGGCGAGCAGGAAGAGGAUCUGCUGGUGUACGGCCCCCCAACCCCAGCGUGGCUCCUCCCAGGGGCACCUGCCGCGAUCCGGGCAGAGCCGGGGUGAGCGGAUGGAGUGGUGGCGCUCGCCUGCAUGAUGCGCACCCCCACCGACCCCGAGUCCGAGAUCAAGAGGACGAUCUACAGCAUGGACGGGAUCGCCCCAGGGUUCCUCCGGGAGCGUCGGGCAUGGGAGGACCACUUUCCCUCCGAGGAGGAUGAGAUCGGGACGUCGGGGACCAAGGACGGAACUUGGAAGACGGUGGACGACGACGGGCGGUUCCCAUGCCUCGUCGACCUGUUCCUACGCCAUGGGGGCUCCCUCGAGACCGUCGAGGACCUCAUCUGCGGCGUCAAGGCACGGGCCGACCGGGAGAUGGAGCACUGGUUCCCUGAUCGGAUCCGCAUCCGGGCCUCCCACGACCCGUCCGAGCCGAACAUCUUCCUGGAUGACCGGAAGGAGGCGAAAAAGUGGGAACACGUCGAGGAGCUCCGCCUUUGGAUGAAGCAUGUGGUGGGGCUCCUGGCAGACGUCAUUAACAACGGGCUCGGGCCGGCUUACUUCGUGAGUGUUUUUUCGAUCUUCAAUCCUUAUGAAACCUUUCAGUUUUGUGCUCUAACCGUUCGAUCCUUGGUUCGCAGGAUAUGAAGGAGACCUCCCGCAUCAAGUCUAGUUUCAUACACGCCACGAGAGGCGGCUGGGAGCAGCUCCCCCUCCUCAAGGAUCAACUCCUCGAGUCGCAGGAAAAGCUCCUUCAAGCUUAUAAGGAUCUCAUAGCGCUCGGGGAGGAGAAGAAGGCGAGGGAGGCUGCCUUGGCCAAGGUUCGAGAGGCCUCGAAGAAGGCGGAGGAGGAGACGAUGAUGCUGUGGGAGCGGGCUCUUACGGUCGAGGAGGCCGCGUCCAAAGCCCGGGAGGAGGUCCUGUCUUACAAGAGCGUUAUCGCAGAUCUGGACAAGGAGAAGGGCCUUCUUAAAACCGACCUGGACUCCCUUGGAGAGUCCUUCCAAAGGAUGAAGGUGGAGCACGUGAACGGCGAGAUCGCCAGGAGCGCCGCGGAGGAAACCAAGAAGAAGGCCCUCGUAGAUCUCGAGGCGGAGCGGGCUCAAUCCCGCAGGCUCUCUGACGACGUUGAACGUCUGAAGGGAGAGCUGCUGGAGAAGAGCGGGGCCAUUGUUCAGGCUGGCAAGGCGAUCGAGGAUCUCCGCGUUGCCAACACCAAGCUGGCACGCUCCAACAGAGAGAUCGAGAGGGCCAACACCAGGCUGGUCGGCGAAAACACGGCCCUAGAGGAGACCGUACGCGGUACGUUUCCUCUAUCAGAUUUCUUUUUUCGAGGUGUGCUUGGUUUUUCCUAAGGUCUCUUGUACUGGCCUUUACAGGGCUCAAGGACGAACUCCUGGCCGCCCAAGCCGAGGCUCGCAACGCCAAGGCUCAGCUCGAGGCGGAGGUUGCUUUGAACCGUCGAGUGCGGACGGCGAUAAGUGAUCUCUCGAUCUCUUGGGAGGUCGAGCCUAUGGAUGAGUCGAGGGAGGGUGCUCGAGGCGACGCCCUGGUCGACCAGUUGUGCUACAUAGGCGCGACGCUGCGAGAUCGGGUGCGCGAUGCCCUCCACAUCGGUGUGAAGCGGGCGAUGGCGGUUGUCUGCUCGGGCUUCUCCUACGACAUGGAGGUGGUGUCUCAUGGCUUCGUCACCGACAUCUCCAAGACCGGCGCGGAGAACGAGGAGAGGUUCCAUGCCUUGAUCGACGACGCGGAGGCUCCUGGGGAAAGGUUGGCUAAGCUUUUUGAGCCUGAGGUGCUCCCUCCUGAGGCUAGCUCGGGCGGAGGCGAGGGCGGUGAGGAUCGUGCCGCGGACUGAGGCCUGCGAGCCUGCUCAGGGCGCCUGGGGCCCCUUGUAUGAUACUUUGUUAAUUCUAUUGCUAAGCGACAUAGUAUCUUUUUGUAAUCGUUGAAUGUUUAUAUGUCUUUCCGCUCGAGGUUCUUUUGUUCCUCCUUGUUCCUACGUUUGUAUUCCUUGUUCGAUCUUUCGUCAAAAACAACCUCGAUCACCUCAAGGGUGAGGAAGUGAGUAGAGUUUCCAUAGCCCGGGGGCGUAGGAGUUCUCAGGCUUGUUGUCCCUCGGCCUUUGAGGGGCUCGAGGUGCCUUGGCUACUCGAAUCGUGCAAGGUUUACUAAGUAAGAAAAAAGAAAAUUUCUUGGCUUUUUUGACGCACGGGGUGGGGGUCGUCCCCCUGGUAGCCCCCGAGGGGGUGUUUACUAUGAUGGGUCAUAGUCGGCUCCCCCUUCUAACAUCGAGAUCAUGACUUGUAAAUCUUUUGGCGCAAAAAGAAGUUGCUCGAGGGAAAGACUUUAUUUAUUCAUGCAUUCGUUUACAAAGUCUUGGUACAAAAUGUACGUAGGAACGUAAGUUUGGAACUUCUAGGGGUAGAAUCGACGUAGCUGUUCGAUGUUCCAUGCGUUGGUGAAGAUUGCCCCUUUUUCAUCCGCCAACUUGUACGUUCCUGGCUUCAGGACCUCGGCCACCACGUAUGGGCCUUCCCAAGGUGGAAUCAGCUUGUGGCGUCCUUGAUUGCUUUGCCGGCGUCGUAGGACUAGGUCGCCCACGAUGAGGUCCCUCUUGCGCACAUGCUUGUCGUGGUAGCGUCGAAGUUUCUGCUGAUAUCUGGUAGAGUUGAGGAGGGCCAUGUCUCAAGCCUCCUCGAGUUGGUCGACCGCGUUUUCUUGAGCCUCUUUGUUUGAUAGCUCGUUGUAGGCCUUGAGUCGAGGUGACCCGUACUCGAGGUCUGUGGGGAGGACAGCCUCAGAGCCGUAGACCAUGAAGAACGGGGUGUACUUUGUGGCCCUGCUUGGCGUUGUCCUCAAACUCCAUAGGACCGAGGGAAGCUCCUCGACCCACUUCUUGCCGAAUUUCUUCAGACGAUUGUAGAUUCUUGGUUUGAGCCCCUGCAAGAUCAUGCCAUUGGCAUGCUCGACCUGGCCGUUAGUUCGAGGGUGAGCCACCGCGGACCAGUUCACACGGAUGUGAUGCUGAUCGCAGAAAUCUAAGAACAUUUUGCCGGUGAACUGGGUGCCGUUGUCGGUGAUGAUGACGUUGGGGAUCCCAAACCAAUGGAUGAUGUCGGUGAAGAAAAGGACAGCCUGCUCGGAGCGGAUGUUGGUGAUGGGUCGAGCCUCGAUCCAUUUGGAGAACUUGUCAAUGGCCACCAGCAAAUGGGUGUACGCUCUUUCGCCUUUUGUAGAGGUCCUACUAAAUCGAGCCCCCACACCGCAAACGGCCAGGUGAUGGGGAUCAUCUGAAGAGCGUGGGCGGGCAGAUGCGUCUGUUUGGCGUAGAACUGGCACCCAUGACACGAGCGUACGAGCUCGAUGGCAUCCGCCACGGCUGUGGGCCAGUAGAAGCCUUGUCGAGGAGUUUUCGGCCUUCUUCCACGGUGAUGCAACGCUGUAAGACCCCCGUCGGGCUUCGUCGAUAUAGCUCAUUGUCUUCGCCAUAGAUCACAUAUGACUUGGCCCGUCGAGCGAUACGACGGGCCUCUGACCGAUCUUCCGGCAGCUCGCAGCGGAUUAGGCAGUCGAGGAAUGGUGUGCGCCAGUCGAACGGUCGACCGGGUCGCUGUUCCACCUCCAUCACCUCUGCUGAGGUCAGCAGCGUGUCGACGUUGUCGGUUGGCUAGGCGGGAGCGGCGUCGACGCCAGCCCCCGAGCCCAAGUCGACGGAUGGUGUGUGGAGAUCUCUCGAGAGCGCGUCAGGUGGUACCGUGCCUCGGGUCGACGCGAUUUUGGCAAGUUCGUCAGCUGCUUCGUUGUAGCGUCGGGCGAUGUGCACGAGCUCGAGGCCAUGGAACUUGUCCUCGAGUCGACGGACUUCUUUGCAGUACGCCUCCAUUUUCCGGUCGUGGCAGCUCGAAGUUUUCAUUACCUGGUCGAUGACGAGUUGGGAGUCACCUCAGACAUCGAGGCGUCGGACUCCUAGCUCGAUGGCAAUCUUGAGACCGUUGACGAGGGCCUCGUAUUCCGCGACGUUGUUGGAUGCGGCAAAGUGAAUCCUGAUGACAUACCUCAUAUGGACGCCCAAGGGUGAGAUGAACAACAGACCAGCCCCGGCCCCCGUUUUCAUGAGUGACCCGUCGAAAUACAUCGUCCACAGUUCCGCCUGGACCUGGGUCGGGGGGAGCUGGGAGUCUGUCCAUUCCGCGAUGAAGUCCACUAGGGCUUGAGAUUUGAUGGCCUUGCGAGGCGCGUAAGUGAGAGUCUCACUCAUGAGUUCGACUGACCACUUAGCUAUUCUUCCCGUGGCCUCCUUGCUCCGGAUUAUCUCGCCCAAAGGGAAAGACGAGACCACCGUGAUGGGGUGGCCGAGAAAGUAAUGCUGCAGCUUGCGGCGGGCAAGGAUUACGGCGUAGAUCAGCUUCUGGAUUUGGGGGUAAUGCGCCUUGGCCUCCGAAAGCACCUCGCUGACGAAAUAGACUGGCCUUUGGACCGGCAGCGUAUGACCGUCCUCCUGUCUUUCAACCACCACUGCCGCACUGACGACCUGGGUCGUCGAUGUGACGUAGAGGAGUAGCGGCUCUGCAGGUUGAGGUGGGACCAGGACUGGUGCCGAGGUCAGCGUUUUCUUCAGUCUUUCUUGAGCUUCCUCGGCCUUGGGGGUCCAAGAAAAGCGCUCGACCUUCUUCAGGAGUCGGUACAGCAGUAACGCCUUUUCUCCUAGUCUCGAGAUGAAACGGCUCAGAGCCGCCAGGCAUCCCGUGACUCUCUGCACACCCUUGAUGUCUCGGAUCGGCCCCAUUCUUGUAAUGGCCGAGACUUUCUCGGGGUUGGCCUCGAUGUCGCGCUGCGAAACGAUGUAUCCUAGGAGCAUGCCUCGAGGCACGCCGAAAACGCAUUUCUCGGGAUUGAGCUUGAUCUGGUUGGUGCGCAAGCAACUAAAAGCGAUCUCAAGAUCCUGGAUCAGGUCCCCUCGCCAUUUUGACUUGACGACAAUGUCAUCGACGUAGGCCUCGACCGUUGACCCUAUGUGUUCGCCAAAUACGUGGAGCAUGCAACGUUGGUACGUGGCUCCCGCGUUUCGAAGCCCAAAUGGCAUGGUCACGUAGCAAUACAUCCCAAAAGGUGUGAUGAAAGAGGUCGCGAGCUGGUCGGACUCUUUCAUUUUUAUUUGAUGAUAACCAGAAUAUGCAUCAAGGAAAGAAAGGGUUUCACAUCCCGUGGUAGAAUCGACAAUCUGAUCAAUACGUGGCAAAGGAAAAGGAACUUUCGGACAUGCUUUAUUUAGACUAGUAUAAUCGACACACAUCCUCAUUUUCCCAUUCUUUUUCUUGACUAACACAAGGUUUGCUAACCAGUCGGGAUGAUGAACCUCCUUGAUGAAUCCGGCCGUCAAAAGCUUGUGGAUCUCCUCGCCAAUGAUCUUGCGCUUCUCCUCGUCGAAUCGGUGCAACCGUUGCUUCACUGGCUUGGAACCGGCUCGAAUCUCCAAGGAGUGCUCGGCGACUUCCCUCGGUAUGCCUGGCAUGUCCGAAGAACUCCAUGCAAACAUGUCGGCAUUUGCACGGAGAAAGUCGACGAGCACAGCUUCCUAUUUGGGGUCGAGGUCGGCGCUGAUCGUCAGCACCUUACCGUCGGAGUUGUUGGGGUCGAGUGGGACCUUCUUGGUUCCUUCUGCCGCCUCGAAGCUGCCCGCGUGGCGCUUGGGCUCUGGGGCCUCAGCGGCCAGGGCCUCGAGCUUCGCGACGAGCUCGGUGGAGUUUUCGACCGCCUCCCCAUACUCGACGCACUUGACGUCGCACUCGUAUGCGUGCUGGAAGGAGGAGCUGACGGUGAUGACGCCUUUGGGGUCGGGCAUCUUCAGCUUCAAGUAGGUGUAGUUGGGUAUAGCCAUGAAUUUGGCGUAGCCCGAGCGCCCGAUGAUGGCGUGGUAUGUGCCCCGGAAUCCGACCACCUCAAAAGUGAGGGUCUCCUUCCUGAAGUUGGCUGCCGUGCCAAAGCAGACUGGUAGGUCGAUUCGACCUACUGGCAGUGCCUUUUUUACCUGGCACGACGCCAUGGAAACCUCCGGCGCUUGGCUGGAGGCGUCCCCUAUCGAUGCCGAGGAGGUCGAGGGUCUCGAGGUAGAUGAUGUUGAGGCUGCUGCCUCCGUCCAUUAGCACCUUGGAGAGCCGGGUGUUGAUGAUGAUUGGGUCGACGACGAGCAGGUAGACGCCUGGGGCGACUACCUUGUCGGGGUGGUCCUCUCGAUCGAAGUAAUGGGGGUGUUCGACCAGUUGAGGUACUGGGGCACCGCCAUUCUUGCCGCGAAGACCUCUCGGCGUUUCCUUUUGCGCUGCCUCGCGGUCAAUUGUGUCGAAGGCCCACCAUAGAUCAUGUAGCAGUCGUGGACGGUGGGGAAGCCGUCGUCGUCCUUGUUGCCCUCUUUGUCACCGCCCUUGUCCUUCUUCGAGUCGUCACGCUCAUCCCUUUUGAGCCCUAGACUGUCGAAAUGCCUUUUCAGCAUUCGACAGUCCUUGAGCUUGUGGUUGGCGCCUCCCUUAUGGUAAGGGCAUGGUUCUUCGAGCAUCUUGUCGAAGAUACCUCCGUCUGGGGGGCCUCUAGGCUUCUUCCGCUCCAUAGCAGCGACGAGAUCGUCGUCGAAGUUCUCCUGCUUGUACUGCCGCACUUUCUGCUUGAGCCCCCGACUGGGGGUUCCAUCUUCAUCGACGGGCCGCUUGCCUUUCCCCCCUUCACAGCUGAAGAAGGCGCCGACUGCCUCCUCCCCUGCCGCGUAGUUUGCUACUAAGUCCAUCAGCUCAUCGACGGUCUGAGGGCGAUUUCAGCCCAGUUCCCACACUAAGUCUCGACUGGUGGUACCAGAGACAAAAGCCAGGAUGACGUCAUGGUCAGGGAUGUGCGGAAGCUCAGUGCGCUGCUUCGAGAAGCGUCGAGCGUACUCUCGAAGAGUUUCUCCUGACUUCUGCUUGCAUUUGCUGAGGUCCCACGAGUUCCCGGGCCGUAUGUAGGUCCCUUUGAAAUUUCCCUCGAAAACUUUUACCAAGUCGACCCAGUCGUGAAUCUGAUUUGCUGGAAGUUCUUCGAGCCAUCGGCGGGCGGUGUCGGAGAAGAAGAGGGGUAGCUGUCUAAUGAUGGCUCGAUCAUCACCUCGAGCACCACCUAGCUGACAGGCCAGCCUGAAAUCGGCCAGCCAUAACUCUGGUUUGGUCUCUCCAUUGUAUUUCGCGAUGCUGGUCGGGGGUCGGAAUGGACUGGGCAGGGGCGUGCUGCGGAUCGCCCUGCUGAACACCCGUGGGCCCGGUGGCUCGGGGGCCACCCGGUCCUCGUCGCUGUCGUUCCUCCCGCCGCGAUGCGUGCUGUAACCGCGCUCUUCCGCGUCUCCGUGCCGGCGGCGUCGAUUUUCUUCGAUGUCAUGCCGUGCGUCGUGUCGACGCUGAUUGUCGAUGGGGAGAACAAGAGUGGUCUUUCUGCCUUGAGGUGGAGGCUGUUGAUGGACUGAUACCUCCUUUUCAUUUCGAGGUUGCUCGUCGUGCUUUUCUGUGGCAGCCCCUCACCGUCAAGAAGCUGAGCUUUCGGCCUGUUGAACUGCCGCCACCUGGAGCAGUGUCUGUACCUCGUCUCGAAUGCGUCGAGCCUGGGAGUUCGACGGCUCUGGCAUGUUGCGCAGCAGCAUCGUCGCCGCCACUACGUUUUGGCUUGCUCGAGGGAAGCGGCUGACGGGCUGCUCUGGCUCUGCGUCUCCGACGAUCUGUCGAUGUACCUCUCGAGCUCGUCUGCGAACACUUCCGCCUGGCGGAUACGGCAAGUCUUGCUCAAGGAUUUGCUCAAGCAGAACGAGGCGCUCUCGGUCUUCGUCGAGCUUCAUCUCGAGCUCUCGCAGCUGCGCUAGCUGUGCAGCCUUGUCUUCCUGUGGAGGGGGGUAGACUUGUCCGUCAUUCCCUGGCGUUCUGGGGUCUUCUCGCGCGGCGGGGGCUCGACCGCCCGCGGCAGCAUCCCGCGUCUCGUCGGUAGUUUCUACUGCCCCGUCGAUGUGAUAGCACUCCCUCGUAGGGUCGUAGCUAUCAGUCUCGAAGUCGUAGUCUGGCUCGGCAGCGUAGAAGCAUCCGCGUCCCUCCUCCAGCAGUCGUUGCCUGAGUGAGGUGAUCGUGUAUCGCCCAGGGCCUAAGCGGCGGAGGCCUCGCACCCGGGAGAGAUCCGGCAGUUCGGACGUCGGCCGUAGUGUCUCAGAGUCACGAGGGAGGACCAUUGGUCUCUCUACGUACGUCUGAGCAUUUGGGCAUAUUGUUCUGGCGAGCGAUGCCGCGGCGUUGUCCAAUCCGAAUGGCAGUGCCCUUCUUGGAGUGAACAACCCGUGUGGAAGUAGCUUAGCAGCGGUGGGAGAGGGUGCGCGAGACGCGUCCCCUCCCGUUGUCACGCGGUGCUGAGCCGUCGUGUCCGCAGCUCCGGCACAUGGUAUCGCCGGCUCGCGGUCCGCCUCCUGCCUCGCGCGAGUUGCCGGUCGUGAUGAGGCAGAGGGGCGGCGGUGGUGUUGUCCACGCCUCUUCUUGGGUGGGGAGGCGUGGUGGCGAGGGCAUCUCGGGGCCCUCAACCGUGCUGGCGCAACACGGGCUCCUCCCGGUCCUUUGACUGAGAGCAAGAUCAUGUCGUAGCCCGAGCCCGUGGACAUGAACUCGAGACUCCCAAACCAAAUCACCGUGGAGCGUGGAAUCGGCGAGGCAAGAGCUGCCAUCUGGAAAGGAGUGGGAAACUGAUGAAAAACACGCAGGACCCCUACCUGGCGCGCCAACUGUCGGUGUUUUCCCCACCGGGGGUCACACCAACGAGUAAAUUUGUAUGCGUGCUCCCUUUCCCAGAUGGUGAUGCAAGAAGACACAGAGAUUUAUCCUGGUUCGGGCAAGAGAAGGCCCUACGUCCAGCGGGGGGGAGAGAGUUUGUAUUAUCUUGCACCGAAGUGCUUGUACAGGGGUGAAUACAAGCGUGGUAUGAAGUGUGUGAGUUCUACUGCGUAUGGGUGUCGUGUUGUCCCUGAUCUAUUCCUGAGUCCCUCCUUUUAUAGUGCCAAGGAGAGGCCCAAGGUACAUGUAUAGGCGUCAGAAUAGGAGUUGAUAGCAGUAUGGAGCGCUGACCCACUCGAUGCUUCCGUACCAGCAUAGCCUCGAGCCGUCCCGUCUUAAUAGCCCGGUGAUGAUUACGCGUGCCUCUGCAUUCUGCUCUGCGCGCCAUCUUGGAUUGGCUCGACGGAUGCAUGCUUGUACGAUCCGGCGGCAAAUCCGGAGGAGUGGUUGGGAUGUAGUCAGUCGACGCCCAAUCCGUCCCCUGGAAGGAUCCCUGUCUGGUAGAGGGUCAGAUGUCGUACAUCAUGCUGAUAUCCGGAGCGCUGACUUUAGACGUCUCGAGGGGGUCCCGAUUAGACGUCCCAUCCUUGUUUCCCGCGCCCUGUCAUGCCCUGGGUCGUUCGGCGGGAAGGCUGCAAAAAGAUCGAUGGGACAGAAGCCUGUUCCCUAUCACGUCUCCCGUGACCUGUGUGUUGGAUGGGGAAGCGUCAGGCGCAUUAAAUGCUCCGACCCGCGUGCGCGCGUCAGGCGGCGGGCGGCGUCCUUGCGCUCGACACCCCCCGAUUCGCGUGAGCCUGUUCCGUAUUCGACGGUAUCCGGCGCUCGACGCCAGAUCGAUUCGCUCGACGCUACUUCCGUCUUCGAGGUUGCGGCCGUUGAUGGCGGCGCAUACGUAAGACUAGAGCAUCGAAUUGAGGGCCUCGACCUGCGUACGGGCAAUCUUAUAAUGCGCAUCACUGAGAGUACCCCUUACUGGUACCCUCGACAAGAAGACUAGCACGCGGAGGACAUUCUAAUCACUGUCAGAAUGCUGCUGACUUUCAAAUACACCUCUGCCACCUGCUAGCUACAUCAAGAGAAAUUACAUCAAAAUUCAGCUUGGGAGAGAGCACCCCCAUUUAUCUCGCUAAGUAUUUCUACCUAUCUUUAUACUUAUAUUAUGUUAGAAUAUUAAAAUACAUAAACUAUGAAAAACCAAAUAAAAAUUUUGUGUUUAUAUAUAUAUAUAUAUCUUUUGCUUAGUGUGUUUAAUAAAUAAAUAAAGUGGCUAUGCUAAUCUGAAUCUUAAUAAUAAAACUCUAGCAUGGAUAUGAUGAAUAUUUGCUCUGCCUAAUUUGUAAAUUUGAAGUUCUCUCUCAAGUUUAGACAUAACUGUUAUAAUUUAAAGCUUGCUCUAGAUCUAAACUUGUGGGAUGAAAACUUGAUCUGAAAUCUAAGUUGUUAACGGAUAUGAUAUGGGAAGGUUGAACUGCUGUUUAUCUGUUCCUAGAGAUGCUAGAAUUUUGGAGAAUUUUAUCUUUAAAAAUCUUUAAAAUGUUGCAUGAUGAGUUCCUGUAUGAUGAGAGUUUAAAAUCCUACCACAGCCACAUAUACAUGCUUAUUAGACUAUGAACCAUACAUUUACUUUUUACUGCUUAUGAGCAUUGAGUGUAGUCAAGCUGUGUAGACCCUUAGGAGCUUGUCAUGCGGUUAAAAUCAAGAUUCACUUGCACGUUCACUCAUAUAUGCUGCUUCUACUCCAGAAGUACGCAUCCACAUACAUCCACUCCUUUCCAUCUCGAGAUUCACCCAAAAUUAUUCUACUCCUAUCCGGGAGAGAAUAGCCAAAAACAUUAUCCCAUUCCUGUUUUUCCUUGUGAAAUAAAUGCUCAAGCUAUUUUGGUUACUACCACUUGCUACAUUAUUCCAGAAGGGUGAGUGCUCUGAAAAAAAAAGAAAAACACGAGGAAAUAAAAAUGGGCAAGUGCCCGGAACCUCGAAAGAAAAAAGAAAAAGUGACACGAGAGGUAAAAAUGGACAAGUGUCUGACAGUAGAAUUAGGGGUACAAGAUACCCACCCGAAAGAAAAGAAAAAUAAAAUAUAGAGCAUCUCAUUCUCCUCAAAAAGCUUUAAAGUGCAAGAAAGAUAUGUAUCCUCUCAAAAGAGCAAAAGUAGAAUUAGACUUUCACCAUUGUUUUCACCAUUAUCACUAUCAUCACCAUACACCAUUCAUUCGCCACACAUGCACAUCUUGAUUUAACUUAUUGACUUGUUUCUCUGGAUCCAUGGUUUGUCUAUGCAAUAAAUGUCUUGUAAGUAUGUAUUAGCUGUCUCCCACCUAUGAGCUCCAGAUAUCAAAACCUUAUUAGAGUAGGGUGAGAGAGAAGGCAAUGUCACUAUGCCUCAUACCACAAAUACCACAUACUUUGAGAGAAGGCAUAUACCAUCACUGCCUUGGUAAGGAUUCAGAAAUACCACAAAAGAGAGAAUUGAGAGAGUCAUACAAGGAAUCUCUGAGUUUUAUUUGAAAAUCUGUAAAAACUCCAGAGCUAUAGUUGAUCAAAGAACAAGAGACAUGGUGCUUGACUUGACCGUUCUAUCUUUUAACUGCUCAAGACACAAGUGACGGUUGCAAGCCCCAUGGUGAAAGGUAAUAUGAGUAAGUUUUAAAUCUUAACAACUUACCUUAACCUAGAGAUGAGAUCUUGUUUGAAUGCAUGAGUACCUUUAAGGCAUAAAACCACUGCAAAAACUCUUGAGUCCAUCCUUGCUCAGGGACGAGCAAGAGGUAAGCUUGGGGGAGUUGUUGACGGUCCUUAAGUACCAAAUAUAAUCAUCAAAUAAACAAAGAAAAGGAUUCAAAUGAAAUCAAAAUCUAGACUUAGGUUUUUAUCUGACAGAAUUCUAUGAGUUUUGGUGUUUGUCUAUUUUUGCAGGGGGUUAUUAGGAAAUACGGAAGAAAGGCCCGCACGUCGGGAUUACAUAGAGAUAUUAACGUGUCGCGCAAUUAUCUUACAUCUAGAAGACUCCAGCCGAACGGGGCCAGAGGCAGGGUGCCCGCCCUCCUGCCCUGGGCGCCCGCCUUGACUUAGAGCCCAAUCAGGACUCUUUCUCUCCGGAGAUCUCCACCGACCUAAAGGAUCAAGAAUAACCGUUCAAUCAAUGUCGGUUUGAUCCGACGGCCCAGGUUCACUUGAGGGGACUAUAUAACCAGACCCCCUAGCCCCUGGAGGAGGCAACCCCUUGAUCAUUAUUCAUUAUUCGUAGACAGAGCAAAAGCUAGGGUUUAGAGAUGAGAGCUCUCCUCUCUUCUCUAAACUAGAGUAGAUCUAGAUAGUAGCGAGAUGGAGAGCGAAGGAGGAUUAGAGGAGAGGCCGGCCUGUCGGUUCUUCCUCCGGUUGUACUUCGUCAUGAUCAAGCUCUAAUCAAGCCUGCUCAUGGGAUGACUCUGGUAAUCUACUUUUAAUUCAUUAUGCAAUUACUAAUCAUGUAUGUUCUAGUUCACAACUCUUUUGAGUACUUCUAAUCUAUAGGACGCUAUAGGUUAGAGUUGUAGUAUAAUUAUAAGCGUGGUGCUUACACCUAGAUUACUUGUGGAUAUCCCCUGUCUAGCUGGAUCGUGUGGUAGGCCGCGUAGGUGACAAUUACGUUGGUCCUCUGUAGUCCACCUCUCGUUAGCAGGACGGGUAGGGUUUAUCGGCCUAAGGAUAAGCAUCCUUUGUGGUGUACUCUUAUCACGUGGUUCGUCCCAGACAUAGACAUACCCCUUUGAAGUAGAGAAACCAUAGUUAUCCUCUCUAUUCUGCAACCAUCGCCCAUAUACUAGAAUUGCUCUACUCUCUAUUCCCAUAUUAUCACCUAUUGUUAUCUUACCUUUAAUAUUAUUCUUAUUCAAUUCUACCAUCUUUCCUAUUUCCACCUAUCUAUCUAUCUUGGUUAAGUUAGAGCGUAGUUGAUUCUCCCGUUUCCCUGUGGAUACGAUAAAACCUUUAACCGGAUAAAAGCUUCAACGGUAUCCGUGCGCUUGCGGAUUAUCUGUGUGCGUAUAAAUACCAUAGCACACUCUAGUGCCAUGCUGGGGAUGACAACCUAGUAUUCAAGUGGUGUUAGCAAGUGUCAACAGCUACUACUGACCUUCUGAAGGUCAAGAGAGGCGAUCCAGGAUGCCCCGUCAUCCCGAUCUCCAUCGGCAUGGUGGACUUCCCAGAAGCACUCUGUGACUUUGGCUCUAGUGUCAACAUUGUGCCGAGGGUACUCUAUUAAAAAUUCUUUACAUAUCCUUUAUUAAAACAACCAUGUGUUUGCAGUUUGCAGAUGAGACGAUCAGUUUUCCAAAAGGAAUAUUGAGGAACCUUUGCGUCCGAGUUGGUACCUUAUACGCCCUAGCAGACUUCGUGGUGAUAGAGACCGAUAAUGAUGAGAGGGCACCCAUCAUCUUAGGGAGGCCAUUCUUGAACACCUCGGGAGCUGUCAUCUACGCUAGUGCUGCCAAGAUCAGUUUCUACAUCGAAGGGAGGAAGGAGACAUUUUCCUUCAAGAACAAGACUACACAAAUCCCAGAUCAAUCCAGACGUGAAUCAAGGAAGAGGACCAACAGGAGGAAUAGGAACAAGCAAGUGUGGACCGAGUCAGCUAAGAUGGUCACUGCAGUUCAAGGAGGUCAAGAUCAUCAACUUAAGUCACCAUUUUUUACCAAGAAGGAUGACCCUGGAAUGCCAAGAAUCUAUUGCUCCAUAAAUGGAUACAACUUCUACAAGACGACUUGCGACACCGGAUCGGGCGUCAACAUAACGGCCGCAGUCACCUAUCGGCUCUUGUUCGGAAACAUGCCCUUAAAACCAAUAUACAUUCAGCUCCAGAUGGCAGAUCAAACAUUUCGAGAGGUUAAAGGUAUAGUAACUGAUGUCCGUAUCAAAAUAGACGAUCAUUUUGUCUACACAGACUUUCAGGUCAUUGACAUGGGAGAAGACGAGUACGAUCCACCCAUCAUCCUUGGAAGACCGUUCCUCAGCACCGUUAAAGCAAUCAUCUACAUUGGAACCGGAGAAGUCCAUAUGCACUUCCCCUUAGAAAAGGUACGCCGAUAUUUUACUGACCCUAACUAUAUCGUUGAAGACUCUAAGCAGGUCAGGACAAGAAAACGACGCAACUGCAACCAGAGGAGGGAAAUCAUCAAGGACGGAUGGGCAGACUAUGAAGGAGAAGUGAUAAGGUCAGAAGACAUACAGUUUAAACAGAAUUAUCCAGAGGAGACUGUAGCACCGAGUCAGGAAUGGAAAGAGAAGAUAACUAUACAUGAAGAGGAUGCGCUGCCGGAAGUACCGACUCCGCCACCCAACGAAUCCCAGGACAACUGAGAAAACAGAGAGUCCCGUUCGGAGGACUUAAAAACACCGAACGCCUUGCCAAGAGGUAAACUUGGUAGUUAUCCUUUCCCUUUCAAUUAUUUUAAACAGUUGAGUCAAUCAUGUUUAUACUAUCCUAAAAAGAAAAUAAAAAUGUUAAAAAACAGUAAGCCCCAUGCGAGUAUACGAGUGGCAUAAAACCCAUAAGUACAAUCACUGUGGUGGCAUAAAAAUAAAAUAAAUAUUUCUUUUUCUGCUUUAUAAAAUGAAAAUAUAAAAAUAGGGAGUAAUAGUUAUUGAGGAGGCUCAAUAUGAUGAAGGCUAAAUAUUUAUGCUAACACUUAAUCAGUUCCACAAAGCUUUCUUGUCUCUUUGAGCUCCAUAGAAUUUAAGAAUCAAGAAGACUAGUAGACGGAGGUCAUUCUAAUCGCUGUCAAAAUACUGCCGACUUUCAAAUACACCUCUGCCACCUGCUAGCUACAUCAAAAGAAAUUACGUCAAAAUUCAGCUUGGGGGAGAGCACCCCCAUUUAUCCCGCUAAGUAUUUCUAUCUAUCUUUAUACUUAUACUAUAUUAAAAUAUAGAUAUACAUAACUAUGGAAAACCAAAUAAAGAUUUUGUGCUUAUAUAUAUCUUUUGCUUAGUGUGUUUAAUAAAUAAAUAAAGUGGCUAUGCUAAACUGAAUCUUAAUAAUAAAACUCUAGCAUGGAUAUGAUGAAUAGUUGCUCUGCCUAAUUUUCAAAAUUGAAGUUCUCUCUCAAGUUUAGACAUAACUGUUAUAAUUUAAAGCUUGCUCUAAACCUAAACUUGUGGAAAGAAAACUUGAUCUGAAGUCUAAGUUGUUAAUAGAUAUGAUAUGGGAAGGUUGAGCUGCCGUUUAUCUGUUCCUAGAGAUGCUGGAAUUCUGGAGAAUUUUAUCUUUGAAAAAUCUUUAAAAUAUGGCAUGAUGAGUUCCUGUAUGAUGAGAGUUUGAAUUCCUACCACAGCCAUAUAUACAAGCUUGCUAGACUUUGAGCAACACAUUUACUUUUUACUGUUUAUGAGCAUUGAGUGUGGUCAAGCUGUGCAGACCCUUAGGAGCUUGUCAUGUGGUUAAAUCAAGAUUCACUUGCACGUUCACUGAUACAUGCUGCUUCUAUUCCGGAAGUAUGCAUCCACAUAUAUCCACCCAUUUCCAUCUCCAGAACCACCCCAAAAAUAUUCUACUCCUAAUCCGGGAGAGAAUAGCCAAAAAUAUUUAUAUUUUCCCCUAUGAAAUAAAUGCUCGAGUUAUCUUGUUACUACCACUUGCUAUAUUAUUUCAAGAAAUGAGUGCUCUAAAAAAAAGAAGAAUAAAAGAUACGAGGAAAUAAAAAGGGGCAAGUGCUCGGAACCUCGAAAGAAAAGAAAAAGUGAGACGAGAGGUAAAAAUGGACAAGUGUCCGACAGUAGAAUUAGGGGUACAAGAUACCCACCUGAGAGAAAAUGAAAUAUAGAGCAUUUCAUUCUCCUCAAAAUGUUUCAAACAGCAAGAAAGGUAUGUAUCCUCUCAAAGAGCAAAAGAUUUAGACUUUCACCAUUGUUAUCACCAUCAUCACCAUAUACCAUUCAUUCGCCACACAUGCACAUCUUGAUUGGACUUAUUGAUUUGUUUCUUUGGAUCCAUGGUUUGACUAUACAAUAAAUGUCUUGUGAGUAUGUAUACUUUAUCUCCCACCUAUGAGCUCCAGAUAUUAAAGCCUUAUUAGAGUAGGAUGAGAGAGAAGGCAAUGUCACUAUGCCUUAUACCACAAAUACUACAUACUUUUUGAGAGAAGGCAUAUACUAUCACUGCCUGGGUAAGGAUCCAGAAAUACCACAGAAGAGAGAUCUAAGAGAGUCAUACAAGGAAUCUCUGAGUUUUAUUUGAAAAUCUGCAAAAACUUCAGAGCUAUAACUGAUCAAGAAUAAGAGACAUGGCACGUCACUAGACCGUUCUAUCUUUUAACUACUCAAGACAAAAGAGACGGUUACAAGUCCCAUGGUGAAAGGUAAAAUAAGUAAGUUUUAAGUCUUGACAGUUUACUCUAACUCAUAGAUGAGAUCUUAUUUAGAAGCAUGUGUACCGUCAACUUUUAAAGGUAUUGCAACAACUUCUGAUCCAUCGCUUAGAUUAUCCUUGCUCAGGGACAAGCAAGAGGUAAGCUUGGGGGAGUUUGUUGACGGUCCUUAAGUAUCAAAUUUAAUUAUCAAAUAAACAAAGAAAAGGAUCCAAAUGAAAUCAACAUCCAGACUUAGGGUUUUAUCUGACAGAAUUCUAUGAGUUUUGGUGUUUGUCUAUUUCUGUAGGAGGUUAUCAGGAAAUACGGAAGAAAGGCCCACAUGUCGGGAUUACAUAGAGAUAUCAACAUGCCGCGCAAUUAUCUUACAUCUAGAAGACUCCAGAAGCCACGGAAACGAAGCGGAGGCGAAACAGGGCCUGGCCCUGGGCGCCCGCCCAGGAGACUAGGGCGCCCGCCCCCUGUUAGAGUCCAAUCAGGACACUCUUUCGGGAUUACGCUCCACCGACCUAAAGGAUCAAGGAUAACCGUUCAAUCAAUGUCGGUUUGAUCCAACGGCCCAUAUUCACUUGGAGGGACUAUAAAACCAGACCCCCUGGCCCCUAUAGGAGAGAGCCUCUCAACCCUAAUUCAUUAUUCCUCAAGGGAGAAGAAGCCUCUGAUCAAGCCUAGAGCCACCACAACAAUUAGACAUCUAGAUUAGCAUAGCUAUAUAGGAUUAGAACUAGAAGGAGUCAAUCUUCGAUUGGUUUCCAGAUCUGUUAAGAGGAUUCUUGGUAAUUCUCUAGUUGUUCUUCUAAUUGUUCAUCUUUGUUCUUCAAUAUUAUGAAUAUGACUUUGUUCUACUUCAAUAUAUUGCUUAUGACUUUGCUCUACUUGUUUAUAUUCAAGAUUAUAUUGUUCUUAGUCUAUCAUAGUUAUAUACUUGGCUUAGUUAGAUUUCAUCUACAUACAUGUUUAGAAUCGUAUAGCGUUUCUCCAUCAGAUCCAUGGGUAAAUGAUAGAUAUUGUGCAGGCGUGUUGCUUAUAACGUAUUUAUCUGCGAUUGUACCCAAUAUGCCAGAUCACGGGGUAGUUCGUGAUAGUGACAGCUUCAUUGAUUCUUAUAUAGUCCCCCUCUCGUGUAUUGGGCUGGCAGAGCAACAUUAUUAUAGGGGAGUUAUUGCUAUGUUUCUCAUAUUCCUUGCUAAUAUCACUAUGCAUGGGCGUAGUCUUGUCUCACAAUGAUUGCUAAGUGUGCUUGCACUAACUAUGAUAUGCUAGACUAUAUAGUUGAGAAUAACUUAGGAAAUAUUCCUGUAGUUCGUUCUAAUUCCAUGCUAAUGACUUGCUAGAAUAUCUAAUUGAGGUGCUUAUCAUAUUUAUUACGUGGCUAAGUUAUGCUGAUCAGAUUAAUUACCUUUGUCACUAUUCAUUACUUUAUAUCCUUUAUGUGACACUUACCCCAGUAUGAAAGAGUUAGAUAGUUGUUCUCAAUUAUACAUGCAAUGAUAGAUACUCAAUCUCAUAUUCCAUUCUAUAAUCAACAUUGAUGAUUGCUAAUCCCUUCCCAAUGGUAAAAAUAUAAAUAACGAUACCUGGAAUACUUCUCGGUUAAAAUGCUACAUCGGUAUUAAUCUGUGCGCUUGCAGAUCCCAUUCAUUAUUUAUUUAGAUGAGCAAUUGCAUAUUUCAAUACCGCGUCUCUCAUGUCAUGCUGGGGAUGACAACUUGGCUUAAGUGGUAUGAGGGAUAGGUUUUGCAUUUUUGCAACCGUUAUCAGCAUUAGAAAACUAAGUCUACUUUUGGUAAUGAUGUUAAGAAUACCCAACAAUCACGAGCUCCGGUCCCGCGUGGCCGCAGGGCAUGCAGCGCCGUGCACGCGUCCUCGCCGCCACACAGCUGCUUGCUGGCCACGUCACCGCGCAACAUGGAUGCCCGCGACCCCUUCACCUCGUCCUCUUAAGCGCCCGCGCGGCCGACCUUGAGUUCCCUUGCUUCGGCGACCGAAAACACACGACGACACCCCACCGCCCAAUACGCCCAGUGUGUUUCCCCUCUGACCAAAUUGAGCUCUCCAACAUCUCCGCCACCCCAUUGCGAACCCAGCGUACGCCCAGGAACACUCCCUGCCCCUCUCAAUCACCCGGACUUCCUCUUCUUCUGCAACUCCGACCGACUUCCACCGUGAGCUCCCUUCCUCGUGGUCAGGCCAUUCCACAAGGUAUCAAGCCAUGGUAAGAGAUGUUAGAGCUUCACCGUGCUGUCCCGUAGCUCAUGUGCUCGAUUCUUGGUCUUACGCACGUGCAGGUCCACCGGAACGACCCCGCCGAGCCCAGAGCGCCCGCCCGAAGACACUGCCGCCGUCGCUAGCACCCUCUGCUGCCUCUCCCGCCGUGGUGACAUGAGCACAAUGGUCCUUGCUCUACCCUGAAGCUACCCAAUGUUGACGGUCCUUAAGUAUCAAAUUUAAUCAUCAAAUAAACAAAGAAAAGGAUCCAAACACAACCGACACCCGGACUUAGGGUUUUAUCUGAUAGAAUUCCACGAGUUUUGGUGUUUGUAUAUUUCUACAGGGGGUUAUCAGGAAAUACGGAAGAAAGGCCCACACAUCGGGUUUGCAUAGAGAUAUUAACGUGUCGUGCAAUUAUCCAACAUCUAGAAGAGUCCAGAAGCCACAGGAACGAACGGGAGACCGAACGGGCCCGGGGGCAGGGCGCCCGGCCUCCCCCCUUGGGCGCCCGCCCUGGCCUGAGGGCCAAUCAUCUUCAUCUUCGCGGAUCAUGCUCCACCGACCUAAAGGAUCUGAUAGCCCAUAUUCACUUGGAAGGACUAUAUAAGCAGACCCCCUGGCCCGUGGAGGAGAGCACCUAUCUGAAACCCUAAUUCAUUUAUCCAUCUUGGGAGAAGAAGCCUCUGAUCAAGCCCUAGAGCCACCACAUCAAUAGAUCUCUAGUUUAGCAUAGCUACAUAGGAUUAGAACUAGAAGGAGUUAAUCUUCGAUUGGUUUCUGGAUCUGUCAAGAGGAUUCUUGGUAAUUCCUCUACUGUUCAAUUGUUCAUCAUUGUUCUUCAAUAUUAUGAAUAUGACUUUAUUCUACUUCAAUAUAUUGAUUAUGACUUUGCUCUACUUGUUUAUAUUUGCAAUUAUAUUGUUCUUAGUUUAUCAUAGUUAUAUGCUUGGCUUAGUUAGAUUGGAAUUAUAUACAUGUUUAGGAUCGUAUAGCGUUUAUCCAUGUGUACAGUGGGUAAAUGAUAAGUAUUGUGUAGGCGUGGUGCCUAUACCGUAUUUAUCUGCGAUUGUACCCUAUAUACCGGAUCGCGGGGUAGUUCGUGGUAGCGACAGCUCCAUUUAUUCUUAUAUAGUCCCCCUCUCGUGUAUAGGCAGAGCAACAUUAUAACAGGGUAGUGAUUGCUAUGUUUCUCAUCUUUCUUGAUAAUAUCACUAUGCAUGGGUGUAGUCCUGUCUCGCAAUGAUUGCCAAGUAUAAUUGCACUAACUAUGAUAUGCUAGACUUUAUAGUUAAGAAUAACAUAGGAAAUAUUCUUGUAAUACGUCCUAAUUCCAUGCUAAUGACUUGCUAGAAUAUCUAUUGAGGUGCUUAUCAUAUUUAUAUGUGGCUAGUUAUGUUGAUCAGAUUAAUUAUCUUUGUCACCAUUCAUACUUUAUCUAUCUUUUAUGUGACACUUAUCCCUGUAUGAAAGAGAUAGAUAAAUGCUCUCAAUUAUACAUGCAAUGAUAGAUACUCAAUUCUAUAUUCCAUUCCAUAAUCAACAUUGAUGAUUAGAAAUCCCUUCCCAGUGGUAAAAAUAUAAAUAACGAUACCUGAAAUACUUCCCGGUUAAAAUGCUACAUCGGUAUUAAUCUGUGCGCUUGUAGAUCUCAUUUAUUAUUCAUUCAGAAGAGCAAUUGCAUAUUUCAAUACCGCGUCUCUCAUGUCAUGCUGGGGAUGACAACUUGGAUUAAGUGGCAUGAGGGAUAGGUUUGGCAUUUUUGGCGCCGUUAUCAGAAAUAGAAAACUAAGUCUACUUUUGGUAGUGACUUUAAGAAUGCCCAACAAGCAUUUCUGGCGCCAUUGCCGGGGAAGGUUGAUUACUAAUUAGGAAUGAAUAUGGAAUUUUGAGUCAUCAUUCGCAUCACUAAUAUGAUUGAGAUUAUCAAUUCUCUGAUACAGUUUUACCAUCUAUUUUACUUUAUGCACGGUGAUGUAUGAAUAGAAGACAUCUUCCAGGAAAUUUUGUUGCCAACCCCGAAGCAUUAUUCAGAAAAACAAGAGCCAAGCUCAAGAAGGCAUCGUCAACACUUCAGCACGAAGCUUCAUCCAACCAAGAUGAUCGCCAAAGUUUCAUCUGGAAUUUGUCUUCAGAAUACGAAGUCAUGGCGAACAAAUCGAUCCGUGAGUUCUCAGCUCCCACUACGGACAACAUCCGUACUGGACCUGCUGCAGAGAUUGACGGCAACUUUGAGCUCAAGCCUAGACUUAUCAACAUGGUGCAAUCCAACCAGUUCUGUGGGAAGGCACACGAAGAUGCUAGUGCUCAUCUCCAACACUUCCUGAGAUUUGCAGCACAUUCACCAUAUCAGGAGUCCCUAGAGAUGCUAUACUACUUCGCCUCUUCCCAUUCUCACUGUUGGGGAGAGCGAAGCUGUGGUUCUACACUACAAAGGAGAAUAAUACUACGUGGGCACUCCGCUCCACAAACUUUCUGGCUAAGUUCUUUCCUAUGGGCAAGACCAAUGCUCUCCCUAGGGAAAUUUCAAGUUUUCAGCAACAACAUGAUGAAUCCGUUCCAGAAGCAUGGGAGCGCUUCCAAGACUACAUCCUAGAAUGUCCCCAUCAUGGAAUGGAGAGCUGGCUACUCAUGCAGACAUUUUAUCAUGGGCUCAGCAAUAGUGCCCGUGAGACCAUGGAUGCUGCAACUGGAGGAGCAUUCCUAUACUCACCAUACCACAAGCCACAGCUCUUGUGGAGAAGAUGGCGUCCAAUCAAGGCUGGAAUGAAGAAAGAACCUAGACACGCAGAGAGGUGGAGGUAUGCACCAACUCAAGGAGGUAGACAUGCUGUCUGCUAAGCUAGACCUGCUCAUGAAGAAGCUCGAUGAUAGAGCUGGAGAUAAGAAAGAAGUUAUGCACAUCUACGACUCUCACAUGACUUGUGAGGAGUGUGUUAAUAUUGGACACUCAGGCAAUCUCUGCCCUGAGAUGCUUGAGGAUGUCAACUACAUCAACAACAACAACAGCAACAACAACUAUUACAACCGUCCUCAACAAAAUCAAGGUUCGAAUCAACAGAGGCCUAACUACCUAGGUAAUUAUCAAGGUAACAAUUCUUACAAUAAUAAAAAUUUUCCACCUCUGAGAGAGUUAAUGUCUAAUCAAGGAAAGCUAAUGGAUAAUCUAUCUAAGAAAUUGGCAUCUAAUGAUAAAAUGUUAGAAAAUAUAAAUAAUAGAAUGAAUAAAUUCUCUACUACCAUCAGGAAUCAACUUAGCUUUAAUAAAAAGAUUGAAUCUCAGUUAAAUCAAAUAGCUGCUGCUGUUCCUGCUACUAACCCCAGUAUACCAUCACAACCAGAAGGAUUAGAAUCUGCAAAUCUUGUAGACAUGUUUGAUGCAGGUAACUACUGGAGUAACCCCGUCACGGAAGUUACUACUGACCUUCUGCCAGUCAAGAGAGGCGAUCCAGGACGCCCCGUCAUCCCGAUCUCCAUCGGCAUGGUGGACUUCCUAGAAGCACUCUGCGACUUUGGCUCUAGUGUCAACAUUAUGCCAAGGGUACUCUAUGAAAAAUUCUUUACAUAUCCUUUAUUAGAAACAACUAUGUGUUUGCAGUUUGCAGAUCGGGCGUUAAGUUUCACAAAGGGAAUUUUGAAGAAUCUCUGUGUCCGAGUUGGUACCUUGUACGCCCCAGCAGACUUCAUGGUGAUAGAGACCAGUAAUGAUGAGAGGGCACCCGUCAUCUUAGGGUGGCCAUUUCUAAACACCUCGGGAGCUGUCAUCUAUGCUAGUGCUGCCAAGAUCAGUUUCUACAUCAAAGGGAGGAAGGAGACGUUUUCUUUCAAGAACAAGACUGCACAAAUCCCAGAGCAACCCCGACAUGAACCAAAGAAGAGGACCAACAGGAGGAACAAGAACAAGCAAGUGUGGACCGAGUCAGCUAAGAUGGUCACUGCAGUUCAAGGAGGUCAAGACCGUCGACUCAAGUCACCGUUCCUAGCCAAGAAGGACGACCCAGAUAUGCCAAGCAUCCAUUGCUCCAUCAAUGGGUACAACUUCUACAAGACACUUUGCGACACUGAAUCGGGCAUCAACAUAAUGGCCGCAGUCACCUAUGUAACACCCUAGGUGUUAAGCAUGCAUUUAGCCCUAUCACAACAUGCAUAAGCAUUUUCAUCAAGCAUAGCAUCAUGAGCAUGUCAUUCAUCCCAAAACAUGAUUUUAUGUGCUUUAUUUCAUGUGUUUUAAUUAUGCUAAAAUAUGAUGCUUGCUUCCAAAAAUGUGAAAUAUUUAAACUAGGUUGAUUUAUGUGUAAGAAGAAUUUAGAGUAUUUUUGUGUAAUUUUUGGAGCUAUGGAAUUUGAGAAAUGGAAUUUAUACAAGAUUUCCAAAUUGAAUUUAUUUAAAAACCUAGAACUAAGUUUUAAUUUGUAAUUCAAAUUCUAUUUGGAAUUUGGUCUUGCUUAUUAAAGCAAAGUUGUAGAGUUUUUGCUUUGGAACAACUUUGUUUUUGGGAGCAAGAGGUGAAAAUGAUUUUAAAUUGGUCCAAAUGAAUUUAGAAAGAAUUUGGAGAAAAGGAAUUAAAAAAAAGGAAAGGGGCAGGCGCUGCUGGGCCAACCCCGCUUCCCUUUCGGCCCAACGAGCGGCCCGGCCUGCCUCCCCCUUCCCCUCUCUCCCGCGUGCGCGGCGCCCGCCUCGCUCCACCCGGCGCCGGCCACGUGGCGGCCGUACGCCGGCAUUGGACGCGCCGCGGCCGGCCUCCAACCCCCCCUGGUCGGGACGCCGGCUCGGGCUCCCAGGCCAUUUCCUCCGUUCUGUCCCCCGCGCCCUCCUUCUCCUUCCUCCCUUCGCUCGCACCGCGCAGCAGCAGCAGCUCCUCCGCACGCCAUUGCCGGAGAAAGCCCCGCCGCUCGCCGCCGACCGCACCAGAGCCUCAAGGUCACCGCCGAGAGCACCAGCGCCUUCGUCAUCGUUAGGGUAAGCUUGUGCGCGCGUUCUAUCGAGGUGAGAGUCCGUCGAGCGCCGUGAAUAGCUCGCCGGAGUUACACCGAGCUCGCCGGAGUACUCCGCCGCGACGGAUCUUGUGUUUCUCUGCCUCUUUUCGCUGGUUCUUGGGUGCGCUAGGUCGGUAGGGUGGUGAGGAAGCUCGGAGAGGCGUUUGCGCACGCUCUACCGCGCCGGAGCGGCCUGGCCACGGCGAGCAGCGCCGCCGUGCCGCCAUGCAUGCUCGUCGGAGGUGUUCCGGUCAUCCUCCGGCCAAUCCAAGGGUACCGUUGGGUGCGCCUCGCUGCGGGGAGCACGUUGGUGCUUACCCCGUGGCGGGAGACCUCACCGCCGGCGAGAUCUGCUCGUUGGAGGUGAGCUCCCUCUCGGUCUCGCUGACCGGUGGGGUCGGGGACCCACUGUCAGUCGCAGGGGGACCCCGGUGGGUGUAGAUCUGGGUGUGCGUAGCCUUUUUCGUCGGUUUUCUUGAAUAAAUGAUUUCCAAAAAUUGAUUCAAAACUUGAAAAAUUCAUAUCUUGAGUUCUACAGCUCCAAAUUGGAUGAAAUAAAUUUUAGUGUGCUCUAUAUUUCCAGAUCUACAGUUUGAUGUAAUUGCAUGUCAUGUUUGAGUAACUUUUCUGAAUAAAUAUAUUUAAUCCAUGUUUUUGCUAAACUUGGAGAAUGCAUAGUAAAUAAAAUAUGGUUCAGAAAAAUGUGAAACUUGAUUUGUUGGCUCUGCAUAUAUGUUUACUCACUGGGAAAAUAUUGCUACAUAUUAUUUGGUGUAUAGAUGAAUUUAAGGUAAUUUAAAUGCUUGCAUGGUAGUGAUUUAUGAUUUUUAAUAAUUAAUUGGAUCAUGCAAUAAAUCUGGAAAAUUUUGUGGGUGUUUCUUAUGAUAUUAGACAAAUUGUAAAAAUAUGAAAUCUGUUAUUUGACACUUAUAUCAUAGUAGAGUGAUUAUACUUACCCUAUGAAUUAAUCUUGUGAUUUUUGUGGCUCAAAAUAAGUAUCCAAAAAUUAUGAAAAAUUUACAGUAGACUUUAUGCGUAGCUGGUAGUCUCCUGUAAUUUUUGUGGAAUUUAUUGAUGAACAGAAUUGCAUGUGAUUUUUAAUGGGCCUAGAAAUGAAUAAAGAAAAUUUUGAAUUGUUGUGUAUAUAGGUUGAAUAGAAUAGGUUGGGUUUGGUGUAUCUUUGAAGCAUCAUGUGGGUUGCUGGUUGCAUUUGAAAAAUAAUUGUAGAAGAGAAUGCAAUAGAUGUUUGAUUCAAUUGUUUGUUCUUGGAUGAUGUUGACUACCUUGUAAUGAGCAUGACCGAGUACAUUACAUAUGCAUCAUGUCAUGACUCCUUUGGUACUUUCUCAUACAAGCAUCCACUCGGGCAUCUCGCACUCCACUAAUAAGCACCCAUGCAUCAUACAGGCUUGCAGGAGAACGAAGUGGGAACCGAGGAACCCGAGGAGAUUCAGGAGCAGGAACCUCCGGAAGCACAGGAACCCGGAGAGAAGCUGCAGGAGUGUCCGGAUCACGGACCCAGCACGUUUGAGAAAGGCAAGCCCCGGAGCAUUCUAAGUCUCCCUAUUCUCGCUAACUUAUAUGAUGCGCUAUAAUUGUUCUACUAUAUUGCAUCUAAGUGAUAGGAUUUGAUUGAUGCCGUUGAUGCAUAUGUACUCCUUGUUAUCCCUACUCGUUCACCUACCUUGUCCUAUGUAGAUAGGCACGGAGUCUAUGCUUAGCUUGCUUAGUCCGGUAGAAGUCGGGUGAUUUCCUGUCACCUGCGAGAAAUAGGUGGAUACCUGCUUGAUUAAGCAUUGGUUGCUUGGGGAAAAGAAUAACCAAGUAUGGAAUGUAACUGGAGACCGGGCAGGGUCUUAUGGUGGGUUGACCAUAGUGCCCCAGCCUGCGUUGAUUAAGGACCGAUCGUUGACGGCCCUCUUGUCAUGUUGAACGCAUGCCCCACACUUAGCUGGAAGGAUAAGUCGUUCCGACCGCGAAGCCUGAACACUAUCCGGGCCGGGCAUCGAGCCGCCAUGCGCUGUAUUGGUGAUGGUUGAGGAGAACGACGAGGGCGCGGCGCGCAACCUUGGUAUACCUUGGAUACCUCGAUCGCCGGAACGGUCCUCGGGUACUGGCGGUGCCUGCCGAACCCGCGAAUUGGUCCUGGAUAGUGUAAUAUAGUGAUCUGUAGCUCACUUGAUCAGUGAGUGUGGUUUGUGUGGGGAAUACCUCGCCAGCUGGUUAGAAAUCGAUUUGAAUCGCCAUCGCUCCUGGAUAGUGAGCACUUGACAUGAGCUUCGUCCUCGUAGUAAGGACUAUGGAACACUUGGGUUAUGUUGAUGAAUGGUUUUAAGAAAUGCUAUGAUGAGGUACUAUCAUAGCCUUAUACUCGCUUGUAAUAGUGCAGGUGCAAACCUAGAUGAUAGGUAAUGAUACUUUCAACUUGAGCAAAUUAAAAGAAGAAAGACUUAUGUAGGUUAUGAUAGUAAAAUCCUGCGGUUUUGCAAAAUGGUUGUCAGCUACCCCACUAUAUAGCCUUCAUGAUCCUUGAUGAGUCUUUAUUUUAAGUUUAUGACGGGUAAGUCUAGCUCUGUACCUUCUCGUACUCAGGGUUCUACUCCCAUGUUGUUUUGCAGAUGGUCAAAUGUACUAUGGUUAUUGCAUCCUCUGUCUGUACCCAGCCAUGGGUGAUGACUAGACCAAGGGCGAUGGUAACUCCGUCUUCUCUUUUGCUUUUGUGGGAAUGACCGAACUAUGGCACUGUAUCAGACUAAGCGUGUGUGUUGUAUUUUCGAACUACGAAGCUUCUGCUACUUGAAGAACUUGGUUUGUAAUAACUUUAAAAACUCCGAUGUAUUUUAUGAAUGUUGAAAUCUGGAUGUAUUGUGAAUGGCGACCGCUAAACUUAUUACGAUCUUGGCUGUUGUGUGAUAUGUGGUUUGAAAUCCUUCGAGAUUUCACGGACUACCGGGAUUAUAUGGGCUUAAGCGUGAUGGUUUGACUAUGCAAAUGGUCACUGUUAGGCUUAAUCUCUUAUAAUUUGGUCGGUUCUGUUACAGCUGGCAUCGGAGCAAGGUUUAGCGAGUUACUGUUCAUAAGUACGUUGUAAACAAAAUCUAAACCGGUCUAAUAAAGGAUUUUAUUAAUUAAUAAUGAUCAAAGUGUUAAACUAAGUUUUGGAAAACUAUCUAGUGUGCCAUGGUCAUAUCCUUUAUGCCCAGUUAAGGACUCUAAGGUGGCUAGUUAAGUACUGACUUGGGGGUUAAUGCAUCAUAUUUUUAUUUCGUCGCUCAUACGGCGUGCAAUAGUAUGAGUACCAUUCAUUUGAGUGGUAAUGUAUGGAUCUAUUUUUCCUCUACGUCAUGGUAAGUGGGAGCUGUGAGAGCAUGAUCGGAUACACCGCCGGUCUAGGGGAGUGUUGUUAGGUACUGUGUCAUGCACACAUGUUUUUGGUGUGUCUUGGAAACAGUACCGCAUGUUGGGAAUUCCGUCCUAAGAGGCGAUGCCGUCAUUAGGGCGAUGAUAUGGGUAGCAACACAUCACAUGCAUGGACGGGUGUCAGUGUAUGUGAAGUGCAUAGUUUUAAAUUUUGUUUUGCAUUAGCAUACUGUGGGUUGGCUGAAAUGAGUUUUCUGCAGGUACCCUAACCACGUUCUCUCUUAGAACGCUAGUUACGUUAUGAGAGAACGUUGUGUGCCACCGCAUAUACCGCUUAGUGUUAACCUUUGUUUCUAAGUUUGUGAGAUCGUAAGUUCGUGCAUGCAUCAUGUUCAUGUCAUAUCAUUGCUUACUUUCCACCUUAAUUUAAUCUGUCCCAAUUCUAAAUAAAAUAAUUAAAAGUAAUCCUCGCUCUUACCGACGGUAUUCCAUUUGCAGCAGAUGGCACGCACUAGGCUCACCGCUCGCAAGUCCACUGGUGGGCGGGCCCCUCGCCAUCCGUUGGCAGCUAGGAGCUCGCAACAUAAGAGCAAGUUCCUGGCGGAGUUUGGGAUGCCCACUUUGCUUUGGAGGGUACUCAGUUCGAUGGGGUAUCCCGAAGCAAGGGAGCCUCGCUACUAUUGGGAUAAGGAGCCGCUUGGUGACGAGACCCUGGUGGGGAUCGAGGCAGUUGUCCCUACCAGUGGAGGAGACCCUGCUUGGGGUCGCUGGGUGUACGAGUCCCGAGGUGUCACGCCUUUCCACGAUGCCAGCAGGGCAGCUUUCGCAGUUCUGAGGGACCUCUUGGAGAGGUUUCCACAGGAGCUGGCCCACGCCUUCGCUGGGGUGUUUCCCCGGGGUGACCCCUACACUUCGGUGUGGGAUCGUCCGAGGUGAGCGCUCUAGAAAGGAGUGCGGCUGAAGACCAGCACAGUGACAGCGCAGCUAUGAGUGCCAUGUACGCCUUGAUGAAGACCUAUGGAGGCCUGGAGCGUUGUUUGGGUCGCUUGUCCGGGUCUCUUCUCACCGUCCAGGAUGAGAAGCGUCAGUUGCAGCGUGAGUUCGACUCUGAGGUUGAGAGGCUGCAGGCAGAGUUGGCCCGUGUGACCAGAGAGAGAGACCAGGCAGUCCAGAAGAACAGCGAGCUGAGUCAGGACCUGCUUGCAGGGCGAGAGCAGAGGGACAGGGUGACUACUGCUCACAGGAACUGCGAGCGCAUGCUAGUCCAUGUGCUUGGACAGAGGAAUGAAGCCUGGCACGAGGAGGACACUUUGAGGGCCCGACAGCUAGAGCUAGAGCAGCAGCUAGCUAAUGCUGAGGAGUACAAUGAGAACUUGCAUGAGGAGAUCCACCAGCUGCAUAACCAGCUCCACCCUCACCACCUGCCUGGAGCAGCUGAGCUAGAUUCUGAGGACGAGAUGGACGCAGAUCCCGAGAUAGGAGCAGCUGCUAGUGGAGAUGAGGAUGAGGAUGGCUCCGGCCUGGGCAGUGACCAUAGCGAGUAGAUACUAGGGCUCUAGAGCUAGUCCUUCUUCUUGUGUUGUUGUAUGUUGCAUGGCAUGUCGUGUACUUUAGGGUCUGGGCUAUGUAAGACUUAUAAGUUAAUGCUGAAAGUCCAGUAUAUGUAUGCUGGCAAGUUGGAUGUACGCGAACCUUGUUGCGUAAAUGUUAAGUAAUCUGUUAGUGAUUUUGUGCGUAGAUGAUGAAUUGUUGUGCCUCUGUUUAUUGUGCGAAUUUAUUCCCUCAGUAAAUUCAGUACGGCACGAUUCUACACAUUUCUACCGUUGAUAACAACUCCUAACAAAUGCUUAUCAUUGAUGUAUGCAGAUGGUGCAAACACGUGGCGGGGGUAACAGCAAUCCGGGCCUUGGAGCAGGUACAUCCGGAGGUGGGGCUCAACGGAAUGAGGACAGAGCACCAACACUGCCAUCACCACCGCCUCCUCCGUACACUACGAACGUGUUUUUCGCGCAGUUUCUGGGGAGCCAACGCAACAUGGAACAGAUGCAGCGCAACAUGGAAGAGGCUCUGCGCAACAUAGCUGACAACACCCGUCGUGGGGAUAAUCAGGGUGGCCGAGAGGUCAACCAGUACAGUUCGUUCAAGGACUUCAUGGAUACCAAGCCACCAAUCUUCAAAGAGGCUUUGGAACCGCUUGAGGCAGAUGAGUGGAUCAACACCAUGGAGCAGAAGUUUCGUCUUCUCCGAAUGACAAAAGAACUUAAGGCUGAGUAUGCGGCACAUCAGUUGCAAGGACCCGCUGGGAUUUGGUGGUCCCAUCACCGUACAACCUACCCAGAGGGAACCCCAAUUACCUAGAACCGUUUCACCACAGCUUUCCGGGGAAACUACAUUCCUUCGGAUGUGGUUGAAAUGAAGGUUGGGGAGUUCAUGAGGCUGUCCCAGGGGACGAAAUCGGUGAAGGAGUAUCUACAUGCUUUCAAUAAUCUCGCUCGCUAUGCCCCUGAGUUUGUAAACACGGAGGCUAAGAAGAUUGCUAGUUUCCAGAGGGGCUUGAAUCCAAAGAUGCUGAAGACCAUGGGUACAGGGGCCAGGGCUACCUUCAAUGCUUACAUCAGUGACUGUCUCACCCAGGAGAACAACAACAACAACUACUACAUUGCAUCCAAGUCACGUAAGAGGGCUUUUGAAGCCGGAUCAUCUCAGUCCAGGGCACCAGUGGCAGGGAGACAGCAGUAUCGUCCUCCUGCCCCAGGUGCUAGGUUCCGACCGCCGCAGAGAAGGAACACCAGGCAUCCAACACAGCAGAAGCCGUACAAGGUGGCGAUAGCCAAUGCCAAGCCAAAGGCAGUUCAAGCUGCAACACCUGCCGUCAACAAUGCGCCCAAGGGUCCAUGCUAUAACUGCCUCAAGAUGGGGCACUUUGCUAAGGAAUGUCCCUACCCCAAGAGGCAGCAGCCAACCUAUCCAGCUCGUGUGCACCAUACCUCGAUCGAGGAGAUCCUGGAAGGAGAACCGGUAACAGCUGGUAUGUUUCCUGUCGACCAGCAUCUUGCAGUUGUUUUGUUUGAUUCUGGAUCAUCGCAUUCAUUCAUGAGCCAAGCAUUUGCACAAAAGCAUAGUCAACCAGUUAGAGAUCUAGGUUAUGGCUACCACAUCAGCUCAGCAGGGGCAGAUGUGUUGACCAAUAGAGUGGUCCGAGGGGCAACCCUGGAUAUAAGUGGCCAAGUUUUUCGGGUAAAUCUAGUGGUCAUGCCUGGGUUAGUUUUGGAUGUUAUCAUGGGCAUGAACUGGAUGAGAGAAUGGGGUGCUGUCAUAGAUACUGGGAAGAGAAUGUUAUCCCUUAGAGAACCGCAGAGCAAUCGCUCUUUUCAAGUACCUCUGCCCCGUCGUCUUGACUUUGCUAGCAUCUCUUGUGCUACGCACGUGGUUCCAUUACCAUAGAUCCCAGUAGUCUGUGAGUUCCCUAAUGUUUUCCCUAAGGAAUUACCAGGACUUCCCCCAGAUAGGGAAGUAGAGUUUGCAAUUGAGUUGAUCCCAGGUACAGCACCAAUAUCUAGAUGGCCGUACCGGAUGCCACCAAACGAACUCGCUGAGUUGAAGAAUCAACUAAAAGAGCUACUGGAUAAAGAGUUCAUCCGGCCAAGCUCGUCAGAGUGGGGUUGUCCAGUGUUGUUUGUGAAGAAGGAUCAAUCGUUGCGCAUGUGCGUGGACUAUCGUCCACUCAAUGCAGUGACAAUCAAGAAUAAGUAUCCCUUGCCAAGGAUCGAUAUCCUGUUUGAUCAGUUGUCCAAGGCAAAAGUGUUUUCCAAGACCCAUUUGAGGUCUGGGUAUCAUCAAAUCAAGAUUCGUCCACAGGAUAUCCCGAAGACUGCUUUUUCCACCAGAUAUGGGUUGUAUGAGUACCUUGUCAUGUCCUUUGGGUUGACAAAUGCUCCUGCAUACUUUAUGUAUCUGAUGAAUUUAGUCUUUAUGCCAGAAUUGGAUAAGUUUGUUGUGGUGUUUAUCGAUGAUAUUCUGGUUUAUUCCGAAAAUGAGCAAGAUCACGCCGAACAUCUGAGAAUCGUGCUGACACGAUUACGAGAGCAUCAGUUAUAUUCCAAGUUCAGCAAGUGUGAGUUCUGGUUGAAGAAAGUUCCUUUCCUAGGGCACAUUCUGUCGGAAGAAGGGAUUGCUGUGGAUCCAUCAAAAGUGCAGGAAGUCAUGGACUGGAAGACACCAACUUCUGUCUCGGAAGUUAGAAGUUUUCUUGGUCUGGCCGGGUAUUAUCGCCGAUUCAUACCUGACUUCUCCAAGAUUGCUAAGCCAAUGACAAGUUUGCUGCAAAAGGAUCAUAAGUUUGUCUGGACGGAAGGGUCUGAGUUAGCCUUCCGCACCUUGCGAAAGUUGCUAACCACUGCUCCUGUUCUGGCACAACCUAAUAUCGAAAAGCCUUUUGAUGUGUUUUGCGACGCAUCGAAGAGUGGCCUGGGGUGUGUGUUGAUGCAAGAUGGCAGGGUGAUAGCUUAUGCUUCCCGACAGUUGAGAAAGCACGAAGUCAACUACCCAACUCACGACCUCGAGUUAGCAGCAGUGGUACACGCUUUGAAGAUUUGGAGACAUUAUCUGCUGGGAAAUAAGUGUCACAUUUAUACCGAUCAUAAGAGUUUGAAGUACAUCUUCACUCAGUCCGAGCUAAAUAUGAGGCAACGACGGUGGUUAGAGCUAAUCAAGGACUAUGAUCUGGAAGUUCACUAUCAUCCGGGCAAGGCUAAUGUAGUAGCAGAUGCGUUGAGUCGUAAACCGCACUAUCAAGUGGUUCAACCGUUGUUUGAAGAUGGGUUCAAUCUCAUGCAUCCUGAGGUCUUAUGUCACAUACAACUCAGUUGUUCACUCGAGAGUCAAGUCAUUGAAGGACAGAAAACAGACAAGGGUAUUUUCCACAUCAAGGAGAAGAUCAAAGAUGACCCAAAAACUCAAUUUCGCGUUGAUGAGAAAGGGGUACUGUGGUUUGAACAUCGGUUAGUAGUCCCGAAGGAUCGAGAAUUGAAGAAUUGCAUCAUGGAUGAAGCCCAUCUCUCUAAGCUUUCUAUUCAUCCUGGCAGUAGCAAAAUGUAUCAAGAUCUAAGACCCCACUUUUGGUGGACCAAGAUGAAGAAGGAAAUAGCCGCAUCUGUAGCCCGUUGCGACACGUGUUGCAGAGUUAAGGCCAUCCAUAUGAAACCUGCAGGUCUGUUGCAACCGUUAUCAGUUCCAGAGUGGAAAUGGGAAGAGGUCAGUAUGGACUUUAUCACAGGAUUACCGACCACGAGGAAGGGGAAUGACUCGAUUUGGGUGAUCAUAGAUCGAUUAACCAAGUCGGCUCAUUUCAUUCCAGUCAAGAACACAUACAGACCUCCUGAGUAUGCCGAUAUAUAUAUAUGGCUGAGAUUUUUAAGUUGCAUGGUAUUCCCAAAACCAUCAUAUCAGAUAGAGGACCACAGUUCACCGCUCACUUCUGGGAGCGAAUGCAUAAGAAUUUGGGAACCAGUCUGAUAAGAAGGACGGCGUACCAUCCCCAGACUUCAGGACAAACGGAGAGGCUAAACCAAGUAUUGGAAGAUAUGCUGAGGGCCUGUGUGCUAUCAUCCAAGUGAUCAUGGGAGUCAUGGUUACCUCUGGCUGAAUUCUCAUACAAUAACAGUUAUCAAGAGAGCAUCAAGAUGGCCCCGUUCGAAGCUUUGUAUGGUCGGAGAUGUAGAACUCCAUUGAACUGGGUUGAACCUGGUGAGAGAAGAUACUAUGGUAUCGACUUCGUGAAUGAGGUAGAGAAGAAGGUACAAAUCAUACAGCAGCAUAUGCGCGCAGCGCAAUCCCGACAAAAGAGUUAUGCUGAUAAGAGAAGAAGGCCACUUGAAUUCAAAGUAGGUGACUAUGUGUACCUCAAGGUUACGCCAAUGAAGAAGGUUCAGCGUUUCCGAGUUCGAAGCAAGCUUGCACCCAGAUAUGUGGGACCGUAUCAAAUACUAGAGAGGAAAGGCCCAGUGGCCUACAAGAUUCAGUUACCUGAAGAGUUGAGCUCGAUCUUUCCGGUCUUCCAUGUGUCGCAACUACGGAAAUGUUUGAAGGUACCUGAGCAAAGAAUUGAACCUUGAGGGAUCAAAAUAAAAACAGAUUUAGAGUAUAAGGAGCAACCAGUGGGAAUUGUGGAUACCAAGGAAUGGGUAACCCGAAACAGAAUUGUCAGAACUUAUAAGGUGGUGUGGAGUCAUCAUGACGAUAGGGAUGCCACCUGGGAAACAGAGGAUUACUUGAAAACAGUUUAUCCAAAAUUUCAUAAGAAAUGGUUAGUAACCCAAAAUCUCGGGACGAGAUUUCCCUAAGGGGGAAGGGCUGUAACACCCUAGGUGUUAAGCAUGCAUUUAGCCCUAUCACAACAUGCAUAAGCAUUUUCAUCAAGCAUAGCAUCAUGAGCAUGUCAUUCAUCCCAAAACAUGAUUUUAUGUGCUUUAUUUCAUGUGUUUUAAUUAUGCUAAAAUAUGAUGCUUGCUUCCAAAAAUGUGAAAUAUUCAAACUAGGUUGAUUUAUGUGUAAGAAGAAUUUAGAUUAUUUUUGUGUAAUUUUUGGAGCUAUGGAAUUUGAGAAAUGGAAUUUAUACAAGAUUUCCAAAUUGAAUUUAUUUAAAAACCUAGAACUAAGUUUUAAUUUGUAAUUCAAAUUCUAUUUGGAAUUUGGUCCUGCUUAUUAAAGCAAAGUUGUAGAGUUUUUGUUUUGGAACAACUUUGUUUUCGGGAGCAAGAGGUGAAAAUGAUUUUAAAUUGGUCCAACUGAAUUUAGAAUGAAUUUGGAGAAAAGAAAUUUAAAAAAAAGGAAAGGGGCAGGCGCUGCUGGGCCAACCCCGCUUCCCUUUCGGCCCAGCGAGCGGCCCAGCCUGCCUCCCCCUUCCCCUCUCUCCCGCGCGCGCGGCGCCCGCCUCGCUCCACCCGGUGCCGGCCACGUGGCGACCGUACGCCGGCGUUGGACGCGCCGCGGCCGGCCUCCAACCCCCUCCUGGUCGGGACGCCGGCUCGGGCUCCCAGGCUAUUUCCUCCGUUUUGUCCCCCGCGCCCUCCUUCUCCUUCCUCCCUCCGCUCGCACCGCGCAGCAGCAGCAGCUCCUCCGCGCGCCAAUGCCGGAGAAAGCCCCGCCGCUCGCCGCCGACCGCACCAGAGCCUCAAGCUCACCGCCGAGAGCACCAGCGCCUUCGUCAUCGUUAGGGUAUGCUUGUGCGCGCGUUCUACCGAGGUGAGAGUCCGUCGAGCACCGUGAAUAGCUCGCCGGAGUUACCCCGAGCUCGCCGGAGUACUCCGCCGCGACGGAUCUUGUGUUUCUCUGCCUCUUUUCGCUGGUUCUUGGGUGCGCUAGGUCGGUAGGGUGGUGAGGAAGCUCGGAGAGGCGUUUGCGCACGCUCUACCGCGCCGGAGCGGCCUGGCCACAGCGAGCAGCGCCGCCGUGCCGCCAUGCAUGCUCGUCGGAGGUGUUCCAGUCAUCCUCCGGCCAAUCCAAGGGUACCGUUGGGUGCGCCUCGCUGCGGGGAGCACGUUGGUGCUUACCCCGUGGCCGGAGACCUCACCGCCGGCGAGAUCUGCUCGUCGGAGGUGAGCUCCCUCUCGGUCUCGCUGACCGGUGGGGUCGGGGACCCACUGUCAGUCGCAGGGGGACCCCGGUGGGUGUAGAUCUGGGUGUGCGUAGCCUUUUUCGUCGGUUUUCUUGAAUAAAUGAUUUGCAGAAAUUGAUUCAAAACUUGUAAAAUUCAUAUCUUGAGUUCUACAGCUCCAAAUUGGAUGAAAUAAAUUUUGGUGUGCUCUAUAUUUCCAGAUCUACAGUUUGAUGUAAUUGCAUGUCAUGUUUGAGUAACUUUUCUGAAUGAAUAUAUUUAAUCCAUGUUUUUGCUAAACUUGGAGAAUGCAUAGUAAAUAAAAUAUGGUUCAGAAAAAUGUGAAACUUGAUUUGUUGGCUCUGCAUGUAUGUUUACUCACUGGGAAAAUAUUGCUACAUAUUAUUUGGUGUAUAGAUGAAUUUAAGGUAAUUUAAAUGCUUGCAUGGCAGUGAUUUAUGAUUUUUAAUAAUUAAUUGGAUCAUGCAAUAAAUAUGGAAAAUUUUGUGGGUGUUUCUUAUGAUAUUAGAUAAAUUGUAAAAAUAUGAAAUCUGUUGUUUGACACUUAUAUCACAGUAGAGUGAUUAUACUUACCCUAUGAAUUAAUCUUGUGAUUUUUGUGGCUCAAAAUAAGUAUCCAAAAAUUAUGAAAAUUUACAGUAGACUUUAUGCGUAGCUGGUAGUCUCCUGUAAUUUUUGUGGAAUUUAUUGAUGAACAGAAUUGCAUGUGAUUUUUAGUGGGCCUAGAAAUGAAUAAAGAAAAUUUUGAAUUGUUGUGUAUAUAGGUUGAAUAGAAUAGGUUGGGUUUGGUGUAUCUUUGAAGCAUCAUGUGGGUUGCUGGUUGCAUUUGAAAAAUAAUUGUAGAAGAGAAUGCAAUAGAUGUUUAAUUCAAUUGUUUGUUCUUGGAUGUUGUUGACUACCUUGUAAUGAGCAUGAUCGAGUACAUUACAUAUGCAUCAUGUCAUGACUCCUUUGGUACUUUCUCAAACAAGCAUCCACUCGGGCAUCUCGCACUCCACUCAUAAGCACCCAUGCAUCAUACAGGCUCGCAGGAGAACGAAGUGGGACCCGAGGAACCCGAGGAGAUUCAGGAGCAGGAACCUCCGGAAGCACAGGAACCCGGAGAUGAGCUGCAGGAGUGUCCGGAUCACCGACCCAGCACGUUUGAGAAAGGCAAGCCCCAGAGCAUUCUAAGUCUCCCUAUUCUCGCUAACUUAUAUGAUGCGCUAUAAUUGUUCUACUAUAUUGCAUCUAAGUGAUAGGAUUUGAUUGAUGCCGUUGAUGCAUAUGUACUCCUUGUUAUCCCUACUCGUUCACCUACCUUGUCCUAUGUAGAUAGGUACGGAGUCUAUGCUUAGCUUGCUUAGUCCGGUAGAAGUCGGGUGAUUUCCUGUCACCUGCGAGAAAUAGGUGGAUACCUGCUUGAUUAAGCAUUGGUUGCUUGGGGAAAAGAAUAACCAAGUAUGGAAUGUAACUGGAGACCGGGCAGGGUCUUAUGGUGGGUUGACCAUAGUGCCCCUGCCUGCGUCGAUUAAGGACCAAUCGUUGACGGCCCUCUUAUCAUGUUGAACGCAUGCCCCACACUUAGCUGGAAGGAUAAGUCGUUCCGACCGUGAAGCCUGAACACUAUCCGGGCCGGGCAUCGAGCCGCCAUGCGCUGUAUUGGUGAUGGUUGAGGAGAACGACGAGGGCGCGGCACGCAACCUUGGUAUACCUUGGAUACCUCGGUCGUCGGAACGGUCCUCGGGUACUGGCGGUGCCUGCCGAACCAGCGAAUUGGUCCUGGAUAGUGUAAUACAGUGAUCUGUAGCUCACUUGAUUAGUGAGUGUGGUUUGUGUGGGGAAUACCUCGCCAGCUGGUUAGAAAUCGAUUCGAAUCGCCAUCGCUCCUGGAUAGUGAGCACUUGACAUGAGCUUCGUCCUCGUAGUAAGGACUAUGGAACACUUGGGUUAUGUUGAUGAAUGGUUUUAAGAAAUGCUAUGAUGAGGUACUAUCAUAGCCUUAUACUCGCUUGUAAUAGUGCAGGUGCAAACCUAGAUGAUAGGUAAUGAUACUUUCAACUUGAGUAAAUUAAAAGAAGAAAGACUUAUGUAGGUUAUGAUAGUAAAAUCCUGCGGUUUUGCAAAAUGGUUGUCAGCUACCCCACUAUAUAGCCUUCAUGAUCCUUGAUGAGUCUUUAUUUUAAGUUUAUGACGGGUAAGUCUAGCUGAGUACCUUCUCGUACUCAGGGUUCUACUCCCAUGUUGUUUUGCAGAUGGUCAAAUGUACUAUGGUUAUUGCAUCCUCUGUCUGUACCUAGCCAUGGGUGAUGACUAGACCAAGGGCGAUGGUCACUCCGUCUUCUCUUUUGCUUUUGUGGGAAUGACCGAACUAUGGCACUGUAUCAGACUAAGCGUGUGUGUUGUAUUUUCGAACUACGAAGCUUCCGCUACUUGAAGAACUUGGUUUGUAAUAACUUUAAGAACUCCGAUGUAUUUUAUGAAUGUUGAAAUCUGGAUGUAUUGUGAAUGGCGACCGCUAAACUUAUUACGAUCUUGGCUGUUGUGCGAUAUGUGGUUUGAAAUCCUUCGAGAUUUCACGGACUACCGGGAUUAUAUGGGCUUAAGCGUGAUGGUUUGACUAUGCAAAUGGUCACUGUUAGGCUUAAUCUCUUAUAAUUUGGUCGGUUCUGUUACAGCCUAUCGGCUCUUGUUCGGAACCAUGCCCCUAAAAUCGACAUACAUUCAGCUCCAGAUGGCAAAUCAGACAUUCCGAAAGGUUGAAGGUAUAGUAACUAAUAUCCCUGUCAAAAUAGACGAUCAUUUUUUCCAUACAGACUUUUAGGUUAUUGACAUGGGAGAAGACGAGUACGAUCCACCCAUCAUCCUUGGGAGACCGUUCCUCAGUAUCGUUAAAGCAAUCAUCUACAUUGGAACUAGAGAAGUCCACAAGCACUUUCCCUCAGAGAAGGUACGCCGCUACUUUACUGACCUUAAUUAUAUAGUUGAAGACUCUAAGCAGGUCAGGACAAGAUGAAGACGACACAACCGCAACCAGAGGAGGCAAAUCAUUAAGGACGGAUGGGCAGACUACGAAGGAGAAGUGGUAAGAUCUGAAGACAUACAGCUUGAACAGAAAUAUCAAGUGGAGACCGUAGCACCGAGUCAGGUGUGGAGAGAAAAGAUAGUUGUACACGAAGAUGAGGCGCCGCCGGAAGCACCGACUACGCCAUCCAACGAAUCCCAGGACAACUAAGAAAACAGAUAGUCCCGUUCGGAGGACUUAAAAACACCGAGCGCCUUGACAAGAGAUAAACUUGGUAGUUAUCCUUUUCCUUUAAAUUAUUUCAAAUAGUUUGCUUAGUUAAUCAUGUUCAUACUAUCCUAAAAGGAAAAUAAAAAUAUUAAAAAUAGUAAGCCCCAUGUGAGUAUACGAGUGGCAUAAAACUCAUAAGUACAUUCACUGUGGUGGCAUAAAAAUAAAAUAAAUAUUUUUUCUGCUCUAUACAAAUGAAGAUAUAAAAAUAAGAUUGUGAUCCUACCAAAGAGAGUAACAUUUAUUGAGGAGGCUCAACAUGAUAAAGGCUAGAUAUUUAUGCUAACACUUAAUCAGUUCCACAAAGCUUUGUUGUCUAUUUGUGCUCCACAGAAUUCAAGGAUCAAGAAGACUAGCAGACGGAGGACAUCCUAAUCGCUGUCAGGGUGCUGCCGACUUUGAAAUACACCUCUACCACCUACUAGCUACAUCAGAAGAAAUUACGUCAAAAUUCAGCUUGGGGGAGAGCACCCCCAUUUAUCUCGCUACGUAUUUCUAUCUACAUUUAUACUUAUACUAUUAAAGUAUAAAUAUACAUAAUCAUGAAAAACCAAAUAAAGAUUUUGUGCUUAUAUAUAUAUCUUUUGCUUAGUGUGAUUAAUAAAUAAAUAAAGUGGCUAUGCUAAACUGAAUCUUAAUAAAACUCUAGCAUGGAUAUGAUGAAUAGUUGCUCUGCCUAUUUUCCAAAUUUGAGUUCUCUCUCAAGUUUAGACAUAACUGUUAUAAUUUAAAGCUUGCUCUAAACCUAAACUUGUGGGAAAAGAAGUGGAUCUGAAGUCUAAGUUGUUAACGGGUAUGAUAUGAGAAGGUUGAGCUGUUGUUUAUCUAUUCCUAGAUACGCUAGAAUUAUGGAGAAUUUUAUCUUUGAAAAUCUUUAAACUAUCACAUGAUGAGUUCCUGUAUGAUGAUAGUUUAAAUUCCUACCACAGCCAUAUAUACAUGCUUGCUAGACUUUGAGCCACACAUUUACUUUUUACUGCUUAUGAGCAUUGAGUGUGGUCAAGCUAUGUAGACCCUUAGGAGCUUGUUAUGUGGUUAAAUCAAGAUUCACUUGCACAUUCACUCACACAUACUGCUUCUACUCCGGAAGUACGCAUCCACAUAUAUCCACACAUUUCCAUCUCCAGAACCACCCAAAAAUAUUCUACUCCUAAUCCGGGAGAGAAUAGCCAAAAACAUUCUUGGGUUUCUCUGUGAAAUAAAUGCUCAAGUUAUCUUGAUUACUACCACUUGCUAUAUUAUUUCAGGAGAUGAGUGUUGAUAUUUGGUAGCGCCAUCGGGAAAUGAUCCGCAAGCGCACGGAUAUCGGUGAGCAUUUCACCCGAGAGGUUAUCUAGAGUAUCGUAUUUAUAUUUUUACCACUGGGAGAAAGCGUGCAUCUGACUAACCAAAUCUAUUGCUACUACCCUUUAGGCUAUAAAGAAUGUUUCUCGAUGUGAGUGAUGUAUAGAGAAGACUGCAACCGUAGUCUCGUUCUAACCUUGGUAAGGAUGAUCUACUGUUCUAUUGGGGAGGCUAACGGAAUCUGGACACCACAGAGGAUGUUCAACGCGCACCUAUAAACCCUACCCGUCCUUCUAACAAGAUGUGGGCUCUAAAGGUAACUCGGAAAUGUCACGUUCCUCACUACUACCACGGUCCAGCUAGUCAGGAGAUAUCUAUGAGUACCCUAGCCCAAACACCAUGUUUACGCUAGCAAUGAUUACUCUAAACUCAACCGGAGGAGACUAAAGUAAACUCAUAAACCAAAGAACAAUAAAAUAAGAACUUACUAGAAUUUAGAAGUUGAAUUACUGAAGAAUCCUAAGAGCAAGCCUCGGGUUAGGAGAACAUGAUCCCACAGGUACAACCUCAGAGUAGACACCGAAAGGCCGGGCUUCCUCCGAACUACACCUCCACUCUAUCUCUCUCAAUCUAGUAGAACAUAGAAGAACUAAUUCUACUCUCAUAUUGGAUGCUAGGCCCUAAGUCUAUUUAGAGGAGAGGUAUUCCUUCGAGGGCUCCUCUCAACUCUAUGAUGAACUUGUUCUCCUCCAGGGGCCAGGGGGUCUGCUUAUAUACUCCCCUCAGGUGAACGUGGGCCGUCAGAUCAAACCGACAUUGAUUGAACGAUUAUCCUUGAUCCUUUAGGUCGGUGGAGCGUAAUCCCCAAAGCGAGUCCUGAUUGGACUCUGGGACAGGGCGGGCGCCCAAGGGGGAGGGCAGGCUCCCUGCCCCCAGGCCCGUUCGCCUUACCGUUCGUUCCCGUGGCUUCUGGAGUCUUCUAGAUAACAUUGCGUGGCAUGUUAAUAUCUCUAUGUAAACCCGACGUGUGGGCCUUUCCUCCAUAUUUCCUGAUAACCCCCUACAGAAAUAGACAAACACCAAAACUCAUGGAAUUCUGUCAGAUAAAACCCUAAGUCUAUGUGUUGGUUGCAUUUGGAUCCUUUUCUUUAUUUAUUUGAUGAUUAUAUUUGAUACUUAAGGACCGUCAACAACUCCCCCAAGCUUACCUCUUGCUCGUCCCUGAGCAAGGAUGGACUCAAGAGUUUCUGCAGUGGUUUCAUGCCUUAAAAGUACACAUGCGUUCAAGCAAGACCUCAUCUCUGAGUUAGAGUAAACUGUUAAGACUUAAAACUUACUCAUUUUACCUUUCACCAUGGGGCUUGUAACCGUAACUUGUGUCUUGAGCAGUUAAAAGAUAGAACGGUCAAGUCAAGCGCUAUGUCUCUUAUUCUUGAUCAGUUAUAGCUCUGGAGUUUUUGUAGAUUUUCAAAAUAAAACUCAGAGAUUCCUUGUAUGACUCUCUCUAGUCUCUCUUUUGUGUUUUUUCUAGAUCCUUUCCAAGGUUGUAUUGGUAUAUGCCUUCUCUCAAAGUAUGUGGUAUUUUUGGUAUGGGGCAUAGUGAUAUUGCCUUCUCUCUCACCCUACUCUAAUAAGGUUUUGAUAUCUAGAGCUCAUAGGUGGGAGACAGAUAAUACAUACUUACAAGACAUUUAUUGCAUAGUCAAAACAUGGAUCCAGAGAAAACAAGUCAAUAAGUCAAAUCAAGAUGUGCAUGUGUGGCGAAUGAAUGGUGUAUGGUGAUGAUGGUGAUAAUGGUGAAAGCGAUGGUGAAAGUCUAAUUCUACGUUUGCUCUUUUAAGGGGAUACAUACCUUUCUUGCACUUUUGAAGCUUUUUUUGAGGGGAAUGAGAUGCUCUAUAUUUUCUUUUUCUUUUUCUCUUAGGUGGGUAUCUUUGUACCCCUAAUUCUACAGUCGGACACUCGUCCAGUUUUACCUCUCGUCUCACUCUUUCUUUUCUUCGAGGUUCCGGGCACUUGCCCCUUUUUAUUUCCUCGUAUCCUCUUUUUUUUAGAGCACUCAUCUCCUUAAAUAAUAUAGCAAGUGGUAGUAACCAAGAUAACUGGAGCAUUUAUUUCACAGGGAAAUACAGAAAUGUUUUUGGCUAUUCUCUCCUGGAUUAGGAGUAGAAUACUUUUGGGUGGCUCUGGAGAUGGAAAUGAGUGGAUAUAUGUGGAUGCGUACUUCUGGAAUAGAAGUAGCAUAUAUGAGUGAACGUGCAAGUGAAUCUUGAUUUUAACCACAUGACAAGCUCCUAAGGGUCUACACAGCUUGACCACACUCAAUGCUCAUAAGCAGUAACAAGUAAAUGUGUGGCUCAAAGUCUAAUAAGCAUGUAUAUAUGGCUGUGGUAGGAUUUUAAAUUCUCAUCAUACAGGAACUCAUCAUGUGUUAUUUUAAAGAUUUUCAAAGAUAAAAUUCUCCAGAAUUCUAGCAUCUCUAGGAAUAAAUAGCAGCUCAACCUAUCCAUAUCAUAUCCGUUAACGACUCAGACUUUAGAUCAAGUACUCUUCCCACAAGUUUAGGUUUAGGGUUUAAAUUAUAACAGUUAUGCCUAAACUUGAGAGAGAUUUCAAUUUUAAGAACUAGUCAUGGCAGAGCAACUAUUCAUCAUUUCCAUGUGGGAGGUUAUCAUGAGGGUUCAUAGCAAACUUUAUUUAUUUAUUUAUUUAGCAAACUAAGCAAAGAUAUAUAUAUAAAAGCACAAAAUCUUUAUUUGGGUUUUCAUGAUUAUGCAUCUUUUUAUUAUUUGAGUAAAGUAUAAACGCGAGUAGAAACACUUAGCUGGAUAAAUGAGGGUGCUCUCCCCCAAGCUAGAUUUUGACGUAAUUUCUUCUGAUGUAGCUUGCAGGUGGCAGAGGUGUAUUUGAAUGACGGCAGCACCCUAACAGCGAUUAGGAUGUCCUCUAUCUGCUAGUCUUAUUUAAUCCUUGAAUUAUGUGGAGCUCAAAUAGACAACAAAGCUUUGUGGAACAGAUUAGGAGUUAGCAUAAAUAUCUAGCCUUUAUCAUGUUGAUCCUCCUCAGUAAAUGUUAUUUAUUUAGCAGGAUCAUGCACUUAUUAUUUUUAUAUUUUUAUUGUAAGAUGAAAACAUAUUUAUUUUAUGCCACCAUAGUGAAUGUACCUAUGGGUUUUAUGCCAUGAGCAUACUCACAUGGGGCUUACUAUUUUUUAACAUUUUUAUUUUCUUUUCGAGACGAUAUGAACCUAAUUAACUAAGCAAACUAUUUUAAAUAGGAAAAAGGAUAACUACCAUGUUUACCUCUUCGUAGGCAUUCGGUGUUUUUGAGUCCUCCGAACGGGAUUCUCCGUUUUCUCAAUCGUCGUGGGAUUUGCUGGGUGGCUGUUGACGGUCCUUAAUGCUCACAUUUAACCAUCAACUAAUCAUAGAAAAGUAUCCAAAUGCAACCAACACCCAGACUUAGGGUUUUAUGUGACAUAAUUCCACGAGUUUUGGUGUUUGUCUAUUUCUGCAGGGGGUUAUCAGGAAAUAUGGAAGAAAGGGCCACAUGUCGGGAUUACAUAGAGAUAUUAACAUUCUGCACAAUUUUCUACCAUAUAGAAGACUCCAGAAGCCACGGAAACGAACGGGAAGGCGAUCGGGCUCGGAGGCAGGGCGCCCGCCCUACUCUCCUGGGCGCCCGCCCACCUUCUGAGUCCAAUCAGGACUCUCUUUUGGGAUCGUGCUCCACCGACCUAAGGGAUCAAGGAAAACCAUGCGAUUAAUGUCGGUUUGAUCCGACGGCCCAGAUUCAUCUGAAAAGACUAUAUAAGCAAGGCCCCCUGGCCCCUGGAGAGCAUACCUCUUCUACAGAAUCAAAGUUAGGGUUUCAAUUCUUCAUCCAAGUAGAGAGGAUCCCUCUAGUUCAUCUAGUUCUACCUCUAGUUCAUCUAGUUCUAGUUCUAGUUCAUAUAGUUCUAGUUCUAGUUGUAGUUAGUUCUAGUUGUAAUCUUGAAAAUAGGAAGAGAGAAGAGGAGAGCGGAGGAGGAGGAGCUGGAUCUGUCGAAUCUUCCUCAACAUUGUACUUUUGCAGCAACUGGUUCGUUCUUCAUCGUUCUCUAGGUUCUUCAAUUCAUAAUUCCUGGGUUCUUUAAUUACUUUUAUUUACAUUCAAGUUAUUUAUUGGAUUCCCGCUUGCAUCAAGUGCUCUAAUCUUUGCAACAUUAGAGUAGUAAUUAAUAGAUUAGACGUGGUGUUUAGUCUUGCAAUUACCUGGAAUGGCACCCAAUCCUGCGGAUUGUUGUGGUAGCCCUAGGGUAGUGACAGCCCUAAUGGUCGACGCAUUCCACCUCGUUCGGAUCGGUGUUUGUAGGACCGUAGUCAGAGCUUCCUAGCCCCCUUCUCAUCUCUUUCUGUGGUUAGUGUUCUGAUGUCCCGAAAUAAAUAAUAUUUGAAGUAAUUCUUGAUUCUUAGAUCAAUUAGAGAACUCUCAGGAAACUUCCUCUCUUCCCACCAAAAAUAAUUAUAUAGUUAUCCUAGGACGAUCUUGAAUCUUAAUUAGUACACUCAAGUUCCCUGUGGAAAAAUCGAUACUCUGGAAUACUCCCGGGUGAAAGCUACAUCGAUAUCCGUGCACUUGCGGAUUUUCUGUUUGCGUUUAAAAUACCCAACAGUGGCGUAGUCGGUGGUUCCGUUGGCGCCUCCCCUUCGUGUAUAACUAUCUUCUCUUUCUGACUCGGUGCUAUGGUCUCCCCAGGAUAGUUCUAUUCAAGUUGUAUGUCUUCAGACCUUACCACUUCUCCUUGGUAGUCUACCCAUCCGUCCUUGAUGAUUUGCCUUCUCUGGUUGCGUUAUCUUCUUGUCCUUUAGGUACAUCAUUUGAUUAGGUGUGGACCUUGACGUCUGCACCUCUUGAUACGGAGUCACCCAUGUUCUUUGUUUGCUCAACAGUUCGAAGUGCGGUGUUGGCAAUAUCCUGCUCAGUGUGUUUGCGCUCGUAGAUCCAGGUCCUUCACUUCUUGGAGUUUGGGAGUUGUAAAACUCCUCCAUGUUUUGCUUGAAGUGUACCUGUUCAUAGAGACAAUGCAGAGAUCAAGUGCAUGGGCCCUGUUGGUCGAAAACACGAACAAAACCAAAAGUGUAUUGUUCUUCUCUAACCUUAAGCAUAGUGAGCAAGACAAAGUUGAUAGGAUCAAGAGUGUAGUAUUUGAAACAUUUGUCAGAUCAGAUGGCUCAACCUAAUGGAAAGAUAAUCUAUCUAUAUUUAUGUUUUGUUUAUAUCUUCCAAAGAUUGAAUGUGCACCAUAUUAGCUUAUAUGAUUAGAAGUGUGGGAUCACGAAGGUAGUACUAAGAACAAAGAUUAAAGGACUAAACAUGUUGAAUUAAUUGGGUUGAUUAAUUUGGAGCUACAAAUCAUACAUGUUUGUCUCUUUUAUUCAUGUGAAUGCCAGAACCAAGGAGAAACUUAUAAAAGUGAUAGUCAAGUACAUUAAGAUGUUACCUUAAUUGAAGAGUGAUGGUAUAGUAUCACCUUGUGGAAGCUUUCCUCUCUUAGCGGUUGUGCAUCGUGUUUGUGGCACCCUCCAAGGAUCAUCUCUUUAUGAUGAAUGAGCUAUGUCCUUCUUGUGCAAAUUGUUAAACUUCAUGUGUCUCCUUUAUCUCCAAUGAGUUUGUAUCUCAGGACUUCUCAGGUUGAUAUUGAAAGUUUUCCUGCAGGGGUUAGUCCAACAAAAUAUCCCAUAUGUACUAUAGCAUACUAUCGGCUCAAAAAUCAACCUAGACACCUUGUCUAAUUUGAUUUAGGAGGGCAUUUUAACCUAAGCACCAUGCUUAAUUUAAAAAUCCUUUGGAAGUAAGAUCAUCAUUCCUAAACUAAGCACCAUGUUUAACUAAGAGAUAAGUGAAACUACUCCAAACCUAGACAUAUACUAAAGCAAAUAAAGGUAGCAUGAGAGCAUUUAUAGAGAUCUACUCAAGUGGAGAUGAAGUAGUGUGAUUAGUAUUUAACAAAUUGAGCAUGUCUGAAAGGUAAGGACAACCAACAUAGCAACAUGGCAAAUGAUGUUUUUAUGUAAAGUACUCCCCCAAGCUUGAAUUUUGCAAAAUUCAAGUUUGGAUGAAUUUAAUUCAAUGUUGUGUGAUGGUUGGUUGGACAUACCUUGCACUUGUCAUUCCUCGGAUCUUCUUGCUCCAAUCCUAGAAAGGUUAGUGACACGAAUACCUGAAGGAAUAUUUCUACAAUUAUCUUUAUAUGCUCAAUACACAAGGCAAUGUUGCAAAUAAUUAAAAGUUCAUGUUACGAUCUGAUAAGUGCUUGUUUUAGGACACUAAGCUUAUCCUUGGGAAACCAUCAAUCAACUCAACGAGAUCUGCAAUAUUUAUUACAGACAUAUGCAUCGACAAGCGCUCUUUUAAAGUUGUUAUAAUUAGAAAGGAAGAGGGGGUUGGAGAUCUUAAAUGUGGCAGGUUGGAGAGACCAAUUGAAUGGGGAGUUGUUUUAUAUGAGCAAGGACUUGAUGAGGUAUUUAUGAAAUAACUUCCAUGCUCACUGUUGUUUCUUUCAUUCUCAAACUCCAAGGAUGAUUCUUCAUAAAUGCUUAGAAUUCCUCUAGGAUUGUCUCUCAAGUUUGUUUUAUCCAUCCAUUCAAUGGUGAUAGCAUAUGGAUUUUUAAUGCCCUCUAGCCAUUGAUGUUGCUCUUCUCGAUCCUCCUUGUUGUCUUGGUGACUCUUAUGAAUGGGAUGUCUAGAGAGAUUCAUAGGAUCAUCGGGAGGUUCAAGAGAAAGAGCAUAGUAGAAAUUAUUAGGCUCAAGGAUGGGUUGGAUAGCCGAAUCAUGGGAUUGGAAUGUUUGGAAAUCGGCUAUUGAAACUUCCUCUCCUUGUCUAGGAGAUGAUUCCUUCUCUAUCUCAAAGAUUUUUCUAUGAAGACUAGUACAAGAAGGAUGUCCAUGAAUGAAGACAUACCUUGCUUUACUAACAGAUAAAGAAAGAAAAACUCUACCAAAGGUUAUAUGAUUAAGACCAAUGUGAAAAUAUCGAGAAAAAAACAUGGCCUUGUAGGGCUAGGUCUAAACCAGAAUUUAUAGAAAGAUUAAAAGAUUCCCUAGGUAUAGCUAAAAGUUCAUUAUCUUCUUGAUUAAAAGAUAUGAUCUCACCUAUAGAAAAGGGUUGGUUUUGACCUAUUGCAAUCAACUCCGGACACAGAUCAUAAUUAGGGGCAGGACUUGUUGACUCCCAUGGUCUAUGGCUGGUCUCCGAAGGUGCAAAGAAUUCAAUAAUAGGUAUGGAAUUUGAGUUAUCCAUAAAGAUGGAAAAAAUAAAAAGAUAAAAGAAUAAAAGAAUAAAAGUAUAAUACAAGAUAAUAGCAAAACUAAAAGUUAUCUCAGCAAACCGUCUUUCUCCCCGGCAACGGCGCUAGAAAUGCUUGUUGAUAUUUGGUAAUGCCAUCAGGAAAUGAUCCGCAAGUGCACGGAUAUCGGUGAGCAUUUCACCCGGGAGGUUAUCCAGAGUAUCGUAUUUAUAUUUUUACUACUGGGAGAAAGCGUGCAGCUGACUAACCAAAUCUAUUGCUACUACCCUUUAGGCUACAAAGAAUGUUUCUCGAUGUGAGUGAUGUAUAGAGAAGACUACAACCGUAGUCUUGUUCUAACCUUGGUAAGGAUGAUCUACUGUUCUAUUGGGGAGGCUAACGGAAUCUAGACACCACAGAGGAUGUUCAACCCGCACCUAUAAACCCUACCCGUCCUGCUAACAAGAUGUGGGCUGCAAAGAUAACUCAGAAAUGUCACGUUCAUCGCUACUACCACGGUCCAGCUAGUCAGGGGAUAUCUAUGAGUACCCUAGCCCAAACAUCACGUUUACGAUAGCAAUGAUUACUCUAAACUCAACCAGAAGAGAUUAAAGUAAACUCAUAAACCAAAGAACAAUAAAAAAAUAACUUACUAGAAUUUAGAAGUCGAAUUAGUGAAGAAUCCUAGGAGCAAGCCUCGGGUUAGGAGAACUUGAUCCCGUAGGUACAACCUCGGAGUAGACACCGAUAGGCCGGGCUUCCUCCGAUCUACACGUCCACUAUAUCUCUCUCAAUCUAGUAGAACUUAGAAGAACUAAUUCUACUCUCACAUUGGAUGCUAGGCCCUAAGUCUAUUUAGAGGAGAGGUAUUCCUUCGAGGGCUCCUCUCAACUCUAUGAUGAACUUGUUCUCCUCUAGGGGCCAGGGGGUCUGCUUAUAUAGUCCCCUCAGGUGAACGUGGGCCGUCGGAUCAAACCGACAUUGAUUGAAUGGUUAUCCUUGAUCCUUUAGGUCGGUGGAGCGUAAUCCCCGAAGCGAGUCCUGAUUGGACUCUAGGACAGGGCGAGCGCCCAAGGGGGGAGGGCGGGCGCCCUGCCCCCAGGCCCAUUCGCCUUCCCGUUCGUUCCCGUGGCUUCUGGAGUCUUCUAGAUAACAGAAAUUUGCACGGCACGUUAACAUCUCUAUGUAAACCCGACGUGUGGGCCUUUCCUCCAUAUUUCCUGAUAACCCCCUGCAGAAAUAGACAAGCACCAAAACUCGUGCAAUUCUGUCGGAUAAAAUCCUAAGUCUAGGUGUUGGUUGCAUUUGGAUCCUUUUCUUUAUUUAUUUGAUGAUUAUAUUUGAUACUUAAGGACCGUCAACAAUGAGUGCUCUAAAAAAAGAGAAAAGAUACGAGGAAAUAAAAAGGGGCAAGUGCCCGGAACCUCAAAAGAAAAAGUGAGAUGAGAGGUAAAAAUGGACAAGUGUCCGACAGUAGAAUUAUGGGUGCAGAAUACCCACCUGAGAGGAAAGAAAAAGAAAAUAUAGAGCAUCUCAUUCUCCUCAAAAGUUUCAAAAGAGCAAGAAAGGUAUGUAUCCCCUCAAAAGAGCAAAAGUAGAAUUAGACUUUCACCAUUGUUAUCACCAUCAUUACCAUACACCAUUCAUUCGCCACACAUGCACAUCUUGAUUUGACUUAUUGACUUGUUUCUUUAGAUCCAUGGUUUGACUAUGCAAUAAAUGUCUUGUAAGUAUGUAUACUUAUCUCCCACCUAUGAGCUCUAGAUAUCAAAGCCUUAUUAGAGUAGGGUGAGGGAGAAGGCAAUGUCACUAUGCCUUAUACCUCAAAUACUACAUACUUUGAGAGAGAAGGCAUAUACCAUUACUGCCUUGGUAAGGAUCAAGAAAUACCACAAAAGAGAGAACUGAGAGAGUCAUACAAGGAAUCUCUGAAUUUUAUUUGAAAAUCUGCAAAAAACUCCAGAGUUAUAGCUGAUCAGGAAUAAGAGACAUGGCACUUGACUAGACCGUUCUAUCUUUUAACUGCUCAAGAUAGAAGUGAAGGUUACAAGUCCCAUGGUGAAAGGUAGAAUAAGUAAGUUUUAAGUCUUGACGGUUUACUCUAACUCAAAGAUGAGACCUCAUUUGAAAGCAUGUGUACCGUCAACUUUUAAAGGUAUUACAGCAACUUCUAAUGCAUCACUGAGAUUAUCCUUGCUCAGGGAUGAGCAAGAGUUAAGCUUGGGGGAGUUUGUUGACGGUCCUUAAGUAACGAAUUUAAUCAUCAAAUAAACAAAGAAAAGGAUCCAAACGCAACCGACACCCAGACUUAGGGUUUUAUCUGACAGAAUUCCACGAGUUUUGGUGUUUGUUUAUUUCUAUAGGGGUUAUCAGGAAAUACGGAAGAAAGGCCCACACGUCGGGUUUACAUAGAGAUAUUAACGUGUCGUGCAAUUAUCCAACAUCUAGAAGAGUCUAGAGGCCACGGUAACGAACGGGAGACCGAAUGGGCCCAGGGGCAGGGCGCCUGCCCUCCCCCUUGGGCGCCCACCCUGGCCUGAGGGCCAAUCACGUUCAACUUCGCGGAUCAUGCUCCACCAACCUAAAGGAUCAAGGAAAACCGUGCGAUUAAUGUCGGUUUGAUCCGACGGCCCAUAUUCAUUUGGAAGGAGUAUAUAAGCAGACCCCCUGGCCCCUGGAGGAGAGCACCUCUCUGAAACCCUAAUUUAUUUAUCCAUCUUGGGAGAAGAAGCCUCUGAUCAAGCCCUAGAGCCACCACAUCAAUAGAUCUCUAGUUUAGCAUAUCUACAUAGGAUUAGAACUAGAAGGAGUUAAUCUUCGAUUGGUUUCUGGAUCUGUCAAAAGGAUUCUUGGUAAUUCCUCUACUGUUCUUUAAUUGUUCAUCAUUGUUCUUCAAUAUUAUGAAUAUGACUUUAUUCUACUUCAAUAUAUUGAUUAUGACUUUGCUCUACUUGUUUAUAUUUGCAAUUAUAUUGUUCUUAGUUUAUCAUAGUUAUAUGCUUGGCUUAGUUAGAUUGGAAUUAUAUACAUGUUUAGGAUCGUAUAGCGUUUAUCCAUGUGUACAGUGGGUAAAUGAUAAGUAUUGUGUAGGCGUGGUGCCUAUGCCUUAUUUAUCUGCGAUUGUACCCUAUAUACCGGAUCGCGGGGUAGUUCGUGGUAUUGACAGCUCCAUUGAUUCUUAUAUAGUCCCCCUCUCGUGUAUAGGGCUGGCAGAGCAACAUUAUUACAGGGGAGUGAUUGCUAUGUUUCUCAUCUUUCUUGAUAAUAUCACUAUGCGUGGGCGUAGUCCUGUCUCUCAAUGAUUGCCAAGUAAAUUGCACUAACUAUGAUAUGCUAGACAUAGUUAAGAAUAGCUUAGGAAAUAUUCUUGUAGUACAUCCUAAUUAGAUGCUAAUGACUUGCUAGAAUAUCUAUUAAGGUGCUUAUCAUAUUUGUAUGUGGCUAGUUAUGCUGAUCAGAUUAAUUAUCUUUGUCACCAUUCAUACUUUAUCUAUCUUUUAUGUGACACUUAUCCCUGUAUGAAAGAGAUAGAUAAAUGCUCUCAAUUAUACAUGCAAUGAUAGAUACUCAAUUCUAUAUUCCAUUCCAUAAUCAACAUUGAUGAUUAGAAAUCCCUUCCCAGUGGUAAAAAUAUAAAUAACGAUAUCUCGAAUACUUCCCGGUUAAAAUGCUACAUCGGUAUUAAUCUGUGUGCUUGCAUAUCUCAUUUAUUAUUCAUUUAGAAGAGCAAUUGCAUAUUUCAAUACCGCGUCUCUCAUGUCAUGCUGGGGAUGACAACUUGGCUUAAGUGGCAUGAGGGAUAGGUUUGGCAUUUUUGGCGCCGUUAUCAGAAAUAGAAAACUAAGUCUACUUUUGGUAGUGACGUUAAGAAUGCUCAACACCCAUCGCGCUAUUUAGUGCUCUACCGAGCCCUCGCGGCCAGCCUAUGGGCGACCGACGCGGCCGUCCGCCAUGCUUGUGAUUAAGGUAGAUGAGGGCAGUAGAGCGUGCACGGGUGCUAGCAAUGGAGUCGUAGAGUUGAGGCGAGGCCGCUGCGCAUCUUAGCGUGGGCUAGGACCCCCGCUAACGGCGACCGGAAGCACGGCCAAGCCGCCGGCAGCGUGGGAGACGAAGCUGACAGCGGGGGGCCGCUGUCAGCGACGUCGUGAGAGGGAGGGCGCGCACGGCGUGCGGGCCGAGUUGCUGGGCCGCCCAUGGCACAGUGUCGUUUUCCUUUUUCCUUUUUGUGCAAAUUUGAGUUAUGUUUUAUUUUGUGUAGAAAAUUAUGUGCUGAUCCAAAAAUAGUGAAAAUAUUUGGGUAUGUUCUAUGCAGUGAGCAGAACAUAGGAAAAAUGUUAAAUUCCAUUUUCUGAUACAUUGAACCUCUACAAAAAUUGUAUCCUUUAUUUAGUAAAUAAAACUUCCAUGAAUUUUAGGAAUUUAUUAAUAUGUCCAAAAAUCACCAAAAUUUGUGAGAUGUCUCUGAAUAUUAUUUCAUGGCUUCACACAAAAUUUGGUGGCAUUAGGAUAAUGUUUGAAUAAAAUAUUAAUAUACCCUUAGUUAGUAAUUACGUAAUAACCAUAAAAUAAUUAGAUAAUAAUUAGCUUAAUUUUCAAAUUAGUAUUUGAGUGAUUUUGGGAUUGUGUGAUGACUUGAAGUCAUUAACCUUAAUGACCUUUGACAUUCAAUUAUUGUUUGGUAUUAAUGAUUAAUUAUUGUCAUUAAUGCUUAAUUAAAGAUUAAUUAAGAUAAAAAGGAUUAAUAAUUAGUUAAUUAAGAAUAACUAUAAAUUAAGAAGGUCUUAGUUUACUAAUGCAACCUCUUGGGUAACAACACUAAAGUGAUAAACAACCUUAACUACUAUUUAACCUGUCUUUUCACCGAGAAGGAAAAUUGUACUCAACACGGUCCUUCUUUUGUGUUGUCAUAAGCAUAUCAUGAGCAUACAUUAUUUUUCGUAUAGUGCACGUGACCGAGGGAAUGACCAUUGAAGCGAACCCCGAAAUUGGUGUUCCGCUCAAAGAUGUUGGAUCCAAGACUUGGGAAGUCUUCGAGGAACCCACUCAGUUCUGCAACCAAGGCAAGCCCCGGAUGCAUUAACCCUUCCUUGAAUAUUUUAAAUCUUUCAUCACUUAUGAAUCAAAAUGCUGCAUUACGUAGUCAGGAAUUGGGAUAACCAAUUGUUGCAUUUACCACCUUGAUAUUUGUUAUCUUGUCCUUGGCACCUGUUUUAUUUUAAAAUUGUGUAGUGAUGCUUAGCCCUGCUUAUUAGAUAGGUUUUCAAUUAAGAAAGUUUGAAGGGUUGUUGUGGAAUACUUUUAUUGUCAAUGAUGUUUCAACUUGAGACCGGUCGGUGGACUUCCUUUAAGAAUGGAGUCUUAAAAUAGUGUCUCCAACUGUGUCGAUUAAGGACCGGUCCGUUGAUGGCCUAUUGGGUUGAGAAUUUAUAGUACUGGCCACCUGCUCUCGUUAAGCCCGGUCUUGUGAUUCCUCGACGAGAGCGGCUACUCACGCACUGGGCGUGGAGCAAUGGCGAGAUUAGUGUGUACAUUCCUGGCAAAAAUGGGCUGGACGGUGGAGUACUGUGCUCUCAGGUGCUGCGAACCCGGUCAGAUAUUGGGAAAGCAAAAUUUGGGUUGACAUAUGCAAGAUUCGGUUCUACAUAUGUCGGAUGGUUAGGAACUCCAGCUGGAUUGCUAAGUGGUUCGAAUCGUCGUUGCUCCUCGAUUGGAAGACUCAAUUCCUUUGACCAUCAUCGUAGUUAAAUAUGCAACUAAGUGGUGAAAUGGGAAAAGGGAAUGUCUCAUGGAGUUUGGAUACCAAUUCCCGGACUCAGAGUGACAUGAAGCUUUGGCCGUCGAAUGAACAACAUAGUUAUUAAGGACUAUGAAAUUACAGACUUGUCUGUAAAAAGCAAAUAGAUAGACUGACCUCAAAUUCCUUGGCCUCUCGAGGUGAGCAAUUCGUGGCUAAAACUUGAAAGUAAGGAUACACUAUUAGUAAGCUUUCAUGCAAAACAAUCUGGUUCCUUGCUUAGCCACGCCUUGUCUACCCUAAGCCUGCAUUCUUAAGUUCUCAUCUUUUCCUGUUGGGUAAGUCUUGUUGAGUACUCCACUACUCAGGGUUUUAUAACCCCUAUUGCAGGUGAUGUUCAGGUGCCGACUUGUUUCGGACCCUGUUGUGUGACCGUCGUCGAGGUUGACGAUGAAGAAGAGGGAGCGUGACCCGUGGGUAGGGUCUAUAAGUUUGUAAUCUUUGUAAUAUGGUUUAAGUUGCUCCAUUGGACCUGGCUUGUAAUAACACUUUACCUAAAUCCUACUUUGAUGAACCGCUUUUGUAAAUUAAAUUAUGUAAUACUUCUGUUGUUUUACUCUGAAAUGCUACUUUGGUCAUAUACUGUUGGAGAUACUGCAAUAUCUUUGCAAUGAAUGAUCCUGGUGUUAAGGUGGUCACUUGCUAUCCUAUAAGGGCGAGAAGAAGAAAUUCUCUUUAAUUGACCAUUGCUAGUGGUCAGGACGAGCUCAGUUAUUAUGCCACAGGUAGCAGUGGAAUGGGCAUCGUGUGAUGCUCAUCGAGCUUAUAGAGUAGAUGGAUCCCCGGCAUCACCGUCAGAGGUCCUUGGGACAAUGAUAGGUGUUGGUGAGCGCAACUACUUAGGAGGUUCUGCCACACAAUCCCAAUGAUCUUUAUGCCGAUUCCAUUCUUCCUGAUGCCUCUCUUCUUGCUGACGUCGAAACCGAUCCUCACGCUGUUGCCAAUUCUCUCUUUGUAGCCUAUGGGUGAUCACGACACCAGAUCAAGGAGGCCUUUCAGAAGUGCUACUUUCUUCGAAAAUACCUUCUCCUUUUGCGUCAUUGGUAGUUACCUGAUGUUGGGGAUCCACCGAUGCGUUCUCCUCGGCAAUUUCUGAUGUCAGGAUCUUAGUCUUAUCCUCAUCAUCCAACAUGUUAGUGGGAAAAGGGUACUGAUCAAUUUUCAUUGGCUUCUGAGUUUUAGAGCCAUUAAAUUUAACUCUCCUAGAUUUUAUAGCCGAUUGCAACUAUUGCCUGAACACUUUACAUUUAUUUGUAUUAUGUGAAGUUGCAUUAUACCAUUUGCAAUACUUGAUCUUCUUCAACACUUUUGCCGAUGGAAUCACAUGGUUUGGUGAUAAUUUAAUCUGGUCCUCUUGUAACAAGAGGUCGAAUAUACUAUCGGCUUUUGUGACAUAAAAAGCAAACAUUUCUAGUUCUUUCUGACGAAAAGGACAAGAUAUCGGCUUCUUUUUUCACCCACUCAGCUAUGUGUUAGCAAAUCUAAACGCACACAGGCUAGAGUAAGAUGUGACAAGUAUCAACAAAUUGUGGCGCCUAACCAGCACUGAUUAAAUGCAAGCCUAAGCUAUUACUAGGAUAGGGUGUCAGGCUACCCUGAGCAAUGGCUCGAGAAAUGCUAAGCAACGCUAAACUCUAGCAGUGACGCAAGACGUACAAAGGGUAACUCUCCAAGCGCAAAGGUACCACUGUAGCACUUCAACCGUGGUGAGUAUCCAUGUGUCGUAAUUUAUAGUUCGCUCACAGGAAGCGGACUAAGACUCUCUUAAUAAAUAUUUGGAUGGAUAUCCGUGGUUUGUGUCUACUCAAUCUAAGUUCACUAGUGCUAAUAGGGGGGUAAGAAUAGCAAGAUAGAAUAAUAGAUAAGUCAGAUAAAGGUAAUUAAAAAUAAUUGGUAGUGAGCUAGUUAGUUGGGAGGACAACGAGUGAGUAAGGACUCCUAUGUAUCUAACUCUACUUCUAUGUUCUAAUCCUGAUCAAUGUAAAUGACUAAAAUAGACUAGUAUCCAAAUAGUCUUGUGUGGUGGAAGUCGACUGCAAAGGAGGCCAAAACUCCUAUGCAAGCAGACUUUUGUCUUAUGGCGCCUACAGACCGUACCCGACAUGAAUAGAACCUACUGGGAAGCAGAGGUCUGUCAUGCUUCGCCGCCACCUGCUAACACGUUUGAUACGGUGGCAUCCACUAAUAAGCGCUAGCCUAAGCACCUCGCUUACACUAGUCUUAUAACUUCAACUAUCACGUAAAUAGCCAAAGCCCCUAAUGGUAGUGGAACACACACAAGGUGUUGAAGACACUAAUCUAACUAAGGCAGCUACACUAAUAAGACUAAGACAGAACACUACUACAAGUAUAGUAAUGCACUAAGCAAUACUCAAAGUAAAGACUUGAAGCAAAUACUUAGUAAAGUAAAGAAAGACUAUAUUGAUAUAGAGAAUGUAAUACAAGAGAAAAGGUACAAGAGCUAUACCAGACUCUCCAAAAGAUAGCUCUAGAGACCGAGCUUCGCUCGACUCGACGCUAACUCCCACUCUAGACUAGACUACACUACACUUGAUCUCCCAAGUGUGAUUUGGAAAUGAAAAUGAGAGAUGGAAGAUGCGAGGUGGAGGACCCCUCCUUAUAUAGAGGUGAGAGAGGGGGUGCCAUGUUAGCGAUCCGCGUGCUCCUUCCUUCUCCACCCUUGGAUGCACCGACCUCCCAACCGCCUUAGAUGGACGGUUGGAGCAUUGCCACACAUGAGGAAGGUCGGUGGGAGUGAACCGACUCCAGAUGGGGCCCACAUGUAGGUCGGUCGACCUUCCCUAUGGCUGAUAGUGGGUCCCACUGACAUUCUAGAAGGUCCUUAGGUCGGUGGGAGGCUAGGCUAGGUGGCAUCACCCAAUUGGUCGGUUGGUCGAUCGACCUUUGGUGCCCCUGGCCCACCACAGGCCUCCUAGUGGUGUCCCCACUUGUCAUGUGAAGUGUUGUCCAAAAUUGAGUCUAGUUGCACACUUGCUUGCUUCCAUGUAGGCCUAAGGAUCCAUGUGCUAAGUGUUUAAACCGUUGAGGGCAAGCACACUUGGAUCCAAGGGUUGAAAUUGACUCCUUGGAGUAUGCCAUGGCUCAUGCUAUGGAGGGGAGCCCCUGGUGGGCCCAAUCCUUGGUCGACCGACCUAGGUUAUGGGGCCCUCAGGGCUCAUUUCCUUCUUCCCUGCAUUGAACAAGCUACGAGUACAAGUGGAACUUUAUUAGUGAUAAAUAUGUUCAUGUGAUGCUUAUCUUCCUUCAAUCGAGGACUGUUGAUGGGCUUUUGAGUAUAUAGAACUGGGUCUUAUUUCCCGUCAACAAGAUGCCCCAAGCUUGACCUUUGCUCGUCCCGAGCAAACAUUCAAGACUUGGUUCGAUUGGAUUAGGUAUUAUCACUAAGUUAACCUCUUGAUAGUACUAAGUGCACAACAAAGAACUUCUCCUUGAAUGGAAAACAUAGCAAUGCUAACACACUAAUGUUACUUUAGCACCCAUGGGGCUUAUAGCAUUAACUCAGUCUUGGGAUGUUGAGAGAUAGAAUAGCUUUGAUUGGACAUCUACUUUUCUUAUUCCUUAGCAAGUUUCAUGCCAGAGGUUUUUUUGUUAAGUUUUUCAAAAGAAAUCUUAAUGUUCCUCAUAUGGUUUCUCUCAAGUCACUCUACUGGUGUAUAAAUCCUUACCGAGGCAUAUGAGUAAGUUGCCUUCUCUAUGUAAUCCUACUAUAAUAAAGGCUUAUGUGGAGCUCAAGGUAGGAACAAGGUGAUGGCGUAGUUACAUUGCAUAUGUUGUGAAGUCAAACCUUGGAUCCUUGGAAGAAGAGUAGUGUCUGUUGACGGUCCUUAUGUAUCAAAUUUAAUUAUCAAAUAAACAAAGAAAAGGAUCCAAAUGAAACCAACACCUAGACUUAGGGUUUUAUCUGACAGAAUUCCACGAGUUUUGGUGUUUGUCUAUUUCUGCAGGGGAUUAUCAGGAAAUAAGGAAGAAAAGCCCACAUGUCAGGAUUACAUAGGGAUAUCAACACACCGCGCAAUUUUCUACCAUCUAGAAGACUCCAGAAGCCACGGGAAGAAAGCAGAGGCCGAAAGCGGCCAGGCCCAGGGCGCCCGCCCUCCUUCCCUGGGCGCCCGCCCUGACCUGGACUCCGUUCGGGACUCUCUUCACACACGAUGUUCCACCAACCAAAUGGAUCAAGGAUGAUGUAGUACCACAUCGCCUAUCGACCCAAAAAUGAAUAGAGGAGGGGGACUAUAUAAGGAGACCCCCCUGGCCCCUGGAGAAGACAAGAAGUUAUCAUAGAGAUUGAGGGGUGCCCUCGAAGGAAAACAUCUUCUCUAAAUAAUAUUUUUUUUAGGCUUAGCAACCAAUGUGAGUAGAAAUAGAUCUUCUAGUUUCUACAAGAUUGAGAGAGAUAGAGUGGAGGUGUAGAUCGGAGGAAGGCGGCCUGUCGGUGUCUACUCCGAGGUUGUACCUACGGGAUCAAGUCUUCUAACCCGAGGCUUGCUCCUAAGAUUCUUUAGUAAUUCGACUUCUAAUUCUAGUAAGUUCUUGUUUUAUUGUUCUUUGGUUUAUGAGUUUACUUUAAUCCUCUUCCGGUUUAGUAUUAGAGUAAUCAUUGCUAGCGUAAACUUGGUGUUUAGGCUAGGGUACUCAUAGAUAUCCCCUGACUAGCUGGACCGUGGUAGUAGCGAGGAACAUGACAUUUCCGAGUUACCUUUGUAUCCCAUAUCUUGUUUGCAGGAAGGGUAGGGUUUAUAGGUGGGGGUCGAACAUCCUUUGUGGUGUCUAGAUUCCAUAAGCUUCCCCAAUAGAACAGUAGAUCAUCCUUACCAAGGUUAGAACGAGACUACGGUUGCAGUCUUCUCUAUACAUCACUCACAUCGAGAAACAUUCUUUGUAGCCUAAAGGGGUAGUAGCAAUAGAUUUGGUUAGUCAGAUGCACCCUUUCUCCCAGUGGUAAAAAUAUAAAUACGAUACUCUGGAAAACCUCCCGGGUGAAAUGCUCACCGAUAUCCGUGUGCUUGCAGAUCAUUUCCUUAUUGCGUUACCAAAUAUCAACAAGCAUUUCUGGCGCCGUUGCCGGGGAGAAAGACGGUUUGCUGAGAUAACUUUGAGUCUUGCUAUUAUCUUGUAUUAUACUUUUAUUCUUUUCUCUUUUUAUCUUUAUGGAUAACUUAAAUUCCAUACCUAUUAUUGAAUUCUUUGCACCUUCGGAGACCAGCCAUAGACCAUGGGAGUCAACAAGUCCUGCCCCUAAUUAUGAUCUGUGUCCGGAGUUGAUUGCAAUAGGUCAAAACCAACCCUUAUCUAUAGCUGAGGUCCUAUCUUUUAAUCAAGAAGAUAAUGCACUUUUAGCUACACCAAGGGAAUCUGUUAAUCUUUCUAUAAAUUCUGGUUUAGACCUAGCCCUACAAGACCAUGUUUUUCCUAGAUAUUUUCACAUUGGUCUUAAUCAUAUAACCUUUGGUAGAGUCUUUCUUCCUUUAUCUAUUAGUAAAGGAAGGUAUGUCUUCAUUUGUGGACAUCCUUCUUGCACUAGUCUUCAUAAAAAUAUCUUAGAGAUAGAGAAGGAAUCAUCUCCCAGACAAGGAAAGGAAGUUUCAAUAGCUGAUUUCCAAACAUUUCAAUCUCAUAAUACGGCUAUCCAACCCAUCCUUGAGCCUAAUAAUCUCUACUAUGCUCUUUCUCUUGAACCUCCCGAUAAUCCUAUGAAUCUCUCUAGACAUCCCAUGAAUAAGAAGGAGGAUCGAGAAGAGCAACAUCAAUGGCUAGAGGGCAUUAAAAAUCCAUGUGCUAUCACCAUUGAAUGGAUGGAUAAAACAAACUUGAGAGACAAUCCUAGAGGAAUUUUAAGCAUUCAUGAAGAAUCAUCCUUGGAGUUUGAGAAUGAGAGAAACAACAGUGAGCAUGGAAGUUAUUUCAUAAAUACCUUACCAAGUCCUUGCUCAUAUAAAACAUCUCCCCAAUCAAUUGGUCUCUCCAUCCUUACCACAUUUGAGAUCUCCAACCCCCUUUUCCUUUCUAUUUAUAAACACUUUAAAAGGGUGGUUGUCGAUGCAUAUGUCUAUAAUAAAUAUUGCAGAUCUCGUUGAGUUCAUCUUGAUAUAGGUCAGCGUCGGAGGGGAAACCACUUCACCAACAUAACUUGAUGGUUUCCCAAGGAUAAGCUUAGCGUCCCUAAACAAGCACUUAUCAGAUCGUAACAUGAACUUUUAAUUAUUUGCAACAUUGCCUUAUUGAGCAUAUUGAGAUAAUUAUAGAAAUAUUCCUUCGGGUAUUCUUGCCACUAACCUUUCUAGGAUUGGAGCAAGAAGAUCGGAUGAAUGACAAGCACAAGGUAUGUCCAACCAACCAUCAUACAACAUUGAAUUAAAUUCAUCCAAACUUGAAUUUCGCAAAAUUCAAGCUUGGGGGAGUACUUUACAUAAAAACAUCCUUUGCCAUGUUGCUAUGUUGGUUGUCCCUACCUUUGAGAGAUGCUCAAUUUGUUAAGUACUAAUCACACUACUUCAUCUCCACUUGAGUAGAUCUCUAUAAAUGCUGUCAUGCUACCUUUGUCUAUUUACUAGCAAGUGUUGGUUUGGAAGUACUCGACAUACUUCCAUUGGCAUUUAAAUUAAGCAUGGUGCUUAGGUUAAAUAGCCUUCCUUAAUCUGAUUAGACAUGGAGUCUAGUUUGGUUACGGAACUAAAAAAACUGCUUGAGUAGAUAUUGGUAUAUUUUGUGGGACUAACCCCUGCAGGAAAACUUUCAAUAUCAACCUGGGAAGUCCUGAGAUAAACUCACAUUGGAGAUGAAGAAAGUGACACAUGAAGUUUAAUAAUUUGCACAAGAAAGACGUAGCUCAUAAGAGAUGAUUCAUGGAGGGUGCCACAAACACGAUGCACAACCGCUAAGGAAAGCUUCCACAAGGUGAUACUAUACCAUCACUCUUCAAGUAAGGUAACACCUUAAGGUACUGGACUAUCGCUUUUAUAAGCUUCUCCUUGGUUCUAGCAUACACAUGAAUAAAAGAGACAAACAUGUAUGAUUUGUAGCUCCAAAUUAACCAACCCGAUUAAUUCAACAUGUUUAGUCCUUUAAUCUUUGUUCUUAGUACUACCUUCGUGAUCCCACGCUCUUAAUCAUAUAAGCUAAAGUAUUGCACAUUCAAUCUUUGGGAGAUAUAAACAAAACAUAAAUAUAGAUAGAUUAUCUUUCCAUUAGGUUGAGCCAUCUGAUCUGACAAAUGUUUUAAAUGCUACACUCAUGAUCUUAUUAUCCAUCAACUUUGUCUUGCUCACUAUGCUUAAGGUUAGAGAAGAACAAAUACACUUUUGGUUCUGUUGGUGUUUUCCACCAACAGGGCCCAUGCACUUGAUCUCUGCCUUGUCUCUAUGAAUAGGUACACUUCAAACAAAACAUGGAGGAGUUUUACAACUCCGAGAUUGCACCAAGUGAAGAACCGGGAUCUACGAGCACAAACACAAUGGAGAUCAGACACUUAGUUUCCCAAAGGAAAUAUUGAAGAACCUCUGUGUCCGAGUUGGUACCUUGUACGCUCUAGCAAACUUCGUGGUGAUAGAGACUGGUAGUGAGGAGAGGGUACCCAUCAUCUUAGGGAGGCCAUUCCUAAAUACCAGAGCUGACAUCUACGCUAAUGCUGCCAAGAUCAGUUUCUACAUCAAGGGGAAGAAGGAGACUUUCUUUCAAGAACAAGACUACACAAAUUUCAGAGCAAUCCCGACAUGAACCAAGGAAGAGGACCAAUAGGAGGAACAGGAACAAGCAAAUGUGGACGGAGUCAACUAAGAUGGUCACUGCAGCUCAAGGAGGUCAAGAUCGUCGACUCAAGUCACCUUUCCUGAUCAAGAAGGACGACCCUGGUGUUCCAAGCAUUGAGUGCACAAUCAAUGGAUACUCUUUUCAGAAGACACUCUACGACACCAGAUCUGACGUCAACAUAAUGGCCGUAGUCACUUAUCAGCUCCUGCAUGGAACCAUGCCCCUACAACCAACAUACAUUCAGCUCCAGAUGAUUUUCAGGUCAUUGGCAUGGGAGAAGACGAGUACGAUCCACCCACCAUCAUUGGAAGACCAUUCCUCGACACCAUCAAAGCCAUCAUUUAUAUUGGAACCGGAGAAGUCCACAUGCACUUUCCUCUGAAGAAGGCGACGCAACCGCAACCAGAGGAGGCAAAUCAUCAAGGAUGGAUGGGCAGACUACGAAGGAGAAGUAGUAAGGUCUGAAGACAUACAGCUUGAACAGAAUUGUCCCGAGGAGACCGUAGCAUCGAGUCAGGUGUGGAAAGAGAAGAUAGUUAUACAAGAAGAGGAGGCGCCGCCGGAAUCACCGACUACGCCACCUAGCGAAUCCCAGGACGACUGAGAAAACGGAGAGUCCCGUUCGGAGGACUUAAAAAUACCGAACGCCUUGCCAAGAGGUAAACUUGGUAGUUAUCCUUUUCCAUUCAAUAGUUUGCUUAGUUAAUCAGGUUUAUGCUAUCUUGAAAAGAAAAUAAAAAUGUUAAAAAAAUAGUAAGCCCCAUGUGAGUAUGCUCAUGGCGUAAAACCCAUAAGGACAUUCACUGUGGUGGCAUAAAAAUAAAAUAAUUAAGUUUUCAUCUUACAAUAAAAAUAUAAAAAUAAUAAGUGCAUGAUCCUGCUAAAUAAGUAACAUUUAUUGAGGAGGUUCAACAUGAUAAAGGCUAGAUAUUUAUGCUAACACUUAACUAGUUCCACAAAGCUUUGUUGUCUAUUUGAGCUCCACAUAAUUCAAGGAUCAAAGAAGACUAGCAGACGGAGGACAUCCUAAUCGCUGUCAGGGUGUUGCCGACAUUCAAAUACACCUCCACCACCUGCUAGCUACAUCAGAAGAAAUUACGUCAAAAUCCAUCUUGGGGGAGAGCACCCCCAUUUAUCCAGCUAAGUGUUUUUACUCGCGUUUAUAUUUUACUCAAAUAAUAAAAAGAUGCAUAAUCAUGAAAACCCAACUAAAGAUUUUGUGCUUUUAUAUAUAUAUAUAUAUCUUUUCUUAGUUUGCUAAAUGAAUAAAUAAAUAAAGUUUGCUAUGAACCCUCAAGAUAAACUCUAGCAUGGAAAUAAUGAAUAGUUGCUCUGCCAUGACUAGUUCUUAAAAUUGAAAUCUCUCUCAAGUUUAGGCAUGACUGUUAUGAAGUAAGAUUUGCUCUAAACCUGAACUUGUGGGAAGAGUACUUGAUCUAAAGUCUAAGUUGUUAACGGAUAUGAUAUGGGAAGGUUGAGGUGCUAUUUAUCUGUUCCUAGAGAUGCUAGAAUUCUGGAGAAUUUUAUCUUUGAAAAACCUUUAAAAUAUUACAUGAUGAGUUCCUGUAUGAUGAGAGUUUAAGAUGCUACCACAACGAUAUAGACAUGCUUAUUAGACUUUGAGCCACACAUUUACUUUUUACUCCUUAUGAGCAUUAUGUGUGGUCAAGCUAUGUAGACCCUUAGGAGUUUGUCAUGUGGUUAAAAUCAAGAUUCACUUGCACGUUCACUCAUAUAUGCUACUUCUACUCCGGAAGUAGCAUCCACAUACAUCCACUCAUUUCCAUCUCCAGAUUCACCCAAAAGAAUUCUACUCCUAAUCCGGGAGAGAAUAGCCAAAAACAUUAUCCUAUCCCUAUUAUUCUCUGUGAAAUAAAUGCUCCAGUUAUUUUGGUUACUACCACUUGCUACAUUAUUUCAGGAGAUGAGUGCUCUAAAAAAGGGAGAAAAAAAGAGAAAAAAAAUACGAGGAAAUAAAAAGGGGCAAGUGCCCGGAACCUCGAAGAAAAGAAAAAGUGAGACGAGAGGUAAAAAUGGACAAGUGUCCGACAGUAGAAUUAGGGGUACAAGAUACCCACCUGAGAGAAAAGAAAAAAAAGAAAAGAAAAUAUAGAGCAUCUCAUUCUCCCCAAAAAGCUUCAAAGUGCAAGAAAGGUAUGUAUUCCCUCAAAAGAGCAAAAGUAGAAUUAGACUUCCACCAUUAUUAUCACCAUCAUCACCAUACACCAUUCAUUCACCACACAUGCACAUCUUGAUUUGAUUUAUUGACUUGUUUCUCUGGAUCCAUGGUUUGACUAUGCAAUAAAUGUCUUGUAAGUAUGUAUUAGUUGUCUCCCACCUAUGAGCUCCAGAUAUCAGAACCUUAUUAGAGUAGGGUGAGAGAGAAGGCAAUAUCACUACGCCUCAUACCAAAAAUACCACAUACUUUGAGAGAAGGCAUAUACCACUACUACCUUGGUAAGGAUCCAGAAAUACCACAAAAGAGAGACUAGAGAGAGUCAUACAAGGAAACUCUGAGUUUUAUUUGAAAAUCUGCAAAAAACUCCAGAGCUAUAGCUGAUCAAGAAUAAGAGACAUGGCACUUGACUUGACCGUUCUAUCUUUUAACUGCUCAAGACACAAGUGACGGUUACAAGCCCCAUGGUGAAAGGUAAAAUGAGUAAGUUUUAAGUCUUAACAGUUUAUUCUAACUCAGAGAUGAGAUCUUGCUUGAAUGCGUGUGUACUUUUAAGGCAUGAAACCACUGCAGAAACUCUUGAGUUCAUCCUUGCUCAGGGACGAGCAAGAGGUAAGCUUGGGGGAGUUGUUGACGGUCCUUAAGUAUCAAAUUUAAUUAUCAAAUAAACAAAGAAAAGGAUCCAAAUGAAACCAACACCUAGACUUAGGGUUUUAUCUGACAGAAUUCCACGAGUUUUGGUGUUUGUCUAUUUUUGCAGGGGGUUAUCAGGAAAUAAGGAAGAAAGGCCCACAUGUCAGGAUUACAUAGGGAUAUCAACGCACCGCGCAAUUUUCUACCAUCUAGAAGACUCCAGAAGCCACGGGAAGAAAGCAGAGGCCGAAAGGGGCCAGGCCCAGGGCGCCUGCCCUCCUUCCCUGGGCGCCCGCCCUGACCUGGACUACGUUCGGGACUCUCUUCGCACACGAUGUUCCACCGACCUAAUGGAUCAAGGAUAAUGUAGUACCACAUCGCCUACCGACCCAAAAACGCAUAGAGGAGGGGGACUAUAUAAGGAGACCCCCCUGGCCCCUGGAGAAGACAAGAAGUUAUCAUAGAGAUUGAGGGGUGCCCUCGAAGGAAAACCUCUUCUCUAAAUAAUAUUUCUUUUUAGGCUUAGCAACCAAUGUGAGUAGAAAUAGAUCUUCUAGUUUCUACUAGAUUGAGAGAGAUAGAGUGGAGGUGUAGAUCGGAGGAAGGCCGGCCUGUCGGUGUCUACUCCAAGGUUUUACCUGCGGGAUAAAGUCUUCUAACCCGAGGCUUGCUCCUAAGAUUCUUCGGUAAUUCGACUUCUAAUUCUAGUAAGUUCUUGCUUUAUUGUUCUUUGGUUUAUGAGUUUACUUUAAUCCUCUUCCGGUUGAGUAUUAGAGUAAUCAUUGCUAGCGUAAACAUGGUGUUUAGGCUAGGGUACUCAUAGAUAUCCCAUGACUAGCUGGACCGUGGUAGUAGUGAGGAACGUGACAUUUCCGAGAUACCUUUGUAUCCCAUAUCUUGUUAGCAGGAAGGGUAGGGUUUUUAGGUGCGGGUCGAACAUCCUUUGUGGUGUCUAGGUUCCGUAAGCUUCCGCAAUAGAACAGUAGAUCAUCCUUACCAAGGUUAGAACGAGACUACAGUUGCAGUCUUCUCUAUACAUCACUCACAUCGAGAAACAUUCUUUGUAGCCUAAAGGGGUAGUAGCAAUAGAUUUGGUUAGUCAGAUGCACCCUUUCUCCCAGUGGUAAAAAUAUAAAUACGAUACUCUGGAAAACCUCCCGGGUGAAAUGCUCACCGAUAUCCGUGCGCUUGCGGAUCAUUUCCUUAUUGCGUUACCAAAUAUUAACAGUGUCGUGCUCGAGAUCAAGAUAUAUGUGGAAAGGUGGUAUGAUUAUGAUAGCUAGAUGGCUCCUUUAUUUGAUUGUGCUCUCUCUAUUUUUUCUAUUGAGACAAGGCUAGAAUUUCUCUCUCUCUUUUUCAAGGACUUGAUGAUGUCCUUCCUAAUAAGAUGAUUAUUUUUCUAUAGCCUUUGCUUUGUGUCUCAUCUAACAUUUAGCUAUUAGAGAGGGAUUCUACACUUAGAGCAUGGAGCAUCUAUAUUUGGUGGAAUGGAAUGGAAUGGUAUGGAAUGUUGCAUACUCCUAGUGUAGGAGCAGCAGAUGUAUGUGGAUGGUGUGGAUCUUGAUCUCAUUGAGCAUGACACAACUCUAAACCAAGGGUCAACAAGAGUUGACAACUCUCAACACAAGCAAGCAGCCUAUGUGCUGGGUUUCUAUCAUGUAGAGCGUAUAUGGCUUGUGGUAGGAAAUUAACACCAUUGAGGAACAAUUAAGUUUUUAUUCAUCUUUUAAAAAAAUAAAUUCUCUGGCAAUCAUGCAUGCUUAGAAAAUUAGUAUAGAUCUCUUAUCUUAGCUAUAUCAUGUCUCACAACAACUUAGACUUUGUUUUUGCACUUGCAACCCACUAAGUGUUCAAGUUCAUGAUGAUUAAGAAUGCUAAGUAGUCCAUGCUUAGAGAAAUGCUAAGUUGUAAACAAGUACUAGAAAGACAUUAACUAGCAAUUUCAUCAUCAUUUCCAUAGGUAGGAUAACACACAUGAAGCAUAUAUACAAAAAGGAAAUAAAGCUAAUAAUUUUUUUAUUAUUAUGCAAGAAGGAAAAAAACAAAAUGCAAUAAAGCCAGAAUUAAAUUAGGGGGUUUGGAAACUUACCUUGGAUAAACUUACCUUAGUGGGGGAGAGAAUCUCCCCCAGCUUGCCUUCUUGCUCACGGGGGUGGUUGAUACCCAAACCACUAGUCCCAUCGGUACUCGCUCUCAACUUGGAGGCUUUGGGCCAUGUCCAAGUUCUCUUGCAUGAGCUGCAAGGUAGUCUGCUGUCCGAUGUUGAUGUUCUCCAUAUUGCUGAUGAGUGUCUCCAUUUCGGACGGUGGUUGGUGCCUCCCCCUACCACAAGGGCGAGGGGUGCGCGUUGCUGAAGACAUCCUGGAGUGAUGAGGUGUUUUCGUGUGCAUGGAGAUCACCUCAUCCUCCUCUUGUGGUGUAGCAUAAGAGGGACCAGCUUGUUGUUGAGCAGCACGGGACUAUGCUCUCAUCAUCCUGUCUGUCUCUGCAACAGGGUUGGCUCUAUUCUCUCUUCCUAGCCUCAGAGUUAGUGAUGAAGCAUUAUACAACCAAAGGUCCUCAUCAAGGAGAGAGACCUCAAUAAGAUGGUUCCCAUAAAUCAUUUUAAGACCAUUUUUGGGAUCUCUCUUAAUCAAAUUAGCACUCUUAAACAUCUGCUCACCUAAGAGAUAUCUAUCAUCCUGGAUGUACUCUACUUCAUUUAUUUCAAGCAAACCCAUAGAUUCAGCAAUUCUGGUGAUAAGUGAAGUAAAGCAUAUGGGCAUGCUAGGUGCAAUGGAGGAAAUCUAGAAAGUUACUAGCCACUUGACAGGUGAAAAUCUGAUUUUAUUUACCAUGGCAUAAAGCAUUUGCAAUUCUUUAAAGCCUAUAUCAUCCACACUAGUACCAGGGAAGUGAGUGAUUAUGAUCCAAAAGUACAUGAAUCUUAAAGUUGGGUUAUGGAUUUGGAUAGGUCUACGAAUAGAUGGAUUAUUGGAGCAAGUAAUCAACUUCCAGAACUUGGCUAAGUCAAAAUUUCGCAAAGCAUGAUCUUUGUCUAGCUCACAAUCUUGAUCAAAGCCUAGACAUGUACUCAAUUCACUCCAAGUUUAACUCUAAUCUUUGUUGAACAUGUGAAAACUUACUCCUGCAUCAUUUGAUUUUAGUGUGGCAAGAAAUUCUUAAGAGAGUAAUUUUAUACCGAAUUUAGGAACUUGCCAAAAUCCUCCCCAACCAAUGGCAUAAAAGAUGGUAGGAAAGUUGUUGCUCAUACCUGAUUGGUCCAAGAGUUGCUCGUCAAAGACAGUGGUGUGGCUGAAGCCGCAAGUGCGAAGGGUGUAGAGCUUCCCUAGCUCUUCAUGAGUGAGCAAGAGGUUGUCGUGGGGCUCCAGUAUCCUAUUAGCGGGGAUAAAGGGAACAAGUGUGUGCAGUUGUUCCUCCUCCACUCUCUCAUGGCUCGUACUCUCGUAGUAGUGAGAGCUCGAGGAUGAGCCAUCACCGUUCCUCUUUUUUGUGCGCUUGGCAGAGAUGAUUUUCUUCAUGCUAGCUUCACUAGUGAACAAACAAGACCAAGCUUCCUACUAUACUACUAUGCAGAUGGGAAAUAUUUUCGGGUUUAUAUCUACUACUACACUAAGCUUGAAAAGGCUUGGAACACUAAAGAGAAGAUAGAAGGCCAAGUGAGCUCGAGAUGAUUCUAUUGGUUGUGGUGUGGAAUUGAGCUCACAUUGGGGUGCCACUUAUAGGGUUGAAAGUGUAACACCCUAGGUGUUAAGCAUGCAUUUAGCCCUAUCACAACAUGCAUAAGCAUUUUCAUCAAGCAUAGCAUCAUGAGCAUGUCAUUCAUCCCAAAACAUGAUUUUAUGUGCUUUAUUUCAUUUGUUUUAAUUAUGCUAAAAUAUGAUGCUUGCUUCCAAAAAUGUGAAAUAUUCAAACUAGGUUGAUUUAUGUGUAAGAAGAAUUUAGAGUAUUUUUGUGUAAUUUUUGGAGCUAUGGAAUUUGAGAAAUGGAAUUUAUACAAGAUUUCCAAAUUGAAUUUAUUUAAAAACCUAGAACUAAGUUUUAAUUUGUAAUUCAAAUUCUAUUUGGAAUUUGGUCUUGCUUAUUAAAGCAAAGUUGUAGAGUUUUUGUUUUGGAACAACUUUGUUUUUGGGAGCAAGAGGUGAAAAUGAUUUUAAAUUGGUCCAAAUGAAUUUAGAAAGAAUUUGGAGAAAAGAAAUUCAAAAAAAAAGGAAAGGGGCAGGCGCUGCUGGGCCAACCCCGCUUCCCUUUCGGCCCAGCGAGCGGCCCGGCCUGCCUCCCCCUUCCCCUCUCUCCCGCGCGGGCGGCGCCCGCCUCGCUCCACCCGGCGCCGGCCACGUGGCGGCCGUACGCCGGCGUUGGACGCGCCGCGGCCGGCCUCCAACCCCCCCUGGUCGGGACGCCGGCUCGGGCUCCCAGGCCAUUUCCUCCGUUCUGUCCCGUGCGCCCUCCUUCUCCUUCCUCCCUCCGCUCGCACCGCGCAGCAGCAGCAGCUCCUCCGUACGCCAUUGCCGGAGAAAGCCCCGCCGCUCGGCGCCGACCGCACCAGAGCCUCAAGCUCACCGCCGAGAGCACCAGCGCCUUCGUCAUCAUUAGGGUAAGCUUGUGCGCGCGUUCUACCGAGGUGAGAGUCCGUCGAGCGCCGUGAAUAGCUCGCCGGAGUACUCCGCCGCGACGGAUCUUGUGUUUCUCUGCCUCUUUUCGCUGGUUCUUGGGUGCGCUAGGUCGGUAGGGUGGUGAGGAAGCUCGGAGAGGCGUUUGCGCACGCUCUACCGCGCCGGAGCGGCCUGGCCACGGCGAGCAGCGCCACCGUGCUGCCAUGCAUGCUCGUCGGAGGUGUUCCGGUCAUCCUCCGGCCAAUCCAAGGGUACCGUAGGGUGCGCCUCGCUGCGGGGAGCACGUUGGUGCUUACCCCGUGGCCGGAGACCUCACCGCCGGCGAGAUCUGCUCGUCGGAGGUGAGCUCCCUCUCGGUCUCGCUGACCGGUGGGGUCGGGGACCCACUGUCAGUCGUAGGGGGACCCCGGUGGGUGUAGAUCUGGGUGUGCGUAGCCUUUUUCGUCGGUUUUCUUGAAUAAAUGACUUCUAGAAAUUGAUUCAAAACUUGUAAAAUUCAUAUCUUGAGGUCUACAGCUCCAAAUUGGAUGAAAUAAAUUUUGGUGUGCUCUAUAUUUAAUCCAUGUUUUUGCUAAACUUGGAGAAUGCAUAGUAAAUAAAAUAUGGUUCAGAAAAAUGUGAAACUUGAUUUGUUGGCUCUGCAUGUAUGUUUACUCACUGGGAAAAUAUUGCUACAUAUUAUUUGGUGUAUAGAUGAAUUUAAGGUAAUUUAAAUACUUGCAUGUCAGUGAUUUAUGAUUUUUAAUAAUUAAUUGGAUCAUGCAAUAAAUAUAGAAAAUUUUGUGGGUGUUUCUUAUGAUAUUAGACAAAUUGUAAAAAUAUGAAAUCUGUUGUUUGACACUUAUAUCACAGUAGAGUGAUUAUACUUACCCUAUGAAUUAAUCUUGUGAUUUUUGUGGCUCAAAAUAAGUAUCCAAAAAUUAUGAAAAAUUUACAGUAGACUUUAUGCGUAGCUGGUAGUCUCCUGUAAUUUUUGUGGAAUUUAUUGAUGAACAGAAUUGCAUGUGAUUUUUAAUGGGCCUAGAAAUGAAUAAAGAAAAUUUUGAAUUGUUGUGUAUAUAGGUUGGGUUUGGUGUAUCUUUGAAGCAUCAUGUGGGUUGCUGGUUGCAUUUGAAAAAUAAUUGUAGAAGAGAAUGCAAUAGAUGUUUGAUUCAAUUGUUUGUUCUUGGAUGAUGUUGACUACCUUGUAAUGAGCAUGACCGAGUACAUUACAUAUGCAUCAUGUCAUGACUCCUUUGGUACUUUCUCAUACAAGCAUCCACUCCGGGAUCUCGCAGUCCACUCAUAAGCACCCAUGCAUCAUACAGGCUCGCAGGAGAACGAAGUGGGACCCGAGGAACCCGAGGAGAUUCAGGAGCAGGAACCUCCGGGAGCACAGGAACCCGGAGAGGAGCUGCAGGAGUGUCCGGAUCACCGACCCAGCACGUUUGAGAAAGGCAAGCCCCGGAGCAUUCUAAGUCUCCCUAUUCUCGCUAACUUAUAUGAUGCGCUAUAAUUGUUCUACUAUAUUGCAUCUAAGUGAUAGGAUUUGAUUGAUGUCGUUGAUGCAUAUGUACUCCUUGUUAUCCCUACUCGUUCACCUACCUUGUCCUAUGUAGAUAGGCACGGAGUCUAUGCUUAGCUUGCUUAGUCCGGUAGAAGUCGGGUGAUUUCCUGUCACCUGCGAGAAAUAGGUGGAUACCUGCUUGAUUAAGCAUUGGUUGCUUGGGGAAAAGAAUAACCAAGUAUGGAAUGUAACUGGAGACCGGGCAGGGUCUUAUGGUGGGUUGACCAUAGUGCCCCUGCCUGCGUCGAUUAAGGACCGAUCGUUGACGGCCCUCUUGUCAUGUUGAACGCAUGCCCCACACUUAGCUGGAAGGAUAAGUCAUUCCGACCGCGAAGCCUGAACACUAUCCGGGCCGGGCAUCGAGCCGCCAUGCGCUGUAUUGGUGAUGGUUGAGGAGAACGACGAGGGCGCGGCGCGCAACCUUGGUAUACCUUGGAUACCUCGGUCGCCGGAACGGUCCUCGGGUACUGGCGGUGCCUGCCGAACCCGCGAAUUGGUCCUGGAUAGUGUAAUACGGUGAUCUGUAGCUCACUUGAUCUGUGAGUGUGGUUUGUGUGGGGAAUACCUCGCCAGCUGGUUAGAAAUCGAUUCGAAUCGCAAUCGCUCCUGGAUAAUGAGCACUUGACAUGAGCUUCGUCCUCGUAGUAAGGACUAUGGAACACUUGGGUUAUGUUGAUGAAUGGUUUUAAGAAAUGCUAUGAUGAGGUACUAUCAUAGCCUUAUACUCGCUUGUAAUAGUGCAGGUGCAAACCUAGAUGAUAGGUAAUGAUACUUUCAACUUGAGCAAAUUAAAAGAAGAAAGACUUAUGUAGGUUAUGAUAGUAAAAUCCUGCGGUUUUGCAAAAUGGUUGUCAGCUACCCCACUAUAUAGCCUUCAUGAUCCUUGAUGAGUCUUUAUUUUAAGUUUAUGAUGGGUAAGUCUAGCUGAGUACCUUCUCGUACUCAGGGUUCUACUCCCAUGUUGUUUUGCAGAUGGUCAAGUGUACUAUGGUUAUUGCAUCCUCUAUCUAUACCCAGCCAUGGGUGAUGACUAGACCAAGGGCGAUGGUCACUCCGUCUUCUCUUUUGCUUUUGUGGGAAUGACCGAACUAUGGCACUGUAUCAGACUAAGCGUGUGUGUUGUAUUUUCGAACUACGAAGCUUCCGCUACUUGAAGAACUUGGUUUGUAAUAACUUUAAGAACUCCGAUUUAUUUUAUGAAUGUUGAAAUCUGGAUCUAUUGUGAAUGGCGACCGCUAAACUUAUUACGAUCUUGGCUGUUGUGCGGUAUGUGGUUUGAAAUCCUUCGAGAUUUCACAGACUACCGGGAUUAUAUGGGCUUAAGCGUGAUGGUUUGACUAUGCAAAUGGUCACUGUUAGGCUUAAUCUCUUAUAAUUUGGUCGGUUCUGUUACAGCUGGCAUCGGAGCAAGGUUUAGCGAGUUACUGUUCAUAAGUACGUUCUAAACAAAAUCUAAACCGGUCUAAUAAAGGAUUUUAUUAAUUAAUAAUGAUCAAGGUGUUAAACUAAGUUUUGGAAAACUAUCUAGUGUGCCAUGGUCAUAUCAUUUAUGCCCAGUUAAGGACUCUAAGGUGGCUAGUUAAGUACUGACUUGGGGGUUAAUGCAUCAUAUUUUUAUUUCGUCGCUCAUACGGCGUGCAAUAGUAUGAGUACCAUUCAUUUGAGUGGUAAUGUAUGGAUCUAUUUUUCCUCUACGUCAUGGUAAGUGGGAGCUGUGAGAGCAUGAUCGGAUACACCGCCGGUCUAGGGGAGUGUUGUUAGGUACUGUGUCAUGCACACAUGUUUUGGUGUGUCUUGGAAACAGUACCGCAUGUUGGGAAUUCCGUCCUGAGAGGCGAUGCCAUCAUUAGGGCGAUGAUAUGGGUAGCAACACAUCACAUGCAUGGACGGGUGUCAGUGUAUGUGAAGUGCAUAGUUUUAAAUUUUGUUUUGCAUUAGCAUACUGUGGGUGGGCUGAAAUGAGUUUUCUGCAGGUACCCUAACCACGUUCUCGCUUAGAACACUAGUUACGUUAUGAGAGAACGUUGUGUGCCACCGCAUAUACCGCUUAGUGUUAACCUUUGUUUCUAAGUUUGUGAGAUCGUAAGUUCGUGCAUGCAUCAUGUUCAUGUCAUAUCAUUGCUUACUUUCCCCCUUAAUUUAAUCUGUCCCAAUUCUAAAUAAAAUAAUUAAAUGUAAUCCUCGCUCUUACCCACGGUAUUCCAUUUGCAGCAGAUGGCACGCACUAGGCUCACCGCUCGCAAGUCCACUGGUGGGCGGGCCCCACACCAUCCGUUGGCAGCUAGGAGCUCGCGACAUAAGAGCAAGUUCCUGGAGGAGUUUGGGAUGCCCACUUUGCUUUGGAGGGUACUCAGUUCGAUGGGGUAUCCCGAAGGAAGGGAGCCUCGCUACUAUUGGGAUAAGGAGCCGCUUGGUGACGAGACCCUGGUGGGGAUCGAGGCAGUUGUCCCUACUAGUGGAGGAGACCCUGCUUGGGGUGGCUGGGUGUACGAGUCCCGAGGUGUCACGCCUUUCCAUGGUGCUAGCAGGGCAGCUUUCGCAGUUCGGAGGGACCUCAUGGAGAGGUUUCCACAGGAGCUGGCCCACGCCUUCGCUGGGGUGUUUCCCCGGGGUGACCCCUACACUUCGGUGUGGGAUCAGUCCAAGGUGAGCGCUCUAGAAAGGAGUGCGGCUGAGGACCAACACAGUGACAGCGCAGCUAUGAGUGCCAUGUACGCCUUGAUGAAGACCUAUGGAGGCCUGGAGCGUUGUUUGGGUCGCUUGUCCGGGUCUCUUCUCACCGUCCAGGAUGAGAAGCGUCAGUUGCAGCGUGAGUUCGACUCUGAGGUUGAGAGGCUGCAGGCAGAGUUGGCCCGUGUGACCAGAGAGAGAGACCAGGCAGUCCAGAAGAACAACGAGCUGAGUCAGGACCUGCUUGCAGUGCGAGAGCAGAGGGACAGGGUGACUACUGUUCACAGGAACUACGAGCGCAUGCUAGUCCAUGUGCUUGGACAGAGGAAUGAAGCCUGGCACGAGGAGGACACUUUGAGGGCCCGACAGCUAGAGCUAGAGCAGCAGCUAGCUAAUGCUGAGGAGUACAAUGAGAACUUGCAUGAGGAGAUCCACCAGCUGCAUAACCAGCUCCACCCUCACCACCUGCCUGGAGCAGCUGAGCUAGACUCUGAGGACGAGAUGGAUGCGGAUCCCAAGAUAGGAGCAGCUGCUAGUGGAGAUGAGGAUGAGGAUGGCUCCGACAUGGACAGUGACCAUAGCGAGUAGAUACUAGGGCUCUAGAGCUAGUCCUUCUUCUUGUGUUGUUGUAUGUUGCAUGGCAUGUCAUGUACUUUUGGAUCUGGGCUAUGUAAGACUUAUAAGUUAAUGCUGAAAGUCCAGUAUAUGUAUGCUGGCAAGUUGGAUGUACGCGAACCUUGUUGUGUAAAUGUUAAGUAAUCUGUUAGUGAUGUUGUGCGUAGAUGAUGAAUUGUUGUGCCUCUGUUUGCUGUGCGAAUUUAUUCCCUCAGUAAAUUCAGUACGGCACGAUUCUACACAUGGCUUAUCAUUGACUUAUGCAGAUGGUGCAAACACAUGGCUGGGGUAACAGCAAUCCGGGCCUUGGAGCAGGUACAUCCGGAGGUGGGGCUCAACGGAAUGAGGACAGAGCACCAACACCGCCACCACCACCGCCUCCUCCGUACACUGCGGACGUGUUUUUCGCGCAGUUUCUGGGGAGCCAACGCAACAUGGAACAGAUGCAGCGCAACAUGGAAGAGGCUCUGCGCAACAUAGCUGACAACACCCGUCGUGGGGAUAAUCAGGGUGGCCGAGAGGUCAACCAGUACAGUUCGUUCAAGGACUUCAUGGAUACCAAGCCACCAAUCUUCAAGAGGCUUUGGAACUGCUUGAGGCAGAUGAGUGGAUCAACACCAUGGAGCAGAAGUUUCGUCUUCUCCGAAUGACAGAAGAACUUAAGGCUGAGUAUGCGGCACAUCAGUUGCAAGGACCCGCUGGGAUUUGGUGGUCCCAUCACUGUACAACCUACCCAGAGGGAACCCCAAUUACCUGGAACCGUUUCACCACAGCUUUUCGGGGAAAUUACAUUCCUCUGGGUGUGGUUGAAAUGAAGGUUGGGGAGUUCAUGAGGCUGUCCCAGGGGACGAAAUCGGUGAAGGAGUAUCUACAUGCUUUCAAUAAUCUCGCUCGCUAUGCCCCUGAGUUUGUAAACAUGGAGGCUAAGAAGAUUGCUAGUUUCCAGAGGGGCUUGAAUCCAAAGAUGCUGAAGACCAUGGGUACAGGGGCCAGGGCUACCUUCAAUGCUUACAUCAGUGACUGUCUCACCCAGGAGAACAACAACAACAACUACAGUGCAUCCAAGUCACGUAAGAGGGCUUUUGAAGCCGGAUCAUCUCAGUCCAGGGCACCAGUGGCAGGGCGACAGCAGUAUCGUCCUCCUGCACCAGAUGCUAGGUUCCGACCGCCGCAGAGAAGGAACACCGGGCAUCCAACACAGCAGAAGCCGUACAAGGUGGCGAUAGCCCCGGCCAAGCCAAAGGCAGUUCAAGCUGCAGCACCUGCCGUCAACAAUGCGCCCAAGGGUCCGUGCUAUAACUGCCACAAGAUGGGGCACUUUGCUAAGGAAUGUCCCUACCCCAACAGGCAGCAGCCAACCUAUCCAGCUCGUGUGCACCAUACCUCGAUCGAGGAGAUCCCGGAAGGGGAACCGGUAACAGCUGGUAUGUUUCCUGUCAACCAACAUCUUGCAGUUGUUUUGUUUGAUUCUGGAUCAUCGCCUUCAUUCAUGAGCCAAGCAUUUGCACAAAAGCAUAGUCAACUAGUUACAGAUCUGGGUUAUGGCUACCGCAUCAGCUCAGCAGGGGCAGAUGUGUUGACCAAUAGAGUGGUCCGAGGGGCAACCCUGGAUAUAAGUGGCCGAGUUUUUUGGGUAAAUCUAGUGGUCAUGCCUGGGUUAGUUUUGGAUGUUAUCAUGGGCAUGAACUGGAUGAGAGAAUGGGGUGCUGUCAUAGAUACUGGGAAGAGAAUGUUAUCCCUCAGAGAACCACAGAGCAAUCGCUCUUUUCAAGUACCUCUGCCCCGUCGUCUUGACUUUGCUAGCAUCUCUUGUGCUACGCGCGUGGUUCCAUUACCACAGAUCCCAGUAGUCUGUGAGUUCCCUGAUGUUUUCCCUGAGGAAUUACCAGGACUUCCUCCAGAUAGGGAAGUAGAGUUUGCUCAGUUGUCCAAGGCAAAAGUGUUUUCCAAGACCCAUUUGAGGUCUGGGUAUCAUCAAAUCAAGAUUCGUCCGCAGGAUAUCCCGAAGACUGCUUUUUCCACCAGAUAUGGGUUGUAUGAGUACCUUGUCAUGUCCUUUGGGUUGACAAAUGCUCCUGCAUACUUUAUGUAUCUGAUGAAUUCAGUCUUUAUGCCAGAAUUGGAUAAGUUUGUUGUGGUGUUUAUCGAUGAUAUUCUGGUUUAUUCCGAAAAUGAGCAAGAUCACGCCGAACAUCUGAGAAUCGUGCUGACACGAUUACGAGAGCAUCAGUUAUAUGCCAAGUUCAGCAAGUGUGAGUUCUGGUUGAAGAAAGUUCCUUUCCUAGGGCACAUUCUGUCGGAAGAAGGGAUUGCUGUGGAUCCGUCAAAAGUGCAGGAAGUCAUGGACUGGAAGGCACCAACUUCUGUCUCGGAAGUUAGAAGUUUUCUUGGUCUGGCCGGGUAUUAUCGCUGAUUCAUACCUGACUUCUCCAAGAUUGCUAAGCCAAUGACAAGUUUGCUGCAAAAGGAUCAUAAGUUUGUCUGGACGGAAGGGUGUGAGUUAGCCUUCCGCACCUUGUGAAAGUUGCUAACCACUGCUCCCGUUCUGGCACAACCUAAUAUCGAAAAGCCUUUUGAUGUGUUUUGCGACGCAUCGAAGAGUGGCCUGGGGUGUGUGUUGAUGCAAGAUGGCAGGGUGAUAGCUUAUGCUUCCCGACAGUUGAGAAAGCACGAAGUCAACUACCCAACUCACGACCUCGAGUUAGCAGCAGUGGUACACGCUUUGAAGAUUUGGAGACAUUAUCUGCUGGGAAAUAAGUGUCACAUUUAUACCGAUCAUAAGAGUUUGAAGUACAUCUUCACUCAGUCCGAGCUAAAUAUGAGGCAACGAUGGUGGUUAGAGCUAAUCAAGGACUAUGAUCUGGUAGUUCACUAUCAUCCGGGCAAGGCUAAUGUAGUAGCAGAUGCGUUGAGUCGUAAACCGCACUAUCAAGUGGUUCAACCGUUGUUUGAAGAUGGGUUCAAUCUCAUGCAUCCUGAGGUCUUAUGUCACAUACAACUCAGUUGUUCACUUGAGAGUCAAGUCAUUGAAGGACAGAAAACAGACAAGGGUAUUUUCCACAUCAAGGAGAAGAUCAAAGAUGACCCAAAAACUAAAUUUUGCGUUGUUGAGAAAGGGGUACUGUGGUUUGAACAUCGGUUAGUAGUCCCGAAGGAUCGAGAAUUGAAGAAUCGCAUCAUGGAUGAAGCCCAUCUCUCUAAGCUUUCUAUUCAUCCUGGCAGUAGCAAAAUGUAUCAAGAUCUAAGACCCCACUUUUGGUGGACCAAGAUGAAGAAGGAAAUAGCCGCAUAUGUAGCCCGUUGCGACACGUGUUGCAGAGUUAAGGCCAUCCAUAUGAAACCUGCAGGUCUGUUGCAACCGUUAUCAGUUCCAGAGUGGAAAUGGGAAGAGGUCAGUAUGGACUUUAUCACAGGAUUACCGACCACGAGGAAGGGGAAUGACUCGAUUUGGGUGAUCAUAGAUCGAUUAACCAAGUCGGCUCAUUUCAUUCCAGUCAAGAACACAUACAGACCUCCCGAGUAUGCCGAUAUAUAUAUGGCUGAGAUUGUUAAGUUGCAUGGUAUUCCCAAAACCAUCAUAUCACAUAGAGGACCACAGUUCACCGCUCACUUCUGGGAGCGAAUGCAUAAGAAUUUGGGAACCAGUCUGAUAAGAAGCACGGCGUACCAUCCCCAGACUUCAGGACAAACGGAGAGGCUAAACCAAGUAUUGGAAGAUAUGCUGAGGGCCUGUGUGCUAUCAUCCAAGGGAUCAUGGGAGUCAUGGUUACCUCUAGCUGAAUUCUCCUACAAUAACAGUUAUCAAGAGAGCAUCAAGAUGGCCCCGUUCGAAGCUUUGUAUGGUCGGAGAUGUAGAACUCCGUUGAACUGGGUUGAACCUGGUGAGAGAAGAUACUAUGGUAUCGACUUCAUGAAUGAGGCAGAGAAGAAGGUACAAAUCAUACAGCAGCAUAUGCGCGCAGCGCAAUCCCGACAAAAGAGUUAUGCUGAUAAGAGAAGAAGGCCACUUGAAUUCAAAGUAGGUGACUAUGUGUACCUCAAGGUUACGCCAAUGAAGAAGGUUCAGCGUUUCCGAGUUCGAAGCAAGCUUGCACCCAGAUAUGUGGGAACGUAUCAAAUACUAGAGAGGAAAGGCCCAGUGGCCUACAAGACUCAGUUACCUGAAGAGUUGAGCUCGAUCUUUCCGGUCUUCCAUGUGUCGCAACUACGGAAAUGUUUGAAGGUACCUGAGCAAAGAAUUGAACCUUGAGGGAUCAAAAUAAAAACAGAUUUAGAGUAUAAGGAGCAACCAGUGGGAAUUGUGGAUACCAAGGAACGGGUAACCCGAAACAGAAUUGUCAGAACUUAUAAGGUGGUGUGGAGUCAUCAUGACGAUAGGGAUGCCACCUAGGAAACAGAGGAUUACUUGAAAACAGUUUAUCCAAAAUUUCAUAAGAAAUGGUUAGUAACCCAAAAUCUCGGGACGAGAUUUCCCUAAGGGGGGAAGGGCUGUAACACCCUAGGUGUUAAGCAUGCAUUUAGCCCUAUCACAACAUGCAUAAGCAUUUUCAUCAAGCAUAGCAUCAUGAGCAUGUCAUUCAUCCCAAAACAUGAUUUUAUGUGCUUUAUUUCAUGUGUUUUAAUUAUGCUAAAAUAUGAUGCUUGCUUCAAAAAAUUUGAAAUAUUCAAACUAGGUUGAUUUAUGUGUAUGAAGAAUUUAGAGUAUUUUUGUGUAAUUUUUGGAGCUAUGGAAUUUGAGAAAUGGAAUUUAUACAAGAUUUCCAAAUUGAAUUUAUUUAAAAACCUAGAACUAAGUUUUAAUUUGUAAUUCAAAUUCUAUUUGGAAUUUGGUCUUGCUUAUUAAAGCAAAGUUGUAGAGUUUUUGUUUUGGAACAACUUUGUUUUUGGGAGCAAGAGGUGAAAAUGAUUUUAAAUUGGUCUAAAUGAAUUUAGAAAGAAUUUGGAGAAAAGAAAUUCAAAAAAAAGGAAAGGGGUAGGCGCUGCUGGGCCAACCCCGCUUCCCUUUCGGCCCAGCGAGCGGCCCGGCCUGCCUCCCCCUUCCCCUCUCUCCCGCGCUCGCGGCGCCCGCCUCGCUCCACCCGGCGCCGGCCACGUGGCGGCCGUACGCCGGCGUUGGACGCGCCGCGGCCGGCCUCCAACCCCCCCUGGUCGGGACGCCGGCUCGGGCUCCCAGGCCAUUUCCUCCGUUCUGUCCCCCGCGUCCUCCUUCUCCUUCCUCCCUCCGCUCGCACCGCGCAGCAGCAGCAGCUCCUCCGCGCGCCAUUGCCGGAGAAAGCCCCGCGGCUCGCCGCCGACCGCACCAGAGCCUCAAGCUCACCGCCGAGAGCACCAGCGCCUUCGUUAUCGUUAGGGUAAGCUUGUGCGCGCGUUCUACCGUGGUGAGAGUCCGUCGAGCGCCGUGAAUAGCUCGCCGGAGUUACCCCGAGCUCGCCGGAGUACUCCGCCGUGACGGAUCUUGUGUUUCUCUGCCUCUUUUCGCUGGUUCUUGGGUGCGCUAGGUCGGUAGGGUGGUGAGGAAGCUCGGAGAGGCGUUUGCGCACGCUCUACCGCGCCGGAGCGGCCUGGCCACGGCGAGCAGCGCCGCCGUGCCGCCAUGCAUGCUCGUCGGAGGUGUUCCGGUCAUCCUCCGGCCAAUCCAAGGGUACCGUUGGGUGCGCCUCGUUGCGGGGAGCACGUUGGUGCUUACCCCGUGGCCGGAGACCUCACCGCCGGCGAGAUCUGCUCGUCGGUGGUGAGCUCCCUCUCGGUCUCGCUGACCGGUGGGGUCGGGGACCCACUGUUAGUCGCAGGGGGACCCCGGUGGGUGUAGAUCUGGGUGUGCGUAGCCUUUUUCGUCGGUUUUCUUGAAUAAAUGAUUUCCAGAAAUUGAUUCAAAACUUGUAAAAUUCGUAUCUUGAGUUCUACAGCUCCAAAUUGGAUGAAAUAAAUUUUGGUGUGCUCUAUAUUUCUAGAUCUACAGUUUGAUGUAAUUGCAUGUCAUGUUUGAGUAACUUUUCUGAAUGAAUAUAUUUAAUCCAUGUUUUUGCUAAACUUGGAGAAUGCAUAGUAAAUAAAAUAUGGUUCAGAAAAAUGUGAAACUUGAUUUGUUGGCUCUGCAUGUAUGUUUACUCACUGGGAAAAUAUUGCUACAUAUUAUUUGGUGUAUAGAUGAAUUUAAGGUAAUUUAAAUGCUUGCAUGGCAGUGAUUUAUGAUUUUUAAUAAUUAAUUGGAUCAUGCAAUAAAUCUGGAAAAUUUUGUGAGUGUUUCUUAUGAUAUUAGACAAAUUGUAAAAAUAUGAAAUCUGUUGUUUGACACUUAUAUCAUAGUAGAGUGAUUAUACUUACCCUAUGAAUUAAUCUUGUGAUUUUUGUGGCUCAAAAUAAGAAUCCAAAAAUUAUGAAAAAUUUACAGUAGACUUUAUGCGUAGCUGGUAGUCUCCUGUGAUUUUUGUGGAAUUUAUUGAUGAACAGAAUUGCAUGGGAUUUUUAAUGGGCCUAGAAAUGAAUAAAGAAAAUUUUGAAUUGUUGUGUAUAUAGGUUGAAUAGAAUAGGUUGGGUUUGGUGUAUCUUUGAAGCAUCAUGUGGGUUGCUGGUUGCAUUUGAAAAAUAAUUGUAGAAGAGAAUGCAAUAGAUGUUUGAUUCAAUUGUUUGUUCUUGGAUGAUGUUGACUACCUUGUAAUGAGCAUGACCGAGUACAUUACAUAUGCAUCAUGUCAUGACUCCUUUGGUACUUUCUCAUACAAGCAUCCACUCGGGCAUCUCGCACUCCACUCAUAAGCACCCAUGCAUCAUACAGGCUCGCAGGAGAAUGAAGUGGGACCCGAGGAACCCGAGGAGAUUCAGGAGCAGGAACCUCCGGAAGCACAGGAACCCGGAGAAUUCUAAGUCUCCCUAUUCUCGCUAACUUAUAUGAUGCGCUAUAAUUGUUCUACUAUAUUGCAUCUAAGUGAUAGGAUUUGAUUGAUGCCGUUGAUGCAUAUGUACUCCUUGUUAUCCCUACUCGUUCACCUACCUUGUCCUAUGUAGAUAGGCACGGAGUCUAUGCUUAGCUUGCUUAGUCCGGUAGAAGUCGGGUGAUUUCCUGUCACCUGCGAGAAAUAGGUGGAUACCUGCUUGAUUAAGCAUUGGUUGCUUGGGGAAAAGAAUAACCAAGUAUGGAAUGUAACUGGAGACCGGGCAGGGUCUUAUGGUGGGUUGACCAUAGUGCCACUGCCUGCGUCGAUUAAGGACCGAUCGUUGACGGCCCUCUUGUCAUGUUGAACGCAUGCCCCACACUUAGCUGGAAGGAUAAGUCGUUCCGACCGCGAAGCCUGAACACUAUCCGGGCCGGGCAUCGAGCCGCCAUGCGCUGUAUUGGUGAUGGUUGAGGAGAACGACGAGGGCGCGGCGUGCAACCUUGGUAUACCUUGGAUACCUCGGUCGCCGGAACGGUCCUCGGGUACUGGCGGUGCCUGCCGAACCCGCGAAUUGGUCCUGGAUAGUGUAAUACGGUGAUCUGUAGCUCACUUGAUCAGUGAGUGUGGUUUGUGUGGGGAAUACCUCGCCAGCUGGUUAGAAAUCGAUUCGAAUCGCCAUCGCUCCUAGAUAGUGAGCACUUGACAUGAGCUUCGUCCUCGUAGUAAGGACUGUGGAACACUUGGGUUAUGUUGAUGAAUGGUUUUAAGAAAUGCUAUGAUGAGGUACUAUCAUAGCCUUAUACUCGCUUGUAAUAGUGCAGGUGCAAAACUAGAUGAUAGGUAAUGAUACUUUCAACUUGAGCAAAUUAAAAGAAGAAAGACUUAUGUAGGUUAUGAUAGUAAAAUCCUGCGGUUUUGCAAAAUGGUUGUCAGCUACCCCACUAUAUAGCCUUCAUGAUCCUUGAUGAGUCUUUAUUUUAAGUUUAUGACGGGUAAGUCUAGCUGAGUACCUUCUCGUACUCAGGGUUCUACUCCCAUGUUGUUUUGCAGAUGGUCAAAUGUACUAUGGUUAUUGCAUCCUCUAUCUGUACCCAGCCAUGGGUGAUGACUAGACCAAGGGCGAUGGUCACUCCGUCUUCUCUUUUGCUUUUGUGGGAAUGACCGAACUAUGGCACUGUAUCAGACUAAGCGUGUGUGUUGUAUUUUCGAACUACGAAGCUUCCGCUACUUGAAGAACUUGGUUUGUAAUAACUUUAAGAACUCCGAUGUAUUUUAUGAAUGUUGAAAUCUGGAUGUAUUGUGAAUGGCGACCGCUAAACUUAUUACGAUCUUGGCUGUUGUGCGAUAUGUGGUUUGAAAUCCUUCCAGAUUUCACGGACUACCGGGAUUAUAUGGGCUUAAGCGUGAUGGUUUGACUAUGCAAAUGGUCACUGUUAGGCUUAAUCUCUUAUAAUUUGGUCGGUUCUGUUACAGAAAGGGCAUGGCAAGUCCCCCUGAUGAGGUCAGGCCCGAUCUUUCGAGAGGUAAUUGGUAAAUUCGAUUUGUGGAGAACUCGACGUUGGCGAUCCAGCUUCAAAUCAGCACGGUUCGAAUACUGCAACCAUUAUACGACUACUCCGUUGGUUAUCAACUAAGCACAACUUUAUUGACCUCGCCAAGAAAGCUUUUCCUACAAGCGAAUCGAAGAACACAAGUAAGAAAGUAUAAACACGCAAUCUGAAAUUGCAGAUAUGAAUGACGUGAAUAUUCAGUGUGGGUUCAAGAACUCGGUUCCAAAGGACUAAUCAACACAGUGGAGGAGAUCAAGAACGGGGACCCUGGAUCAUUGUAAAAGGAUUUGUCACCACAGUUACAAUGAACGAUUCAGUUUUUCGAUGGAAAACUAAACUCUAACAAAACACAACUCUAAACAGCGGCGGCUGUGUGGAAUAUAAAGGAGAAGCGACCUAGGGUUGGAGGCGACCAGGGGGAGGUGCCCACAACACGGGCUUAAGGCCCGAAUUCGAUAUGACCGCAGUCACUUAUCAGCUCCUGCAUGGAACCAUAACCAACAUACAUUCAGCUCCAGAUGAUUUUCAGGUCAUUGACAUGGGAGAAGAUGAGUACGAUCCACCCAUCAUCCUUGGGAGACCGUUGCUCGGCACCGUUAAAGCAAUCAUCUACAUUGGAACCGGAGAAGUUCACAUGCACUUCCCCUCUGAGAAGGUAUGCCGCUGUUUUACUGACCCUAACUAUAUAGUUGAAAACUCUAAGGAGGUCAGGACAACAAGAAGACAACCCAACCGCAACCAGAGGAGGCAAAUCAUCAAGGACGGAUGGGUAGACUACGAAGGAGAAUUAAUAAGGUCUGAAGACAUACAGCUUGAACAGAACUGUCCUGAGGAGACUGUAGCACAGAGUCAGGUGUGGAGAGAGAAGAUAGUUAUACACGAAGAGGAGACGCCGCCAGAACCACCGACUACGCCAUCCAGCGAAUCCCAGGACGACUGAGAAAAUGGAGAGUCCCGUUCGGAGGACUUAAAAACACCGAACGCCUUGCCAAGAGGUAAAUUUGGUAGUUAUCCUUUUCCCUUCAAUUAUUUAAAAUAGUUUGCUUACUUAAUCAGGUUCAUACAAUAUUGAAAAGAAAAUAAAAAUGUUAAAAAUAGUAAGCCCCAUGUGAGUAGACUUGUGGUUUAAAAACCCAUAGGUAUAUUGACAAUGGUGGCAUAAAAUAAAUAUGUUUUCAUCUUACAAUAAAAAUAUAAAUAAUAAGUGCAUGAUUGAAAGCCCAAGUUUGGUUUUGGUAAUUAAUGACACCAAGUUGCUAAUGCCUUGUGUUUAAGUGAUUUGAGUUAGGCAUAGCAACACAUGUGAUGAAGGUGCAUGGAGGCAUGGAAAGGUGGCCACAUGAUCACAAAGGGAUGAAGCAUGAAGAGAAGAUCAUGGUGAUAGACGAGGAGCAAAGUUAUCAAGGCAAAGGUAUAAACAUAGGGUUUUACUUUUGCCGGUCUAAGAUGAGUAGAGAAGUGAUUGACCGGGUUUAGGAUAUAUAGCCGACUAUCAAGAGGGGAAAUCACGGUCAUCUCUCGAAUCAAGUGCUACUAGGUCCAUAUCUUGAGCAUAUGCAUUAGGAUCUAGUAAAGUGCUAACUUAACUCCUUUGGGAAAAUGUUUGUGAAAAGCUAACACACUUGCACUUUGAUGGUGGACACUUGUUGGUGUUAGCACUUUUACAAAGGAGGUGGAGUUCCUAGGGUUGAGAGGGGUGCUAACACAUUCGGCGCUUUUGAGAAAAAUAAGUGUUUAUUUUCUAUUUGCGCUGGUGGGAAAUUUUGGAGAAGUCGCGGGAGUGUUUUCUCACUUAGAAACACUCACAGGACGCUGAGUGCGGAGGCACCGGACGCUGGCCUCAGCGUCCGGUGUGCUUGACCCUGCUAGGGUUGAGCACCGAACGCACUCUGGUAGCGUCCGGUGGUUAGCGUCCGGUGUGAGGGGUUUUUGUAACCCUCUCUGCGCACGAGUCCGGUGAGCACCGGACCGUCCGGUGCCCAGCGUCCGGUGAGGUCGCGAGUUUGUCACCCUCUCUGCGCACGAGUCCGGUGAGCACCGGACCGUCCGGUGUGGACUUGCAUAGCGUCCGGUGUGUUGCAGGUAGCCGUUAGAAACUGACGCGCGAGAUUCAAAGAGGACAUGUGGCCAACUCCAGUGCACCGGACGCAGGGGGUCGAGCGUCCGGUGCUCACUUAGUAGCGUCCGGUGCCCCCGUUUUCAGCCCAGUGAAAACAGCCAACGGCUAGUUUCUUUGAGGGGCUUAUAAAUAGUUGGUGGCCGGCUUUGGGAGGUUCCCUCUUGCACAUUUGAUACUUGAGACAUACAUUGAGCUAGAGAACACUCCCUCCACUCAUCUCCUUGCUUGAUUGCUAAUCCUAGUGAGAUUGAGUGAGAUUCAAGUGCAUUGCUUUGAGAGUUGCAUUUAGUGGCACUUGAUUCUUGAGUUUGCUGCGGAUUUCUUGUUACUCUUGGGUGUUUCCCGACGCCCUAGACGGCUUGGAGCAGCGGUGGUGUUGAGCUCGUGAUUGGAGAUUGUUUCGAGCCUCACCAAGUGAUUUGUGAGGGGUUCUCGAGCCUUCCCCGCGGGAGAUCGCAAAUUGGUUACUCUAGUGGAUUGCUCGUGGCUUGGAGGAUCCCCAUCUUGUGAGUGGAUGUGCGGCACCCGCUGAGGGUUUGGCUUUGGAUUGCCAAUUAGCUCGUGAUCCAUCAAGUGGAUGUAUCGCCACAACGAGGAGUAGCUUGCCGGGAAGCAAGUGAACCUCGGUAAAAAAUCUUGUGUCAUCUCUUGCCGAGGUCUCUCUUGUAAUUGUGUACGUGAUUGAUUGGAUAUAUCUCAUCUCUACAACGUCGGUAUAACAAUCACUCUCCUCUCUUUACAUACUUGCUUACCUUGCUAGUUGUGUAGCUUGUUUAGCUUAGUUCUCUUGUUGUUGUGCUUUAGUGUUUAGCCUUGUACUAGUUUGACUUACUGAAUUGUUUCUCUGGAUCCAUGGUUUGACUAUGCAAUAAAUGUCUUGUAAGUAUGUAUUCUCUGUCUCCCACCUAUGAGCUCCAGAUAUCAAAACCUUAUUAGAGUAGGGUGAGAGAGAAGGCAAUAUCACUAUGCCCCAUACCAAAAAUACCACAUACUUUGAGAGAAGGCAUAUAUCAUUACUGCCUUGCAAAUGAUCCAGAAAUACCACAAAAGAGAGAUUUGAGAAAGUCAUACAAGGAAUCUCUGAGUUUUAUUUGAAAAUCUACAAAAACUCCAGAGCUAUAGCUGAUCAAAGAACAAGAGACAUGGCGCUUAACUUGACCGUUCUAUCUUUUAACUGCUCAAGACACAAGUGACGGUUACAAGCCCCAUGGUGAAAGGUAAAAUGAGUAAGCUUUAAGUCUUAACACUUUACUCUAACUCAGAGAUGAGAUCUUACUUUUAAGGCAUGAAACCAUUGUAGAAACUCUUGAGUUCAUCCUUGCCCAGGGACGAGCAAGAGGUAAGCUUGGGGGAGUUGUUGACGGUCCUUAAGUAUCAAAUAUAAUCAUCAAAUAAAUAAAGAAAAGGAUCCAAAUGCAACCAACACCCAGACUUAGGGUUUUAUCUGACAGAAUUCCACGAGUUUUGGUGUUUGUCUAUUUCUGCAGGGGGUUAUCUGGAAAUACGGAAGAAAGACCCACACGUCGGGAUUACAUAGAGAUAUUAACGUGCCGCGCAAUUUUCUAUCAUCUAGAAGACUCCAGAAGCCACGGGAACGAACGAGAGGCCGAACGGGCCCAGGGGCAUGGCGCCCGCCCUGACCUGGAUUUGAUUCAGAACUCUCUUCGCGGACCAAACUCCACCGACCUAAAGGAUCAAGGAUAACCGUCCAAUCAAUGUCGGUUUGAUCCAAUGGCUCACGUUCACUUGAGGGGACUAUAAAACCAGACUCCCUGGCCCUAGAGGAGACAAGUUCAUCAUAGAGUUGAGAGGAGCCCUCGAAGGAAUACCUCUCCUCUAAAUAAAUAUUUAUUUUAGGCUUAGCAUCAAAUGUGAGUAGAAUUAGAUCUUCUAGUUUCUACUAGAUUGAGAGAUAUAGAGUGGAGGUGUAGAUCGAAGGAAGCCCGACCUGUCGGUGUCUACUCCGAGGUUGUACCUGUGGGAUCAAGUCUUCUAACCUGAGGCUUGCUCCUAGGAUUCUUUAGUAAUUUGACUUCUAAAUCUAGUAAGUUCUUGUUCUAGCUGGACUGUGGUAGUAGCGAGGAACGUGACAUUUCUGAGUUGGUGGCCGGCUUUGGGAGGUUCCCUCUUGCACAUUUGAUACUUGAGACAUACAUUGAGCUAGAGAACACUCCCUCCACUCAUCUCCUUGCUUGAUUGCUAAUCCUAGUGAGAUUGAGUGAGAUUCAAGUGCAUUGCUUUGAGAGUUGCAUUUAGUGGCACUUGAUUCUUGAGUUUGCUGCAGAUUUCUUGUUACUCUUGGGUGUUUCCCGAUGCCCUAGACGGCUUGGAGCAGCGGUGGUGUUGAGCUCGUGAUUGGAGAUUGUUUCGAGCCUCACCAAGUGAUUUGUGAGGGGUUCUUGAGCCUUCCCCGCGGGAGAUCGCAAAUUGGUUACUCUAGUGGAUUGCUCGUGGCUUGGAGGAUCCCUAUCUUGUGAGUGGAUGUGCGGCACCCGCUGAGGGUUUGGCUUUGGAUUGCCAAUUAGCUCGUGAUCCAUCAAGUGGGUGUAUCGCCACAACGAGGAGUAGCUUGCCGGGAAGCAAGUGAACCUCGGUAAAAAAUCUUGUGUCAUCUCUUGCCGAGGUCUCUCUUGUAAUUGUGUACGUGAUUGAUUGGAUAUAUCUCAUCUCUACAACGUCGGUAUAACAAUCACUCGCCUCUCUUUACAUACUUGCUUACCUUGCUAGUUGUGUAGCUUGUUUAGCUUAGUUCUCUUGUUGUUGUGCUUUAGUGUUUAGCCUUGUACUAGUUUGUAUAGGUGGCUUGCAUAGCUUAGUUAAGCUAGUGCUAGAAUUGCUUCGCUAUUUUUUUUACUAUCUCACUUGCUUAGUGAAGUUUGUAGAAUUUGUAAAUAGGCUAUUCACCCCCCUCUAGCCAUUUGGACCUUUCAAGUGGUAUCGGAGCCGAGGCACCGUUUCUUUGAGGCUUAACAACCUACGGUGAAGAAAUGGCUCUUAGUUUGCAUAUCAACAACACUAAGAAGGCACCUUACUUUGAUGGCACCAAUUAUGCUUAUUGGAAGGUCAAGAUGACCGCCCAUCUCAAGUCAAUCAAUGGAGAAGUUUGGAAGGUGACCGAAACAAAGUUUGAGGUUGCAAAUGAGAAUGCACCAACACCGGUUGAAGAAAAGAAGCUUCAAUGCAAUGACAUUGCAAUAAGUGCUCUUCAUGAAGCUCUUGAUGACAAGACCUUUGAGCAAAUCAAGAACAUUGAGGUUGCUCAUGAUGCAUGGGCAAAGCUAGAAGAAACAUUUGAGGGCACCAAGGGAACCAAGACCGCCAAAGCAUACAUCCUCCAAGAAAAGUUCUCAAGCUUCAAGAUGCAAGAAGAUGAAAGUGUGCCGGAGAUGUUUCACCGGUUGCAAGUCAUUGUGAAUGAACUCAAGGCACUUGGGGAAGAAGUAAAAGAUAGUCAAUUCUCUAUGAAGUUCUUGAGAAGCUUGCCUAAGAGAUUUGACACAUUGAUCACCGUGCUAGUCAAGACAACACUUAGUGAAUCAACUCCCCAACAAGUCUUCCAAGAGGUGAUGACCGAUGAUGCUUAUAGGGAAGAUGAUGAGAAGGAUGAGUUGAUCAAGAAGAAGAAGAAGGAUGGUGAGAAGAAAGAUGAUGAGAAGAAGAAAAGUGUGGCAUUCAAGGCCACCACAUCCAAGGGCAAAGCCAAGCAAGAAUCAUCAAGUGAAGAAGAAGCAAGCUCUUGUGAUAGUGAUGAAGAUGAGGAGAUGGCUCUUCUUGUCAAAAGAUUUGGAAAGUUUAUGAAGAAGAAGGGAUAUCGGGCAAGAAGGAAGAAAAGCUCCUCCAAGAAGAAUGACCAUUCCAUGAGGUGCUUUAGAUGCCAUAGCAAGGAUCAUCUCAUCGCCAAGUGUCCUUAUGAUAGUGAUGAUGAAGAUGCUAUCAAGAAGGAGAGAAAGAAGCAAAAGAAGAAGCAAGAAAAGAAGGAAGGCUCAAACAAAAAGAAGGGUGAUGCCCAUGUUGCAACUUGGGAUAGUGAUGACACCUCAAGUGAUGAUGAGAGCACCAAGAAGAAGGCGCAUGCUAGCAUUGCAAUUCAAGGAAAGAGCUCCAUCUUCGACACUCCAUCAUGCUUCAUGGCUAAGGCCACUAAGGUAUCAUCCGAUGAUGAGAGUGACCAUGAUAGUGAUAGUGAUAGUGAUGAUGAUGGACCAACUAAAGAUGAACUAAUCACUAUGCUAGAAGAUUGCACUCAUCACUAUAAAGAAACUAGAAAGGAGUGCAAGGCCUUGCUUAAGGAUAAGAAAACCCUUGAGCAAGAACUUGAUGAGCUUAGAGCAUCUUAUGAGAGUCUGAAGGAAGACCAUAAGAAGCUUCAAAAGGCUCACACUAAGCUUGAAGAAGCUCAUUCCUCUCUAGUCAACAAAUGCGAAAAUGAGCCAACUAAAAUGGAAAAAGCUAAAACUUGCAACAUAGGCCUAACUUGUGAUAUCUUAUGCAAGCCUAUUGUUAUUGCUUCUACUAACCCUUCAUGUAGCACAUCUACAUCAUCCUCAUCUAGUAGUGAUGGUUUCACAUGUGACACCACACUAAAAGUUGAGAAUGAAAUUCUUAAGAAGGAGGUGAAAGAGCUCAAUCACACCUUAGCCAAGGCUUAUGGUGGUGAGGACCGCUUGCUUAUGUGCUUGGGGCUUGGGUAGCCAAAGAGCUUCUCUGUACAAAGAGGGAUUGGGCUAUAACCCCAAGAAAGGUAAAGCCGCUUUUGCUCCUCACAAGACUAGUUUUGUGAAGAACAAUGGCCGGUAUUGCAAAGCUUGCAAGCAAGUUGGUCACCUAGAGCAACAAUGCAUGAACAAGAAACCCAAAGCUCAUGUAUCCUCAAUUAAGCUAAAUUCUUUCUAUGUGCUUAUCAAGGAUACAAAAGGUGUUCAUGCUAAGUUCAUUGGUGCACCAUGGAUGGGCUCAAAGAAGAAAGCCAUUUGGGUACCAAAGAGCUUAGUUGCUAACCUUGGAGGACCCAAUCAAGUUUGGGUACCUAAAAAGAAUUGAUCUUGUCUUGUAGGUCAAUUACAAAGCUGGAGGAAGGCAUUGGGUGCUUGAUAGUGGGUGCACUCAAAAUAUGACCGGGGAGUCUUGUAUGUUCAAAUCAAUUGAUACUAGUCAAAAUGGUGGCUUUGAUUCAAUUACCUUCGGUAACAACAAGAAAGGCAAGGUCAAGGGGCUUGGUAAAAUUGCUAUCUCAAAUGACAUGAGGAUAUCAAAUGUGUUGCUAGUUGAAAGCCUUGAUUUCAAUCUCUUGUCAAUUGCACAACUUUGUGACCUUGGUUUCAAGUGCAUCUUUGGUAGUGAUGAUGUUGAGGUGGUUAGUGUUGAUGGAUCAAACUUGAUAUUCAAAGGAUUUAGGCAUGGUAGCUUAUACUUGGUUGAUUUCAAAGAUAGUGACACCCAAUUGACAUCAUGCCUAAUUAGCAAAUCAAGUUUGGGUUGGUUGUGGCAUAGAAGGCUUGGUCAUGUUGGAAUGAAACAAUUGAACAAACUGUUGAGGCAUGACUUAGUUAGAGGCUUGAAGGAUGUCACCUUUGAGAAGGAUAAACCAUGUAGUGCUUGUCAAGCCGGAAAGCAAGUUGGAAAUGCACAUCCUAAGAAAAGUGAAAUGAGCUCAUCAAAGGCAUUUGAGCUAUUGCACAUGGAUUUAUUUGGGCCAACAACAUACACUAGCAUUGGUGGCAACAAGUAUGGAUUUGUGAUAGUAGAUGACUACACUAGAUACACUUGGGUGUUCUUUCUCUAUGACAAGAGUGAUGUUUGUGAUCUAUUCAAGUCUUUUGUCAAGAGGGUGCAAAAUGAGUUUGAAACCACUAUCAAGAAGAUUACAAGUGACAAUGGUAGUGAAUUCAAGAACACAAGAAUUGAGGAAUUGUGUGAUGAUCUUGGCAUUGGACAUCAAUUCUCUCCAACAUACACACCUCAAUCCAAUGGUGUAGUUGAAAGGAAGAAUAGAACCUUGAUUGACAUGGCUAGAUCAAUGCUUAGUGAAUACAAUGUUAGCCAUUCAUUUUGGAGUGAAGCCAUCAACACGGCUUGCUAUUGUAGCAACCGUCUCUAUUGCCAUGGAAAGCUUGGGAAGACACCAUAUGAGCUAUUGAAUGGAAGAAAGCCCAACAUUGCAUACUUUAGAGUGUUUGGUUGCAAAUGCUACAUUCUUAAGAAGGGCACUAGAUUGAGUAAGUUUGAGAAGAAAUGUGAUGAAGGGUUCUUACUUAGUUAUUCCACCACAAGCAAGGCAUAUAGAGUAUGGAACUUGGCAAGUGGCACAUUGGAAGAAGUCCAUGAUGUUGAGUUUGAUGAAACCGAGGGAUCUCAAAAUGAAGCUCAAAAUCUUGAUGAUGUGAGGGGAGAUCAAUUGGCAAAUGAAAUGAAGAACAUGGAUGUAGGUGACAUAAGGCCAAGGCAAGUUGAUGAUGAUAGUGAUAUUCACAUGAUCAAUCAAGAAGUACAAAUUGAUACAAAUCAAGCAAGUACUAGUGGCUCUCAUGAUGAUGAUCAAAAUCAAAAUCAAGCUAGUGGAAGCAAUCAACUCCCAAUACUCCAACCUACAAGCAUAGCAAGAGAUCAUCCAUUAGAUCAAGUCAUUGGUGGUAUUCAAAGUGGUGUUCAAACAAGAUCAAGACUAGCAUCCUUUUGUGAGCACUACUCAUUUGUCUCGUUUGAGGAACCAAAGAAGAUAGAAGAUGCAUUGAGAGAUUCGGAUUGGGUAAAUGCCAUGCAUGAAGAAUUGAACAACUUCACAAGAAACCAAGUGUGGGAGCUUGUUGAGAGGCCAAAGAACUACAAUGUGAUUGGUACCAAGUGGGUCUUUAGAAACAAGCAAGAUCAAGAUGGUGUGGUUGUGAGAAACAAAGCAAGAUUAGUAGCACAAGGCUACACUCAAGUAGAAGGUCUUGACUUUGGAGAGACAUAUGCACCGGUUGCAAGAUUGGAGGCAAUUAGAAUAUUAUUAGCCUGUGCUUGUACCCACAACAUCAAGCUCUAUCAAAUGGAUGUGAAGAGUGCAUUUCUCAAUGGAUACAUCAAUGAGUUGGUUUAUGUUGAACAACCUCCCGGUUUUAAUGAUGACAAGAAACCCAACCAUGUUUACAAGCUCAAGAAGGCAUUGUAUGGUUUGAAGCAAGCACCUAGAGCAUGGUAUGAGAGAUUGAGAGAUUUCCUUCUCUCUAAAGGGUUCAAGAUGGGAAAGGUUGACACUACCCUCUUCACCAAGAAGCUAGGCAAUGACUUGUUUGUGUUGCAAAUCUAUGUUGAUGAUAUCAUCUUUGGAUCAACCAAUCAAGACUUUUGUGAAGAGUUUGGAAAACUGAUGGCAAAUGAAUUUGAGAUGUCCAUGAUUGGAGAGCUUAGUUACUUCCUUGGUCUUCAAAUCAAGCAAAUGAAGAAUGGCACUUUUGUAAGUCAAGGAAAGUACAUCAAGGACAUGAUCAAGAAGUUUGGGUUGCAAGAAGCUAAACCAAUGAGCACACCUAUGGGCACAAAUGAUCAAUUAGGAAGUGAUGCUAGUGGCAACAUGGUAGAUCAAAAGCUAUAUCGGUCCAUGAUUGGAAGUUUGCUCUAUGUCACCGCAUCAAGGCCGGAUGUAAUGUUUAGUGUGUGCAAAUGUGCAAGAUACCAAGCUUCACCUAGAGAAAGUCACUUGAAGGCAACCAAAAGAAUAUUGAGGUAUCUUAAGGGCACUCAUGAUGUUGGAUUAUGGUAUCCCAAGGGGUCUAACUUUGAGUUGAUUGGAUAUUCGGACUCCGACUAUGGUGGAUGCAAGAUUGAUAGAAUGAGCACAAGUGGCACUUGUUACUUGCUAGGAAGGUCUCUAGUUUCAUGGUCAUCAAAGAAACCAAAUAGUGUUGCACUAUCAACCGCCGAGGCCGAAUACAUUAGUGCCGGUAGUUGUUGUGCACAAUUGCUUUGGAUGAAAGCUACCUUGAAUGACUUUGGAAUCAAAUUCAAGAAUGUGCCUUUGCUAUGUGACAAUGAGAGUGCAAUCAAGAUGACACAAAAUCCGGUUCAACAUUCAAGAACCAAGCACAUUGACAUAAGGCAUCACUUCAUAAGAGAUCAUCAACAAAAGGGUGAUAUUAGCAUUGAAAGCAUUAGCACCGAAGAUCAACUAGCCGACAUCUUCACAAAGCCACUUGAUGAGAAGAGAUUUUGCAAGUUGAGGAAUGAGUUGAACAUACUUGACUUCUCUAACUUGAGAUGAGUGCACCCCCACAUUUCUAUAUGACAUACCACUCCUCCAACAAUGCAAGGUAAAGUUGGUUGACAUAGCAUUCAUGCUUGCUAAGGACAUGAUUAGAACAUAUAGACAUGUUUGCAUGAUAAUAGGCUCAUUCAUGAAAAUCAAAAGAUUUUGAUGUAUGUAUGGUACCACUAUUGCUUCUAUGUUUGAUUGAUCUAGUGGUAGCAUAUGACAUGUUUGUGAGCUUGCAAGCCUAGUGUUGAAUCUAGAAUAUGAGCUUAUGAUGUGUAAUUCAACAUGGUCAAGAUAACCCUUAUACUUUAUGAGGUGUGAAAAAGCUUGUCCUUGGAUCAAACCGAAUUACAUGUUUGAGGCAAGUGAUCUAGAUUGAACCAUAAUUUGACCCUCACAUUGAUUGACUUAAUUCUCACUAGUUUUUGAACCUUUGUGGGCAUUGAUGACAAAGGGGGAGAGAAACAAAGAUAAAGUCAAGAUAAAGUCAAAAAGGGGAAGAGAAACAAAGAUAGGGAGAGAAAACACCUUUAAACUUGAGCACACAAAUAGGGGGAGCAAGCUCAUGAACCAUUUGUUGCAUUUGUAUGUGCACUAACAUAAUGAGUUGUUGCAUUGCAAGUUUAAAUUCACGACUCUUGUUUGAUUGGUGCUUGCUAGAAAUAGAACUUGAAUGAUGCUUUGAAUUCUAGCAUAAAGUUUUAUUUUCAUGUGGUAUCUAGACAUAUAAUGUGAUCUCACGAGGUAUAUUGAGUUUUUGAUGUAUGUCUAGCUACAUUGGUGCUAAGGAUGGUAUAUUGGCAACUCCGAUUGGUAUCACGCUUCAAAGGUCCAUUCUAUAUACCUUAGCAUCAUUUUGGUAGUAAUAAUUCUCCCAAAACUCUAAUUUAUGCAUAUGUGCAAACUUGAACCAAACUCAUGGAAGCACAUAUGUAGGGAGAGCUAGUCCUAGUGAUUGACCGGGUUUAGGAUAUAUAGCCGACUAUCAAGAGGGGAAAUCACGGUCAUCUCUCGAAUCAAGUGCUACUAGGUCCAUAUCUUGAGCAUAUGCAUUAGGAUCUAGUAAAGUGCUAACUUAACUCCUUUGGGAAAAUGUUUGUGAAAAGCUAACACACUUGCACUUUGAUGGUGGACACUUGUUGGUGUUAGCACUUUUACAAAGGAGGUGGAGUUCCUAGGGUUGAGAGGGGUGUGGGUUCCUAGGGUUGGAGUUCGACGCUUUUGAGAAAAAUAAGUGUUUAUUUUCUAUUUGCGCCGGUGGGAAAUUUUGGAGAAGUCGCGGGAGUGUUUUCUCACUGAGAAACACUCACCGGACGCUGAGUGCGGAGGCACCGGACGCUGGCCUCAGCGUCCGGUGUGCUUGACCCUGCUAGGGUUGAGCACCGGACGCACUCUGGUAGCGUCCGGUGGUUAGCGUCCGGUGUGAGGUGUUUUUGUAACCCUCUCUGCGCACGAGUCCGGUGAGCACCGGACCGUCCGGUGCCUAGCGUCCGGUGAGGUCGCGAGUUUGUCACCCUCUCUGCGCACGAGUCCGGUGAGCACCGGACCGUCCGGUGUGGACUUGCAGAGCGUCCGGUGUGUUGCAGGUAGCCGUUAGAAACUGACGCGCGAGAUUCAAAGAGGACACGUGGCCAACUCCAGUGCACCGGACGCAGGGGGUCGAGCGUCCGGUGCUCACUUAGUAGCGUUCGGUGCCGCCGUUUUCAGCCCAGUGAAAACAGCCAACGGCUAGUUUCUUUGAGGGGCUUAUAAAUAGUUGGUGGCCGGCUUUGGGAGGUUCCCUCUUGCACAUUUGAUUACUUGAGACAUACAUUGAGCUAGAGAACACUCCCUCCACUCAUCUCCUUGCUUGAUUGCUAAUCCUAGUGAGAUUGAGUGAGAUUCAAGUGCAUUGCUUUGAGAGUUGCAUUUAGUGGCACUUGAUUCUUGAGUUUGCUGCGGAUUUCUUGUUACUCUUGGGUGUUUCCCGACGCCCUAGACGGCUUGGAGCAGCGGUGGUGUUGAGCUCGUGAUUGGAGAUUGUUUCGAGCCUCACCAAGUGAUUUGUGAGGGGUUCUUGAGCCUUCCCCGCGGGAGAUCGCAAAUUGGUUACUCUAGUGGAUUGCUCAUGGCUUGGAGGAUCCCCAUCUUGUGAGUGGAUGUGCGGCACCCGCUGAGGGUUUGGCUUUGGAUUGCCAAUUAGCUCAUGAUCCAUCAAGUGGGUGUAUCGCCACAACGAGGAGUAGCUUGCCGGGAAGCAAGUGAACCUCGGUAAAAAAUCUUGUGUCAUCUCUUGCCGAGGUCUCUCUUGUAAUUGUGUACGUGAUUGAUUGGAUAUAUCUCAUCUCUACAACGUCGGUAUAACAAUCACUCUCCUCUCUUUACAUACUUGCUUACCUUGCUAGUUGUGUAGCUUGUUUAGCUUAGUUCUCUUGUUGUUGUGCUUUAGUGUUUAGCCUUGUACUAGUUUGUAUAGGUGGCUUGCAUAGCUUAGUUAAGCUAGUGCUAGAAUUGCUUCGCUAUUUGUUUUACUAACUCACUUGCUUAGUGAAGUUUGUAGAAUUUGUAAAUAGGCUAUUCACCCCCCUCUAGCCAUUUGGACCUUUCAAUGAUCCUGCUAAAUAAAAUUUAUUAGGAGGAAGCUCAAUAUGAUAAAGGCAAAGAGAUUUUAUGCUAUCACUUAACCAGUUCCACAAAGCUUUGUUGUCUAUUUGAGCUCCACAGAAUUCAUGGAUCAAAGAAGACUAGCAGACGGAGGACAUCCAAAUCGCUGUCAGGGUGCUGCCGACAUUCAAAUACACCUCGGUCACCUGCUAGCUACAUCAGAAGAAAUUACGUCAAAAUCCAGCUUGGGGGAGAGCACCCCCAUUUAUCUAGCUAAGUGGUUCUACUCGCGUUUAUACUUUACUCAAAUAAUAAAAAGAUGAAAACCCAAAUAAAGAUUUUGUGCUUUUAUAUAUAUCCUUGCUUAGUUUGCUAAAUAAAUAAAGUUUGCUAUGAACCCUUAUGAUAAGCUCUCACAUGGAAAUGAUGAAUAGUUGCUUUUCCAUGACUAGUUCAUAAAUUUGAAAUCUCUCUCAAGUUUAGGCAUAACUUAUAAUUUAAAUCUGCUCUAAACCUGAACUUGUGGGAAGAGUACUUGAUCUAAAGUCUAAGUUGUUAACGGAUAUGAUAUGGGAAGGUUGAGCUGCUGUUUAUCUGUUCCUAGAGAUGCUAGAAUUCUGGAGAAUUUUAUCUUUAAAAAUCUAUAAAAUAACACAUGAUGAGUUCCUUUAUGAUGAGAGUUUAAAAUCCUACCACAGCCAUAUAUACAUGCUUAUUAGACUUUGAGCCACACAUUUACUUUUUACUACUUAUGAGCAUUGAGUGUGGUCAAGCUGUGUAGACCCUUAGGAGCUUGUCAUGUGGUUAAAAUCAAGACUCACUUGCACGUUCACUCGUAUAUGCUGCUUCUACUCCGAAAGUACGCAUCCACAUAUAUCCACUCAUUUCCAUCCCCAGAUUCACCCAAAAGUAUUCUACUCCUAAUCUAGGACGGAAUAGCCAAAAAGAUUAUCCUAUCCCUGUUACUCCCUAUGAAAAAAUGCUCGAGUUAUCUUGGUUACUACCACUUGCUAUAUUAUUUCAGGAGAUGAGUGCUCUAAAAAAAAGAGGAUACGACGAAAUAAAAAGGGGCAAGUGCCCGGAACCUCGAAGAAAAGAAAAAGUGAGACGAGAGGUAAAAAUGGACAAGUGUCCGACGGUAGAAUUAGGGGUACAGGAUACCCACCUGAGAGGAAAGAAAAAGAAAAUAUAGAGCAUCUCAUUCUCCUCAAAAAGCUUCAAAGUGCAAGAAAGGUAUGUAUCCCCUAAAAAGAGCAAAAGUAGAAUUAGACUUUCACCAUUGUUAUCACCAUCAUCACCAUACACCAUUCACUCACCACACAUGCACAUCUUGAUUUGACUUAUUGAAUUGUUUCUCUGGAUCCAUGGUUUGACUAUGCAAUAAAUGUCUUGUAAGUAUGUAUUAUCUGUCUCCCACCUAUGAGCUCCAGAUAUCAAAACCUUAUUAGAGUAGGGUGAGAGAGAAGGCAAUAUCACUAUGCCCCAUACCAAAAAUACCACAUACUUUGAGAGAAGGCAUAUAUCAUUACUGCCUUGGAAAUGAUCCAGAAAUACCACAAAAGAGAGAUUUGAGAAAGUCAUACAAGGAAUCUCUGAGUUUUAUUUGAAAAUCUACAAAAACUCCAGAGCUAUAGCUGAUCAAAGAACAAGAGACAUGGCGCUUAACUUGACCGUUCUAUCUUUUAACUGCUCAAGACACAAGUGACGGUUACAAGCCCCAUGGUGAAAGGUAAAAUGAGUAAGCUUUAAGUCUUAACACUUUACUCUAACUCAGAGAUGAGAUCUUACUUUUAAGGCAUGAAACCAUUGUAGAAACUCUUGAGUUCAUCCUUGCCCAGGGACGAGCAAGAGGUAAGCUUGGGGGAGUUGUUGACGGUCCUUAAGUAUCAAAUAUAAUCAUCAAAUAAAUAAAGAAAAGGAUCCAAAUGCAACCAACACCCAGACUUAGGGUUUUAUCUGACAGAAUUCCACGAGUUUUGGUGUUUGUCUAUUUCUGCAGGGGGUUAUCUGGAAAUACGGAAGAAAGACCCACACGUCGGGAUUACAUAGAGAUAUUAACGUGCCGCGCAAUUUUCUAUCAUCUAGAAGACUCCAGAAGCCACGGGAACGAACGGGAGGCCGAACGGGCCCAGGGGCAUGGCGCCCGCCCUGACCUGGAUUCGAUUCAGAACUCUCUUCGCGGACCAAACUCCACCGACCUAAAGGAUCAAGGAUAACCGUCCAAUCAAUGUCGGUUUGAUCCAAUGGCUCACGUUCACUUGAGGGGACUAUAAAACCAGACUCCCUGGCCCUGGAGGAGACAAGUUCAUCAUAGAGUUGAGAGGAGCCCUCGAAGGAAUACCUCUCCUCUAAAUAAAUAUUUAUUUUAGGCUUAGCAUCUAAUGUGAGUAGAAUUAGAUCUUCUAGUUUCUACUAGAUUGAGAGAUAUAGAGUGGAGGUGUAGAUCGAAGGAAGCCCGGCCUGUCGGUGUCUACUCCGAGGUUGUACCUGUGGGAUCAAGUCUUCUAACCUGAGGCUUGCUCCUAGGAUUCUUUAGUAAUUUGACUUCUAAAUCUAGUAAGUUCUUGUUUUAGUGUUCUUUGGUUUAUGAGUUUACUUUAAUAUCUUCCGGUUGAGUAUUAGAGUAAUCAUUGCUAGCGUAAACGUGGUGUUUAGGCUAGGGUACUCAUAGAUAUCCCCUGACUAGCUGGACUGUGGUAGUAGCGAGGAACGUGACAUUUCUGAGUUACCUUUGCAUCCCACAUCUCGAUAGCAGGACGGGUAGGUUUAUAGGUGUGGGUCGAACAUCCUUUGUGGUGUCUAGAUUCCGUAAGCUUCCCCAAUAGAAUAGUAGAUCAUCCUUACCAAGGUUAGAACGAGACUACGGUUGCAGUCUUCUCUAUACAUCGCUCACAUCGAGAAACAUUCUUUGUAGCCUAAAGGGAUAGUAGCAAUAGAUUUGGUUAGUCAGAUGCACCCUUUCUCCCAUUGGUAAAAAUAUAAAUACGAUACUCUGGAAAACCUCCCGGGUGAAAUGCUCACCAAUAUUCGUGCGCUUGCGGAUCAUUUUCUAAUUGCGUGACCAAAUAUCAACAAUCAUGUGUGAUGCUAGCGAUUAUGCUGUUGGGGUGGUCCUCGGCCAAACCAAGGACAAAAAUCAUCAAGCGAUCGCUUACGCUAGCAAGACUUUGACAGGACCUCAGCUUAACUAUGCCACUACUAAAAAAGAGGUCCUCGCUAUAGUCUUUGCUAUCGAUAAGUUUAGACCCUAUUUGGUGGGAGCAAAGAUAAUUGUUUAUACGGAUCAUGCUGCUCUCAAAUAUUUGCUCACCAAAAAGGAUGCUAAACCUCAUCUACUCUGAUGGAUCUUGUUGUUACAAGAGUUUGAUAUUGAGAUAAAAGAUAAGAAAGGAGUAGAAAAUACUGUUGCAGAUCAUCUUUCGUGUAUGCAAGUCACUAACAUGCAGAAACAGGAGAUUAACGACUUCCUACGCGACGACAUGCUCCUGAUGAUCAACGACAAGAAACCAUGGUAUGCAAAUAUUGUUAACUUUAUGGUUUCAGGGUACGUACCCUAGGCAAAUCAAAGAAGAAGCUUGAAUAUGAAAGUCGACGCCACCUGUGGGACGACCCCUACCUAUACCGGGUUUGUGCUGAUGGACUGCUACGAAGAUGUGUGCCCACCUUAGAGGGUGCACAAAUCAUCGAGAUGUGUCACGCUUCACUAUACGGAUGUCACUAUGGAGUAUUUUGCACAUAGUCCAAAAUCUCGACAUGCAGCUUCUACUAGCCUACAAUGUAUGAAGACACGAAGAAGUUCAUCCACAGAUGCCGUUAGUGCCAGCUAUAAGGCAACAUCAGUGCAUGCAACGCCAUGCCACUUCACUUCCAUCUCCAAGUCAAAAUUUUUGACGUCUGGGAAAUUGAGUUUAUGGGGCCAUUCAAGAAAUCAGGCGACUGCGAGCACAUCCUUGUAGCAGUUGACUACGUAUCAAAAUGGGUAGAAGAAUUAUCGUGUCGAGCAGUAGAUGCCAAGCAUGCAAGAAAGAUGUUUCACAAGAUCAUCUUUCCUCAUUUUGGGACACCAAUAAUGGUGAUAAGUGACGGAGGGUCGCACUUCAUUGAUAAAGCCUUCAGAACAUUUUUGCGAGAUUUGGGCAUCCGUCACAAUGUUGCUACUCCUUAUCAUCCCCAAACCAGUGGGCAGGCCGAAACUUCCAAUAAGUAGAUCAAGAACAUACUCAAAAAACGGUGAACGAAAUGGGAACGGGUUGGAAAGGUAAGCUCCCUAAUGCACUCUGGGCAUACAGGAUAGCUUACUAAACUCCCAUCGGGAUGUCACCUUAUCAGUUGGUCUAUGGCAAAAGCUGUCAUUUGCCUAUUGAGCUUGAACAUAGAGCUCACUAGGCAAUCAAGACUUGGAAUAUGGACAUUAAGGCCGCUAGAUGAAACAGGCAAAGACAAGUCGUAGAAUUAGAAGAAUGACGAGAAAAAGCCUAUCACAGUGCCAAGCUCUACAAAGAAAGAACAAAAAGAUGGCACGAUAAAAGAUCUUACAUAAAGAAUUCAAGAUCGGCGACAAAGUCCUGCUCUUCAACUCGAGAGUCAAAUUGUUUGGGAAAGGAAAGCUCAGGAGCAAAUGGGACGGACCUUACACAGUGAUCGAGGUGGCGCUGCAUGGAGCUGUCACAAUAAAGGACGACAGUGGCAACAUCCAUAAGCUAAAUGGCAAACGUCUCAAGGUAUUUCUCGAACCCGAACCCCAUUCCUUUGAUGAAAUAAAUUUAGUUUCUUUUAAAGAAUACACAAAAGGAAUGUGUUAAAAAAAGUAAUAUAAUAUCUUUUGUUGUUGUAUUUAUUUUACAUUAAAUAAAGCCUCUUGAUUUAUGCAUUUAUGUUUGACCCAAAAUGCCCCUAUGAUCUUGUAUAUCUUGUUUAAAAUCUGUUUUGAUCAUAGCAUCUUCUCAUCAUAAAUGGAUGAUAGUGCAAUCUCUUGAGUUUUAGAAAGUUUUAUUCAAAAUUCAAAAAAUAUUCUCUUUACCAUCCCGCCAAUACACUGUGAAUCAACAUUGAUCGUAAGUGGGAUCACGAUUAGGGAAACAAAUAACGCGAGCUGCCAAAAAACGGAGGCCGACUAGUGGCCCUAGGGGUUCAGGUGCACCUGGGUGUGGCCUCACCCCUGGCCCAGCCAAUUGGCCCUAAUCUUUUUUCGUACCUCCCUCUGAUCCCUCCAGUAUUGUGUUACCGCCUACGAUCAAGUUUGAUUCCUUAUUUAGGUGCGCUGAAGAACCUACAUAAGCAGCCCCCAGGCCUCUCAAUUCUUCACACCAAACCUUUCUCUUCUCCCUCUCACCAAGUGUCCUAAGCUCUCCCAAGAUCCAAGGCAAGAAUGUCUAGCUACGCCCUCUCCCUGAUCUAAGCCCCUGGCUCCUUCACAAACCUAGACAUCGUCCCCUUUAUAGAGAGUUCCUUUGUGGAGGAAGAAGCACAGGCGGCAGUCGAGGCACCACUAGCCUAUCUCCCACCAAGCUAGGACUUUAGCCCAAGACUGAAGUCAACUGCCCGCUACCGCACCAUCAAGGAUGGCGCACAGAAGAAGAAGCCCACUGAUGUUCGUCCAACCAUCGGUGCACUAGGACUGAAGAAGAAGACUCUUGGUGGUGGUGGACUUAGCAAUGUAGCUAUUGUCAUGCCUUCGUCUUCCGAAGAGCCAUCUCUAUCGUCUUCCGUUUAUGAUAAUCGCUCAUAUAUAAUUAGAGGGAUACGCAAACCCGACGGAUGGUAUGCGAAGGGGUUUUUCUGUAAGGACGAAGCUUCGGCUAGCAAAGCCGCGCCCUUAGCAGAAACCUUAGGCGCUAAACGCAAGUUCGUUAGGACUGUCAUCAGGGGACAGCCUAAAGGUUUCUUUAGCAAUAGUGAGGAUGAGCAGCUGCGCAAAGGGCUAACCAUCGCCUCACUCCGUGCAAGCAAUAGGAGCACCCACGCUAGUGUAGAGGGAGCUCAUGAUCGCAUAGCCAAGGCUCAUCUUAGCGUCAAAGGACUUAAGGACGAAUUAGAUGAGAUGCGCCAUGGAUAUGAUUGAAGAGAUUAUGGAAGUUUUCAUGGAUGAUUUCUCUGUUUAUGGAAAAACUUUUGAUAGUUGUCUUGAAAACUUAGACAAGGUUUUGUAAAGAUGUGAUGAAAAGCACUUAGUCCUUAAUUGGGAAAAAUGUCAUUUUAUGGAUAGGAAGGAAUAGUGCUGGGACACCUAGUGUUUGAAACAGGUAUUGAGGUAGACAAAGCUAAAAUUGAAGUAAUUGAACAACUACCUCCACCUGUGAAUGUAAAAGGAAUUCAAAGCUUUCUUGGCCAUGCUGGUUUUUAUUGGAGAUUCAUAAAAGAUUUUUCAUUAAUUGCUAGACCACUUAAUCUUUUGCUAGCCAAGGAUGCUCCUUUCGAAUUUGAUGAUGCCUGUUUAACAACUUUUGAAUUAUUAAAGAAUGCACUCAUCACUGCACCAAUCAUUCAACCCCCCUGAUUGGUCUUUACCUUUUGAAAUUAUGUGUGAUGCUAGUGAUUAUGCUGUGGGGGUAGUUUUGGGACAAACUAAAGACAAAAAGAAGCAUCAUGCAAUUGCUUAUACCAGUAAAACUUUGAUAGGAGCUCAACUUAAUUAUGCAACCACUGAAAAAGAGCUCCUGGCUGUUGUCUUUGCCAUUAAAAAAUUUAUAUCUUAUUUAGUUCGAGCUAAAAUAAUUGUUUAUACUGAUCAUGCUGCACUGAAAUAUCUACUCACUAAGAAAGAUGCUAAACCUUGAUUAAUUAGAUGGAUCUUGUUACUCCAAGAAUUUGACUCAGAAAUAAAAGAUAAAAAGGAGUAGAGAAUUCUAUUGUUGAUCACUUGUCUAGAAUGCACUUUAAGAAUCCACAGGAACCACCCAUCAAUGAUUCACUCCGGGACGACAUGCUCUACGGAAUCAACAGGUCUGACCCCUGGUAUGUAGAUAUUGUUAAUUUUAUGGUUUCAGGGAAUGUACCGCCACGAGCGAACAAGAAAAUGCUUAUUCAAGAAAGUUGUUCACACAUAUGGGAUGAGCCAUUCCUCUUCCGUGUAUGCUCUGAUGGCUUACUCAGGAGUUGUGUGACCACUGAGGAAGGAUGGAAGAUCAUCGACAAAUGCCAUUCAUCGCCAUAUGGAGGUCAUUAUUGAACAUUCCAUACACAUUCAAAGAUCUGGUAGUGUGGAUUCUAUUGGCCUACAAUGUAUGAAGACACGAAGCAAUAUAUCCAAAGAUGUGGGCCAUGUCAAUGACACGGAAACAUAAACACAAGGGAUGCCAUGCCACUCACCAACAAUCUUCAGAUAGAACUCUUUAAUGUCUGGAGAAUUGACUAUAUGGGACCAUUUCCCCCAUCAAAGAAGUGUGAGUUCAUCUUGGUGGCGGUUGACUAUGUGUCCAAGUGGGUAGAGGCACUACCAUGCAAGCAUGCUGACAACAUAAGUUCAAAAAGUAUGUUUGAGGAAAUCAUAUUUCCAAGAUUUGGAGUCCCCAGAGUAGUGAUAAGUGAUGGAGGAUCGCAUUUCAUUGACAAACGGUUCGAGCAUUAUCUAUCAAGACAUGGAAUCCGCCACAACAUUGCUACCCCCUAUCAUCCUGGGACAAGUGGCUAGGUAGAGACUUUCAGCAAGCAAAUCAAGAACAUUCUUCAGAAAACAGUAAAUGAGAUGGGAACAGCAUGGAAGGACAAAUUACGUGAUGCACUCUGUGCAUACUGGACAGCAUACAAGACCCCAAUUGGGAUGUCUCUAUACCAAUUGGUGUACGAGAAGACUCACCACCUACCUGUUGAACUACAGUUCAAACCACACUGGGCCAUAAGGAAAUGGAAUAUGGACCUAGAUGUUGUUGGAGAUCAUAGAAGGAUGCAAUUAUCAGAAUUGGAAGAGUGGCGAGAGAAAGCAUAUCACAAUUCAAAGAUCUACAAAGAUAGAGUCAAAAGAUGGCAUGACAAGAGAAUCAAAAAGAAGGAGUUCUCUCCUAGAGAUAAGGUAUUACUUUUUAAUUCCAGGGUGAAACUCUUCGGGCAUGGAAAACUCUGGAGCAAAUGGGAAGGACGGUACAAGGUAAUCAAUUCAUCAUCCCACGGAGCAAUCACACUUCAAAAUGACGAAGGUACGUUAUUCAAGGUAAAUGGUCAACGUCUUAAAUUAUUUUUAGAGCCCAAUAAAGAAUUAGAGGAAAUAGACAUGAUCCAUUUUUACCUUCAAUGGAGAAUUAAAGCCCGACCAUUUUAAUUUGACGUUUUUGGGCCACGUAUAUAUUUUUCGGGAUAUCAAACCUUCUAGAAACACACACGAGAGAUCGGGCCAGCGGAGGAUCCCAGGCCAGGGCAGGCGCCCUACCCCUAUCUCCUCUUGCUGCCACUUGUUUCGUUAGGAUCUCCACGUCCAUCCCUAUCUAGAAAACCCUAUGAAUAGUUUGUUUCACAAGUUGGCCACGGGAUCUAUCUCGUGGAAGAUUCUAGAUACACCUGUGACCCCUAUAUAAACAGACCCCUGACGUCAGCUUUCAUCACCAAUUCAUUCUUUCCUCCCUCAUUUAGAGCUUUGCUUAGUCCCUCACUCCAAUGGCCGGUAGCAGCAACCCCGAUUGGAAGAUCGUCCCAUAUGGGAUUGAUCUUAAUAAGAAGCCAAAAGUAGAUCCAGACUCCAAGGCGUUAGUGCCAAUCAACAGCGAGCGGCAGCUAGCAGCCUUUCCACCACGCCAGCGCAGUGCCAGCCAUUCUUACUAUGCUCAACCAGUCCUCACCGCGCUGCCGCAACCCCUUCUCAAGGGACCACCGGUGAAGCUGGGCGCACUCGUCAAGGUGCCUACCGGCACUAAGGUCCUACCGCCGAAGCCCAAUGAGAGGGUGGUAGGCGUGAAGACCAACAGGAGUGGUGAAAUCAGCAGCGUCCGGUACAAGACAGAGGAGGAACACCCUUACUUCGAGGGAGUACGAGCGGUGAAGGUCUGAUUCAUCCUGCCAAAGGACGCCCGAAGCAUGUGCUUAACUCUUUUGAGUCGCCGCCUAAGCGCCGUAAAACCAUAGUUGAUCUAGAGAAAGAGUUCCAUGCGAGGGAUGGAGUGAUCCUAGAGCUCCAGUCGUCUGUUAGCUUCCUAAAUAUGCAGGUCGCGAACCUGAACACAACUACGCUCAACCUUAGACGCGACCUCACUAAGGCCACUGAUAGGGUGAAGGAGCUAGACAUCACAAAGCUGCUUAGUUAGAUCUUGAGGCACCUGUAUCUUAGUUCAUUCAUUAUUAGAUUCGUUUUAGAUUCAUUAUUAGAUAAAAUUCAUUAGUCAGUUGAUUUAUUGUAAUAAAUGCCUCAAGGAAAAAUAAAUAAAGAUUGCUUUAUUAUUAUGCCUCGUGUGUCUCCACUUUGUUGUUAUGCAAGAGAAUAGAAAACAAGUAUGGGGGAGAUCCCUGACAAGACGAACGAACUUCAACCGCACCACUCCACUCAGGUACACGCUCUACACGCUUUAUUCAUACACAUACAUAUACAUCUUAUUCAUACGCUCUACACGCUUUAUCUCUAAACAUGAUAAAAAUAUUGUUAAUCUCACUUUAUGAUAUUUCCUGAAAACCUACAAUUAUUGACAAAUUUAUUUUUAAAACCCUGUGCUACUCAAGUCAUUGUGGAAUGUGAGAUCGUAGAAUAUGAGUACCUUAUUCUUGAUAUCUUUGCCACUUGGAGAGUUUCUUUCAAAAACUUUAAAAAUAUUGCUACCAUCCUCAGUGUUUUAUAUGCUCUAAAGAUCAAGACAUUUUUAUUCAGAAAGAUUCACUCUUCCGAAGUAUUAUUGCGUUAGAGGCAUGGGCUAUGCAAAAAUAUGAAAUUCAAGGAAAUAAAAAGGGGCAAGUGCCCGGAAACCUCAUGGAAAAAAUGAACAAGUGUCCGACAAUAGAAUUAGGGGUACCUCGGUAUCCACCUGAAAAAAAUGAGAUGAUAAAAAAAUGAUGAAAAGAAAAUGAUAGCCCAUGGUCUCUCUAAUAAGCAAUAUAACAGUAAUAGUUGGCAAGUUUUUAAUUUUUCAAAGUCUUGAUAUAAGAGUAUGGCAUUCCUCUCCUCGGAUCUUGUUUUGACUGGGCAAUAUAUGCGAGGUAAGUAUGCUUAAGAAUUGUUGCAAAUCAAAACAAGCCUCAGUGAGAUCUAUAAAAUAAUAAUAAUAAUAAAAUAAUAAUAAAUAAUAUGAGUGAUAUGAGGGGACCUAUGAGGACAAAGGUCAGCUAAGUUUAUUUUCAAAAAUAUACAAAAAACUCCAAGUGACAGGGUUGGGAAGAAGAAAGGAUCUCUAUUCCCUGACUACAGUACACGGUGGACAUUUUACUACACCCUGUAGGUAUGAAAAGAAUGCUUUAUAAUGUUUAACCCCAAGUGAUUUUGUAAACCAUCCUUUUCUCAAGGACGAGAAAAAGCCUAGGUAUGGGGGAGUUUGUUGACGGUCCUUAAGUAUCAAAUUUAAUCAUCAAAUACACAAGGAAAAGGAUCCAUAUGCAAAUACCACCUAGAAUUAGGGUUUGGUUCGCCAUAAUUCCAUGAGUUUUGGUGUUUAUCUAUUUUUGCAGGGGGUUAUCAGGAAAUAUGGAGGAAAGGCCCACACAUCGGGUUUACAUAGAGAUAUUAACAUGUGCGCCAAUUUUCCUCGAUCUAGAACACUCCAGAAGCCACGGGAAGGAGCGCCCUAAACCCUAGGGUGCCCGCCCUAGCUCAGCAGCCAAUCAGGCUGAGUCUUGCGGAUUAUGCUCCACCACCUUUGGGGAUCAAUGAAAACCAUGCAAUUAAGGUUGGUUUGAUCCGACAGUCCACGUUCAUUUGGGAGGUCUAUAUAAGCAAGGCCCCUGGCCCCUGGAGGAAGGCAAUCCCAUUAUUCAUUUGCGUAUUUUCUAGAGAGGAUUCGUAGAGAGAGGUUCCUCUAGGGUUCCAAUCUCCUAGGGCUUAGCAUUCAAUGUGAGAUUAGAAUUUAUUCUUCUAGAUUGAGAGAAAUAGUGUGGAGGUGUAGGUUGGAGGAAGCCCGGCAUAUUGGUGUCUUCUCCAAGUUGUACCUACAGGAUCAAGUCUCCUAACUCGAGGCUUACUCCUAGGAUUCUUCGGUAUUUCGACUUCUAAAUUCUACUAAGUUAUUUGUUCUUAUUGUUUUUUGGUUUGUGAGUUUCCUUUAAUCUCUUCGUGUAGAGUUUAGAGUAAUCAUCGCUAGCGUAAACAUUGUGUUUGGGCUAGGAUACUCAUAGAUACCCCCUGUCUAGCAAGACCAUGGCAGUAGUGAGGAACGUGACAAUUCUGUAGCUACCUUUGUAGCCCAUAAUUCCAUUAGCAGGAUCGGUAGGGUUUAUAGGUGUGGGUCAAACAUCCUUUGUGCUGUCUAGAUUCUGUAAGCCUCCCCAAUAGAGCAGUAGAUCAUCCUUACCAAUGUUAGAACGAGGGUGCAGUCGUAGUCUUCUGUAUACAUCGCUCACAUCAAAUCACUUUGGUUGUAGCCUAAAGGUUAGUAGCAAUAGAUUUGGUUAGUCAGAUGCACGCUUUCUCCUAGUGGUAAAAUAUAAAUACGAUACUCUAGAUAACCUCCCGGAUGAAGUGCUCACCGAUAUCCGUGCACUUACGGAUCAGUUCCUGAUUGCAUUACCAAAUAACAAUAAUAGGCUAGGUCAUAAAUCACCUACUGUUCCUUUGGGCUCGAUAUUAAACCGGGUUGAUCUUGGUGAAGUGUUAAUUAGUAUGUAUCUGUGCGCUUGCGGAUAAUCUCAUUAUAAUCAAUAUUUAGGGUGCAGUUAAUUUAUACCAACAAUGUGGUUUGCUAAAGUGGUUUCCCUUCCAACACCAAUCUAAGUGUACUACUCUCAAGAUUCACCACAACGAGAUCUAAAAUAUUUAUCAUAAGCAUACGUGUGUAUAACCACCCUUUGAACAACUUUAGGAAUAGAGAGCAUGAGGGGGUUGAAGAUUUCAUGUGGAGUAAUGUUAGAGAGACUAAGUGAAUCAGGAUAUUUUUCGUACGACCAAGGAACUGAUGUGGUGUUCAUGAAGUAGCUUCAUUGGUCAUUGAAGCCUCCAUCAUUUUCUACUUCCAAGGGUGACUCGAUACGUAUGGCCAAAAAUUCCCUUGGUUCAUCUCUUGAAUUGAUCUUAUCUAAGGUCUUGUCCAUCCAUUUAGUGGCAAUAGCACAUAGGUUUUAAUGCUCUCUAGCCAUGGAUGUUGCUCUUUUUGAUCUUCUAUAUGGUCUUGAUGGUUCCUAUGCAUGGGAUAUCUAGAUGGAUUUCUAGAAUCAUUAGGAGGUUUAGGUGAAAGAUCAUAGAGCAGGCCAUAGUCAUCAAGGAUGGGUUUAGAGAUGGGUUCGUAUUAUAUAUCCAAUAUGGGCAUAGGAGGGGAGAGGAUAAGAGAAACUUCUAGAUGGCUUCACUCUCCUUCUAUGGCAUCACUUGACAUACCAUCCUUGAGUCUUUCGAGUUGUCCUUCAAAGAGAUUGUAUUUGAAAAUGUUUCUAAGAGAUCUUUUUUUAAGAUUCAAACUAUGUGUACUAAAAGAUCUCUUAUGAAGCUAGAAGUUUAAACUCCUCCCAAAAUCACUAGAACGGAUUUCAAAAGGUACAAUUACUUCUUCCCUUAGAAAAUUUUGGGGUACUGCUAGUUUGGGACGGAUAGUCAAAUCAUGGGAUUGGAAUGUUUGCAAAGUGGCUAUAAAAACUUCAUCUUCUAGUUUGGGGGAUGAUUCCUUCUCUACCUCUAGGAUUUCAUCAUGAAGGCUAGUGCAAGGAGUGUGUCCACUAUAGCUAAGGAUAAAGCUCACUUCACUAAUUGAUAAAGAAAGGAAAACUCCUCCAAAGACGGUAUUAUCAAUGCCAAUAUAAAGAUGUUGAAGAAGAAUAGAGUCUUGUAGGUCUAACUAAAUUUAUAGGAAGAUUAAAAGAUUCCCUAAGUGUAGCCAAAAGUUCAUUACCUACUUGAUCAGAAGAUAGGACCUUGGGUAUGUUGGGUAUUCUUAACGUCAUUACCAAAAGUAAACUUAGUUUUCUAAUUCUAAUAACGGCGCCAAAAAUGCCAAACCUGUCCCUCAUACCACUAAGCCAAGUUGUCAUCCCCAGCAUGACAUGAGAGACGCGGUAUUGAAAUAUGCAAUUGCUCAUCUAAAUAAAUAACAAAUGGGAUCUACAAGCGCACAGAUUAAUACCGAUGUAGCAUUUUAACCGGGAAGUAUUCCAGGUAUCGUUAUUUAUAUUUUUACCACUAGGAAGGGAUUGCUAAACAUCAAUGUUGAUUAUAGAAUGGAAUAUAGAAUUGAGUAUCUAUCAUUGCAUGUAUAAUUGAGAACAUUUAUCUAUCUCUUUCAUACAGGGAUAUGUGUCACAUAAAGGAUAUAUAAAGUAAUGAAUAGUGACAAAGAUAAUUAAUCUGAUCAGCAUAACUGAGCCACAUAAUAAAUAUGAUAAGCACCUCAAUUAGAUUUUCUAGCAAGUCAUUAGCAUGGAAUUAGGAUGAACUACAAGAAUAUUUCCUAAGUUUUUCUUAACUAUACAGUCUAGCAUAUCAUAGUUAGUGCAAUUAUACUUAGCAAUCAUUGUGAGAUAGGACUACGCCCAUAGUGAUAUUAGCAAGGAAUAUGAGAAACAUCGUAAUCACUCCCCUGUAAUAAUGUUGCUCUACCAGCCCAAUACACGAGAGGGGGACUAUAUAAUAAUCAAUUGAGCUCUCACUACCACGAACUACCCCGUGAUCUGGUAUAUAGGGUACAAUCGCAGAUAAAUACGGUAUAAGCACCACGCCUACACAAUAUCUAUCAUUUACCCAUGGAUCUGAUGGAUAAACGCUAUACGAUCCUAAACAUGUAUAUAAUUCCAAUCUAACUAAGCCAAGUAUAUAACUAUGAUAAACUAAGAACAAUAUAAUUGUGAAUACAAACAAGUAGAGCAAAGUCAUAAUCAAUAUAUUGAAGUAGAACAAAGUCAUAUUCAUAAUAUUGUAGAACAAAGAUGAACAAUUGAUGAACAAUAGAGAAUUACCAAGAAUCCUCUUGACAGAUCUGGAAACCAAUCGAAGAUUGACUCCUUCUAGUUCUAAUCCUAUGUAGCUAUGCUUAUCUAGAUGUCUAAUUGUUGUGGUGGCUCUAGGCUUGAUCAGAGGCUUCUUCUCCCUUGAUGAAUAAUGAAUUGGGGUUCAGAGGUCCUCUCCUCCAGGGGCCAGGGGGUCUGGUUUUAUAGUCCUUCCAAGUGAUUAUGGGCCAUUAGAUCAAACCGACAUUGAUUGAACGGUUAUCCUUGAUCCUUUAGGUCGGUGGAGCGUAAUCCCAAAAGAGAGUCCUGAUUGAACUCCAGCAGGGGGCGGGCACCCUGGUCCCUAGGGCGGGCGCCCUGGGCCAGGCUCCGUUCUACCUCCGCUUCGAUCUCGUGGCUUCUGGAGUCUUCUAGAUGUAAGAUAAUUGCGCAGCACGUUAAUAUCUCUAUGUAAUCCCAACGUGUCGGCCUUUCUUCCAUAUUUCCUGAUAACCCCCUGCAGUAAUAGACAAACACCAAAACUCGUGGAAUUCUGUUAGAUAAAACCCUAGGUCUGGAUGUUGGUUGCAUUUGGAUCCUUUUCUUUGUUUAUUUGAUAAUUAAAUUUGAUACUUAAGGACCGUCAACAAACUCCCCCAAGCUUACCUCUUGCUCAUCCCUGAGCAAGGAUAAUCUCAGCGAUGGAUCAGAAGUUGUUGUAAUGCCUUUAAAAGUUGACGGUACACAUGCUUAUAAAUAAGAUCUCAUCUCUGAGUUAAAGUAAACUGUCAAGACUUUAAAACUUAUUCAUUUUACCUUUCACCAUGGGACUUGUAACCGUCACUUCUAUCUUGAGUAGUUAAAAGAUAGAAUAGUCUAGUCAAGUGCCAUGUCUCUUAUUCUUGAUCAGCUAUAGCUCUGGAGUUUUUGCAGAUUUUCAAAUAAACUCAGAGAUUCCUUGUGUGAUUCUCUCAGAUCUCUCUUUUGUGGUAUUUUUGGAUCCUUACCAAGGCAGUGAUGGUAUAUGCCUUCUCUCAAAAUAUGUAGUAUUUGUGGUAUAAAGCAUAGUGACAUUGCCUUCUCUCUCACCCUACUCUAAUAAGGCUUUAAUAUCUGGAGCUCAUAGGUGGGAGAUAAAGUAUACAUACUCACAAGACAUUUAUUGUAUAUUCAAACCAUGGAUCCAAAGAAACAAGUCAAUAAGUCAAAUCAAGAUGUGCAUGUGUGGCGAAUGAAUGGCGUAUGGUGAUGAUGGUGAUAACAAUGGUGAAAGUCUAAUUCUAUUUUUGCUCCUUAAGGGGAUACAUACGUUCCUUGCUCUUUUUGAAACUUUUUGACGAGAAUGAGAUGCUCUAUAUUUUCUUUUUCUUUCCUCUUAGGUGGGUAUCUUGUACCUCCAAUUCUACUGUCGGACACUUGUCCAUUUUUACCUCUCGUCUCACUUUUUCUUUUCUUCCAGGUUUCGGGCACUUGCCCCUUUUUAUUUCCUCGUAUUUUUUCUCUUUUUUUAGAGCACUCAUCUCAUGAAAUAAUAUAGCAAGUGGUAGUAACCAAGAUAACUCGAGCAUUUAUUUCACAGGGGAAAAAUAAAUAUUUUUGGCUAUUCUCUCCCGGAUUAGGAGUAGAAUAUUUUUGGGUGGUUCUGGAGAUGGUAAUGAGUGGAUAUAUGUGGAUGGUACUUCCGGAGUAGAAGCAGCAUGUGUGAGUGAACGUGCAAGUGAAUCUUGAUUUUAACCACAUGACAAGCUCCUAAGGGUCUACACAGCUUGACCACACUCAAUGCUCAUAAGUACUAAAGUAAAUGUGUGGCUCAAAGUCUAGCAAGCAUGUAUAUAUGGAUGUGGUAGGAAUUUAGACUCUCAUCAUAUAGGAACUCAUCAUGCAAUAUUUAAAGAUUUUCAAAGAUAAUAUUCUUAAGAAUUCUAGCAUCUCUAGGAACAGAUAAACAACAGCUCAACUUGCCCAUAUCUUAUCCGUUAAGAACUUAGACAUCAGAUCAAGUUUUCUUCCCAGUUUAGGUUUAGAGCAAGCUUUAAAUUAUAACAGUUAUGUGUAAGCUUGAGAGAAAACUUAUAUUUGAAAAUUAGGCAGAGCAACUAUUCAUCAUAUCCAUGCUAUAUUUUUAUUAUUAAGAUUUAGUUUAGCAUAGCCACUUUAUUUAUUUAUUAAACACACUAAGCAAAAGAGAGAUAUAUAAGCACAAAAUCUUUAUUUGGUUUUCCAUAGUUAUGUAUUUUUAUAUUUUAGUAUAGUAUAAGUAUAAAGAUAGAUAGAAAUACUUAGCGGGAUAAAUGGGGGUGCUCUCCCCCAAGCUGAAUUUUGACGUAAUUUCUUCUGAUGUAGCUAGCAGGUGGCGAGGUGUAUUUGGAAGUCGGCAGUACCCUGACAGCGAUUAGAAUGUCCUCCGUCUGCUAGUCUUCUUGAUUCAUAAAUUUUGUGGAGCUCAAAUAGACAACAAAGCUUGUGGAACUAGUUAAGUGUUGGCAUAAAUAUCUAGCCUUUAUCAUGUUGAGCCUCCUCUAUAAAUGUUACUCUUUAUUUUUAUAUUUUCAUUUUAUAAAGCAGAAAAGAAAUAUUUAUUUUAUUUUUUAUGCCACCACAGUGAAUGUACUUAUGGGUUUUAUGCCACUCGUAUACUCACAUAGGGCUUACUAUUUUUAACAUUUUUAUUUUAUUUUAGGAUAGUAUGAACAUGAUUAACUAAGUAAACUAUUUUAAAUAAUUGAAAGUGAAAGGAUAACUACCAAGUUUACCUCUUGGCAAGGCGUUCGGUGUUUUUAAGUCCUCCGAACGGGACUCUCCGUUUUCUAGUUGUCCUGGGAUUCAUUGGAUGGCGGAGUCGGUGCUUCCAGCGGCGCCUCCUCUUCAUCUAUAGUUAACUUCUCUUUCCACACCUGACUCGGUGCUACGGUCUCCUCUAGAUAAUUUUGUUUAAACUGUAUGUCUUCUGACCUUAUCACUUCUCCUUCGUAGUCUGCCCAUCCGUCCUUGAUGAUUUCCCUCCUCUAGUUGUGGUUGCGUCGUUUUCUUCUUGUCCUGACCUGCUUAGAGUCUUCAACGAUAUAGUUAGGGUCAGUAAAAUAGCGGCGUACCUUCUCUGAGGGGAAGUGCAUAUGGACUUCUCCAGUUCCAAUGUAGAUGAUUGCUUUAACGGUGCUGAGGAAUGGUCUUCCAAGGAUGAUGGGUGGAUCAUACUCAUCUUCUCCCAUGUCAAUAACCUGAAAGUCUGUGUAGACAAAAUGAUCGUCUAUUUUGACAGGGACAUCAGUUAAUAUACCUUUAACCUCUCGAAAUGUCUGAUCUGCCAUCUGGAGCUAAAUGUAUGUUGGUUUUAAGGGCAUGGUUCCGAACAAGAGCCGAUAGGUGACUUUGGCCAUUAUGUUGACGCCUGAUCCGGUGUCGCAAGUCGUCUUGUAGAAGUUGUACCCAUUUAUGGAGCAAUAGAUGCUUAGCAUUCCUGGAUCGUCCUUCUUGGUCAGAAACGGUGACUUAAGUCGAUGAUCUUGACCUCCUUGAACUACAGUGACCAUCUUAGCUGACUCGGUCCACACUUGCUUGUUCCUGUUCCUCCUGUUGGUCCUUUUCCUUGAUUCAUGUCGAGAUUGCUCUGGGAUUUAUGUAGUCUUGUUCUUGAAGGAAAACAUCUCCUUCCUCCCUUUGAUGUAGAAACUGAUCUUGGCAGCACUAGCGUAGAUGACAACUCCUGAGGUGUUUAAGAAUGGCCUCCCUAGGAUGAUGGGUGCCCUCUCAUCAUUAUCAGUCUGUAUCACCACGAAGUCUGCUGGGGCGUACAUGUUACCAACUCGGACACAAAGGUUCUUUAAUAUUCCAUUUGGGAAACUUAUCGUCUGAUCUGCAAACUACAAACACAUGGUUGUUUCUGAUAAAGGAUAUGUAAAGAAUUUUUCAUAGAAUACCUUGGGCAUAAUGUUGACACUAGAGCCAAAGUCGCAGAGUGCUUCUGGGAAGUCCACCAUGCCGAUGGAGAUCGGGAUGACGGGGCGUCCUGGAUCACCUCUCUUGACCGGCAAAAGGUUAGUAGUAACUUCAGUGACGGGGUUACUCCAGUAGUUACCUGCAUCAAACAUGUCUACAAGAUUUACAGAUUCUAAUCUUUCUGGUUGUGAUGGUAUACCAAGGUUAGUAGCAGGAACAGCAGCAGCUAUUUGAUUUAACUAAGAUUCAAUCAUCUUAUUAAAGCUAAGUUAAUUCUUGAUGGCAGUAGAGAAAUUAUCCAUUCUAUUAUUAAUAUUUUCUAGUAUUUUAUCAUUAGAUGCCAAUUUCUUAGAUAGGUUAUCCAUUAGCUUUCCUUGAUUAGACACUAACUCUCUCAUAGGUGGAAAAUUAUUAUUAUUGUUGUAAGAAUUGUUACCUUGAUAAUUACCUGAGUAGUUAGGUCUUUGUUGAUUCCAACCUUGAUUUUGUUGAGGACGGUAGUAGUAGUAGUAGUUGUUGUUAUUGUUGAUGUAGUUCACAUCCUCAAGCAUCUCAGGGCAGUGAUUGCGUGAGUGUCCAGUAUCUCCACACUCCACACAAGUCAUGUGAGAGACGUAGAUGUGCAUAACUUCUUUCUUAUCUCCAACUCUAUCAUUGAGCUUCUUCAUGAGCAGGUCUAGCUUUGCAGACAGCAUGUCUACCUCCUUGAGCUGAUGCAUACCUCCACCUUUCUUGCGUGUCUGGGUCCUCUCUUCAUUCCAGCUUUGAUUGGACGCCAUCUUAUCCACAGGAGCUGUGGCUUGUGAUAUGGUGAGUGAUAGGAAUGCUCCUCCAACUGCAGCAUCCAUGGUCUCUCGGGCACUGUUGCCGAGCCCAUGAUAAAACGUCUGCAUCAGUAGCCAACUCUCCAUUCCAUGAUGGGGACAUUCUAGGAUAUAGUCUUGGAAGCGCUCCCAUGCUUCUGGAACGGAUUCAUCAUGUUGUUGCUGAAAACUUGUAAUUUUCCCACGGAGAGCAUUGGUCUUGCCCAUGGGAAAGAACUUAGCCAGAAAGUUCAUGGAGCAGAGUGCCCACGUAGUAUUCUUCUCCUUUGUAGCGUAGAACCACUGCUUCGCUCUCCCCAACAGUGAGAAUGGGAAGAGGCGAAGUAGUAUAGCAUCUCUGGGGACUCCUGAUAUGGUGAAUGUGCUGCAAAACUGCAGGAAGUGUUGGAGAUGAGCACUAGCAUCUUCGUGUGCCUUCCCACAGAACUAGUUGGAUUGUACCAUGUUGAUAAGUCCAGGCUUGAGCUCAAAGUUGCUAUCAAUCUCUGCAGCAGGUCCAGUGCAGAUGUUGUCCGUAGUGGGAGCUGAGAACUCGCGGAUCGAUUUGUUCGCCAUGACUUCGAACUCUGAAGACAAGUUCCGGUGAUCUUCUUGAUUGGAUGAAGCUUCUUGCUGAAGCGUUGAUGAUCUCUUCUUGAACUUGGCUCUUGUUUUUCUAAAUAACGCUUCGGGAUUGUCAACAAAAUUUCCUAGAAGAUGUCUUCUAUUCAUACAUUCCCCUGCAUAAGAUAAAAUAGAAAAAUAUCGGGGUAAAACUCUAUGAGAGAAUUGAUAACCUCAAUCAUAUUAGUGACGUGAAUGAUGACUCGAAAUUCUAUAUUCAUUCCAGAUUAGUAAUCAACCUUCCCCGGCAACGGCGCCAAAAAUGCUUGUUGUGUAUUCUUAAUGUCAUUACCAAAAGUAGACUUAGUUUUCUAAUUCUGAUAACGGCGCCAAAAAUGCCAAACCUAUCCCUCAUACCACUUAAGCCAAGUUGUCAUCCCCAGCAUGACAUGAGAGACGCGGUAUUGAAAUAUACAAUUGCUCAUCUAAAUAAAUAACAAAUGGGAUCUGCAAACACAUUGUAACACUCCAUUGUUAUGGUUGCAUCAAUCACAUGCAUAACAUGAGCAUCAUCAUCUACUCAAGCAUAUCAUGAUCAUCAUCUACCUUGAGUCAUGUCAUUCUAUGCAAAAAUGUGAGUUAACUAGUUAAAUUAUGUUUCCUAUGCUUGUGUUUGUUUGUACCAUGCUCAUGCUUGUGUGUUAAGUCUUGGUAAUUAGUUUAUCUAUGCUUAACUCAACCUUAGGAACAAUGCUCAUGUUGAUCACUUGUCGGUGUUUUCCCCACGGGGGGUCACACCAACGAGUAAAUUUGUAUGCGUGCUGCCUUUUCUAGAUGGUGAUGCAAAAAGACACAAAGAUUUAUCCUGGUUCGGGCAAGAGAAGGCCCUACGUCCAGCGGGGGAGGAGAGUUUGUAUUAUCUUGCACCUAAGUGCUUGUACAGGGGUGAAUACAAGCAUGUAUGAACUGGGAAGGAGUGUGGAAGCUCUACUACGUAUGAGUGUUGUAUCGCAUGAUGUUGUAUUCGCUCCCGGGCCUCCCCUUUUAUAGCUCCAAGGAGAGACCUAGGGUACAUGUAUAGGCGUCAGAGUAGGGGUCGAUAGAGGUAUGGCGUGCUGACCUACUCAAGGCCUCCGUACCGGCGUGGUCUCGAGCCGUCCCAUCCUGGUAGCUUGAUGAUGAUUACGCGUGCCCCUGUAUCCCACUCAGUCUGCCGUCUGGGACUGGUUUAUCUGUUGCAUGCCUGUACGUCAUGGCGGCAGAUAUGUCGGAGUAGUUGCGGUGUUGUCAUUCGACGCCCAACCCUUCCCUAGGAAGGAAACAUGUCUAGUCGAGGGUCAGACGCCGUGUAACGCCUUGCUAGCCAGAGCGCUGACCUUGGACGUCUCGAGGGGGUCUUGAUUAGACGUCCUGACCCCGCUUCCUGCGUCCUGACACGCUCUGGAUUAUUUGGUGGGGAAGGCUGCAAAAAGAAUGAUGGGACGGGUGCCUGUUCCCUAUCACGCUUCCCGUGACUGGCGUGUUAGGUAAGAACGCGACAGGCGCAUUAAAUGCCCUGGUUCCCGUGCCUGCGUCAGGCGGCGGGCGGCGUCCUUGCGCUCGACGCCUUUCGAUUCGCUCGAGCCUGUUUCCGUAUUCGACGGUAGCCGGUGCUCGAGCCCUGAUCGAUUCGCUCGACGCCCUUUCCGUCUUCGAGGCUGCGGUCAUCGAUGACCAUACGCGUGACUGGGUAGAGCGUCGAGUUGGAGGCUUCGACUUACGUACGGGCAAUCUCGUCAUGUACAUCAGUUAGGAUACCCCUGUUGACACCGUUUUUGGAAACGUAUGCAGGAUUGGUAGAAUGUGGAUCGGCAAGACAGGGUAAUGGUCACUGGUCUGCAGAAGGGUUACCGAUGAUGAUGGUUGCCGAUGAGAAGAUAGCGGGAUAUGACUAAGUCUGUGACUGGUGAUGUGUGUAUGCCGAUGGCCGGGGUUAACCGUUGCCGAUGGGGAGUCUGCUGAUGAUAUGGAAGGAAAACUCGCAGGUUGCCGAUUAGUCUGUGGUGGUGUCCCAGUUCGUCACGGAAGGAUGGUUUUAUGUUUUCCUUAGUUAUUUAAAUCGUUUUGUAUACGGAUUCUAUUUAAAUUUGGAAUUCGAGUUCUAGUCGUGUCUGGUUGUAGCUCUUUGAGCAGGGUAUAAAUGUAGACCCUAGGGAUUUGUAAUCAAAGAAUCUAUCAAUCAAUCAAACACCAGUUUUUUACUCAUAUUCCAGCAUCUACUAUUUCGACGACUUCGUCAUACUUUUUCUUUUUCAUUAUGAGUUCUUAAGAAUUCGUCGACUUAAGCUCGACGUGUUCUCAAGUUCCGCGUGAAUACCUCUUGGCCGUGGCAUCUGGGUGCAUCACUCUUGUCGGGACCAAAGUAUUCAAGUUAUCACCUUUGCCGAUAGUAAGGUCAAAUCGGCUGGCACGCCUUAACGUUUAAAUCGGGUAUUAGCCCUUUGUGUUUGCAGAUCAGCUUUUGCAUCAACACAUCUUUUGGCACGCCCAGUGGGACCUGAUUCAAGAUCAACAUGUCGACUACUGAGUUUGAUCAGGAGAACGUCAUCCCCGUGACGGAAGCCAAUCUCAAGGAUGAGCAGAAGCAAGCUAUUGUUAAAGCCAUGGAGGAUUACAAGCAGCAAUGCUUGAGGUCCUUCAGCACGAACAGGAGCGGCGAGGUGAUCCAGAAGGACGUGCUGCCGAUGCCUCGGCAGGUUACUUUCGAAGCCAAUCUUGGGAAACUUCAAGAUAUGGUUGAUAAUGCUAUCAACUGUGCUUUGAUCAACCAAGUUGGUGUACUGUCCAAUAUGGUUUUCAAUGCCGUGGCUAGAACUUUCAAGGAAGGACAGUCGCCACCAGAUUAUGUGGGCCCUUCUCAUCAUCAGCCAGGAUCACCGGUGGUCACAGCCCCAUCGGCUGCUACGGCCGCUGCGGGUACCCAGACUACUGUUCCCCCAAGCACGUUGGGAGUCACUAAUGCACAGUCUACGCCGAUGACGACAAAUCCACCGUCUUCAGAUGAGCAGAUUAAGCUUACUACAGAUCUAUUGGCAUCGGCAAGUCAGGACUGUUGACACUUGCUAACACCACUUGAAUACUAGGUUGUCAUCCCCUGCGUGGCACUAGAGUGUACUAUGGUAUUUAUACGCACACAGAUAAUCCGCAAGCGCACGGAUACCGUUGAAGCUUUUACCCGGUUAAAGGUUUUAUCGUAUCCACAGGGAAACGGGAGAACUGAUCUAUGCUCUAACUUAACCAAGAUAAGUAAAUAGGUGUGAAUAGGAAAGAUGGUAGAAUCGAAUAAGAACAAUAUUAAAGGUAAGAUAACAGUGAGUGAUAAUAUGGGAAUAAAGAGUAGAGCAAUUCUAGUAUAUGGGCGAUGGUAGCAGAAUAGAGAGGAUAACUAUGGUUUCUCUACUUCAAAGGGGUAUGUCUAUGUCUGGGACGAACCACGUGAUAAGAGUACACCACAAAGGAUGCUUAUCCAUAGGCCGAUAAACCCUACCCGUCCUGCUAACGAGAGGUGGACUACAGGGGACCAACGUAACUGUCACCUACGCGGCCUACCACACGAUCCAGCUAGUCAGGGGAUAUCCACAAGUAAUCUAGGUCUAAGCACCACGCUUACACCUAUACUACAACUCUAACCUAUAGGGUCCUAUAGAUUAGAAGUACUCAAAAGAGUUGUGAACCAGAACAUACAUGAUUAGUAAUUGCAUAAUGAAUUAGAAGUAGAUUACCAGAGUCAUCCCAUGAGCAAGCUUGAUUAGAGCUUGAUCAUGGCGAAGUACAACCGGAGGAAGAACCGACAGGCCGGCCUCUCCUCUAAUCCUCCUUCGCUCUCCAUCUCGCUACUAUCUAGAUCUACUCUAGUUUAGAGAAGAGAGGAGAGCUCUCAUCUCUAAACCCUAGCUUUUGCUCUGUCUAUGAAUAAUGAAUAAUGAUCAAGGGGUGCCUCCUCCAGGGGCCAGGGGGUCUGGUUUUAUAGUCCCCUCAAGUGAACCUGGGCCGUCGGAUCAAACUGACAUUGAUUGAAUGGUUAUUCUUGAUCGUUUAGGUCGGUGGAGCAUAAUCUACGAGAUUGAGCGUGAUUGGCCGAAAUAGGUGGGCGGGCGCCCUAAGGACUUGGGCGGGCGCCCUGUCCCUGACUCCGUUCGGUCUCCGCUUCCUUCCUGUGGCUUCUGGAGUCUUCUAGAUGUAAGAUAAUUGCGCGGCACGUUGAUAUCUCUAUGUAAUCCCGACGUGUGGGUCUUUCUUCCUUAUUUCCUGAUAACCCCCUGCAGAAAUAGACAAACACCAAAACUCGUGGAAUUCUGUCAAAUAAAACCCAAAGUCUCGAUGUUGAUUUCAUUUGGAUCCUUUUCUUUGUUUAUUUGAUAGUUAAAUUUGAUACUUAAGUACUGUCAACAAACUCCCCCAAGCUUACCUCUUGCUCAUCCCUGAGCAAGGAUAGACUCAGCUAUGGAUCAUAAGUUGUUGCAAUAUCUUUAAAAAUUGACGGUACACAUGCUUUUAAAUGAGGUCUCAUCUCUGAGUUAGAGUAAACUGUCAAGACUUAAAACUUACUUACUUUACCUUUCACCAUGGGACUUGUAACCGUCACUUCUGUCUUGAGUGGUUAAAAGAUAGAACAGUCUAGUCAAGUGCCAUGUCACUUAUUCUUGAUCAGCUAUAGCUCUGGAGUUUUUGCAGAUUUUCAAAUAAAACUCAGAGAUUCCUUUAUAUGACUCUCUCAUAUCUCUCUUUUGUGGUAUUUCUGGAUCCUUACCAAGACAGUGAUGGUAUAUGCCUUCUCUCAAAAUAUGUGGUAUUUGUGGUAUAAGGGAUAGUGACAUUGUCUUCUCUCUCACCCUACUCUAAUAAGGCUUAAAUAUCUGGAGCUCAUAGGUGGCAGAUAAAAUAUACAUACUUACAAUACAUUUAUUGUAUAGUCAAACCAUGGAUCCAAAGAAACAAAUCAAUAAGCCAAAUCAAGAUGUGCAUGUGUGGUGAAUGAAUAGUGUAUGGUGAUGAUGGUGAUAACAAUGGUGAAAGUCUAAUUCUACUUUUGCUCUUUUGAGGGGAUACAUACCUUCCUUGCUUUUUGAAACUUUAUGAGGAGAAUGAGAUGCUCUUCUUUUUCUUUUCUCUCAGAUGGGUAUCCUGUACCCCUAAUUCUACUGUCGGACACUUGUCCAUUUUUACCUCUCGUCUCACUCUUUUUAUUUUCUUUCGAGGUUCCGGACACUUGCCCCUUUUUAUUUCCUCGUUUAUUUUUUUUUUUCUUUUUUCUUCUUCUUUUUUUUGAGAGCACUCAUCUCUUGAGAUAAUAUAGCAAGUGGUAGUAGCAAGAUAACUUGAGCAUUUAUUUCACAAGGGAAAAACACAGAUAUUUUUGGCUAUUCUCUCCCGAAUUAGGAGUAGAAUAUUUUUAGGUGAUUCUGAAGAAAUGGAUGGAUAUAUGUGGAUGGUUCUUCCGGAGUAGAAGUAGCAUAUAUAUGAGUGAACGUGCAAGUGAAUCUUGAUUUAACCACAUGACAAGCUCCUAAGGGUCUACACAGCUUGACCACACUCAAUGCUCAUAAGCAGUAAAUAAUAAAUGUGUGGCUCAAAGUCUAUCAAGCAUGUAUAUAUGGCUGUGGUAGGAAUUUAAACUUUCAUCAAACAGGAACUCAUCAUGCAACAUUUUAAAGAUUUUUCAAAGAUAAAAUUCUCCAGAAUUCUAGCAUCUCUAGGAAUAGAUAAACAGCAGCUCAACCUUCCCAUAUCAUAUCCGUUAACAACUUAGAUUUCAGAUCAAGUUUUCAUCCCACAAGUUUAGAUCUAGAGCAAGCUUUAAAUUAUAACAGUUAUGUCUAAACUUGAGAGAGAACUUCAAAUUUGCAAAUUAGGCAGAGCAACUAUUCAUCAUAUCCAUGCUAGAGUUUUAUUAUUAAGAUUCAGAUUAGCAUAGCCACUUUAUUUAUUUAUUAAACACACUAAACAAAAGAUAUAUAUAUAAGCACAAAAUCUUUAUUUGGUUUUUCAUAGUUUAUGUAUUUUAAUAUUCUAUUAUAAUAUAAGUAUAAAGAUAGGUAGAAAUACUUAGCGAGAUAAAUGGGGGUGCUCUCCCCCAAGCUGAAUUUUGACGUAAUUUCUCUUGAUGUAGCUAGCAGGUGGCAGAGGUGUAUUUGAAAGUCAGCAGCAUUCUGACAGUGAUUAGAAUGUCCUCCAUCUGCUAGUCUUCUUGAUUCUUAAAUUCUGUGGAGCUCAAAUAGACAACAAAGCUUGUGGAACUAAUUAAGUGUUAGCAUAAAUAUCUAGCCUUCAUCACGUUGAGCUUCCUCAAUAAAUAUUACUCCCUGUUUUUAUAUUUUUAUUUUAUAAAGUAAAAAAGAAAUAUUUAUUUUAUUUUUAUGCCAUCACAGUGAAGGUACUUAUGGGUUUUAUGCCACUCGUAUACUCACAUGGGGCUUAGUAUUUUUUUAACAUUUUUAUUUUCUUUUCAAGAUAGCAUGAUUAACUAAUAAUCUAUUUAAGGCAAGUAAAUAAUUAAAUGGAAAAGGGAAUGCAGAAAGGAUAAAUAUGGAUAACUACCAAUCUUACCUUUCGGCGAGGGUUCAAUGUUUUAAGUCUUCUUGUCAAGACUUCUCAUCGUGUUCAUUCUUCAGGUGCGUCAUUUGAUUCAGGUGCGGACCUUGACGUCUGCACCUUUUAAUACGGUGUCACCCAUGUUCUUCGUUUGCCCAGCAGUUCGAAGUGCGGUGUUAGCAGUAUCUUGCUCAGUGUGUUUGUGCUCGUAGAGUACCUGCUCAUAGAGACAAGGCAGAGAUCAAGUGCAUGGGCCCUGUUGGUGGAAAACACCAACAGAACCAAAAGUGUAUUUGUUCUUCUCUAACCUUAAGCAUAGUGAGCAAGACAAGUUGAUGGAUGAUAAGUUCAUGAAUGUAGCACUUAUAACAUUUGUCAGAUCAGAUCGCUCAACCUUAUGGAAAGAUAAUCUAUCUAUGUAUAUGUAUUUUUCUUUAUAUCUCUUAAUGAUCGAAUGUGUAACAUUUUAGCUCAUAUGAUUAGGAGUGUGGGAUCAUGGAGGUAGUACUAAGAACAAGGAUUAAAGGACUAAACAUGUUGAAUCAGUUGGGUUGGUUAAUCUAGAGUUGUAAAUCAUACACAUUUGUCUCUUUUAUUUAUAUGAACGCCAGAACCAAGGAGAAGCUUAUAAAAGUGAUAGUCAAGUACCUUAAGAUGUUACCUUGCUCGAAGAGUGGUGGUACAGUAUCAUCUUGUGGAAGCUUUCCUUUCUUAGCGGUUGUGCGUCGUGUUUGUGGCACCCUCCAUGGAUCAUCUCUCUAUGAUGAAUGAGCUAUGUCCUUCUUGUGCAAAUUGUUAAACUUCAUGUGUCACUCUCUUCGUCUCUGAUGUGAGUUUAUCUCAGGACUUCCCAAAUCGAUAUUGAAAGUUUUUCUGCAGGGGUUAGUCCGACAAAAUAUACCAAUAUCUACUCAAGCAGUUUUUUUUAGUUCAAUAACCAAACUAGACUCCAUGUCUAAUCAGAUUAAGGAAGGCUAUUUAACCUAAGCACCAUGCUUAAUUUAAAUGCCAAUGGAAGUAUGGCGAGUACUUCCAAACCAACACUUGCUAGUAAAUAGACAAAGGUAGCAUGACAGCGUUUAUAGAGAUCUACUCAAGUGGAGAUGAAGUAGUGUGAUUAGUAUUUAACAAAUUUAGCAUGUCUCAAAGGUAGAGACAACCAACAUAGCAACAUGGCAAAGGAUGUUUUUAUGUAAAGUACUCCCCCAAGGUUGAAUUUUGCAAAAUUCAAGUUUGGAUGAAUUUAAUUCAAUGUUGUAUGAUGAAUGAUUGGACAUACCUUGUGCUUGUCAUUCAUCCAAUCUUCUUGCUCCAAUCUUAGAAAGGUUAGUGACAAGAAUACCCGAAGGAAUAUAUAUAUAUAUUUUUACAAUUAUCCUUAUAUGCUCCAUACACAAGGUAAUGUUGCAAAUAAUUAAAGGCUCAUGUUACGAUCUGAUCAAUGCUUAUUUUAAGACACUAAGCUUGUCCUUGGGAAACCAUCAGUUUAUGUUGGCGAAGUGGUUUCCCCUCCGACGCCAACCUAUAUCUAGAUCAACUCAACGAGAUCUGCAAUAUUUAUUAUAGACAUAUGCAUCGACAACCGCCCUUUUAAAGUUUUUAUAAAUAGAAAGGAAGAGGGGGUUGGAGAUCUCAAGUGUGGUGAUGUCGGAGAGACCAAUAGAUUGGGAAGAUGUUGCAUAUGAGCAUGCAGUAAACGAAGUGGCUAUGAAAUAAAUUCCAUGCUCAUUAAGGUUAUCUUCGUCUCUAAUCUGAAUGUUCGGAGUUUCUCCUGGAUUGGUCUCACCUAUGUCCUCUUUUGUAGUUGGAUGAAUCUCAUCUUCAAAGGGAGUCAAGAACUCACCAUUUGAAAUUAAGCCAAAGUCAGAACCCAUUAAGGCUUCUUCCUUAUCCAUCCAUUCUACACAUUCUAGCCAUUUAGAACUUGUGAUCAAAAUAGGGGAGGUGUUAGAAUUUUCUAUAUGGCUUAGCUCUCCUUCUAUGGCAUUACUUGACAUGCCAUCCUUAUGGUCUUCAUGACUCCUAUGGUUUGGUCGUCUUGGUGAAUUGCUAGGAUCAUCAUGAGACUGAAAAGAAGAGGGAUAAGGGGGAUCUCUAAGGUCAAGGAUGGAUUUAGAACUUGUGAACAUGGAAGGGGAGUAGAUAGAAUUGUCUAUAUGGCUUAGCUCUCCUUCACUUGAUAUGUCAUCCUCGACUUCUUCAUGAUAGGAACCAGGACAUUCUCUAAGAGAAACAUUAUUGCAAUGAUUUGAAUUAUCCCUGCUUGAAGGUCUCUUAUAGAACCAGAAGUCUAAACCAUCAGCAUCUAAAAGACUUAAGGUCGGAAUUCCUUCCUCCCUUGGAGAAUUUUGGGGUAUUGAUGGUUUAGGAUCGAUAGCUAAAGUUUGGGAUUGAAGUGGUUGUGAUCUGGCUAUCGAAACUUCUUCCUCUUGUCUAGGAACUGGUUCUUUCUCUUUCUCAGGGAUAUAAAAGCUAGGAGACUUUCCGCUCAUUAAAUCAAUCAAAUUCCAAGCUUCACUAGUGGAUAGGUGGUGGAAAGAUCCUCCAGAGGCCGCAUGAAGGGUUUGCUUAUCUUCCUUACUAAGGCCCUCAAAAAAGUGAAUUAGAAGAACUUCUUCUGGAAUAGAAAGUUUUGGGCCAGUGAGAGUAAGGUUAAUAAAGCGGUCCCAUGAUUUGCCAAGAGAUUAUUCUUCCAGUUGUCUAAAAGAAAGAAUCUCACGCCGAAGUUCCACCACUUUGGAGAUUGGAAAAUAUUUAGAAAGAAAACUACUAUAUAACUCCUUCCAAUCUCCAUGAACACUCCCUACUUUGAGUUUAUACCAAUGUCUAGCUUUUCCCGUUAAAGAGAACGGAAAGAGCUUCCAUUUAAGGGUCUCAUCGGACAUGCCUUCUAUGCGAAGGAGGUCACAGACUCGAUAAAACUCUCUUAGGUGUGUGUAUGGGUUUUCCUCACCUUUUCCUGAGAAAGGUUGUUUUUGAAUAAAUUCUAUGUAUUCGGGGUCUAUCUCAAAACUAGAUGCUAUGAUAGGCUUUGAAGAUUUUGGUGGUUCGAGAUGUGUGCCCAUAGGUCUAUGAAAUUCAUAUAUAGACAUGUUUGAAUUCAUAAUAGACCAGAGAUCAAGGAUUAGAUAAGAAGAAAGAAUAGCAGAGAUGAGGCAAAGGAUAAAAGGAAAAUAUUUUUUUUAUUUAUUUAUUUUUUAUAAAAUGAUUAAACUAGUUCGUAGUCAACUCAGCAACCGUUUCCCCGGCAACGGCGCCAAAAAUGCUUGUUGACACUUGCUAACACCACUUGAAUACUAGGUUGUCAUCCCCAGCGUGGCACUAGAGUGUACUAUGGUAUUUAUACGCACACAGAUAAUCCGCAAGCGCACGGAUACCGUUGAAGCUUUUACCCGGUUAAAGGUUUUAUCGUAUCCACGGGGAAACGGGAGAACUGAUCUACGCUCUAACUUAACCAAGAUAAGUAAAUAGGUGUGAAUAGGAAAGAUGGUAGAAUCGAAUAAGAACAAUAUUAAAGGUAAGAUAACAGUGAGUGAUAAUAUGGGAAUAGAGAGUAGAGCAAUUCUAGUAUAUGGGCGAUGGUAGCAGAAUAGAGAGGAUAACUAUGGUUUCUCUACUUUAAAGGGGUAUGUCUAUGUCUGGGAUGAACCACGUGAUAAGAGUACACCACAAAGGAUGCUUAUCCAUAGGCCGAUAAACCCUACCCGUCCUGCUAACGAGAGGUGGACUACAGGGGACCAACGUAACUGUCACCUACGCGGCCUACCACACGAUCCAGCUAGUCAGGGGAUAUCCACAAGUAAUCUAGGUCUAAGCACCACGCUUACACCUAUACUACAACUCUAACCUAUAGGGUCCUAUAGAUUAGAAGUACUCAAAAGAGUUGUGAACCAGAACAUACAUGAUUAGUAAUUGCAUAAUGAAUUAGAAGUAGAUUACCAGAGUCAUCCCAUGAGCAAGCUUGAAUAGAGCUUGAUCAUGACGAAGUACAACCGGAGGAAGAACCGACAGGCCGGCCUCUCCUCUAAUCCUCCUUCGCUCUCCAUCUCGCUACUAUCUAGAUCUACUCUAGUUUAGAGAAGAGAGGAGAGCUCUCAUCUCUAAACCCUAGCUUUUGCUCUGUCUAUGAAUAAUGAAUAAUGAUCAAGGGGUGCCUCCUCCAGGGGCCAGGGGUCUGGUUUUAUAGUCCCCUCAAGUGAACCUGGGCCGUCGGAUCAAACCGACAUUGAUUGAACGGUUAUUCUUGAUCCUUUAGGUCGGUGGAGCAUAAUCCGCGAGAUUGAGCGUGAUUGGCCGAAAUAGGUGGGCGGGCGCCCUAAGGACUUGGGCGGGCGCCCUGUCCCUGACUCCGUUCGGUCUCCGCUUCCUUCCCAUGGCUUCUGGAGUCUUCUAGAUGUAAGAUAAUUGCGCGGCACGUUAAUAUCUCUAUGUAAUCCCGACGUGUGGGCCUUUCUUCCUUAUUUCCUGAUAACCCCCUGCAGAAAUAGACAAACACCAAAACUCGUGGAAUUCUGUCAGAUAAAACCCUAAGUCUCGAUGUUGAUUUCAUUUGGAUCCUUUUCUUUGUUUAUUUGAUAGUUAAAUUUGAUACUUAAGGACCGUCAACAAGGACCAGUUCCUCCUCCUAAUUGGUUGGGUUUUGGUAUGCCUCCAGAAUACUCACUGAGGAGACCUGGCACAUCUCAACCAGCUGAUAUGAGAGGCAAGGCUCCUAUGACAUCGGCACCCCCAAACAUGCCGAUGAAUCAGAGUCCCCAGUUUACUACAACUACUACUGCAAGACCUUACACUGGGAAUUCUCAAGCUCCAACUUUCCAGAUGCCUAAUGCAUCGACAGAUUCAAUGCUGGUGCAACAGAGGUUUGUGACUCAACCAGGGUAUGUCAAUUCAAUGAUGAUACCCAAUUACCAGUCAUCGGCAGGCCCUAUGCCGAUGAAUGCUAAUAGUGGAUGGCUUGGGCAGCAAGUCUUUCCGCAAACGCCCCAACAGAAUCAUCAGACUACCGGAUUUCAGUAAGGCCAGAUCUACCCCGGGUUCCAGAAUUAGGGAAUGCCCAACCAGCCAAUGAAUCUUGGCAGCAGGUCGGCGGACAGCAGAUUGGCGGGCAACAGUUUGGUGGUCAGCAGAUGGGUGGCCAAAUGAUUAACCCAAUAUUCCAUGCAGAUCGCGCACCGCACAGACACGUGGAAGCUUAUCAACAGGUGCCAGAUCCGCAGCCGCCCCAUCAGCAAGACGCCGAUGCUUAUUGGGCCGAUAAGAUCGCUGAAGUAAUGAGAGACCAAUUUGGGAUAAAACCCAAAGUCAACACUUACUCUUAUCGGACACCGUAUCCUCCUACGUAUGAUUUAAUCCCGCUUCCAAAUCGGUACAAAGUGCCGGAUUUUACUAAAUUUUCUGGGCAGGAUGAUACAUCAACUAUGGAGCAUGUCAACAGGUUCAUCAUCCAAUGUGGAGAAGCUGCUAACCGGGACGAGUUAAGGGUCCGGUUGUUCUCAUCAUCAUUGUCUAGAUCGACAUUCACCUGGUUUAUAUCAUUACCUCCCAAUUCAGUGAUUACUUGGGCCGAUCUAGAGAAGCAAUUCCAUAAAUACUUCUUUUAUGGUGUCCACGAGAAGAAGAUCACCGAUUUGGUCAAAUUGAAGCAACGCAAUGACGAAUCGGUUGAGAGUUUCGUACAGAGGAUACGGGAAGUCAAGAACAAGUGUUAUAGCCUGGUUCUGGAUGAUCGGCAGUUAGCCGAUUUGGCUUUCCAGGGUUUGUUGCCACAUAUCAGGGACAAGUAUGGAUCUCAGGAGUUUGAAAGCUGAAGUCAUUUGGUGCAGAGAAUUCCUGAUCAAGAUAUCAUGCCUUUCGAGCCCAAGAGAGCAUGGAACAAGAAGGUAUCAUUUGUGGAUGAAGCAGCAAGCGCAGACUCUGAUGAGGAACCAGUCAUCGGCUUAGCAGAGUGGGUGCAAAACAAGAAGCCAAUGUCUUGCCCCGUCGGGCAUAAACAGCCAGAGAAGUUCGCAUUUGACAUCACCAUGGCCGAUAGGAUAUUUGAUUUUCUACUUCAGGAAGGUCAGAUCCAAUUGUCACCCAAUCAUGUAAUCCCAUCAGCUGAAGAAUUGAAAAAGAUGAAGUACUGUAAAUGGCACAAUGCAACUUGUCACGGCACCAAUGAAUGCAAAGUUUUUAGGCAGCAACUGCAAUCGGCUAUAGAAUCUAGGAGGAUCAAAUUUGACAGCUCCAAAACUUAGAAGUCGAUGAAGAUUGAUCAGCACCCUUUCCCAACAAACAUGCUGGAUGCUAAGGGAAAGGCCAAGGUCUUAACAUCAGAAGCAGCUGAAAGAAAUGCAUCGGUGGAUCCUCAGCAUCAGAUCACUACUACCGAUGCGAAAGGAAAAGGCUUGGUCCAGGAGGGAACUAACUCGGGAAGGCCUCCCCGAUCUGGUAUUGUGAUAACUCACAGAAGGCCUCGAGAAACUUGGCAGCAACGUGAGGACCGGUAUCGGCGCCGGCAGGAAGAAUACCAUCGGGAGGAGGAAAGACGCCGACAAGAGUGGAAUCGGCAUAGGGAUCACUGGAAUUGUCCGUUCUUCAUCCAUUGUUGGGAGGAAAACAUCAAACUUCCUACUGUCAGAGGUUGUCCUGAGUGAAAUGGUUAUGAUCGGUAUGAUAGAUCCGAUCGGCGCUAUCACAAUGAUGAUCGCCGAUUCAAUGGGCCGAUUCGAGGAAGAGCAUCCGUUCACGAUCGGCUAGGGGGCAGUCUCAGUGUGCACGACAGGCUCGGCGAUCGUGUUGAGUAUUUUCCUAGGAACCAGGAAGAACUUGAAGAGAUGGCUAAUGCUCGCGUUCCCGAUGAAUUCAUAUUUUGCAGGGAUGCCAACACUCAUCGGAUGGAGUCUAGAGAAAAUCAUCGCCUGUCGGUGAGGCAGCAGCAACUCCCUCCAUGGUGUCCAGAGGGGUUGACUAGGACCCAGAAAAGGAGGCUGCAGCAUGAAAGACGAGAAGAGUUGAACAAGGGCGACACUUUGUUAAACGAAGCUCUAUGGUCGUACCGAAUGGCUUGUCAUGGAUCGACCAAGGUUUCACCUUAUCAGUUGGUUUAUGGGCAUGAUGCAGUGUUACCUUGGGAAAUUAAGACUGGGUCUAGGCGACUAUCUUUUCAAGAUCAGUUGGCUACCGAUGAUUAUGCUACUUUGAUGACAGACGAGUUGGAUGAUCUAGCAGGGCAUCGGCUGAAGGCUUUGAUGAGUAUAGAAGAGAAUAAGAAGAGAGUUGCCAGAUGGUAUGAUAAGAAGGUAAAAGCUAAGGAGUUUGCCGAUGGAGACUUAGUAUGGAAGUUAAUCCUACCGAUCGGGACUAAAAGUUCAAAGUUUGGGAAGUGGUCUCCCAAUUGGGAGGGUCCCUAUCGGAUAAGUCGAUCGGCUCCUGGUAAUGCCUAUAUUUUAGAGACUCUCGAAGGAGUUGAGUUUCCCAGAGCAUUAAAUGGCAAAUAUCUAAAGAAGUAUUAACCCAGCAUAUGGGUCGAUGCAUGAAAGUUAAGUGCCGAUAACAUUCCUAUCGGCUGGAUCAAAAUGUAUCUGGGGGUAAAACUUAGUGUUUUAAAGGGUGCCGAUAACAGUCCUAUCGGCUAGACCAAAUAUCAAGAAAGCUGGAAAGCAGAGAGAGGCGAGUAUGUUGCCGAUGAAGAGCUCACAUGUUUAGCAGCGCCUGGAUGGCCGAUAUGGCACGAAGGCGGAUUUGGUUGGCUGCUUCUAUCUCUUUGACGUCUUCAUCGGCAGAACCUUCUAUCGGCUUCAACUUCUUCUUCAACUGCAGUGCUUUAUGACCAUGGACACUUCGCUCUUGCUCAAGAAGCUUGAUUGUCUCUGGCAGUUGGCUUUCUUCUUGUCGGGCUUGGGAUAAGGCAUCCUCUACUUGCUUGAGUUCUGCCAGUAGGGCUUCUCUUUUAGCCGAUAGAUCAGAGAUCUUGUGCUUCAGAGCAUCUCCUGAGGACUUUAAGAUGCCGAUGUCUUUGUGCUUCUCAUCGGCAAGGAGUUUCACCUUCAUCAUCUCCUCAGAGAGUUGGGCAUGAGCCGCUCUGUCGGCAAGACGUUGGGCAGCUCUCUGGUACUGCAGCUGACGGCUCUCCAGAUGUGCAGCUUGGAAGAGGACUUCUUCAGCAUCGGUAGGAAUUUGACCACUCAGGAUCUUGAAUAAAGCCUUGGCCGGAUCGGAGUCAUCAACUAGUUGGGCCGUGUCUUGAUGGAGGAGAGCCGACAGUUCUUCCAGCUUUCUUCAGCAUCGGUAGGAAUUUGACCACUCAGGAUCUUGAAUAAAGCCUUGGCCGGAUCGGAGUCAUCAACUAGUUGGGCCGUGUCUUGAUGGAGGAGAGCCGACAGUUCUUCCAGCUUUGCCCUGAUCUCUGCCGAUGUAAUCCCAACUGCCUGGGAGGAACUUGCUUCCUCACCUUCAUCUUCGGAGUCAAGCAUUGACAAAUAAUACUGAUGGAGAUUGGAUGGCUUACUUGCUUUAGGGCAAUCUCUCGCCUUUGACUGGAAGAUGCCGAUGGCACUACAGGCUAAUCGGCAGGGGUUACCGAUGGGACUAUGUCAGCUGAAAAUUGGCCGAAGGAAUUGUGAGAACAGGAAAGUAGGAUUCAUUGGCAAUGGCUUCGUAAAGAUGUAUUACCUUGAGGAGGUGCAGUGCUCGUCUGGACUGAGGAAACUACCGAUGCUAUGAUUGAGCCUGCUGGAUCGGUAGUCUGCUCACUCACAUCAGCCGAUGUGUCUUCCGGCUGAGGUACUUCUGGCUGAGGCUCUACUGGUUGGGGUUCUUCCACUUGGGGUACUUCUUGCAGCUGAGGGGGAGAUGGUGCUUGUUGCAUUUGGGCUUCUGGAAAGGAAGGAGAAGAUUCCACUGGGAUUGGAGAUACCGGGGGAGGAGAAGGCGUUGCUACUCUUUGGCGCUUUGCUUGUGCUCUAGUGUUCUUGGCACCAUUUCUCUUCGGUUGACUGGACUGGGGGGCAUCGGCACUUUUGCUUCUGGUCUUUGCCGAUGCGCCGGUAUGCUGGUGCAGAGAGGAAAAUUUGUGAGUACAAGUAUAACAGAUGCAGAAGUGAAAUCGGUAUGAAUAGGUUUAACAAUUACCUUGAAGGCCUGUGCUAAGGUGGAAGCAGCCACUGAUGGGGAUGCCUUUGUACGCUUGGUGGUGACUUUCUUGAGGCGUACACCCCGAUGCAUUAUGGCAGCCAAGGUAGGUGCAUUGUUGCCGAUAGAGGAGAUCGGACCUGAUGGGAACAGAUCAAUCGGCUUGCCGCUCCUACUGACCGAUGGGGGAGUGUCAUCAACCUGCAACAUAAUCCAGAAAGUAAGUUACCGAUGAAAUGAGGAUAAAAAGAUUAGAGCAUCAGUUUGGAGGUACUUACGGUGUCAUCUGGGACUUUGUACUGAGGAUCGAUCUGCAGAACAAAUGUUCCUUCCACUCCUCCCACCAUUGCUUGUACGCCUGGGUAAUGAAGAGGGCCAGAACCCACUCUGACAGAUCUGCAUCUGUAUUGGCAUUCGGUGACAGCUGGGCUACUCGGAUCCACUCGAGCAGGCUAGUGAUGGCUUCCCUGGGUUUUAUCACAUCGGCAUAACAGAGUGCAAUCGGCAGUUGGCCGAAAGCUAGUUGACGGGCUAGUGCCGAUGGGUUGUAAAACUCAUAGGUUUUGUUGGAGGUUUUCCCACUGCCGAAGAAGUUUACUAGUAUAGCUCUGGGGGUGAUCAGUGCCAUCAUCACUUCGUGGUCCUUGUUGAGAGCAUCGUUAAACGGAUGGAAAACUAAAGGAAACAUGGUGUCUGGAUCUUCAUAAGGCAUCCAUGCUCGUUGUUCUCUGGUCAGGCCUUCAUACAGGGUUUGGAAGAAUCGGCUGACUUGAUCUACAUUGCCCCCUGUACCGGGCAGAACUAUGGAGGCAUCACCAAAAUUUAGAGGAUGGCGAGUUUCCCAUUCUUCUUCAUCCAGUUCAUAGUCCUCGGCUAUAUCCCUGGGAAAACGCUGUGCAAAGAGGUUAAACUCGAGGCGCUUGUGCAUGUGGAGGCUGAGCCACAUGUUGAUAAACCACCAGGGACCCCCCAAGUUGCUGAUGGACUGGCCGAGUAGGAGUUUCCUUGUCACUUGAUGAAGGAGGUGGUAGGCCGCGCCAAGUAGGUAUCGGCCGAGGGGAAAUCGACCACCAUUGGCUAAUCAUUCUGCUGCUGCUAGGUAGACGGAAGUUGGUCCUACCGAUCGGCCACAAAACACAAAUUUGUCCAGCCACAUGUUCAGGAAGCUGGUCUGUUCUUUUAUGUUGACAAGGCCUGUUCGUCUGUAUUUUUGGAUGUACCCUGACCAACCGCCGAUGGCACGAGUUUCUACCUUAGCACUGGGUUUGGUGUCGAAGAAGUGAGUGCUAUCGGCAGAAGAUACAUCUAGGCCGGUGAGCAUAACUACAUCGGCAAGUGUAGGGGAAGCAGGGCCGUGGCCGAAAGACAAAGGCAUUGAGUGUGUCUGACCAGAAAUAUGAUGCAGCUAUCAACAGUGACUCAUUCCUAUGCAUAUCAGCAAUGGACAACCUGAUGCAUUGGUCUAGUCUUCUCUCACACCAAUGGACUUUGUUUGAAUGGCUGACUCUCAAAAACCAAUCCUUCCAUCCCAUGGUAGGACUAGGCCAAGAACGGAAGGUAUCCUUCCACAGAUUCAGAGAAAAAUUUUCAGCUCUAAAAAGGAUUCUGUUGGUUUCUGCAUUGAUAAAGUCGGUGGGAUCUGGAUUCCCUAACGGACCGAGACAUUGGAGGUGUGGUUGAUCAGUGGGGAUGACAAUUUUUUUGGACAGAUCCUAAUGGUUUUGGGUAUAAAAAGAAGAACAAAAGAAGAAAAAGAGGGAUAUUCAGCAAAAUAAAUCACGAAUAAACAUGGAUGAGGUAAAGGUACAAGAAAUAAGGUGAUGAACUGACCUCAGGGACGGUGAAGUUGAUGGCCAUUUUCUCGCGAGGAAGGAGAUUGAAGACUUCGAGAUUGGUGGAGAGAAGUCUUCACUGGAGUUCUUGGAGCUCUCGAACAGCGCCGCUGCUAGAAAAGUAGAGUUGGGGCUGUAGAAUGAUGUGAUGAGGAAGGAGUACACGAGAAGGAACUAUCUAUAGGACAAAUUGGGCAAGGGCAAAUCUAACUUAUCACUUCGCCGUAUCUGUGAAAUCCGAGGGUGCUUAGAAAGAUAUGGUAACUGUUCGCACGGUAAUCAAGGGAUUGCAUGAGCGAUUUGACAGGAAGCGGUCGUGAUUUGGAGAUAUUUUACUGUGCGAGAUUUCCUGGUCGGUCCAUCAGCAGCGCCUUGUAACUGUAAUAUUGCCGAUAGGCGAAUAGAGUGGAAAUGUCCGUUGGGGAGGAUAAGAUACGUCACUGUACGGGGCGUCCUAGUCAGUCCAUCGGCAAUUCUCUGUAACGGUAACGUUGCCGAUAGGCGAUUAAAGUGGAGAUGUCCGUUUAAGAGGUUGAGGAUUUCGAGGAAUCUGCAGAGGAAUCAAACCAGGGUUGUUUAGAUUGAGGCUGUCGGUUGCCAAAUUGGGAGAAUUAAUUGCGGAAAGGUAUCAUUACUGCAGAGAAUUUUGGAGCAUUAAUGAUUUUAUACUCCGAAAUUGGGGGGCAUGUGUUGACACCGUUUUUGGACACGUAUCCAGGAUUGGUAGAAUGUGGAUCGGCAAGACAGGGUAAUGGUCACUGGUCUGCAGAAGGGUUACCGAUGAGUAUGGUUGCCGAUGAGAAGACAACUGGAUAUGACUAAGUCUGUGAAUGGUGAUGUGUGUAUGCCGAUGGCCGGGGUUAACCGUUGCCGAUGGGGAGUCUGCUGAUGAUAUGGAAGGAAAACUCGCAGGUUGCCGAUUAGUCCGUGGUGGUGUCCCAGUUCGUCACGGAAGGAUGGUUUUAUGUUUUCCUUAGUUAUUUAAAUCGUUUUGUAUACGGAUUCUGUUUAAAUUUGGAAUUCGAGUUCUAGUCAUGUCUGGUUGUAGCUCUUUGAGCGGGGUAUAAAUGUAGACCCUAGGGCUUUGUAAUCAAAGAAUCUAUCAAUCAAUCAAACACCAGUUUUUUACUCAUAUUCCAGCAUCUACUAUUUCGACGACUUCGUCAUACUUUUUCUUUUUCAUUACGAGUUCUUAAGAUUUCGUCGACUUAAGCUCGGCGUGUUCUCAAGUUCCGCGUGAAUACCUCUUGGACGUGGCAUCCGGGCGCAUCGCUGUUGUCGGGACCAAAGUAUUCAAGUUAUCACCUUUGUCGAUAGUAAGGUCAAAUCAGCUGGCACGUGUUGACGGUGGAUAUACCAUAGAAAUCCACAUACAAAACACCGUCAACAUGCCUCGGUUGCAAGGGGAAACGACAUGACAUGAACAUAUUUUAUCCAUAACUAGUUCCACUUGUACUCUUAGCUUGUUUAUGCAGGAACAACAAAUUCAAGACAUUAUUUGACAAAGCCAACAUCAGAAUCAUCAAGAGGAGAUCGAGGGGACAACAGGUGACACCCUGGGCCCACUGGGAGGGGGUCGCCCGACCCCUCUUUGGUGGGACCCAGGUGUGCCACCUAGUCCACCGACAUAAGGGACCCCUGUGGACACUGCUGGUGGGCCCAGAGGCCCAGAAGUGGGGUCGCCCGACCCCACAUCAAAGGCGGUUCCAGGGUCGGUGGCCUCCCACCGACCUUCCCCACAUGUCCCAGAUGUUGAUUUGCCCCUGCCAUUGAUCAAAUGGCGGUUGUGAGGUCGGUUUGAUCCAAGGGUGGAGAGAAGAUGUCACGCGGAUCGAUGACGUGGCGAUGGAGUAACCCCUACUCCAUCUCCCUCUAUAAAAGGCAGCCUCCAUCCUUCAUUUCAAGUGUGCAAUUCCAAGGCCAAGUGCAUUACAAGUUCCAAGCAUACAAGUAGAGUAGUAGUUAGUCUAGAGUGGGAGUUAGAGUCGAGUCGAGCGAAGCUCGGGGUCUCCGGAGUCGUCUUCUGGAGAGUCUGGUAUAGCUCUUGUACCUUUCUACUUUUGUAAGACUUUCCUUUUAUUAAUAUAUUAUUCUUACUUUACUUUACUGAGUUCUUACUUAGUGCAAGUCUUUUAGUCUUGUUGUGCAUUUACUUUAGUAAUAUAGUUGUCUUAGUGAAGUUAGUGACCUGUAACCACUCCUGUGUGUGCAUCAUCGUCCUAUCUUGUAUAGGAGCUCUAGCUAGCUGCAACUAGUUAGCGUUGUAGGAUUAAGUGUGAGCGUGGUGCUCAUACUUAAGAUUACCUUUGAUUACCGCUGGCUUGAACGGAAAGUAGGAGCGCACUCCCUAGUAGGUGACAGAUCGUGGGCGGCAUUAGGUUCUCCUCACGUACAGGCUAGUUCUUAAAAGGUAAGGCGUCCAUAAGCCCAAUAGUCGCUUUCGGUAAGGGGUUAGGUGAAAAACCUUCUAAGCGUCUUACCAGCUCGGCUAUCCCUCGCACACAGUUAGUAAGGCUCUAUCGUAGUUAAGACAAUUAUCUAUUAAAGUAAGUCACAGAAGUCAAGUUAGAUACAUAGGAGUCCUUUACUCACUCGUUGUCCUCCCACCUAGCUAACUCUACCAUUUACCUUUAGCAUAGGACCUUGGAUUCACCACUACCCUUCCUAUUCAUUAUUUACCACCCUUAUUCACUAGUUGAUACUAGAUAACUCAAGGAAUCUCAUUCCCCUUUUUGUUAAACACACUUAGCCGCUUUCCCUUGGGAAAAUAUAAAUUACGAUACCUUGGAAUACUCCUUGGUGAAGUGCUACAGCGGUACAUUCUGUGCGCUUGCGGAAUUAUCCAAUAGUAAAUAGAGUUACCCUACCAGGGCACUUCUGGCGCCGUCGCCGAUAUCCGGUGGUUGCGUUAAGAAGUGUCAACAAGCAUUUCUGGCGCCGUUGCCGGGGAGAGCGUCUGUCUAAGAGUUUUAACAAAAAGAGAAUCCAGAGUUUGCUAGUUAUCAAGUAGUGAUAGGGAUAACCCAUCACUUGUCUUGUCUUCCUUUAUUGUGAAGCCUGACAGUGUAUGAGCGGUUUCCAAUUGCCGUCAAACUUCGUUGAAGAUCCUCAGCAACUGUUGAGGAGAACUAGACGUCGUCAAGUUCCACCUCAAAGGUUCAUCUCGAACCUGAAUCCGUUAGAGGAAGGAGUAUCUGCACCGGUUAUCAAAGAAGCUAUGGCCCAGAAGACCAUCUCUGAGUACUCUGCGCCGUCGGCUGACAAUGUCGCCACGGGUCCGCAGCUUAACUUGGGGGAUGCGACUUUUGAGUUGAAGCCUGCGCUUAUCAAUAUGGUGCAAGCUAAUCCCUUCUGUGGAAAGCCACACGAGGAUGCCAAUGCCCAUCUCCAACACUUCUUGGAGGUGUGCAGCACCUUCACCAUCAAGAAUGUCGCCGCAGACGCCAUCCGUCUUCGCCUCUUCCCAUUCUCGUUAUUGGGGAAGGCGAAGCAAUGGUUCUACGCCAACAAGGGUGAAGUGACCACGUGGGAGAGGUGCGCCAAUGCAUUUCUCAAGAAGUUCUUUCCGAUGGGCAAGACCAGCGCCCUUCGUGGAAAGAUUUCCAGCUUCCAACAGCAAGCAGAUGAGACGAUUCCCGAAGCAUGGGAACGUCUGCAGGAGUACAUUCGCGCCUGUCCUCAUCAUGGGAUAGAGGAGUGGCUCCUAAUCCAAGGUUUCUACCAUGGCCUGACCGGUUUGGCCCGUAGUCACCUUGAUGCUGCCGCUGGAGGAGCAUUCUUGCAAUGUCAAGGAUGCCAAGGACCUCAUUGAAAAGAUGGUUAUAAACCAAGGAUGGAAUGAGGAACGCCUCCAACCCAAGAGAAGAGGUGUCCAUACCUUGAAUGAGGUGGACAUGCUCUCUGCUAAGAUAGACCUCUUAAUGAAGAAGAUGGAAGAAAGUUCCAAGCAAGAGACCAUUCAACCUUACGCCACUGCACGGGCCAUUGAAUCUGAUUCAUGGUGCGAAGUGUGCGGAGGAGAUGAUCAUUCGGGAAACAAUUGUCCCGAAACAAAGGAGGAAGUGAGCUUCAUCAACAACAACAACAAUGGGUACCGGCCCCAACAACAGCAAUGGAACUCGCGCCCCUUCUACCAAGGUAAUCAAGGUAAUAGUUACAAUCAAAAUUUCAAUAAUUCUUUUGGUAACCAACCUUCUCUUAGAGAUCUUGUCUUAGGCCAAUCUAAAAUCAAUGAUAGCAUUAACAAGAAAAUGAUGGCUAAUGAUAAGAUCCUUGAAAACUUAAGUGAAAAGUUGGAUAGCUUUAACUCUGCUAUGAAAAAUCAGUUGAGCUUUAACAAAAUGCUAGAAACACAAUUAGCUCAAUUAGCAGCAGCUGUCCCAUCCUUCGAGCAAGGUAAGAUCCUAGGGAAACCUGAGGACCCAAUUGAAGGAGUUAAACUAGUUACUACGAGGUUCGGUAAGCCUCCGGUACAAUCCAACUGGAGCUAUCUUCUGGAUUCGCCCUUCAUCACCAAGAAGGACGACCCAGGCCUGCCGACCAUCACCUGUGAGAUCGGACCACAAAUCUUCCACAACGCCUUCUGCGACCUUGGAUCGGGUGUCAACAUCAUGGCCAAGGUAACUUAUGAUAAUUUGCUAGGGGGGCCUUUGCACCCCACAUUUGUUCGUUUGCAGAUGGCAGAUCAGACGAUCAGGUUCCCUGAGGGGUUGGCAAGGGACAUACUGGUAAAGGUCCAAGACGACUACGUCCCUGCCGACUUCAUCAUUUUGGAUAUGGGAUCCAAUAAUGAUGUCUCGAUCAUCUUGGGAAGGCCAUUCCUCAACACAGUCAAUGCAGUCAUCUAUGUGGGGUCCGGCCAGAUUCACCUCCAAUUCCCAGGAUGGAAGGUAAAAUGUCCAUUCAAUGGUUAUAAAGCUAACAUGCAGGUGAAGGACAAAGAACCUCCGACUAAGCCUCGCCACAUCCGACGCCGAAGGGACAAGAGAGGUAAGUCGGCCAAAAGGGCCGAAAAGAAAGAAGAGGAACCCGCUGAACCAAAAAUCAAUACCAAGCAAGUAUGGCGGGAGAAAGAGGUGCAAUCAAGGUCCACGUCUCCGGGACCAUCUGAUGCACCCGAAGAAUGAACAAGAUGGAGAGGUCCUGCUCUACGGACCUAAAACAUGGAGCCCUUGCUGAUAAGGUAAAUCAGUAGUUAUCCCAUAUUUAUUUUCUGCAUUUCAAUUUCUACUAUUCACUUUUCAAUUGCAUUCUUACUUUGAAUUUUGCAUAUCUUAUUUCGACAAAAUGUUUAGCCAUAAUAAAUAAAAUCUUGAGAAUAACUUGUCAUAAAAAUUUGAGCUGCUGGAGCUCCCAAAGGGGGGUCGCCCGACCCCACCUUGGGGCCCACUUCACCACAUUUCAACCUUGCUAGUCAUAGAGGUUCCAACCCAGCACUUGGAUGCUCUGGGAGCUCCAAUGUGGGGGUCGGCCGACCCCCAUAUUGGCCCCACUUGCCUCCUGCUGGCCACCAUUUGAAUCACAAUGGAGUCCUAUGCUUGUAACACUAGCUAAAGUUUGAAAAAGAGUGGUCCCUUGAUCCUUUACUUUAGUCAUAAGAUGCUCCUUUCAUCUUUGAUUCUUUUGGGACCACUCCACUAGCUUAAAUUCUGCAAAGUGGUCACCUAGGCAUAGGAAUCACUUUAGACAUGUCUCCACUUUUGCCAUUCAUCUUUUACCUUUCACAAAGCACUAAAACAGGGAAUCUCAGAAACAAUUUGAAAACUUUUGGUCCACACCUAGCCUUUACUUUUCCGGACAAUCAAUGACACAAUGUUUAAAGUGGAGGAGGGGCUAGGAUGGGGGUCGGCCGACCCCCAUUUUGGACCAUCUCUGCAAAAUCUUGAAAGCAUGCAGAAUGGUUCCCUGUAUAAAGCUAAACUCAAAUUCAAAGUGCUUCUAGGGGGGGUCGGCCGACCCCUAUAUUGUGGGUCCACUACUUGCCCUUCUCCCCCUAUAAAUACCACAGCAUUGUGAGCUCAACUCCACACCCAAAACCACCAAAACCAUUUCGAGCUCACAAUCCUUUCUCUUCUCUCUUUGUUACAAGCCAUUUCUCAAGUUUAGAAAUAGUCAUCAAAACAAAAACCCAAAAAGAUUCCCCUUGCAUAGUAGUAGUAGUAGGAGCUUGGUUUGCCUCACUUGUGUAGGAGGAUGAAGAAGCAUAUCUUCGGCAAGUUCAAGAAAGCAAAGGGUGAGAGCUCUUCUCAAGGCUCUCACCAUGCUCAUGGAAGGGAGGAAGAAGAAGGUUACCAUGGGAUGGUACCCUACGAGCCUCCAUCAAGGAUGAGAGAGCCCGAGAGCGGCCUCAUGUUAAGCCAAGAAAAGUUGCAAAGGUACUACAUCAUCCGAGAGGGUCUCUUCCUACACACUAGCAUCAUCGAUCCGGACCUUUUGGCCCGCACAGGUAUGGAUGUUGAACUCGAUAAGGUGUUUAGAGCAAUUGGUUGGAGUAGUUUUUGGCAAGUGCCUGAAUUUGGAAAAGAAUUGCUUGCUAAGGAAUUUCUAUGCACCCUAAAACUCACAAAUAAUGGAAUAUCUUUUCGCAUGUGUGAGCAAGAACAUCAACUAAAUUGGAGUUUGCUAAACACUGCUUUAGGGUGUGAACAUGAAUGUGAACUUGAUCUAGAUCAUGCCACUAGAAUGUUCGAUAAAUUUAGAUUCUGGAAAGCAAUUUCUGGCUCUAAUGAUUGUUCAAAUCCUACUCCCAUUGAAAUCCAUAAUCCAACCUUGCGCUUUCUUCACUUCUGGAUCAUGUGCACUCUAUAUCCUGGCAUGGGAACUGAUACUUUAAUUGAUGAUGAACUUAAAAUUCUCUGUGCCAUGGUUAGUAAAAUCAAGGUCUCCCCUGUGAAACUGCUAGUGAACUAUUGGCUUAACUCUAUUGAGUAUGGGAAGCCCAUCUAUUUCACAUCCUUUAUUACUCGAAUAGCCGAUACUUUUGGAUUACUUGAAUCACAUUAUUUUGAAGACAUUGGCUAUGUUAGAGGAGUGGUAGAUGAGAACUUCUUUAUCAAUGCUAACAUGCUCAUAAGAGAUCCAAAUGGUGAACUUAAAAUGAUUUAUCCGGGCUAUACAACCGAAAUUCCUCUCCCAUGUGCGAGGCGCCGGUUGUAUGGGGUCCGCACACUUACCAUUAGACUAGCCUGAGUGGCAAGUCCAGAUGUUGCAGGGACACGCAGGGUGACAAGAAGGAUGAUGCAAGCCGCCCAGAUGGAGCAAGGAGGAUCCUCGCACCAUGACGUUGAAGAGGGCGAUGAAGCGAUGUCAGUGGAUGCUUCAGACUCCAUGGGUCUACCUCCACAACGCACUCCACGCCCAAGGGACAGGGCUAGGCGUCACCAGCCCACAGGUAUGGACAGUCUCAUUAAUGACAUGGGCGAAUUGCAGAUUGGGCAAGAAGCAACAUUGCAGCUGGCGUUACAAAACGGCCAACAUAUCCGACGUGUGCGAGAGGAAGACGCACAACGCUGGGCUGGAUGGUACCAAAAUUUCCCGCCACCACAGUGAGCGAAGAUCUAGCUUGGGGGAGAUCCUCUCCCCCACUAAGGUAAGUAUUCUAUCCUAUUUAUUUUCAUGCAUUUUAUCAUUCUUACUUAAAAAAAAAAUAAAUAUUUAUUAGCAUUUCCCUUUAGCAUAUAUGCUUCAUGUAUGUUUAUAUCCCUCAUGGAAAUUAUGACUAGUUGCUUAUUAAUGUUUCUCUAGUGCCUAGUAUACAACUUAGUAUUUCUCUAAGUAUGGAUCACUUAGCUCACUUAAACUGCCAUGAACCUAAAAAUUUGUGGGUUGCAAGUGCUAGAACUAAGUCUAAGUUAUUGUGGGACAUGAGAUAGUAAGACAAGAGCUACUAUAAUAUUUUUCUAAGCAUGCAUGAUUAUCAGAGAUUUAUUCUUAAAAUGAUCAAAACCUUAAUUGUUCCUCAAUGGUGAUGAAUUCCUACCACAGCCAUAUCUACUUUACAUAAUUGCAACCUUUCCACAUAAGCUAUUUGCUUUGUGUUGAGUGUCGUCAAGUCUUGUUGACCCUUGUUAAGAGACUUUUCAUGCUCCUAAGAUCAAGAUCACGUACACACCACAUAUAUAUAUGCUGCUUCUACACUGGAAGUACGCAACCACAUGUAUUUCGCAUCCACUAAAUAGGUUGCUCCAUACUCUAAAUGUUAGAACAUCUCUCUAAGCAUUAUUUGGUAAAUGAGACAUCAAAAGGGCUAGGCAAAAUGAAAUAAAAAGAUGGACAUGUGCAAGUCCACAGAAAAAGAAAAUUGAGCACAUGAAAGCUCAUAUAUAUAUAAAAAAAAAGAAGAAAAAAAUGCUAGCCAUGUCUCAAUACAUAGAGAGUCUAUCAAAUAAAGGAGCAACCUAGUCCACCAUAUAUCACACUUGCACAUCUUGAUCUGGGAGUAUGACACUUCUCUUCAAGGAUCCGAGCUUUGACUUCGCAAUACAUGCAAAGUAAGUAUGCUAUCUCCUUUCAUCCCUACCUUGAACUCCACAUAAGCCUUUUAGAAAUAGGAUGAAAUAGAGAAGGCAACUCUUACCAUAUGCCUUGGUGAGGAAUCAUACACCAUUUGAGUGACAUGAGAGAACCAUAAGAGGAACAUUUAAGCUUUCUUUUGAAAAUAUCACAAAACCUCUGAUAUGAAACUUGCUAAGAAUGAGAAAGUUAGUGCUCAAGUCAAACUGUUCUGUCUCUCAACCACCUAAGACAAAGGAAAAGCCAUAAGCCCCAUAAGGGACUAAGGUAAUAGGGGUAAGUUUACAUGGCUAAAUUUUUCAUGCAAAGAGAAGAACUUUGUUGUACACAUGGUACUCUUGAAAUGUGAACAUAGUAAAAAUACCUGAUCCACCGAGGCUAAGUUUGAUUGUUUGCUCGGGACGAGCAAAGGAUAAGCUUGGGGGAUCUUGUUGACGGUGGAUAUACCAUAGAAAUCCACAUACAAAACACCGUCAACAUGCCUCGGUUGCAAGGGGAAACGACAUGACAUGAACAUAUUUUAUCCAUAACUAGUUCCACUUGUACUCUUAGCUUGUUUAUGCAGGAACAACAAAUUCAAGACAUUAUUUGACAAAGCCAACAUCAGAAUCAUCAAGAGGAGAUCGAGGGGACAACAGGUGACACCCUGGGCCCACUGGGAGGGGGUCGCCCGACCCCUCUUUGGUGGGACCCAGGUGUGCCACCUAGUCCACCGACAUAAGGGACCCCUGUGGACACUGCUGGUGGGCCCAGAGGCCCAGAAGUGGGGUCGCCCGACCCCACAUCAAAGGCGGUUCCAGGGUCGGUGGCCUCCCACCGACCUUCCCCACAUGUCCCACAUGUUGAUUUGCCCCUGCCGUUGAUCAAAUGGCGGUUGUCAGGUCGGUUUGAUCCAAGGGUGGAGAGAAGAUGUCACGCGGAUCGAUGACGUGGCGAUGGAGUAACCCCUACUCCAUCUCCCUCUAUAAAAGGCAGCCUCCAUCCUUCAUUUCAAGUGUGCAAUUCCAAGGCCAAGUGCAUUACAAGUUCCAAGCAUACAAGUAGAGUAGUAGUUAGUCUAGAGUGGGAGUUAGAGUCGAGUCGAGCGAAGCUCGGGGUCUCCGGAGUCGUCUUCUGGAGAGUCUGGUAUAGCUCUUGUACCUUUCUACUUUUGUAAGACUUUCCUUUUAUUAAUAUAUUAUUCUUACUUUACUUUACUGAGUUCUUACUUAGUGCAAGUCUUUUAGUCUUGUUGUGCAUUUACUUUAGUAAUAUAGUUGUCUUAGUGAAGUUAGUGACCUGUAACCACUCCUGUGUGUGCAUCAUCGUCCUAUCUUGUAUAGGAGCUCUAGCUAGCUGCAACUAGUUAGCGUUGUAGGAUUAAGUGUGAGCGUGGUGCUCAUACUUAAGAUUACCUUUGAUUACCGUUGGCUUGAACGGAAAGUAGGAGCGCACUCCCUAGUAGGUGACAGAUCGUGGGCGGCAUUAGGUUCUCCUCACGUACAGGCUAGUUCUUAAAAGGUAAGGCGUCCAUAAGCCCAAUAGUCGCUUUCGGUAAGGGGUUAGGUGAAAAACCUUCUAAGCGUCUUACCAGCUCGGCUAUCCCUCGCACACAGUUAGUAAGGCUCUAUCGUAGUUAAGACAAUUAUCUAUUAAAGUAAGUCACAGAAGUCAAGUUAGAUACAUAGGAGUCCUUUACUCACUCGUUGUCCUCCCACCUAGCUAACUCUACCAUUUACCUUUAGCAUAGGACCUUGGAUUCGCCACUACCCUUCCUAUUCGUUAUUUACCACCCUUAUUCACUAGUUGAUACUAGAUAACUCAAGGAAUCUCAUUCCCCUUUUUGUUAAACACACUUAGCCGCUUUCCCUUGGGAAAAUAUAAAUUACGAUACCUUGAAAUACUCCUUGGUGAAGUGCUACAGCGGUACAUUCUGUGCGCUUGCGGAAUUAUCCAAUAGUAAAUAGAGUUUCCCUACCAGGGCACUUCUGGCGCCGUCGCCGAUAUCCGGUGGUUGCGUUAAGAAGUGUCAACAGCACCCCUUAACGUUUAAAUCUGGUAUUAGCCCUUUGUGUUUGCAGAUCAGCUUUUGCAUCAACAACCCCUUACUGAUAUCCUCGACAGUGGCCCCCGAAUCUCCAUUUGAGCGCUGGCGCUCGAGUGGAGGCUGUAUUUUCGUGGUCGGGUUUCUGUGGGGGCGCGCGAGCGACCCCGCCGGGGUAGCCCCCGAGCCCUCGUAGGAGUUUUUUGACUCCUUCGAUCGUUAUAUCGCCCGAUUUACAGAAACGCUAUCGACACCUGUGGUGGAAAGUUCUGAUUGGCUCGUUUUGUGCAGGGGUUUCGACGUACUCUCGAUAGAGCGAGCGUCAUCCACCCCAGAUUGAGCUCCUAAUGGGUAGUCCAAGUGAGAACCUGUGCCCCUUUCGAGGGGGUCAGCUGUAGCCUGGAGGCGUUCUCAUAAAGCGGGGUCGACGUGGUCGGGGAUGCUGGUCUCGUUCGAUAGAGUCCAGUGGCUCGAUGCCUCCCAUCGGGGGGAUUCCUCUCGACUGUCUCGACCCUACCUCGGAGAUCCCCAGCGAGCUCUCGAGGCGGGUGUAACAGAACCGCCCAAUUUACAAGAGAUCAACUACGAAAAACUCCCGCCAAAGCAGUUGCUUUAACGUAAUCGAACUCUCAUAAACCCGGUAGUCCGUGAAAUCACGAGGGAUUUCAAACCAACCAUCUUACAAGCCAAGAUCGUAGUGAUUCAACAUAACAAGUCACAUGUUACAUCCAUUUCACAAGUAGUUUGAUAUACAUCAGAGUUCAAGAUAGUUAUUACAACUUAAGUUGAAAAGUAGCGGGAGCAAAGUAAUUUGAAACUAAUAUUGCCCUUAUUUCAAAUACAUGCCAGUAUCCAGGUCAACUCCAACAAAAGCAACAUAGAUGAGGUAACUAAGAAGGAUCAUGCCCAUGAUCUUACUCCUCUAAUAUGGUAGGAGUCAUCCAACUCUUGCAGUAGCCAUGAUACAUCACAACCUGCAACAAGUGGGAAUAAACCCUGAGUACGAGAAGGUACUCAGCUAGACUUACCCGUCAUAAACCAGAAAUAAUAUGACACCAAGGAGUAUGCAAGGCUUUAUUGGUGGAGCUAGCUUGACAACACUUUUUGCAUAAAAAGCUUAAGUUGCAAUUAAGUAAUCCUUUCAGGUAUUUAGCUCAAGUUAAUAAUCAUUAACCUAUCAUCUAGAUUAGCACCUGUACUAAAGCAAUCACUUGAUUAAGAUACAACCAUAGUACCCAUAUUUGAUGUGGCAUUUCCAACAUCAUCGUCAUACCAUAACCAUCCAAGUGUUCCAUAAACAUUACUACGAUGACGAAGCUCAAGUCAAGUGCUCACUGUCCAGGAGCGAUGGCGAAUUGAAUCGAUUUCUAACCAGCUGGCGAGUUUAUUCCCCACACAAACCACACUCACCGGCUAAAGUGAGCUACAGGUCACCAUAUUGCACUAUCCAGGACCAAUUUGCGGGUUCGGCAGGCACCGCCAGUACCCGAGGACCGUUCCGGCGACCGAGGUAUCCAAGGUAUACCAAGGUUGCGCGCCGCGCCCUCGUCGUUCUCCUCAACCAUCACCAAUACAGCGCAUGGCGGCUCGACUCCCGGCCCGGAUAGUGUUCAGGCUUCGCGGUCGGAAUGACUUAUCCUUCCAGCUAAGUGUGGGGCAUGCGUUCAACAUGACAAGAGGGCCGUCAACGAUCGGUCCUUAAUCGACACAGGCAGGGAUAGAUAGGCACCCAAGACCUCCAUGUCUUGUUACUUCUCUACCAUCGUCCCGCCCGGUCUCCAAUUAUUCAUCCUCAUCACUUGGUUAUUUUCAUGAUAGCAUAUAUAGCCAACCUUUUCAGGUGUCCACCUAUCUCGCUCAGGUGACGGGACAUCACCUGGCUUCUACCGGUCUAAGCAUAGCUAAGCAUUUAGAUUCGAUCCUGAAUCUACAUAGGGUUAUAGGUAUAUUUGCUGGACAAGGAGUGUUAUAUGCAGCAAGGGUUUCACCCAACUCCUAUACUUAAUGCAACAAUACAUAUAUAACAUAUAUUCUCAACUGCAUUCAAAAGUAGUGGGAGACUUAUAAUGCUCCGGGGCUUGCCUGGGAUUAACACUGAGUCAAUUCAGUUAGUUGCUCCGUCUUGGUGACAUCUAAGGUCACAACACUUGCUUAGUCCUUCCACCUUUGGGAGAGGUCCACCAAACACCAUCUUUGAGUUUGAUUCGACAUCAUGACCUUCACGUGAUUCAUCUAGCGCACCUAGAUGAGAUGCAAGAUGCAAGUGCAUGAAUAUAAAGAAUAAUAACACAACAUGCAUCACAUAAAAGUAUGCAAGACACAAGCAUCUAAAGUUAUUUAGCUAACAUCACACAACCAAUUAUAUAGAGCAAACAAAUCAAUCAUGACACAAGUUUAACAAGUUUACAAGUGUAUUACUUAAUCACCAUUAAAGACACGAAUCACAGUUUGCACACACCAAGUAAAGCAAUCAAGCAUUCAUGCAUUUUCAGUAAUUUUGGACAUACAUGCAGCAACUCAGUAAAUAAAUCAUAACUAGAGCUACACAGCUCCAAAAGCUAUGAAACAAGACAUUAUGGAAAUAUUAUAAAAUUAUCUACAAUUCAUCUUUAAUCAUAUUAGCAUGAUUAACAAGUUAACCAAGUCAAACAUGCAUGACCAUAUAAUCUGGUCCAGGAACUUACAGAGAACAAGCAUUUCAAGGGAUGGACUUCAUACUACUGUAACUCAUAAACCACUUAGCCAAAUGAUAUGCAACUUUACCACAAGAUAUGUUAAUAAAUUAUCUACAUCUUUUAUAUAGACAAGUUGCACAGCAAACAUCAUUUAUAUCAUGGAAUUAGUUGCAUAAAUAAAACUGCUCAUGCUGCCCAAACAGUAGGGGUAUAAUUACAAACAGAAAACUGAUAGGCAAUUCAAAGCAGCAUAACCGGAGUUGGAUACCUCCAGCCAACAUGAUUCUUAUAUUUUUGGAAAGCUUAUAAAGUUACCUACAACUUUCUUAUUAUCAUCUAAAUAUGAAUCUAGAGUUAACAAGGUCAAUUAAUCCCAUAAAGACAUCUCUGUCUAAAACAUAGACAGAAUCUGUCAUGCCACAUUAAACAGCCGUAACUUGAGUUUCACAUGUUAAUAAAUUAUGGUUAUGUACUUUAUAGAAAGCUUACUAAAUUGUGAACAACUUUGUUAUAAACAUCUAGAGCUAAAUAUACAAUUAACAAGGUCUCACAUAACAAACAAUGCCACCCUGUCUGGAUUUAGACAGAAACUGAAACAAUACUUUAAACUACUAUAACUAAACAUGUGCUUAACCAAAAAUUGUGCUACUUAUAUUUCUGGAAAGCUUAUGAAAAGUACUACAACUCAUAUAUUUUCAUCAAGGCCUGAUUCACAACUUAACUAAGCCAAACAAUACAAACAUGCAGACCUACUCACAAUAGGAGCAAAGCAACACAGGGCAUUUGUUAUUUUCAUAACUCUUAAUCUAUCAAUCCUAAAUUCAUGAAACAAAUGCCAGACAUCAAAUAUCAUAUGAAAAGCAUGUCACAAUAUUUUCACAUUUAUUCGAGCAAUACUACAGCAUUUAUGAAAAAGACAAAUAUAACAAGCAAUUAAAACCUAACUGCAUAAAUCUAUUUUUAUGACUAAAACGUCAAACUAAACCAUGCCAUAUUAUAGAUCUACUGCAUAGAGAAUUUCACAAGGAUUCCAAAAAGUCCACAUUUGCUAUUUUACGACUUUUCUACGAAUUUCUAUGCAUUUCCAAAGUUCAUCCAAGAAAUCUGCAAAAGCAAAGGAAAAGGAAAACAGAUCUUUCACCGGGGACCCUGGAGUUUCCAAGAAUCACGCAACAGCCCACAAACACUAUUCAUAUGAGUCUUGGCUUCGCAUCUGGAACCCUGAGUUGUUUUAUAUUCUAACACGAGGUCCCUUCUCUUCUUCUUUACGGACAGAGAAGCCGGCAGCCGGCAGGACGUUCGAGCUCGAGGCUCAUGGCCGAAUGGUCACAAGCUACGGUCGUGGGAGGCCUGCCCGCUCCUUGCCGCGGCCAACCAUAGCCACGCCAAUCUCCUGGCCGGCUGAGGCAGCAGCAGCGCACCAGAGGAGCAGCACCGGCGACGGCGACAGAUGGGAGAGAGCUGGAGAGAGAAGGAGGCGAGUGGAGGAUGGGAGGGCAGUGCAGAGCGUGCUGGUGUGUGUGAGGAGCGUCUGGCGUGGCUUGCUGUCCACUUUAGACGAGCAGGAGCGCGUGUCAGCCAUGGUGGGAGUGCUCUCGCGCAUGGACGCCGCGUAGGCAAUUCGUCGAGCACGUGGCAUGCGACGGUGUGGCUCAGGUGGGAGGCGAUUUUGGGCUUCUUCCUGGCCGUGUUUGAAGAUGGGCCAAAAAUGAAGUUUGCUCACCUCGGCCUGCUCUCCAACUUUGAUUAAGGGUGCUUAGUCAUUAGGCCAACAGAUUAGGAGAUAAUUAGAUGCCAAGUCACGAGUGUCAACGUAUUGACGGUGAUUAGCAAAACCAAGAAUUGAUGGUCCAAAUCAUGUCAAACUUGAUGCAACUUUUUGUAUGCUCUUCUCCAAAUAAUUAUCCACAACUUUUAUUCUUGGACCAGCUUGAGUUGCUUUACAAAAAUACGAGAACGCGGCAUGCCAACGGGUCGACGUCCGUUUAGCGAUAAAAUAACUUUUUGCUGUUUUGGGAGCUACUUUUAGAUACCCAAAUGAACUCCAAAUUUGAUGAUACUGUUGAUGCAAAAACUGAUCUGCAAACACAAAGGGCUAAUACCCGAUUCAAACGUUAAGGCGUGCCAGCCGAUUUGACCUUACUAUCGGCAAAGGUGAUAGCUCGAAUACUUUAGUCCUGACAACAGCGAUGCGCCCGGAUGUCACGGCUAAGAGGUACUCACGCGGAACUCGAGAACACGCCGAGCUUAAGUCGACGAAUUCCUAAGAACUCGUAAUAAAAGGAAAAAAAAAGGUAUGACGAAGUCGUCGAAAAGUAGAUACUGGAAUAUGAGUAAAAACGUGUAUUUGAUUGAUUUCUUGAUAUCUUGAUUACAAGGUCCUAGGGUUUAUAUUUAUACCCUGCUCAAAGAGCUACGACCAGACACGAUUAGAAUUCGAAUUCCAAAUUACACGGAACCCGUAUACAAAACGAUGCGAAUAACUAAGGAAAUAAUAAAACUAUCCUUCGUGACAAACCGAAACUCCUCCACAUGACAACUGGCAGCUUCCGGACUCCUCCUUCGCGUCAUCGGCAAUCCCCUUGCCAUAGUCAUCGGCAGACCUUUUUACCUGGUCAUCGGCACCAUAUUACUGCCUGAGGACUUAGUCACAUUCAACCUUUCCCUCAUCGGCAACCAUCCUUAUCAGCAACCCGCAUCGUACUGCCACCCUAUCCUGCCAUCCUGGACACGUGCCCAAAAAUGGUGUCAACACAUGCCCCCCAGUUUCGGAGUAUAAAACUAUUAAUGCUCCGAAAUUCUCUGCAGUAAUGAUGCCUUCUCCGCAAUUAAUGCUCCUAAUCUGGUAACCGACAACCUCAAUCUGGACAACUCUGAUCCUAAUCCUCCGCAGAUCCCUCGAAAUCCCCAACUUCCUAAACGGGCAUCUUUCUUAGUCGUACAUCGGCAACAAUACCGUUACAAAGAUCUGCCGAUGCUCUGCCCAGGAGAUUCGCAAAAACGGUUACCUCCCCUCUAUCCGCCCAUCGGCAGGAUGACCGUUAUAGAAUAUCACCGAUGGACCGACCAGGAGAUCGCGCACAGUAAAAUAUCUUUAGAUAAUGACCGCUUCCUGUCAAAUCACCUGCACAAUCCCUGGAUUACCGUGCGAACAGUUACCAUAUCCACUUGAGUACCCUCGGGCUUCUCGGAUGCGGCAAAGAAAUAAGUCAGAUUUGCCCUUGCCCAUCUUGUCCUAUAAAUAGUUCCUUCUUGGGUACUCCUCCCCCAUUACACCAUUCUGCCAUCCAACUUCACUUUUCCAGCGGCGGCGCCAUUCACAACCCUCAAGAUCUCCGACAAGCAUUCCUCUUCAUCAACUCCGGCGCCCUCUUCACGACAAGAUGGCCGUUGGCUUCGUCGUCCCUGAGGUCAGACUUCCAUCUCAUCUGCUGUACCCUUUUCUUGCAUUCCUGUUCAUCUGCGAUUCAUCUUACCGAAUAUUUUCCUUUUCCUUUUUCUUUGUAUCUUUAUUCCCCAAAACACUAGGAGUUGUCCAACAAAAUUGUCAUCCCUACCGAUCAACCACACCUUCAAUGCCUCGGCCCUCUAGGGGAUCCAGAUCCAACCGACCUUAUCAAUGCAGAAACCAACAGGAUUCCCUUUAGAGCUGAAAACUUUGCUUUAGAUCUAUGGAAAGACACCUUUCGCUCUUGGACCAGCCCUACUGUAGGGUGGAAAGAUUGGUUCUUGAGGGUCAGCAACUCUUAUGAAGUUCAAUGGGGUGAGAGGAAGUUAGCUCAAUGCAUUAGGCUGUCCAUUGCCGAUAUGCACAGGAACGAGUCAUUGCUGAUAGCUGCAUCUUACUUUUGGUCAGACACUCUCAACGCUUUUGUUUUUGGCCAUGGCCCUGCUUCUCCUACCCUUGCUGAUGUAGCCAUGCUUACUGGGUUAGAUAUAUCUUCUGCCGAUAGCACCCACUUUUUUGAUACCGCCCCCAGUGCCAAAGUGGAGACUCGCGCUAUCGGCGGUUGGUCAGGGUACAUCCAGAAGUACCGCGGGAGAGGGCCUGUCACCAUAAAGGAGCAAACCACCUUUCUGAACAUGUGGCUAGACAAGUUUGUAUUCUGUGGUCGAUCGGCAGGACCGACUUCUGUCUAUCUAUCGGCAGCAGAAAGACUGGCUAGCGGCGGCCAAUUUCCUCUCGGCCGUUAUUUGCUCGGCGCUGUUUACCACCUUCUUCAUCAGGUAGUCCAGAAACUCCUGCUCGGCCAACCCAUCGGCAACUUGGGAGGCCCUUGGUGGUUUAUUAAUAUGUGGCUCAAUCUGCACCUGCACAAGCGGCUUGAUUUCAACUUGUUCUCACAGCACUUCCCAAGAGAUAUAGCCGAGAAUCAUGUGUUGGGUGAAGAGGAAUCGGCAACGCGUGCCCCCUUGAACUUUGGCGAAGCCGUUAUAGUCUUACCCGGUUCAGGGAACAAUCCGGAUCAGAUCGGCCGAUUCUUCGAGACUCUGUAUGAGGGUCUGGCCAGAGAUGAACGACCAUGGUUGGCUUAUGACGACCCAGACAGCAUGCUCCCUCUGACCUUCAAUCCAUUUGAUGAAGCUCUUGACAGGGACAAUGAGGUGAUGAUGGCAAUCGUGACUCCCAGAGCCAUACCAGUGAAUUUCUUCGGCAGCACGAAAACCUCUCCCCAAACCUAUGAAUUUUAUAAUCCAUCGGCAUUAGCUCGCCAGCUAGCUUUCGGCCAAUUGCCGAUUGCACUUCCUUAUGCCGAUGUAAUAAAGCCCAGAGAACCCAUCGCCAACCUCCUCGAGUGGACUCGAGUAGCCCAGCUACCACCAAAUGCCGAUACAGAUGUAGAUCUGUCAGAAUGGGUUCCAGCCGCCUUUAUUACUCAGGCAUACAAGCUAUGGUGGGCAGAAUGGAAAGAGAAUCUGUUCUGCAGAUCAGCCCUCUCAUACCGCGGCAUGAUCGACCCCGAAUAUGAAGUCCCUGAUGACACUGUAAGUAUUUUAAACCGAUGUCUCAUUUUUCCAAUAUCAUUCCCAUCGGUAACUUACCCCUGUAUUCCUUUUGCAGAUUGACAACACCCCCCCAUCGGUUAGCAGGAGUGGCAAGCCGAUCGACUUAUUCCCAUCAGGCCCGAUCUCCUCAAUCGGCCAUAAUGCUCCCACUCUGGCUUCCAUCGUGCACCGGGGUGCGCGCCUCAAGAAAGUUACCACCAGGAAAACUCAGACAUCACCAACGGUAACUACUUCCACUCUGGCGCAAGCUUUCAAGGCAAUCUGUUAAAACCUUUUUCAUUUAUGCUGACUAUCUUUGUAUCGGCUAUCUGUGCUCAUAAACUCCUUUUUGUUGUUGCAGCAAACUGGUGCAUCGGCAAAAGUCAAACGCCAAGGCGCCGAUGCCCCCCAGUCUAGCCAGCCAAAGAGGAAGGGCAUCCAAGGUGCUAAGGCUGGAACAAAGCGCCAGAAAGUGGCAACUCCUCCUCCUCCUCCGGUGUUUCCAAUCCCGGUGGAAUCUUCCCCUUCUUCUCCAGACGUCCAGGCACAGCAAGUACUAUCUCCACAACCAACACAGGAAGCACCACAGAUGGAAGAACCCCAGCAGGAAGAACCUCAAACGGCAGGUAUAUCAGCUGACGUAGGUGAACAAACAACUGGCCCGGCAGGUCCAGUUAUAUCAUCGGCGGUUUCCUCGAUUCAGGCAACUGUUGUUUCUCCUCCGGGUAACAUAUCUCAACAAUACUUCUACCGAUAAACUUAUUCUCAUUUAGUCUUAUAAUCCUUCCUGUUUUCUUUCAGACGAUACCGCUCUAUCGGCAACAUUUGCCGAUCAACCUGCAGCUCCAUCGGCAUCUCUGAGUCAAAGGCAAGAAAUCGCCUUGAAGCAAGUAAGUCAUCCACUUUUCCAUCAGUAUCGUCUGCCGAAGUUUUGACCAUAAAACUGACCUAUUUCAUCUUCAUUUUCAGGAACAAGAUUCUCCCAACAGCUUGUUCUCCUUCGCCAUUGAUAUCUUCAAAGAAGAAGGCGAGGAAGCAAGCUCCUCUCGGGCAGUUGGAACUGUAUCGGCAGAAACCAGAGCUAAGCUGGAAGAGCUAUCGGCCAUACUUCAUCAAGACACAACUCAACUAGUCAACGAUUCUGACCCAGCCAAAGCCCUGUUCAAGACCCUUAGAGGCCAAAUUCCUGCCGAUGCUGAAGAAACACUCUUCCAUGCUGCACAUCUAGAAAGCCGCCAGCUACAGUACCAGAGAGCUGCUCGACGCCUUGCCGAUAGAGCCGCUCAAAUCCAGCUUUCUGAGGAGAUGAUGAAAGAAAAACUCUUAGCCGAUGAGAAACAUAAGAACAUCGGCACCUUAAAGUCCUCAGGUGAUGCACUGAAGCAGAAAGUGUCUGAUCUAUCGGCAAAAAGAGAAGCUCUACUGGCCGAACUCAAGCAAGUAGAAGACGCUCUGUCCCAAGCCCAGCAAGAAGAAAGUCAACUGCCGAAGACCAUCAAACACCUUGAACAAGAACGAAACGUCCAUGGUCGCAAAGCGCUGCAGCUGAAGAGGAAGCUGAAGCCGAUAGAAGGUUCUGCCGAUGAUGAUAUCAAAGAGAUAGAGACAGCCAAUCCGAUUCGGCUGCGUGCCAUAUCAGCAAUCCAAGCGCUGCUGAACAUCUGAAGCUUUCAUCGGCAACACACCUUUGUUUUUCCGCUUUUAGCUUUUAGUCUAGCCGAUAAGACUGUUAUCGGCAUCUUUUGAAACAUUAAGUCUGCCCCCGAACAUUUAAAUCCAGCCGAUAGGAAUGUUAUCGGCACUUAAACCUUUAUGCAUCGACCCAUAUGCUGGGGUAGUACUUCUUUAAAUAUUUGCCAUUUAAUGCUCUGGGAAAUUCAACUCCUUCGAGAGUUUCUAGAAUAUAGGCAUUACCAGGAGCUGAGUGUCUUAUCCGAUAAGGACCUUCCCAAUUAGGAGACCACUUCCCAAACUUCGAACUUUUAGUCCCGACUGGCAAAAUCAACUUCCAUACCAAAUCCCCAUCGGCAAAUUCCUUAGCCUUUACUUUUUUAUCAUACCAUCUACCAACUCUCUUCUUAUUUUCUUCUAUACUCAUUAAAGCCUUUAACCGAUGCCCUGCUAAAUCAUCUAACUCAUCGGUCAUCAAAGUGGCAUAAUCAUCGGCAGCCAAUUGACCUUGAAAAGAUAAUCGCCUAGAUCCAGCCUUAAUCUCCCAAGGCAAUACUGCAUCAUGUCCAUACACCAAUUGAUAGGGUGACACCUUGGUUGAUCCAUGACAAGCCAUCCGAUAAGACCACAGUGCUUCAUUUAACAAUAUAUGCCACCGCCUAGGAUUUUCUUCAAUCUUUCGUUUAAUAAGCUUGAUAAUUCCUUUGUUAGACACUUCGGCCUGCCCGUUGGCUUGAGCAUAGUAAGGAGAAGAAUUCAACACUUUAAUUCCCAUACCGAUUGCGAAUUCAUCGAACUCCCCCGACGUGAACAUGGUGCCCUGAUCGGUAGUAAUCGUUUGGGGAAUCCCAAAUCGGUAAAUAAUAUGCUCCUUCACAAAAUCAAUCAUAUUGGCCGAUGUGACUUUCUUCAAGGGAAUAGCUUCGACCCACUUAGUGAAAUAGUCAGUGGCAACUAGAAUGAACUUAUGCCCUUUGCUAGAUGGUGGAUAAAUCUGGCCGAUCAGAUCGAUGGCCCACCCACGGAACGGCCAAGGUUUUAUUAUAGGAUUCAUAGCCGAUGCGGGUGCUCUCUGGAUAUUACCGAACUUUUGACAACCUUGACAUCCCUUGAAAUAUUUAAAACAAUCUUCAAGUAUGGUUGGCCAAAAAUAUCCAUUCCUUCGAAUCAUCCACUUCAUCUUGAAAGCUGACUGAUGCGCUCCACACACUCCUUCAUGGAUUUCCCCCAUUAAACUUCUGGCUUCAUCAUCACCCAAGCAUCGGAGAAGAAUUCCGUCGAUAGUUCGAUAAUACAAUUCAUUUUCAAGGAGCACAUACUUGGUCGCUUGAAAUCGAACCCGUCUUUCAACUUUUUUAGAUGGAUCUUCUAGAUAGUCGAUAAUUUCUUUCCUCCAAUCACCGGCACUGACUGCCGAUGUUGCAUUAAUCAUUGGCUGAUAUCCUGAGGCAUGCUGGGCUAACCGAUUAGCGUCCUCAUUAUGCAAUCGGGGAACAUGCUCCAAUCGGAAGUUCUUGAAUUCCUUUAACAGUUGCAUACUUCUUUCGAAAUAGGUUAUGAGAACUUCACUUCAGCAUUCAUAGCUUCCGGCCAAUUGAUUUAUAACCAACAUGGAAUCCCCGAAUACUUCAACAGCAUCAGCACGAACUUCUCUUAACAACUCCAAUCCCUUGAUCAGAGCUUGAUACUCAGCCUGAUUAUUUGUUGAUGUAGCAACAAUCGGCAAGGAAAACUCAUACUUCCUCCCCUUAGGAGAAACUAACACAAUGCCGAUUCCUGCUCCCCGGUCACAGGUAGAUCCAUCAAAGAAGAGCGUCCAGGGUGCAAUUUCCAAGGUUUCCACUAGGCCGCAAUGCUGAGUCACAAAAUCGGCCAUAACCUGCCCUUUGACCGCCUUAGCCGAUUCGUAACGCAAAUCGAACUCCGACAGCGCUAAAAUCCAUUUACCGAUCCUACCACUCAUAAUCGGCAUAGAUAGCAUGUAUCGGACCACGUCAUCUUUGCAAACAACAGCACAUUCGGACGACAACAAGUAAUGUCUUAGCUUGAUACAUGAAAAAUAUAAGCAUAAGCACAGCUUCUCAAUGGCCGAAUAUCUAGUUUCAGCAUCAAUCAACCUCCUACUCAAAUAAUAAAUUACUCUCUCUUUCCCUUCAAAUUCCUGAACCAAAGCUGAGCCGAUAACCGAUCCAUCGGUAGAUAAAUAUAAUUUGAAGGGUUUCCCUUGUUGAGGUGGAACUAAAACUGGAGGAUUUACUAGAUACUUUUUGAUUUCAUCUAGAGCCAACUGCUGUUCUUCUCCCCAGACAAACUCCUGAUCGGCUUUCAAUUUUAGAAGAGGACUGAAAGCACGAAUUCUCCCAGAUAAAUUCGAUAUAAAUCUUCUGAUAAAAUUCACCUUGCCGAUCAAGGACUGGAGCUCGGUCUUAUUGGUAGGGGCCACUAUUCUAUUGAUGGCAUCAAUAGAUCUUCGACUAAUUUCAAUACCCCUCUGAUGUACCAUGAAACCAAGAAACUGCCCUGCCGAUACGCCAAAUACACACUUGUUGGGAUUCAUCUUGAAUCCAUGCUUCCUUGUGCACUCCAACACUUUUCGUAAAUCGGCAAGAUGCUCUGAGAAAUCUCCAGACUUGACCACCACAUCAUCAAUAUAAAUUUCUACGAUCUUGCCGAUGAAUUCAUGAAAUAUAAAAUUCAUAGCCCUUUGAUAAGUAGCACCAGCAUUCUUUAAUCCAAAAGUCAUGACUAUCCACUCAAAUAAUCCAACAUGACCAGGACACCUGAACGCGGUCUUUGGAAUAUCCUCCUCUGCCAUGAAUAUUUGAUUGUAACCUGCAUUACCAUCCAUGAAGCUGAUGACCCGAUGGCCAGCCGCAGCAUCAACCAGUAGAUCGGCGACAGGCAUUGGGUAUCCAUCCAUCGGCGUAGCUUUAUUGAGAUUCCUGAAAUCAAUGCACACCCGAAGCUUCCCGUUCUUCUUGUAGACCGGAACAACAUUGGAAAUCCAUUCGGCAUACCGACAUUGCCGAAUAAACUUAGCUUCAAUAAGUUUAGUGAUUUCGGCCUUAAUAUCUGGUAGAAUGUUAGGAUUACAUCGGCGGGCUGGUUGCUGAUGUGGCCGAAAUCCAGACUUGAUGGGUAACCGAUGUUCAACAAUUGAUCGGUCUAAACCAGGCAUCUCUGUAUAAUCCCAAGCAAAGCAAUCUUUAUACUCCUUUAACAAACUAGUCAAUUGUCGCUUACACUCAGGAUCUAAUUUAGCACUAAUAAAAGUAGGCCUAGGCUUAUCACCACUACCUAUAUCUACUUCUACCAAAUCAUCGGCCGAUGUGAACCCCUGGCCUAAUUUUCCAUCAUCGGCGAAUCUAUCCAUUAAAAACCGUCGUCAGAACCGACUGCUUGGAUCGGUGGAAUCUCAUAAUCGGCAACUUUGAGAAAAUCUUUCUCCCAAACUUCUCCUGAAAUGCACCUAGUCUUUUCAUAAGUAUCCGCUUCUGCCGAUGCGAUAACAUAAGAAGAAUCCCCUGGGACGAUCUCAAUCUUCUCACCUACCCACUGAACCAAGCACUGAUGCAUUGUAGAUGGGACACAACAAUUGGCAUGAAUCCAAUCUCUCCCCAAUAAUAAAUUGUAGGCACCUUUUCCGCUGAUCACGAAAAAGGUUGUCGGCAAGGUUUUGCUGCCGAUGGUCAACUCUGCACAUAUCGCCCCCUUGACCGGAGACACGUUUCCCUCAAAGUCUUUAAGCAUCAUAUCGGUCUUGGUCAAAUCUUGAUCCCCUUUCCCAAGCUUCCGAUAUACUGCAUACGGCAUAAUAUUAAUAGCAGCUCCACCAUCAACUAGGAUCUUAGUCAUUGGCUGCCCAUCAACCCUUCCUUUGAGGAACAAAGCUUUAAGAUGCUGCCUCUCGUUAUCGGCAGGUUUCUCAAAGAUAGCCGUCAUCGGAUCCAGAGCCAACUGAGCUAUCUGAUCAGAAAAUCACAACUCAUCGUCACUGGCUGGUGCAAGAAACUCCAUCGACAACAUGAAUACCAUGUUGACGCCUGCCGAUGGACCUUCAAUCUUAGUGUCUGCCGGCUGCCGACUUUCAGAACUCUCUCCUUUAUUUAACUCCUCUUGCCUUUCUCGUUGCAACCUCCUUUUCUGUGUCUUGGUUAGUCCUUGAGGGCACCAUGGAGGAAGUGGCCUUUGCCUUACUGCCGGGCGUCGGUUCUCCCUUGACUCCAUACGAUGUGUGUUAGCAUCUCUGCAAAAUAUGAACUCAUCGGGAACCCGCGCAUUAGCCAUCUCCUCAAGCUCUUCCUGGUUCCUGGGAAAAUACUGGACACGGUCACCGAGCCGAUCGCGAACACUAAGCCUGCCCCCCAGCCGAUCAUGAACUGACGCCCUUCCUCUGAUUGGCCCAUUAAAUCGCCGUUCAUCAUCAUGAUAACGCCGAUCGUUCCUAUCGUACCGAUCAUAACCGUUGCAUUCAGGGCAGUCUCUGACAGUAGGAAGCUUGAUAUUUUCCUCCCAACAAUGGAUGAAGAAUGGGCAAUUCCAAUGAUCCCUGUGCCGAUUCCACUCCUGUCGGCGUCUUUCUUCUUCCCGUUGAUAAUCUUCCUGCUGGCGCCGAUAUCGAUCUUCCCGUUGUUGCCAUCUCUCUCGAGGCCUUCUAUGAGUUAUGACAAUACCAGAUCGAGGAAGUCUUCCUGAGCUAGCUCCUUCCUGGACCAAGCCCUAACUUCUUGCAUCGGCGGUAGUAACUUGAUGCUGAGGAUCUACCGAUGCACUCUUCUCAGCUGUCUCCGACGUUAAGACCUUAGCCUUCCCCUUAGCGUCCAACAUGUUUGUCGGGAAAGGAUGUUGGUCUAUCUUCAUCGGCUUCUGGGCUUUAGAACUGUCAAACUUGAUUCUCCCCGACUCUAUAGCCGAUUGCAGCUGUUGUCUGAAUACUUUGCACUCGUUGGUGUCAUGUGAAGUUGCAUUAUGCCACUUGCAAUAUCUCAUCCUCUUCAACUCUUCUGCCGACGGGAUCACGUGGUUAGGUGACAGUUUGAUUUGACCUUCCUGAAGUAGAAAGUCAAAUAUCCUAUCGGCCUUGGCGGUGUCAAAUGCAAACUUCUCUGGUUCCUUCUGCCCAAAAGGACAAGACAUCGGCUUCUUGUUUUUUACCCACUCUGCCAAACCGAUUACUGGUUCUUCAUCGGAAUCUGAGCUUGUUGCUUCAUCAACAAACGAGACUUUCUUAUUCCAUGCCCUCUUAGGCUCGAAAGUCUUGAUGUCUUGAUCAGAUAUCCUCUGCACCAAGUGACUUAAACUUUCGAACUCCUGAGAGGCAUACUUAUCCCUGAUGUGUGGCAACAAACCCUGGAAAGCCAAAUCGGCUAGCUGCCGAUCAUCCAGAACCAGGCUAUAGCAUUUAUUCUUGACCUCUCGUAUCCUUUGCACAAACCCCUCAACCGACUCAUCAUUACGUUGUCUCAACUUGACCAAGUCGGUGAUCUUCUUCUCAUGCACCCCCGAGAAGAAGUAUCUGUGGAAUUGCUUCUCUAGAUCGGCCCAAGUAAUUACUGAAUUGGGAGGCAAUGAUAUGAACCAAGUAAAGGCCGAUCCGGACAAUGAUGAUGAAAAUAGACGAACCCUCAAUUCGUCCCUGUUACCAGCCUCUCCACACUGAAUAAUGAACCUGUUGACAUGCUCCAUGGUUGACGUGUCGUCCUGUCCGGAAAACUUUGUAAAAUCCGGUACUUUGUACCGAUGUGGAAGUGGGAUCAAAUCAUACGCUGGAGGAUACGGUGUCCGAUAAGAAUAAGUGUUGACUUUGGGUUUUAUCCCAAAUUGUUCCCUCAUUACUUCAGCAAUCUUAUCGGCCCAAUACGCAUCGGCGUCUUGCCGAUGAGGCGGCUGCGGAUCUGGCAUUUGGUGGCGAGCCUCCACGUGUCUGUUCGGGACGUGACCUGUAUGGAACAUCGUAUUGGUCACCUGUCCUCCAAUCUGCGGACUACCAAACUGCUGUCCACCGAUUGGCUGUCCUCCGAGUUGCUGUCCAAAAUUUAUUGGCUGGUUGGGAAUUCCCUGACCUUGGAACCCGGGAUAAACCUGCCCUUGCUGGAACCCCGUAGUCUGAUAACCUUGCUGGGGCGAUUGUGGAAAGGCUUGCUGUCCAAGCCAUCCAUUAUUAGCGUUCAUCGGCAUAGGUGCUGCCGAUGAUUGGUAAUUGGGUAUCGUCGUUGAAUUGACAUACCCCGACUGGGCCAUAGACCUCUGUUGCAUCAGCAUUGACUCUGCCGAUGCGUUGGGCAUCUGGAACAUUGAGUCUUGAGGAUUCCCAGUGUAAGGCCUUGCGGUAGUAGUUGUGGUAUACCGAGGACUCUGGUUCACCGGCGCAUUGGGAGGUGCCGAUGUCAUAGGAGUUUUGCCCCUCAUGUCAGUUAUCUGUGAUGUUCCCGGCGUCAACUCUGGAGGCAUACCAUAACCCCACCAGUUGGGAGGAAGAUUUAACCCUGACAUUGUCGAUGCCAACAUAUCUGUUGUCAGUUUAUGCUGCCCAACUGAAAUCUGGGGGUUGGUUGCCAUCGGCAUAGACAGUGCACCAGUAGUCCCCAAUGUACUUGGAGGGACGGCAGGCUGUGCACUUGCGUUCGUCAAGGCAGCUGAUGGAGCCGUGACCUCUGGUGCCGUUGGCUGAUGAUGGGAGGGCCCCACAUAAUCUGGCGGGAUUUGUCCUUCCUUGAAAGUUCUUGCCACGACGUUGAAAACCGUAUUAGACAGUACACCGGCUUGGUUAAUCAACGCUCGAUUGAUGGCAUUGUCAACCAUGUCUUGAAGCUUGCCAGGAUUGGCGUCAAAGGUGACCUGCCGUGGUGCCGGCAGUGCAUCUUUCUGGACCACUUCGCCGCUCCUGUUUAUGCUGAAAGACUUCAGGCAUUGCUGCUUGAACUCUUCCAUGGCUUGGGCAAUAGCUUGCUUCUGCUCAUCCUUGAGGUUGGCUUCCGUCACGGGGAUGACGUUGUCUUGAUCGAGGUCAGAGAUCGACAUGUUGAUCUUGAUCUUGAAUCGGUCCCACCGGGCGUGCCAAAAGAUGUGUUGAUGCAAAAACUGAUCUGCAAACACAAAGGGCUAAUACCCGAUUCAAACGUUAAGGCGUGCCAGCCGAUUUGACCUUACUAUCGGCAAAGGUGAUAGCUCGAAUACUUUAGUCCUGACAACAGCGAUGCGCCCGGAUGUCACGGCUAAGAGGUACUCACGCGGAACUCGAGAACACGCCGAGCUUAAGUCGACGAAUUCCUAAGAACUCGUAAUAAAAGGAAAAAAAAGGUAUGACGAAGUCGUCGAAAAGUAGAUACUGGAAUAUGAGUAAAAACGUGUAUUUGAUUGAUUUCUUGAUAUCUUGAUUACAAGGUCCUAGGGUUUAUAUUUAUACCCUGCUCAAAGAGCUACGACCAGACACGAUUAGAAUUCGAAUUCCAAAUUACACGGAACCCGUAUACAAAACGAUGCGAAUAACUAAGGAAAUAAUAAAACUAUCCUUCGUGACAAACCGAAACUCCUCCACAUGACAACUGGCAGCUUCCGGACUCCUCCUUCGCGUCAUCGGCAAUCCCCUUGCCAUAGUCAUCGGCAGACCUUUUUACCUGGUCAUCGGCACCAUAUUACUACCUGAGGACUUAGUCACAUUCAACCUUUCCCUCAUCGGCAACCAUCCUUAUCAGCAACCCGCAUCGUACUGCCACCCUAUCCUGCCAUCCUGGACACGUGCCCAAAAAUGGUGUCAACAGAUACUUGAUCCAUUGCUUUCAUCAAGAAGAGUAGUCCAACUCAUAUUAAGGAAUCUAAUUGAGUUACCAUAAGAAUUUGGAUAAUAUAAUGUCAUGAAGGAGCUAACUCACUGCUGUCACUUUCAGGGACUUAGCCAAAAUAUGGAGGUAGCAAAUCAGCACUGAAUUGAUUCUUGAGAGCUCAAUUUGAUUAGGAUAGGUACCAAACUAGCUCUUGAUCCUUAAAUAAAGUUUGUUCUACAGAAGCAAUACUACAACUUUCAUUUAGGGUCAAACCUCAUAACUGGAACAGAGGUCAACCUUUCACUUUGGUCAAAUUAGUAACCCGAUAAAGCUUCAAAUAGGAUUUUAGGCCAAUUGAAGCAUUUUCUUGACAUAAGCUCAACAUGAACCCUUCACGACUUUUGUUGUAUAAUUCAUCCAGUGUCAUAUGAGCAAGUUUGCAAGGUUUGGUUGGUGACCCAUGAUUCUAUUUCCUUAAUAGAGUCAUUCCGGCAAGGAUAUAACUUAUCAUUUCAUGUGACUUCUUGAUUCCAAACUUCACCAAACUUUUCCAUAGACCAACAUAGAUUGGGAUGGAUAUAAGACACAUGAAAAAGGUUCCAUUAGCAUCAUCCAAGCAUACCUUUUAAAAAGGCAUAUAUGCAAGCAAGGUUGCAUCCACCAAGCCCAAGUUGGGGUUUACUUUCAUAGAUUGACUUUGACCUCUAUAUUACCAUUGAACUUGUCAUGUUUGAGCUCAAACCUAGUACUUAGCAAGUGACAAACACCUAGGGUGUUACAGCCUUCCCCCCUUAAAAGAAUCUCGUCCCGAGAUUCGGUGCAAAAGACUUUCAAGGGAAGAAAACAAUGUCACGCAUUUUCCAACAUUAGCGAUAGGAGUGGGCUACUUUGCUUGGAACAUCAGAGAAGCAAACUUGGUCCAAACAUUUUAUGAUACUUGCUCUUCAUAGUAAACCUUUAUCUAGAGAAUCUCCCUUUUUGUUUGACUUUAUUGAAGCAUUGUUACUUUGGGAGGAAUCCAAGACAAACUGUUCCAUGUACUUUGUUUCUGGUUGUUUAGAGCCUAAGGAGCUACUUGUACCAUUAGCUUCUUUAGUGAAACUAAUGCAAGCCAUACGAACUUCACACCACUUCACAAGCUUCUAAGGGUUGCGCAUUAUAGUGAUUCCAGGCUCAUUCACAAGAUUUGAAAAGCAGUCCUCUACCAAAAUGGUUGGAGUGUAACUUUCCAUGCAUGCAGUUGUCCUUCUCUAAUGACAACAUUGUACUGACCACCCGAUUAAGAGAACAGUGAAUGUGAUAGCUGACUCUGUUGGUUUCAUGCCUUCCAUGAUCAUUUACUUUAAUGGGAUUCUUGUAUCCAAACAACAACAGUUAUCUGGGUUGAAUCAGAUGUAACUUCUUGGGUAACACAUAGAAGGUAACCAAGGCAUGUAAGAAUGGAUAACCACUACUGACAAAGGAUGAUAGUGGGGUCCAUAGGUCUCCAACUAUUGCAAGUGUUCAACCAACUAAAGAAAUAGUUUACCACCAAGUAGGUUAAGCAUGACCUUUCUUCAUGAUGCAGUUGCAUAAGAGUUAGGUUGACUUGUUCCAUAGAAAAACCAAUCCAAGGGAACUACUUUUGCUUUUGAGGUUUCCUUUUUAAGAUCAGUCGGUAGCUCUGAUAUUGAAAAUCUAUUGACUGACACCUUUCAAAACAUUUUUUUAUUUGCACUGGCACAAAUGGGUACAAAGAAUCUUAUUUCAGCAUAUAAGCAUUAUCUAUGCAGCAAGACAUUGCCCACAAUGUAAUCCAUGGCACCAAAACAAACACCACUUUCUACGCAAAGGAUGAUCCAUAUCAAAACUAAGAUUGUAGAUUUCUACCCCUUUUGGGUUUUGGUUCAUAUUUCACCAAUUAUCACUCACAUCCCCAUGAAAUUUGGUAGAAAUACAGAUCCAGGAGUCUUCUAACCUCUGACCAAAAUUCAGCUCAAAGAGGUACCAUUUGUGUAGGCAGAACAUAUACAUACUAAACUUGUUCGGUGCUAAAAGGGCAGCAUUCCUGACUGACAAGACAUCUCUCAACUCCACAGUUUAAUUCACUAUUUGACGAAAUAUAUCCUUUGCGAUUGUCAAUCCAUCAUUGCCUUGCUUAAGAUUAGCCUUGUUACUAGAAACCAAUCAAUUGGCUCUCGGCACUAAAAUUUCUAAAGCUCCACUCUUAACCACAACAAUUGCGGUUGACGCCUAACCAUUAGUCACCCUCAAAGCCAAGAGAUAAGGAUUCAUGAUAAAGAUGGUUGACUUUAGUUGCAUCACCAUGACGCACAUAAAGAUCAAGACUUAGGAAAACUAAAUCAUAAGCACAAUGGUGAUGAUCGAUGCUUGUUCAACAGAUAACUUCUCCAACAUUAAGUGUCGUGCGUCCUUUUGGUUCGGCAUGGAUGACCAAUGUUGCUCAUUAAAUGACCAUCAUCAUUGCAGGAAUAGUUAAAUAGUGUCACUUGUCUACCAUCUCUUGCAGUCUGUUAAUGUUUAUGUCAGUGACCUAUUCUCCAAAGGUAAUCCUCUUUGUAACUUCAUAGGAAGUUCUGGUUACUUGCACAUGAAGUAAGGAUCUUCUGAUCAAAUCUGGAUAGAUAAUUAAGGACAAACUCAUGAUGAGAAGACACAUUGGUGUAGUUCUAUAAUAGAGCCUGGCUAGUAAUCAACGAUACCAGUGCGUGCCGAGCAGCACAACCAGGUGUCGGCCGCCACAAGGGGCUCUCGGUUUCGUCACGGCACCAUCAAUCAUUAACCAAGGCACCAUUACUAAACAUACAACCCAAAGGAAAUCUCUCAUGGUAAAAAUUGAGUUGCAUAGCAGCGAGCACUAUGCAAAAGAGGGGGUAUCAACUGAGAUAGUCAUGAGAUUAGAGGUCCACAAGGAGGCGAUUCAAAGAUUAAACAUAGUACUAGAGAACAUAGAUCACAUGAUAUUAAGACGGAUAAACACCCAGAGACUCAAGAGAGUUGGAGAUAAAACGAUUGAGAUUUGAAAGAUUGAGUCAAUACAGGGAUUAGGGGAUGGAUACACAACAUUCAAGAGCUAACAACCAUGCACAAACUCAAGCUCUUUAUCAUUGGAAUCUACUUGGAGAUAACCAUGAGAUUAAAGUGACAUGAGUGCUGUUCAAAGGCUCUUCAACACUCGCAUGCUUACUAAGGACAAAAAGGUCACAACUACGACACUACCUGAUUAACAACACAUCUAUUCAUGCAUCAUGGUUUUAAGCAAACAUGUGAGAACAUCAAUCACAAUAUCUCCAACAAUCAUUACUAAGCACAAAAUUUGUAGAUAACAAGUAGUCAUCUAAAGCAACACUAGUACACAUGAACAUACAAAACAUGAUGAUAAGGUGUUUUUAUCUUUCACUUUCUUUUACUAGAAAGGUGUAUGUUUCUUCUCCAAUCGUGAAAACAAAUUUUAACCUAUGUUUAAAGGACUAAUUAUCUUAGAGAUGUGCAUCAUACUGACAGGGUGCACAGAUCAACCACAACACGGGCAAAACAAAGCUAGUCACACCUUAUCUUCAAUUAUAGCUAUUCAAGCAACAUGGAGCAAAGCAUUGUAUCUAACUGCACACAAGCAAGAUGACACACAUUGAUUCACAAGUUAUUUAUUACUAGAACAAGGGUGAGAGAAGCAUAGUUAUACAUAAGAUAACAAUCAUGAUGAUGCAUGCUUCGUCCUAUUCGUCCUCACAAAAUUGCCAGCCUAAGGUGGCAAUCACGUUCUAUGUCGGUGGCAUAACACGUACACUCUCGACAUAUAGCUAGUCGUAAUAUUCAAUUUACGCAUUCGUGGUUAGCAUACCUGCAGAAAACUCAUUUCAGCCCACCCACAGUAUGAAACAUGCAAUACAAGAUCAAAAAGCUAUGCGGCUCCACACACGUGUAUCCCCAUACUCGUAUGUGUAGUGCUACUACCCACAUCAUCGUCCUAGUGACGGCAUCGCCUCUAAGGAUGGAAUCACCCAUCAUGCGAUACCUUUUCAUAAGCACAUGUAAAAUGUGCACAUGAUCCAGUACCAAAAGCACUUCCCUAGAUCGGUGGUGUAUCCGAUCAUGCUCUCACAACUCACACUUACCGAGGCGUAGAGGAAAAAUGAUCCAUACAUUACCAUUCAAAUGAAUGGCACUCAUACUAUUGCACGCCGUAUGAGCAACGAAAUAGAAAUAUGAUGCAGAAACCCCCAAGUCAGUACUUAAAAAAGCCACCUAAGGGUCCUUAAUUGGGCAUAAAGGAAAUGACCACUGGCAUACUUAGAUAAAAACUUUUUAGAUUUGAACACACCUUUAUCUAUAAUAGCUAUACGUUGUAAAAAAACUGAUUUUAUAAAACAAAAUAUUUUUUUUUAAAUACACAUAUGACAAGUUUAAUGUUGAACCUUGCUCUGAUACCAGCUGUAACAGAACCGCCCAAUUUACAAGAGAUCAACUACGAAAAACUCCCGCCAAAGCAGUUGCUUUAACGUAAUCGAACUCUCAUAAACCCGGUAGUCCGUGAAAUCACGAGGGAUUUCAAACCAACCAUCUUACAAGCCAAGAUCGUAGUGAUUCAACAUAACAAGUCACAUGUUACAUCCAUUUCACAAGUAGUUUGAUAUACAUCAGAGUUCAAGAUAGUUAUUACAACUUAAGUUGAAAAGUAGCGGAAGCAAAGUAAUUUGAAACUAAUAUUGCCCUUAUUUCAAAUACAUGCCAGUAUCCAGGUCAACUCCAACAAAAGCAACAUAGAUGAGGUAACUAAGAAGGAUCAUGCCCAUGAUCUUACUCCUCUAAUAUGGUAGGAGUCAUCCAACUCUUGCAGUAGCCAUGAUACAUCACAACCUGCAACAAGUGGGAAUAAACCUUGAGUACGAGAAGGUACUCAGCUAGACUUACCCGUCAUAAACCAGAAAUAAUAUGACACCAAGGAGUAUGCAAGGCUUUAUUGGUGGAGCUAGCUUGACAACACUUUUUGCAUAAAAAGCUUAAGUUGCAACUAAGUAAUCCUUUCAGGUAUUUAGCUCAAGUUAAUAAUCAUUAACCUAUCAUCUAGAUUAGCACCUGUACUAAAGCAAUCACUUGAUUAAGAUACAACCAUAGUACCCAUAUUUGAUGUGGCAUUUCCAACAUCAUCAUCGUACCAUAACCAUCCAAGUGUUCCAUAAACAUUACUACGAUGACGAAGCUCAAGUCAAGUGCUCACUGUCCAGGAGCGAUGGCGAUUCGAAUCGAUUUCUAACCAGCUGGCGAGUUUAUUCCCCACACAAACCACACUCACCGGCCAAAGUGAGCUACAGGUCACCAUAUUGCACUAUCCAGGACCAAUUCGCGGGUUCGGCAGGCACCGCCAGUACCCGAGGACCGUUCCGGCGACCGAGGUAUCCAAGGUAUACCAAGGUUGCCCGCCGCGCCCUCGUCGUUCUCCUCAACCAUCACCAAUACAGCGCAUGGCGGCUCGACUCCCGGCCCGGAUAGUGUUCAGGCUUCGCGGUCGGAACGACUUAUCCUUCCAGCUAAGUGUGGGGCAUGCGUUCAACAUGACAAGAGGGCCGUCAACGAUCGGUCCUUAAUCGACACAGGCGGGGAUAGAUAGGCACCCAAGACCUCCAUGUCUUGUUACUUCUCUACCAUCGUCCCGCCCGGUCUCCAAUUAUUCAUCCUCAUCACUUGGUUAUUUUCAUGAUAGCAUAUAUAGCCAACCUUUUCAGGUGUCCACCUAUCUCGCUCAGGUGACGGGACAUCACCUGGCUUCUACCGGUCUAAGCAUAGCUAAGCAUUUAGAUUCGAUCCUGAAUCUACAUAGGGUUAUAGGUAUAUUUGCUGGACAAGGAGUGUUAUAUGCAGCAAGGGUUUCACCCAACUCCUAUACUUAAUGCAACAAUACAUAUAUAACAUAUAUUCUCAACUGCAUUCAAAAGUAGUGGGAUACUUAUAAUGCUCCGGGGCUUGCCUGGGAUUAACACUGAGUCAAUUCAGUUAGUUGCUCCGUCUUGGUGACAUCUAAGGUCACAACACUUGCUUAGUCCUUCCACCUUUGGGAGAGGUCAACCAAACACCAUCUUUGAGUUUGAUUCGACAUCAUGACCUUCACGUGAUUCAUCUAGCGCACCUAGAUGAGAUGCAAGAUGCAAGUGCAUGAAUAUAAAGAAUAAUAACACAACAUGCAUCACAUAAAAGUAUGCAAGACACAAGCAUCUAAAGUUAUUUAGCUAACAUCACACAACCAAUUAUAUAGAGCAAACAAAUCAAUCAUGACACAAGUUUAACAAGUUUACAAAUGUAUUACUUAAUCACCAUUAAAGACAUGAAUCACAGUUUGCACACACCAAGUAAAGCAAUCAAGCAUUCAUGCAUUUUCAGUAAUUUUGGACAUACAUGCAGCAACUCAGUAAAUAAAUCAUAACUAGAGCUACACAGCUCCAAAAGCUAUGAAACAAGACAUUCUGGAAAUACUAUAAAAUUAUCUACAAUUCAUCUUUAAUCAUAUUAGCAUGAUUAACAAGUUAACCAAGUCAAACAUGCAUGACCAUAUAAUCUGGUCCAGGAACUUACAGAGAACAAGCAUUUCAAGGGAUGGACUUCAUACUACUGUAACUCAUAAACCACUUAGCCAAAUGAUAUGCAACUUUACCACAAGAUAUGUUAAUAAAUUAUCUACAUCUUUUAUAUAGACAAGUUGCACAGCAAACAUCAUUUAUAUCAUGGAAUUAGUUGCAUAAAUAAAACUGCUCAUGCUGCCCAAACAGUAGGGGUAUAAUUACAAACAGAAAACUGAUAGGCAAUUCAAAGCAGCAUAACCGGAGUUGCAUACCUCCAGCCAACAUGAUUCUUAUAUUUUUGGAAAGCUUAUAAAGUUACCUACAACUUUCUUAUUAUCAUCUAAAUAUGAAUCUAGAGUUAACAAGGUCAAUUAAUCCCAUAAAGACAUCUCUGUCUAAAACAUAGACAGAAUCUGUCAUGCCACAUUAAACAGCCGUAACUUGAGUUUCACAUGUCAAUAAAUUAUUGUUAUGUACUUUAUAGAAAGCUUACUAAAUUGUGAACAACUUUGUUAUAAACAUCUAGAGCUAAAUAUACAAUUAACAAGGUCUCACAUAACAAACAAUGCCACCCUGUCUGGAUUUAGAUAGAAACUGAAACAAUACUUUAAACUACUAUAACUAAACAUGUGCUUAACCAAAAAUUGUGCUACUUAUAUUUCUGGAAAGCUUAUGAAAAGUACUACAACUCAUAUAUUUUCAUCAAGGCCUGAUUCACAACUUAACUAAGCCAAACAAUACAAACAUGCAGACCUACUCACAAUAGGAGCAAAGCAACACAGGGCAUUUGUUAUUUUCAUAACUCUUAAUCUAUCAAUCGUAAAUUCAUGAAACAAAUGCCAGACAUCAAAUAUGAUAUGAAAAGCAUGUCACAAUAUUUUCACAUUUAUUUGAGCAAUACUACAGCAUUUAUGAAAAAGACAAAUAUAACAAGCAAUUAAAACCUAACUGCAUAAAUCUAUUUUUAUGACUAAAACGUCAAACCAAACCAUGCCAUAUUAUAGAUCUACUGCAUAGAUAAUUUCACAAGGAUUCCAAAAAGUCCACAUUUGCUAUUUUACGACUUUUCUACGAAUUUCUAUGCAUUUCCAAAGUUCAUCCAAGAAAUAUGCAAAAACAAAGGAAAAGGAAAACAGAUCUUUCACCGGGGACCCUGGAGUUUCCAAGAAUCACGCAACAGCCCACAAACACUAUUCAUAUGAGUCUUGGCUUCGCAUCUGGAACCCUGAGUUGUUUUAUAUUCUAACACGAGGUCCCUUCUCUUCUUCUUUACGGACAGAGAAGCCGGCAGCCGGCAGGACGUUCGAGCUCGAGGCUCAUGGCCGAAUGGUCACAAGCUACGGUCGUGGGAGGCCUGCCCGCUCCUUGCCGCGGCCAACCAUAGCCACGCCAAUCUCCUGGCCGGCUGAGGCAGCAGCAGCGCACCAGAGGAGCAGCACCGGCGACGGCGACAGAUGGGAGAGAGCUGGAGAGAGAAGGAGGCGAGUGGAGGAUGGGAGGGCAGUGCAGAGCGUGCUGGUGUGUGUGAGGAGCGUCUGGCGUGGCUUGCUGUCCACUUUAGACGAGCAGGAGCGCGUGUCAGCCAUGGUGGGAGUGCUCUCGCGCAUGGACGCCGCGUAGGCAAUUCGUCGAGCACGUGGCAUGCGACGGUGUGGCUCAGGUGGGAGGCGAUUUUGGGCUUCUUCCUUGCCGAGUUUGAAGAUGGGUCAAAAAUGAAGUUUGCUCACCUCGGCCUGCUCUCCAACUUUGAUUAAGGGUGCUUAGUCAUUAGGCCAACAGAUUAGGAGAUAAUUAGAUGCCAAGUCACGAGUGUCAACGUAUUGACGGUGAUUAGCAAAACCAAGAAUUGAUGGUCCAAAUCAUGUCAAACUUGAUGCAACUUUUUGUAUGCUCUUCUCCAAAUAAUUAUCCACAACUUUUAUUCUUGGACCAGCUUGAGUUGCUUUACAAAAAUACGAGAACGCGGCAUGCCAACGGGUCGACGUCCGUUUAGCGAUAAAAUAACUUUUUGCUGUUUUGGGAGCUACUUUUAGAUACCCAAAUGAACUCCAAAUUUGAUGAUACUUGAUCCAUUGCUUUCAUCAAGAAGAGUAGUCCAACUCAUAUUAAGGAAUCUAAUUGAGUUACCAUAAGAAUUUGGAUAAUAUAAUGUCAUGAAGAGCUAACUCACUGCUGUCACUUUCAGGGACUUAGCCAAAAUAUGGAGGUAGCAAAUCAGCACUGAAUUGAUUUUUGAGAGCUCAAUUUGAUUAGGAUAGGUACCAAACUAGCUCUUGAUCCUUAAAUAAAGUUUGUUCUACAGAAGCAAUACUACAACUUUCAUUUAGGGUCAAACCUCAUAACUGGAACAGAGGUCAACCUUUCACUUUGGUCAAAUUAGUAACCCGAUAAAGCUCCAAAUAGGAUUUUAGGCCAAUUGAAGCAUUUUCUUGACAUAAGCUCAACAUGAACCCUUCACGACUUUUGUUGUAUAAUUCAUCCAGUGUCAUAUGAGCAAGUUUGCAAGGUUUGGUUGGUGACCCAUGAUUCUAUUUCCUUAAUAGAGUCAUUCCGGCAAGGAUAUAACUUAUCAUUUCAUGUGACUUCUUGAUUCCAAACUUCACCAAACUUUUCCAGAGACCAUCAUAGAUUGGGAUGGAUAUAAGACACAUGAAAAAGGUUCCAUUAGCAUCAUCCAAGCAUACCUUUUAAAAAGGCAUAUAUGCAAGCAAGGUUGCAUCCACCAAGCCCAAGUUGGGGUUUACUUUCAUAGAUUGACUUUGACCUCUAUAUUACCAUUGAACUUGUCAUGUUUGAGCUCAAACCUAGUACUUAGCAAGUGACAAACACCUAGGGUGUUACAGCGGGCCUCGAUUUUCGACCACUCGCUGGGCAUCCCUGACUCGGGUGCUCGAGAUCGGCUGUCGAACCCUUUCGGCGGGUCAGCCUGCGACCUCUCGAGGCUUUCGUGGGUGCGUACCUUGGCUUACAAGGGAAGGAAGAGGUCGUGGCGGUUCGCUUUUCUGCCCGUUGGGCGCGUCUUUUUAGGCGGGAGCCGUUGCAACACUAUAUCGGUGCAGAAUUCGUAGCGCCCCGUCUGUGAGAGGAAAAGGACCGUUAGGCGGCGCAUUUAUGGGGGGAGUUACCUCAUUUAUCGGAUCUGUCCGUAGGUGGUCGUUGUCUAUAAAUAUCCUGUAGCCUGGUUGUCGUUCUCCCUUUCGCCUUCUGCCUCCAUUCUUGCCUUAGCUCCCUUGCCAUCUCACGCGCACGCACCCCCUUGAGUAGCAGCGAAUCCGCCUUCCUUCCACCCAAAGAUGCCUGUGAGAUUCGUCGCCGCCGACGACUGGCGCCUGUCGUCGAUGACGGAGCGCCGGUUGCUGGAGCUCGAGAGGGAGGGACUCCUGCGCCACCGCACAUCGUUGUCGUCGCCGGAGUGGAUUGCACCGCCGGCGGACCACCGGGAGCCCAAGCCACCCAAGGGCUACGUGGUUUCGUUUGCCAAGUUCCAUCGCCAUGGCUUGGGCGCCCCCUCGAGUCGCUUCAUGCGGGCGCUCUGCCACCACUAUGGGGUGGAGCUUCAGCACUUCUCCCCAAAUGCCAUCACCAGCGCGGCGGUAUUCGCCGCGGUGUGUGAGGGCUAUUUGGGGAUGAUGCCCCACUGGGAUCUGUGGCCCCACCUCUAUAGGGGCGAGCUCUUCAACACCCCCACCGGGACCACAGGCGUGAGGAAACCCGUACGGGCGGGGUGCCUCAACCUUGUGCUGAAGACGGGGAAGACGGAGAGGCCACGCGAGUACAUCCCGGUGGGAUUGUCAUCGAACCAUGCCGGAUGGGACUCCCAGUGGUUCUACCUGAGGAACGACGAUGGUCUCCUUCCGGCCUACACCGGCCACCUGAUCACGGAGCGCCCGGAGAACCGGACGUACGGCGUCGUCCAAGUUCAUCAGUCGCGGCUCGACCCCCUCCUCGACGCCUUGAAGAAACUACGUGUGGAGGGUCUGUCCGCCGCUCUCGUCCUCUCGGCCGUCCAUCAUCGGAGGAUUCUCCCGUUGAAGUCUCGGCCGCUGAGGAUGGAUGAGAUGGGUCCCGGCGUUUCGUCCCGAUACCUCGAGGCGUGUCGGAUGUCCAACGAGGCUCCGGCAGACGACGAGGUCGCGGCCCGUGUUAGGGCGGCCGUCGCCGGCGACUUCUGGCUAGAGCACGUCAGCGGCUUCCCCAUGAGACCUGAUGUGGGCUCAAUCGACCUUGUAAGUUCUUUCCGCGACGAAAUCCACUAGGGCUUGUGACUUGAUAGCUUUACGGGGCGCAUAAGUGAGAGUCUCACUAAUGAGCUCGACCGACCAUUUGGCGAUUCUUCCCGUGGCCUCCCGAUUUUGGAUGAUCUCGCCCAAGGGGAAAGACGAGACCACUGUGAUAGGGUGGCCGAGGAAGUAAUGCUACAGCUUGCAUCGGGCGAGGAUCACGGCGUAGACUAGCUUCUGGAUUUGCGGGUAACGCGCCUUGGUCUCCGAGAGCACCUCGCUGAUGAAAUAGACCGGCCUCUGGACUGGCAGCGCAUGCCCCUCCUCCUGCCUCUCGACCACUACCGCUGCGCUGACGACCUAGGUCGUCGAGGCGACGUAUAGAAGCAGAGGUUCUGCGGGUUGAGGCGGGACUAGGACUGGUGCAGAGGUCAGCGUUUUCUUCAAGUUAUAGUGGCAACGCCUUAUCCCCCAACCUCGGCUUCUGGGGUCCAAGGGAAACGCUCAACUUUCUUCAGAAGUCGAUACAGUGGCAACGCCUUUUCCCCCAACCUCGAGAUAAAAUGACUCAGCACUGCUAAACAUCCCGUGACUCUCUGUACGCCCUUGAUGUCUCGGAUCGGCCCCAUUCUCGUGAUGGCCAAGACUUUGUCGGGAUUAGCCUCGAUGCCGCGCUGGGAAACGAUGUAACCCAGGAGCAUACCUCGAGGUACGCCGAAAACGCACUUCUCAGGGUUGAGCUUGAUCUGGUUGCCGUGUAAGCAGCUGAAAGCGAUCUUGAGGUCCUGGAUCAGGUCUCCCGGUCGCUUCGACUUGACGACGAUGUCGUCGACAUAGGCCCCGACCGACCCUAUGUGCUUGCCAAACACGUGGAGCAUGCAUCGCUGGUAUGUAGCUCCCGCAUUUCGAAGCCCGAACGGCAUGGUUACAUAACAAUACAUCCCAAAAGGUGUAAUGAAAGAUGUCGCGAGCUGAUCGGACUCUUUCAUUUUUAUUUGGUGGUAACCAGAAUACGCAUCAAGGAAAUAAAGGAUUUCACAUCCCGCAGUAGAAUCAAAAAUUUGAUCAAUACGUGGUAAUGGAAAAGGAACUUUCGGACAUGCUUUAUUUAAACUCGUAUAAUCGACACACAUCCUCAUUUUCUCAUUCUUUUUCUUAACUAGUACAGGAUUUGCUAACCAGUCGGGAUGGUGAACCUUCUUGAUGAAUCUGGCCGUCAAAAGCUUGUGGAUCUCCUCGCCAAUGAUCUUGCGCUUCUCCUCGUCGAAUCGGCGCAACCGUUGCUUCACUGGCUUGGAACCGGCUCGAAUUUCUAAGGAGUGCUCGGCGACUUCCCUCGGUAUGCCAGGCAUGUCCGAGGGACUCCAUGGAAACAUGUCGGCGUUUGCACGGAGAAAGUCGACGAGCACGGCUUCUUAUUUGGGGUCGAGGUCGGCGCUGAUCAUCAGCGCCUUGCCGUCGGAGUUGUUGGGGUCGAGCGGGAUCUUCUUCGUUCCUUCUGCCGGCUCAAAGCUGCCCGCGUGGCGUUUGGGCUCUGGAGCCUCUGCAGCCAGGGCCUCGAGCUUCGAGGCGAGCUCGGUGGAACUCUCGACGGCUUCGCCAUACUCGAUGCAUUCGACGUCGCACUCGUAUGCGUGCUCGAAGGAGGAGCUGACGGUGAUGACACCCUUGGGACCGGGCAUCUUCAACUUCAAGUAGGUGUAGUUGGGGAUAGCCAUGAAUUUGGUGUAGCCCGGGCACCCGAUGACGGCGUGGUACGUGCCCGGGAACCCCACCACCUCAAAGGUGAGGGUCUCCUUUGUGAAGUUGGCCGCUGUGCCAAAGCAGACCAGUAGGUCGAUUCGACCUACCGGCAACGCCUUCUUCCCAGGAACGACACCAUGGAAGCCUCCGGCGCUUGGUUGGAGCUGCGACCUGUUGAUGCCGAGGAGGUCGAGGGUCUUGAGGUAAAUGAUGUUCAGGCUACUGCCGCCAUCCAUCAGCACCUUUGAGAGUCUGGUGUUGAUGAUGAUGGGGUCGACGACAAGCGGGUAGACGCCAGGGGCGACCACCUUGUCGGGGUGGUCCUCCCGAUCGAAGGUGAUGGGGGUGCUCGACCAGCUGAGGUACUGGGGUACCGCCAUCUUUGCCGCAAAGACUUCACGGUGCUCUCUCUUGCGUUGCCUUGCGGUCAGCUGCGUCGAGGGCCCACCAUAGAUCAUGUAGCAGUCGUGGACGGUAGGGAAACCGUCAUCGUCUUUGUUGUUCCCCUUGUCGUCGUACUUUUCUUUCUUUGGGUCAUCGCGUGCAUCCUUCUUGAACCCCAGACCAUCGAAAUGCUUUUUCAGCAUACGGCAGUCCUCGAGCUUGUGGUUUGCCCGUCCUUUGUGGUAAGAGCAUGGCUCCUUUAGCAUCUUAUCGAAGAUGGCUCCCUCUGGAGGGCCUCAAGGCCUUUUGCGUUCCAUAGCGGCGACGAGAUCAUCGUCGAGGACUUCCCGCUAGAAUGGCCGUGUUUUCUUCUGCUUUUUGUUCUUCUUGGGCCCUCGACUGGGGCCCUCAUCAUCAUCGGCGGGCGACUUGCCUUUCCUUCCUUCACAGCUGAAGAAGGCGCCGACCGCUUCUUCCCCUGCAGCGUAGUUUGCCACUACGUCCAUCAGCUCGUCGACGGUCUGGGACGAUUCCGGCCUAAUUCCCGCACCAAGUCUCGACUGGUGGUACCAGAGACAAAGGCCAGGACGACGUCGUGGUUGGGGAUGUGCGGCAGCUCGGUGCGUUGCUUCGAGAAGCGUCGAGCGUACUCUCGAAGCGUCUCUCCUAACUUCUGCUUGCACUUGCUGAGGUCCCACGAGUUGCCGGGUUGUAUAUAGGUUCCUUUGAAGUUACCUUCAAACACCCUGACCAAAUCGACCCAAUCGUGGAUCUGGUUGGCCGGGAGCUCCUCGAGCCAUCUGCGGGCGGUGUCGGAGUGGAAGAGUGGCAGCUGUCUGAUGAUGGCUCGAUCGUCCCCUCGAGCGCCUCCCAGCUGACAGGUCAGCCUGAAAUCUGCCAGCCAAGCUCUGGCUUGGUCUCGCCGUUGUACUUUGCAAUGCUGGUCGGGGGUCGGAACGGGCUGGGCAGCGGCGUGCUGCGGAUUGCCCUACUGAACACUCGCGGUCCCGGUGGCUUUGGAGCCAUCCGGUCCUCGUCGCUGUCGUAUCUCCCGCCGCGGUGGACGCUGUAACCGCGCUCUUCUGCAUCUCCAUACCGACGGCGACGAUUCUUGUCGAUGUCGCGCCGCGCGUCGUGUCGUCGUUGGAUGUCGACGGGGAGGACGAGCGUGGUCAUUUUCCCUCGAGGGGGUGGGUGUUGAUGGACCGAUACCUCCUUUUCGUUGUGGGCUGGCUCAUCGCGCUUCUCUGUGGCCGCUCCUCGAUGUCGAGAGGCCGAGCUUUCGGCCUGCUGAACCGCUGCUACCUGGAGCAGAGUCUGUACCUCGUCUCGAAUGCGUCGGGCUUGGGAAUUUGACGGCUCGGGCAUAUUACGCAGUAGCAUUGUCGCCGCCACGACGUUCUGGCCUGCUCAAGGGAAACGACUGACAGGCUGCUCAGGCUCUCCGUCUCCGACGAUCUGCUGGUGUACCUCUCGAGCCCGUCUGCGGACACUCCCGCCGGGCGGGUAUGGCAGAUCCUGCUCAAGGAUUUGCUCGAGCAGGACGAGGCGCUCACAAUCUUCGUCAAGCUUCAUCUUGAGUUCUCGUAGCUGCGCAAGUUGCGCGGCUCUGUCUUCUUGUGAAAGGUGGGUCGACCUGUCCGUCGUUCCCAGUCGUCCUGGGGUCUUCCCUCGCUGCAGGGGCUCGACCGCCAGCAACGGCGUCCAGCGUCUCAUCGGUAGUUUCUACCGCCCCGUCGAUAUGAUAGCAUUCCCUAGUAGGGUCAUAGCUGUCGGUCUCAGAGUUGGAGUCCGGCUCAGCGGUGUAGAAACAUCCACGUCCCUCCUCCAGCAGCCGUUGCCUGAGCGAGGUGAUCGUGUAUCGCCCGGGGCCUAGGCGACGGAGGCCUCGUACCUGGGAGAAAUCCGGUAGCUCGAACGUCAGUCGCUGUGCUCCAGGGGCGCAUGGGAGGACCAUUGGUCUCUCCACAUACGUCUGGGCAUUUGGACAUAUCGCCCUGGCGAGCGACGCCGUGACAUUGUCCAGGCCGAACGGCAAUGCUCUUCUCAGGGUGAAUAGCCCAUGCGGAAGUAGCCUGGCGGUGGGGGAAAGCGCGCGGGGCGCGUCCCCUUCUGUCGUCGUGCGAUCCUCGCGGCGCUGAGCCGUCAUACCCGCGUCUUCGGCGCGCGGGGCUGUCAGCUCCCGCGUCACCUCCUGCCUGGCACGAGCUGUCAGCCGUGGCGAGGCAGAAGGGCGAUGGCUGUGCUGUCCACGCCUCUUCUUGGGCGGGGAGGCGUGGUGGCGAGGACGUCUCGGGACCCUCAACCGAGUCGGUGCAACGCGGACUCCUCCCGGUCCUUUGAUCGAGAGCAGGAUCAUGUCAUAGCCGGAGCCAGUAGACAUGAACUCAAGACUCCCAAACCAAAUCACCGUGGAGCACGGAAUCAGCGAAGCGAGAGUGGCCAUCUGGAAAGGAACGGGAAAUCGGUGAAAAACACGCAGGACCCCUACCUGGCGCGCCAACUGUCGGUGUUUUCCCCACGGGGGGUCACACCAACGAGUAAAUUUGUAUGCGUGCUCCCUUUUCCAGAUGGUGAUGCAAAAAUACACAAUGAUUUAUCCUGGUUCGGGCAAGAGAAGGCCCUACGUCCAGCAGGGGAGGAGAGUUUGUAUUAUCUUGCACCUAAGUGCUUGUACAGGGGUGAAUACAAGCGUGUAUGAACUAGGAAGGAGUGUGGAAGCUCUACUACGUAUGAGUGUUGUAUCGCAUGAUGUUGUAUUCGCUCCCGGGCCUCCCCUUUUAUAGCUCCAAGGAGAGACCUAGAGUACAUGUAUAGGCGUCAGAGUAGGGGUCGAUAGAGGUAUGGCGCGCUGACCUACUCGAGGCCUCCGUACCGGCGUGGUCUCGAGCCGUCCCGUCCUGGUAGCUUGAUGAUGAUUACGCGUGCCCCUGUAUCCUGCUCUGUGCGCUGUCUGGGACUGGUUUAUCUGUUGCAUGCCUGUACGUCAUGGCGGCAGAUAUGUCGGAGUAGUUGCGGUGUUGUCAUUCGACGCACAACACUUCCCCAGGAAGGAAACGUGUCUGGUCGAGGGUCGGACGCCGUGUAACUCCUUGCUAGCCAGAGCGCUGACCUUGGACGUCUCGAGGGGGUCUUGAUUAGACGUUCCGACCCCGCUUCUUGCGUCCUGACACGCUCUAGAUUAUUUGGUGGGGAAGGCUGCAAAAAGAAUCAUGGGACGGGUGCCUGUUCCCUAUCAUGCUUCCCGUGACUGGCGUGUUAGGUGAGAACGCGACAGACGCAUUAAAUGCCCUGGUUCCCGUGCCCGCGUCAGUCGGCGGGCGGCGUCCUUGCGCUCGACGCCUUCUGAUUCGCUCCAGCCUGUUUCUGUAUUCGACGGUAGCCGGUGCUCGAGCCCUGAUUGAUUCGCUCGAUGCCCUUUCCGUCUUCGAGGUUGCGGUCAUCGAUGACCAUACGCAUGACUGGGUAGAGCGUCGAGUUGGAGGCUUCGACUUACGUACGAGCAAUCUCGUCAUGUACAUCAGUUAGGAUACCCCUUACUGAUAUCCUCGACAUCACUUCUCCAAAAUAAUCACUUAAGUCGUACUUCAAUGUAUAGGCCCUAGAAACCUCUUUUGCCUAGGCUUUUAAAAAGUGUUUGCCACCAGUUUGCGCGAUCGAUUUUAAAAACCUCAUAUCUCUCAAUCCAGGCCGAUCUGGCUUUUGCUCUAGUUGACAAUGUUGUAGAACUCAGCUAGUACUCCAACUUUGUCAACUACACCAUCUCCUAAUUCGUUUUGGUUUGGGAGUUCAUCACUGUCGAAGUCGCUCUGUCAGACAACCAUCGCCAUGACUGAAUCCAAGCCGAGCUCGUCGACGUGGCCGACCGGCGACAGAACAACGGCGACAUUUGGCGCCCGUACGUCAUCCCUGGCCCCGCUGGUCAGCUCCCAGCGCGCGCAUGACCUCCACGGCGACGCCCCAGACGUAGUGGACGCGUCCACUUUCUGCUCCCUCUCGCUCUCUCGCCAGAAAAGCGGCCGCAGCGAGCUCACCGUCGCGAGCUCACUCCGGCGAACUCAAACGUGCUCCUCGCUGCGUCGCUGCUCACCAAAACUCGCCCACAGCUUCGCCGUGACCUGCUCUCCAUCCUCCACCCGAAAACUCGUCGUGAAACCCUCCGGUGAGCCGACAUUUCUGACUUCCCCCAAAUCGGGUCGCCGUGACCUUCUUCUCCGGUGAACUCAAUGCCGAGCUCCUCGGAGCCUCUCGUCUUCUCUGUUAGGUCCUAGAGGUAGCUUAGGUCCUUAGCGAACGUUUGCGCCACUUGUUGGACGCUCUACCGCACUCACCGUCGCCGGACACGACGCGCAGCGCCGCCGUGUUUCUGCUGGAGUUUGGCUCUCUCGUGGCCAGCUCAUUCCACACCGUUUCAAGCCUAGUCACCCACCUAGGAAGCUUCGCCGUAGUUCACUGGUGCUGUAGGAAACCCUAGGUUGCGCUCUACCGGCCUGAGAGCUCCGGCGUAAUGCCGAGCACCUCCGCUGAGCCGCCAUGGUCGACGGCAAGCCAUUUCCGGUGGCUCCGCCGUAAGAAAAAGGGGGGCCGUCUUAGGGUCUGAUUAAUCGGACCGUAACCCAGUGCCGAUAGUUUCCCGCCACCAGUUUCCCGCCUAACAACGCUAGACAGAAGAAAAGCUGACGCCAAUACUUGGGCUGCGUGCUCCCGUCCAUCUAUCCACUCGCGAAUGGCCCCACCUCAACUGGCGUGAGCUCAUGCAUGCCAUUUUGCAUGCAGUUUCUAUGAACUAAAAAAACCAUAACUCAUAAAUCAAACAUCUAAACUAAAAUUUGAUUAUACCAUUGGAUUUCUUACAAUAAAUUCUUUAAACAAGAUCCGACAUGCAUAUAUUUGAAUAAAAUUUAUUAACGAACAUUUAUAUUAUGAAGAUAGAACAUUUUUGUCGAUUGAGGAGCGACAAUGUUCAAGAUUUAGAGAAUAAUGUUCCAUCAUUAAAGGAAAAAUAUUCUCGGUUUUAAAGAACAAUAUUAUAAUUUUAGAUUCAUGAAGGUAGUUUCAUAAGAUGUAGUAAAAUAAAUAAAUACGUAACAUAAGCAAAAAAAUAAUAAAAUCUAGAGCAAAUUAUAUAGAAAAAAUCAAAACGUAUAACGGAAACAACAUAAGGAUACUUUUUAAACAUCCUAAAAUAUAUUAUAGAACAUCACAUGUGUACAAAGUGAACAUCAAUAAAUAUCACAUAGAACAUCAUUAAAUACAUUGUAGAACAUCACAUAUAUAUUACGUGAACAUCACUAAAAUAUAUCCUAAAAAUAUAUUGUUGAACAUCACAUGUGUACUAAGUAAACAUCACUAAAUACCACAUAGAACAUCAAUAAAUACAUUAUAUAAACAUCACUAAAUAUAUUAUAAAACAUCACAUGUAUAUUAAGGGAACAUCACUAAAUACAUCGUAGAACAUCACUAGAUAUAUUAUAAAACAUAAAAUGAAUAUUGCAAGAACAUCAAAAAAAAACAUCAUACAUCACAUAUAUACCACGAGACCAUAAAAAAUCAUAAAAGAUCACAUGUAUAACACGUGAACAUAAAAAACUUAUAUACUAGAUAAACAUAAAAAAACACAACAUAGAAUAUCAUAGGAAAUAAUAAAAAAAGAAAAGGUAAAAAUAUAUAAAAUGAAAAUAAAGAUAAACACAUAAAAGAGAAAAAAAUGAAACAAAUGAUGAGCGAAAAGAAUAAAAGAAAAAUAAAAUAAAAAAUUAAAGAAGGUUAAAAAUUAAAAAACAUGAAUCAAAAGAAAAUAUAAUUAGAAAAAACAAAGAAAUAAAUAAAAAAUAAAAGGAAAUAUAAACGAAAAAUAUUAAAACAACAUCAGCGUGCGAACAUAAAAAUGAUAAAAAGGGAAAAAAGAAAAAGGAAAUAAGAAAAAAAUGAAAAUAAAAAAGAUAUCUAAGAACUUAAAAAACUAACGUAACAUCUUGGAGUUAAAGAAAAAAAUAAAAAAAAGACGGCAUCUAAAAAGUAAGAAAAAGAAAGAAAAGGGAAAACAAUAAAAAAGGAAACUAAUAAACAUCAAAUUGAAAAAUGAAGAUAAUAAUAAAGAGUCACAUAAAACAAAUAAAGAAAGGAGAACAGAAGCAAGAAAAAGGGAAAAAAAGAAAUAAAAAAGGAAAGGAAAAUAAAAGAACAAAUAAAAGGAAAACAUACGUGUAUAUAUAAAAAAGAAAGAAAAUAUACAGACAUAGGCGUAUCCAGAUGCUUCCUGGUUGGAAAAUACAGGCUUGCGCUCUCCAUUGCUCGUGCACGUGGACUCCACAUGGGCCUGACGAAUACCGUGAAAACAAACGAGUGUGGUGCCUAGAAUUGUUCAGCGCGGGAAUCAUCGGACCGUGUCUCCCGUCCGAACGUUCGCACGGGAAGAUUCCCGGGAAAAGGGGGUCAAUCGGUUCGUAAGGGUCUGAGGAUCACGUUCAUGCCCAUGGUUUGGUCGGAGGCCUCGCCGUCGCGGAGAAAUCGCCGGUGAGAGUCGCCUCGGUCGUGAGGAAGACGACCCUGACAUGCGGGACCCGCUGUCAGUGACACAUCGUUUCCCUCCUUUUCUUUUAUUCAAAUCCAGGUUUUUGGCUUUCUUGCAAAAAUCAUAUCUUCCGUUUCUGAGAUCCAAAAAUUGUGAAACAAAUUUUGUGACGUUCCUUGAGAUGGCUAGUUUUUAAUAAAAAUAUAAAAUGUACCAUGUUUUCUGGGAAAAAUAAUUGUUAUGAUUUAAUCUUGUUAUUCAUGUGUAAAUUCAUGUCUCUUGAUAUGCUGCUCCUUUUGUUAUGAAAUUUUUAUGCUCAGCUCUGAGUGGUUUUAGAAUGCUAUGAUAAAUAUUUCAUGAUUUUUGGAGUAAUAUAUCAGUGAUAUGAAAUUUAUGUUGGUCCUAUGACUUGUUUUCUUAAUUAAAUCCUCAUAAAUGAUUUAUGCUUAUGCUGGUAUUCUAUUUUGGUGUCAAGCUUGUUCAUGGUAAUAGUAACAUGUAAAUAAUCUGAAAUCUGUUGUUUGACACUAUCUAAGCUAUGUUUCUUAAUUUAUGAAAUAAGCAUCUUGAUGCAUGUUAAAUGUUUAUCUUAAUUUUGGCAUGCGCAAUUGCUCUGAAAAUUUUAUGGUGAUAUCAAGAUGCUAUGCUUGUGCUGCUGUAAUUUUUGUAUAUUUUUCCGAGCACUUUUGCUGGUAUCUUGUAAAUAUGUCUUUUUAUGGAAUUAAUUUAAUAAAUGUCACUUUAUUAUGUGUUAGUGGUCAACAUGUGAUGUUUCUCGUAAUCUUAUGGUGUGUUUGUGUUUAUAAGCCAUGUGGUUGACACUAUUUAUGCUUUGACCAUGUUAUCAAAUAAUUAAUUAAAGGGGUUAAAAGUUGAUCUAGACAGCAAGGAAGUAAUCUAACCUUUGCUUGAUGAUAACUUGGUUUUCUAGAAGACUUGUCUAAAUCAAGUUGUUGUAAACUUUAUGAACUAGCUGUGGUUUAAUUUUGGGAUCAAUUGGUCCAAUAGCUUAAAAGUUAUAGCUCUUCAAAGUUGGGUUCCAGAAAUAGGUGUUCUCUGUUUUUCUGGGACAGAACCUGGAACUUUGUUUAAAUAACUUGUUUAACUUAUGAAUCUUGCUUUGAUGUCUAAAGAUGAAAUGCAGACAAUUUCAUAAGCUUUCCAGAAUAUCCUCAUUCAUGAUUUUGGAUCUGUAUAGCUCUAGUUAUGAUUUAUUCCUUGAGCUGCAGUGUUUUGUUGGUCUUUGCUGUUGUAUUAAUUUGGUAAUUGUUGAUAUUUGGGAACGCAAUAAGGAAUUGAUCCGCAAGCGCACGGAUAUCGGUGAGCACUUCACCCGGGAAAUUAUCCAGAGUAUCGUAUUUAUUUUUUUACCACUAGGAGAAAGAGUGCAUCUGACUAACCGGUCUAUUACUACUAACCUUUAGGCACAAAGAAUGUCUUUCGAUGUGAGUGAUAAAUAGAGAAGACUGCAACCGUAGUCUCCUUCUAACCUUGGUAAGGAUGAUCUACUGUUCUAAUGGGGCGGCUAACGGAAUCUAGACACCACAAAGGAUGUUCAACCCGCACCUAUAAACCCUAUCCUUCCUGCUAACGAGAUGUGAUCUACAAAGGUAGCUCGGAAAUGUCACGUUCCUCAGUACUACCACGGUCCAGCUAGUCAGGGAAUAUCUAUGAGUACCCCAGCCUAAACACCACGUUUACGCCAGCAAUGAUUACUCUAAACUCUACGCGAAGAGAUUAAAGUAAACUCAUAAACCAUAAGAACAAUAAAACAAUAACUUACUAGAAUUUAGAAGUCGAAUUAGUGAAGAAUCCUAGGAGCAAGCUUCGGGUUAGGAGAACUUGAUCCCGCAGGUACAAGCUUGGAGUAGACACCGACAAGCCGGGCUUUCUCCACUCUACACCUCCACUCUAUCUCUCUCAAUCUAGUAGAAACUAGAAGAUCUAUUUCUACCUUACAUUGAUUGCUAAGCCUAAAAAGAAAUAUUAAUUAGAGAAGAGGUUUUCCUUCGAGGGCACCCCUCAGUCUCUAUGAUAAUUUCUUCAUGUCUUCCAGGGGCCAGGGGGGCCUCGCUUAUAUAGUCCUCCCCUUCUAUGUGUUUUUGGGUCGAUAGCCGAGGUGGUACUAUGUUUUUCUUGAUCCAAUAGGUCGGUGGAAUAUCCCGAGCGAAGGAGUCCUGAAUUGGCUCCAGCAGGGUGGCGGGCGCCCAGGCUUCCAGGGCGGGCGCCCUGGGCCUGGCCCAGCUUCGCCUCCGCUUCGGUCUCGUGGCUUCUGGAGUCUUCUAGAUGAUGUAAAAUUAAGCGGUGCGUUGAUAUCUCUAUGUAAUCCCGACAUGUGGGCCUUUCUUCCUUAUUUCCUGAUAACCCCCUGCAGAAACAGAUAAACAACAAAACUCGUGGAAUUCUGUCAGAUCAAACCCUAAUUCCAGGUGAUGGUUGCAUAUUGGUCCUUUCUCAUGUUUAUUUGAUAAUUAAAAUUGAUACAUAAGAACCGUCAACAAAUACCCCCAUACUUAGGCUUUUACUCGUCCUCGAGAAAAGGAUGGUUAAGAACAAUAUUUGGGGUAAACAUUUAAAACAUUCUUUAUAUUUGCAGGGUGUUAAAAAUCCACUGUGUACCAUAGUCAGGGAUGUAUAUGGUUAAGAGUAAAGAUCCUUUCUUCUCAAUCCUGCCACUUGGAGUUUUUGUAUAUUUUUAAAAGAAAGUUAGCAUACCUUUUUAUCCUCAUAGGUUCUCUCAGAUCACUCAUUAUCUUUUGUAUAUAUAUCUCACUGAGGCUGUUUUAAUUUUGCAAAAAUUCUCAAGCAUACUUACUUUGCAUUUAUUGCUUGAUCAUAACGGGAUCCGAGGAGGGGAAUGUCAUACUCUUAGAUCAAAGACUUUAGAAAUUAAAAACUUUGUCAACUCUUGCUGGCAUAUUGCUUAUUAGAGGGACCAUGGGCUAUCAAUUUUUUUUUAAGUGGAUACCGAGGUACCCCUAAUUCUACUGCCGGACACUUGUCCAUUUUUUUCUGCGAGGUUAUCGAGCACUUGCUCCUUUUUAUUUCCCCGAAAUAUCUCUAUUUUUGCAUAGCCCAUGCCUCUAAUGCAAUAAUACUUCAGAAGAGUGAAUCUUACUGAAAUAGUGUCUUGAUCUUGGGAGCAUGAUAAAUCUCUCAACAAGGGUCUAACUCAUUUUGAACAAACUCAAUACAGAGCAGAUAGCUUUUAUAAUCAUAAUUAAUAUAUUUAUUUUCAGUUUUAUCAGGCAUAUAAAAAACUGAGGAUGGUAGCUAGGAAUUUGAAUAUUUUGAAAUAAAUUCUCCAAGCAACCAUGAUAUCAAGAAUAAGAAACUCAUACUCUACCAUCACAUAUUCCAUAUUGACUUAAGUAACACAGGGUUUUAAAAUGAUUUUAUACUAAUUGCAAGUUUUCAGGAAAUAUCACAGAUUGAGAUUAAUCAUGAUUAGAAAUAUUUUAAGCUUUUUAUUUUAUCAUGUCGGGAACAAUAUUCUGCAUAAUCUAAAAUAUAUAUAUGUGUAGAGUAAAGUGUGCAGAGUGUGUACCUGAAUCGUGGAGUGGUGUAGUCGGAGUGUGUUUAGCAUGUCGAGGGAUCUCCCCCAUACUUGUUUUCUGCUUUCUUGCACAAAAAUAAAGUAGAGACACACAAGACAUAAUAAUAAUACUCUUUAUUGAUAUUGAGGCAUUUAUUACACAAGGAAGAACAAAAUUAUUUUUGGCUAUUCUCUCCCGGAUUAGGAGUAGAAUAUUUUUGGGUGAUUCUGAAGAUGGAAAUGUAUGGAUAUAUGUGGAUGGUACUUCCGGAGUAGAAGUAGCAUGUGUGAGUGAACGUGCAAGUGAAUCUUGAUUUAACCACAUGACAAGGUCCUAAGGGUCUACACAGCUUGACCACACUCAUCAUUUUUCAUUUUUGUGGCUCGAAGUAAUAAAAAGUAAUUGUGUGGCUCGAAGUCUAGCAAGCAUGUAUAUAUGGCUGUGGUAGGAAUUUAAACUCUCAUCAUACAGGAACUCAUCAUGCAACAUUUUAAAGAUUUCCAAAGAUAAAAUUCUCCAUAAUUCUAGCAUCUCUAGAAACAGAUAAACAGCAGCUCAACCUUCCCAUAUCAAGUUUUCAUCCCACAAGUUUAGGUCUAGAGCAACCUUUAAAUUAUAACAGUUAUGUCUAAACUUGAGAGAGAACUUAAAAUGUGCAAAUUAGGCAGAGCAACUAUUUAUCAUUUCCAUGCUUGAGCUUUAUUUAGAUACAGAUUAGCAUAGCCACUUUAUUUAUUUAUUAAACACACUAAGCAAAAGACAUAUAUAUAAGCAUAAAAUCUUUAUUUGGUUUUUCAUAGUUAUGUAUAUUUAUAUUCUAAAAGAAUAUAAGUAUAGAGAUAGAUAGAUAGAAAUACUUAUCGAGAUAAAUGGGGUGCUCUCCCCCAAGCUGAAUUUUGACGUAAUUUCUCUUGAUGUAGCUAGCAGGUGGCAGAGGUGUAUUUGAAAGUCAGCAGCAUUGUGACAGCGAUUAGAAUAUCCUCCGUCUGCCAGUCUUCUUGAUUCUUAGAUUCUGUGGAGCUCAAAUAGACAACAAAGCUUGUGGAACUAAUUAAGUGUUAGCAUAAAUAUCUAGCCUUUAUCAUGUUGAGACUCCUUAAUAAUUAUUACUCCCUGUUUUUAUAUUUUUAUUUUAUAAAGCAGAAAAAUAUUUUUGUUUUAUUUUUAUGCCACCACAGUGAAUGUACUUAUGGGUUUUAUGCCACUCGUAUCCUCACAUGGGGCUUACUGUUUUUCACAUUUUUACUUUCUGUUUAGAACUUAAUUAACUAAGUGAACUACUUGAAAUAAUUGAAAGGGAAAGGAUAACUACCAAGUUUACCUCUUGGCAAGGCGUUCGGUGUUUUUAAGUCCUCCGAACGGGACUCUCCUCCUUCUCAAUUAUCCUGAGGUUCGUUGGGUGGCGUAGUCGGUACUUCCGGUAGCGCCUCCUCUUCAUGUAUAGUUAUUUUCCUUUUCCACACCUGACUUGGUGCUUCGGUCUCCUCUUGAUAAUUCUGUUUAAACUCAACGUCUUCUGACCUUACAACUUUUCCUUCGUAGUCUGCCCAUCCAUCCUUGAUGAUUUGCCUCCUCUGGUUGCGUUUGUGUCGUCUUCUUCUUGUCCUGACCUGCUUAGAAUCUUCAACUAUAUAGUUAGAAUCAUUAAAGUAAUGGCGUACCAUCUCAGAGGGGAAAUACACGUGGACUUCUCCGGUUCCAAUGUAGAUGAUAACUUGGAUAGUGUUGAGGAAUGGUCUUCCAAGGAUGAUGGGUGGAUCGUACUCGUCUUCUCCCAUAUCAAUGUUCUGAAAAUCAUCUGGAGCUAAAUAUAUAUUGGUUGUAGGGGCAUGGUUCCAUGCAGGAGCUGAUAAGUGACUGCGGCCAUUAUGUUGACGUUAGAUCCGGUGUCGUAGAGUGUUUUCUAAAAAGAGUAUCUAUUGGUUGUGCACUCGAUGAUUGGAACACCAGGGUCGUCCUUCUUGAUCAAGAAAGGUGACUUGAGUCGACGAUCUUGACCUCCUUGAGCUGCAGUGACCAUCUUAGCUGACUCGGUCUACAUUUGCUUAUUCCUGUUCCUCCUGUUGGUCCUCUUCCUUGGUUCAUGUUGGGAUUGCUCUGAAGUUUAUGUAGUCUUGUUCUUGAAGGAAAGUCUCCUUCUUCCCCUUGAUGUAGAGACUGAUCUUGGCAGCAUUAGCGUAGAUGACAGCUCUGGUGUUUAGGAAUGGCCUCCCUAAGAUAAUGGGUGCCCUCUCCUCAGUACCAGUUUCUACCACCACGAAGUUUGCUGGAGCGUACAAGGUACCAACUUGGACACAGAGGUUCUUUAAUAAUUCCUUUGGGAAACUAAGUGUCUGAUCUCCAUUGUGUUUGUGCUCGUAGAUCCCGGUUCUUCACUUAAUGGAAUCUGGGAGUUGUAAAACGCCUUCACGUUUCUCAAAAUGUGUCCUGCUCAUAGAGACAAGGCAGAGAUCCAGUGCAUGGGCUCUGUUGGUGGAAAACACCAACAGAACCAAAAGUGUAUUUGUUCUUUUCUAACCUUAAGCAUAGUGAGCAAGAGAAAGUUGAUGGAUCAUGAGUGUAGCAUUUAAAACAUUUAUUAGAUCAGAUGGCUCAACCUAAUGGAAAGAUAAUCUAUCUAUAUUUAUGUUUUGUUUUUAUCUUCCAAAUAUUGAAUGUGCAACAUAUUAGCUUAUAUGUUUAGGAGCGUGGGAUUACGAAGGUAAUACUAAGAACAAAGAUUAAGGGACUAGACAUGUUGAAUCAGUUAGGUUGGUUAAUUUAGAGUUAUAAAUCAUACAUGUUUGUCUCUUUAUUUAUGUGAACGCCAGAACCAAGGAGAAACUUAUAAAAGGAUAGUCAAGUACCUUAAGAUGUUACCUUUGAAGAGUGAUGGUACAGUAUCACCUUGUAGAAGCUUUCCUUUCUAGUGGUUGUGCAUCGUGUUUGUGGCUCCCUCCAUGGAUCAUCUCUUAUGAGCUACGUCUUUCUUGUCCAAAUUGUUAAACUUCAUGUGUCACUUUCUUUAUCUCCAAUGUGAGUUUAUCUCAGGACUUCCCAGGUUGAUAUUGAAAGUUUUCCUGCAGGGGUUAGUCCCACAAAAUAUACCAAUGUCUACACAAGCAAUUUUUAGUUCGAUAACCGAACUAGACUCCAUGUCUAAUCAGAUUAAGGAAGGCUGUUUAACCUAAACACCAUGCUUAAUUUAAAAGCCAAUAGAAGUAUGUGCAGUACUUCCAAACUAACACUUACUAGGAUAAACAAAGGUAGCGUGAUGGCAUUUAUAGAGAUCUACUUAAGUGAAGAUGAAGUAGUGUGAUUAGUAUUUAACAAAUUGAGCAUGUCUCAAAGGUAAGGACAACCAACAUAGCAACAUGGCAAAGGAUGUUUUAUGUGAAGUACUCCCCUAAGCUUGAAUUUUGCAAAAUUCAAGAUUGGAUGAAUUUAAUUCAAUGUUGCAUGUUGAUUGGUUGGGCAUACCUUGCGCUUGUCAUUCAUCCGGUCUUCUUGCUCCAAUCCUAGAAAGGUUAGUGACAAGAAUACCCGAAGGAAUAUUUCUACAAUUAUCUUAUAUGCUCAAUACACAAGGUAAUGUUGCAAGUAAUAAGAAGUUCAUGUUACAAUCUGAUAAGUGCUUGUUUUAGGACACUAAGCUUGUCCUUGGGAAACCAUCAAUUAACUCGACGAGAUCUGCAAUAUUUAUUAUAAACAUAUGCAUCGACAACCGCUCUUUUAAAGUUUUUAUAAAUAGAAAAGAAGAGAGGGUUGGAGAUCUCAAAUAUGGUGAUAGCACAUGAAUUUUUAAUGCCCUCUAGCCAUUGAUGUUGCUCUCCUCGAUCCUCCUUCUUAUGCAUGGGAUGUCUAGAGAGAUUCAUAGGAUUAUCGGGAGGUUCAAGAGAAAGAGCAUAGUAGAGAUUAUUAGGCUCAAGGAUGGGUUGGAUAGCCGAAUCAUGGGAUUGGAAAGUUUGGAAAUCGGCUAUUGAAACUUCCUCUCCUUGUAUGGGAGAUGAUUCCUUCUCUAUCUCUAUGAUUUUUCUAUGAAGACUAGUACAAGAAGGAUGUCCACAAAUGAAGACAUACCUUCCGUUACUAACUGAUAAAGAAAGAAGGACUCUACCAAAGGUUAUAUGAUUAAGACCAAUGCGAAAAUAUCUAGGAAAAACAUGGUCUUGCAAGGCUAGGUCUAAACCAGAAUUUAUAGAAAGAUUAACAUAUUCCCUAGGUGUAGCUAAAAGUGCAUUAUCUUCUUGAUUAAAAGAUAGGACCUCAGCUAUAGAAAAGGUUUGGUUUUGACCUAUUGCAAUCAACUCCGGACACAGAUCAUAAUUAGGGGCAGGACGUGUUGACUCCCAUGCUCUAUGGCUGGUCUCCGAAGGUGCAAAGAAUUUAAUAAUAGUUAUGGAAUUUGAGAUACCCAUAAAGAUAAAAAGAUAAAAGAAUAAAAGUAUAAAAGUAUAAUACAAGAUAAUAGCAAGACUCAAAGUUAUCUCAGCAAACCGUCUUUCUCCCCGGCAAUGGUGCCAGAAAUGCUUGUUGAUAUUUGGGAACGCAAUAAGGAAUUGAUCCGCCAGCGCACGGAUAUCGGUGAGCACUUCAUCCGGGAAAUUAUCCAGAGUAUCGUAUUUAUUUUUUUACCACUAGGAGAAAGAGUGCAUCUGACUAACCGGUCUAUUACUACUAACCUUUAGGCACAAAGAAUGUCUUUCGAUGUGAGUGAUAAAUAGAGAAGACUGCAACCGUAGUCUCCUUCUAACCUUGGUAAGGAUGAUCUACUGUUCUAAUGGGGAAGCUAACGGAAUCUAGACACCACAAAGGAUGUUCAACCCGCACCUAUAAACCCUAUCCUUCCUGCUAACGAGAUGUGAUCUACAAAGGUAGCUCGGAAAUGUCACGUUCCUCACUACUACCACGGUCCAGCUAGUCAGGGAAUAUCUAUGAGUACCCCAGCCUAAACACCACGUUUACGCCAGCAAUGAUUACUCUAAACUCUACGCGAAGAGAUUAAAGUAAACUCAUAAACCAUAAGAACAAUAAAACAAGAACUUACUAGAAUUUAGAAGUCGAAUUACUGAAGAAUCCUAGGAGCAAGCUUCGGGUUAGGAGAACUUGAUCCCGCAGGUACAAGCUUGGAGUACACACCGACAAGCCGGGCUUCCUCCACUCUACACCUCCACUCUAACUCUCUCAAUCUAGUAGAAACUAGAAGAUCUAUUUCUACCUUACAUUGAUUGCUAAGCCUAAAAAGAAAUAUUAAUUAGAGAAGAGGUUUUCCUUCGAGGGCACCCCUCAGUAUCUAUGAUAAUUUCUUCAUGUCUUCUAGGGGCCAGGGGGGCCUCGCUUAUAUAGUCCUCCCCUUCUAUGCGUUUUUGGGUCGAUAGCCGAGGUGGUACUAUGUUUUUCUUGAUCCAAUAGGUCGGUGGAAUAUCCCGAGCGAAGGAGUCCUGAAUUGGCUCCAGCAGGGGGGCGGGCGCCCAGGCUUCCAGGGCGGGCGCCCUGGGCCUGGCCCAGCUUCGCCUCCGCUUCGGUCUCGUGGCUUCUGGAGUCUUCUAGAUGAUGUAAAAUUACGCGGUGCGUUGAUAUCUCUAUGUAAUCCCGACAUGUGGGCCUUUCUUCCUUAUUUCCUGAUAACCCCAUGCAGAAACAGAUAAACAACAAAACUCGUGGAAUUCUGUCAGAUCAAACCCUAAUUCCAGGUGAUGGUUGCAUAUUGGUCCUUUCUCAUGUUUAUUUGAUAAUUAAAAUUGAUACUUAAGAACCGUCAACAGUAAUCUUGCUAAGUAGUUAAUCACAUUGUAUGAACUUGUUAUGAAUGUUACUCCGUAAAUGAGUGUACAGUGAGUCUAAUUAUAUUAUCAAGCAUUCAUCCUUUUGGUAUGCACACAUUCUUAUUCAUCGUGCAUGCAAUAGGUGCACCGGAAACGACCGCUACGUUCGAGCUCCAAGUGAACCCUGAUGGCCAAGAGAUCAACCCGGAGGUGGAGGUCCAGCAAGCCGGACACGAGGAGCCCGAAGAGGAGAUUGAGUGCCCGAAUCACAAGCCUGCAUCGUUCGUGAAAGGCAAGCCCCAGAGCAUCUUAAGUCUCCCACUUUAAUUUCGAAAGUUUACUUGAUUAUGGUAUAUCUAUUGAUGCAUUAAGUAUAGGAGUUAUGAUGAAACCCUUGCUACAUUUUACUCAUUCCUUGUCCAGAUAUCUUACCACUACCUGGUUAUAGAGUUAGAACCGAGUAGCGGCUUAGUCAUGCUUUAAUCGGUAGAAGUCGGGUGAUAUCCUGUCACCUGAGCGAGAUAGGGUUGUGUCGGAUCACGAUUAUCUAUAUGUGCUAUCGGGCUGAUUAAAAUGACUUAAGCCAGGCGGAGUUUUGCAAGGAUGUAGUAACGCUGUCUGUGGCAGCUAAGGACCGAUCGUUGUUCGUCCUCUUGUCAUGUUGAAUGCAUGCCUAAUACUUAGUUGGCCGGAUAACUCGUUCCGACCGCGAAACCUAGUAGUAUGACUCAGGCCGGAAGACCGGCAAGUAUAAAGUGCGCACUACCAGAGGAAGUGCGGUGUGCGGGGGACCAUUGGCGUAAGACCAAAGGCAGGUGAGUUAAAAGUCCUGACCUCCAUGGCAGAGUGGUAGCCUUGGGAGUGCGGCGCUGAUCGGAGCCGCGAUUCCUGAGUCGUACCAAAGGUGACCCGCUUGCUCUCCGACGGGGGAAGCUUGGGUGAGUGCUAGGAAUAACCCUCCAGCUGGAUAGGAAAUGAUUCGAAUCGCCGUCUCUCCUGGAUAGUGAGAACUUGACAGAGCAGCGGCAAACGUAGCAUUCACUAAGUACUAUGGUUCUUGAUAAUGAUGUUGGUGAUAGCAAGGAAGAACAUAUGAUGAACUUGAUAUGGUUAUUAUUGCUUGUAAUAAUCAAGUGAAGUGCUUUAGUCCAGGUGCUAAUCUAGUGAUAGGCUAAUGAUGAUUAAUAUGAUGCUUCUACAAUAAUGUAGCUAUCAAUUAAGCUUUUGGCAACUGUUGAGUCAAGCCAGCUCCACUUUAUACUUAGCCUUGCAUGAUCCUUGGUGUCUUUGUGUUUUACUAGACGGGUAAGUCUAGCUUAGUACAUCCUCGUACUCAGGGUUUAUUCCCACCUGUUGUAGAUGAUAUCUUUUUAUGACGGCUUCUGGAAGACCUGUCUCCAUCCCGCUGGGGAUGAGGACUAAACCGUUGGGCAUGGUUCUCUAACUACUUCGUAUCUGUUGCUUUUGGUGGAUGGUGUGAGACCCUGGCAGAAACAAGAACUUGUGAACUGAACUUUGGAAUGUGUGUUGAAGACUAUUUUGCUUCCGCUACUACAAACUUGUGUUGUAAUAACUAAGUAACUCCGAUGUGGUGCCGCUUCGAUGGCAAUGAAUUACCAUGUAACAUUCGCUGUGUUAUGUUGAAUUAUUACGAUCUUGGUUUGUUGCCAGUUGGUUUGAAAUCCUUCGCGAUUUCAAUUGACUACCGGGAUUAUAUUGGCUCAAGUUUGGAAACUUGAUUGCUAGUCGAUCGUUUCUACACUUGAACUCUUAUAAUUUGGUCGGUUCUGUGACAGUUGGUAUCGGAGCAAGUUCAGCAUUAUAAAUGCAGCGUUUGUGUAUUUAAAAAACAAAAGAGUUUUUAAAUAAAAAAAUGUGAAAAUCAACACUUAAUUAUGCCAGUGGUCGAAUCCUCCUUGCCCAUAUAAGGACUAUAGGUGGCUAUUUAAGUACUGACUUGGGGGGUUUAUUUACGCAUCUCCGGCAGUACUCAGGUAUGGAUGUGUGAUGACCGCACUAUGCUACCCUGUGGUCAAAUGGUAGAGGUAGCCUUCAUAUGUGAAUUAGCCACAUAUGUCGCUAGAUUUAAAUUAUGCAACGUCGCACCUACGCUCUGGUAAGUGUUAGCUGUGAGAGCAUGAUCGUACAAACGGCGGUCUAGGAGAGUGUUCGCGGUGGUUUUCUGGAUUGGUUACAUGUCUAACCAUGGAACCACGAAAGAAACUUAAUUGGGGAGCAUUUAAUUUCUCGGGUAGCUGUGGUGUCAUGGUUUGUGCAUGUUGGGCAUGUACAAGCAAUGUGCACUUAGUUUACAGCUUUCUUGAGUGAUAUAUUGGGAAUAGUUGGGCUGCAAUAAUGUUUUCUAUAGGUACUCUAACAGCGCACGUGUAAAUCACUAGUUAUCGUAUCGAGAGACGAAUGUAUGCCACCGUAUAUCCGUUAGAAUAUUAAUUUUCUAAGUUUGUGAGGACAUACGGUUCGUACAUGCAUCAUGUCGCAUUCAUACAUACAUUCUGUCUACUCCUUCCCUUACAAUGUCGUCCCUUUUAAUUAAAUAAAUAUUGCUUAAACUAAUCCUCUUUUACCCACGGUUAUUCCGUUCCACAGAUGGAUGUGCCCGCUUCACCUCGCCCCAGUGACACCUUUUUGAGUGAGUUUGGCACUCCUACUUUGCUCUGGAGGGUGCUACAGUCUGUAGGGUAUACUGAGCCACCUCAGUAUUCCUAGUGGGAGGUGGAUAUGAUAGGAGAGUUGCAGUGGUUUGUUGUGCAGGGAGUUGUUCCUCCACAUGGGGGCAGGCCUGCAUGGACAGGGUGGACCUGCAACUCUAAUGGGCAGACUCCAUGGGAAGCAGCUCAGGUUGCAGCCCAUUCUAUGCUGCUCAACAUCUGUCAAAGGUUUGGUGAUGAGCUGACAGGAGGGCCAGCGGCCUCCAUUCCCCAUGCUGACCCAGCAACAGUGGAGUGGAAGCAGGCUUAUGGUUGUGCGUUGGUCCGAGGUAGAGGAGAGCGAGCUGAGAGUUCCAGUCCUGCUAUGAGUGCUAUGAUGGCUGUGCUCAAGCUGUUCAGUCAGCGAGAGGACACCUAUGCCCAGGUGAUGGUGGCUGUUCGUCAGGCUCAGGAGAUGCAACAGAAGGCUGAAAAGCGUGCUCGCAAGUUUCGCAAGCAAGCUAGACUCCUAGAGCAAGCUCAGAAGGACCGCAAUGACUAGGAAGACAUUGCGGAGUACCGUAGGUAGCAGUGGGUGAAGGCCAUUAGAGAGAGAUAGAUCACAAGCAGGAUCAGAUGAGUUAGUUGGCUAGGGAGAGGGAGACAGUGCAGGAGCGCUUGGUGCAGGUCACUCGUGAGAGGGAUACUGCGCUCCGUGUGUCGGAGAACAGGUGCCGGGCUUGGGAGAUGCACCGGAAUCAGUCACUUGAGCGGGAGAACUAUCUGCAGGAUCAGAUUGAGGCUGGUCUUGUGGAGAUUCACCAUCUCAACAACUUGCUACACCCUAUUCCUCACCCUGUACCCGUGUAUCCAGAGGUGGGACCUCAAGUGAUCGUGGCCGAUGAUGAUGGUAUGGAGGUGGAUGGACCAGCAGCGGCUGCACCACCUUUGCACGAGGACGUGGAGGACGAGGAGCUUGAGCCGGUUAGCGACAAGGAUGGAGAGGCGAUCUUCGACGCUGACUCGGACGAGGAACAUGGAGUGUAGGGGGUAGUUGGUAGUUAUCCUGUGAGGAUCUUUUGUAGUAUGACUCUAAGCAGUUGUACUUUUGUAAUCAUGUUGUAAUCCGGAACCUUGAUCUUAGGCUUAUGAUCUGUACUGUGAUGGUGUAAUAAUUUUAUGGGACCAAUGUUGAUUAGCUUUAUCAUGUUCAACUGGAUAUGACGAUGUUUUUUUCGUUGUUAUGCAUUUUACGGAUAUCUGUGUCAUGUGUUGGAUUGGUGAUGCUAUUUUGUGGAAUUGAAUUAUUGUGCCUUUUAUGUAAAGUUAUUCUCUCGAAUACUUUCAGGCAUGAAUAUAAGUUAUUCUACGACAAAUCUUGUCAUCAUCAAUGCUCACUUACUGUGUCUUUACAGAUGUCUCGUGGCACUCGAGGUGCGGAGCAGCGUGCGAACAUGAACCCACCCCCUCCUCCUCCACCACCAGAUCUAGCUGAGCUGAUGCAAAUGAUGCUGGAAAAUCAGAUGAUGCUCGCUGAAACCAUCAACCGGAUGGCAAACUAGGGUGGUCGGAAUGCACCGGAUGGGCCAGCACGUAACCAGUACAGUAGCUUCAAGGGUUUCAUGGAUACGAAGCCCCCAUCUUUCAGAGAGGCUGAAGAACCCCUUCAAGCUGAGGAGUGGCUGAACACGGUGGAACAAAAGUUCCGCUUGCUUCGGCUGACCGAUGGUUUGAAGGCUGAGUAUGCAGCUCACCAACUGCAGGGUCCGGCAGGCAUAUGGUGGAAUCAGUAUCGGGAGGCUCUCCAGACAAUACUGUGCUUGACUAGAAUCUCUUCUGUGAAGCUUUCAAGGGGCAUUUCAUACCUCCUAGUGUCAUGGAGAUGAAGCAUACUGAGUUCAUGCAGAUAACUGAGGGAAACAAAACUCUGAAGGAGUAUUUGCAUGCUUUCAAUCAACUGUCUAGGUAUGCUCCGGAGUUUGUGAACACAGAGGCGAAGAAGAUCGCUAGCUUCAAGAGGGGUCUUGGCCCCAAGUUACUGAAAACUAUGGGCCGCACUAAGUGUACAACUUUCAAUGAGUUUGUCAGUGAUGCUCUCACCCAAGAGAACUACAACACUGUGUACACUGCAACCAAGACUCGCAAGAGGGCUUUUGAGGCCGGGGCUGGGGCAUCUCAGUCCAAGGCUCCAGUGGCAGCUAGGCCCCAGUAUCGUGUUCCAACUCCUAACCAGCGAUAUCGUCCCCCAGCAAAGAAGAAUCAGGCGAAGACGGGUUUCCGCAAGGGUUACUCUAUUGCUCUUCCUAGGGGCAACACGGGUCCCAGCUAUGCCAAGACUCCACCUGCCAACCAUCUGUGCUGGAACUGCAAUCAGACCGGGCACUGGCAAAGCAACUGUCCUUACCCGCCAAAGAAGGGCAACCAAGGGAACGUCCGCCAGGGGCGUGUUCACUAUACAACUGUGGAAGCAAUCACUGCUGGUGAGGUAGUUACGGCUGGUAAGUUUCUGGUCAAUCACUGUGAUGCACUUGUGCUUUUUGAUUCCGGAGCAUUGCACUCUUUUGUGAGUUCAGACUUUGUGUCUAAGCAUAACCUCAAGGCAAUUACACUUGAUAAGGGCAAUUAUUGCAUUACUGCUGCUAGAAAUGAUAUUUCUACCAAUCAAGUGGUUUUGGGGGCAACUCUGGACAUAGGAGACUAUCAGUUUCUUGUUGAUCUGGUUGUUCUACCUGGUGUGGGUAUAGAUGUAAUUCUGGGUAUGAAGUGGAUAUGUGGCAACGGAGUUCUUAUCGACACCACCACUCGCGUAGUGAUGUUGAGAGACCCGAAUACCAAAGAGGCGUUCUUAGUGCAACUUCCUCGGGAUAUUCAUAACUGUAGCACGAUGAAUGCAGUUACAUCUAGGGCCAUCAAGGAUAUUCUGGUAGUGUGUGAGUUCCUGGAUGUAUUCCCUGAUGAUUUGCCCGGGCUUCCUCCAGAUCGGGACGUGGAGUUUAAAAUUGAAUUGCUUCUAGGUACUGCUCCUAUCUCUAGAAGACCAUAUAGAAUGCCACCAAAUGAGCUAGCUGAGCUUAAGACCCAGUUGAAUGAGUUGUUAAAGAAGGGUCUUAUCCGUCCUAGUUCUUCUCCUUGGGGUUGUCCGGCUAUCUUUGUGAAGAAGAAGGAUCAGUCCUUGCGCAUGUGCGUGGACUAUCGUCCUCUGAAUGCGGUGACCAUCAAGAAUAAAUACCAUUUUCCUCACAUUGAUAUCCUGUUUGCCCAAUUGUCUAAAGCCAAGGUAUUCUCCAAGAUUGAUUUACGAUCUGGGUAUCAUCAGAUCAAGAUCCGUCCUGAAGAUGUAACUAAGACAGCUUUCUCAACGAGGUAUGGGUUGUAUGAGUAUCUCGUCAUGUCUUUUGGUCUCACAAAUGCGCCUGCUCACUUCAUGUAUCUCAUGAAUUCGGUAUUCAUGUCCGAAUUAGACAAGUUUGUGGUGGUCUUCAUUGAUGAUAUCUUGGUAUAUUCUCGCAAUGAAGAAGAGCAUGCGGAGCAUCUGCGUGUAGUGUUGUCGCGCUUGCGUGAGCAUCAGCUUUAUGCUAAGUUCAGCAAAUGCGAGUUUUGGCUGACGAAAGUACCUUUCUUGGGCCAUGUCUUAUCUCAAGAAGGUAUCUCAGUGGAUCCGGCUAAAGUGCAAGAAGUGCUGGAUUGGAAGGUUCCAACUUCGGUGCACGAGGUUCGGAGUUUUCUCGGUCUGGCUGGGUAUUAUCAUCGAUUCAUUCCGGAAUUCUCAAAAAUAUCCAAGCCAAUGACUCGCCUACUUUAGAAAGAUGAGAAGUUUGUAUGGACGCCUGAGUGUGAAGAGGCAUUCCACAAGUUGAGGACAUUGCUAACAUCAGCUCCUGUCCUAGCUCAGCCUGAUAUUGAGAAGCCCUUCGAUGUCUUUUGUGACGCGUCGGGUAUUGGUUUGGGCUGUGUGUUGAUGCAAGAAGGUCGUGUUAUCGCGUAUGCCUCACACCAACUUCGAAAGCAUGAGGUCAAUUACCCUACUCAUGACUUAGAAUUGGCUGCAGUUGUUCAUGCUUUGAAAAUCUAGAGGCACUAUUUGCUGGGUAAUCUGUGCAAUAUUUACACUGAUAAUAAGAGUCUCAAGUACAUCUUCACUCAACCUAAAUUGAACAUGCGGCAGCGAAGGUGGCUUGAGUUGAUUAAAGAUUAUAAUCUCCAAGUGCACUACCACCCGGGCAAGGCAAACGUAGUUGCGGAUGCCUUGAGUCGGAAGGCGCACUAUCAUUCGGUUCAAAUGGAAGAUCCAUUGUUGUCACAUCUUAUGCACCCGCUUGUGCUCAACCAGAUUUCUCUGGAGAGUUCUCUUCGCAAUCGAGUUAUCGAAUCGCAGCAAACAGAUGUAGGUAUCUACCAUAUAAAGAGGAAAAUGGAAGAAGAAGAAACCAAGCAUUUCCGAGUCGACGAGAAUGGAAUCCUAUGGUUCAAAGAUCGACUUGAGGUCCCAAAAGACCGUGAGCUGCAAAAUCAAAUCUUAUCUGAAGCUCAUUCAUCCAAGUUGUCUAUCCAUCCUGGUAGUAGCAAGAUGUAUCAAGAUCUAAAACCUUUGUUUUGGUGGACAAAGAUGAAAAAGGAGAUUGCUGCUUUUGUCGCUCGUUGUGACAACUGUUGUCGUGUGAAGGCCGUUCACAUGAAAGCAGGCUUACUUCAACCCUUGUCAAUUCCUGGUUGGAAAUGGGAAGAGGUCAGCAUGGAUUUCAUCGUUGGAUUCCCAACUUCUGUUAAGGGUUACGACUCUAUCUAUGUAAUUGUUGAACGUUUGACCAAGGUUGCUCGUUUUAUUCCAGUUCGAACUUAUUAUCGUCCACAUCAGUAUGCGGAGUUGUACUUCAAGCACAUUGUCCGUCAGUAUGGUGUGCCUCGAACUAUCAUCUCAGACCGUGGACUUCCCCUUUUUGGGAGUGUCUUCAUGAGAAAAUUGUUACUCACUUGGUUCGUAGUUUAGCAUAUCAUCCCCAAACUGCCAGCCAAACUGAAUGGGUCAACCAAAUCCUAGAAGACAUGUUGAGGGCAUGUGCUCUCUCCUCAAAAGGUUCUUGGGUGAAGUGGUUGUCGUUAGCUGAGUUCUCUUAUAACAACAGUUACCAAGAGAGCAUCAAGAUGGCUCCAUUUGAAGCCCUGUAUGGUCGAAAAUGUCGAACCCCGUUGAAUUGGGUGGAAUCCGGGGAACGAAGGUAUUAUGGCAUCGAUUUCGUGAACGAAGUGGAGCAGCAAGUCCGUAUCAUCCAGCAACAUUUGGAAGCUGCUCAAGAUCGUCAGAAAAGUUAUGCUGAUAAGAGAAGGAAGCCGAUUGAGUUUGCAGUCGGUGACCAUGUGUACAUCAAGGUGUCUCUGAUGAAGGGCGUACAAAGAUUCGAAGUCAAGCAAAAGCUUGCACCUCGUUAUGUGGGUCCUUAUCGGAUUCUCGAGAGAAAAGGGAACAUGGCAUACAAAGUUCAAGUACCAGUUGAGCUUCGAGCUAUUUUUCCUGUCUUCCACGUAUCACAACUGAAGAAAUGCCUUCGUGUUCCUCAGGAAUGAGUGGAAGUUCGGGACAUAAAGUUGAAAUCCGACUUGGUGUAUGAAGAAAUACCUGUAGCGGUUCUUGACCGCAAGGAAUGGGUGACACGUAAUCGGGUGGUUAAGUUCUACAAAAUAUUGUGGAGUGACCACGGGGAGGAAGAUACCACUUGGGCGGAGGACUAUUUAAAAUAAGUUUAUAAAACUUUCUUCGAAAAUCUGUAAGCUUCCAAAUCUCAGGACGAGAUUUUUGUAAGGGGGGAGGGCUGUAACACUCCAGUCUUAUGGUUGCAUCAAUCACAUGCAUGACAUGAGCAUCAUCAUCUACUCAAGCAUAUCAUGAUCAUCAUCUACCUUGAGUCAUGUCUAUGCAAAAAUGUGAGUUAACUUGUUAAAUUAUGCAUCCUAUGCUUGUGUUUGUUUGUACCAUGCUCAUGCUUGUGGGUUCAGUCUUGGUAAUUAGUUUAUCUAUGCUUAACUCAACCUUAGGAACAAUAUUCAUGUUGAUCACUUCUCCAAAAUAAUCACUUAAGUCAUACUUCCAUGUAUAGGCCAUAGAAACCUCUUUUGCUUAGGCUUUUAAAAAGUGUUUCAUAAAUUGUUUGCAUGUCAAAACUUUCUAUAGCAAAGUUGUAGCAAAUUUUAUAAGGAACAAAAGUUGUUUUAUGGCCAUCUCAUGAAAAUGACCACAUCUUGCUCAAAAAGUGCUUGCAAGGCAGUUUUGGGGUCUGUUUUGGCACUUAAACAAAUUUGGCUAAGUCCUAGCGCCACAAGUUUGCGCGAUCGAUUUUGAAAACCUCAUAUCUCUCAAUCCAGGCCGAUCUGGCUUUUGCUCUAGUUGACAAUGUUGUGGAACUCAGCUAGUACUCCAACUUUGUCAACUACACCAUCUCCUAAUUUUUUUCAGUUUGGGAGUUAAUCGCUGUCGAAGUCGCUCUGUCACACAACCAUCGCCAUGACUGAAUCGAAACCGAGCUCGUCGACGUGGCCGACCGGCGACAGAACAACAGCGACAUUUGGCGCCUGUACGUCGUCCCUGGCCCCGCUCGUCAGCUCCCAGCGCGCGCAUGACCUCCACGGUGACGCCCGGACGCAGUGGACGCGUCCACUCUCUCCUCCCUCUCGCUCUCUCGCCAGAAAAGCGGCCGCAGCGAGCUCACCGUCGCGAGCUCACUACGGCGAGCUCAAACGCUCUCCUCGCUGUGUCGCUGCUCACCAAAACAUGCCUACAGCUCCGCCGUGACCCGCUCUCUAUCCUCCACCCGCAAACUCGCCGUGAAACCCUCCGGUGAGCCGACAUUUCCGACUUCCCCCAAAUCGGGUCGCCGUGACCUUCUUCUCCGGCGAACUAAAUGCCGAGCUCCUCGGAGCCUCUCAUCUUCUCUGGUUAGGUCCUAGAGGUAGCUUAGGUCCUUAGCGAACGUUUGCGCCACUUGUUGGACGCUCUACCGCACUCACUGUCGCCGGACACGACGCGCAGCGCCGUCGUGUUUCCGCCGGAGUUCGGCUCUCUCGUGGCCAGCUCAUUCCACACUGUUUCAAGCCUAGUCACCCACCUAGGAAGCUUCGCCGUAGUUCACUGGUGCUGUAGGAAACCCUAGGUCCGCUAUUUCCGUGGCUCCGCCGUGGGGAAAAGGGGGUCAAUCGAUUCGCAAGGGCCUGGGGAUCACGUCGAUGCCCAUGGUUUGGUCGGAGGCCUCGCCGUCGCGGAGAAAUCGCCGGUGAGAGUCGCCUCGGUCGUGAGGAAGAUGACCCUGACAUGCGGGACCCGCUGCCAGUGACACAUCGUUUCCCUCCUUUUCUUCUAUUCAAAUCUAGGUUUUUGGCUUUCUUGCAAAAAUCAAAUCUUCUGUUUCUGAGAUCCAAAAAUUAUUAAACAAAUUCUAUGAUGUUCCUUGAGAUGGCUAGUAUUUAAUAAAAAUAUAAAAUGUACCAUACUUUCUAGGAAAAAUAAUUUUUAUGAUUUAAUCUUGUUAUUCAUGUGUAAAUUCAUAUCUCCUGAUAUGCUGCUCCUUUUGUUAUGAAAAUUUUAUGCUCAGCUCUGAGUGGUUUGAGAAUUCGAUGAUAAAUAUAUCAUGAUUUUUGGAGUAAUAUAUCUGUGAUAUGAAAUUUAUGUUGAUCCUAUGGCUUGUUUUCUGAAUUAAAUCCUAAUAAAUGAUUUAUGCUUAUGCUGGAAUUCUAUUUUGGUGUCAAGCUUGUUCAUGGUAAUAGUAACAUGUAAAUAAUCUGAAAUCUGUUGUUUGACACUAUCUAGGCUAUGUUUCUUAAUUUAUGAAAUAAGAACCUUGAUGCAUGUUAAAUGAUUAUCUUAAUUUUGGCAUGUGCAAUUGCUCUGGAAAUUUUAUGGUGAUAUCAAGAUGCUAUGCUUGUGCUGCUGUAAUUUUUGUAGAUUUGUCUGAGCACUUUUGCUGGUAUCUUGUAAAUAUGUCCUUUUAUGGAAUUAAUUUAAUAAAUGUCAUAUCAUUAUGUGUAAGUGGUCAACAUGUGAUGUUUCUGGUAAUCUUAUGGUGUGUUUGUGUUUAUAAUCCAUGUGGUUGACACUAUUUAUGCUUUGACCAUGUUAUCAAAUAAUUAAUUAAAGGGGUUAAAAGUUGAUCUGGACAGCAAGGAAGUAAUCUAACCUUUGCUUGAUGAUAACUUGGUUUUCUAGAAGACUUGUCUAAAUCAAGUUGUUGUAAACUUUAUGAACUAGCUGUGGUUUAAUUUUGGGAUCAAUUGGUCCAAUAGCUUAAAAGUUAUAGCUCUUCCAAGUUGGGUUCCAGAAAUAGGUGUUCUCUGUUUUUCUGUGACAGAACCUGGAACUUUGUUUAAAUGACUUGUUUAAGUUAUGAAUCUUGCUUUGAUGUCUACAGAGGAAAUGCAGAAAAUUUCAUAAGCUUUCCAGAAUGUCCUCAUCCAUGAUUGUUGGAUCUGUAUAGCUCCAGUUAUGAUUUAUUCCUUGAGCUGCACUGUUUUGUUGGUCUUUACUGUUGUAGUAAUUUGGUAAUCUUGCUAAGUAGUUAAUCAUCUUGUAUGAACUUGUUAUGAAAGUUACUCCAUAAAUCAGUGUCCAGUGAGUCUAAUUAUGUUAUCAAGCAUUCAUCCAUUUAGUAUGCACACAUUCGUAUUCAUCGUGCAUGCAAUAGGUGCACCGGAAACGACCGCUAUGUUCGAGCUCCAAGUGAACCCCGAGGGCCAAGAGAUCAACCCGGAGGUGGAGGUUUAGCAAGCCGGACACGAGGAGCCUGAAGAGGAGAUUGAGUGCCCGAAUCACGAGCUUGCAUCGUUCGUGAAAGGCAAGCCCGGAGCAUCUUAAGUCUCCCACUUAAAUUUCGAAAGUUUACUUGAUUAUGGUAUAUCUAUUGAUGCAUUAAGUAUAGGAGUUGUGAUGAAACCCUUGCUGCAUUUUACUCAUUCUUUGUCCAGAUAUCUUACCACUACCUAGUUAUAGAGUUAGGACUGAGUAGCAGCUUAGUCAUGGUUUAAUCGGUAGAAGUCAGGUGAUAUCCUGUCACCUGCGCGAGAUAGGGUUGUGUCGGAUCACGAUUAUCUAUAUGUGCUAUCGGGGAAGGAAUCUGAUUAAAAUGACUUAAGCCGGGCGGAGUUUUGCAAGGAUGUAGUAACUCUGGCAGCUAAGGACCGAUUGUUGUACGUCCUCUUGUCAUGUUGAACGCAUGCCUAACACUUAGUUGGCUGGAUAACUCGUUCCGACCGCGAAGCCUCGUAGUAUGACUCAGGCCGGAAGACCGGCAAGUAUAAAGUGCGCACUACCGGAGGAAGUGCGGUGUGCGGGGGACCAUUGGCGCAAGACCAAAGGUAGGUAAGUUAAAAGUCCUGACCUCCCUGGCAGAGUGGUAGCUCUGGGAGUGCGGCGCUGAUCGGAGCCGCAAUUCCUGAGUCGUACCAAAGGUGACCCGCUUGCUCUCCGACGGGGGAUGCUUGGGUGAGUACUAGGAAUAAUCCUCUAGCUAGAUAGGAAUCGAUUCGAAUCCCGUCUCUCCCUUUUAGUGAGAACUUGAUAGAGCAGCGGCAAACAUAGCAUUCACUAAGUACUAUGAUUCUUGAUAAUGAUGUUGGUGAUAGCAAGGAAGAACAUAUGAUGAACUUGAUAUGGUUAUUAUUGCUUGUAAUAAUCAAGUGAAGUGCUUUAGUCCAGGUGCUAAUCUAGUGAUAGGCUAAUGAUGAUUAAUAUGAUGCUUUUACAAUAAUGUAGCUAUCAAUUAAGCUUUUGGCAACUAUUGAGUCAAGCCAGCUCCACUUUAUACUUAGCCUUGCAUGAUCCUUGGUGUCUUUAUGUUUUACUAGAUGGGUAAGUCUAGCUGAGUACAUCCUCGUACUCAGGGUUUAUUCCCACCUGUUGCAGAUGAUAUCUUUUAUGACGACUUCUGCAAGACCUGUCUCAAUCCCGCUGGGGAUGAGGACUAAACCGUUGGGCAUGGUUCUCUAACUACUUCGUAUCUGUUGCUUUUGGAGGACCGUCAACAGGGUACUUACCUUCUUGAUUAGAAGAUACGACUAUAGCUAUAGAAAAGGGUUGGCUUUGACUUAUUGCAACCAAACAUGGGUGUGGCUCAUAUCUAGAUGUGAGAAUCAUGGACACUAGUGGCUCUAAGCUUGUGCUCAUGGGUGCAAGAAGUUGAUAGAUAGAAAUGUUAAAGGAUCAAGAUGCCCAAGAGGGGGGGUGAAUUGAGCUUCUCAAAAAUUUAAGCAACCUAUAAGCUCCAAUUCAACCCCUUGUGCCUAGUGUGACCUAGAGAGCUACCGGAUAAAAGUUUUGCAACCUAGUUCCAAUCCUUUUCUAGCAUGGCAAUUCUAAGAAUGUAAAAGCGCAAAGUAAAUGCUAGAAUGUAAAGGAGUAGUGAAGAAAGUGCUCGGUGAUGUUUUGCCGAGGUAUCGGAGAGUCGCCACUCUCCACUAGUCCUCGUUGGAGCACUCGCGCAAGGGUCUUGCUCCCCCUUGGUCCGCGCAAGGACCAAGUGCUCUCUACGGGCUGAUUCUUCGACACUCCGUCGCGGUGAAUCGCCCAAAACCGCUCACAAGCUUGACACGAGCCACCCACAAGAACUCCGGGCGGUCUUCGUGCCUCCAAUCACCACCGAACCAUCUAGGUGAUGGCGAUCACCAAGAGUAACAAGCAAAGAACUCUCACUUGACCCAAACAAGGCUUUAGAGAGUUGUGGAUGCACACUUGACUCUUGGAACUCACUAGAGAAGGAUUCUCUUAAGAAAACACUCAAAUCUCAAUCCUCUCUAGGCUCUUGCUACUCUCUUGCUCCACAACAAGUUUCUCUGAUGUUCAAAUGGGCAAGAGACCACUCAUGGAUGAGGUGGAGGAGUAUAAAUACUAUCCACGAAGUCCAAAGGUAAGCCAACCGUUUUCCACGGAAAACGGGGUCACCGGACGCACAUUAUGUUGCACCGGACGCACUGCACCGAGCGUCCAGUGCUCCAUAACGGCUAACUGUACUUGCUUUUGACAGGUCACCGGACGCUAACUUCCAGCGUCCGGUGCACCCUCCGGUGCUCGGGGAAGAUUUACAGGCUCCCUGCGCAUGGGACCCGACGCUACCCGGUGCGUCCGGUGCUAGCGUCCGGUGCUCAGGGCAGGUUUGCAACCUCCCUGGGUAUGGGACCGGACGCUACCCGGUGAGUCCGGUGCCAGCGUCCGGUGCCUAACCCUAAGCACGGUACUGUUCCAACGGCUAAGGACCUCACCGGACGCACUCACAGAGCGUCCAGUGCAGCGUCCGGUGCCCCCUUGGGCACCCUAACUUCGUCGAAACGCGAUCGCUCCAAAACAAAGUUUGUUCCUCUCGAUCUAAGGACUAUCUCUGAGCUGCCUAGUGCUAGGUUUACCAAGUCUGCACCACACCUAAACCUAAAGCCUUUCCUAAGUCAAGCUACUAGAUCAAAGCACCUCUUAAUAGUACGGUCAAAGGAAAACAAAGUCCUAAACUACUCUAAGUGCCCUUCUUCACCAUAUGGCACUUAGACCUAGUCUAGUCUUGACGAUGUCCAUCCAUCCUUUGAAAACCGAAAUGAUUUCCACUAUUGAGUAGGCAUGUAUGUCCCUGUUCAUCGAGUACUUAUUUACCAUGACCUUACCUAUGACUUUGCCUCUGCAAAACACACGUUAGUCAUAGUAAUCAACAAUGUCAUUAAUCACCGAAAUCACUAGGGGCCUAGAUGCUCUUUCAAUCUCCCCCUUUUUGGUGAUUGAUGGCAACCUCUAGUAUGAAAAGAGUUGAGGUUUUCAAAAUGACUUGGUUUCAAUAAGCAUGUUACAAUAAGAGCAAAGGGAUUAGUCAUGCUUAUAUCAACCAAGUCCAAUAUCCUGCAUCCAAAUAUGUGAGUGGUAUAAGACAGGAUAUAAACACAAGGCUCAUAAGUACAUCAGAGUAAAAUGUGGAAGCAAAGGUAAUAUGAGCCAAAAAACAUGACAUUAAGAUAUCACAUUAAGUACAAGUCAUGUCUCACAACCAAAGUGUAUCUCACACAAAUGCAAUGCAUAAAAGUAAACAUGAUGCAUGAUGGAGUAGCACACAAAAGUGUAUCUCAAAAGAAUAAAAGCUCCCUCUCUAGCUCCCCCUAACUCCUAACUCUCAUACUAGCCCCCCUAACUCCUAACUCUCAUACUCGCACUCUCUCCCCCUUUGGCAUCAAGCGCCAAAAACCUAAGAAGUCGGUGGAGGAGGCGAAGCAGUGGAGUCCCUCGGCACGGCCUCAAAGCGAGCUGCAUCGUCUGAACUGUCGGCCGUCGAGGCGGAGGAAGUGGAGUGACCCUCUGAAGCUGCACGUGCUGGCGAAGCGGUCCGGGUCUGCUCUGUAGGUGCGGGAGCUGUCACAGGUUGUGCGGGCUGCUCAAGUCCUGCUGACGAAGCGGGCACGGAUGCGGUCGCUGUAGCUGAAGUCUCUGGCACUGUAUACGAAGGUGCUAGCUGCUCAGACGACACUACGGACGAAGACAGACGCUCAGUGGUGGUGACUGGUGCCGUAAACGCGGCUGGAGCCUUUAGAGGUUGAGGCGUAGGGUCACCAGUCAGAGCACUAUAGGAGAAGCUGAGGUGUGGGUCUGUCGACGUGUCCAACACAAGCUGAGACGCUGACGCUGACGCUGACUGAGGUGUGAAACCAGAGCGAAGAGGUGUAAACUGAGGUACCUGCUCAAAACCAGAGGAGAUAGCACCCUGGGAGACCUGGUGCUGAGGCGUCGAGAACGGCUGGCUCUGAGCGGGUAGCUGAAGGGGCUGCUGGGACUGACUCUGAGUCUGAGGCGCUGGAGUGGGUGGCCUGACAGUCGAGGUGCCUGGGAGCUAAAUCUGUGGAAGCUGAAUCCCUGAGGCGGCCAUCAUCGCUGUCUGCUGGGCCUGGAACGCAAGCUGCUGCUCCUGAAAGGUGAGAAGCUGUUGCUGGACCUCAUCCUGCCUGGCCUGCAUGGCUGCAUUGUUGGCAGCCUGGUCCCUGUCUCUCCUCGCCUACUCCUCAGUUGCACGGCGCUGAUCUGCCCUCAUACCCUCUAAGAUAGCAAGUAAAGCUGGGUCUGAAGCACUAGAAGAGCCCCCUGCCUCGUGGUCAUGUGCUCUAGGAGGGAGGUCUGACACUGGCGGCUGAUAGUCAUCAUCCGAGUUGUCUGAGGUCAAGUCAAACUCUCCCUCUGCCUCUACAUCUGCGAAAGCCCUAAUGGCUAUGUCCUGCUGCUCCUCUGUCUCUGGUACAUCCGCUGUACUGCGAGUGCCCCUAGGAGAAGGUGGGGGCACCGGUCCACGUGGUGCACGAGGAGGAGGUGUGGCUCUGAGGUCGUGGUGUGCUCGCAGCAUCUUCCUGGGGUCGUAGUGGGGGAAGACGGUGUGUGACUCUGUCAACUCCCUCUGCAAGUGAGCUGGCAGGGGUAGUGGCCUAGCACGGUGAAUAAGCAAGGUGAUCCAAUGUGCGUACGGCAACUGACGCCGUCCCCUGAAGCUCUUUGAGAUGGUGUCCUCUAUCUUUGAGACGAUCAGAUCCCACAAGUCAAACUGCGUCUGGGAGAUGAGGUGAGCAACGAGCCACUGCUGGAUACGAGUGAAUCCAUCUCUGUAACCUGUCUGGGGGAGAAGGGUCUUCCUCAACACAAAGUCGAGGAUCCGAGCUGGUCGUGUCAAGUCUCCCACUGUCCGGCUGGAGCCCUCUCCAAAAGGUGGACGAAAACAAGGAGCCACGAAGUUAAUCGGUGGUAUCUCACCACCAUGAGGACGACGAGGAGGAUCAACGUUCCCGUAGCACAGUUGGUGAAUCCUGGUGGAGUAAGCUCGCAGCCCAAGCACCUCUCUGGCCUUCUGUGCUGUCACUCUGUAGUCUGUGCCUGUUAGAGCGUAGUGGAUGUAGCUAUGAUCUGGAGAAACCCACACUGACGCGUAGAACUCUCUGACCCAGUACUCACAAUAAGUACCAGGGAGUGCUAGCAACUCUGGGAGUCCGUGAAGGUAGGUGAAAUACUGACGAAUAUCUGCCCCAACCACGUUCCCGAGUAUCUCAAGGUCAAUCACUUUGUGCUCUCUGAACUGUGACUGUGAGCGAACCAGUGCCUCGUAAAUGUCCUCCUGGACUACUGUGUAAAACCUGGCACCGGCUCUGGGAUCCCUAGCAGCUGGGAACCAAGUAGGAAACGGGACAAAGCGUAGCUGUUGGAUCUCUCUGGCUGACACUAAGGUGAGAUCUCUGUGGAUCCUGAUUGGCCUCUGUCGUGAAGCUGGAGUGCCUCUGGCUGGUGUGGCACGAGCAGUGGACGUAGACUGGCCUAGCGUACCAGUCCGAGGAGUGGCCUGGGUACGUGCACGAGUCGACCUCCUGAGGGGCUGCUCCUGUGCCUCUGCUAGAUCCUCUGCCUAGGCCUCUGCCUCUGUGUCUGUGUCUGGAUCCUCCUGAGCUGGCUCUCUGACGUUGAUCCUGACACGCUGCCCUCCUAGCAUGAUGGUGCCUGGUGGUGAUCCAUGUCGAGCCUCGGCCUCAAGUACUGCACGCCUCUGACGUGGCGUGAGAUCUGCCCCGAUCCUCAGGGCACCUGACCGUCCACCCCUCUCAGCUGCCUCUACUGCUGCUGCAACUGCCUCUGCCACCUCUGCCUCUCUGUCGCUGGCCUUGCGCUUCUUGGUGGCCAACUUCUUUCCCUUGCCCUUCUCUGCCGCUGACAGGCGACGGGGAGGAUCACCUCCACCAUCACCCCCUGGGGAACCCCCUGCGCUGGCUGUCAGUCCACUGACAUUCUUGCAACGUGCCAUUGCAAGAACUACUGACUGAUCGAACGGCCGACAAACAACCAACUGUCAAAGGAGAUUAACGCGCUGCAGAGAAUAGACAAGAUAGGGUAUAUAUAAGAAAUCAUCAUAGCUAGAGGUGAGAAAACCCUAUAGAUCACAAGAAUAGAUGAGGAACAGUCGAGAACGGCUUACGAUCGGAGGACGAGACGCGUUCCGGAUUCAAUGUCGUGAUCGAGAUCUGCCGGAGAACGAGAAUCCAAUCCUCAAGGUGCUGCAGAUAAGGAACGGAGAAGUUUGAGGUCAAAACCUUAAUUUAAUCCAUUGAAACAUAACCUCAAACACCUUAGGGGCAGGGAUUUAAGCAACUCACCCAAAAAACCAAACUCCCUGCGAGAUUGGAUCUGCUCGCGAGGAGAUGGGAGAGAAGAGAACCUAGGGCGGAUCUGGCGCGUGGGGGAAAUCCACGGGAUCGCCUGGGGAAGAAAUCCGGUGGACGGCGGCGGCGAUUUGGCGAGGCUAGGGCACGGGCGGAGUCGGCGGUGCGUGGGGAAAAGGAGGGGUCAGCCCUGAAGCCACCCCUCAGGCGCGGGUUAAAUGCGCCCGCCGCGAGGACACCAGACGCUCUUAAUGUGGCACCGGACGCGCCCGGUGACCACCGGACUCAUGCGUAGAGAGGUAUGAAAUUCGGCAUUGCACCGGACGAUGGCCACCGGACGCUGGCUUUAGCGUCCGGUGCUUCAGGUCACGCCAGGUGAGCACCGGACGCACCUCACCGGACGCUGCAGGGACACUGUUCCUGUGUCCGGUGAGUGCAGUCUGGCACACUGACCGCACCGGACGCACGGAGGCAGCGUCCAGUGCAUUGUCCGGUGCUCCUCUGAGCACUUUUUCAACGAAGCACUACGCCCGACUUUGACCCAACCAAGUUCCAUCUUCAAAAGCACACAAAUAAACACCAAAUGGAACUGGUAUGAGUGACUUCUCUCAACCCCUCAAAUUUUCACAAAUAUUUAGCCAUAGGCUUAGUAGAUUUUUAUGAAAAUAAUUCGAGAAAUCGCCAAGGAGCAUCAUAUGGCCAUAAAGCUAGGGGUUAAAAUCACAAAGAGCUUUGAAUGCUCCCCCUAUCUAUGGACGAACACAGCGGAUGCUCAACGAAUAACCGAAAAGAAACGGUCAACCAGCAAGCAUGCAUAUGAUAUGAGUUGUAAUGCAAUACUUGAAAGUAAACUAAUGCUUGUCAAGUUUGAUCCAAGGUUAAGCUUUUUCACACACGCAAGGGGGUUAUCUUAACCAUGUUAGACAAGCCCUACAUGCAAGUUGUAUUUUAGUUUUAGUAUGCAUGAUAUGCAAAGCAAAGGUUAUUUACAAGUUUCAACACACAACUUUUACCUUUUAGUGAAGUUAGAGAGGUCAAGCACAUUAAGUUCAUUUCUUAACAUACAAAACCUAGCUUCAUCUAGGGGUUUUGUGAAGAUAUCCGCCAAUUGAUUUUCUGUUCCCACAUUCUCUAGAGAUAUGUCACCUUUGGCAACAUGAUCCCUAAAGAAGUGGUGACGGAUGUCAAUAUGUUUUGUGCGGGUGUGUUGAACCGGGUUGUUUGCAAGUUUUACGGCACUUUCGUUGUCACACAACAAAGGUACUUUGUCUAGUACUACUUCAUAGUCUAGCAAAGUUUGUUUCAUGUAGAGUAUUUGUGCACAAAAAGCACCGGCGGCAAUGUAUUCCGCUUCGGCCGUUGACAAGGCAACACUAUUUUGUUUCUUUGACAUCCAAGAGACAAGUGAUCUACCUAGGAAGUGGCACCCUCCGGAUGUGCUUUUUCUAUCAAUCCGGCACCCAGCAUAAUCCAAAUCGGAAUAGCCUACAAGUUGGAAUCUUGCAACUUUGGGAUACCACAAACCUAGGCAAGGUGUGUAUUUUAGAUACCUAAGAAUUGUCUUGACCGCAAUCAAGUGAGAUUCCAUAGGCAUUGCUUGAUAUCUAGCACACAUACACACACUAAACAUGAUAUCGGGCCUAGAUGCAGUGAGGUAGAGUAGACUUCCUAUCAUGGAGCGAUAGAGAGUCUUGUCAAUUGGGUUACCUCCCUCAUCCAAGUCGAGAUGCCCAUUUGAUGCCAUGGGAGUCUUGAUUGGCUUGCAAUCCACCAUCUUGAAUCUCUUGACAAGAUCUUGAGUGUACUUCUCUUGAGAGAUGAAGAUUCCUUCCUUCAUUUGCUUGACUUGAACGGAAGAAGGAUAGCUCACCAAUCAUGGACAUCAAAACUCCUUGGACAUUAAAUCACCAAAUUCCUUGCAAAAAUCUUCAUUAGUAGAGCCAAAGAUAAUAUCAUCAACAUAAACUUGGCAAAUGAAGAUUUCCCCAUUCAUUUUCUUGGUGAAGAGUGGUGUGUCAACUUUCCCAAUCUUGAAGCCCUUCUCAAUGAGGAAGUCCCUAAGCCUCUCAUACCAAGCUCUAGGAGCUUGCUUGAGACCAUAGAGAGCCUUGGACAACCGGUAGACAUGCUUGGGGUACCUAGGGUCUUCAAAAUCGGGGGGUUGCUCAACAUAGACAAGCUCAUUAAUAUAGCCAUUCAAAAAGGCACUUUUCACAUCUAUUUGAAAUAACUUGAUAUCAUGACUAGAUGCAUAUGCAAGUAGGAUACGGAUUGCUUCAAGUCUUGCCACCGGUGCAAAGGUUUCACCGUAGUCAAGACCUUCCACUUGUGAAAAGCCUUUUGCCACAAGUCUUGCCUUGUUGCGCACCACUUUGCCUUGAUCAUCCUUCUUGUUCUGGAAGACCCACUUUGUUCCAAUCACUCUUGCAUCUUUGGGUCGCUCUUCAAGUGUCCACACUUGGUUGCGAGAGAAGUUGUUCAACUCCUCUUGCAUGGCCAUGAUCCAAUCCGCAUCUCGAAGAGCUUCCUCUAUGGUCUUUGGUUCAUCUUCAGGAGACAGAAAAGCGUGAUGUUCAAUAAAUAAAGCAUGUCUAGAACGAGUAGUUACACCACGUGAUGGACUCCCGAUGAUGAGAUCUUGAGAGUGAUCUUGGAGGAGAUGUGAUGUUCUUCUUGGCACCACUUGAGGGGUUGGUUGGGGAGCAUCAAUAUCUUAUGCUUGUGCCACUGCUUGCUCAUGAGUGACUUGGCUGUCUUCAUGAGCAUCUCUCACAUCCUUGUCUUCAUCUUGUGGAACAUGUGAGGUGGAUGGUGGCUCAAUGACUUGCACAUCACCAUCAUCUUCUUUUGGCUUGAUGUCACCCACCGGCAUGUUCUUCAUGGCAUCCCUCAAUGGUUCACCACCUACAUCAUCAAGAUUAUCACAUGCUCCUUGGGAGCCAUUAGUUUCAUCAAAUUCAACAUCAAAUGUUUCUUCAACCAUGUUUGUGGCAUGGUUAAAGACCCUGUAUGCCUUGGACUUUGAUGAAUAGCCAACCAAGUAGCCAAUGUCACAUCUUCUUUGGAACUUUCCCAAGUGUUGGCGCUUCUUGUAGAUGUAGCAUUUGCAUCCAAACACUCUAAAGAAUGAGACAUCGGGCUUCUUCCCAUUGAGCAACUCAUAUGGUGUCUUCUCUAGGAACUUGUGAGGAAAGAGCCGGUUUGAAGCGUAGCAUGCGGUGUUGAUUGCCUCGGCCCACAUCUUCUCUGAAGUGUUGUACUCAUCUAGCAUUGUUCUUUCCAAGGUGAUCAAUGUCCAGUUCUUUCUUUCUACAACCCCAUUUUGUUGUGGUGUGUAUGUUGAGGAGAACUCAUGCUUGAUUCCCACUUCAUCACAAUAUUCUUCAAUGUUGGUGUUGUCAAACUCUUUGCCAUUGUCACUUCUAAUUUUCUUUAUCUUCACAUCAAAUUGAUUUUGGGCAUUCUUUGCAAACUUCUUGAAUAUUGAUGCAACUUCAGCCUUGUCUUGCAAGAAGAAUGUCCAAGUGUACCGGGAGAAAUCAUCAACUAUGACCAAGCAAUAUUUGUUGCCUCCAAGACUAGCAUAUGUGGUUGUUCCAAAUAAAUCCAUGUGAAGUAGCUCAAGCACUCUUGAAGUAGAGAGAUAGGCCUUGGUUGGAUGAGUGUUUGCAACUUGUUUGCCCGCUUGACAUGCACUACAAAGCUUGUCCUUCUCAAAUGUCACAUCCUUCAAGCCUCUAAUCAAUUCUUUCUUCAUCAACUUCUUGAGUGUGCCCAUUCCAACAUGUGCUAACCUUCUAUGCCACAACCACCCAAGUGUAGUCUUGGUGAAUAAGCAAGUCUUGACAUCAACUUCAUCGGAUGAGAAAUCAACUACAUAUAGCUUGUUGUGUCAGAAGCCUUUGAAUAUCACUUCAUUGUCAUCUUCCUUGGUCACAAUCACUUCCUUCUUCUUGAAUAAGCAUUCAAAUCCAAGAUCACAAAGUUGCCCAACCGAGAGCAAAUUGAAACUCAAUGAUUGCACAUAGAGCACAUUGGUGAUGGAGUUGUCAUUUGAUAUAGCAACCUUUCCUAGUCCCUUGACCUUGCCUUUAGAAUUGUCAACAAAUGUGAUCUUCUCUUGGUUGUCAACAUCUUCAUCAAGAGAGGUGAACAUCCGGGGAUCUCCGGUCAUAUGUUGAGUGCAACCACUAUCAAUUACCCAAUGUGAUCCACCGGUCUUGUAGUUCACCUACACACAAGAGAUCAAGCUUGAGAUUUAGGGACCCACAUUUGCUUAGGGCCCUUGACCUUCUCUACUAGUGGCUUUGGCACCCAAAUCUUCUUUGGCCUUUGCUUGUUGGGUGGCCCCAUGAAGCUAACCUUGACCUUUCCACUCUUGUCUUUCCUUACAAUGUAGUGAGCAUUGAAGGCAAAUGGUCUUGCAUGCUUGGGCAAGGAUGGUGGUAGUGGUGCCUUACACUCAUGAGCAAAGUGUCCUUCUUGACCACACUCAAAGCAUCUCUUUGGCUUUAGCUUGCUUGGUUGAUCAUGAGUGGCUAGUGACUUGAUGAGCUUUGUUUGAUGAGCUUUGUAUCCAAUUCCACUCUUGUCCAUCUUCAUGACGGUGUUCAUGAAAAGCUCACUUUGAAGGUCCUUCCCUUUUGUGAACUUUGCUAACCCCAUGGUUAGGUGUUCCUUCUCUUUCUUGAGCUUGUUAUUCUCUUGAGUUAGCUUUUUGAUGAUUGGGUCAUUGUUGCUAGCUAACUCAUCCAAGAUGAAUGUCUCAUCCUCUUCUUGCUUGUCAUACAUCAAACCAAGCUUGAGAUAUUAAUUUUCUUCUUUGAGUAACUUGUUCUCAUAUGCAAGCUUAUUGUCUUGAUCAAGUGACUCAAUCACAACGGUCUUGUGCUUGGCUUGGUCUUGCAACUCUUUCUUGAGCAUGACAAUUUUAUCCUUGAGCUUGAUAGUGUCCUCACAACUCUCGGCCACUACCACUUUCUUGCCCUUGCAAUCAACACAUUUUCUUGUGCUCUCCACAAGUAAGUCAUCACAAGAUGUGGCUACAUCAAGCUUAGCAACAUUGUUAGUAGCAACAUGUGUUUCAUCAAUUGCAAGUUCAUAAGCAAUCUCAAGGUUGUCAUAGUUUGCUUUUAGAGUUGUUAGUUCUUCUUUCAUUGCUCUUUAUCUAGUUCUAAGCUCAUCAUGAACACUCUCAAGUUUAUCAUGUUUUUCUUUGAGCUCUUUUAGAGAGAGUUUGAGCUCCUUGAGCUUAGUGGUCAUGAUCUCAUUUUGGUCUCUAAGCUCAUCACUAGAUUUAAGCUUUGCUAGAAGUGUGUCAUUUUCAAGUUCAAGCUUUUCAUUUUCACUUCUAGUUUUUCUUAUGACUUUUGUGUACUUGUUAAGCAAUUUUACAAGUUCAUCAUAAGAAGGUGAUUCAUAUUCACUAUCACUUUCACUACUCUCAUCCUCACUUUGUACCUUCCGGUCACCCUUAGCCAUGAGGCAUAGGUGUGUAGAGGAUGUAGAUGGUGAUGGAGCAUCGAUGGCAAUGGCGGCAACCUUCUCAUCAUCACUCUCAUUGCCGGAGGAGUCACCACUUGAGCUCUCAAUGUCGGUGAGCCAAUCACCAACAAUGUAAGCCUUGCCAUUUUUCUUCUUGUAGUGCUCCUUCUUCUUGCCACCUUUCUUCUUGUAUUGCUUCUUGUCAUUCUUCUCAUCAUCACUUGAGUCAUCUUGCUCUUUGUUCUUCUUCUUGUAUUUGUCCUUCUUGGGCUUUGGACAUUGGUGAGCAAGAUGACCAAGCUCACCACAAUUGUAGCAAUCCAUCUCGGAGAUGCGCUUCCUCUUGCUACGUGUGAAGAACUUCUUCUUCUUGGAGUCAAAGUUGACUCCAUUCUUGUUGAGCUUCUUCAACAUUUUUGUGGUUCUUCUCACCAAGAGGGACAUGGAUGCAUCAUCAUCACUUGAAGUUGAUGACUCAACUUCAAUCUUCUUGGCUUUGCCCUUGUGAGAAGCUUUGAGGGCCAAGUCCUUCUUUUCUUUCUUGGCCGAUGAGGAGCCAUCUUGGGGGUUCAUGUGCAUGUACAUCUCAUGAGCAUUGAUCUUCCCCAAUAUGGCGGUUGGUGUAGCGGUGGAAAGAUCGCCUUGAUGAAGCACCGUUACUAUGUGCCCAUAUUUCUCAAUGGGAAGCACACAUAGUAUUUUCCUUGCUACAUCCGCCGCACUCAUUUGAGUGAGCCCAAGUCCAUUAAGCUCCUCUACAAUGACAUUCAAGCGAGAAUACAUUUCAUUAGCAUUUUCUUUAGGAAGCAUCUCAAAUGUAUUAAGCUUGUUCAUCACUAGGUGAUAGCGUUCCUCGCGUUCACUCUUUGAUCCCUCAUGGAGCGCACAAAGUUCCUUCCAAAGUUCAUGGGCGGUUUUGUGGCUCCGAACGCGGUUGAACACCUCUUUGCAAAGGCCUCUAAAGAUGUGGUUUUUGGCCUUCGCAUUCCACUUCUCGUUUUCUUGCUCUUGUGGAGUAAGAGCAGUGUCCUUUGCCGGAGGGGUAAACCCUUUGGUCGCAGCUUUUAGGCACUUUAUAUCGCAUGCCUCAAGGUAUGACUCCAUCCGUAUUUUCCAAUACGGGAAGUCAUCCCCAUCGAACAUGGGUGGCGGUCUAUCCCCAUUAGACAUCUUUUCUCUAGGCGGUGAAGCCUAAAAAUGAGCACUAGGCUCUGAUACCAAUUGAAAGGAUCAAGAUGCCCAAGAGGGGGGUGAAUUGGGCUUCUCUAAAAAUUUAAGCAACCUAUAAGCUCCAAUUCAACCCCUUGUGCCUAGUGUGACCUAGAGAGCUACCGGAUAAAAGUUUUGCAACCUAGUUCCAAUCCUAUUCUAGCAUGGCAAUUCUAAGAAUGUAAAAGCACAAAGUAAAUGGUAGAAUGUAAAGGAGUAGUGAAGAAAGUGCUCGGCGAUGUUUUACCGAGGUAUCGGAGAGUCGCCACUCUCCACUAGUCCUCGUUGGAGCACCCGCGCAAGGACCAAGUGCUCUCUAUGGGCUGAUUCUUCAACACUCCGUCGCGGUGAAUCGCCCAAAACCGCUCACAAGCUUGACACGAGCCACCCACAAGAACUCCGGGCGGUCUUCGUGCCUCCAAUCACCACCGAACCGUCUAGGUGAUGGCGAUCACCAAGAGUAACAAGCAAAGAACUCUCACUUGACCCAAACAAGGCUUUAGAGAGUGGUGGAUGCACACUUGACUCUUGGAACUCACUAGAGAAGGAUUCUCUCAAGAAAACACUCAAAUCUCAAUCCUCUCUAGGCUCUUGCUACUCUCUUGCUCCACAAUAAGUUUCUCUGAUGUUCAAAUGGGCAAGAGACCUCUCAUGGAUGAGGUGGAGGAGUAUAAAUACUAUCCACAAAGUCCAAAGGUCAGCCAACCGUUUUCCACUGAAAACGGGGUCACCGGACGCACAUUAUGUUGCACCGGACGCACUGCACCGAGCGUCCGGUGCUCCAUAACGGCUAACUGUACUUGCUUCUGACAGGUCACCGAACGCUAACUUCCAGCGUCCGGUGCACCGUCCGGUGCUCGGGGCAGAUUUACAUGCUCCCUGCGCAUGGGACCGGACGCUACCCGGUGCGUCCGGUGCUAGCGUCCGGUGCUCAGGGCAGGUUUGCAACCUCCCUGGGUAUGGGACCGGACGCUACUCGGUGAGUCCGGUGCCAGCGUCCGGUGCCUAACCCUAAGCACGGUACUGUUCCAACGGCUAAGGACCUCACCGGACGCACUCAUAGAGCGUCCGGUGCAGCGUCCGGUGCCCCCUUGGGCACCCAAACUUCGUCGAAACGCGAUCGCUCCAAAACGAAGUUUGUUCCUCUCGAUCUAAGGACUAUCUCUGAGCCGCCUAGUGCUAGGUUUACCAAGUGUGCACCACACCUAAACCUAAAGCCUUGCCUAAGUCAAGCUACUAGAUCAAAGCCCCUCUUAAUAGUACGGUCAAAGGAAAAUAAAGUCCUAAACUACUCUAAGUGCCCUUCUUCACCAUAUGGCACUUAGACCUAGUCUAGUCUUGACGAUGUCCAUCCAUCCUUUGAAAACCGAAAGAUUUCCACUAUUGAGUAGGCAUGUACGUCCCUGUUCAUCGAGUACUUAUUUACCAUGACCUUACCUAUGACUUUGCCUCUGCAAAACACAUGUUAGUCAUAGUAAUCAACAAUGUAGUAAUCAACAAUGUCAUUAGUCACCGAAAUCACUAGGGGCCUAGAUGCUCUUUCAGGAAUGGAAUUUGGUUUCUGCACAAGGAUAGAAAAAAGGAAAAAGAACAUAUGAGAUUACAGAAAAAAAUAAAAAUAUAAUACAAUGUUUAUCAGGAUUUAAUGUUAUCUUAGCAGACCGUCCUUUUCCCCAGCAAUGGUGCCAAAAAUGCUUGUUGAUAUUAGAUAUGCACACAAGCGCACGGAUAUCGGUGAGCACUUCACCCACGAGAUAUUCAAGAGUAUCGUUAUUUAUAUUUUUACCACGGGGGGAAAGCGUGCAUCAGACUAACCUAAAUAUAUACUUAACACCUGGGCUUGCAAGACAUGAUAGUGAGAUAUGAGUGAUAUAGAGAGAACUCCUUCGUUAGUCUUGUUCUAACCUAUGAUAAGCUGUGUAGAUAUUGUUCUAAGGGGAGUACCUAGAGAAAAUAGACACCUCAGAGAGUCCUUAACCCUGACACCAUAAAUUCUACCUUACAUUCGGACGUGGAUUACAGAGACAGCAAGGGGAUUGUCACUUCCCCCGAUGCUACCUCAAUUCUAGCCAGAUAGUGAGUAUCUACGAGUGUUCCUAACCCAAGCACCACGCUUAUGCUACGAAUGUUUGCUCUAUUCCUUAACGCUAGCGAAUAAAGUAAACCCAUAAACCAAAGAACAAUAAUAAUAAUUACUUACUAGUAUUAGAAGUUGAAUUGCUGAAUGAUUCUAGAACCAAGCCUUGGGUUAGGAGACUUGAUCCCUCAGAUAAAUGGAAGAAGACACCGAUAGGCCGGGCUUCCUCCACUUCUAUCUCCACCCUAUACUCUCUCAACCUAUCUUGUUGCUAAAACCCUAAAGAGAUAGAUCCAUUCGAAGGACUCCUCUCUAGCUAAUUCUCUCUAGAAAAUAUGAAUUAGGGUUUCAGAAUUAGCUACUCCCCAGGUGUGGGGGUAUAAACCCCUAUACCCUUAUGGCUAGACUUGGGCCAGAAGACUUGGCCCAUCGCGAGACAGAUUUGGGGCUUGAUCCAACUGCUCGGAGUUUCACGCAAGGAAACAAGAUGUAGGGAUCAAGUAGGAUUCUAGUCGGUUAGAAUAGGAAUUGAUAUCGUACUAUCUAUGGCAAUUGUAACCGACUAGGAUUAGUUUCCAGAUCUGUAACCCUGCCCUCUAGACUAUAUAAGGAGAGGCAAGGGACCCCCUAGGACAUCUUAUCUCAACUCAACACAAUCCAAUACAAUCAGACACAGGACGUAGGUAUUACGCCCACACGACGGCCGAACCAGGAUAAAAACCUUGCCUGUGUCUUGCGUCACCAUCAAGUUCAUAGCUUGCGCACCUGUCUGCCGAUAAACUACUACCGUGGGUAUAACCCAAGGUAGACUGUCGACUAGCUUUCGUCGACAGUGGCACGUCAGGUAGGGGGUGUGCGUGUAGCUCUCCCAACGAACAAGAUGGUCAUCGUUCUAGCUUCCGCAGGCAUGCCUGAAGGUCUCACGUUCACCGUCGGGCAGAUCACUUGGACGACUCGUGGCGGCGGCCUUACGACCACAACUUCAGAAGAAACCCAGAUCCAAUCUGGGACAGCAGAGGCGUCGACUCCGAUCACGCCAACCCCUAAGACACGACCUCUGCUCCCUCGCUAUAGGGCAGAGCGAGUCGACAACUCGGAUCUUCUUUAAACCCUCGAUCGCGCCGACCACAAGCUCCUCAAAUCCUCCAACCUGGUGGAUUCGAUUUCGUGCAGACCCGAUUAGGCGGCAACAACAAAUUAUUACGACUCCCGUCGAUUAACUCGUGUCUCCAUGCAUGAACUACUGGAGACGUCCUUGACGAUAACGUCGACCCCCGCGGGACGGACCGUCAAGCUCAAAACAGCCUCCCCAGACCAGAACUGCCCUUAUGGUCUGAGCAACGCGGCUAACCAGUUUUCGCGGCAUACUCAAUCCCUAUUCGGCAAGGCGGGCUUGUCGUCGAGCCAGAAUAGGUGAGCAACCCGUCACUUUGACAACAUGGUCUCCAUCCGCACUCUGCUAGAAGACAAGUCCAGCAGUACAAGCUCCAGUACAGGAUCUGUCCCUACCGAGGUUUUACACCCCGAGGACGAAGACUAUGAUUUAGAUCUACCAUCAUCCCCCCCCGGGGUUCUCCCGCUUCCCAGUCUUUCAACCUCGGCGAGGAGACUUGGUUCUCAACGUCAGUAAUGACGAACCAGUUGUUGACGGAGAAACUGACGAACAGAGACAACAACAAGAACAGCGCAACGCCGACCGUGCCCAACGACGAGCAGACGAGGAACGACAGCUCGCCCACAUAAUCUCAGCAAUGCUUUCGACAUGGUCGGAAAUCAGUAGGUCUACAAAACACCAAGCGCCAACGUGGUCGUCACCAUGGCAAACUUAUAUCGCUUUCUCGAUACUCCGAAAUAUCAGGACAUUCGAAUCAACAUACGAGCGCAUCUGAUCGCGGCCAUGGGACAGACCGCUACUCUGCUCAAAAGGGUCCAAGCUAUUUCCUAUACGGAGGUCACGUCCGACCAGACUCAUCACAGCCGCACCUCCUCGCGUUCUGUUGGGCACCAUCGUAGCUGUUCACCCGUCAAUAAUCGAAGAAAGGACACUCGUCGCGACAAUCGUGGUUAGGAUGCACGCGGUUAUCACGAACAAAGACGCAGACAUGGUCAGGAGGUGAACCAAGACCGGGAUCUCCGACACAACAUCCCUCUUAAGGAUGUCCGCGAACGCAUCAACAGGCGCAAGGAACGAGCAGUACACGAAAACGUGCGACGCAUUGAGUACGAUGCAACACAUGCCCCCCCCCGGCCUAAGACAGUUUUCGUCACACCUUCACCAAGUCGUAUGGCCCCGCAACUUCAAGCUUGAGAAGCUCAAAAAAUACGAUGGCAAGGAGAACCCUGAAAACUGCAUCACUCUUUACGAGAUCGCAGUCCGGUCAGGAGGAGGGGACGAGCACGUCAUGGCAAAUUACUUCCCAGUCGUCCUCGACCAAGCUGGCCACCAAUGGCUCCUCGGUCUACCCGAGGACUCUUUUGGGCUUUUAUUGAUAAUUUUAUCGCUACCUUUGAGCAGCCCGGAAACAAAUACGAUCUUGAGAGGAUAAGGGAUAGGAAGAAUGAGCCCUUGCACGAUUACAUCCGACGCUUGUCGAAUAUGCGCCUCAAGAUUCCGAAGAUUUCUCACGACGAGGCCAUAUCAGCCAUCAUCAAGGGCCUACGCCUCCAUGAAGCCUUAAGAAGUAAGCUACUACACCAAAGGCCGACCACGGUCACCGAGCUCCUAGCCACGGCCAAAAACUACGCCGAUGCCGAUGACGCAGAAAAACUCAUCCGAGAAGAUGUGAGAGGAGUCGACCAGCCUCCCCAAUGGGACGACAGUCGUGGGCGCUUCGACAACCGGAAUCCUCGCCGCGGCGACAACCGCUACCACCAAGAAGGGUGGGACAGGCGUCGCGACAACCGUGACGAUUUUAGAGGCAAGCGACCUCGUGACAACGACCACGAGGUGAACACAGUCAAGCGUCCCAAUGGACGGCGAGAUUACAGGAAGACUAUAACAAGACGCUAAAAGGACCGUGCCAACUCCAUCCCAAGUCCAACCACAUGAUGGAAGAAUGUCGUGUCCUCAAAAGCAUCUACACACAGCGGGUCGCUCAGGGGGAUUAUGUCAAGAAAAACAGGAAACAGGAUAGACACGGUCAGGAAGACGAAGACGAUGACCAGGAUAGGGACCCAUGACACCAAUAUGUCAGUCCCACCGACGUGGUACACUCCAUCUUUAGAGGCAAAGUUUCCAUCGAGUCCAAACGAGAAAUAAAGCUCUUGAAGAGAGUUUGCCUUAACGUGGACUGCUCCGAUGGCCUGAUUACCGAUCCGAAAUUCCCCCCUGGUCGCACAGAGAGAUCUCCUUCAACAGGCAGGACCAGUGGGCCACCAUCCCAGAACCAGAGCGUUUCCCUCUGAUCCUGGACCCGUGCAUCAACAACAUUAGGUUCGAGCGCGUGUGUUGGGUAUUCUUAACAUCAUUACCAAAAGUAUACAGUUUUCUAAUUCUAGUAACGGUGCCAAAAAUGCCAAACCUAUCCCUCAUACCACUUAAGCCAUGUUGUCAUCCCCAGCAUGACAUGAGAGACGCGGUAUUGAAAUAUGCAAUUGCUCUUCUAAAUAGAUAAUGAAUGGGAUCUGCAAGUGCACAGAUUAAUACCGAUGUAGCAUUUUAACCGGGAAGUAUUCCAGGUAUCGUUAUUUAUAUUUUUACCACUGGGAAGGGAUUAGCAAUCAUCAAUAUUGAUUACGGAAUAGAAUAUGAGAUUGAGUAUCUAUCAUUGCAUGUAUAAUUGAGAACAUUUAUCUAACUCUUUCAUAUAGGGGUAAGUGUCACAUAAAGGAUAUAUGAACAAAGAUAAUUAAUCUGAUCAGCCACAUAUAAAUAUGAUAGGCACCUCAAUUAGAUGCUCUAGAAAGUCAUUAGCAUGGUAUUAGAACGAACUACAAGAAUAUUCCCUAAAUUAUUCUCAACUAUAUAGUCUAGCAUUAUCAUAAUUAGUGCAAGCAUACUUAGCAAUCAUUGCGAGACAAGACUACACCCAUGCAUAGUGAUAUUAGCAAGGUAAAUGAGAAACAUAGCAAUCACUCCCCUGUAAUAAUAUUGCUCUGCCAGCCCAAUACACGAGAGGGGGACUAUAAGAAUCAAUGAAGCUGUCACUAUCACGAACUACCCCACGAUCUGGCAUAUUGAGUACAAUCGUAGAUAAAUACGGUAUAAGCACCGCGCCUACACAAUAUCUAUCAUUUACCCAUGGAUCCGAUGGAUAAACUCUAUACGAUCCUAAGCAUGUAUAUAGAUCCAAUCUAACAAAGCCAAGUACAUAACUAUGAUAAACUAAGAACAAUAUAAUCUUGAAUAUAAACAAGUAGAGCAAAGUCAUAAGCAAUAUAUUGAAGUAGAACAAAGUCGUAUUCAUAAUAUUGAAGAACAAAGAUGAUUAGAAGAAUAGUUAGAAGCACAAUUAGAGAAUUACCAAGAAUCCUGUUGACAGAUCUGGAAACCAAUCAAAGAUUGACUCCUUCUAGUUCUAAUCCUAUGUAGCUAUGCUAAUCUAGAUGUCUAAUUGAUGUGGUGGCUCUAAUCUUGAUCAGAGGCUUCUUCUCCCUUGAAGAAUAAUGAAUUAGGGUUGAGAGGCUCUCUCCUCCAGGGGCCAGGAGGUCUGGUUUUAUAGUCCCUUCAAGUGAAUAUGAGCCGUUGGAUCAAACCGACAUAGAUUGAACGAUUAUCCUUGAUCCUUUAGGUCGGUGGAGAUCUUCCCCGAAACAGAGUCCUGAUUGGACUCAGCAGGAGGGCGGGCGCCCAGGGAAGGAGGGCAGGCACCCUGCCACUGGCCCCGUUCGGCCACCGCUUCCUUCCUGUGGCUUCUGGAGUCUUCUAGAUGUAAGAUAUUUGCGCGGCACGUUAAUAUCUCUAUGUAAUCCCGACGUGUGGGCCUUUCUUCUGUAUUUCCUGAUAACCCCCUGCAGAAAUAGACAAACACCAAAACUCGUGGAAUUCUGUCAGAUAAAACCCUAAGUCUAGAUGUUGAUUUCAUUUGGAUCCUUUUCUUUGUUUAUUUGAUAAUUAAAUUUGAUACUUAAGGACCAUCAACAAACUCCCCCAAGCUUACCGCUUGCUCGUCCCUCAGCAAGGAUAGACUCAGUAAUGGAUCAGAAGUUGUUGCAAUACUUAAAAAUUGACGGUACACAUGCUUUUAAAUGAGGUCUCAUCUCUGAGUUAGAGGAAACUGUCAAGACUUAAAACUUACUUAUUUUACCUUCACCAUGGGACUUGUAACCGUCAUUUCUGUCUUGAGUAGUUAAAAGAUAGAACAGUCUAGUCAAGUGCCAUGUUUCUUAUUCUUGAUCAGCUAUAGCUCUAGUGUUUUUUCAGAUUUUCAAAUAAAACUCAGAGAUUCCUUGUAUGACUCUCUCAAAUCUCUCUUUUGUGGUAUUUCUGGAUCCUUACCAAGGCAGUGAUGGUAUAUGCCUUCUCUCAAUAUAUAUGGUAUUUAUGGUAUAAAGCAUAGUGCCAUUGUCUUAUCUCUCACCCAACUCUAAUAAGGCUUUUGAUAUCUGGAGCUCAUAGGUGGGAGAUAAAGUAUACAUACUUACAAUACAUUUAUUGUAUAGUAAAACCAUGGAUCCAAAGAAACAAGUCACUAAGUCAAAUCAAGAUGUGCAUGUGUGGCGAAUGAAUGGUGUAUGGUGAUGAUGGUGAUAACAAUGGUGAAAGCCUAAUUCUACUUUUGAUCUUCGAGGGGAUACAUACCUUCCUUGCUUUCUAAAACUUUAUGAGGAGAAUGAGAUGCUCUAUAUUUUCUUUUUCUUUCCUCUCAGGUGGGUAUCUUGUACCCCUAAUUCUACUGUCGGACACUUGUCCAUUUUUACCUCUCGUCUCACUUUUUCUUUUCUUUCGAGGUUCCGGGCACUUGCCCAUUUUUAUUUCCUCGUAUACUUUUUUCUUUCUUCUUUUUUUAGAGCACUCAUCUCUUGAGAUAAUAUAGCAAGUGGUAGUAACAAGAUAACUUGAGCAUUUAUUUCAUAAGGGAAAAACAGAAAUAUCUUUGGCUAUUCUCUCCCGGAUUAGGAGUAGAAUAUUUUUGGAUGAUUCUGGAGAUGGGAAUGGGUGGAUAUAUGCGGACGGUACUUCCGGAGUAGAAGCAGCAUAUGUGAGUGAACGUGCAAGUGAAUCUUGAUUUAACCACAUGACAAGCUCCUCAGGGUCUACACAGCUUGACCACACUCAAUGCUCAUAAGCAGUAAAUAGUAAAUGUGUGGCUCAAAGUCUAGCAAGCAUGUAUAUAUGGCUGUGGUAGGAAUUUAAACUCUCAUCAUACAGGAACUCAUCAUGCAACAUUUUAAAGAUUUUCAAAGAUAAAAUUCUCCAGAAUUCUAGCAUCCCUAGGAACAGAUAAACAGCAGCUCAACCUUCCCAUAUCAUAUCCGUUAACAACUUAGACUUCAGAUCAAGUUUUUAUCCCACAAGUUUAGGUUUAGAGCAAGCUUCAAAUUGUAACAGUUAUGUCUAAACUUGAGAGAGAACUUCAAAUUUUAAAAAUUAGGUAGAGCAACUAUUCAUCAUAUCCAUGCUAAAGUUUUAUUUAGAUACAGAUUAGCAUAGCCAUUUUAUUUAUUAAACACACUAAGCAAAAGAUAUAUAUAUAUAUAAGCACAAAAUCUUUAUUUGGUUUUUCAUAGUUAUAUUUUAAUAUAGUAUAAGUAUAAAGAUAGAUAGAUAGAUAGAAAUACUUAUCGGAAUAAAUGGGGGUGCUCUCCCCCAAGCUGAAAUUUGAUGUAAUUUCUCUUGAUGUGGCUAGCAGGUGGCAGAGGUGUAUUUGGCAGCAUUCUGACAGCGAUUAGAAUGUCCUCCGUCUGCUAGUCUUCUUGAUUCUUAAAUUCAGUGGAACUCAAAUAGACAACAAAGCUUGUGGAACUGAUUAAGUGUUAGCAUAAAUAUCUAGCCUUUAUCAUGUUGAGACUCCUUAAUAAUUAUUGCUCCCAAUUUUUUUAUAUUUUCAUUUUAUAAAAUGGAAAAGAAAUAUUUAUUUUAUUUUUAUGCCACCAUAGUGAAUGUACUUAUGUAUACUCACAUGGGGCUUACUGUUUUUCACAUUUUUAUUUUCUUUUUAGGAUAGUACGAACAUGAUUAACUAAGUAAACUAGUUGAAAUAAUUGAAAGGAAAAGGACAACUACCAAGUUUACCUCUUGGCAAGGCGUUCGGUGUUUUUAAGUCCUCCGAACAGGACUCUCCGUUUUCUGAAUUGUCCUGGGAUUCAUUGAGUGGCGUAGUCGGUACUUCCGGCGGCGCCUCCUCUUCAUGUAUAGUUAUAUUCUCUUUCCAUACCUGACUCGGUGCUACGGUUUCUUUAGGAUAGUUCUGUUUAAACUGUACGUCUUCUGAUCUUACAACUUCUCCUUCGUAGUCUGCCCAUCCGUCCUUGAUGAUCUGCCUCCUCUGGUUGCGGUUGCGUCGUUUUCUUACCUGCUUAGAUUCUUCAACGAUAUAGUUAGGGUCAAUAAAAUAACGGCGUACCUUCUCUGAGGGGAAGUGCAUAUGGACUUCUCCGGUUCCAAUGUAGAUGAUUGCUUUAACGGUGCUGAGGAACGGUCUUCCAAGGAUGAUGGGUGGAUCGUAUUCAUCUUCUCCCAUGUCAAUAACUUGAAAGUCUGUGUAGACAAAAUGAUCAUCUAUUUUGACUGGGACAUCAGUUACUGUUCCUUUAACCUCUCGAAAUGUUUGAUCUGCCAUCUGGAGUUGAAUGUAUGUUGGUUUUAAGGGCAUGGUUCCGAACAAGAGCCGAUAGGUGACUGCGGCCAUUAUGUUGACGCCCGAUCCGGUGUCGCAAAACGUCUUGUAGAAGCUAUAUCCAUUUAUGGAGCAAUAGAUGCUUGGCAUUCCUGGGUCGUCCUUCCUGGUCAAAAACGGUGACUUAAGUUGGUGAUCUUGACCUCCAUGAACUGCAGUGACCAUCUUAGCUGACUCGGUCCACACUUGCUUGUUCCUGUUCUUCCUGUUGGUCCUCUUCCUUGAUUCACGUCUGGAUUGAUCUGGGAUUUGUGUAGUCUUGUUCUUGAAGGAAAACGUCUCCUUCCUCUCUUUGAUGUAGAAACUGAUCUUGGCAGCACUAGCGUAGAUGACAGCUCCCGAGGUGUUCAAGAAUGGCCUCCCUAAGAUGAUAGGUGCUCUCUCGUCAUUACCGGUCUCUAUCACCACGAAGUCUGCUAGGGCAUAUAGAGUACCAACUCGGACACAAAGGUUCUUCAAUAUUCCUUUUGGAAAACUUAUCGCCUGAUCUAUAAACUGCAAACACAUGGUUGUUUCUAAUAAAGGAUAUGUAAAGAAUUUUUCAUAGAGUACCCUGGGUAUAAUGUUGAUGCUAGAGCCAAAGUCGCAGAGUGCUUUUGGGAAGUCCACCAUGCCGAUGGAGAUCGGGAUGACGGGGCGUCCUGGAUCGCCUCUCUUGACCGACAGAAGGUCAGUAGUGAAUUCAGUGACGGGGUUACUCUACCUGCAUCAAACAUGUCUUCAGGAUUUGCAGAUUCUAAUCCUUCCGGUUGUGGUGGUAUACCGGGGUUAGUAGUAGGAACAGCAGCAGCUAUUUGAUUCAACUGAGAUUCAAUCAUUUUAUUGAAGCUAAUUUGAUUCUUGAUGGCAGUAGAGAAAUUAUCCAUUCUAUUAUUUAUAUUUUCUAGCAUUUUAUCAUUAGAUGCCAAUUUCUUAGAUAGGUUAUCCAUUAGCUUUCCUUGAUUAGACACUAACUCUCUCAGAGGUGGAAAAUUAUUAUUAUUGUUGUAUGAAUAAUUACUUUGAUAAUUACCUGAGUAGUUAGGCCUGUGUUGAUUCCAACCUUGAUUUUGUUGAGGACGGUUAUAGUAGUAGUUGUUGUUAUUGUUGAUGUAGUUCACAUCCUCAAGCAUCUCAGGGCAGUGAUUGCCUGAGUGUCCAGUGUCUCCACACUCCUCACAAGUCAUGUGAGAGUCAUAGAUGUGCAUAACUUCUUUCUUGUCUCUAGCUCUAUCGUCGAGCUUCUUCAUGAGCAGGUCUAACUUUGCAGAUAGCAUGUCUACCUCCUUGAGCUGAUGCUACCUCCACCUCUCUUGCGUGUCUGGGUCCUCUCUUCAUUCGAGCUUUGGUUGGACGCCAUCUUCUCCACAAGAGCUGUGGCUUGUGGUAUGGUGAGUGAUAGGAAUGCUCCUCCAGCUGCAGCAUCCAUGGUUUCUCGGGCACUGUUGCCGAGCCCAUGAUAAAAUGUCUGCAUCAAUAGCCAACUCUCCAUUCCAUGAUGGGGACAUUCUAGGAUGUAGUCUUGAAAGCGCUCCCAUGCUUCUGGAACAGAUUCAUCAUUUUGUUGCUGAAAACUUGUAAUUUUCCCAUGGAGAGCAUUGGUCUUGCCCAUGGGAAAGAACUUAGCCAGGAAGUUUGUUGAGCAGAGCGCCCACGUAGGAUUCUUCUCCUUUGUAGCAUAGAACCACUGCUUCGCUCUCCCCAACAAUGAGAAUGGGAAGAGGCGAAGUAGUAUAGCAUCUCUAGAAACUCCUGAUAUGGUGAAUGUGCUGCAACUCUCCACAAAGUGUUGGAGAUGAGCACUAGCAUCUUCGUGUGCCUUCCCACAGAACUGGUUGGAUGGCACCAUGUUGAUAAGUCCAGGCUUGAGCUCAAAGUUGCCGACGAUCUCUGCAGCAGGUCCAGUGCGGAUGUUGUCCGUAGUGGGAGCUGAGAACUCGUGGAUUGAUUUGUUCGCCAUGGCUUCGAACUCUGAAGACAAGUUCCGGUGAUCUUCUUGAUUGGAUGAAGCUUCUUCUGAAGUGUUGAUGAUCUUUGCUUGAGCUUGGCUCUUGUUUUUCUGAAUAAGGCUUCGGGAUUGUCAACAAAAUUUCCUGGAAGAUGUCUUCUAUUCAUACAUUCCCCUGCAUAAGAUAAAAUAGAAAAAUAUUGGGGUAAAACUGUAUAAGAGAAUAGAUAAGCUCAAUCAUAUUAGUGCUGCGAAUGAUAACUCAAAAUCCUUUAUUCAUUCCUGAUUAGUAAUCAACCUUCCCCGGCAACGUCGCCAAAAAUGCUUGUUGGGUAUUCUUAACAUCAUUACCAAAAGUAGACAGUUUUCUAAUUCUAGUAACGGUGCCAAAAAUGCCAAACCUAUCCCUCAUACCACUUAAGCCAAGUUGUCAUCCCCAACAUGACAUGAGAGACGCGGUAUUGAAAUAUGCAAUUGCUCUUCUAAAUAAAUAAUGAAUGGGAUCUACAAGCGCACAGAUUAAUACCGAUGUAGCAUUUUAACCGGGAAGUAUUCCAGGUAUCGUUAUUUAUAUUUUUACCACUGGGAAGGGAUUAGCAAUCAUCAAUAUUGAUUACAGAAUAGAAUAUGAGAUUGCGUAUCUAUCAUUGCAUGUAUAAUUGAGGACAUUUAUCAAACUCUUUUAUACAGGGGUAAGUAUCACAUAAAGGAUAUAUGAAAUAAUGAAUAGUGACCAAGAUAAUUAAUCUGAUCAGCCACAUAUAAAUAUGAUAAGCACCUCAAUUAGAUACUCUAGAAAGUCAUUAGCAUGGUAUUAGAACGAACUACAAGAAUAUUCCCUAAAUUAUUCUCAACUAUAUAGUCUAGCAUUAUCAUAAUUAGUGCAAGCAUACUUAGCAAUCAUUGCAUAGUGAUAUUAGCAAGGUAAAUGAGAAACAUAGCAAUCACUCCCCUAUAAUAAUAUUGCUCUGCCAGCCCAAUACACGAGAGGGGGACUAUAUAAGAAUCAAUGAAGCUGUGACUAUCACGAACUACCCCACGAUCUGGCAUAUUGAGUACAAUCGCAGAUAAAUACGGUAUAAGCACCGCGCCUACACAAUAUCUAUCAUUUACCCAUGGAUCCGAUGGAUAAACGCUAUGCGAUCCUAAGCAUGUAUAUAGAUCCAAUCUAACUAAGCCAAGUACAUAACUAUGAUAAACUAAGGACAAUAUAAUCUUGAAUAUAAACAAGUAGAACAAAGUCAUAAGCAAUAUAUUGAAGUAGAACAAAGUCGUAUUCAUAAUAUUGAAGAACAAAGAUGAUUAGAAGAAUAAUUAGAAGCACAAUUAGAGAAUUACUAAGAAUCCUCUUGACAGAUCUAGAAACCAAUCGAAGAUUGACUCCUUCUAGUUCUAAUCCUAUGUAGCUAUGCUAAUCUAGAUGUCUAAUUGAUGUGGUGGCUCUAAUCUUGAUCAAAGGCUUCUUCUCCCUUGAAGAAUAAUGAAUUAGGGUUGAGAGGCUCUCUCUUCCAGGGGCCAGGGGGUCUGGUUUUAUAGUCCCUUCAAGUGAAUAUGGGCCGUUGGAUCAAACCGACAUAGAUUGAACGGUUAUCCUUGAUCCUUUAGGUCGAUGGAGAUCUUCCCCGAAACAGAGUCCUGAUUGGACUCAGCAGGAGGGCGGGCGCCCUGCCUCUGGCCCCGUUCGGCCUCCGCUUCCUUUCUGUGGCUUCCGGAGUCUUCUAGAUGUAAGAUAAUUGCGCGGCACGUUAAUAUCUCUAUGUAAUCCUGACGUGUGGGCCUUUCUUCCGUAUUUCCUGAUAACCCCCUGCAGAAAUAGACAAACACCAAACUUGUGGAAUUCCAUCAGAUAAAACCCUAAGUCUAGAUGUUGAUUUCAUUUGGAUCCUUUUCUUUAUUUAUUUGAUAAUUAAAUUUGAUACUUAAGGACCGUCAACAGCGUGCUUGUUGACGGGGGUAGCUCCAUUGAUAUCCUCUUCCGCAACAGCUUGCCUGCUCUCAAGUUAACUCCGGCGCAGCUGAAACCGUACGACGCUCAGUUUUGAGGCGUCCUACCUGGUCAAAGUUCAGUACCCCUUGGCCAGAUAACGCUGCCCGUCCAGUUUGGAACACUAGACCACUUCCGCACUGAGUUCAUCAACUUUGUGGUCGCCGACUUCGACGGAACCUAUCACGCAAUUCUAGGCCGCCCUUCGCUCAUCAAGUUCAUGGCAGUUCCGCACUACUCAUACCUGGUCCUCAAGAUGCCAACCGAGAAGGGUGUUUUAACCGUCAGAGGCAAUGUCUACACCGCGUACACUUGCGAAGAGGAAAGCUUCAAGAUCACCGAGGCAAUUGAUCUCUCAAUUCGCAUGGCAGAAACUGUAGCACAAGCUUCCCAAGUUCCAUCCGACCAGCAACAACUACCAGAGCAGGAGACUCCAAGAAAGAGCUCCAAGUCCAAAGACCACAAGAAAGUACAACUGGUCGACAACAGCCCAAAGAAGACGGCCCUCAUUGGGGCUAACCUGGACGCCAAAUAGGAAGACGCGCUCGUCAGGUUUCUAAGGGACAACGCAAGCAUUUUCGCAUGGAAAACCGCAGACAUGCCCAGUGUCCCACGAAGCCUGAUCGAGCACUCCUUGAACGUCUUGAAGACCGCAAGACCUAUCAAGCAGAAGCUACGACGGUUCGCUCGUCACAAAAAGGAGGCCAUUAGGACAGAGAUUACACGGCUUUUAGCAGCCGGAUUUAUUAAAGAAGUGUAUCAUCCCGAUUGGCUCGCCAAUCCAGUCAUUGUAAGAAAAAAGAAUAAUGAAUGGAGAAUGUAUGUUGAUUACACUGAUCUCAAUAAACAUUGUCCUAAAGAUCCUUUUGGUCUCCCUCGUAUCAACGAGCUGGUCAAUUCAACGGCCGGAUGAGAACUACUCUCUUUUCCCAACUGUUACUCUGGUUAUCACCAGAUCUCGCUAAAGGAAGACGACCAGAUCAAAACCUCCUUCAUCACUCCUUUUGGUGCAUAUUGCUACACCACCAUGUCCUUUGGACUCAAAAACGCCGGAGCCACCUAUCAACAUGCUAUUCAGCAAUGCCUCCACGACGAGAUACGUGAUGACCUCGUCGAGGCUUACGUCGAUGACGUUGUCGUCAAAACUAGGGACGCGAGCACCCUGAUCGACAACAUAGACUGCACUUUUAAAGUGCUGAAUAAAUACAAGUUCACCCCAAAAAAUGCAUCUUCGGGGUUCCCUCUGGUAUACUACUCGGUAACGUCGUCAGCCACGACGGCAUACGGCCAAACCCCUCAAAAGUCAAGGCAGUCCUUGAUAUGCGACCACCUAGGAACAUCAAAGACGUCCAAAAGCUCACGGGGUGCAUGGUUGCUCUCAGCCCUUUUAUCUCUAGGCUGGGGGAAAAGGGGCUUCCUUUCUUUAAACUUCUGAAAGCGUCGGAAAGAUUCUCUUGGACAAAAGAGGCCAACACAGCGUUCACCCAACCAAAGCCUUCCUCACCACACCACCCAUACUCACCGCACCUCAACCCAACGAGGACCUGCUCCUCUAUAUAGCAGCAACUGAUCGGGUCAUUUCUACGGUGCUCGUGGUCGAGCGGGAUGAACCAGGCCACGUCUACAAAGUUCAGAGGCCCGUGUACUUCAUAAGUGAAGUCCUAAACGAAUCAAAGACUAGGUAUCCUCAGAUACAAAAACUAAUCUACACCAUCUUAAUCACCUCAAGAAAGCUGAAGCACUACUUCGAUGGCCAUCGGGUCUUGGUUACUACAAGUUUUCCGUUGGGGGACAUUUUGCGCAACAAGGACGCCAACGGCAGAAUUGUAAAGUGGGCCAUGGAAUUAUGCCCAUUUUCUUUAGAAUUCCAGAGUUGCACUACCGUAAAGUGUCAAGCCGUGGUCGACUUCAUCGCGGAAUGGACAGAUCUCAAUGCACCACCUUCUCCAGAUGUCUUUGAUCACUGGUCAAUGUUCUUCGAUGGGUCCCUAAACAUCAAUGGAGUCGGUGCUGGAAUACUUUUUAUUUCUCCAAACAAGGACAAACUUUGCUACGCCCUUAGGAUCCUUUUUCCAGCCUCCAAUAAAGUCGCCGAGUACGAAGCAUGCCUACAUGGCAUCCGAUUAGCCGUUGAACUGGGAAUCAAGCGCCUUUAUGUCUACGGCGACUCUGCCCUGGUUAUCAACCAGCUGAAUAAGGAGUGGGACACAACUCAUGAAAAGAUGGACCUGUACUGCAAAGAAAUCCGGAGGUGGGAAUCAAAUUUUUAGGGCAUAGAGUACAUCCACGUGGUCCGGGACAAGAACCAAGCAGCAGAUGCGUUGUCAAAGAUAGCAUCAUCCCGGGCCCAGAUUCCGCAAGGUGUUUUCGUUCGAGACAUCAACAUACCUAGCAUCGGAACGUACCUGGCUGAAAAGUCACACAACAAAACGCUGCUCGUGGGAAACACCGCUCCGACAACCAAUGGCAACGACUGGCGCGCUCCUUUCGUUAAGUAUCUCUUCGACGCCUCAGGAUUUCAAGACAAAACGGAGAACGAGCGCCUUAUCCGGCGCUCUAAAAAAUAUAUACUGGUAGAUAAUAGACUUAUACGAACGCAAGUUCAGAAGUCUUGUUGAAAUGCAUAUCCCAAGACGAUGGCAUCAUGUUAUUGAAAGACAUAUGUUGAUGGUUCUUAAGUAUCAAUUUUAAUUAUCAAAUAAACAAGAGAAAGGACCAAUAUGCAACCAACACCUAGAAUUAGGGUUUGAUCUGAUAGAAUUCCACGAGUUUUGUUGUUUAUCUAUUUCUGCAGAGGGUUAUCAGGAAAUAAGGAAGAAAGGCCCACAUGUCGGGAUUACAUAGAGAUAUCAACGCACCGCGUGAUUUUCUACCAUCUAGAAGACUCCAGAAGCCACGGGAAGAAAGCAGAGGCCGAAAGGGGCCAGGCCCAGGGUGCCCGCCCUGAGGACCUGGGCGCCCGCCCCCUGCUGGACUCCGUUCGGGACUCUCUUCGCACACGACGUUCCACCGACCUAAAGGAUCAAGGAUAACGUAGUACCACAUCGCCUACCGACCCAAAAAUGCAUAGAGGAGGAGGACUAUAUAAGGAGACCCCCCUGGCCCCUGGAGGAAACAAGAAGUUAUCAUAGAGUUGAGGGGUGCCCUCGAAGGAAAACCUCUUCUCUAAAUAAAAUUCCUUUUUAGGCUUAGCAACCAAUGUAAGUAGAAAUAGAUCUUCUAGUUUCUACUAGAUUGAGAGAGAUAGAGUGGAGGUGUAGAUUGGAGGAAGCCCGGCCUGUCAGUGUCUACUCCAAGCUUGUACCUGCGGGAUCAAGUUCUCCUAACCCGAAGCUUGCUCCUAGGAUUCUUCAGUAUUUCAACUUCAAAAUUCUAGUAAGUUCUUGUUUUAUUGUUCUUUUGGUUUAUGAGUUUACUUUAAUCUCUUCACGUAGAGUUUAGACUAAUCAUUGCUGGCGUAAACCCUUUGUGGUGUCUAGAUUCCGUUAGCCUCCCCAAUAGAACAGUAGAUCAUCCUUACCAAGGUUAGAAGGAGACUACGGUUGCAGUCUUCUCUAUUUAUCACUCACAUCGAGAACAUUCUUUGUUGCCUAAAGGGUUAGUAGUAAUAGACCGGUUAGUCAGAUGCACUCUUUCUUCUAGUGGUAAAAAAAUAAAUACGAUACUCUAGAUAAUUUCUCGGGUGAAGUGCUCACCGAUAUCCGUGCACUUGCGGAUCAAUUCCUUAUUGCAUUCUAAAAUAUCAACAAUCAUUUCUGGCGCCGUUGCCGGAGAUCGAAGACGGUUUGCUGAGAUAACCUUGAGUCUUACUACUAGCUUGUAUCUAUACUUUUAUUUUUUCUUAUCUUUUAUAUUCUUUCUUUAUUUUCUUUACUCAUACCUUAUGGAAAACCAAAAUUCUAAAUCGAUCCAUGAAUCUACAAUCCCUUCAGUAACUGACCUUUUACCAUGGGAAUCAUCACAGCCUAUCCAAAUAUCCCAGUAUAAGUUAAGUUCUAGGUUGAUUGCCAUGAUCCAAAACCUAUCUUUUUCGAGAAAGGAAGACGAAAAACCUUACCUUCAAAUUAGAGAUUUUGAGCAAUGAUUGUCUUCGCAUUGAAGGCAUUUCUGAUAAAACUUUACGUUGGAAGCUUUUUCCUUUUUCUUUAAGGGGAGAAGCUAGACAAUGGUACAGUCAGAAGGUAAGUCAACAACGAGGUGAAUGGGGAGUUUUACGAGCCAACUUUUGUCUAGAUUUCUAUUCCCUCGACCGUAUAGCCGACCUUAGACUCGAAGUCCUAUCUUUUAAACAAUUCCCUCGACCGUAUAGCCGACCUUAGACUCGAAUUCCUAUCUUUUAAACAAAAAGAUAAUUAAACUUUGGGAAAAUCCUAGAAACGUUUUUCUGAUCUUUUAGAAUUUGGUCCAAACCUUAAUCUUGAAGACCUUGUUCUUUUAUUUCACUUUUUUUGAGGUCUUCAAAAAAAUUACAAACAAAUGCUACACACAAUGUCUAGAGGUUCUUUCUUUCGCAUCCCUACUGAUGAAGCUAGAGUGAUCCUAGAUAGAAUCCUAGAAGCUGAGAUGGAUAAUACCCUUCAUGAUGAAACCUACGAAGCCGAAGUAGACACUUUGCCAAAUUCUUCAUCUACUUUAGCUAUCCCAAGUUCUGAGCCACAAGAGGAAGAAAUUCCACCACCGGACUUCAUGCUGGAUAUAGAAUCCGAUCUUUUUGCCGAUUUUGGAAACAUUUCAAACUACCAUUCUAUUGACAAACCCCAAAACGGCCAGUUUAGCAUUUAUUUGCCAAGUGAAUAUCAAUUGAGAGAGCUUAUCUCAGUCAUGAGUAGCGAAUGGUUGGAGGAAUCAGAGCUUUCCUCUGAUGUGAUCCGUUUGGACACACCCUCUAUAACUACACGUUGUGCUUAUAAUUCUGAUCGAUUUAAUGCUCUUUAUAAUCCUGUUGUGGGGAUCAACAUCAUGUCUGAAUCUUUUGCACUUAAACUAUUUAAAAAUCUUGUCUUAUCCCCACAACAAAGGUCAUAAAGGAACCUUCAGGACGAUUAGUCUCCAGUCUUGGAAUUAUUAAUGUCCUAGCUCUUACGGUAGAAGGCUCCAUGGUUUAUUUCAACUUUUAUAUCUUUGAUACAUGGGACUUCGACCUGUUGAUAGGACAACCUUUUAGAAGACUCCUUUAUGAAGGUCAUACUGGAAAGCUACACAUUUCUUUUGGAAACGCCCUUAAAUUCCAAAUAACAAUUUCACACUCCUUAAAUAAUAAGGCCGAGUCAUAUCUUUUGCCUGAUCCUAUGGAGGAGGUAAAGGCUGCAUCUCUUGAACUUUUAGAAGAACUAGACUUAGAAGACGAAACUCCUUUCUUCAUAGAAGAAGAAGCCGAACCUUCUGAACCUGAAUCCCUAGAUGAGUUUGUAGAAACACCUAGACCCCCCAUAGAGCUUAAAACUUUACCACCCGGUCUUACCUAUGCUUUCCUAAACAAUAAUCCAGAGUUUCCUGUGAUCAUUAGCGAUAAACUCACUCAGGAGCAAACUCUACGAUUAACGAUCAUCUUGAGUAACAUCACUCAGUUUUCGGCUACUCACUCCAAGAUCUUACAGGAAUUAGUCCUAUGAUUUGUACCCAUCGUAUUCCAACAGAUCCUUCUGUUUCACCUUCUCGAGAACCCCAACGUAGACUUAACAACACUAUAAGAGAGGUACUUAAAAAGGAAGUUAUAAAGUUGCUGCAUGCACGGAUUAUAUAUCCUGUGCCGCAUAGUGAGUGGGUGAGCCCAGUUCAAGUUGUGCCUAAAAAGGGAGGCAUGACUGUUAUUAUGAAUGAAAAGAACGAGCUAAUUCCGCAAUGCACCGUCACAGCAUGGCAGAUGUGCAUAGACUAUAGAAAACUAAAUAAAGCCACGAGAAAGGAUCACUUUCCUUUACCUUUUAUAGAUGAGAUGCUAGAGCGAUUAGUGAACCAUUCGUUCUUUUGUUUCUUAGAUGGAUAUUCAGGGUAUCACCAAAUCCCGAUCCAUCCCGAUGAUCAAAGCAAAACCACUUUUACAUGCCCAUAUGGAACUUAUGCUUACCGUAGAAUGUCUUUUGGGUUAUGUAAUGCACCAGCUUCUUUUCAAAGAUGCAUGAUGUCUAUAUUUUCUGAUAUGAUUGAAAAGAUUAUGGAAGUUUUCAUGGAUGAUUUCUCUGUUUAUGGAAAAACUUUUGAUAGUUGUCUUGAAAACUUAGACAAGGUUUUGCAAAGAUGUGAAGAAAAGCACUUAGUCCUUAAUUGGGAAAAAUGUCAUUUUAUGGUUAGAGAAGGAAUAGUGCUGGGACACUUAGUGUCUGAAAGAGGUAUUGAGGUAGACAAAGCUAAAAUUGAAGUAAUUGAACAACUACCUCCACCUGUGAAUAUAAAAGGAAUUCGAAGCUUUCUUGGCCAUGCUGGUUUUUAUCGUAGAAUCAUAAAAGAUUUUUCAUUCAUUGCUAGACCACUUACUCUUUUGCUAGCCAAGGAUGCUCCUUUCGAAUUUGAUGAUGCAUGUCUAACAUCUUUUAAUUUAUUAAAGAAAGCACUCAUCUCUACACUAAUCAUUCAACCCCCUGAUUGGUCGUUGCCUUUUGAAAUUAUGUGUGAUGCCAGUGAUUAUGCUGUGGGGGCAGUUUUGGGACAAACUAAAGAUAAGAAGCAUCAUGCAAUUGCUUAUGCCAGUAAAACUUUGACAGGAGCUCAACUUAAUUAUGCAACCACUGAAAAAGAGCUUCUGGCUGUUGUCUUUGCCAUUGAUAAGUUUAGAUCUUAUUUAGUUGGAGCUAAAAUAAUUGUUUACACUGAUCAUGCUGCACUAAAAUAUUUGCUCACUAAAAAAGAUGCUAAACCUCGCGUGAAUAUAUGGAUCUUAUUACUCCAAGAAAUUGACUUAGAAAUAAAAGAUAAAAAGGGAGUAGAAAAUUCUGUUGCAGGUCACUUGUCUAGAAUGCAUUUUAAGAGUCCACAGGAAACCCCCAUCAAUGAUUCAAUCCGGGACGACAUGCUCUACGGGAUUAACAGGUCUGACCCCUGGUAUACAGAUAUUGUUAAUUUUAUGGUUUCAGGGUAUGUACCACCAGGAGCAAACAAGAAGAAGCUUAUUCAAGAAAGUCAUUCACAUAUAUGGGAUGAGCCAUACCUCUUCCGAGUAUGCUCUGAUGGCUUACUCAGGAGAUGUGUGACCACUGAGGAAGGAUGGAAGAUCAUCGACAGAUGUCAUUCAUCACCAUAUGGAGGUCACUAUGGAGCAUUCCGUACACAUUCAAAGAUCUGGCAGUGUGGAUUCUACUGGCCUACAAUGUAUGAAGACACGAGGCAAUAUAUCAGAAGAUGUGGGCCAUGUCAAAGGCACGGAAACAUAAAUACAAGGGAUGCAAUGCCACUCACCAACAACCUUCAGAUUGAGCUCUUUGAUGUUUGGGGAAUAGACUACAUGGGUCCAUUUCCUCCAUCAAAGUAGUGUGAGUACAUCUUGGUGGCGGUUGACUAUGUCUCCAAGUGGGUAGAGGCAUUACCUUGCAAGCAUGUCGACAACAUCAGUUCAAAGAGGAUGUUUGAAGAAAUUAUAUUUCCAAGAUUUUGGAGUCCCCAGAGUAGUGAUAAGUGAUGGAGGAGCACACUUCAUCGACAAACGCUUCAAGCAAUAUCUAUCAAAACAUGGAAUCCGUCACAACGUCGCUACCCCCUAUCAUCCUCAUUCAAGUGGCCAAGCAGAGACUUCCAACAAGCAAAUCAAGAAUAUUCUUCAGAAGACAGUAAAUGAAAUGGGAACGGCGUGGAAAGACAAGUUACCCGGUGCACUCUGGGCAUACCGGACAGCAUAUAAGACCCCAAUUGGAAUGUCUCCAUAUCAAUUGGUGUACGGGAAGACUUGCCACCUACCUGUUGAACUAGAGUUCAAAGCACACUGGGCCAUAAAGAGACGGAAUAUGGACCUAGAUGUUGCUGGAGAUCAUAGAAGAAUGCAACUAUCAGAAUUGGAAGAAUGGCGAGAGAAAGCAUAUCACAAUUCGAAGAUCUACAAAGAAAGAGUCAAAAGGUGGCAUGACAAGAGAAUCAAGAAGGAGUUCACACCCGGAGAUAAGGUAUUACUUUUUAAUUCCAGGGUGAAGCUUUUCGGGCAUGGGAAACUCCGGAGCAAAUGGGAAGGACCAUUCAAGGUAAUUAAUUCAUCAUCCCACAAAGCUAUCACACUUCAAAAAGAUGAAGGUACGUUAUUCAAGGUAAAUGGUCAACGUCUUAAAUUAUUUUUAGAGCCCAAUAAAGAAUUAGAAGAAAUAGACGUAGUCCAUUUUUACCUUCCCAUGGAGAACUAGAGCCCGACCUUUUUAGUCUGAUGUUUUUGGGUCAUAUAUAUAUUUUUCUAAAUAGUUUUGCAUCUAGAAACACGCUCGAGAAAGUGGGCCCACAGAGGGGCCAGAGAGAGGGCGGGCGCCCAGAUCAGGUGGGUGGGCACCCAGCUCCUGUUCCCCCUCGGUCCCGAUUUUCUCUGCUAUGGAAAAUGCACUUAUGGUAAUCCGAAUAAUCCCUCAGAUGGAAAGUUUCGCACGCACAUCGACGGGAGCAACCCGAACAACCCCUAGAGGCACUUUUUGACCCCUAUAUAAAUAGACCCCUGACAUCAGUUUUCAAACACCAAACCACCAAGCCUUCUCUUCUUCUUCAAUUAGAGCUUGAUUAGUUCAUUGCUGCUCCAAUGGCCGAGAAGUUCCACGAUGAUUGGGAAGUCGUCCCCUUCAACCUCAACAUGGAGCCUGUGGAAGACCCCGAUGCCCGUGCUCUCGACCCGGCCAACACAGAGCGACAACUAGAAGCCAUGCCAUUAUACCAACGCAGCUCCGCCCAAUCCUACCAUGCUCAACCAGUUCUCACCGCACCGCCACAACCUCUACUCCUCAAAGGAUCAUCAUCCAAGUCGAAGACCAACAUCAAGGUGCCAACCGGCACGAAGAUCCUUCCACCUAGACCCAAUGAGAGGGUCGUUGGAGUCAAGACCAACCGGAGCGGCGAGAUCAGCAGCAUUCGCUACACUACGGAGGAGGAAAGGCCUUACUUCGAAGGGAUUAGAGCAGCCAAAGUCCAUUUCAUCCCUCCAAAGGCAGCACCAAAGCACACUCUCAAUACUUUUGAGACACCUCCCAAGCGUCGCAAAACUAUAAUGGAUAUUGAUGAGGACGUUCGCAGACUGGACAGAGUUAUCAUAGACCUCCAGUCCUCGAUUAAUUCCCUCACUAGGCAGCUCUCUAACCACAACACCGUUAUAUUAGGCCUUAGGCAUGAUCUUGCCAGUGCCAACAAGAAGAUUAAGGAAUUAGAGCGCCGCUAAGUUAUCUAGAUUAGAUCUUGAGGCAAUGCAUCUUAGUCAUUUAUCUUUAAAUUUGGUUUAGGUUUACUAUUAUUGCCAGUUUGUUACUAUUAUCAUCAGUUUGCUAUUGUCAUCAGUUUGCUACUAGUCUUUUGUAAUAAAUGCCUCAAGAUUAAUAAAGAGUAUUAUUAUUAUUAUUAUGUCUUGUGUGUCUCUACUUUAUUUUUGUGCAAGAAAGCAAAAAACAAGUAUGGGGGAGAUCCCUCAACACGCCAAACAUACUUCGACUACACCACUCCACAAUUCAGGUACACACUCUGCACACUUUACUUUACACAUACACAUAUCUUGGAUUAUGCAGAAUACUGUUUUCGACAUGAUAAAUUAAUAAGCUUAAAAUGUUUCUAAAUAUGAUUAAUCUUAUUCUGUGAUAUUUCCUAAAACUUGCAACUAUUAUAAAAUCAUUUUAAAACCCUGUGUUACUUAAGAUAGUAUGGAAUGUGAGAUGGUAGAGUAUGAGUUUCUUAUUCUUGAUAUCAUUGUUGCUUGGAGAAUUUAUUUCAAAAUCUUCAAAAUUCUAGCUACCAUCCUCAGUGUUUUAUAUGCCUGAUAAAACUGAAAAUAUUAAUUAUGAUUAAAAAAGUUAUCUACUCUGUAUUGAGUUUGUUCAAAAUGAGUUAGACCCUUGUUGAGAGAUUUAUCAUGCUCCUAAGAUCAAGACAUUUAUUUAGAAAGAUUCACUCUUCCAAAGUACUAUUGCAUUAGAGGCAUGGGCUAUGCAAAAAUAAAGAUAUUUCGAGGAAAUAAAAAGGAGCAAGUGCUCGACAACCUCGCAGAAAAAUGGUCAAGUGUCCGGCAGUAGAAUUAGGGGUACCUCAGUAUCCACUUAAAAAAAAGAGAAAAUGAUAGCCCAUGGUCCCUCUAAUAAGCAAUAUGCCAGCAAGAGUUGACAAAGUUUUUAAUUUCCAAAGUCUUUGAUCUAAGAGUAUGACAUUCCCCUCCUCGGAUCCCGUUUUGAUCAGGCAAUAAAUGCAAAGUAAGUAUGCUUGAGAAUUUUUUGCAAAUUAAAACAGCCUCAGUGAGAUAUAUAAAAGAUAAUGAGUGAUCUGAGAGACCCUAUGAGGAUAAAAAGGUAUGCUAACUUUCUUUCAAAAAUAUACAAAAACUCCAAGUGACAGGAUUGAGAAGAAAGGAUCUUUACUCUUAACCAUAUACUUCCCUGACUACAGUACACAGUGGAUUUUUUAACACCCUGAAAAAAUAAAGAAUGUUUUAAAAUGUUUUACCCCAGAUAUUGUUCUUAACCAUCCUUUUCUCGAGGACAAGUAAAAGCCUAAGUAUGGGGGUAUUUGUUGACGGUUCUUAAGUAUCAAUUUUAAUUGUCAAGUAAACAAGAGAAAGGACCAAUAUGCAACCAACACCUAGAAUUAGGGUUUGAUCUGACAGAAUUCCAUGAGUUUUGUUGUUUAUUUGUUUCUGCAGGGGGUUAUCAGGAAAUAAGGAAGAAAGGCCCACAUGUUGGGAUUACAUAGAGUUAUCAACGCAUCGCGCGAUUUUCUACUAUCUAGAAGACUCUAGAAGCCACGGGAAGAAAGCAGAGGCCGAAGGGGCCAGGCCCAGGGCGCCCGCCCUGAGGACCUGGGCGCCCGCCCCCUGCUGCACUCCGUUCGGGACUCUCUUCGCACACGAUGUUCCACCGACCUAAAGGAUCAAGGAUAACAUAGUACCACAUCGCCUACCGACCCAAAAAUGCAUAGAGGAGGAAGACUAUAUAAGGAGACCCUCCUGGCCCCUGGAGGAAACAAGAAGUUAUCAUAGAGUUGAGGGGUGCCCUCGAAGGAAAACCUCUUCUCUAAAUAAAAUUUCUUUUUAGGCUUAGCAACCAAUGUAAGUAGAAAUAGAUCUUCUAGUUUCUACUAGAUUGAGAGAGAUAGAGUGGAGGUGUAGAUUGGAGGAAGCCCGGCCUGUCGGUGUCUACUCCAAGCUUGUACCUGUGGGAUCAAGUUCUCCUAACCCGAAGCUUGCUUCUAGGAUUCUUCAGUAUUUCGAGUUCUAAAUUCUAGUAAGUUAUUGUUUUAUUGUUCUUUUGGUUUAUGAGUUUACUUUAAUCUCUUCGCGUAGAGUUUAGAGUAAUCAUUGUUGGCGUAAACGUGGUGUUUAGGCUGGGGUAGUCAUAGAUAUUCCCUGGCUAGCUAGACUGUGGUAGUAGUGAGGAACGUGACAAUUCCGAGUUACCUUGGCAGACCAUAUCUCGUUUGCAGGAAGGAUAGGUUUAUAGGUGCGGGUUGAACAUCCUUUGUGGUGUCUAGAUUCCAUUAGCCUCCCCAAUAGAACAGUAGAUCAUCCUUACCAAGGUUAGAAGGAGACUACCGUUGCAGUCUUCUCUAUUUAUCACUCACAUCGAGAACAUUCUUUGUUGCCUAAAGGGUUAGUAGUAAUAGACCGGUUAGUCAGAUGCACUCUUUCUCCUAGUGGUAAAAAAAUAAAUACGAUACUCUGGAUAAUUUCCCGGGUGAAGUGCUCACCGAUAUCCGUGCGCUUGCGGAUCAAUUCCUUAUUAUGUUCCCAAAUAUCAACAACAUACAUACUGGAUCCUGUGGUAACCACGCCGCCUCUAGAACACUGGUCGGAAAGGCUUUUCGAGUAGGUUUCUACUGGCCAACUGCAGUCGCCGACGCCGAGAAACUGGUCCGGCAUUGCGAAGGAUGCCAGUUCUUCGCCAAGCAGACCCAUGUACCUGCACAUGAAAUCCAGACAAUUCUGUCGUCCUGGCCAUUUGCAUGUUGGGGUCUUGACAUGAUCGGGCCAUUCAAGCCGGCUCCCGGCAAUUUCAAAUUCGUGUUCGUGCUAGUCGACAAGUUCUCGAAGUGGAUCGAGUACAUGCCACUGGUCAAAGCAACUUCCGAUAAGGCUGUGGAAUUCCUUAAUCAAAUCAUACACAGAUUCUGGGUUCCCAACAGCAUAAUCACCGACCUAGGCACUCAGUUCACCGGCACUACAUUUUGGGACUUCUGCGAUGACACAGGCAUAGUCAUAAAGUACGUAUCGGUAGCCCAUCCGCGAGCCAACAGUCAAGUCGAACGAGCAAAUGGAAUGAUUAUUGAUGCUCUAAAGAAAAGGCUGUACACGGAAAAUGAUAGGGCACCUGGACGGUGGAUGAAAGAGUUACCGGCUGUGGUCUGGGGUCUCCGAACACAGCCUAGCCAGAAUACGGGUGUAUCCCCCUAUUUUUUGGUUUAUGGGGCUGAGGCAGUGCUCCCAUCGGAUGUAGCCUUUGGAUCUCCCAGAGUCGAACAUUUCGACGAGUCGUCAGCAGACCUCGCCAGAGAACUCGAGAUCAACUACAAAGAAGAGAGACACCUCACUUCCUGCCUUCGAACAGCAAAGUAUCUCGAGGCCAUUAGACGAUACCACAACAGGAACAUCAAAGAUCGCUCCUUCGUGGUCGGUGAUUUGGUGCUCAAAUGGAAAACAAGCCAGGAGGGAAUGCACAAGCUAUCCACACCUUGGGAGGGACCUUUUGUGGUCGCCGAAGUUACACGCCCUAGAUCUUAUAGACUGGCGUACCCAGAUGGAACACGCCUGCCCAACUCCUGGCACAUAGAUAGAUUAUGAUGCUUCUAUCCCUAAGUUUCAGUACAUUUUACUUGUAAAUCUUUUUUGAUGAAUAAUAAUAAAGUUUGCCUUUUUUGCUAUAUACUUUUACAUAUGCAGAAUACUCGACAAGUGCCACAAUAACUUCCCAGGACAAGCUCCUCAAGGGCAAUAAACAUGACUCAGUGAUACAUCACUCAAAAAAAUUUACAGCGCUCAAAACCAUGGUUUACAUAAAUCAAAUUUUAUUAAAAACUUUAUAUACAAAGUUUACAAUAAACACCCCUCUGGGCGGUUUCUAGUCUACUCCUACAGACUACUUUACGGACCUACUGCUCGGGCUGAUCACCUGCACGGCUCUCUUGUCCCGCCGAAGGGGUCGGGGCCACCGGCACCUGGCUGGUCGAGACCGCAGGCGUCGACCGCCCAUCUCCUGCAAUCGACGCCCCCGACAACUCCCUGGCCGACUUGUCUGAUCCUGACUGAUCGGGGGGAGUUGAUGUCCCGCAGAGAUUUAUAUCGCCAAUCACCGUUGAUGAUAGGUCCAGUAGAUUGACACGAAGGUCAUCCGCUUCCCUCGGACCAACCUCCUUUGGAUAUCCCCUCUCAAGCCGGAACAAAUCGACCAGGGGGUAGUGGGCGCGUACCAUGCUGAGGACGUGCGCCCCGACAAACUCCCCGGCAUCCUUGACAAACUGCUGAAGCCAGCCCCACGCUUGCUGCGCCUUCUCGACCGGGGUCACCUUCGUCGCGCGGGGCUGGUCCUCGGGGAGUUCGGGACUGAUCAGGUCAAGUACUGGGGCAACUCCUUUCCAGAUCUUGAUGCAGUUUGUCUUCCAGGAGUCCUGUUCCUUGACCAGCUCGUCGAGGUGCUUCUUAGUGUUGACUUUAAGCACUACGAUUGAGUUUUCAAGAAAAACCAAGCAAACAGUCAGCAACAUGCUACGACAGUAUAAACAAGUGGAAUAGAAAAUUGUGUGGUCGAAAAGGACGAAAUGGCUCUUACUAGCCAACUCCCGAUUCUUGUUCUUCAGCUCCUCACCAACCUUGCGCCCGGUCUCCAGCGCACCGGCACGCUCCUGGUCGAGCCGAUCUCUCUUUUCUUAGAGGCGCUCGAUCUCCUCCUCCAGACCUGAAGCAACAAUUGUUGGUCAUCAAAACCAACCACGCGGUUAACUACAACUGCUCGGAUCAUUCGACUCAUCCUUCUUCUCAUGAUCCUUAUUGGCCCGUCGCCGAUUCAGAUCUAGCAGGCGCUCCUCCUGAGCCGCCUUCUCGGCCGCCUCCCUCUUGGCCUCCAACCGAAGGCGGUCCACCUCCGCGGUCAGGGCCUUGUUCUCGGCGACUAUACCUUCAAUUUGGUCGAAGCACCUUUUUUCGGUACUUCGCCGUUUUCAUUGCACCCUUCAAGAAAUAUACAUAUCAUACAGUGAACAAGCAGCAGUGUAUACAUAAUCCGGCCGAAUACACGACCACUCACCUUAACUUCAUCAACAAGCCGCUUAGCAGCGCGCUAUACCCUCGCCGCCUCCUCGGUCUUGGCGAGCUCCUCGUGGCCGGCCCAGUGGUCCCCACGCUGGCGAGUCUAUUUUCAAGCCCAAGUAGUUGCACCUGAAUUGGAUUCUCCUUCGUCGAGAUAUGACUAUGUAAAUACAAACUGGUCAGAAGAUCAAUAGUCAGCAUGAUGUUCAAAUUCCCAUGCAAAACUGCAGCAUUGUACAUUAUUUCGUGGUGCAUGCUGCACAUGGUGUGAAAGGUUAUUAAGUUAUCUUUCCAACGCAUCCAGCCAUGCAUCAUUUGGAAGUUCCAAGGUAGAGUUAUUGUCAAAACACUAAAAACUGCACCGAAGACCAACAGCCACGCGGGAACUCUCCAGAAAGUCAUCUCGAAGAGGCCCUUUCACAUAGUCUGCCUUAGUUUUUCUAUUUCGUACUUCUACCUAUCUAGCAAGGCUAUUGCUAGUAUAAAUACCCCCUAAGACUCAUCGUAAUCGUAGGCUUUUGAUAAUUGAAAUACAGAACCCCUUUUGUUUAGCUGUGUGCAAACAAAUAUUCAAAGAGUGAUCUCUACCCCUUGCUCUUGUGAUUUCUUCGUGGGAUUACAUAGGCGGCAACUUCAUCUGCUCCCAAUUGGUGCUCCUACUCCCUUCAAGGUAUUCCUUGAUUGAUUGUAGGUUGUGUUGGUUGGUUCUUUGAGAGUGUGGUUGGGUGAAUCCUCGAUUUAGGUCACCGGUUAAAGAUGGUGGUUGGCUUCGAGUUUUAUUUGUCAGGUUGCACUAGUUAUCACUGCUUGCAGCAAGUUAUCCGGCUGUUCUUCAGCUAGUUAUCAAUGUUCAUCCUACGUCAUGAAGAUCGGGACAACGUGUCGCAUCAUCUGGUAUCAAAGCUUUCGUUACCACGGUAGGAAUUUUAUCCCUAGCUACAUAUAUAUUUUGCAUCGUCUUAUCCACCAAAAAGCUAGUAAAAUAUAUUGCUUAGACCUUUGAUUCAACCUAUUAUUUUAUUGAGUUCAGUUAAGUUGCAGUCCAUUAGAGUCUUUGUUUUAGUUGCUGAUCAUUUAUCCUUCGUGUGUUCUUUGUGCCUCUUUUAUAUCAAAAAAAAUUCCCACAAAAAAAUCUCUAUAGCCUAUAUCAUCUUUUGUGUUAUCUUUGAUCCUAUCAAGUUAUAGUUUCUAGUUGUGCUUUGUUUCUAUCAUCAAGUUUGCAAGUAUUAUAUCUGAUCAUUGUGUUUAGUUAUAAAAAGAAAAGUGAGUCAAAAACAAUGGAUAAGAAAAAAAAUCAGAAAGGAAGUUGCAAGAUCGGUUAUGUCAAGUGCAUCAUUGCUGAAAGUUUUUGUAUUGAGUUGAACAACGAGUUUGCUAUCUCUGUUUGGUGUAAUAUUUUGGUUGGGUCUGAUUGCAACACUUGAAUCCCAAUCAUACUCCUUGUUUGCAUCAAAUCUGAAUUUUCUUUGCGCGUGUGUGUGAUCAUUUACUUCUUUCAUAUCAUGUGGUCAGCACUAGGCAGAGAACUUCUAGUUUGGAUCCUUACUUAACUUUACAACAACUAGAAUUUAGAUUGCAUUCCUUGUGUAUUACUCCCCACGAAGCUCCACAAAAAAAUCAUCGUAAUCGGUACUCUCUAUUCAUGUAUUCGCCUCGCCAUCACUUUCAGUUGCCACCACACAUUUGUUUUUUGUGUAAUCCACAUUAGAGGAAUUCAUAAGAGCUUCGGUGGUUAGACAGGUGAGUUGUGAGAGCCACCAAAUUUUUAUAGUCUACAAAUAAAAAUUAUUUGUAUUUAGCUAACCUCACAGGAAGAUGGGUGAUGGAAUAGAGGAUUGUGUCACUAUGACACAAUUUAAUGAACUCUGACAAAGCAUGGAAGAAAAGCAAGAUAGGUUGACACAAGAUCUUCAGAAUCUUAUGACUCAAAUCAGAAGGUGUCGCCAACCUCAUGAUGGUGCAAGCAACCAUGGUGAAGAUGGAGAUAUGAGUGGUAGAAGUGUUGUUAGUAGAAGCUCAAGAGAACAAGGAAGGAGGAACCAAGGUAGGGGAAGAGGUCAAGGUCGAAGAAAUCAUGAUGAUGAAGAUUCUUGAUAGGUUACCGAUAUGAAUCGGUACGAGGGUGGCCCGAUCUUCACAACAGUAGAUCAAAAGAACAAGGAUAACUUGCUGUGAACAGCGGGUAACUAGCUUUAUACCUGACAAAGAUUGGAUGCGACCAAGCGACAGGGAGAGAGGCACCAAAACCACGAAGACUUCGACUUGAUCUCCGAACGACCGCAGAACCAUAAUCCAGAACUAAUCCACACAAUACGGCGCAGCCGAACAGAAGCCGUAGAGCACGAAGUAGGGGAACCCAGAGGAUUCACUUCACAAGUCCAAGAAGAACAAGGAAGCACAAAGGUUGAGUAAGGUACUCAGCAGCGCGGCUGCAAUAUCAUGUAGUUUAUCAAAAUGAUCAAAGGUUUCUAAUAGGUUAGAGGUAGGGGAUAUUUAUACUAGGAACAACCCUCCAAGAUAGGUAAGAAAACGAAAUAGAGUUAGUGAGGGAAGACAAUGUGAAAGGUCCCCUCGGAAUGGAUUCCAGAACUGGCUUCGCGUGACUAUUGGCCUCCAGAGCAGUUUCCAAUAAACUGACCAUAACUUCUUAUUGGGAAGUCCAAAUGACAAACUGUUUCUUGGGUGUGAAACUAGACACCAAGAGCUUUCUAGCAAUUUAUUCCAUGCACCAUGAAACAUUGUAGACUGGUACAGUUUUGUACGACAAGUGGUACUAACAUUCUGUCACGACAGACUGUUGACCUUCUGAGCAGUCUUGACUAAUCCAAGCAAAACUCUUGAUUGCGGCGUCCAAAUGAGAUGAAACUUAAGGCAUUGGAAAGAAGACUCGACAAGCUUUCCAACAAGUCCUCAUGGACCUUCAUAGCUUUUAUGAGUAAAAGGUUAUGAUGAUUUCUUUGCACUGGUCCGUUCUUGACUCUACUGGUCCGUUUUGCUAGUUUGUUAGGGACUUGCACUGGUCCAUUCUUCACUCUAGUGAUCCGAUUUGCUAGUCCGUCUUCAGGGUCUGAUUCAUCCUUCUCUUCUUCUAUAUACCUGAGUACAAUUAAGGUACAACACUUAGGUAGUAUAUAAUUCUCAUUAAUAUAAAAAUGAAUCUCACAAAGUAUCGCGUGGACCUCUUGUUGUAGCCUCUUGUCAUGGCUUCUUGUAAGUUGACCCUGAUGUGUAGCAUUUGGACUUGAUCGAGCGUGCAUAGCUGGGAUGUCCUCAUCAUCCUCCCCCACUUGAAAAGGAGUCGUCCUCGACUCUAACUCUUCUAAUCCAAAGAGUUGUGCUAGGCCAUCGGUUUGUAAUAUUGUGAUAACAUCGCAAUCUUCUUGUUCCAUGAUAGCAAGGUGUUUGAAUUUAUAAUCAUAUAAACCAAGUAGUAGCCUUGUAUGUGGAAACCUAAAUGAUUUGGAAUCAAGUUUAGCUUUCACCUUGAGUGGAUGCUUGAAUGUUGAUUGCCUUGGUAUGGUCUCAUCAUCCUCCCUCCCUUCAAGAAAAGUCGUCCACGACUUUUGUUUACCUGAAAACAGCUUAGACAAAAUAUAGGGUGGUUGUACUUAAUAAUUCCAAUAAUCAUUCCUUUUGUUUUGUUCAUUUGUUCCAUUAUGAAUUAUUUUUGCAUUAUUUCCUUUUCCAUGUAAGAAACAUUCUCUCAACUUUGGUGAACCUGCAAACAGUUUAGAGGAUGGAAGCAUAAAAAUUUCUUCCAAUCCAAUCAUUUGAUUCAUGUUAUCAUGUUUUAUCUUUAGAAGAUCAAACUUUUCAUCAAAUGGAUGUUGAGAACUAAUGUUGUUCCAAAAAUUAUUGUGGCAGCAAAAUUUAUUCAAGGGUUUAGAAGUAUAAUUUUUAAACUCAAUGCUCCAAGGUGUGGAUGAACAACUUUACGGUGUAUAAGCUUUACUUUGCACAAGAUUUCUAACUUUAAGUGUAUGGUACAAACAUGCUGACAACAUGAAUUGAUCGAAACCAUAAGCACCAAGCAUUUGUUGCAUCUUAAAAGAUUUCUCACUUUGUUUAUCUCUCAACAUUUUUGAGUCUAAAUCAGCAAGCUUGUUGUUACACAAAUUGCAUGAACCUAGAAGGUAUCUACAACACGUUCUCCAAUCAAGACAAAUGUAAACUGGAAGCUAUGAGUAGUAUUCGAUGAACUCAAAGAUGUUAUGUUAGAAAUUUUCUCAAGCAUUUGCUCAAUAUUGAUAGGCAUAUUAAGCAUAGUAUAACACAAACAUUCAAGAGGAGAUAUCCUUGUAAACAAAUCAGCACAAGUAACUGACUGGAUAAGGUGUUAUUUUUGUUAUAUGAAAUGUUGCAAGGAUCAUUCAAAGCACAAAGACUCUCAUCAAUAAGAAAAUCAGCACUUGUAUCAACAUGAGUUCUAGUCAAAUCAGCACAAAUGUUUUGGUCAUGUUUUAUUGCUGAAACAGUGAUAUCACAAGUACACAGUAUGCGUUGAACAAUCAGAUUUGAUUUAUUUUUCAUGUAUUUUAAAUUCAAUGAUUCUACAUGUACCAAGGUUUGAAUCUCUGAAUUUUUAUCUUCAUUGUUAAUCUUAGAUGGUUUUGAUGAAUUAACUAAAGGGUUGAGAAAUGUGCAGCCAUCUCCAAGAUGUAUGAGCAUUGAAACAUAAUGCAUCGUACAACACAUAUGAAUGCAAAUCAUCAUGUAUAUGAACCAUAUGAAACCAUAGAAAUGAUCAUGUAUGAUUGAACUUUGGUUAUCAGCUUGCAAAAUUUCAGCACAUGGGUGAACAUGUGAAAUAAUCAAAUCAGUGCAAAGAUUUCGUGUAUGGUUAAUCCCAUUUGAACCAUAUGUACUAUCAUAAUUACUUGCCAUUUUAUUUUGCAAACUCAAAUUUGAUUUAUUUUCAAUAAAUUUUAGACUUUUUGGUGGUGCAAGUACCAAGGAUUGCACCUCUGAAAUCUUAUCGUUAUCCAUGUCAUGGUUUAGGUUUUGGGCAACACACAAUGGGUUUAGUUGAAUGGCUACCUUCUCAUUUCUCUCAACAAGUUUGGUGUUGUCUUGAGCAUCCAUCUCUUCCCUAUUCUCAUCACCAACCUACACAUUCAGAAAGACAAAACUAGAAGUAGAGAUGAGAGUGUUUGUCGGUGUUUUCCCCACGGGGGGUCACACCAACGAGUAAAUUUGUAUGUGUGCUCCCUUUUCAAGAUGGUGAUGCAAGAAGACACAAAGAUUUAUCCUGGUUCGGGCAAGAGAAGGCCCUACGUCCAGCGGGGGAGGAGAGUUUGUAUUAUCUUGCACCUAAGUGCUUGUACAAGGGUGAAUACAAGCGCGUAUGAACUGGGAUGGAGUAUGGAAACUUCACUACAUGUGGGUGGUGUGUUGCUGAUGUCUGGUCUGUUUACUCCCGGGUCUCCCCUUUUAUAUUUCCAAGGAGAGACCUAGGGUACAUGUAUAGGUGUCAGAUUAGGGGUCGAUAGAGGCAUGGCACGCUGACCUACUCGAGGCCUCCGUACCGGCAUGGCCUCGAGCCGUCCCGUCCUGGUAGCUUGAUGAUGACCACGCGUGCCCUUAUAUCCCACUCUGUACGCCGUCUUGGGCUGGUUUGUCUGCUGUACGCCUGUACGUCAUGGCGGCGAACGCGUCGGAACGGUUGUGGUGUUGUCAUUCGACGCCCAACCCUUCUCCAGGAAGAAAUCAUGUCUGGUCGAGGGUCUGUUGAUGCAAAAGCUGAUCUGCAAACACAAAGGGCUAAUACCCGAUUUAAACGUUAAGGCGUGUCAGCCGAUUUGACCUUACUAUCGGCAAGGGUGAUAACUCGAAUACUUUGGUCCCGACAACAGCGAUGCGCCCGGAUGCCACGGCCAAGAGGUAUUCACGCGGAACUUGAGAAUACGCCGAGCUUAAGUCGACGAACUCCUAAGAACUCGUAGUAAAAUGGAAAAAGUAUGAUGAAGUCAUCGAAAAAGUAGGUACUGGAAUAUGAGUAAAAACUUGUGUUUGAUUGAUUGAUAGAUUCCUUUAUUACAAGGCCCUAGGGUCUACAUUUAUACCCUGCUCAAAGAGCCACAACCAGACACAACUAGAAUUCGAAUUCCAAAUUUAAACAGAAUCCGUGUACAAAACGACUUAGAUAACUAAGGAAAACAUAAAACUAUCUUGCCGCAACAAACUAGGACACUUCUACCGAUCAAUCGGCAACCUUCAGGCUCUCCGUCCGCAUCAUCGGCAGGCCUCCUUAUCGUAACCAUCGACACAAGUUAAUAAUGGCCAUUAGCACAAACACACCGCCACCUAUGAACUUAGCCAUAUUCGGCUAUCCCUUCAUCAGCAACCAUCCUCAUCGGCAACUCAUCCUGUAGACCAAGCACUGCUGUCUUGUCUUGCCGACCUGCAUUCUACCGAUCAUGGACACGUGCCCAAAAACGGUGUCAACACAUGCCCCCCAAUUUCGGAGUAUGAAAUCAUUAAUGCUCCGAAAUUCUCCGCAGUAAUGAUGUCUUUCUGCAAUUAAUUCGCCCAAUUUGGUAACCGACAACCUCAACCUGAACAACCCUGAUCUGAUCCUUCCACAGAUUCCUCGAAAUCCUCAAUGUCCCAAAUGGACACCUCCACUUUAAUCGCUCAUCGGCAAUAUUACCGUUAUAGGAACUUGCCGAUGAACUGACCAGGACGUCCAUUUCAGUAAUGUAUCUUAUCCUCCCAAACGGCUAUCUCCACUUCAUUCGCCCAUCGGCAAUAUUACCGUUACAAGGCGCUGCCGAUGGACCGACCAGGAGAUCCCGCACAGUAAAAUAUCUCUGGAUAAUGACCGCUUCCCGUCAAAUCUCCUGUACAAUCCCUUGAUUACCGUGCGAACAGUUACCAUAUCUACCUGAGUACCCUCGGAUUUCACGGAUACAGCGAAGAGAUAAGUCAGAUUUGCCCUUGCCCGUUUUGUCCUAUAAAUAGUUCCUUCUCGGGUACUCCUUCCCCAUCACAUCAUUCCACAGCUCCAACUCCACUUUCCCGGCGGCGGCGCUGUCCAAGAGCUCCAAGAUCUCCAACGAAGCCCCUUCUUCACCAACUCUGAAGCCCUCGAUCAUCCUCUUCGCGACGAGAUGGCCAUCAACUUCACCAUCCCUAAGGUCAGUUCAUCAUCCCAUCUCAUGUAUUUCCGCCAUAUCCUGAUUCAUCUACAAUUUAUUUUACUGAGUAUUUUUUCUUUUCUCUUUUUAUUCUUGUUCUUCCUUUUAUACCCAAAACCAUUAGGAUCUGUCCAACAAAAUUGUCAUCCCCACCGAUCAACCACACCUCCAAUGUCUCGGUCCGUUAAGAAUCCAGAUCCCAUCGACUUCAUCAACGCAGAAAAAAUAGAAUCCCAUUUAGAGCCGAUAAUUUUUCUCUGGAUCUGUGGAAGGAUACUUUCCGUUCCUGGCCCAGUCCUACCGUGGGAUGGAAGGAUUAGUUCUUGAGAGUUAGCCAUUCAAAUGAAGUCCAACGGGGUGAGAGAAAACUGGACUAAUGCAUCAGGCUAUCCAUUGCCGAUAUGCAUAGAAAUGAGUCACUGCUGAUAGCUGCAUCAUAUUUUUGGUCAGACACACUCAAUGCCUUUAUGUUUGGCCAUGGCCCUGCCGCCCCAACACUUGCCGAUGUGGUCAUGCUCACUGGCUUAGAUGUAUCUUCUGCCGAUAGUACCCAUUUUUUCGACACCAAACCCAGUGCUAAGGUAGAAACUCGUUCCAUCGGCGGCUGGUCAGGGUAUAUUCAGAAAUACCGUAGGACAGGGCCCGUCAACAUAAACGAACAAACCAUCUUUCUAAACAUGUGGCUAGACAAAUUCGUAUUCUGUGGCCGAUCGGCAGGACCGACUUCUGUCUAUCUAUCGGCAGCAGAGAGACUGGCUAACGAUGGCCGAUUUCCCCUCGGCUGAUACUUGCUUGGUGCUGCCUACCAUCUCCUCCAUCAGGUAACCAAGAAACUCCUACUCGGCCAGUCCAUCGGCAACUUGGGGGGUCCCUGGUGGUUUAUCAAUAUGUGGCUCAGCCUCCACAUGCACAGGCGCCUUGAGUUCGACCUCUUUGCACAGCGCUUCCCCAGAGAUAUAGCUGAGAACCAUGAACUGGAUGAAGAGGAAUCGGCAACUCGCCCUCCCCUGAACUUCGGCGAGGCUGUCAUAGUUCUACCCUGAACUUCAGCCGAUUCUUCCAAACCCUGUAUGAAGGCUUGACCAGAGAAGAGCGAGCAUGGUUGCCAUAUGACGAUCCAGAUACCAUGUUCCCUUUAAUCUUCCACCCGUUCAACGAUGCCCUCAACAAGGAUCAUGAAGUGAUGAUGGCACUGAUCACUCCCAGAGUUAUACCGGUAAACUUCUUUGGUAGUGGGAAAACCUCUAGCCAAACUUAUGAGUUUUACAACCCAUCGGCACUAGCCCGCCAAUUAGCUUUCGGCCAGCUGCCGAUUGCACUCUGUUAUGCCGAUGUGAUAAAACCCAGGGAAGCCAUCACUAACCUCCUUGAAUGGGUUCGAGUAGCCCAACUGUCAUCAAGUGCCGAUACAGACGUAGAUUUGUCAGAGUGGGUUCCAGCCGCCUUCAUCACUCAGUCGUAUAAACAAUGGUGGGCAGAAUGGAAGGAGCACUUGUUCUGCAGAUCGGCUCUUACGUACCGCAGCAUGAUCGACCCCGAGUAUAAAGUCCCUGAUAAUAUUGUAAGCCUCUUCGAACCGAUGCUUUAAUCCUUUCAAUUUUAUUUCCAUCGGUAACUUACUUCUGUAUCACUUUGCAGGUCGACAACACCCCUCCAUCGGUCAGCAGGAGUGGCAAGCCGAUUGACCUAUUCCCAUCAGGUCCAAUCCUUCAAUCGGCAACAACGCUCCCACCCUGGCCGGCAUCAUACAUCGAGGUAUACGCCUUAAGAAAGUUACCACCACGAGAACGCAAAUAUCUCCAUCGGUUGCUGCCUCUACCUUGGCACAGGCGUUUAAGGUAUACUUUCAAUUUUUAUACUGAUAUCACUCUUAUGUCUGUUGCACUUGCAUUCACGAAUCUUCCUUUCUGUAUCAGCACACCAGCGCAUCGGCAAGGACCAAAAGCAAAGGUGCCGAUGCCCCCCAGUCCACCCAACAGAAGAGAAAAGGUGCCAAGAGUACCAGAGCACAAACAAAGCGCCAGAGAGUAGCAACUCCUUCUCCCCCUCCGGUACCUCCAAUUCUGGUGGAAUCCUCUCCUUCUUCUCUAGAAACACAGACACAGUAAGUACCAUCUCCCCCUCAACCGCAAGAAGCACCACAAGUGGAAGAACUCCGACCAGAAGAGCCCCAACCAGAAGUAUCUCAGCCAGAAGACACAUCGGCUGAUAUAAGUGACCAGACGACUGAUCCAGCAGGCUCAAUCAUAGCAUUGGUAGUUUCCUCAAUCCUGACAAGCACUGCACCUCCUCAAGGUAAUACAUCUUUACGAAGCCAUCACCGAUGAAUCCUACUUUCCUGUUCUCAUAAUUCCUUCUGCCAAUUUUCAGCUAACAUAGUCCCAUCGGCAACCCCGGCCGAUCAGCCUAUAGUUCCAUCGGCAUCUUCCAGUCAAAGGCGAGAGAUUGCCUUGAAGCAAGUAAGUCAUCCAAUCUCCAUCAAUAUUAGUUGUCAAUGCUUGACCAUGGAAUGACUCAUUUUAUCUCCUUUCAGGAACAGGAUUCUCCCGACAGCCUAUUCUCCUUCGCUAUCGACAUCUCUGAAGAUGAAGGCGAAGAAGCAAGCUCUUCUCGGGCAGUUGGGAUUACAUCGGCAGAAGUCAGGGCAAAGCUGGAAGAACUAUCGGCUCUCCUCCACCAAGACACAGCCCAGCUAGUCGAUGAUUCUAAUCCGGCCAAGGCUUUAUUCAAGACUCUGAGAGGCCAAAUCCCUGCCGAUGCCGAAGAAGUUCUCUUCCAAGCAGCACACCUAGAGAGUCGUCAACUGCAGUACCAGAGGGCUGCCCAGCGCCUUGCCGACAGAGCCGCUCGGACUCGUCUUUCUAAGGAGAUGAUGAAAGAAAAACUUCUUAUCGAUGAAAAGCAUAAGAUCAUCGGCACCUUGAAGUCCUCGGGGGAUGCACUGAAGCACAAAAUCUCCGAUCUGUCGGCCAAAAGGGAAGCCCUGUUGGCAGAACUUAAACAAGUAGAGGAUGCCCUGUCCCAAGCCAGGCAAGAAGAAAGCCAACUGUCGGAGACAAUCAAGCUUCUUGAGCAAGAGCGAAAUGUCCAUGGUCGCAAAGCACUGCAGUUGAAGAAGAAGUUGAAGCCGGUAGAAGGUUCUGCCGAUGAAGACACCAAAGAGAUAGAAGCAGCCAACCAAAUCCGCCUGCGUGCCAUAUCGGCCAUCCAAGCGCUGCUAAACAUGUGAGCCCUUCAUCGGCAACAUGCUCGUCUCUCUCUGCUUUCCAGCUUCCUUGAUGUUUAGUCUAGCUGAUAGGACUGUUAUCGCCAUCUUUUGAAACAUUAAGCCCCAGACACAUCUCGAUCCAGCCGAUAGGAGUGUUAUCGGCAUUUAAACUUUUACGCAUCGACCCAUAUGCUUGGGUAGUAUCUCUUCAGAUAUUUGCCAUUUAGUGCUCUAGGAAAUUCAACUCCUUCGAGAGUUUCUAGAAUAUAGGCAUUACCAGGAGCCGAUCGACUUAUCUGAUAGGGACCCUCCCAAUUGGGAGACCACUUCCCAAAUUUUGAACUUUUAGUCCCGAUCGGCAAGAUCAAUUUUCAUACCAAGUCUCCAUCGGCAAACCCCUUAGCCUUCACUUUCUUAUCAUACCAUCUAGCAACUCUCUUCUUAUUUUCUUCUAUACUCGUUAAAGCCUUUAGCCGAUGUCCUGCUAGAUCAUCUAACUCAUCUGUCAUCAAAGUAGCAUGAUCAUCGGCAGCCAAUUGAUCGUGAAAAGAUAGUCGCCUAGAUUCAGUCUUAAUUUCCCAAGGUAACACUGCAUCAUGUCCAUACACCAACUAAUAAGGUGAAACCUUGGUUGAUCCAUGACAAGCUAUCCGAUAGGACCAUAAAGCUUCAUUCAACAAUGUGUGCCACCGUUUAGGAUUUUCUUCAAUUUUUCAUUUGAUAAGCUUGAUAAUUCCUUUGUUAGAUGCCUCGGCCUGCCCAUUAGCUUGAGCAUAAUAAGGAGAAGAGUUUAACACUUUAAUUCCCAUACCGAUUGCGAAUUUAUCAAAUUCCCCCGAUGUGAACAUAGUACCCUGAUCGGUAGUAAUUGUCUGAGGAAUCCCAAAUCGGUAAAUAAUGUGCUCUUUCACAAAAUCAAUCAUAUUAGCCGAAGUAACUUUCUUCAAAGGAAUGGCCUCAACCUAUUUGGUGAAAUAAUCGGUGGCAACCAAGAUAAACUUAUGCCCUUUGCUAGAUGGCGGAUAAAUCUGACCGAUUAAGUCAAUAGCCCAUCCCCGGAACGGCCAAGGUUUGAUAAUAGAAUUCGUGGCCGAUGCGGGUGCUCUUUGAAUAUUGCCAAAUUUCUGACAUCCUUGACACCCCUUGAAAUAUUUAAAGCAAUCUUCAAGUAUGGUCGGCCAAUAAUACCCGUUCCUCCUAAUCAUCCACUUCAUCUUAAAAGCCGACUGAUGUGCUCCACAUACCCCUUCAUAGAUUUCUCCCAUCAAACUCUUAGCUUCAUCAUGACCUAAGCAUAGGAGAAGAAUCCCAUCAAUAGUUCGAUAAUACAAUUCAUCUUCGAGGAGCACAUACUUGGUGGCUUGAAACCGAACCCGUCUUUCGACUCUCUUAGAUGGAUCUUUUAAAUAAUCAACGAUUUCCUUUCUCCAAUCAUCGGCAUCAAUUGCUGAUAUUGUAUUAAUCAUAGGCUGAUAUCCUGAGGCAUGCUAAGCCAACCGAUUGGCCUCUUCAUUAUGCAAUCGAGGAACAUGCUCUAAUCGGAACUCUUUGAAUUCCUUUAACAGCCGGAUACUCUUUUUGUAAUAAGUUAUGAGAACUUCACUUCGGCAUUCAUAGCUUCUAGCCAAUUGAUUUAUAACUAGCAUAGAAUCCCCGAAAACCUUAACAGCAUCAGCAUGAACCUCCCUUAAUAAUUCCAAUCCCUUUAUUAAAGCUUGAUAUUCAGCCUGAUUAUUCGUCGACGUGGCAACAAUCGGUAAGGAAAACUCAUACUUCCUUCCUCGAGGGGAAAUUAAUACUAUACCGAUUCCUGCUCCCCGGUCACACGUAGAUCCAUCAAAGAAAAGCAUCCAAGGUACAAUUUCCAAAGCUUCCACUGUACCGCAAUGUUGAGUUACGAAAUCGGCCAUAAUCUGCCCUUUAACUGCCUUAGCCGAUUCAUAAUGCAGAUCGAACUCCGACAGCGCCAAAAUCCACUUACCGAUCCUUCCACUCAUAAUCGGCAUGGACAACAUGUACCGGAUCACAUCAUCCUUGCAAAUAACAGUGCAUUCGGCUGAUAACAAGUAGUGCCUCAACUUGAUACAAGAGAAAUAUAAGCACAAGCAUAGUUUCUCAAUAGUCGAAUACCUAGUCUCAGCAUCAAUCAACCUCCUGCUUAAGUAAUAAAUUACACGCUCCUUCCCUUCAAAUUCUUGAAUUAAAGCCGAACCGAUGACCAUCCCAUCGGUAGACAAAUACAAUCUGAAGGGCUUCCCAUGCUGAGGUGGAAUUAGAACUGGAGGAUUCACCAAAUAAUUCUUAAUUUCAUCCAGAGCCAUCUGUUGUACCUUUCCCCAAACAAACUCUUGAUCGGCCCUUAACUUAAGAAGAGGACUGAAAGCACGAAUUUUACCAGACAAAUUAGAUAUAAACCUUCUGAUAAAAUUUACCUUGCCGAUCAAGGACUGGAGCUCGGUCUUGUUGGUAGGGGCCACUAUCUUAUUGAUGGCAUCAAUAGAUCUUUGGCUGAUUUCAAUCCCCCAUUGGUGCACCAUGAAACCAAGAAAUUGUCUUGCCGAUACACCAAAUGCACACUUAUUGGGAUUCAUUUUCAAAGCAUGCUUCCUUGUGCACUCCAACACCUUUCGUAAAUCGGCAAGAUGCUUUGUGAAGUUUCCAGACUUAACCACCCCAUCAUCAAUAUAAAUCUCCACCAGCUUGUCGAUGAACUCAUGAAAUAUAAAAUUCAUGGCCCUUUGAUAAGUGGCACCAGCAUUCUUUAAGCCAAAGGUCAUGACUAUCCAUUCAAACAAUCCAACAUGACCAGGGCACCUGAACGCGGUCUUUGGAAUAUCCUCUUCAGCCAUGAAUAUUUGAUUGUAUCUUGCAUUGCCAUCCAUAAAGCUAAUAAUCCGAUGCCCAGCCGCAUCGUCAACUAGCAGAUCGGCAACUGGCAUUGGGUAUCCAUCCAUCGGUGUAGCUUUGUUGAGAUUCCUGAAAUCAAUGCAGACCCGCAGCUUCCCGUUCUUCUUGUAGACCGGAACAACAUUGGAAAUCCACUCGGCAUACCGACACUGCCGAAUAAACUUGGCUUCAAUAAUUUUGGUUAUCUCGGUCUUAAUAUCAGGGAGAAUAUUAGGAUUACAUCAGCGAGCCAGCUGCUGAUGUGGCCGAAAUCCAGACUUGAUAGGUAACCGAUGUUCAACAAUUGAUCGGUCCAAACCAGGCAUCUCAGUAUAAUCCCAAGCAAAGCAAUCUUUAUAUUCCUUUAACAAAUCAGUUGACUGUUGCUUACACUCAGGAUCUAACUUAGCACUAAUAAAAUUAGGUCUAGGUUUAUCACCACUACCUAUAUCUACUUCUACUAAAUCAUCGGCCGAUGUAAACCUCUGGCCUAACUUUCCAUCAUCGGCGAACCUGUCCAUUAGAAACCUUGAACCGACUGCUUGGAUCGAUGGAAUUUCAUAAUCGGCAACCUUGAGAAAAUCCUUCUCCCAAGCUUCUCCUGAAAUACACCUAGUCUUUUCAUAGGUGUCUGCCUCUGCCGAUGCAAUAACAUAUGAAGAAUCUCCUGGGACAAUUUCAAUCUUGUCACCUACCCACUGGACCAAGCACUGGUGCAUUGUAGAUGGGAUGCAACAAUUGGCAUGAAUCCAAUCUCUACCCAAUAGUAAAUCAUAUGCACCUUUUCCACUGAUCACGAAGAAAGUCGUCGGCAAGGUUUUGCUGCCGAUGGUCAACUCAACACAUACUGCCCCUUGACCGGAGACACGUUCCCUUCGAAAUCCUUUAACAUCAUAUCGGUCUUGGUCAAAUCCUGAUCUCCUUUCCCAAGUUUCCGAUACACUGCAUAAGGCAUGAUCUUAAUAGCAGCUCCACCAUCAAUGAGAAUCUUAGUCAUUGGCUGACCAUCCACUCUUCCUUUGACAAAUAAAGCCUUAAGAUGUUGUCUUUCAUUGUCGGCAGGCUUCUCGAAGAUGGCGGUCAUUGGAUCCAGAGCCAACUGAGCUAUUUGGUCGGAAAACUCCUACUCAUCAUCACUAGACGGCGCCAAGAAUUCCAACGGCAACAUAAAUACCAUGUUGACAUCUGCCGAUGGACCUUCCCCCUUGGGAUCUGAUUGCUGCUGAUCCCCAGACUGGCCAGAAUUCUCGCCUUUGCUUAGCCCUUCUCGCCUUUCAUGCUGCAGUCUUCUCUUUUGUGUUCUGGUUAACCCUUCUGGACACCAGGGAGGAAGUUGCUGCUGCCUUACCGAUGGGCGGCGAUUUUCUCCUGACUCCAUUCGGUAAGUAUUGGCAUCUCGGUAGAAGAUGAACUCAUCGGGAACCCGUGCAUUAGCCAUCUCUUCGAGUUCUUCCUAGUUCUUGGGAAAAUAUUGAACACGAUCGCAAAGCCUGUCGUGCACACUGAGCCUGCCCCCCAGCCGAUCGUGAACGGACGCUCUUCCUCUAAUCGGCCUAUUAGAUCGCCGAUUGUCGUCGUGAUAGCGCCGAUCGGAUCUAUCAUACCGAUCAUAACCGUUGCACUCAGGACAAUCUCUGACAGUGGGAAGCUUAAUAUUCUCCUCCUAAUAUUGAAUGAAGAACGGGCAAUUCUAGUGAUCUCUGUGCCGAUUCCACUCUUGCCGGCGCCUUUCUUCCUCCCGAUGGUAUUCUUCCUGCCGGCGCCGAUAUCGGUCCUCACGUUGCUGCCAAGUUUCCCGAGGCCUUCUGUGAGUUAUUACAAUACCAGAUCGGGGAGGCCUUCCCGAGUUGGCUCCUACCUGGCUUAAGCCUCUUCCCUUGGCAUCGGCAGUAGUGAUCUCAUGCUGAGGAUCCACCGAUGCACUUCUUUCAGCUGCUUCCAAUGUCAAGACCUUGGCCUUUCCCUUAGCAUCCAGCAUGUUUGUUGGGAAAGGGUGUUGAUCAAUUUUCAUCGGCUUCUGAGUUCUGGAGCUGUCAAAUUUGAUCCUCCCAGAUUCUAUAGCCGAUUGCAGCUGCUGUCUAAAAACUUUACACUCAUUAGUGUCAUGAGAAGUUGCAUUGUGCCACUUGCAAUACUUCAUCCUUUUUAAUUCUUCAGCCGAUGGGAUCACAUGAUUAGGUGACAGCUUGAUCUGACCUUCCUGGAGCAGAAAGUCAAAUAUCCUAUCGGCCUUGGUGGUGUCGAACGCGAACUUCUCUGGUUCUUUAUGUCCAAAAGGACAAGACAUCGGCUUUUUAUUUUUUACCCAUUCUGCCAAGCCGAUGACUGGUUCUUCAUCAGAGUCCGAGCUCGCCGCUUCAUCCACAAAUGAUACCUUUUUAUUCCAUGCUCUCUUGGGUUCAAACGGCUUGAUGUCUUGAUCAGAAAUUCUCUGCACCAAAUGACUUAAGCUUUCAAACUCCUGAGACGCAUAUUUGUCCCUUAUGUGCGGCAACAAACCCUGGAAAGCCAAAUCAGCUAGCUGCCGAUCAUCCAGAACCAAGCUAUAGCAUUUGUUCUUAACCACCCGUAUCCUCUGCACAAAACUUUCAACGGAUUCAUCAUUGUGCUGCCUCGAUUUGACCAAAUCGGUGAUCUUCUUCUCAUGGACACCAGAAAAGAAGUAUUUGUGGAAUUGCUUCUCUAGAUCGGCCCAUGUAACCACUGAGUUGGGAGGUAAUGAUAUAAACCAGGUAAAAGCCGAUCUAGAUAAUGAUGACGAGAAUAAACAAACCCUCAAUUCGUCCCUGUUAGCAACUUCUCCGCACUGGAUGAUGAAACUAUUGACAUGCUCCAUGGUUGACGUGUCAUCUUGCCUAGAAUACUUAGUAAAAUCCGAUACCUUGUACCGAUUCGGAAGCGGGAUCAGAUCAUAUGCGGGAGGAUACGGUGUCCGAUAAGAGUAAGUGUUGACUUUGGGUUUUAUCCCAAAUUGGUCUCUCAUUACUUCAGCAAUCUUAUCGGCCCAAUAAGCAUCGGCAUCUUGCCGAUGAGGUGGUUGCGGAUCCGGCACCUGCUGGUAAGCUUCCACGUGUCUAUGCGGCGCACGAUCUGCAUGAAACAUUGGGUUAAUCAUCUGGCCCCCAAUCUGCGGACCACCAAGCUGUUGCCUGCCAAUCUGCUGUCCGCCGACCUGCUGCCCAAUAUUCAUUGGCUGGUUAGGCAUCCCCUGAUUCUGAAACCCAGGAUAGAUCUGGCCUUACUGGAGCCCUGUAGCCUGAUGACUCUGUUGGGGUGUUUGCGGAAAGACUUGCUGCCCAAGCCAUCCACUAUUAGCAUUCAUUGGCAUGGUCCUGUCGAUGACUGGUAAUUGGGCAUGAUCAUCGGAUUGACAUACCCUAGUUGAGUCAUAAAUCUCUGUUGCAUCAGCAUUGAGUCUACCGAUGCGUUAGGCACCUGGAACGUUGGAGCUUGAGAAUUCCCAGUGUAAGGUCUUGCAGUAGUAGUCGUAGUAUACUGGGGACUCUGGUUCAUCGGCAUAUUUGGAGGUGCCGAUGCCAUAGGAGUCUUGCCUCUCAUAUCAGUUGCCUGAGAUGUGCCAGGUGUCUUCAAGUAUUCUGAGGGCAUACCAUAACCCCACCAGUUGGGAGGAGGGACCGGUCCUGACAUUGCUGAUGCCAAUAGAUCUAUAGUGAGCCUAAUAUGCUCAUCUGAAGUCGGUGGAUUGGUUGUCAUCGGCGUAGAUUGUGCAUUAGUGACUCCCAACGUACUUGGAGGAACGGUAGUCUGUAUUCCCGCAGCGACUGUAGCAGCUGGUGGAGCUAUGACCACCGGUGACCCCGGCUGGUGAUGAGAGGGGCCCACAUAAUCUGGUGGCAAUUGUCCUUCCUUGAAGGUUCUGGCUACGGCAUUGAAAACCGUAUUGGACAGCACACCAGCUUGGUUGAUUAAAGCGCAGUUGGUGGCACUAUCAACCAUCUCUUGAAGUUUACCAAGAUUAGCUUCAAAAGUAACCUGCCGAGGCGUCGGCAGUGCAUCCUUCUGGAUCACUUCGCCGCUCCUGUUUAUGAUGAAGGAUCUCAAGCACUGCUGCUUGUAAUCCUCCAUGGCUUUAGCAAUAGCUUGCUUCUGCUCAUCCUUGAGAUUGGCUUCCGUCACGGGGAUGACGUUCUCCUGAUCAAACUCAGAAGUCGACAUGUUGAUCUUUAUCUUGAAUCUGGUCCCACCGAGCGUGCCAAAAGAUGUGUUGAUGCAAAAGCUGAUCUGCAAACACAAAGGGCUAAUACCCGAUUUAAACGUUAAGGCGUGCUAGCCGAUUUGACCUUACUAUCGGCAAGGGUGAUAACUCGAAUACUUUGGUCCCGACAACAGCGAUGCGCCCGGAUGCCAUGGCUAAGAGGUAUUCACGCGGAACUUGAGAAUACGCCGAGCUUAAGUCGACGAACUCCUAAGAACUCAUAGUAAAAAGGAAAAAGUAUGACGAAGUCGUCGAAAAAGUAGGUACUGGAAUAUGAGUAAAAACUUGUGUUUGAUUGAUUCAUAGAUUCCUUGAUUACAAGGCCCUAGGUUCUACAUUUAUACCCUGAUCAAAGAGCUACAACCAGACAUGACUAGAAUUCGAAUUCUAAAAUUAAACAGAAUCCGUGUACAAAAUGACUUAAAUAACUAAGGAAAACAUAAAACUAUCCAGCCGCAACAAACUAGGACACUUCUACCGAUCAAUCGGCAACCUUCAGGCUCUCCUUCCGCAUCAUCGGCAGACCUCCUUAUCGUAACCAUCGGCACAAGUUAAUAAUGGCCAUCGGCACAAACACACCGCCACCUAUGAACCUAGCCAUAUUCGGCUAUCCCUUCAACAGCAACCAUCCUCAUCGGCAACUCAUCCUGUAGACCAAGCACUGCUGUCUUGUCUUGCCGACCUGCAUUCUACUGAUCAUGGACACGUGCCCAAAAACGGUGUCAACAGGGUCGGAUGCCGGGUAGCACCCUGCUGGCCAGAGCGCUGACCUUGGAUGUCUCGAGGGGGUCUUGAUUAGACAUUCCGACCAUGCUCCCUGCACCCUGACACGCUUUGGGUUAUUUGGUGGGGAAGGCUGCAAAAAGAAUGACGGGACGGGUGCCUGUUCACUAUCAUGCUUCCCGUGACUGGCGUGUUUGGUGAGAACGUGACAGGCGCAUUAAAUGCCCUGGUUCUCGUGCGCGCGUCAGUCAGCGGGCGGCGUCCUUGCGCUCGACGCCUCCCGAUUCGCUCGGGCCUGUUUCCGUAUUCGACGGUAGCGGGCGCUCGACCCCUGAUCGAUUCGCUCGAUGCCAUUUCCGUCUUCGAGGUCGCAGCCGUCGACGAUUGUACGCGUGAAUGUGUAGAGCGUCGAGUUGGGGGCCUCGACUUGUGUACGGGCAAUCUCGUUAUGUAUAUCAGUUAGGACACCCCUUACUGAUACCCUCGACAGUAGCCCCCGAGUCUCCAUUUGAGCGCUGGCGCUCGAGUGGAGGCUGUAUUUUCAUGGUCGAGUCUCCGUGGGGGCGCGCGAGCGACCCCGCGGGGGUAGCCCCCGAGUCCUUGGAGGAGUUUUUGACUCCUUCGAGGGCUAUAUUGCCUAAUUCGCAAAAACGCUGUCAACACCAGUGGUGGAAGGUUCUGAUUGGCUCGUUUUGUGCGGAGGUUUCGACGUACUCUCGAUAGAGCGAGCGUCAUCUAGCCCAGAUUGAGCUCCUAACUGGUAGUCCAAGUGAGAACCGGUGCCCCUUUCGAGGGGGUCAGCUGUAGCCCAGAGGCGUUCUCAUAAAGCGGGGUUGACGUGGUCGGGGAUGCUGGUCUCAUUCGAUAGAGUCCAGUGGCUCGAUGCCUCCCGUCGGGGGGAUUCCUCUCGACUGUCUCGACCCUACCUCGGACAUCCCCAGCGAGUUCUCGAGGCGGGCCUCGAUUUUUGACCACUCGCUGGGGAUCCCUGACUCUGGUGCUCGAGAUCGGCUGUCGAACCCUUUCGGCGGGUCAGCCUGCGACCUCUCUAGGCUUUUGUGGGUGCGUUCCUUGGCUUACAAGGGAAGGAAGAGGCUGUGGCAGUUCGUCUUUUUGCCCGUUGGGCGCGCCUUUUCAGGCAGGAGCCGUUGCGACACUGUACCGGCGCAGAACUCGGAGCGCCCCGUCUGUGAGAAAAAAGACCGUUAGGCGGUGCAUUUAAGGGGGGAGUUACCUCAUUUAUCGGAUCUGUCCGUUGGUGGGUUGCUGCCUAUAAAUAUCCCGUGGCAUCGCUGCCGUUCUCCCUUCCGCCUUCUGUGUUCAUUCUUGCCUUAGCCCUCUCGCCGUCUUGCUUUCUUGCCAUCUUACGCGCGCGCACCCCCUCGAGCAGCAGCGACUUCGCCCUCCUUCCGUCCAAGAUGCUUGUGAGACUCGUCGCCGCCGACGACUGGCGCCCGUCGUCGAUGACAGAACGUCGGUUGCUAGAGCUUGCGAGGGAGGGACUCCUGCGCCAGCGCACCUUGCUGUCGUCGCCGGAGUGGAUCGCGCCGCCAGCGGACCAUAGGGAGCCCAAGCCGCCCAAGGGCUACAUGGUUUCGUUCGCCAAAUUCCACCGCCACGGCCUGGUCGCUCCUCCGAGCCGCUUCAUGCGGGCGCUCUGCCACCAUUACGGGGUGGAGCUCCAGCACUUCUCCCCGAAUGCCAUCACCGUCGCGGCGGUCUUUACCGUGGUGUGUGAGGGUUAUUUGGGGAUGAUGCCCCACUGGGAGCUGUGGCUCCACCUCUACAGGGGCGAGCUCUUCAACGCCCCCGCUAGAGCCGCCGGAGUGAGGAAACCCGUGUGGGCCGGGUGCCUGAACCUGGUGCUGAAGACGGGGAAGACGGAGAAGCGACGGGAGUACAUCCCGGUGGGGUUAUCGUCGAACCACGCCGGAUGGGACUCCCAGUGGUUCUAUCUUCGGAACGACGACGGUCUCCUCCCUGCCUACACCGGCCGCCUGAUUACAGAGCGCCCGGAGAACUGGACGUAUGGCGUCGUCCAGGUCCACCAGUCGCGGCUCGACCCUCUCCUCGACGCCCUAAAGAAGCUACGCUUGGAGGGCCUGUCCGCCGCUCUCGUCCUCUCGACCGUUCAUCAUCGGAGGGUUCUCCCGCUGAUGUCUCAGCUGCUGAGGAUGGAUGAGAUGGGGCCCGGCGCUUCGUCCCGGGACCUCGAGGCGUGCCGGAUGUCCAACGAGGCUCCAUCGGAUGAUGAAGUCGCGGCCCGGGUCAGGGCAGCCGUUGCCGGCGACUUCCAGCCAGAGCACAUCAAUGGCUUCCCCAUGAGGCCCGACGCGGGCUCGAUCGAUCUGGUAUGUCCUUUUCUUGUAUACGGCUUCGAUUCUGGAUUUCCCUGGCUUCCUUUGUUAAACUUGUCUUUGUUCUCGCAGGGACCGAUUGACGUCCGGUCCUCGAGGCCUCUAGUAAAGGAGGACGAGGUCGACCGUGACAAGCGGCGCCAGUCCGCUCAGAAGCAGAAGUCCGCCAAGGACUCAGAGAAGAAGGAGAAAAAGAAGAAGAAUCUCGACCGCCAAUCGCUGGAGGCGCGUCGAGCCAAGUCCAGGCAGAGGGGGGAGCCUGAGGAAGAAUCCCCCAGUGAGGAUGACGGCGGAGACGACGAUGACGAUAGCGACGACUCCAAGGGGAUGGCGUCUCGUCUCGAGCGGAUGCUCGAGGGUCCGCCUCGAGGCGACGUCGACUCCUCACGGACGGGAGCGCCAAAGGAGGGGCCAGGCGGAUCUCACCGCGCCCGUGCUGACGACCCUCGCGCGCCCGCGCCAAGUCGGGCCCUCCCGCACCACCAACCUCCCCCUGCACCAAAGGCGGGUGGCCGGGCUAAGCCCCAGGCGACGGGGCCGUUGACCCAUGGCCGCGCCGCGGCCUCUGAGAAGGGGGAUGCUGGCCGCGAGAGCGCUAGCCCUGGCACUCGCCCGGUGGGAGAUGCUGGGCCAAGGCACGCGCCUGCCCGUGAGGGGCCCGAAGCCUCGACGCGAGGUGGCUCAAGGCCCACCGGUCGAGGUACCGGCAGGGGAGCCGUUCUCCCUGUGGGGUGAGUUCUUCGACGCCGCGAUUCUCAUCCUCCUGUUUCCUUGUGCUUUCUCGUAUAACGGUCUCCCUUACACCCAUUUCUUUUUCCUCAGGUUGAAGCGAACGCUUGAGCAGGCCCAGCCUUCAAUGGUGAAAAGGCUCAAGGUGGGAGCGGCCUCCAAGGACUCAGGUUAGUAGCUUAUUCUCAUUGUUAUGAGAUUUGUGUUGUUCUUACGUUGACCACCGUAAUGGCUGACCUUUGUUUUGUGCUCUAUAGGUUCCUCCGACCCUCAACCUCCGACCGGCGCUGAGCGUGACCCACCCUGUCCUGAGUCUGCCCCGUCCUGAGUCUGCCUCAGCCCCAAGAGCAAGAGGGAGCCCCCGAGCCUCCCCGAUCGGGGGUCGAGGGGAUCCCAUUACCAUAAGUGAUGGGUCCGGCGGCGAUGGGACCUCGAGGGAUUCCCAUUCUAUGGACGAGGAGGCCCAGACUUUUCUCGUCGCGAGACGGAUGCCCUGGCCUGCCGGGCUUCGCUCCAUCGAGGAGCAAAAGAAGAAAGAGGAGGAGGAGCGUGAGCAAGAGACGCGGCGGCAACUACAGGAGCAGGACCGUCGACAGGAGCCGCAGGAGCUCCAAGAGCAGCAGCAGCAGGGGGGCCAGCCGUCGGAGGAGCCGCUCGAGCCUCCUCCUCACAGUUCGCCCCAACCGGUACUACCGGCGCCGCAAGAGCCCGGGAACCAGGAGGAGGGUCUGCCAGUUUUCGGCCCUCCGACCCCAGCGUGGCUUCGUCCAGGGGCGCCCGCCGCGAUCCCAGCAGAGUCGGGGCGGGCGGACGACGUGGUGGCGCUCGCCUGCAUGUUGCGCACCCCCGUGGACCCUGAGUACGAGAUCAGGAGGACGAUCUACGGCGUGGACGGAAUCGCCCCGGGAUUCCUCCGGGAGCGUCGGUCGUGGGAGGACCGUAUUCCCGCCAAGGAGGACGAGGCUGGGACGUCGGGCGGAGGCGGAGGCAGCAAAACGGGCACCUAGAAGACGGUGGACGAUGACGGGCGGUUCCCCUCCCUCGUCGACUUGUUCCUGUGCCAUGGGGGGUCCCUCGAGACCGUCGAGGAGCUCAUCCGCGGCGUCAAGGCGUGGGCCGACCAGGAGAUGGAGAACUGGUGCCCCGAUCAGAUCCGCAUCCGGGCUUCCACCGAUCCGUCUGAGCCUAACAUUUUUCUGGACGAUCGGAAGGAAGCCGAGAAGUGGGAGCAUGUCGAGGAGCUCCGCCUCUGGAUGAAGCACACGGUGGGGCUCCUGUCGGAUGUUGUAAACAACGGACUCGGGCCGGCCUAUUUUGUAAGUGUUUUUCAGCUCUUAAUCCUUAUAGUGCAUUUGGUUUUGGGUUCUAACUGCUCGACCACCGGCUCGCAGGACCUGAAAGAGACCUCCCGUAUUAAGUCGAGCUUCAUCCACGCCACGAGAGGCGGCUGGGAGCAGCUCCCCAUCCUCAAGGACCAACUCCUGGAGUCACAGGAGAAACUCCUCAAAGCUUAUAAAGAUCUCGUGGCGCUUGAGGAGGAGAAGAAGGAGAGGGAGGCUGCCCUAGUCGAGGCUCGAGAGGCCUCAAGGAAGGCGGUGGAAGAGGCGACGCUACUGAGGGAGGGGGCUCUGACGGUCGAGGAGGUUGCGUCCAAAGCCCGAGAGGAGGCCCUGUCCUACAAGAACGUCGUUGCUAACCUGGACAAGGAGAAGGGCCUCCUCAAGACCGACCUAGACUCCCUCCGAGAAUCCUUCCAGAGGAUGAAGGUGGAGUAUGUGAAGAGCGAGGUCGCCAGGGGCGCCACGGAGGAGGCAAGGAAGAAGGCCCUCGAAGACCUCGAGGCGGAGCGGGCUCGAUCCCGCAGCCUUUCUGAUGACUGUUGACGGUCCUUAAGUACCAAAUAUAAUCAUCAAAUAAAUAAAGAAAAGGAUCCAAAUGCAACCAACACCUAGACUUAGGGUUUUAUCUGAUAGAAUUCCAUGAGUUUUGGUGUUUGUCUAUUUCUACAGGGGGUUAUCAGGAAACACGGAAGAAAGGCCCACAUGUCGGGAUUACAUAGAGAUAUCAACGCACCGCGCAAUUUUCUACCAUCUAGAAGACUCUAGAAGCCACGGGAAGAAAGCAGAGGCCGAAAGGGGCCAGGCCCAGGGCGCCCGCCCUAACCUAGACUCCGUUCGGGACUCUCUUCGCACACGAUGUUCCACCGACCUAAAGGAUCAAGGAUAACGUAGUACCACAUUGCCUACCGACCCAAAAAUGCAUAGAGGAGGAGGACUAUAUAAGGAGCCCCCCUGGCCUCUGGAGAAGACAAGAAGUUAUCAUAGAGUUGAGGGGUGCCCUUGAAGGAAAACAUCUUCUCUAAAUAAUAUUUCUUUUUAGGCUUAGCAACCAAUGUAAGUAGAAAUAGAUCUUCUAGUUUCUACUAGAUUGAGAGAGAUAGAGUGGAGGUGUAGAUCGGAGGAAGGCCGGCCUGUCGGUGUCUACUCCGAGUUGUACCUGCGGGAUCAAGUCUCCUAACCCGAGGCUUGCUUCUAAGAUUCUUCAGUAAUUCGACUUCUAAUUCUAGUAAGUUCUUGUUUUAUUGUUCUUUGGUUUAUGAGUUUACUUUAAUCCUCUUCCGGUUGAGUAUUAGAGUAAUCAUUGCUAGCGUAAACGUGGUGUUUAGGCUAGGGUACUCAUAGAUAUCCCCUGACUAGCUGGUCCAUGGUAGUAGCAAGGAACGUGACAUUUCCGAGUUACCUUUGUAUCCCAUAUCUUGUUAGCAGGACGGGUAGGUUUAUAGGUGCGGGUCGAACAUCCUUUGUGGUGUCUAGAUUCCGUAAGCUUCCCCAAUAGAACAGUAGAUCAUCCUUACCAAGGUUAGAAUGAGACUACGGUUGCAGUCUUCUCUAUAUAUCACUCACAUCGAGAAACAUUCUUUGUAGCCUAAAGGGAUAGUAGCAAUAGAUUUGGUUAGUCAGAUGCACCCUUUCACCCAGUGGUAAAAAUAUAAAUACGAUACUCUGGAAAAUCUCCCGGGUGAAAUGCUCACCGAUAUCCGUGCGCCUGCGGAUCAAUUCCUUAUUGCGUUACCAAAUAUCAACAAGCAUUUCUGGCGCCGUUGCCGGGGAGAAAGACGGUUUGCUGAGAUAACUUUAAGUCUUGCUAUUAUCUUGUAUUAUACUUUUAUACUUUUAUUCUUUCAUCUUUUUAUUUUUAUCCUUAUGGAUAACUUAAAUUCCAUACCUAUCAUUGAAUUCUUUGCACCUUCGGAGACCAGCCAUAGACCAUGGGAGUCAACAAGUCCUGCCCCUAAUUAUGAUCUGUGUCCGGAGUUGAUUGCAAUAGGUCAAAACCAACCCUUUUCUAUAGCUGAGGUCCUAUCUUUUAAUCAAGAAGAUAAUGCACUUUUAGUUACACCUAGGGAAUCUGUUAAUCUUUCUAUAAAUUCUGGUUUAGACCUAGCCCUACAAGACCAUGUUUUUUCUCGAUAUUUUCACAUUGGUCUUAAUCAUAUAACCUUUGGUAGAGUCUUUCUUUCUUUAUCUAUUAGUAAAGGAAGGUAUGUCUUCAUUUUGGACAUCCUUCUUGCACUAGUCUUCAUAAAAAUAUCUUAGAGAUAGAGAAGGAAUCAUCGCCCAGACAAGGAAAGGAAGUUUCAAUAGCCAAUUUCCAAACAUUCCAAUCCCAUGAUUCGGCUAUCCAACCCAUCCUUUAGCCUAAUAAUUUCUACUAUGCUCUUUCUCUUGAACCUCCAGAUAAUCCUAUGAAUCUCUCUAGACAUCCCAUUCAUAAGAGUCACCAAUACCACAAGGAGGAUUGAGAAGAGCAACAUCAAUGGCUAGAGGGCAUUAAAAAUCCAUGUGCUAUCACCAUUGAAUGGAUAGAUAAAACAAACUUAAGAGACAAUCCUAGAGGAAUUUUAAGCAUUCAUGAAGAAUCAUCCUUAGAGUUUGAGAAUGAGAGAAACAAAAGUGAGCAUGGAAGUUAUUUCAUAAAUACCUCAUCAAGUCCUUGCUCAUAUAAAACAUCUCCCCAAUCAAUUGGACUCUCUACCCUUACCACAUUUGAGAUCUCCAACCCCCUCUUCCUUUCUAUUUAUAAAAACUUUAAAAGAGCGGUUGUCGAUGCAUAUGUCUAUAAUAAAUAUUGCAGAUCUUGUUGAGUUGAUCUUGAUAUAGGUAGGUGUUGGAGGGGAAACCACUUCACCAACAUAACUUGAUGGUUUCCAAGGAUAAGCUUAGCGUCCUUAAACAAGGACUUAUCAGAUCGCAACAUGAACUUCUAAUUAUUUGCAACACUGCCUUGUGUACUGAGCAUAUAAAGAUAAUUGUAGAAAUAUUCCUUCGGGUAUUCUUGUCACUAACCUUUCUAGGAUUGGAGCAAGAAGACCGGAUGAAUGACAAGCACAAGGUAUGUCCAACCAACCAUCACACAACAUUGAAUUAAAUUCAUCCAAACUUGAAUUUUGCAAAAUUCAAGCUUGGGGAGUACUUUACAUAAAAACAUCCUCUGCCAAGUUGCUAUGUUGGUUGUCCUUACCUUUGAGACAUGCUCAAUUUGUUAAAUACUAAUCACACUACUUAAUCUCCACUUGAGUAGAUCUCUAUAAAUGCCAUCAUGCUACCUUUGUUUAUCCUAGUAAGUGUUGGUUUGGAAGUACUCGACAUACUUCCAUUGGCAUUUAAAUUAAGCAUGGUGCUUAGGUUAAAUAGCCUUCCUUAAUCUGAUUAGACAUGGAGUCUAGUUUGGUUACUGAACUAAAAACUGCUUGAGUAGAUAUUGGUAUAUUUUGUGGGACUAACCCCUGUAGGAAAACUUUCAAUAUCAACCUGGGAAGUCCUGAGAUAAACUCACAUUGGAGAUGAAGAAAGUGACACAUGAAGUUUAACGAUUUGCACAAGGAAGACAUAGCUCAUUCAUCAAAGAGAGAUGAUCCAUGGAACAAGACAAAGAGUGCCACAAACACGAUGCACAACCGCUAAGAAAGGAAAGCUUCCACAAGGUGAUACUGUACCAUCACUCUUCAAGUAUGGUAACAUCUUAAGGUACUUCACUAACACUUUUAUAAGCUUCUCCUUGGUUCUGGCAUACACAUGAAUAAAAGAGACAAACAUGUAUGAUUUGUAGCUCCAAAUUAACCAACCCAAUUAAUUCAACAUGUUUAGUCCUUUAAUCUUUGUUCUUAGUACUACCUUCGUGACCCCACACUCCUAAUCAUAUAAGCUAAAAUGUUGCACAUUCAAUCUUUGGAAGAUAUAAACAAAACAUAAAUAUAGAUAGAUUAUCUUUCCAUUAGGUUGAGCCAUCUGAUCUAACAAAUGUUUUAAAUGCUGCACUCAUGAUCCAUCAACUUUGUCUUGCUCACUAUGCUUAAGGUUAGAGAAGAACAAAUACACUUUUGGUUCUGUUGGUGUUUUCCACCAACAGGGCCCAUGCACUUGAUCUCUGCCUUGUCUCUAUGAAUAGGUACACUUCAAACAAAACAUGGAGGAGUUUUACAACUCCCAGAUUCCACCAUGUGAAGAACCGGGAUCUACGAGCACAAACACAAUGGAGAUCAGACACUUAGUUUCCCAAAUGAAAUAUUGAAGAACCUCUGUGUCCGAGUUGGUACCUUGUACGCUCCAGCAAACUUCGUGGUGAUAGAGACUGGUACUGAGGAGAGGGCACCCAUCAUCUUAGGGAGGCCAUUCCUAAACACCAGAGCUGUCAUCUACGCUAAUGCUGCCAAGAUCAGUUUCUACAUCAAGGGGAAGAAGGAGACUUUCCUUCAAGAACAAGACUACACAAAUUUCAGAGCAAUCCCGACAUGAACCAAGGAAGAGGACCAACAGGAGGAACAGGAACAAACAAAUGUGGACCGAGUCAGCUAAGAUGGUCACUGCAGCUCAAGGAGGUCAUGAUCGUCGACUCAAGUCACCUUUCUUGAUCAAGAAGGAUGACCCUGGUGUUCCAAGCAUUGAGUGCACAAUCAACAAGAUACUCUUUUUAGAAGACACUCUACGACACCGGAUCUGACGUCAACAUAAUGGCCGCAGUCAGUUAUCAGCUCCUGCAUGGAACCAUGCCCCUACAACCAACAUAUAUUCAGCUCCAGAUGAUUUUCACAUCAUUGACAAGGGAAAAGACGAGUAUGAUCCACCCAUCAUCCUUGGAAGACCAUUCCCCAACACUAUCAAAGUUAUCAUCUACAUUGGAACCGGAGAAGUCCACAUGUACUUCCCCUCUGAAAAGGUACGCCGCUAUUUUACUGACCCUAACUAUAUAGUUGAAGACUUUAAGAAGGUCAGGAUAAGAAGACGACGUAACCGCAACCAGAGGAGGCAAAUCAUCAAGAACGGAUAGGUAGACUACGAAGGAGAAGUGCUAAGGACUGAAGACAUACAGCUUGAAUAGAACCAUCCUGAGGAGACCGUAGCACCGAGUCAGAUGUGGAAAAAGAAGAUAGUUAUAACCGCCGGAACCACCGACUACGCCAUCCAGCGAAUCCCAGGACGACUGAGGAAACAAGGAGUCCCGUUCGAAGGACUUAAAAACACCGAACGCCUAGCCAAGAGGUAAACUUGGUAGUUAUCCUUUUCCCUUCAAUUAUUUUGUUUAGUUAAUCAGGUUCAUAUCAUCUCGAAAAGAAAAUAAAAAUGUUAAAAAUAGUAAGCCCCAUGUGAGUAUGCUCAUGGCAUAAAACCCAUAGGUACAUUCACUGUGGUGGCAUAAAAUAAAUAAGUUUUCAUCUUACAAUAAAAAUAUAAAAAUAAUAAGUGCAUGAUCCUGCUAAAUAAGUAACAUUUAUUGAGGAGGCUCAACAUGAUAAAGGCUAGAUUAUAUGGUAACACUUAACCAGUUCCACAGAGCUUUGUUGUCUAUUUGAGCUCCGCAGAAUUCAAGGAUCAAAGAAGACUAGCAGACAGAGGACAUCCUAAUCACUGUCAGGGUGCUACCGACUUUCAAAUACACCUCCACCACCUGCUAGCUACAUCAGAAGAAAUUACGUCAAAAUCCAGCUUGGGGGAGAGCACCCCCAUUUAUCCAGCUAAGUGUUUCUACUUGCGUUUAUACUUUACUCAAAUAAUAAAAGAUGCAUAAUCAUGAAAACCCAAAUAAAUAUUUUGUGCUUUUAUAUAUAUAUAUCUUUGCUUAGUUUGCUAAAUAAAUAAAUAAAUAAAGUUUGCUAUGAACCCUCAUGAUAAGCUCUCACAUGGAAAUGAUGAAUAGUUGCUCUGCCAUGACUAGUUCUUAAAAUUAAAAUAUCUCUCAAGUUUAGGCAUGACAGUUAUGAAGUAAGAUUUGCUCUAAACCUGAACUUGUGGGAAGAGUACUUGAUCUAAAGUCUAAGUUGUUAACGGAUAUGAUAUGGGAAGGUUGAGCUGCUGUUUAUCUGUUCCUAGAGAUGCUAGAAUUCUGGAGAAUAUUAUCUUUGAAAAUAUUUUAAAAUAUCACAUGAUGAGUUCCUAUAUGAUGAGAGUUUAAAAUCCUACCACAGCCAUAUAUACAUGCUUAUUAGACUUUGAGCCACACAUUUACUUUUUACUGCUUAUGAGCAUUGAGUGUGGUCAACCUGUGUAGACCCUUAGGAGUUUGUCAUGUGGUUAAAAUCAAGAUUCACUUGCACGUUCACUCAUACAUGCUGCUUCUACUCUGGAAGUACGCAUCCAUAUACAUCCACUCAUUUCCAUCUCCAGAUUCACCCAAAAUUAUUCUACUCCUAAUCCGGGAGAGAAUAGCCAAAAUAUUUUCCUAUCCCUAUUAUUCCCUGUGAAAUAAAUGCUCCAGUUAUUUUGGUUACUACCACUUGCUACAUUAUUUCAGGAGAUGAGUGCUCUAAAAAAAAGAGAGAAAAAAAAGGAAGAGAAAAAAAUAAUAAUACGAGGAAAUAAAAAGGGGCAAGUGCCCGGAACCUCGAAAAAGUGAGACGAGAGGUAAAAAUGGACAAGUGUCCGACAGUAGAAUUAGGGGUACAAGAUACCCACCUGAGAGGAAAGAAAAAAAGAAAAUAUAGAGCAUCUCAUUCUCCUCAAAAAGCUUCAAAGUGCAAGAAAGGUAUGUAUCCCCUUAAAAGAGCAAAAGUAAAAUUAGAUUUUCACCAUUGUUAUCACCAUCAUCACCAUACACCACUCGCCACACAUGCAUAUCUUGAUUUGACUUAUUGACUUGUUUCUCUGGAUCCAUGGUUUGACUAUGCAAUAAAUGUCUUGUAAGUAUGUAUUAGCUGUCUCCCACCUAUGAGCUCCAGAUAUCAAAACCUUAUUAGAGUAGGGUG